UAUAUAUAUAUAUAUAGAGUAGGGCUGCUGUGCUCUCAGAAGCACAGAGGCCUCCGUGCUCCUGAGCCGUUUUCGAUGAUCGAAUUUUCAAAUCGACGAUCGGCUCCGUUAGACUUGAUCUAAGGUAUUUGAAGUUUCUAGAAAAUAAUUUUUGUGAUUUUUUGAUAUCAUUUACCUAGUGAUAGAAAAGAUUCAAAAUCAAUAAUUUUUAAUGGUUGAUAUCUGCCGUUUUCAAGUUUAANAAGGGUGUAGAAGUUUUCAAAUCAGAUGAAAUUUUGAUACAAAAUUCUUUAUACUAUUUGCAACAAGAUCAAUAUUUCUGAUCGAAAAUUUUAAUGCUAUAUCACCACUUUUUAUAGAAUUUUUAUUUUCAGCCGUUAAAAAUUAUUGAUUUUGAAUUCUUUCGAUUGCUAGGUAAAUGAUAUCGAAAAAUCGCAAAAAUUAUUUUCUAGAAACUUCAAAUACGCUAGAUCAAGUCUAAUGGAGUCGAUCGUUGAUUCGAAAAUUCCAUCAUCGAAAACAGCUCAGGAGCACGGAGGCCUCCGUGCUCCUGAGAGUAUAUAUAUAUAUAUAGAGAGAGAGAGAGAGAGAGAGAGAGAGAGAGAGCUAGUCUCCUAUACUCUCGAAAGUACGGUGACCUCCGUACUUGUAAGUUGUUUUCGAUGAUGAGACAUCCGAUUCGACGAUUGGUUCUAUUAGACAUGAUCUACGCUAUUGAAAUUAUUUAGAAACCAAAUUUCACAAUUUUUUGAUUCUAUUUUCCUAAUUAAUAAGUAGGCUAAAAAUGAAUGGCUAAAAAAUAAAAAUUUUAUAAAAAACAGUAAUAGAAGAUUUAAAUUUUAAAUCAGAACUAUUAAUCUUGCUAUUGACGUAAAGUAAAAUUUUUUGUUAAAGUUUCAUGUAAUUUAGAUGGUUCUAUACCGUUGAACUUAAAAACAUGCUACAUCGACCAUUAAAAUAGUUAUUUUUGAGAUGUUUUGAUUACAUGGUAAAUGAUAUUAAAAAAUUAUAAAAUUUGGUUUAUAAAUAGUUCCAACAGCAUAAAUUUUGCUUAACGAAGUCGAUCGUCAAAUCGAAUAUUAUAUCAUCGAAAAUAAUUUUCAAGUACGGAAGUCUCCGUAUUUUCGAAAGCACAUGAAACAUACUCUAUAUAGAAAUAUAUACUAUAUUUGACAAACCGGUUCAAUUUUGGUUGAACCACUGAUCCUAACCCCUCUCUCUUUACUAGUUCAAUGACCAAAUCGAUUCUCAAAACAUUAAUAAAUAGCAUGAGGUGAAGCUCAGGGUAUUUAAUAAACCAACUAACUAUGUAAAAUUAAUAACUAGGUAUAGUACACUUUAAAUGGGUCAAAGUACAUUUUAUUUCUUUUUUGAAAGAGCUGCAGACAUAGUGAAUUACAAAUUUUUUCAAUAUGCCGCAACUUAUAUAGGACUCUUAAUUUAUAGUCCAACUACUCAUAAUAUAAUAAAUGCGCCGUAAAACAAUAAGGGAAAAACUUUAAAUACCACCCUUGUGGUUUCGUACUUUUUCACUUUAGUAUCAUGUGGUUUAAAGUGUGUCAAUUUAGUACCAUGUGGUUUCGCACUUUUCACUUUAGUAUCCUGUGGUUUAAAGUAUAUCAAUUUAAUACUUUGUGAUUUCAUUUUUCUCUUUUCGUCGGCUCCUUUAUUAAUUUUUCGUUAAAUUAUAUACAAAAAACUUCAGAUACCCUACCUAGGUUUAUUGAAUAUUCACUUUAGUACCCUUUAGUUUUAACUUUGUCACCUAUUUUAUUUUCCUCCGUUUAUAUUUCGUUAAAUUUUAUACAAAAACUUCAGACACCCUAUCUAGGUUUAUCAAAUAUUCACUUUAGUACCCUUUCGUUUUAACUUUGUUACUGAUUUAACGAAAAAAAUUAGUGAAAUGGAUAAUAAAAAGAGAAAAAAUGAAACCACAUGGUACUAACUUGAUACACUUUAAACCACAAGGUACUAAAGUGAGAAAGUGUGAAACCACGGGGGCUAACUUGAUACACUUUAAACUACAGGAUAUUAAGGUGAGAAAAUGUGAAACCACAGGGGUAUUUAUAGUUUACACAAAAAUAAGAAAUAUACUACCUAUACAUGGUAAUAUUUUAGUUUAAUUUUGGAUUGAAAAAACUGAUCCAAACUGAAUAACCCAACUGUACAUUUUUAUUUGUAUAUACUUAUGUAUCAACAAAUAUUUGUACAAAUAGAUAUAUCAAUUAUUAGUGAUUUAACUUUUCAAAAUUCAAUUCAGGUCAAUUAGAAAAUAACCAAUCAAUAUUAUCAUCUAUAAUAAUGAUUAAUAAAUUAUAUCUUGUGGUAUCUUAACUGAACGCACAUGGCACUAAUAUUCUUUUAGAGACCGUUUGAUUACACGUAGUUACAACUAGAGUGCAUUUGUAACUGCAUAGUGAUCUAAAUCCGACGACUACUGUAAUUGCAACUGCAUAAGAAGGCUCACCUGCAGCAUUUGAAACUACGUCCAGAUUGGCCACAAUUUGAACUGCAGUUUUCGAAAAGAAUAAUUUUAAAUAAAAAUAAUCUUACCUCUUUGAUAAUCUUAUAUAGAGAGAGAGAGAGAGAGAGAAAGAGAGAGAAAGUCCGGUUACUAUCGAGUUUUUUGCCGUUAGAUCUAUCCUUUGAUCAUUCACUCUUUAAAUUAUACUAUUCAACCAAUCAUCCACUCAAUUUUAGGGGACUACUAUCAUCCUAUCCGCACAUCCUUUUAUCCAAUGGCCGAAAAUUCGACAUUACCAAACGCUUCGUACUAUUAAUAGUAUAGUAGCAUAUAUAUAUAGAGUUGAGCUAGAAUACUUCUAAAAGUAUCAAGAGGAUGGUGCUUGUGAGUUUUUAACCCUUGGAUAGAGAAAUGUAGGGUUGGGAUGAUGGUGGUAGGUGGUGGUAGGUGGAAUAGUGUUUGAUCCAAGAGCCGAUAGUAAUCAAGGAGUAGAUCCAAGGACUAAAAACCUAAUAGCACCAAAGGAGUGAUACUUGUAAAAGUAUUCUAGCUCAAUUCUAUAUAUAUAUAUAUAUAUAGUAGGACUACUAUACUCUUAUGAGUAUAGAGCCCUUCAUACUCAUAAGUUGUUUUCGAUGUUGGGGUUUUCGAAUCGACGUUCCACACCGUUAAACAUGAACUAGAGUAUUUGAAACUUCCAGAAAAUAAAUUUUGUAAUUUUUUGAAAUUAUUAUAAAGUCCAUUAAGCGGGUAUAAAAUGAACGGUUAAAAUCGAACGACAUCCUAAAAAUGGAUGAUCGGAUCCUUCAAUUUAAGAUCAGAGUUAUUGAUCUUUAUUUAAGUAAUGAAUAGAAUUAUUUACAAAAAUUCAAUCUAUUCCAAUUCUUUUCACCGUUAAACUAGCAAAUAUCCUUACCGACCGUUAAAAAUUUCAAUUUUGUGACCUUUUGAUCGUAAGGUAAAUGAUGUCGAAAAAUUAUAGAAAUUUGUGAUUUAUAGACGAUUUUAAAUGCUCUAAUAAUGUUUAACUAUAUGUGGGCUCUAUCAUCGAAACAACUUAUGACUACGCAGGCGAUCGGUACUCAUAAAAGUAUAGUAACCGGACUCAUAUAUAUAUAUAUAUAAUAUUAUAUAAUAUUAUACUAUAUGAGAGAGAGAGAGAGAGAGAGAGAGAGACGAGAGAGAGAGAGAGAAGAGAGAGAGAGAAGAGAGAGAUCUGACUGGGACACAAUCGAUAGCCUACAAGGCUUAAUACUACCGAGUUUUCUACCGUUAGAUUUAACCCUUUGACUCUUUUCACCCUUUAUACUCAUAAGUUUUUAGCCGUUAAUUAGAUGAAAGGAUGUACGGUUAGGAUGAUGUACAGGUGAAAAUGAUCAAAAAAUUAAAUCUAACGACGGAAAACUCGGAAGCACCAAGUGCUUGGUGCUAUCGAUAGCACAGAGAUCUCCGUGCUACUAAGUUAUUUUCAAUGAUGUGGCUUCAAAAUCAACGAUUGGCUGACAAUAUAAUAGUAUGAAGUGCUUGAAUACUAUUGAUAGCAAAAAAAACUUUUUGCUAUCAAGUUUUUAACCCUUAGAUGAGAAAUUAUAGGGUUAUGAUGAUAUUAGUCCCGUAGGGUUGAGUGGUCCUCCUAAGGUUGAGUGGUCCCUACUGGAUUAUAAUAUUUAAUCCAAUGGAUAGAAAUGAUAAAAAGAAUUGAUCCAAAGGAUAAAAACUUGAUCGCAAAAAAGAGCUUUUCCUAUCAAUAGUAUUCUAAUCCAACAAUAUAUAUAUAUAUAUAUAUAUAUAUAUAACCAGGCUAGAAUACUAUCAAUAGUACCAAGCUAUUUGUGCUAUUAGUUUUUUAACCCUUGGAUUGAGAAUUGUGCGGUUAGGAUGAUGUGGGCUAUUAGUUAUAUAUAUAUAUAGAAUUAGGCUGGAAUACUAUCAAUAGCACCAAGCUAUUAGUAUGGGCCCCCUAGGGUUGAGUGGGUAGUUGGUUGAAUAGUAUAAUCUAACGGAUAAAAAUAAUUAAAGGGUUAAAUCUAAUGGUGGAAAACUCGAUAGCACCAAGCCCUUGGUACUAUCGAUAGUAUCCCAGCUGGACUAUAUAUAUAUAUAUCAACGGCUGAAAAUAAAAAUCUUACAAAACGUGAUAAUAUAACAUUAAAAUUUUAGAUGAAAGAUAUUGAUCUUGUUUUAUAUAGUAUAAAGAAUUUUCUAUCAAAAUUUCACAUGAUUUAGAUAUUUCUAUACCGUUAAACUUGCAAACGGCUCACUACGGCCAUUAAAAUUAUUGAUUUUGAGCCCCUUUGAUCACUAGGAAAAUGAUAUUGAAAAAUCAUAAAAUUUAUUUUUUAGGUACUUUAAAUACUCUAGAUCAAGUUUAACGGAGCCGAUCGACGAUUCAAAAGUCGCAACAUCGAAAACGACUUGGAAGCACGGAAGCUCCGUGCUUCCAAAAGUAUAGUAGCCCCACUAUAUAUAUAUAUAUAUAUAUAUAUAGAGUCCGGCUAUGUGUAUUGUUAGAUCGAGUACUGUUGAUCAUUUACACCCGUUAGAUUAUACUAUUCAACCAAUCACCCACUUAACCUAGGGGGUCCACAUCAUCCUAAUCACAUUAUUCUUAAUCCAAAGGCUGAAAACUUACAAGCACCAUUGUCUUGGUGUUUUUAAAAGCAUAUGAGUUCAAUUCUCUCUCUCUCUCUCUCUCUCUCUCUAUGUAUAUAUAUAUAUAUAUUAUAUAUAUAUAUAAAAUUGAGAUGGUUCUAUACCAUCUCAAUUAUAUACCAUUGAACUUAAAACGUGCUACAUCAAACAUGCACGUAUAUAUGUAUAUAUAUAUAGAGAGAGAGAAAGAGAGAGCUAGGCGGGUAUCUCAUCGGUAGCACGUAGGCCUCCGUGCUACACAAGUUGUUUUUAAUGAUACGGUUCCAAAUUGACGAUCAACUCCGUUAGACUUAAUCUACACUAUUAAAAGUAUUUGAAAUUAAAUUUCAUAAUUUUUUGACAUCAUUUAGCUAUGUGAUCAAAAGUUCUCAAAAUUGACAAUGUUACAUGGUAGUAGAUUUUGAUGCGUUUGUGAAUUUAACGGUGUACAAACAAUCCAAAUUUGGAUGAAAUUUUAAUAGAAAAUUUUUUUCACUAUUUAGAGUAAGAUCAGUAACUCUGAUCUUAAAUUCAAGUCUUUUAUCAUCAUUUUUUAUGAAAUUUUUAUUUUCAGUCGUUCAUUUUUAGACUACUUAUUUGAUACGUAAAUGAUGCCGAAAAAUUAUGAAAUUUAAUUUUCAAAUACUUUCAAUAAUAUAGAUCAAGUCUAACGGAGCCGAUCGUCGAUUUGGAAGCCGCAUCAUUGAAAACAACUUGGUAGCACGGAGGCCUCCGUGCUACCGAUAGUAUACCAGCCUAGCUCUAUAUAUAUAUAUAUAGAGAGAGAGAGAGAGAGAGAGAGAGUUGAGCUAGAAUACUUUCAAAAGAUAAUUUCACACACUUUCCCACAUAAAGGAUAAUUUCAUUAUUCCAUAUAUAAAAUAAUAAAAAUUCGUAAAUACACUUUUCAACCGCAUAUAAUUAAAUAAAAUAUUUAUAGCUCCGGCACUAUCUGUUAUAUCCAAUUAAAUAUAAUGCAUAUAUUUAUAAUUAUUAUAUUUUUAAUUGCAUAUAUUUCUAAUCAUACCAUAUUUACAAUUACUUCAAACAAAAUCUCAUAGCCUUAAUGGCUCAAAACCUUGCUAGUGAAGCAAUCACUUUUUUGGGGAAGCUUGUUGGCUCCAUGGGGUCAUCCCAAAUGGUGAAAUUUAAAGGGUCACUUAAAAAUAAUAAUAAUAAUAAUAAUAAUAAUAAUAAAAGGGCCCUACCCAUCAAAACCAUUGAAAAUUCAACAGGUGUUCACCAAAGAAGACAAUGUUACACUUGUCAUGGAUGUGAUGUGAUAACAUUACAUAUUUGCUUUAAAUAUUUGUACCAUGGGACAUGUGGAAGGUUGAUGAUUGGUCUUUCAAAGCACAUUCAUUUGGAAUCAAAGGACACGCGCAAAAAAAAAAACAAAAAAACAAAAAAAAAAGAAAAAAAAAAGAAAAAGGAAUUGGAUUUAUUGGGACGAUGCUUUUGCUUUGUUAGGUCACUUAUUAGAAGAACAUUUGGAUGGGAGUAGGGAUGCAAACGGGGCAGAUCCGGGGGCGGGAGAUCCCACCUUUUGCUCCAUUUCUUAUCGGGGCGGUGCGGAUUCAGGGCGGAUUACUUUUUCUUUUAUUUUUGGCUCCCACUUACCGUUCCAUUCGGGACGGAUCGGGGCGGGAGCCGGAUUUUUGACGGAUCGGGACGGAUUGAAGGAAGAAAAGAGUCUCCCACCUCCCGCUCCAUUUACUUGGCGGAUCGGGACGGAUUCGGGACGGAUUAUAUUUUUUUAUAUUUUUUGUUCCCACUUACCACCCCAUUCGGGGCGGAUCGGGGCGGAUCGGGGCGGAGCUCCACCAACCCAGAUCCAUUUGCAUCCCUAGAUGGGAGGGAUUCUCUAUUUAGUCAAAAUUAAUUUAAUAGCAAACAAAAAUAUAAAGUUUUGGGGGAAAAUUAAAAGGGAUAAUUAUUUAUAUAUCUCUUAAAAUUUACUGAAGUAUCUUAUAUAUUUCUAUUUUUUUGUUUCAUUAUAUCUAUCGUAUAUUUCUCCAUUAUUUAAAAUUAAUAUCGCUAUUAAUGCCCAUUAAAUCAUUUCAGAUUAAACAUCGGUCAAAUUUCUAUUAAAGUUUAAAAAAAAUCAAAAUAUCUCUUUUGCCCCUAACUUAAGGAUAAAUAAGAAAAAUUUAUGACGAUAAAAGAAUAUUUUUAAAAGGGCAAAAAGUCAAAAUAUUUCUUUUUCCUAACUUAAGAGCAAAUAAGAAAAGUAAAUGUCGAUCAAAGAAUAUAUUUAAAAGGGCAAAAAGUUAGAAUAACUCUUUUGCCCCUAACUUAAGAGUAAAUAAGAAAAAUUGACGACGACAGAAAAAUAUAUAUGAAAGAAAAAAAUAGUAAUUUCAUAUAGAAAAUGAUUGUUUCUAAUAGUUCACUAAUAAAAUUUAACUCUAUGUAUAUAUUUAAAAGAAAUUGGAAUGUUAAAGGAUUUUUUUUAAUUAGCCUUUCAAGUAGAGUAAAUAAGAAAGUCUGAAACUUUUUAGAAGUAUAUAUAAGCAACCGCCCUAAAUUAAAAAAAUAACUUUUUUCAUUAUCAUAAAGCUUGACCUAACUAUAUAUGGAUGUGCCCUAGAAUAUACAUCACAAUUAUUAAAGAUGAUAAAAGUAAAAAAUUUCGCUAUCUAACUAACAAUAACUUUCCCACAUCUGUGCAAUAUAUUACAUAUCUUUAUCUGAAUUUUCAAAAAAUAUAAAAUAAAUUAUGUAAAUGCUACAAUUAUUUUCUAUAAACCAUCUAGUGAAAAAGACAUAUCAUUUUGAAAGGCAAAUGACUCUGAUGCUUCUAUUGUUAAUUGCUCGAUUAGCCGCUCGAUUAGCCACUUAAUUAGAUUAAAUCUUUGAGUUAAUUGGUUCAAACCACUUAAUGAUUAGCAUAUUCUAGAACUUAAGAUCUAUCUUGCUCCCAACUAACUAUAUAAUGUCGUAAAAUGUCGUAACAUGCAUGUAAGAGUUUCUGGAAAAUAAUAAACUACGAAAUCACCUGCAUAGAAUGUGUCAGAAAUAAUGAAAAAAUGCAAUAGAAAAGUAUUUUAUUCGUUUCUGCAAAGAUAUCAUGUUGUGUCUGCUAGGAUUUGGUUAGAGUUGUAGUUGAAUCCUAAUUGGAUAAGAAUUAAUAUUUAAAUCUGUUGGAGAUAAAUUAAGAUUUAGAUAUUAAUUAGAGUAUAAAUCUAACUAUAUUAGAAUAAAUAUUCAAAUCUAUUAGACAUAAAUCAAUUAAGAUUUAAAUAUUUAUUGGAGUAGAAAUUCUAAUAAUACUAGGAUUGAGGCUGUGAGGUGUAUGACCAAGGUGAUUUCCUUGCCGAACGAUAGACAAGAGAGAGAGGGCGUCUUGUCUAAGGUUAAGUGCAUGCAGCUUGUGCACGGGUGCAUGUAAGAGAGAAAAAAAGAAAGUUGUCUUCAUUGUGGAUUUAUAGAAGACGAGAAAAGGAUAGGAGAGAUUCAGAAAGAGAGCUUGAGUUGUAGCUACUCUAUUGCAGAAGAUGAGUACUCUGGUGUAAUCUUCUCUUAUUUAAUGAAUCUUAUUUUACCCGCAUAUUUUCUGUUUUAGUUAUUCUCUCUUUUGUGACUAUAAUAGUUUUUGCUGAGAAGACGGGUUUAUCGUAAAAAUUCGAUUUGACGCUUCCGUUGCGGAAUCCCAACAAUCGGUACCGGAUCUACAGCAGUCGGUAUCGGAGCGGGUUGCGGAUUCACAAGAUCUGGUACAGGGGCGAGUACCAAAUUCCCAACAGUGUCGAUCGUGAUGAUUAGGCAACGAUAAAACUUUAUUGAUCUCGCUAGUAAAUAAAGAAGUAUAGGACCAUAAUGUUGGAUGUAGCCAACGUGAUUUAUUCAAGGCAAUCUAUAAAGAUACAGCCGGUCUAUUCAAGUUGAUCUAUAAAAAUACGAUAGAUCGAACGGUUAUAGUGUAUCUGGACACGUCCUUGAUGGACGAACGUUAUUUAACAUCCUUACAUUAAGUUAUACAUAAAUACAACAAACAAGAGUCCCGGCCUAACCGUAAUCCAAUUUUCUGUCACGGCUCCAUCUCCGGGGAUAAAGAAAUUAGACUCGAAACGUCUCACUUUCUUGCAGAUCACAAAUGAUGACAAACCAUGAGUAAGGAUCGUCGUCUAUAAUUCAGGUAUUGAAAUCGAAAUUAUGACAGAAGGUACGAUCUUAGUUUCUUAUAAAAUUUCAACACAUAAAAGAUAAGAGACUUCUUAUGGAGGGCAAAUUCUAUUCCUCCAUGAAGCUAGGUAGAUAACUAUAACUCGAGCUCGAUCGAGCUAAUCUCAUGAUCGGCUCAAUCGAGCUUACAUAUUUGAGCUUUUUUCAAGCUGAGCACGAGCGAGCUUAGUUCAGCUUAAGAUUACCUCACUUCCUAAUCAAGCUUCAUGAAACUCUAACUCAGGCUCAGCUUCUUUAGUAAUGAUGAACUCAAGCCUAGUAACUAGCUUAAAUUUGAGCUCUCUCUCUCUCUCUCUCUCUCUCUCUCUCUUUGAACUGUGUGUAUGAAAGAGAUGGAAAGAGAUGGAAAGAGAGAUCCAUUGACUCUUGUACAGGAGUAGGGCAAAGGACUCUUCUAGAAAUGUGGAAUAUUUGAAUGCAUGUGUUAUAUGUACUAUAUAACAUGAUUAAAACACAAAUGAUUAAUUACAGGAUAUCUAUGUAAGUGUUUAAUUAGUUGAAGGGAGUAAACCCAGAUUAGAGGUUACACAAAGUGUUAGAGCAUAUAAGUCCACUUAUCAGAGCCAUUUGGUUGGAUGCAGCUGUAAAAAUAGUGUAGUUAAAUAUACACGCAGUUAAAAAUACAGCAGUUAUAAAUAUAAAUGUUUUAUUUGGUUAACUAGAAUAGCAAGUGUUACCGACCGUCUCUAGAGCAAGCGGCAAAGGGUUUGAUGGUUAGUAUCCGAGACCCAAGUUCGAAUCCUAGUUGAUUCACAUUUCCAGCUAAGUUAAUUUCUAAAUGAAAUAAACGAAGCGGGUAGCAUGCUAUCUAUCUCUCAAAAAAAAAGAAAAAGAAAAAAAAGAAUAGCAAGUGUUGUAAUUAUAAAUAAUGUAUUCGAUUACGUGUAGUUAAAACGUGCAUUUGUAAAAUUUUAUUUCUUUUUAUAUGGAUAGUGAGAUUGUCCAAAUAUAGAAAACAAAUAUUUUAUGUAUAAAAGAAGAUUAAUUACGGAGUUAAGUUUAAUUUUUAUUUAAAAUUAUUCUUUUCAACUGCUGUAACUGGAACUGCGGUCAAUUUAGUCCUAAUUCGAGCUACUGCAAUUGAACCGUUUCGUACAAUUUUAAUUAAAAUAAUUUGAUUAAUAUAUAUCAAAUCAAAUACUAAAUUUGAAUCUAUACGUAGCUACAACUAUAAUACAGUAAAUUAUAACUAUACGCAAUCAAACAACCCUUUAAAGUUAAAAACCCGAACAUAUAUAUAUAUAUAUAUAUAUAUGGCGUGUGGAUCGUAAGUGCUAACAAACUAUCCAAAAAGCACAUGUUAAUAGAAAAAGACGCAACCAUCACACUAGCUUAAGAGCUCAGCCACAGCAUUACACGGGUUUCGACUUGAUCUAACCCAUCAGAAUAUUAGGUUUAUUGUUAGGUCUCUUAUCGUUAGGUCUAAGUGUGAACCGCAGUCCCACUCAACUUAUUGGUCUUCUACACCUGUUGUCAAGAAGCGAAAAGUUAAACUUAUUUUAGUCAAUAAUGAAUAGACAACACAGUGUACAACACAAAAAAAUAGAUUAGAAACAAAAACAACAAACAAAUUAAAAGAGCAAGAAAAUUAUCCAAGGAAUUUGGUGCCAUACAUGCAUCACGUUUUCCUUUCCCCUUCUUCUUUUUUCUUUUCAAUUUUUUUCUUCUAUAAUUUGUCCUUUUUUUAUUCUAAAGUGACCAUUGAUGAUCCAUCAUCCCCACCUACUAAAACCUCUACUUUUCAAAAAAAAAAAAAAAAAAAAAUCAUCUGCAAUCAAUGCGUAAAAUCAUACAUUCGUGCAUCACUAAUUUAUCAACUGUUUGUGGUUAAGAAUUUAUAUAUACAAAUAGUUUCAUAUCAGAUAAUUAAUAAGAGAAUAAUAAAUUCAAUAUAAUAAACUUAAUGAGUUUAGAUUGGAUGAGUUUUAUUAGAUAUAUUAUAUUUUUCGCUAAAUUUUAAAAAAAAAAAACUCCUUCGACACUUUGGCGUUUAUCUUAAGGUGAAAACGUACAUAACUUAUUUGAACUAUAAACCAUUUUUAAUUAGCUAUCCAAUCUUUCGAAAUUUUGAUUUUACUAUCCAACUUAUUUGAUUUGAAUUAGUCAACGAUAAUUUGACUUCAAAGUUUAAACUAUUUACUUGCUUUAAUUAAUUUAUAAUUGCGAUAAUUGCUAGAUAAAUAACGUAUUUUAUUUUUUUAAGUCAAAGUGUCGUAAUUAAACUGACUCAAAUCAAAAAAAUUGAAAGGUUGGAUAGCAAAAUCAAAAUAUCGAAAUGUUGGGUAAUCAACUCAAAAUAGUCUGCAGUUCAAAUAAAUUAUGUACAUUUUAACUUAUCUUAACUCUCUCUCCGCAUAAAAAAUUACAUCAAUUACCACACACUGUUAACUUAUAUAUAUAGAUCUAACUAAUUGGUAUAUUGUUGAAUUUAGCUAGUGGUGGCAAUCCAGCUUGCUGUUCGCGAGCCAGCUCGUAUUCGACUCGAAAUGAGCUCAAGAUCGAAUCACUCACUUAGUAAAUGAGCCGAGCACGAGUUGAAAUUUUCAGCUCGUUUAAUAAACGAGCCGAACACGAGCUGGGGUUAGCUCGCUGGUGUUCGGCUCGAUAACAGCUCGAAUACAUAUAUUUUAUAUUUAUAUAUAUAAAUAAAUAAUUAUAUAUGUAUAUAAUAUAAUUUUUUAUUAUUUGAUUUUUAGCCCAAGCUAAAUAUAAAAUCCAACUCAAUUAUAAAAUGAUUCAUUUAUACGUAAAAUUUCAACUAUUAGAUCGAAGUAUAACGGGUAGGAUCCUAUAAAUUUAUAAAUAAUAUAAUAGAUUUAUAAAAUUGAAUAAAUUACUUAAUAAACUAUCAAUUUUGAUAAUAUUAGCAAAAUAGAAAAUCUCCUUUAUCUUAAUUUAUUAUAUAUUUUUUAAGUUGCAAAUUAAAUAUGUGUUGAGAUAUGGAAUAAUGUGAUACGCUAACUCAUUUUAGUAAAAUUUUACACAUAAUUUACUUUUUUUUAAAAAAAUUUCUUCGAUCUAUUUGAGAUGAUGAUAAAUGUAGGGCGAUAAUUGAUACAAUUUUUAAUGCAGAUUGAUAAUUAAGACUGGGACUAAAAUGCGCAAAAAGUUGGUAGAGUUGCCGCCUUUUCAUUGGUCAAAAAUUGGAUUGCUGGAUUGAAAGCAGGGAUGGAGCUAUUGAGAGACUCACAGUAGCCAUGGCCCUCCUUAACUUUUUAAAAAGGGUUAAUUUUAUAAAGGUUCCUACAAACAUAGUAAAUAACAAAUAUAUUUUUACAAAGUUAGACUUUCAUAUGUUGUUCAUACAAAAGUCCUGAUGUUUUCAAAUAUGUUCUUGCCGUUAGAAUCCGUUAAAAAAAUUUAGUUAGCUACAUAUUAAAUACUUAAACCAGGUUAAUUUUUGACCUUUUUAUUCUUUUUAUAUUAUACUGUUAUGAUUUUUGGAGGGACAUAUUUGUGAUGGCAAAAUAAAAAAUAUAAAUAAUUUUCUAACGGUUCUCUAACGGUAAUAAAUCGGAAGAACAUAUUUGAAAACAUCAGGACUUUUGUAGAGGCAACAUAUGAGAGUUGAACUUUGUAGGGAUAUAUUUCUCAUUUACUAUGUUUGUAGGGACCUGUAUAAAAUUAAUCCUUUACGUAAAGAUUCUUAUUUAUGGUAUGGCAUUAAAAUAUUAUAAAUUUUAGGGACCAAAAUGAACUUUUUCAUAAAAACUUGUAUCUUAUAUAUCGAACUUUUGUUAUAGUUUGCUUUAUAUAAUAUUUUAAAAGAUAAAUAUAGGCUAAAUUACAUAAAACCUCCUAUCAAAAUUCGAUAUUUUUCUUUCCCCUCUGUCAUUUAAAAACCGACAUUUUGCCCCCUUAUAAAAUAAAAAAUGUUCACAGGAUGUACGGUGUAAACUGUAAUGAUAAAAUGACCAUUUUGCUCCUCACCAUGUUCACAGAAGAGAAGGAUGAGGACAUUUUUGGCAUAAAAAAAUAUAUAAUAAUAUUUUAUAAACGGAAUCCUAACGGAUUACUAACGGUAGGAGACGAAGUGAACAUUUUUUAUUUUACAAUAGGGCAAAGUACAGAUUUUUAAAUGACAAGGAGAAAAAAUGAAAAAUCGAAUUUUGACAGAAAAAUUUUAUGUAAUUUAGCCAUAAAUAUAAUAUAUAUAUAUAUAUAUAUAUAUUAUUGGCCCGCUCAGAAUCUAAGUUCAGACUUCGUCCCUAUUUGAGAUAGUAAGUAAUGAAAUAGACAGCCAGUAAAUGAGAAUCCGUGACCUACUCUGAUACUGAUUAUUGAAAAUUUGGUAAUUAUUUAUAAAGGAGAGCUUUUUAUAUAGAGUUGUUUGGAGUUCGGAAAAGAACGGAUUAUGAAAUAAACUACUUAUUUCGUCUUAUAGUAGUAGAAAAUAAUUUUAGCCUCAUAAUAUAGGACAAAAUUAUUCAAGAAUGGCGCGACAACCGGCUUAAUAAAGUAUAUGAAAUUAACCAAAUAAGGAAUGCGGUAUCAAACCCUUCUUCACGGCAAAAGCUUAGGAUAGUACACGAUUGUACAAAUGCAAUCAGUUUUUGUCUUACCGUUGGCACUAAUUAUUAAUUUUAAAAGCACAAGCUAAUAGAAAAAUGCAAUUAACUCAGUUAAAGCGUACAGAUACAAUAUUCACAUAUCUUGAUUGUGACCUGAUUCUAUCCAGCCUCGGGUAGGAACUUGUACAACUUUAUGGAAUGUGGAAAAUCAAAUCUAUGAAUCUCUGACUUUAAGCACCCUUAGAUUUCGAUUAUGACCCUGGCUCUGAGCGUCCAAAGAUCUCGAUUAUAUCUCGAUUGUGAAUUGGUAUUAUCUGGACUCCUGCAGCACCUAUACAAUUUUGCAGUAUGUAGGAAUCGAAUCCAUGGUUUCUGACUCUGAUACCAAUUUUCGAUCAUUGGUGCUGACCAUUAUCUGUAAAAGCUCGAAUUAUUAGAAAGAUUCAACCAAUUCAAGCAUAAUUUGGUCCAAUCCAAUUUCCCACCACUUCAAAUGAGACUCAACUGGAUUCGAUCUUUCGUCAUGAGACAGAACACUAGUCCUUUUAAGAGCACAUAUGAUAUUUUUUUCAUUUUGGGGAUAUAUAGUUUUCUCAAAAACUCGGUUGUAGCUCUGGGCAUCCAGAGAUCUCGAUUGUAUCUCGAUUGUAUCUCAAACAUAGUUCGAUUCAAUCCAAUUUCCCACCACUCCGACUCGACCGGAUUCGAUUUUUCGCCGUGAGACAGAAUGCUGGUCCUUUUAAGAACGCAUACGAUAUUUUUGUUCUUUGUUUUGGGUGGGUUAGUUUUGUCAAAAACAAGUGAUAAUGAGUUUGAAAAUGGCAUUAAUUCUACACGUGACUUGUCCUCAGCAAUGAAUGGUGCAAAAAAGAUAUAAGAUUCGUACACUUUGUAUAUGAGGCAUUAAUUAUUAGAUACUCUUUUUUUGUGUUUAUGUGAUUGUCACCACAUAUACGUGUAGGUUUGAAGUUCCUUACAUUCACACUUAUUAGGUUUUAGACUUCUCGUACCAAAAUAUUAUAUUGAGUGGAUAAUAUUUUUGUUCUUUUCGUUAUAAAAGAACAAUAUUAGUCAUAUUUAAUAAAAGAAAAAAUAAUAUCUAAUAUAUCUUUCAAAAUCUCAAAAACAUUUAAAAUAUAAAUAUCUCUGGUGGAUCAAAAUGCCCUUAUUAAUUGUUUAAAAAAAUUCUUUAAAUUUUUGCAAACAUCUACUAGGGUUUACGAAUGAAAUUUGAGGUUUAAAAGAUAUUUUGAUAAUUUCAAGAUAAAUUUAAAAAUUUUGAAUAGUAGUCAGGGUUAAAUGAGCAAAAGCCCCUUAAUAAAAAGUUAUAAGAUUUAUUUAAUCAAAUCAAAUUCUAGUUGAAGUCGAGUAAGAUUAUGCUUGUUUUAUUGAAAGUGGAAAGGGAUGAAGUAGUUUUCGACCCUAAAUACUCGCUUUCCUUGUUUGCUAAGGAUUGAAACUUAAACUCAGCAAAAUAACAUAAUCGACUUUAGCUACGGCAAAAACAAAGAAAAAAGUAAAAGAAAAAAAAAUACUAACCAAUCUCUCACAUUUUAACUUUUACGUUAUUCAAUUCCUACAAACAAACAGAAAAAUAGAAAAAACUUCAAUUCCACAACUAUGCAUACAAACAACUGAAAGAAAGUAAUUUUAAACUUUAAUUUUUCCGAAAGCCUACUUAAAUCUAAACUUUACUUUCCAUAAAACAAAAAUGUAGGGACAAAUGCUUCAAUUAAUCCUAAAAGUUGAUGAUCUAAUUGCAAAAUAAAAAUAAUAAUAAUAAUAAAUAAUUUAAGUCUAAAAUGAAAAAACCAAAAAAAUAAAAUAUCUCUCAUACUUCUAGCGUUUACAUCAUUCACUUUCUACCUAACAGGUAGUGACAAAUGCUGCAAUUAACCCUAAAAGUUGAAAAUCUAAUUGCAAAGAAGAAAAGAAGAAAAAAAAAGAGCUAAAUUACAUAAAACCUCCUGUUUCAAAAUCCGAUUUUUCAUUUCCUCCCCUGCCAUUUAAAAAUCUAUACUUUGCCUCCUUAUAAAAUAAAAAUUGAUCACAAGAAGUACGGUAUAAACUAUAAUGACAAAAUGACCAUUUUGCCCCUCACCAUUUUUGGCAACAGAAGAGAAGGCUGAGAACAUUUUUGGCAUAAAAAAUAUAUAAUAAUAUUUUAUAAACAGGACCCUAACGUAUCACUAACGGCAAGGGGUGAAGUGAAUAUUUUUUAUUUUACAAAGAGGCAAAGUGUAGGUUUUUAAAUGACAGGAGGGGAAAGUGAAAAAUCAGAUUUUGACAGGAAAAUUUUCUAUAAUUUAGCCAAAAAAAAAGGAGAAAAGUUCAAGACUAAAAUGAAAAAUCGUGUAAAUAUUGAGAACCAAUAAUGCAAUUAACCCAGAAAACAAUAAAUUAGAAAAUAGUCAAAAUUGAACUAUCAGAUGGAAUAAAAAACAUAUAAAAGUACAAAAAUGGAAUAAGAAAAUGCACCCAAUGUAGGCAAUAAUUUUCAACAAUUUUUCAAAAUCAGCAAAGAAUUCAAAUCAGGUGAAUAUAUUUUCUCCCCCAUCACUUUCAUCCUUCCAUCUUCCUGGAAGGAGAUUGGAAAAUUUUAAAAAAAAUUUCAAACCAAACAUGUCACAUCAUUACUUGGACUUGAUAAUUAUAACAAAAACAACAAUAAAUAAUAAUUAUUAAUAUUAAUUUAAUAUUAAUUAUUGAGAUAUAUAUCAAUUACCAAGUAAGAUUCUGCCACGUGGCACCGCCUCAUUGCCCCUGAGGUCGUGUUAGAUUUUUCCAAAAUUAUUCUAGAUACCAUUUGAAAAAAAAUAUAUAUAUAUAUAUAUAUAUAUAUAUAUAUUAAAAAAUUUCUUUUCUCUUGAUAUUUUUAUAAAUAAAAGUUCUAAUAAUAAUUUUCUAUUAUUUUCUGAAGAACCAAACACUUGUGGAGGGAAUAUUCUAUUUGAGAUUUGGUCCCCUCGAAAUUAGAUUCCAAUUUCAAUCAAUAUAAAAGCUAGGGAUGUCGAUGAGUACGGAUAUUCGAAAUUUUAUCCGAAUCCAAAUCCGAACCCGAACGUAACGGAUAUAUCCGACGCUAAACGAAUAUGAUUUCGGAUAUGGAUAUAAAAAAUAAAAACCCGACGGAUAUUGAUUCGAAAGUGGAUUUUGACUGUACCCGACCCGAACCUGAACCCGCCCCAAACCCGAAUUUAUUUUACAUUAUAUAUAACAUAUAUAUAAAAAUUUGAUAUUAUAUUGAAAUUUGUAUUUUAAAAUUUUAUAUUUAAUAUAAUAUAUAUUUUUAAAUAUUGAAAUAAGAAAUAAUUAUUUCGGGUUUGAAUUUUCAGGUUCGGGUUCGGGUUCGGGUUCGGGUUUCGAAUUUUUGGUCAAGUUCGGGUUUGAAUAUGGAUUUUUAAAAUCCAUCGGGAAUUUUUGGUCAAGUUCGGGUUUGAAUAUGGAUUUUUUAAAUCCAUCGGGCCGAGUUGGUCCUUCGGAUUUGGAGUCGGGUUCGGAUUCGAAUUUUUUAAAAAUCCGUCCCGAGACCGACCCGCUGACGUCCCUAUAUUAAAAGGAGUGGAUUUUGUGCCCACAUUGCGUGUAGCAUUUGGGGAUUUUGUAAUCAAUUUCUUUUGUCGAGGUGGAGGAUCCUCUACCACUCUCGGGUGUAGGAACUUUCCUACAAUCCAACUACAUGUCAUGCUCCCGUUGGUCGGUCGAUGCAUCUGUUUCUACCUACUGUGAUAGCAGUCGCAUGUCGCAUAUACCUGCAAUAGCGUAUCGAAUGAUUUGAGUUUAAAGUAAAGCGCUUCAAAAGUAGUCAUAUUAGAAGAAACACGAGAUAAAUAGAAGUACAAAAUGUAGAGUAAACUACGAUUUUUGGAAUUUAAAAUUCUUAUUUCAGCUUUCAGCUGCAGCAGAAUCUUAUAAAGAUGGCUACAGCCGACAGUAGGGAUGGGGUGGCAAUCUAGCUCGAAAUUCGUAAGCCAACUCGUGUUCGGCUCGAAAUGAGCUCGAGAUCGAAUUGCUCGUUUGAUAAACGAGCCGAACAGGAGCAGGGGUUUGUUCGCUCGUAUUCGGCUCAAUAACAGCUCGAAUACAUGUAUUUUAUAUUUAUAUAUACAUAAAUANUCGUUGUUCGUGAGCCAAUUCGUGUUCGGCUCGAAAUGAAUUCGAGAUUGAAUCGCUUAUUUAGCAAACGAGCCGAACAGGAGUUGAAUUUUUCAACUUGUUUAAUAAACGAGCCGAACACGAGCUGGGGUCAGCUCGUUCAUGUUCGGCUCGAAAACAUAUAUUUUAUAUUUAUAUAAAAUAUAUUUAUAUAUCGUUAUAUAUAUAAAGAAAUAAUUAUAUAUAUAAUCUAUAUAUUUUUAUUAUUUAUUUUAGCAAAAAAAAAUAUAAAGUCGAAUUUAAUUAUAAAAAAACUUAUUUAUAUAUAAAAUUUCAACGAUUAGAUCAAAGUCUAAUAGGUAAGAUUUUAUAAAAUUAUUUUUUAUAUAUAUCCUAUUUAAUCCAUUUAACUUAUUGUUCGUCGGCCAGCUCGUGAGCCAGCUUGUGUUCGACUCGUUUAUUAACGAGCCAAAUACGAACUGAAUUUUUCCGGUCGAUAUUUUAAACAGCCCUAGCUCACUCGUGUUCGGCUCGUUGACACCCCUAGCCGACAGCAAGAGCAGAAAGUAAUUAAUAAUGCUAGGAGUCUGGCAUAACUCAAGCUCAAAAUUUUUUGCUCUGACACCAUGUUAAAUAAUGCGAAACAACCGUUGUACUCUAAAAACUUAAGCUUAUAUAUUUUUAUAUUCAACAAGCUUAAGCCAUGUUUAAGAAGCAAAAAAAAGGAAAAGUUCAACCAUGGUUUGUGGCAUUAAUAAGCCUUUUUAUGCUUAAUUUUUGUGCCACAUCACACUAAAUUAAGCCCUUAAUUUAAGACCUAAUCUUUACCUCAACCACCAAAAUAUACAUGGCAGGUAGAGAAGCACUAAUACCAGUAGCAAUAAAUAAAUCAAAAAAGCACUUUCUCACACCUGUGCUAAGCUUGUGCAUCCCACUUGUACAAAAAAUAUUAAGAGAGAGAGAGAGAGAGAGAGUAUAAUAAUAAUAAUAAAAUGAAUGGUUGAAACUUAAACCCUUUUUUGCUUUGGCUUUUUUGUUUACACUUUUUGUAGAAUAAUAAGAUAGGACAUUAGAUUACCUCAGAUGGUGCCUCAUCAACAAUUUAACACAAAAAAAUUUAAAAAAAAUGCUUUAUUUGAUCAUACAAAAAUGUUGUUUAAAUGCAAUUAGGGCUUACAAUCCAACUUACUGUUCGUGAGCCAGUUUGUGUUCAACACAAAAGAAGUUCAAGAUUGAUUCCUUGUUUAAUAAAUGAACUUAAAACAAGCUGAAGCUGAAAAAUCAUAACAAACCAAACUCAUUUAUAUAUAUAUAUAACUCGAAUAUACAAUUAUAUAUUAAAAAUUUUUACUAUUUUGAUUUUAAUCCAAUUCAAAUAUAAAGAGACCUAUAAUUUAUGACGUUCAAUUAUUAGACGAAGAUUCUAAUUUUUUUUAAUUCUCUUCCAACAUUUCAGCCAGUAGUAAGGCUAACAAUCUAAUUUGUUGUUCGCGCCCCGGCUCAUGUUCGGCUCUUUAAUAAACAAAUCGAACACAAGUUGAAUUUUUCAGCCCGAUAAUUAACGAACCAACUCGUGUUCGGCGCGUUUAUUAAACAGGUCGAACUCGGCUCGCUCGUGUUCGGCUCGAUGACAGCCCUAAAUACAACUACUUAAAGAUAUUUAAAGUUCAUGAUACAAUCAAUAAGUAAAAAUUUUAGUACGAAUUUUUAUUUUUAAGACCAAAAAGCUGAGUAAUAUAAAUAUAUUUUAAAAACUCCAAAAGCAACGAACCAAGUGAUCUCUAAUGGAUAAAAUAAUGCAAGAGUUUUAUUUUUCUAGAAGUUUGGUAAUCUGUGUACUAUAGUUUAUUUCAUAAUUUAUUGUAUUAUACUAAUUAUAUUUAGCAAGAUGACAAAGUAGCUGAUCCAAUGUUUGGGACUAAAACCCUGCAUAAACUACUAUUUAUUGGCAGCAUGGAGAACAUAUUUUCAAACAGUAAUGAGUAAAAUAAGAUGCUCGUGUAAGUUGUGGUAUUUUAAUACAUUAAUAAUUCUUAGUGUAGUAAUCCGUGCGAUGCGACAGAUAGAUAAUUAAAAAAAAAUAAAAAAUGGCGAUAAAAAAAGAGGAGCGAUGGAAAAAGCAACGAUAAGGGAUGGGAUUCAUCUUGCCGAUGAAGAAAGGUAAAAGCCGAAGAAAGUGGAAGAAGAACAGUUCAAUCCAAUUACAGAGAUGUGACCCGAUUCAGUUCAAAUUAAAAAAGAAAGAAAAACCCGAUUUGAUUCAAGAAAAAGAAGAGAAAAAUAUAUGAAGGACUUGAGCCGGUUCGGAAGAGCCCACACUCGACAAUUAUUGGUUCGGUUCAAGCAAAAAAAAAAAUUCGGUUCGGUUCGAGCAAAGAAAGAGAGAAAUAUAUCGUGAACUUGAGCUGAUUUAGGAUGAAGCCCACACCGGAUAAUGAAGGGAAUAUUAUCGCAUGGCAAUUUUAGGAAGAAUAAUGUACGGUUAUGGACAUCAUAUGGUUGAAAAAAUAAUAUUGAUAUACUAUCUUAUCUCAUACUUCUUUUUUUUUGCCCUUCUUUUAAAUAUGGAAGCUGUGAUAGAUUAGUUGUUGUUUGAUCUGACAUCUAGAACAACUUUAUUGCUUCCAAAAGCAACAAAGGGUCAUUUGUUUCCAUGUAACAAAAGGAGGUGAAACUUGAGCGGAAUAAUAUUAGUGUAAAACUAACGAAUGCCGCUUCAUUUAUUUCAUUUAUAAAUAAACUUAACUAGAAAUAUAAAUCAACUAAGACUUAAAACCUCGAAUACCAACCACCAAGUCUUUUGCCACUUGCACCGUCGGUGAGCUUCAAUGAGAUUAGAGCUACGUAUAAACAAACAAAUUUUAUAUUGAAAUACGCCAACAAUGAUAACGCAGUAAAAGCUAAAAUGAACUUCCGUGCCUGUUGCAAUAAAAAGCUAAUAGAAAUAUUUUAAUGACAGUUUUAAAUAACUCUGCUCAAACAGCACUUCAUUAGAAAUUUAGCAACGUCAAACAUGCUCCCUUUUCUUUAGCAAAGCUUUAGGAAAAAAAAAAAACCUCAGAAAAAGGGACUAUCAGAUCACCCAAAACAGGCCAGGCCCAAACAUGCUAACACAUACAGCCAAACAAAAAGUUAAAAUUAAAAUAAAAUAAAGAAACCAAUAAUUAUGAAGCAAAUCAAAUUAAUCAACUCCAACCUAGCUAUUGCAAAAUGUAAUCCUCUCUUUUAUGUUUAAACCUCAUAUGAACAUUCACAAUUACAUGAAACUCAUUCAUUUUCGAGUUUGUAUAAUUCAUUCAUUCAUUCAGAAACUCUUCUAAAGUAUUUAACAAACUGGAAAAAAAAAAAAAAAAAUGGAAACACCAACACCACAAAAAGAGGACAUCAAAACACAAAGAAUUGUCGAUCGGCCGCAAGUGGUACUGACAAGUGAAGUGAAACUGUAAAAUAGGAUGUAUAUAUAUUUUUCUCUUUUUUUUUUUCCUGAAUGAAUACACUUUCAGAGAAACUUUUAGCAGGUAGUUUUCUGCCAAAAGUUUUCAGAAAUAUUAUUCUGAAUACAAAAUAAUGAGACAGAAAAGGCUCUGCAAGUACCAUUAAAUUCAUCCUUGACAAGCUUUACUUAACAUGAGUCAUGGAGGACAACUAAGCAUAGCAUCAAGUAAGAACCACAAAUGAUCUCAGAUAGCGAAAACUCAAAUGAUCCUCAGAUCCCGAUUUCGAGCAUUAGGACCCAUUCAAUAAUUUGGUUUAUAUGAUUAAACAUUAUUGAUCUUGGUGGGGAUCACAGGGUUACAAAGGGAGUUGAUGCAUUGAAGAUGCAGGAAUUCUACUAAAAAAUGGCCUCAUCAUAAAUUUGUUCUCUCAUUAUAAAUAAUCCCUCUUUUUUCCUGAAAGUAGGUGACCACUUUUUCGCUUUCAAAGUCUUUAGAUUAUCAAACCUGUAAUUCCCAGCAAAAGUGGAGAAUUUAAUGUUGAAAUUAUCAUUACUUUUUACUACUUUUCCUUCUUUCUAGCAAGGUAGAUUAUAUGAUUAAUCACUAGAGGAAAAUACAGCAAGCAUUAACCGCAAUACUUUGUUGACCAGAAAGCAUCAUAAGAUCACCAUAACACUGCAAAACUGACAGAGUGUUAACAUGGUAAAAGACAUUAUGAUUCUGCAAUAUAUAUCAGUACAAUAUCAGCUUGAUUAUUGCUUGGAUUAGAUUAAAAUAAGAUAAUUAAACAACCGAAGAAUCUACUUGAUGCAUAUGCAAAUCAGAAUCUGCAUCAGUUACAACAAUUUCCAGUAAGCUUUUCGACAUAAAAUGUUCACAUGCUGCAUUAUGCAAACUACUAUCGAUAAUUAUACAUUAAUCGCUGUAUAAUAAACGAGUUCCAAAUAUGACUAUCACAAUGGCAGAAAAACCAAAUUAGAAUCCCCCUCUUAAUCCUUUCCUUCGUCGGUCCUAACUUGCUAAGUGAAUAUGUGAUCUUUUUUCCUCUUUGUACUAUAUCCACCUUAAAAGAAGGUACCCAAGGAUCCUUAAAAAGCAUGGAACUACUACCUUUUGCUUCAUACUAGAACAUGGUUGGUCCUCCACUUUUUUGUCUCAUAAAUGGUGCAGUAAUGGUUAAAAUGCACUACAGGUCCCUAAACUUAUAUUAGUCAAAACUCGACAUUGGUCCUCAAACUUCAAAGUUGGACAUUCAAUACCUGAAACUUUUGAGAGUGCUCCACUUAAGUCCUUGUUGUCACAUUAAAAUAAAGGAAAAUUAUUUCGUGCACCUCAAUACGAAUCCAUCAGCCCGUACUUCUAUUUUGUGAUUUCAAUCCAGCCAUCCAAUUUCUAAGUAGAGAAAAGACUGCAACUCAAUGAGCUGUAGAGAUUUGAAUAUCAAAUGGAGUGCCUGCAAGAAAACUAGAGUGAAGCACUCAAGCACAAAUGGGGUUAUCAAUAUCUAACUUAAAAAACAUUAGAGGAACAAAAUGGAAGUUAAAUAGGAGUUUGGAGACUGGUAGUGCAAUUUGCCCAAACAAGAACAAGCAAGAAAAUUCUGCAUGCAAAUUCAGUGGCCCCCCACCCAAAUCUCUCUCUUUCUAUCACUUCUAAUAAAAAAAGGCCUGCAACAGUUUCUCCACUACCCUCUCUCCCCUUUUGGCAACCACAACCUCACUUCAUAGUGCUUUGCAUGUGCCCCCUUCUGAUUCCUGGGGGAAGACAUGGAGCACUAACAACUAAGCCCUUUCAUCCUUCCUCCCAAACACUCUUUGUUGGACCAGCUUUAGGCUUUUAAAAGCAGCCAAUGUUUCCCCCCACAGAAAGCCCUUUAACACUACCUUAGCCCAUGCAGCAUGGUGUUGCUUUACCUUAGGGAUAAAGGAAAGAAGCUUCAAAGGAGAUUCCCCCUCUGAGGAGAUCUUGUACAUAUAAUACCCUUCAGAAUACACUUAUUUGUGAGUAUACCCCUCAGACAUUUGCAAUUGACAUUUGCACACUUCGCAAUCACUCAAAAUUGCUUCCAUAGCAUAAAACUUUUCAAUUUGAACACAAUCAUAUUUGCAUGUAUAUUCUAUUCAACCUUUUGAGUCUUCUCAUGCUGAGGACUAAAGAGGUCUUGUUCAGAAAUACAACAAUUUUGCCAAAAAUCUCAUAUUUUCAGCAUUGAAGGCCUCGGGCAGACGUGCAAAUAUGACUAUUCCUGAUUGUAUUUGUCAAUAGAGGCUGCUCCAAAGUGCACAGCAAAAUUGUAACUUUGAGGCACUAUACACACAAUUAUGUGGAUUAUGAGGGGUGCAUGUGCAAAGGCGGCUUGCCCCCCUUCCCCUUUCUUUGCAAAGAUCACUGUGAUUUUGCAUUGCUAUGAAUUGUCUUUUUCAACAAAUACUCAUCAUAUAAAGCCUUCUUUUACCAUUAUAAACUAUAAAGAAGAAAAUCACAAAGGCCAUAUAAUCUUUACUACUUAUCUGUCAUCUGCACCAUCUACUAUUCCUGAUCAGCACUCAAGCCUCAAUUCUCAAAACUAGAGAAUGAAUAUACCAUGGGUUUAAUUUAUCACUGUUACAAGAUAGCAAAGAUUCUUUUGAAACAUGAAGAAACAAAUUCAUAUCCAAUAUAAUGGUAAGUAGUUUAUGCAAGCUGUGGUUAAGGAAGCUAGAAGAGGAUAGAAGUUUAGAUGGUGAUCAUGAAGCAAAGACUACUGUUAUGAUAAAAACCCCUUAAAGAAGAAAAUAACUUUCUAAUUGAUGCAUAUGCUAAAGUGGGCUAGCGAUCAUUGGUGUCAGCCGACAAUGACCGGCCUACAUGAACGUCUACUACAUGUUUAAGUGAUGCCUUAAUGUAGUAGGCAAACUGAAUUUUCAUACUCAAGCUUGCGAUGAUUAGAAAUAUAGAAUGCAUGCAAGGUUAGUUCAACCUAUUAUUGCAUGAGGUAAGAUGUGUCGAUAGUCCCCAUGCUAUCCGAUCUGGCUACGGGGUUCCUGCACUUUUCACUGGAAUCACUUAAGUUCAUGAACUUUAACACAUACCAUGGUUUAAAAAUAAAAUAAAAUCUAAUUUCUUAUAAAAUGACUAAUUUGAACUAACUUAUUUCAAAUUGCUUCAAAUGGGUCAGAGACUUUACAACAAAAUUAGCUUUUCAGGGAGUGAAGCGCAAUAUAUGUUUAAGUUCAGAGACAAGUACUUUGGACAAAGCAAAGAGAUCAAAUACCAAUAUUGAGAUAGUAUAGUGAUUAUCCAUAUAUUUUACCAAAAACUUGUUCUAAUCUUUUAGAACAUGUAGGAUUGAUCCACACAUCCUUCCACGUACUCGAACUCUGCUAAUUGCGAAAGUCCAGUAUAUUACAUUCACCCCUCCUAAAAAGAAGUUUCGUCCGCGAAACUUGUAUAUACUUACCUCAAGAUUUCGUUGAGAAUAGAUAGGGAUAAUUCUCUUGCAUUGCACUCUCCAAUUCCCAAGUGGCUUCUCGUUCCUCGUGAUUACUCCAAAGGAUCUUCACGUAGGGUAUCUCGCGAUUUCGAAGCCGUUUUACUUCCCGAGCUAGGAUUCUCACUGGGUGCUCCUCAAAGCUCAAAUCUUCUCGUAAAUUCGUCUUUUUCUUCCUUUUUUUUUUUUUGGUUAAUUAGAUCGAUGUUUGUUAAGUUUUAGAGUCCAUGAAAAUCGUGUACAAACAGUUCCUUUCAAGGGAGUUUGUUUUCUAGUCUUUCUAGAAUUUCCAAUAUAUAUUGUGGUUCUUUCUUUUAUACUCUCUCUUAGAUUUGAUUUCCUUUUUUAAUUUCAAGAGAGUUUGUCUUCUUACUAUUUUUUUACCUAUUUUCGGAGGCCGAAACUGCUUUCAUUUUGCUUAAUAAAUAAAGUAUAUAUAUAGCUCGCUAUCUAUUUCUCAAUAUAUAUAUAUAUAUAUAUAUAUAUAUAUAUAUAUAUUUUCUAUUUGUUUGUUUAAACAAAGCCAAGCACAAAAGGUAGUAAUGUCUCAUACUUUCCAAUUCACGCCAGGAAUAGUGCCCACAAAAGCCUCAUGGGCUCGUCUCGAGAACAACAUACAUAAUAAUCCAAUUAAUGGACCAAAAAACAUCAACAAAUAAAUGCUUUCUCAUUCUGAGCAAGCAAAGGAACUGUGAUUUGUGUGACACGUAUUGAAGCAUGGCUUAAAAGAUAUGAAAAAUCAACACACACACACACACUUCUUUCCUUAGUUUCUCUUCUUAUGUCGACAUUAAUUCAUGUUGGCACUUUGGUAUGUCUUCACAUUCCUACACAAAUAUGUCGACACGAAGACACGGACUUGAGAAUGGGCAAAGAAACCGAAAGGAUUAAUCCGAAAUAAUUUAAUCAAAAUCACAAGUUGCUUAGAGACAGAUAUCAUUAGAAGUUCUAAAUGUGAAAGCAAUAAAGUAAAUAGUUCUUAAGCACAUAAAAACUCCUAACUCACGCAUUGUCUGAUUAAAGAUCAGAUACCACUGACAAAGACUGAGAACAAAGUGUAGUGGCUACAGACAAAUGGCUUAGCAACUUGUUGUUUAACCGGUUAGUAAAGAGGAUAAAAUAUAGCAAGUGGAAAUACGAGCACUGGAACAUGGCUAAUUUGCAGCAAUAGCUUUCUAUAUUAAUCCACUUACCAUUCACCAACCAAUGCAAUUGUGCACAACUUCCCUCCUACUUGCAUAGUGGGAUCAGUAUCAGAUCCCGUUAACAUACUUAUCCUAGCACACAACUACUCUUCAACUUACUAGACCCUCUGCAAAACCUCCUAUUCUAUCUUAUAUGUGAUCAGAAGCAUUCGGCAAAUAUAUAAACAGAGAGAAGGCUUCUAUCAAUGGUUUUACUUAUGCCCUCAAGUCCUAGAUGUCGGUUAAGUGAGUAAAGCAUAAUCAGUAGUAUGAAAUACGAGCUUUGCAAAGAAAGAUUGGACCUGAUUUUGGGCCGAGGUACUUUUGUAUGGACAAGUCCAGGUCUGGACCAGUAGUUUCUACACCUAUUUAAAAAAAAAAUAAGAAUACAAGUAUUUCGGAUCUGCAUUUUCCAGCAGGUAUUAGCAAUAACAGAUCCUUUUAGUCCUAAUUCCCAUCAAACUCAAGUAUUUAAUCUAAAGCUUGUUUUUACCUCACAAAAAAAAAGGAAAAACAAUGUAAAGCUUAUUUGCAGAUCAAUGUAAAUGAAUUCCUAGACAUGCCAAAUAGUUUCUACCUAAGAAUUCAUAUAGCUAACAUUGAACAAAAGUUACUAAACUAAAUUCAUCAAAGAGAAAUCAGAGUCAGGCCGAGAAAUUUUAGUUAGUCUGCCGCUUAGCUUGAAAUGAUAAAGUUUCCUAAACUUUAGCAGAAACUAGCUAUCAAAAUGUUCACAUAUCAAAGCGGUGAAUAUUUUCAUUGCCAUUAAAAUUAAGAACAAAUUAACAUUUCUUUUUCUGGGUUCACAUACUUGGGUGUAUAGUUGAAGUUGAAAGCUAUAGGACAAUUCAAAUUUCCUACUGCUUCAUGCAACCAUCUGUAUGGAAAAAUGUCACUACACAAGGAAAAAAGUAAAAACAUUGACAAAACCAAAUAAAUAUGCGACCUAUUCAAAGUGUAGUUGCAAUCAAAACGAUAGUUUUGCAGCAUUCAAACUGAAAUAGAAUAUCCAACACCAUAAUAGAUUAUCAGUACAUGCAUCAAAAUUGUACAACAGAAUACUCCUCAAUCACAUACAGUGCCACAUUACGCACAUAUUUACACGGUAUUGUCAAACACACAUCAUAAUAAUAAAACAACUUAAUGAAAGGGGGAAAAAACCACAGAUUAGGCUUUACACAAAUAAAAGCAAGCCACUUAUCUGCUUAUGGAAAAAAGCUAAGAUUCUUACGAGCUUAUUGCAGCGGCUUCUGGGUGGUAGUAAAGCAUCUCCCUCCAAAUCAUCUCCCUGAUCAUAUCUUCUCCCAUAUCUUCAUCUAUAUCAAGAUCGAUCGGAACCUGAGCUGGCGGGUUGGCAUUGGGAUCAUAAAGUGGAGACAGAUAAGGGUGUCUUAAUGCCUCAUCAACACUAAUUCUUUUAGACGGGUCAAAAACAAGCAUUUUCUGCAGUAGAUCGAUAGCCAACGGAUUCGCUUGCGGAUAAAGACUAGGGAGGGGAACGCCAGGAGUGUAAGGAAGAGACUUAAUAUAUUUGCGGGCUUUCGGAUUGUCAAUAAAGCCGAGAUCGGCAUCACUAAUAGUGCCGAGUACAUUGAUAAUGAGCUUGAGCUGAUUAAGGCAUUCAGUACCUAGAACAUCAUAAAAGAAAUUUGGGUUACAAGGUUGAGUGUUCCGAGUCUGGUAAAUUUUCAAAAAAUUCACUGAAACAAAAAAAGAACAGUUGUUUGGCUAUAAAACAUAAACAUAUAGCACAAAAAUAGAUGAGAGUACAAAAUCUUGAUGUAACGAUUCCGCCUUUCAUCAUUUUAAGAUUAAAGAAACUUAAAAGCAUAAUAAAUAAGUUGUUUGGUAAAAGUACUUGAAUUAGUUGACUACUACCAAGGUUAUUCAUAGUUUCCUAUGGUCUUUUUGUUAAUAUUGUACAAUAGAGAAUUCUUUGGAGAAAUGUUCGUGCAACAAAAAAAAAAAUGAAGAAUAUUGUGAGCGUGCCUGGGAAGAUUGGCUUGCGGCCUAGAAGCUCGGCAAAGAUGCAGCCCACGGACCAUACAUCAAUAGACGUGCCAUAGUUGUCGCAGCAGAGGAGGAGCUCAGGGGCCCGGUACCAACGUGUGACAACAUACUCCGUCAUGAACUGGCCCGCCUUGCUGUUGUUCGUGCGAGCAAGGCCAAAGUCACAGAUUUUGAGGUCACAGUUUGCAUUGACCAAAAGGUUACCAGGCUUCAAGUCUCUAUGAAGUAUGUUGACUGAGUGGAGGUACUUCAGACCUCGAAGUAGCUGCACAUUGGAGAGAACGGGAUGACUCCAUCACUACUAACCAUUGUAAAACAUGUGUAAAACAGUUAAAAACUCUGUCGAAAGAGGUCUCAAGUACGGUAUUGUACUAUGUUAAAGAUUUAAGUUUGCAAACUUUGUUCUUCUACGUCUUUAACAAACUUUGUUCUUCUACGUCUUUAACAAUGGGGUUUAAAUAUCUGAUAGGAAAAGAAGAUGGAAAGUAACAACCAUUUAUGUAAUUUGUCAGGAACCUGGUGUUCCACGGGAAGAUCCAUAACAUACAAAUUUCAAUAAUUUAUUUUAAUGGUAUUAUUUUUUAUUGUAAGGACAAGCAAGCAUUAUUUAGAACCAAAUGUGUUUGGAAAGGAAUGCCAUAAAAGACAGAAUCUAAGUAACAAAUUCUCAGUUCAAAAUUUGUAUAUCAAUACUGAUACGAGGAAGAGAGAUGAUCUUAUUAAUACAAAGAGUCAUGUGCUAGUCAUGUGAUGACUACACACUAAUACAUGUUACACCCUAAUAUAUUAUAUGCUAAUACAUAUUUCACAUAAUAUGCUAACACAUAUAAUAUACAUAAUGGAUCACUUACUUUUUUUAAGGAUAUUCCCUAUUAGGAACUAUUAAGAGUCAGGACAGCUAGUCGAAAAUUUUGGUUCCAUAGAACCUUCUCAAAUUUGGGCAGUGCUCAACAGUGAAAUUCUUAUAUGAUGGUAAAGACAAUAACUCCACUUCACUACACAGCUGGUGUGCAAAAGGUGCUACAACUUGAGGUAGCGGUGAACUCCCUCCAAAUGGACAGAGACUUCAAGCUCAAUUUAUUCUGGUGAGCGUGCCAAUUUCUCAAUCUCUUAAUAAAAGAAAACUUGGGUGAGAAAAUCGAACUAACAGACUUUAGGAAGGCUCAGAAAGCCACGUGGAGAAUGCGGAUGCUCUUUCAGUAGGCUUUUACUACUUGAAUUUAAAAAAUGUUCCACCAGUAAAGGAUAAAAGUGGUCUCACAGAUGAAAUUAUCUUUGCAUGUAAAUGCUCACUCCAUUGUUACGUGGCGGAUUCACAGGUUUCCAAAUCUACAAUAUCACAAAAUGUCACAUCAUUAUAUAAAUUAUGCACAGAUAUAUAAUAUCACAAAAUACCACACCCUUUGAUUGAUUUUGCAAACAAGUGCUGAUUUAACAACAAUCCAUCAUUUCCACUUGUCUUGCUUCAUAUCCUGAGUAGAAAAGAGUCUCUCAUAGAAAGGUUUUGAAUCAGGAAAAGUCAAAUACGCAAUUCUUGCACACCUCUGAUCUCAGCACAAAAUUGUCAAGUGAGGAUUCCCACCUAUCGUAAUUCAUCAUACAAUGACUGAAAGACCUGAUCCCUCCUUUGGCAUGGGUAUAAACAGUCAGUUAGACCUGAAGGGAAGUCCUUGAUCCUUCAAUCCCUCUCUGAACCAUUCUACAAAGCAUUUUACAUCAUACACUGAAUCUCCCUUUCCAAACCCAUCUACUACCAAUCGACAUCACAUAUUGUAUCCAAACUUACUUUAACCUUCAUAGUUCUCUUAUUUCAUGAAACACUGCAUAGGAUUCAUCCUUAAUGAAUCUGAACUUUAUUAGUCCAUAGGAAUCACAUUAAAGAAACACCACAUAGACUCAUCCUUCCUAAAAGGUUAUCAGUUAACUCAACGGAGCGCCCAAAAAAAAAAAAAUCAAUAACUGCUAGUGAAAAGAUGUGGAAACCUAUCGUCCAGAUGUUUUCUGAAUAUGAAAAACUUGACUCUCAAUCGUUUGCAAUUAAACCUAGACUCACUCCCAAUUGAACAUAACUGAAGAAAAAUCGAAGCAAUUAUUUGACCCUAAUAAAGCUAAUCUAAACAUUCAAGGCGUACUAGGCUGGAGGAAAGAGAUACAUAUACACACAGCUUUUAGUUUGCUAAGGGAUUAGAUCCAAAAAAGUUACCACACCUGCAAUCCAAUGAAGAAAUCAGGUUGUAAAUAACAGAUAGCGAGUACAUAGUGCUUGGGGGUAUCGAAGCGGGAAGCAGGAAGCGGAUAGCGGAUAGCGGAUAGCGGAUAGCAUAGUGGCCGCUAUGAACCAAUAGCGGGAUUCAUAAUAAAUUAUUUAAAUGUUUAUAUUCCUAACUGCAUUUGUAUUUAAAAUGACAUCAAUAACAUAUUACCAAAUAUAAAAAUAUGACACUCUCAAUUUCUCUACAUUUAUAUACCAAGUAAUGUUUCUACUUAGCAUAGUGAUCCUUCAUAGCCGCGGUGAACCUUAAUGGUCACUGAUAAACUUGUGUUGUUGUCAUAUUGCUUUUCUCCCCACACAAAUAAAAUCAGAAUUUUCUCAUUUGUUUCUCGUAAGAAACAUAAUUGAAUAGUUCCGCCAGUACCCAGUAAGUAGUUUAUUUCUUCUAUUAGGAUAAUUUUUUAAAUUAGUGAUUUUAGGACUUAACCGACCAAUUGAAUCUUUAGAAAAUUGAGAUCUAAACUGGAUCAGCUUUUUAUCCCACUAUAGCAGCCUCUAUGAUCCCAGUCCACUAUAUUCUGUUAUUGAUAGCAUAGCGUAGCAUACUACCAUUUACCCAUUAAAACCGCUAUAGCAACCGUAGCAGCCGCUAUAUUGGAAAAAAUCAAAAGUGGAAGUGAUCUCAUGAAAAAGGAUCCAAUAUAUAGAAAAUUGGUCAUUAAAAGCAAGUACUGAGUACUUAUGCAAUCAAUAAUCAAAGCCUCACUGAAGUAUUCAUGCAUAUAUUAAAAAAGAUUUGGAUUGCCUUUUUCUUGAGGCCCAAUAACAAACGUCGACUUUCAAACAAGCCUUCUAGAUAUAAAUAUAAUAUUAAUAAUCUAAACCCAAAAGGAUAGUUUUUCAACCGCUAACAUGUAAUCCGAUUAAAUUACUCAAUACUACUCUGUACCAAUAUAAUUGUACUACGCCCUACAAUACAAAAAGUGUCACAAAGUUAGACACAUAAACCACAAAAAUAUAAGAUUUGUGUAAAGUCCAAGUGACAUUUCUCCAUUAUCUCUAAAAUUUAUGAUGCAAAUAUGGAAUCAUAUGAGAAGAAAUAAGCUAAUUAGAGCAGUAAAUCAACUUAGCAAGCAAUUCAUAAAGAAGUCACAUUGUAAAUAAUUGAUUUCGAGAACCAAGCUAUGUAAAUAUUACCUGAAAAAGAAAAUAUUGACAGUGGUCGUUGGAGAGUGCCUGAGACGACUUGAUAAUCUGGUGAAGAUCAGUAUCCAUUAGUUCAUAAACCAAGUAGACAUCCUUGAAACUUCUCCUAUGUGGCGGCAUCAUGAUGUCCUUCAAAGCAAUAACAUUAUCAUGCCGCACAUGCCGAAGAAGCUUUAAUUCACGCAGUGUUCUCAGCGCAUCCACACGGUUAUCAAAAGCAUUGUGGAUCUUCUUAAUAGCAACUUUCUCAUUUGUCUCGCGGUUUAUGGAUGAGCACACGAUACCAUAAGCUCCCCUCCCUAUGGGUUUGAUGGGCACAUACUUUGUAUCGAUCUCAAACAGAGUUUGCCACAUGGUGUAGUAGUGCUUACCUUGGUUCCCCAUUCCAUUUGGAGGGUCCACCAUCAUAGCCAUUUUCCCUAUAAAAAUAAUAAUAUUACAGAUUGAGCCUGUUAGAGUAUCAUCAAACUAAACAGAAAUGUUACAGAUUGAGCCUGUUGGAGAGUCAUCAAACUUAAAAAUUGUGUAAGGACCUGUUAUUCGGUGUAGCGAGCACUACUACUUAGAUAAGUACAAUUUUAAAAGUCCUCUCACCAGCUUCUCUUAGCAGUAAGAUUAGAAGGUCCUAUUUGGAGCUUCAACUUUUGGUAAUUUAGCUUCUAUUGCAGUAAAAGCCCAAACUUUUCUUAUUGUCAAACAGAUUAUUAGAGGCGGCUAAAAGCAAGGCCAAACAACCUGGCUUCCGAAAUAUCCUUGCAGAAGGCUAGAAGUGUUUAGAAACUAGGUGUUAAGCAAGCACAUUGUCGGAGCUUCUAAUGUGGCGCAAAGCUUAAAUGAGCUUUUGAAACCUGAAUCAAAGAUUUUGCUUCCACUAUAGCAAGAAACUGAAGAGAUGGUUUUAAUAAAAAAAAAAAAGUUAUCGGUGCCUUUUCAAACAAUUCUACUCAAAUUGCAAUUCUACAAAAGAUCCAAUCAAGCCAAACCUUAUGAGUAUGCUUUUUACAACAACGGAUUAAGGAUUGUUUGGCCCUGCUGGAGCUUUCCCAGAAGGGUUGUGCUACUUGAAACAGUUCAAAGUAGCAUCACCAGCUUCUUUCACAGAAUUCCCCAACAGCUACAAUUUGUAGGCCUGUAGCAGACACAGAAGCUUUGGAUUGAAGCUUUUGCUUUUGGCACCCGAAAGGUAGUUUCAGCUUAAUGCCGCAGCAAAAGCUCGAGAUUUUGAGAAGAGAAGCUGCUCUAGGAUCCGGCCAAACAAGCACCUACUUAAUAUCUUCACUAUACCUAAAAAAGUAAAAGUUGUAAAUUUGAUUGACCUAAAACCUCAAGAAAUUAUCCUGAAGGAGUACAACCAAUUAAACUCUUCAAUUACACUAAUGCAAAGAAAAAAAAUUCUUCAUAAUAACGUGGUUGUCAUUAGAAUCAGAUGAAGCGAGAUCACCAUAAGAUAAAAAAUGCCCAAAAUAUUCACAGAUAGAAAGCGUUUACCUUAGGAAUACCUCACAAUUUCUCAAAUCAACCUAACUAUUCAAACAAUUUCUACUCAAAUCUCCCCCAAAAAACCAAACUUUUCACACUGAUCCGAUCAAAAUCGCACCAAUAUCACCAAAUCCGCCCUCAAUCGAAGCCCCAAAGGUCCCAAAUCCCGAAUCCCACCAAAAAUCCCCCGGAUUCCCCAAAACCACUCGUUCAAUUACGUGUCCCCCUCAAAUUCCCACCAAAAUCGCCUCCGAAACCGUCGAAUCGACGCAUCUUCGACGCGACCACCCCCCCCACCAAAACUGGCUCCUCCGAUCACAUCUCCUCCUCCCCCAAUCCGAAGCUCGAUCCACCAAAAUCCACUGCCCUAAUCCGCUAGAUCUUAGAGAGAGAGAGAGAGAGAGAGAGAGAGUGAAGCGUGGCGCCAAAAUAAAAUAAAUAAUAAUGGGCGACUCUAAUUAUCUACUUAUCUUAGGCGUAAUUAUAUAAAACCCCUUGUACUGUCGCAUAUUUUACUUUUGCUCAUGUCUCAAUUAACUUUUACAUAAAAAUUUGUUUUAUUUUCAAUUUGUAUAUUUUAUCACUAUUUCAAAAUAUCCCAAAAAUUUAGCAUGAUCUUUGUAAGACACUGAUAAAUUAAAGGACUAAAAUUAAUAUGAAUUUUUAUAUGAAAAGUAAUUUAUACAAAUAAUAAUAUAGCAGGAUUUCUGCAUAAUUUAUAUUUUUAUAAGGCUAAAUAUAUGAUACUUUAUUUACUAUCUUAAAAUUACAACUCAGUUUUUAUACUUCCUUUUCUUAGUUUAAAUUUUAAUAUAUAUUUCAUUUUUGUUCAAAAAUUAAAUAUUAAAAUUGUAAAAAAAAUAAUUUCUGUACAAAAUAUUUAUGUCACCUUUUAGGAAAAUGUAAUAUGUAGAUAUAUAUAUAAUUUAUAUAGCUUCUGAAGAAUGUACAAAAACAAUAAGGAUCAGAUUAUAAUAUUACAAGAGUAAAAGGACCGUCCGUACAUGUUAGCCGUUUUUCCCGGAUUAAUGUUUUCGUGUGUGUUUGGGGGGUGUCGCUCAUGCGCGACACGUGUCCCAUGGCUCUUAAACUACACCCGCGGGUACAUCGUACCGCGCCUACCACGUGCACGCAAUCUCGACCGUCCGAUCCGAGGGCCACACCGUACCGUCGGUGAUCGCAAGAUCGCAACCGAUUCCGCUUGAUAUUUAUCGAGUACGCUUAAUCCUAGCCGUUGGAUCCGUGGACAGAGCUUUGCGGGCCCUCGAAGUUUGGCAUAUCACAUGCUUCUGAAUAUUCCGUAGAAAGGGGAUACGAUUCCCUGGACCCGGUCCACCUCGUCAGCAAAGAGUGGGUCCUUUUUUAAAUUUUUAAGGUUACUGAAAAAUAUUAGUUUUUUUAUUUUAGAUUGUUAAAAUAUAAAUUUAUUUGUAUUUUGUAUGGAUUAAUCAUUUGCUUUUAUUUUAUAAUUAAGAUAAUAAUAAUAAUAAUAAUAAUAUAGGAAAUUUUUCAAAAUUACAAUUAUAUUUAAAAUAGAAUUAAAUAUAUAACAUAUAAAUCAAACUUUUGAAAAUGGUGGAAAUUAUGGUUUUUAAUUUGUACCUGAGCUUAAAUUCUUAAUUUGAAUUGUAAAUCUAAUCAAAAUUUUUAAUUUUAUUUCCUAUUGGAAAUUGAAUUGUUAUGACCAUCUUUUUAAUUUAAUCUACGCUCUCCAAAUAUUUCAUAUUGCUAAAAUUUGUAAUUCUAAAAUAUAUAUAAAUUAAGCACCAGUAUAUAUUAUGAUUAAAAAUGAAAAAAAGUUUAAAAAUUACCUUAUUUUUUCACUAAUUAUAUUUCACCGCUUAAUAAUAAAUUACAAUUGCAAUACAGCAUAGAUUGUUUUGAGACUCUUGUUUUAUUUUUUAUAUUUAAAUAUUUUAAAUUUAUAAAUAAUUUAUCGUCCCCUUCAACACUAUUUUAUUUAAAAAUUUUAUUUAAAAAAAUGAUAAACUUCAAAUACCUUUCGUAUUUUCUUACUUUAAUACUUUGUAGUUUAAAGUGUAUCAAAUUAGUACCCCGUGGUUUCAUUUUUAUCUUUUCGUCAACUUCUCCGUUAAUAUUUCGUUAAAUUAUAUAAAAAAAACUUCAGAUACCUCACCUAAGUUUAUCCAAUAUCCACUUUAGUACCAUUUAAUUUUAAUUUUGUCAUUGAUUUACUGAAAAAAAAUAGUGGAAUGGAUAAUAAAAAGAAAAAAAAAUAAAAUUAUAGAGUACUAAAUUGAUACACUUUGAACCACAGGGUACUAAAGUGAGAAAGUGUGGAAGCACAGGAAUGGUAUUUUGAAGUUUUUUUAAAAAAAAAUUGAUAAAGGUGUCAAAUGAGGCCUGAGAUAUUAUUUUUGGAAAGCGGUUCAUGGUGAACCAGGUUCACGCAACAAUUUACAUUUCAGAGUUGAAUGGAGCAAACUGUUCCACGUGGCGUCCACUGAACGGGGAAACUUUUUGAGCUGUCCAAUAAUGAGAUGCCACGUACGCACCCGACACCGCCCGUUUUGUACGGAACAAAGAUGACGUGGCUAGCCUAAUACACGGGAUCGUGUUGUAAAUUAAAGCGUGCAAGUAACACGUGGGCGAAGGGGUAGGCAUAAGGUCACUAUCCAAACCUAUAAUAUUGUUUAAAAACAAAAUAACAUUAUAAAAAAAAAAAAAACAAAAGAGAAAACUUCAAAUACCACCCCCGUAGUUUCGCACGUUUUAUUUUAGUAGCCUAUAGUUUAAACUGUAUUAAUUUAGUACCGAGUGAUUUUAUUUUUCUCUUUUGGAAAAACUUUAAAUACGACUCAUGUGGUUUCACACUUUUUUACUUUAGUAUCCUGUGAUUUAAAGUGUAUCAAUUUAGGGGCAAAAGAAGUAUUUUGAUUUGGUCUUUUUAAAUAAGUUGAGUGGAUAAUUCAAAAUAUGAAAUUAAAUUUUGAUUUAUUCAAAUUCAAACUUAAAAUUACAAUUUAAAUGUUAAUUUGAAUCCAUAAAUUUAAUUUAAGUUUGAAAUAAAAUUUGAAUAAAACUUUAUAUAAAUUAAAUUUUAAUUUAAAUUUAAAUUCAUAAGUUAGAUUCAAAAUACUUGAUUAANAUUAAAUUUUAAUUUAAAUUUAAAUUCAUAAGUUAGAUUCAAAAUACUUGAUUAAAUUUUAAUUUUUAAUUUAAGUUCAAAUUAAAAUUUAAAAUUAUAUAUUUAAUUUUUAAAUUUUAACUCAUAUUUUAAUUAAAAAAGUUGAAAAAAUAAAUUUAAUCCGAAUAAAUAUCCAUUCCGUCCGUAUUCAAUUUCCAAUCCGGCCUCCUAGGCCAGAUUGAAAAAAGAGGUGAUUGGGGGAUUCCCAUUCCACUCGGGAAUCGGAAUCGGAAUGGAACUCACGCGUACUAAACACCCACAAACGGAUUCAUCCAUUCCGAUUCCGAUUCCAGUUCCAGGGUGAAAAAGAAGCGAACCAAACACGCCCUAAAUUGAUACACUUUAAACUAUAUGGUAUUAAAGUGAGAAAGUGUGAACCACAGUAUGGUAUUUGAAGUUUUUCCCUAUAAAUAUAUAUUAAAAGAAGGGAUAAUUGCCGAUAUACCUCUCAAAACUUCGAAAAUAUCUCAUUUAUUCCUUUUUUUUUUUUUCUUUCCAAUAUAUCCCUCUAUGUUCCUCCGUUAUUCUAAAAUAUUCCUACAGUUAUCACCCGUUAAGUUAACUUGGGUUAAACGUGAGUUAAAUAUCUACCACAGUUAAAAAAUCGAAAAUGUCACUUUUACCCUUAACUUAAGGGCAAAUAAGAAAUAUUGGUGAUGGUAGAAAUGUAUAUUUGAAAAGACCAAAAAGUAAAAUACUUUUUGUGCCCCUAACUUAAGGGCAAAUAAGAAAGGUUGGUGCUGGUAGAAAGGUAUAUUUAACAGGCAAAAUAGUAAUUUUAUAAAGAUAAUAGAGUUCAUUAACGGAUUUUAACUAUAGGGAUAUAUUUGAAAUAGGUUGAAACGUAAAUAGGUUAUUUUUAAUAUUAGUCUUUUAAAAGAAUAAAUUAGAAAGCUGAAAAUUUUUCAGAAAGCUAUAUCUAUACCUAUCUAUACCUAUACAGUAUUCCUCCUAAAUUGCCACAUGGCAACACUCCCUUAAUUUGUUGAGUGUGGGCUCCACCUUGAACCGACUUAAGUUCUCCACAUAUUUUUCUCUUCUUUUGCUUGAACUCGACCGAAUUUUUUUUUUCUUUGCUUGAACCGAACCGAUCGUUGUUGUGUGGGCUCCUCCAAAGCGACUUAAGUCUUCCACAUAUUUUUCUUUUUCUUUGCUUGAAGCGAAUUCAGUUUUCUCUUUUUUUACCUGAACCAAAUUGGGUCAACCUGUUGCAUUGGGUCAAACUGGCCUAACUACUCUACAUGUUUUCAUCUUUUUUCUGAAGUUUUCUCUUUCUUUGCUUGAACCAAACCGAUCACUGUCGAGUGUGGACUCCAUCUGGAACCGGUUCAAGUUUUCCUUUUUUUGCUUGAACUGAACCGGAUUUUUCUUUUUUUGCUUGAACAGAACCGAAUAACAUCUCUGCAGUGAGCGUGGCUGUUUCUCUUUCUCUUUUUUCUACUGUUACCUUCCUUCAUUGAUAAGAUGAAUCACAUCUCUCAUCGUCAUAUUUUUCAUUGCUAUUUUCUCUUCCUUUGUCACUAAUUUUUUUUUUCAAUAUCUAUCCAUCGCAUCGCACGGACUACUACACUAGUCUAUAAGCAAGAAUACCGACGGUCCCUAGACCAAGUGGCAGAGGGCUUGGUGGUUGGUACCCGAGAUCCAAGUUCGAAUGCUAGUUGAUUCACAUUUCCAACUAAGUUUAUUACUAAAUGAAAUAAACGAAGCGAAUAGCUUACUACCUAUCUCUCUCUUGAAAAAAAAAAAAAAAAAAAAAAAAAAAUNNNNNNNNNNNNNNNNNNNNNNNNNNNNNNNNNNNNNNNNNNNNNNNNNNNNNNNNNNNNNNNNNNNNNNNNNNNNNNNNNNNNNNNNNNNNNNNNNNNNNNNNNNNNNNNNNNNNNNNNNNNNNNNNNNNNNNNNNNNNNNNNNNNNNNNNNNNNNNNNNNNNNNNNNNNNNNNNNNNNNNNNNNNNNNNNNNNNNNNNNNNNNNNNNNNNNNNNNNNNNNNNNNNNNNNNNNNNNNNNNNNNNNNNNNNNNNNNNNNNNNNNNNNNNNNNNNNNNNNNNNNNNNNNNNNNNNNNNNNNNNNNNNNNNNNNNNNNNNNNNNNNNNNNNNNNNNNNNNNNNNNNNNNNNNNNNNNNNNNNNNNNNNNNNNNNNNNNNNNNNNNNNNNNNNNNNNNNNNNNNNNNNNNNNNNNNNNNNNNNNNNNNNNNNNNNNNNNNNNNNNNNNNNNNNNNNNAUAAAUAUUAAAAUUUAAUUCUUAAUUAGUAAAGGGUAUAAUUGGGUUUUACAUGAAGUAACCUGUUGAACAGGUUACCGAUUUGAAUAAAUUAAUAUGCGACUGCGGAGCUUCCUCUUGCAAGCAACUGCACGUUCAGUGGCGCGCAACGCACACCAAUCACGAUGAUUCCACGAGAGAUUGCUUCCCUGCACCUGGUGCACAAAUACUUUUCAUACACCGAACCUUACAUAUGUAAUAGUUUUUUGGGUUAAAAUGCACUUUACUCCCUUUAGUAUAUCACAUGUUGCAGUUAACUUCUUUAAAUAAAAAAUUACACACUUUAAUCCUUCUGAAAAUUUACACUGUUAGCACUUAAGCUCUUAUAAAAACAAUAAAGUUGAGGCGUAUUUGGCCGUUACACUAUUUUUUGAACACUAUAAUCUAAUAAAAUUUUUUUGAUCGUUUGAGAAGAGUUAAGUAUGUAUUCUUGGAAUUAAAGGUUAAAGUCUAACAUAUGAUAUAUUGAGAGAACUUAACUGCAUUUUAGUCUUUUUUUCUUUUAUUGUUCAAACGUAAAGAUCUGCUUAUCUGUAAACACACCCCUACUAAAAAUAAAUUAUUCUGUUCAAAACUUUGCUAUCCAACAUAUCCUUUAUUCUUGGCCUAGUUUCGUGUAUUUUGAAAAUUUUUUACUUAAGCAUUAGUCAUCUUAAGAUCAACAACAUUAAAAAUAAACAGUACAAAAAAUAAACAUCUAGAAUUUAUAAGUAUUGGCAUGUAGAUUAUUUGAACCUCAUGUAACAGAUAGAAUAAGUUAAUUCUAAUUUUGAGCCUUUGCUUAGAUCUUGGAUUAUCUUAUAUACUUAUGGAUCAAUAAUUUUACAUAUAUAUAAAUAUAGAGUGAGGCUACUAUGCUAUCGGAAGCACGGAGCCUUCCGUGCUUCCAGUUCGUUUUCGAUGUUGCGACUUUCGAAUCGUCGAUCGGCCCCGUUAAACUUGAUCUAGAAUAUUUGAAGUACCUAGAAAAUAAAUUUUAUAAUUUUACGAUAUCAUUUGCCUAGUGAACGAAGGGGCUCAAAAUCAACGGCUGAAAAUAAAAAUCUUACAAAAUGUAAUAAUAUGACAUUAAAAUUUUAAAUCAAAAAUAUUGAUCUUGUUUUAUAUAGUAUAAAGAAUUUUUUAUCAAAAUUUCACGUGAUUUGGAUAUUUCUACACCGUUAAUCUUGCAAACGGCUCACUACGGCCAUUGAAAUUUGUUGAUUUUGAGCUUAUUCGAUCACUAGGCAAAUGAUAUCGAAAAAUAAUAAAAUUUAUUUUCUAGGUACUCCAAAUACUCUAGAUCAAAUUUAACAGAGCCGAUCGACGAUUUGAAAGUCGCAACAUCGAAAACGAGCUAGAAGCACGGAAGGCUCCGUGCUUCUGAUAGCAUAGUAGCCUCACUCUCUCUCUCUCUCUCUAUAUAUAUAUAUAUAGAAUUAGGUUAAUUAGUAUACUAUUGAUAGCACAAAGUGCUUGAUGCUAUUAUAUGUUUAGCCCUUGGAUGAAGGGAUGUCUGAUGAGGAUGAUUAUGACACAAUAGAACUCAUUUUUCUAUUUUCAUAUAUGUCAUAAUUCUUACCAUUUUUUUUUUUUUUUUCGUAUUAGGCCGAAAUACACUUUUGGUUAUCAAACAAAGAGCGCAAUGCAAUUUUGGUCAUCAUUUUUAAUUUGUAUACUGUAUAAUUUCUGACGAAAAUUUUCUAUACAAUUUAGUUGACUAGAUUACGGCAUAUCGUAGUUGUAAUAAUGGUGUGAGAAUAUGAUAUUAGCAGUAUAAUAAUGAUUAAAGAACUGUUGGACUUAAUUACAAUAUAAUUUACGAAUUAUGAACCAGAAACUGCAAUAAAAUAAAAAAAAAUAAUUGCAUACAGUUCUCUGCAAGCAUAGUGAAUUAUAAAUAUAUUCCUAUAAAGUUUAACUUUCAUAUAUUGUUUCUAUAAAAAUUCUGAUAUUUUUUAAAUAUGUUUAUAUCAUUAGAAUCCAUUAGAAAAAUUUAGUUAAUCAUAGGUUAAAUACAUAGCCGUAGUUAAUUAAUGAGGUGGAUUGACCUUUUUAUUCUUUUUUAAUUAACAAUUCAGAUAUUUGAAGGGACAUAUUUGUGAUAGCAAAAAAGUUAUUUCACUUAUAAAAUAGACGAUGCUUUAACGGUAACAGACCCGGGGGAUAUAUUUGAAAACAUUAGAACUUUUGUAGGGACAACAUAUAAAAGUUAAACCUUGUAGGGAUAUAUUUGCAAUUCACUAUGUUUACAGGGAUCUGUAUGAAAUUAACCCUAAAUAAAAAGUGAAGGACUAAAGUGUCUGUCUCGUUAUAGUUUGAGGACCAAAAGCGCAAUUUACCCUUUCCAUUAGUGCGGUGUAUGAGAUGUUCUUAUACACCGGGUUCUCGCAACAGAUCCUAAAUUCCACGGUCCCUUCUCUUCUACAACGACUCUCCUUCUUCUUCGUCGUCUUCGAAAUCGAUAGGGAGAGAGAAACCCUAGGAGAGAUGGGGAUGGAGAUCAUGGAGCCGAACACAUGCGUCCGCGGCUGCUGCACAAGCGGCACCGUCCCCCUCCACAUCCCCGCGUCGUCCUUCUCCCUCCUCUCCCCCAUCGCUCGAGGUAAUUCGCGUCGCCGGAACCCUAGUCUCUCCCUCUCUCGAUUGAGUUGUUGAUCGUUUGAUCCGGUGCUUGAAGGGUCGGAGAGCACCGUGUACGACGCGAGGGUCAAUGGCGAGAGGGUCGCCGCGAAGAAGCCCGUGCUCUCCACCUCCGACGACCUCGACAAGUUCCAUUACCAGCUCCAGCUCCUAUGGUGUGGUUUUGCUCCAUUUCCCCCCCUUCAUUUAUUUUUUUGGGUAAAAAUGUAUGGAGAUCCCUUCACCUAAUUCAAAUUUAAACCUUUUGAUUGAAACCCUCUUAACUUUAUUAUUAUUAUUAUUAUUUGCAAUUGAGUGAUUUUUUGUUAUCUAUAUUGGGAAUUUUAUCAAAUUCGUGAGUGAUUUGAUCAAAGUUGGAACAUUGAGGACCAAGGUGAAAUCUUGGUUAAGGUGAUUGAGGUAUUAUGUUGAAAAUGUUGGAACAUUGAGGAUUGAGGUGAAAUUUUGUUGAGUGGCUGAGGGCCCUUAAUGCAAGUUAUUUACUUACAAAUUAAUUCCCAUAAUGCAUGAUAGAGGUUUUUUUUUUUAAAUUAUAUUAUAUUAUGUUGUUUUCUGAUAGUGAAUUGGAUCACCCGCGGCUGGCCAAGCUGGUGGCUGCGCAUGCGAGGCCGCCUAAUUACAUGUUCUUCUUUGAGUUCUACGAGUCGCGGAACCUGGCAGAGAAGUUGCAUGUUGAGGAGUGGAGCCCCUCGAUUGAACAGGUGGUUCGCAUUGCAUGUGAUCUUGGUGUGUUCUCUUUGCCUCUCACUAUGUACCAAUUGUUCUCGCUUGCCUUGCUGCAUCUGCAUCACAUUGCUUUAUUAGUGGAUUAUGUAGUAGAUGACAUGUUUGCACAGAUUCAGAUAAUGUUUUAUGUGCUCCUGAGCAUGCUUCAUGGUUUGCCAAUUCAACUCAGUAUUCCACAUUUUAGUUUGUUCGCCACACCUAAGUGAAUAAGCAACCUUAAUUUGUUAUGCAAGGAUGAUUUAUGGAGAGUUUACUGCAUAAGAUUGUGAGUGUGCAAAUUUUCUUGGUGCGAUCCACUGCACAUGGAAAAAAGAUUGUGUUAUCAGCUUAGGUAAAUUGCACUACUAGGGCCUGAAAUUUUAAAUUUUAAUCAAGCGUCAUUUUCGAGAACCCUGACUUUCAGAAUUGUUUCAGUUUAGUCCUUACUAUAGAGGAAAAUUUUUUUUGCCUGCAUCCGGUUGAUCCAUAUCUCCAUGCACCAGGAACAUCCGCCUUCGUUCAUCUCUUACUUUUAGUACGGCGGUCUAAUUUCUAAAUAUAGAAAAAUUUGUAACUCAAUGGAUGGUAGGAUUGAAAUGUGAGAUUUGGAUGAAGGGUUGAUAGAUGCAUGGUGCCUGAUUGUGGAGAUGCACCCUGUGUAGGCAAUCAUCUUCACUCUAAUAAAAUUAGGAUAAGGACCAAAGUGGAACAAUUUAGAGAGUUCAAGGUCUUACAUCUUGAACUUGAAAGUUUUAGAUCAAAAAGUGAAACUCUUAACUAAAGUUGAGAGACUAGUGGUGAAAUUUGUCAUAACAACUUAAUAUAAAAAAGGGUACUAUUAACGUUCAUUUCCUAAACAAUAUCAUGGACAUUUGGCAAUAGGAUUAUCCGAAUGUGUGAUUCGUCUUUUUUUCCCCUCUAGCAUCACGGUAACAAAGGCUAUUCGGACUCUCUUACGUGUAAUUAUUGCACUUUCAUCUUGCUUUACUUGCAUUGAUUAUCUAUGUUUGCUCCGGUUAAUUUUCAACUAUCUAGGCUGCUUAUUAGUUGCUUUACUUUGUGUACUUUUUUGUUUCUCCUUGCAGCAAAAGCUCUUCAGUACUUGCACAACAUUGGGAUUGUACAUAGAGACGUAAAACCAGCAAAUGUUCUGGUAAUUAUCUUCCGUUCUUCCUAAUAUAGUAUUCGAUUCGCUUUAUUUGCAAGCUUACUAGUUGUUUAGGCUAGUACCAAGCGUUAAUAGAAGGUAAAAAAAUAUUCUGUACAGCUUGACAAAACUCUUCAUGCACACCUAGCUGAUUUUGGUUUGGCUACAUACAAGAAGGAUCUUAAACGUGUUUCGGCAGAAAACUGGAAAUCAACUGGCAAGCCUACUGGCGGUUUCCAUAAAAGGAAUAUGGUAGGGACACUAAUUUAUAUGGCACCAGAAAUUUUGAGGAAGGAUAUACACACUGAAAAGUCGGAUGUAUAUAGUUUUGCAAUAUCUAUCAAGUAAGAUAUCCGACUGUUAAGCCCUUUUACUCACUCGCUCUUACAAUCCUAGAUAAUUAAGAUUCGGCUUUUUUGAUAUAUUUUCUUCUUGCGUUCUAUGGUAAUCUGGUGAGACCUGCAUGGUACUAUAAGGUUAUGCAAUGACUGCUAAUAAAUGGUGACAUAUAAAGCGAUAAAAUGGCACAUAAAAUCAAAUUAAACACUGAUUCGAACACAAUAUGCGCCUACACUAACUCUAUAUGAACAAAGGUGCUAAGGUUGGGACUUCAAAUAUGUAGAAAGACUGCUAUAACAAGUUCAUAAGCAUAACUUAUGUGCAUAUGGAGGUUGAUAUCAGCUGUCAUCGAUGCCGUUAUUUCUCUCCUUUAUUUGCUUCAUUCUUGAAUAACUGUUAAAAUGAAAAAGACCUUGAUCUGCUUCAAUAACGUAUUAAAAUUAGUAUUGCACUUGCUCCCUUUAUUCCCAUUUUUAGUCUCCUUGUGAACUGAAAAAUGUAACCUCACUGUUCUGAUCCAGUGUUUUUAGUGCCAUGAUGCCGGAAACGACUCCUGCUACAUCUUAUUCUUAUUCUUCUGGAACUUCCCUUACUGUACUUGUACCUUGGCCAUUAUAAUUAUUAGCCUACUAUCUGAACUUUCGUAUUGUCAUAAUGGAAAUUUCCUUUAUAUUCGUUUUUCAUAUCAAUGUGUUUAUUCUUGUUUCAAAUUAACGUUAAUUAAGUCACUACUAUAGUUAUGCUGACCUUUAACUCACGACUUUUGCAGUGAGCUUCUAACCGGUGUUGUGCCUUACACAGAUCUACGAGCGGAAGCCCAGGUAUGUUCAGCUACUUUCUUAUUGCUGUUAGACCUUACAUAUUAAGUUUUUCCCAAUCAAAAAUUUGUGAAAAAUUCUCAUUUUUUCCUUCUGCAUAAUCCGCACAUGUUGCUCCUCUCUCUAGAUAUUCCUUGUCCCAUCUAUAUGAGUAUUUUUCCUCCUAUUGGCUAUAGUUAUUUAUUUAUUUAUUUAUACUUGAUUGUCUUUAGGCACACACUGUGCUUGAAAUGACCUACACUGAGCAGCAACUCACUGCAGCAGUGGUUUCUGAAGGACUUCGGCCUGUUCUUGCUCAUCCUGACUCUGGCGCACCUCCAAGCCUUCUAUCACUUAUUCGGAAGUGUUGGGACCCAAAUCCUCUCUCUAGACCCUCAUUUGAAGAGAUAGUCAACGAGUUAAAUAUUAUUUCAAAGCAAGUGAAGAAAGAUUCUACGCUGUCGUUAUCUUCUUCAUUGGAUAAUUUUGAAACUGGAAAAACAGACCCCCUCCAUUAUCAGGAAAGCUUAAACUGGUUCAGACAAGGGGAACAGCUAGCCAGAAAAGCAAACUCGGAUAGCUCAAAUAUGACGCUUUGGCCUAGUUCUUUCACGGACUCGUCAAAUUAUUUUCCAACUUUGUCUUGGGGAUCUUUUGCUACAUGCGGUAGAAGGGAGACAAUGGAAGAUACUCAUUUUAUGCUUCCACAAAUGUGCGAUAAGAAGGAUGUGCAUGCUUUUGGAAUUUUUGAUGGUCACAGAGGUAUGUCUUAAUGUUGAAUCUAUGGGACUAAUUAGAAAUCUAGUCCUUGAAGUUUGACCCCAAUUUCAAUUUCGUCCUUAUAGUUUCAAUUUAUACAAUAUAGUCCCUGAAGUCCUUCCGUUAAUCUACUGUCUGAACAAGAUGUCAAGUCAGAAACAUGUUAUAAUUCGCCUUGUUAAAUUUGAAUUUUGGUAACGAAGCCGGAAUCGGGACUAAUUUCAGAACUAAUUAGAUAUCAAAUAUGAGGACAAAAUGGGGACUGAGGUCAAAAUUUAGGUAACUAAUCUGUUUGAAUAGAAAUUUUGAGCUCAAAAUUCAAAUCAGGGUCAAUGUUUAGAGGAGAAAUUUGUAAUUAGCUGGAAUCUAUCUCUCAUAUUGUUUCUUCUACAGGGGCAGCAGCUGCUGAGUUUUCUGUUCGAGCACUUCCUGCAUUCUUGCAGAACUCUGGUUACACUUGCAGGUUUUAUCAGCUUACAUAAUUUUGUAAAUCUUCUUGGGUACAUAUAUUUGAUAUUUCAUUUGUUUCACCUCCUGCUAAAUGCUAGUAUGGUUCAGUCCAGCGGAAGCACUUACUGAAGCAUUCGUGAAGACAGAUAUGGCAUUCAGAGAUGAGUUACUUCUUCAUCGUAAGUCCAAAAAAAUAAUCCAAAAAGAUUGGCAUCCCGGCUGCACGGCAGUUACUGCAUUGAUUGUGAGGAACAAGCUUUUCGUUGCAAAUGCCGGCGAUUGCCGCACAAUUUUAAGCCGUGCAGGAAAACCAUUUGCCAUGAGUAAGGUGUGAAUAUUCUUUUGAGAUUGUUACAUAUAUACCCCUGUAAAAUCAUCUACGAACAUGUAUAUCGGCGAAAAUUCUGAAUUUUCAUAUACAUUCUUCAAUAACUUAUGAAGUGUACACCCAUCUAGUUUUCAAGACAAUUUUAUAAUACAAAACUAACUUUCCUCUACUAAAUUGAGUAACUUACUAACUUAAGGGCACUUUUGUAAGAAACUGCACUUCUGAGAAGAUGCAUGAGAAUUCAAAUUUUUACAAUGCUGUAUCUGUAAAUUUGUAUAAACAGUUUUGUUAACACUUACAUUAAAUUUGCUUCCUUAAUUCUAACAGGACCAUGUUGCAAGUUGUCCUGAUGAAAGAGCACGUGUCGUCAACGACGGCAUUGAAGUGAAAUGGCAAGUAGAUACAUGGCGGGUUGGUCCGGCUGCUCUCCAGGUAUUUUAUUAUAUAUUUUUCCUCAUUUCUUGUAAAACAAAAAUUAGAACGGGCAGUACGUUGUUCAACCGCAAGUUUUUAUUGUAAUUAAUUCUCUGAUAGAAGCAGACCAAUUCCUCCCCUAACCUAUCCUUUCAUGGAGGUAAUACUUCAUCAAUGUUGGUGGGGCAAUAAAACCUCAUGGCCUUUAGUAUGAUUUAUAAACAUGCGAAAACUUCAAUGGACUUAAACAGAUAUUGGUCAGUAAACGUCAAACUAAAGAGUGGUUUGAAAAUUUUAUUUUAAUCCUUCUCACUGUUUAUAGUUCCUCAUCAGUCCUAAUGUUUUAAUACAGCUGUGAUAUCUGUCUUUGUAUUGACACAUUCUUCUGUUGUUAACAAGGACAUUUCAAUCUACUAAGGGUAACAUUUUGCCUCGUAUAUUAGGUCACACGGUCCAUUGGUGAUGAUGAUCUAAAGCCUGCAGUUACAGCACGACCGGAGAUCACUGAGACUUCUUUGUCAGCAGACGACGAAUUCUUGGUAGGUUUCAGACUUUCAGUGCUCCUUGAUUUCAUUUGAAUUUCUCUUCAUACUAAGUUAUAUUUUACAUUUGAUAUGCAUAAUUUCUUUUUUAGUUGUUAGGUCGUUAUGCUUUUUUCUUUGUUUCUUUUCCUCAUGAACAGAGUAAUGAUAUGUGCUAUGCAUGGUUAAAAGAGGAAAAUGAACUUGAUUUGAAAAGCAAAGAGCAUAUCGCUCCGAAUAACUAACAAGCUUAGUCCCAUGUUCGGCAUUCAGAAAAAAAAGAGAAAAAAUCAGCGAAGUUGAAAAAUAUGGAGUUUGAUGAAAGUUCCAUGAAUUUUGGCAAAAAAAGAAAAUUGAAGGCAGUUCAAUUAACAACACCGAAAAUUUGGAAUUUAAGAUUUCUUAUGUAAUUCGGCUAUCUUCUUUCAUUUUCGGAGUGUAGACACAUCAAAACCAUGAUUUAAUUAUUAAGGCUACAAAUAAUCCAUAAAUUACUUGAUCGAUUUGAAUAAACGCAUAAACCUUUCUUUUCUUUUCUUUUUUGUGAUUCCUCACUUACAUUGAUCGAUUAGCAGUAAUAUGGGAAAAAAAAAGUUGUUCAAUGAAAACUUCAUGAGCUAUUUGUGAUUUCGAAGAUUCCAAAAAUUUUCGAUCGAAAACUUUGUAUAAUCUGUUUUCGUAAUUCAGGUGAUGGCUAGCGAUGGAUUGUGGGACGUGUUAAGCAACGAGGACGUGCUAUCGAUCAUCAAAGACACCGUGAAGGAGCCCGGGAUGUGCUCAAAGAGGCUCGCCACCGAGGCUGCGGAGCGCGGCAGCAAAGAUAACAUCACUGUCAUCGUCGUCUUCCUUCGCCCCGUCUCUACCGCCGAGAGAAUUUAUUAACUUCGAACGACAACAUAUAACGGAAUUUGGCAUUCGCGAGUUUGUUGUCCGAAACAUAUAGAGUGGAUAGGAUCAGCAGCUUAUAUUUAUUCACACCAUUCAUUUCAUUUCUCCAUUUUUACUACCAAAUUCUAUUUUGUGGUACACAAAAGUUGUAACAAAGCUUUAUAUGAUGCUUUAUUUAAAUAGCUAAUAAUGUGGAUUUGAUACAAUUUCUACAAUUUGCUUCUUAAAAAAGGCUUUUGAGCUUUUUUAUACAGCAGUUUGUAUAUUCCCAUGAACUGUGUUCAAAUCCCAAAUAAUUGUUGUGUUUUUUUCCUUUUCUCUUUUUUGCUUUUUAUAUGAUUCCCUUUGGGACUUUAUUUUUGGGUAAAUGAUCUUGUGAAGUUUUUAAUCUGAUGAAAUUUGCUAGACCGAUGAAUCAUUCACCGUAUUUUUGUUUUGUAUACUACAGUCGAAUUGCUUGUGCUUUGUAUGUGCCAAUUAUUAGAAAUUUUUAUGAGAUUAUUAAUAUUGUAGCGGGAAAGGUUUUAAAAAAUACAGUAAAUUAUUCAUCAUUUUUAAUGCGUGAGAAAAGUAAUGAAUCAUUCAUCGUUUUCUACUCCAAUUCAUCAUUUUAUACAUUUUUUUAAACUCAUUUUUUUUUUAAAAAAAAUUUGUAAGCUCUUGAUGUGCAAAGUACUCUUGAAAAUCUAUUUUGAGAAUCCAAAAUUAUUACAAAACUCCACAAUAUAUGCUAUAAAUAAUAGUGAAAACCUCGAAGGGUGUGACUACCACACCACUUUUGAAAUAUUGUAGUAAUCUAUUUUUCCUCCCUAGCUUAUGUAAGAGAGAUAUGGUCUAAUUAACUGUUCAUCGCAUGCAAUGCACGAAUUUUAGAAUAGUGAUGAACGAUUGAUUAGACUGUCUCUUUAUGGAGAGACUCCCCGCAUAAUAUUUUACUGAGUAAAACAGCAGUGUAAUUUUGUGCUCAUACGAAAGUAAAAGCUAAUCACCGUGCAGAGGAUUUUAUUCAUGUGAAGCAAUGCCCAACUCACUCACAAAUAAAAUAAUGUGUGGGUGAACGGUUGCUUCAAAAGCAAAAUAUAUUCUCCCUUUACAGCUACCUUAGACUGAGAUGAUCCAAUCACUUAUCCAUCACAUGCAAUGCACGAAUCUUAAAACAGCAGUGAACCGUUGAUUAGACUGUUUCUUCGUGGGGAGACUCCUCGUGUAAUAUUUUAUUCACUAGAACAAUAGUGUAAUUUUAUGCGCACACAAAAGCAUAAGCUAAUGAUUAAACCAGGAUUCUAUAAGUAAUUUUAUCCAUGUGAAGCAAUGCCCAACUCAUCCACAAAUAAAAUAAUGUGCGGGUGAACGGUUGCUCUAAAAGCAAAAUAUAUUCUCCCUCCACAACUUGCCUGAGAGAGAGAUGGUCUAAUCAACCGUUCAUCACAUGCAAUGCACGAAUCUUAAAACAGUGGUGAACGGCUGAUUAGACUGUCUCUACAUAGAGAGACUCCCCGCAUAAUAUUUUACCCAUUAGAACAGCAGUAUCAUUUUGUGCACAUAUAUAAAAGCAUAAGUGAAUCGCCACGCAGAGGAUUUUCCAAGCAAUUUUAUCCAUGUGAAGCAAAAUGCCCAACUCACCCACAAAUAAAAUAUAAUGUCAAUGCCACCCAAAACACCAAAUGAAGGCACAGAUGGAGUGAAGUGCAGGAAAAGAAAUGCAUUCAAAUUAAGCUGUUUCUUGGAAGUUUCAGCAAUAGCAAAACAAAUUGAGUUUUUUUUUUUUUUUUUAAUGUUAUCAUUAUUUAAUCUCUACUCCACAUUCACAUAACUUGGUCACCAAAACAAAGAUAAAAUUAUCUAAAAACAAACUACAAAACACAAAAACAUUACUUAAGUACUACUAAAAUCUGUGUUUUCGAACGCUAACCGUUUGUUUGGUUCCCAAAAAGAGUAGUUUUUUUUAGUUUUUUCUCCUUCAUAAAACAAAUUUUCCAUGAUUUUUCGAGAAACAAAGCACCUAAAAAAUACCACACCCUUUCACUUGAAACAUAAAAUUCAAUAUAGGUUGAGUAUUAGAACAACCAAAUGAGGUAAGAGUAACCAAAUAGGACUAGUACAUUUAUUGGGUCAAUCUGAAGAUUAUUAUACAGAGAAAAAAAAAAAACCAUGGAAAAAUAAUCAAAGUGCUAAGUCAACAACAAUUAUCUCUAACAAAGAAGGAAUUUCCACAAGUUCAAUUUUAUGCAAGGGAGAAUAUUCAAACACUAAUAAUUUGAAUUUAGGCCGCCUUAAUGAUACAAAUAAUUCUCUCUAGUGAAAAAGUAUACGAGGUAGGUCAAUUCAAAAAGCAGUUUUCAAGCAACCUUACUUCUGUGCCAAGUCCUUUGAUCUUUUUAGUUGCACGUUAUCAUGAAAAGUGUAGCGCUUUUGUCGAAUAUAAAUAUUAAAAAUAUUAUUCUCUGGUCGCUUAAGUUUUUAGAAAACAAUGAUUGUUUCACAUAAUUUUAAUAUGGUAUCAGAGUAACUCCUAGCGUUAUCUAAUUUUCUUCUAUUUAAUUCAAAUCUACGUCUACGGCCUAUCAAAAGUUUCGACACCAGAUACAAGGGAGAGUGUCGAAUAUAAAUGUUAAAAACGUUGUUCUUUGAUAGCUUAAGCUUUUUAGAGAACAAGAGUUGUUUCACAUAAUUUAACAGCUUCAAACCGAAGAAACAGUAAACAUUGAUACUCCCACACAUAAUCUUUUUAUGGCCAUGCGAAGAAUGAAAAUACAUUAUCAGAAGGUUUGUAAAUUGCCUCGCUUCCCGUCCAAUUACGAAAAAAUUCAUCUACGGCCAACGAAAUAAGGAAAACUUGUGAGACCCUAAGUAGUUCUAUAUAUAACAUAUAAUAUAACUAAAAACUUUUAACUCGACUAUAAUAUUUUGGACGGUGGUUAGGCCGAAAAGGUUAAGAGAAUUAAGUGUAGUAUUGCUAGAGUAGUCCUAGGAUGGGUGAACUCCUAGGAAGUGGGGCGGUCACAAUUAGUAUCAGAGUCAAUUACUAGUCGGAAGUGUGAGAUGAGUCUCAGUUGAGUCAGGUUGUACAGCGGAGAGAGCGAGGCUCUUAUGUUGAUGACUGUUGUAGAUAGAGCACGAUUUUUCCAUAAGGUCGGUUAAGACUAGCGAGACGAGUCUCACACAUCGUCUAGUACUUACGAGUCUGACGAGAACGUCAGGACUUAAAGGGAGGGUAAUAUGUGAGACCCUAAAUAGCCCUAUAUAUAAAACAUAGGGUUAAAUGCAUACAGCUCCCUAUAAAUAUAGUGAAUCACAAAUAUGUCCUUACAAAAUUCAACUUUCAUAUAUUAUCCCCACAAAAGUUCUAAUGUUUUCAAAUAUGUCUCCCUAAUUUGUUGUCGUUAGAGAAAUGUUUAUAUUUUAACAGCAAACAAGUAAAAUGUCAAUUUUGCCAUCACAAAUAUAUCUCUCCAAAAAUCACAACAGUAUUAUUAUAAUAUAAAAUGAGUAAAAGUAUCAAGUUAUCGCAUAAACUAACCAAGGUUAAGUAUUUAAAAAGACAUAAUUCACAACAAAAUACUCCAACAAUGACGAGAGUUUGUAAAUUAAACAAGAGUUCAAGAGUUCAAUUCUCGGCGCCUUUAACCAUAUAGAACUUGAAGAACAAAACAAAGGACACAAAAAAGUGCAAACAUAUACAGAAUCAUAGAAAAUGCAUUUGUAAGUAACAGAGAACUCCAUAGCUUAGCAACUACAUGGUCUCCGGAUUUUGAUCACUGUAUUCAUUCUCAUCAUUUAGCAUCGACACAAAGUUUCGACAUCGAUAAAAGUUUCGACACCGAGAAUGAUUUAACGAUGGCACGAUACUGAGUCCUAUGAUACACAGUUUUGAAAAGUGAAAGAUAAAUGCAACAAAAGUAUACGAUACAUGAAACUCGACAAGAGCCUUAAAAAGUAGUAGUGCUUUGUUUAUUUACAUCUCAUUUCAUAAAUAGAAGCAAAAUAUCACUCUAAAAAUGAAAAGGACAAUGAAAAAAAAAAGAAGAAAUAAACAUACACCUAAAAAUUUCAUACUCUAACAAACGAAAUACAUCGCCAACAUAUUGAUUUUGGCAAAAGUUUACUGUAUCAAAACUAUCAACACAAAAGAACAAAAGCCAACAAAAAGGUAAAAAGAAAAAAAAAAUCACGCAAAUAUUAUAAAACAAUGAUUCACACAUUCAACCUUAUUAAAGAAUACAGUGUGUGUAUAUAUAUAUAUAUAUAUGUAUAUAUAUAUAUAUAUAGAGAGAGAGAGAGAGAGAGAGAGAGAGAGAGAUUCAUCGUAGCAGCGGUAGCCGAGACUCCUCUCUCGAUUUCCUGCCAUAGUAGGCAUAUAGCAACAAUUGUGCAACACCCAAGACGGUUCCGAUCCCAUUUGGAAUCUGAAAUUCAAACACAUAAAUGAAAGGAGAAUCAAUUUACAAUUACCGCAUUUGUUUGAUUUCUUUUUGAGAAAUACUCGGUUACUCGACAGUAUUCUGUAACUCUUUCGUCAGAAUCCUCUAUUCAAUUUAGAAGAACAACUCGAAUCAAAAUAAUUAGAAGUUGAGGAUGCGCGAUUUAGAAGAAAAUAAAGGGGUUGGAAUCCUGAUAAAAGCUACCUGACGGAAAAUAAAGAUGCAAAAUGAGACAUGCACUCGAAAUGUAAUUCAAAUCCAAGAAAUUAGCUUUCGAGGACCUGUACUCAAAUGACCUAUAGCAGGGGUUUGUCCCGACAGCGUCGUAUUAAAAAAUCGGCAAUGAUUCUUACAUAUAUGAAGAAGUCGUGUAACAGCAUUCCAUAGGCGAAGAACGAGACGCUCAUCAAGAACGUCGCCAGGGACAAAUAGAAAGGCAUGAACUCUACGCUCUUCGUCUUAAUCACCAAAUUCUGAUUAAGAACGAAAAAAAAAAAAAAAAACAAUGAUAUCAUGUUUAGUUAGCCACUGAAGCAUUGUACAUAUUUUCCAACUUGAACAAGUAAUCAGAAUCUUACAAUGAUAGAUAAGGGGGAUGCGAACAUGGAUAUGAGAGAAAUGAUGCUUAAAUAUCCUACAAAGAUUUGCCGUGUCGCAUGAUCCAAUAAUUCGAGGCUGAUGUAUAUAAUGAGAGCAAAAACACAGACGACAAAUAUAAGCAAUCCGCACAUCUUCACCUGCAGAAAAUGGAUAUUUCUUUUGUCAUGUGAGUAUGCGGAAGAAAUAAACAGCAGCUCCCGGAGCUUUUGCAGAAAUGUUGUUUUAGUAGAACUCCAGUUGAAAUGGCACAAACAACUUUUUAUAUCAACGUCACAUCAACGGCUACUGGCAACAGGUUAAGUAGAAGCUUCAAAUUAGAGCUUUUGCUAUGCUGACAGAAUCCGGAAAUCCAUUCUGCUUCCCCCCGGAACAAAAGCUCCGGGCUUUCUGUCUACACCAAUGCCUCAUUUCUAGAAGCUUCUGCUUUCUAAAGUAAAGAAGCUGUUUUAGAAGCCAGGCCAAACAGAAGAUAAAACUAUAUACCUUCCUCGUUGUAUCGGCAUAGAUAAUGAAGAGGCUCACAUAGACAAGCUGGAAAGCCGCGCCGAUCGAAUUAACGGUCGCGACAAGGAUCACACCAUAGGAUACGCAAGGGAGGCCAUACCACAUACAGAUCAAGCAGUUCAGCAGGGAGUACACAUAGGGCAAACCCGAGAACUGCUCCGUCGACUUGUUUCUAAUGAUCCUCUUGUAUGUGGGUCUAAGAAAAGCAAUUCAACAUGAAAAGAAAACAUGCCUUUGUGAGUUUUCAUGUAUGGUAUGCAAUAUGGAGGAUCACACUCAAUUGGAUUCAAACAAAAAAGAAAAAAGAGUACCAAAACAUGGGCUUACAUUGGUGACAAGAACAACACAAAGGCAAAGAGGUUACCUGCAAAAGAAAAAAAAAAUAAAAAAUUAAGUUUCUACUGCAUAUAAUCCUACUUAAGCUCAUUAACAACAACAACAACAAUGAUAUAUUCUAAUAAGCUUUUUUUCUCCUGGUUCUUGGAUUGAAUCAACCUUGGAAAAAUCUAAGCCAUUAAAUUCCAAAAUUAAGAAAACACAACAAAUAUGAAAUUUUUAGGAGGAUCCAAAUGGGUAGGACAAAAAAAAAUUAAGAAAAAUUAAGUUUCUACAGCAUAUAAUCCUAAUUAAGAUCAUUAAACUAACAACAACAAUGAUAUAUUCUAAUAAGUUUUUUUCUCCUGGUUCUUGGAUUGAAUCAACCUUUGCAAAAUUUAAACCAUGAAGUUCCAAAAUUCCAAAAACACAACAAAAAUGGAAUUUUUAGGAGGAUCCCAUUUGAGAUUGAGACCACAAAAACACCAUUUUGUGAAAUGGGUAGGACAAAAAAAAAAUUAAGAAAAAUUAAGUUUCUACUGCAUAUAAUCCUAAUUAAGAUCAUUAAACUAACAACAACAAUGAUAUAUUCAAAUAAGUUUUUUUCUCCUGGUUCUUGGAUUGAAUCAACCUUGGCAAAAUUUAAACCAUGAAGUUCCAAAAUUCCAAAAACACAACAAAAAAGAAAUUUUAGGAGUCCCAUUUGAGAUGAGACCACAAAAACACCAUUUUGUGCAUAUAAUCCUAAUUAAGAUCAUUAAACUAACAACAACAAUGAUAUAUCAAAUAAGUUUUUUUCUCCUGGUUUUGGAUUGAAUCAACUUGGCAAGAUAAACAUGAAGUUCCAAAAUUCCAAAACACAAAAAAAAAUGAAAUUUUUAGGAGAUCCCAUUUGAGAUGAGACUGAAAAAAAAAAAAAAAAAAGGAUUACCUGCAACUCCUGCUGCAUAGUAACAGAGUUCAUAAAAAGAAUAUGUAAAAGAAGAAGAAGAUAAGAAAAGGAAAAGAAAAAAUCCAAAGAUCUCAUCAUAUUUCCCCCACUCUCUCUCUCUCUCUCUCUCUCUCUCUUUUCUUUCACUUUCACUUUAGAGAGAGACAGAGAGAGAUAUACAAAUGAAUAUCCACAAACACCACAACACAAUCUCUCCUCUUCUCUCUCUCUCUUCUUCUCUUCUCUUUCUCUCUAUAUAUUUAUGUAUGUGUGUAUGAGUUGAUUAGAGCAAAACACCUGUUCUUUGUCCUAAUGCCUGCUUAACUCAAAAAAAAAAAAAAAAGAAAAGAAAAAAUGGGGACAAUUACUAAUUUAUGUGUGGUUUUUCUUUUUCUUUUUUUACAUUACCAACUUCAAUUUUUUUUUUCUGCAAAUAACUCUAAUAUAUAUAUAUAUAUUAUAAUAUAUAUAUAUAUAUAUAUAUAUAUAUAUAAAAUCUUUCUACACCACAUGAGCGUCAUAUUAGUAUUUUUAGUUGAGCAUGAUAUAUUGAAUCAUCUUAUUCGUAUUCACAUUCUAAUUCCUCCUUAAGAACAAUAAAAAAUACAAAAAAAAAUACAUAAUUCAAUUAGCGUGUUUAAACACGACAAUUGAAUUAUUGUGUUCAAUUUUAAAAACGCCAUCUUGGCGCUAGCGUGGUAAGAAAAAAUUAAUUAUAUAAAAUAGAUUAUUAGGAACAUUUGUUAAAAAAAAUUGAGGUGGUUAAAUGCAAAAAAAAAAAAAAAAAACCCUUUAUGUGUCUAGCAAUUUUUUAUUUUUAUUUUUAUAUUUUUCUCUCUCUCUUUGGGAGAAAUAUAUAUACAAGUGGUAGUGAGAAGGUUUAAUUGUUCCAUUGUUCACCAUGCAUCAUUGGUCCCCAUUUUUUUUUUAAAACCCAAUUUUAAUAAUUAGAUUCUUAAUUUUUAUUAGGAUAAAUUAUAAUUUUAGUUUUCAAAGUACUUAAAUCUAAAUUUACUGUAAUUUCUGGCUCAAAUAUUCAAAAUUAUUGUAAUUAAAUUUUAUAAUCAAUUUAGUUGCUUAAAUAUUGAUAAAUUAUUUAUUAAUGUAGAAGUGAUAUAUCAUCAAUCGGAAUACUUUUAUAUUAUUUUUCUAUCAAUAAUUUAUCAAUAUUUGGCCAACUAAAUUAUGUUGUUGGACUGGAUUGCAACGAUUCCGAAAGUUCGAGCCAAGAAUUGUAACAAAUUAAAGUUUGAGGGUCAAAAUGUCACGCUCCUCAUAGUCUGAGGAUCAAAAGUGUAAUUUACCUAUAUUAUAUUAUUUAUUUUAGGGUACACUUCAACUUAACCCAUUGUGAUUUAUAUUAUAAUUUUAUUUUAUCAAAUAUACUAUAAAAUUAUUUCUAUUUAUCUUAAGAAGCUAUCAUUAAAUAAGAUAGUAAAAUAAUAAGAUAGUUAAGUGCAACAUUUUAAAUCACUGGAUGGUAAAGUAAAAAUACGCUAAAUCACAGAGGGGCAAAUUAAAGUUUACCCUUAUCAUUCAGAAACUUUAUCGACUCUAAAAAUUACCACAUAAGCACUAAAAAUAAACAAAAUAAUGGAAAGUUACAAAUUUUACAAAAAAAAAAAAAAAAACAAUAGAAGGUUAGGACUAAGUAAAAAUUAUAAGAAAGGUUGGGGACCAAUGGUGUAAUUAACUCUGAAAUAAGAAUUUUUAAGUUCCGCAUUCAAAAUUCAAAAUCUGUAAAAGAAUUUAACUUUAAUUCUUACGCAUAUUUACUAUUAAUGAAUAAACUAUUAGAUCCAUAUAAUGUGUCUCUAAUUUAAGUGUCAUAUAUUUAUCAGCCUUUCAUCUCAGAGUUUUGAAUGUUGAAUUUUUUUUAAGUGGGAGGACCAAAGAAACGUUAAUCAAAGUUCAGGGAGUAAAAUGCAAUUUUUAAACCCAUCAUUUACCCCGUAGUCGGCGUCGUUUUCGGCGCUGAUUGCCGACUUUAUGAAUCACCCGCGUUGUUCAACUUAUUCCUUAGCAUAUGCUAAGGAAAAUGCUUGCUUGAUGUGUGCUAUUACCUUUUUUUAUAGUGUGUGGUAACCCAACAUUGUCCCCCAUUCAAGUUCCAAUGAUAGGUUAAAAAAAAAAAAAAAAUCAAAUACCACUUCUCUGGUUGCGUACUUUUUUAUUUUAAUAUUCUGUGUUUUAGAAUGUAUUAUUUUCGUACUCUGUGGUUUAUUUUUUUCUUUUUAUUAUCUCCUGCACUAAUUUUUUUUUCGUUAAAUCAGUGACAAAGUUAAAAUAAAAAAAUAAUAAAGCAAAUAUUCGAUAAAUCAUAGGUGGGGUAUCUGAAGUUUUUUGAAUAUGAUUUAACGAAAAGUUAACGGAGGGACCGACGUAAAUUAAAAAUUAAAACCACAGGGUACUAAAUUGAUACAUUUUAAAUUACAGAAUACUAAAGUGAGAAAGUACGAAAUAUAUAGAAAUAGUAUUUGAAGUUUACCCUAAAAAAAAAAAAAAAAAAAGAAAUUGCUUGUGUUUUGGUGUGGUGGGUCUCCACCACUACACUACUCUUGGGCAUACUUGUGGUGGCCACACGAUUUAUUCAAAUAUUAGUCACAUCCACAUUUCACAUCCAUAAAUUACUUUGCCAUAACUUUUUCUUCUUUUUUUUUUUUCUUUUCUUUUUUCGCCCUUUUAUUUUUUUAAUAUUUUACUUUGUUUGAUGCACUCAUUGUUGUUCCUAUGUUGCCCAUGUGUUAAAUAUUGGGAUAAGCCUUUUCCACUCUAUUAUUUUAUUUUUUUAAAAACAAACAAGGGGCAAUUGCUUGUGUAUAUCUUAAAAAUUUUCGACUUUUUUAUUUAAUUUUUCUUAGAAAGUUAAAUAUUAAAAAUAGUUUUUUAACAUUUUAAGAUUUUUCAAAUAUACUCCUUAACUAAAUUUUAUUAGCGAACCGUUAGGAAUAGUUAUUAUCUCUUUGAAAUUACUAUUUUGCCUUUUUAAAUAUACCCUUUCAGUGUCACCUUAUUCUUUUACUAUCGCCAACUUUUUCUAUUUACACUUAAAUUAGAAGCAAAAUAAGUAUUUUUAUUAUUUUUAACUAUGAUAGAAAUUUAAUUCAGAUUUAAUUCGAAAUAACUUAACGGACACUGACAGCGGUGUUAUUUUUGAAUAACGAAAAAAUAUACAAGGCGUAUAUUUGAAAUAAAAAAAUAAAGAUGAAUAAAAUAUUUCAGAAAUUUUGAGAGCAUAUGGAUAAUCAGCCCUUUUUUAAAUAGCCUUCCAAAAGAGUGUAAUUUCACACAUUUAAUAAGAAAUUAAAAAAUCAUGUUACAAAAUCAAUAUAAAAAUUAAAAAUUAAAAACUAGAUACUAAAUUAAAAGAUUACAAAACAACACCUAUUAAUGAAUUGUCCUUCAAGAGAGAGCAAGGGUAAAAUCACUAUUUCAUUAACUUUGCUCGCGUUUAACUCCGAUAAACUUAGGAAAAAUAUUUGUGAUAAAAUUUAGGAAAAACUUCAAAAACCCCCCCUGUGGUUUCAUGCAUUCUCACUUUCAUACCCUGUGGUUUAAAACGUAUCAAUUUGCCCCCCUGUGGUUUUAUUUUUCUCUUUUUGUUAUCAAUUUUAUUAUUUUUUUUUUCUUAAAUCAGUAACAAAAUUAAAAUUAAAGGAUACUAAAGUGAAUAUUCGAUAAACAUAGAUGGUUAUCUGAAGUUUUUUGUAUAUAAUUUAACGAAAUAUUAACGAAAAAGCUUCUGAAAAGAUAAAAACGAAACCACAGGGGGGCAAAUUGAUACGUUUUAAACCACAUGGUACUAAAGUGAGAAUGCAUGAAACCACAGGGGGGGUUUUUGAAGUUUUUUCUAAAAUUUAUAUAUUACAUAAUAUUUUACAUUUUGAGCGUGAAUUUGUAAAAUUUCCAAACUUUCGAGUAUAAAUCACAAAGCGAUAAAGUACAAAUUACAAACUAUAAUAACUUUUUAUUAAAAAGAUAAGAACGAUAAAGUAACAAAAAUUAUAAAUAAAAAUAAGGGCGAUAGCAGAUCACUAGAAGGUUCGCGAUUAAUGUAUAAUAAUAAAAUAAAUAAUUUUCUCCUUUCUCACUUUGUGGUGUUAAUGUUUGCCUCUUCCAGCUGGACUAUUGAUCCCAUGAUAGCAACUUUUAAAAUUAAAUAAUUAAUCAUGAAAAUUUAGAUGGCUUAUUUGGAGUUUUGGACACAUUAGGGAGAAAUAAAAAUGACUCAUGUGACAGUAACAUAUCUAUAAAUAUCUAUCAUAUAUCAUAUAUUAUAUAUCAUAAAUAUACGGAUAAAUUUUAAAUAUCAUUUCUGUGAUUUCGCACUUUCUAACUUUAGAGCUAUGUGGUUCAAAGUGUAUCAAAUUAGUAUUCCGUUAAUAUUUUAUUAAAUUAUAUACAAAAAACUUCAGAUAUCUCAUCUAGAUUUAUCGAAUAUUCGCUUUAGUAUUCUUUAGUUUUAUCUUUGUCAUUGAUUUAACGAAAAAAAUAAUAGAAUCGAUAAUAAAAAUAAAUAAAUAUGAAACCACAGGACAUUAAAUUGAUACACUUUAAAUCAUAUGGUACUAAAAUGAAAAAAUAUGAAACCAUAUAGAUGAUAUUUAAAGUUUCCGUUAUAUAUAUAUAUACAUAUAUGAAUUCUCAGUUUCUGUAAACAACGUGAUACUCCUGUGUUGAUUUGGAUGGAGAGUGACUUGGGUAGAGCUUUUUUUUAUCUUUUAUAUUCAAUUUUCCUCUCUCUCUCUCUCUCUCUCUCUCUCUCCAAGUUGAUUUAGGCUUCUUUUAUCCUUCUUAUAUUUUUACUAGAGCAGCUAUUGCUUUUUCUUUAAUUUCUCCUAUUUUUAUUUUUCUUUAUUUUUUGAUUUUUUUUAUUUUUAAUGAUUUUGUUGUUUCUUCUUUCUUCAUCUCUUUUUACUUAUUUACUCAUUAGUUAAUAAUAUUAUUAUUAUAAUUUAUUUGCACAACUACAAGACCAAUACAAUCCACCAAGCUAACUAUAACACUUAAAAUUUAGUGAGGACUCUCAUGAUGAAGAGAUGACACUCUAUUUUAGGGUAAAAUGUAUGGGUAGUCCCCAAACCAUUCCAAUAUUGCAACUUGGUUCCCAUAUUUUUCACUUGAGUACUUUAUUUUGUGAACCACAAAAAAGGAAUCUCUCUCUCUAGAAGUUUAGUAAUAAGGUAUCUCAUAGUCCAUGUUUGCUUAUAUAUCUUGCUGUCUUAUAGAAAGUGAUGUUUUGAAAAGUGUUAUAAUAAGUGAAAAAAAAUUUUAAGGCUAAAUUAUGGAAAAUAUCUCUGUGAAAAUUCGUGUUUUAACUUUUUUUCUCUAUCGUUUAAAAAGCUACACUUUACCUUCUUAGAAAAUAAAAAAUGUUCACUUCGGAUCCCACAAUCCAUGUUCUAUUACGGUUCCAUCUACAUCUUAUUACUUUUUUUAUACCGAGAAUACCCUUCUAUCCCUCCUCUCAGCAGAGUCGCCUCCUUCCUUGCAAGUGACGACUUCGGUCGUGCCGUCUCGCUCUCCUCCGCCAUCUCACCCUUGCCCUCCCUCUGUUCACGCCUAUCCCGACCUCUUCCCACCAUCGCUGAAUGGAGAGAUGGUGGGAGUGCAGGAGGAACAGAGAGAGCAGGUGGAGCUAGCGGAGUCGAAGCUGGGAUCGAGCGAGGCACGAAGAAUAUAGGAGAUUAGGAGGAGAGGCUACGGACGAAGAAAGGUUAGAAAAGAGACGAAGAGAGAGGGGGUAUUUUGGUCAUUUUAUCAAUAUAGUUAAUAUCGUACUCAUGUAAACAUUUUUUAUUUUUUGAAUGAGCAAAUUUUAGGUUUUUAAAUAACAAGAAAGAAAAAUAAAAACAAAUCAGAUUUUGAUAGGAGAUUUUCUGUAAUUUAGUUAUAUUUUAGUGAUUAGUAACUAAAGUGUUAUAUAUAUAUAUAUAUAUAUAUAUAUAUAGGGUCGUAUAAAGCUCUUAUGAGUACGAUCGCCGCUCAUACUCAUAAUUUGUUGUUCGAUGAUAGGAGCUUCCGAAUCGCGAUCCACACCGUUAAACUUAUUUACAGCAUUUAAAACUUCUAGAAAUCAAAUUUAUAAUUUUUCGACAUCAGUUUACCUUAUGAUCAAGAAGGUCACGAAUUUGACAAUUUAACGGCGGUAUGGAUACUUCUAGUUUAACGAUUGUAAAAGAAUCAAAAUUGUUGGAUUUUUGAUAGAAAAUUCUAUUCACUACAUAGAUAAUGAUCAAUAACUCCGAUCUUAAAUGAAGGAUCCGAUCAUCCUUUUUAGGACGUUGUUCGAUUUUGACCGUUCAUUUUAUGCACUUAUGGACUUUAUUAUGAUUUCGAAAAUUACGAAAUUAAUUUUCUAGAAGAUUUCAAAUACUCUAGAUCAUAUUUAACGGAGUGGAUCGGUCGAUUCGGAAACUCCAUCAUUGAAACAACUUAUGAGUACGUAGGCUCAAUACUUAUAAUUUAGUAGCCAUGGCCUAAUAUAAGGGUCCGGCUACUAUAUAUUAUGAUAGCACGAUCUGCCCUCAUACUCAUAAGUUGUUUCGAUGAUAGAGCUUCCGAACGACGAUCCACACCGUAAACAUUAUUUACAGCAUUUAAAACUUCUAGAAUCAAAUUUAUAAUUUUCGACAUCAUUACCUAUGAUCAAGAGGUCACGAAUUGACAAUUUUUAACGGCCGGUAUGGGAUACUUGCUAGUUUAACGAUGUAAAAGAAUCAAAAUUUGUUGAAUUUUUGAUAGAAAAUUCUAUUCACUACAUAGAUAAUGAUCAAUAACUCCGAUCUUAAAUUGAAGGAUCCGAUCAUCCUUUUUUAGGACGUUGUUCGAUUUUGACCGUUCAUUUUAUGCCCACUUGAUGGACUUUAUUAUGAUUUCGAAAAUUUACGAAAUUUAUUUUCUAGAAGUUUCAAAUACUCUAGAUCAUAUUUAACGGAGUGGAUCGUCGAGUGAGGCUGUUUGAAGCUAAAGCUAGAAAUAUACUACUUUUAGAAGUAAUUAAGUGAGGCUGUUUAUUUUUAAAUCACUUUCAAUAAUAAAUUAUUCAAAUUGACGAUCUAUACAGUUAAACGUGGUUUAAACUAUUUAAACUUUUAAUUUUUUUAACAUCAUUCAACAUCAAAAUUAUUAAAUUUCAAUGGCUAACAUCGAGUAAAUUUGCGACCAUUUAAUUUAGCCGACAAAUAAUAUUCUAAAACCGUUAGAUUCAAUUUCUAAAAAGUUUAAAUAGCUUAUAUCGUAUUAUUAGAUGGUAUCGAUUGCCGAUACGAAUUUUCUAUCACCAAACAUAUAUAAUACAAAAGUAAACUUUCUUAUUUAUUUCUAACUCAAAUUACCAAAGUAAUUAAACUAAAUUAAACUAAAUUAAACUAAGAGUGUAGGGAUUAAUUAAAUUAUAAUAUAGAGAUUGUAUUUGUUUUAAAAAUGUUACCAUAUAAUUAACCAUGCUAACAACAAGAAAUAAAAAUUAAAAAAAGCAAAAUCGUUAAGAACGUGGAUAAGGACGAUGACUUGGUACAUUAAUUUCAGUACACACGUUUUGCACCACCGAAUAAAUUAAUUGUAAUCCUAUUAAAUUAAAUAAAUUUAAUCUUAAAUUAAGAAUAUAUAUUUGGUUUAAUAUAUAUAUAAAAUAUCUAAAUUAAUUAUAUGUUUUUACAUAAUAUGUUGUACAAGUUGUUAAUUAUAACAAAAAAUUAAAUUUUAAAAGCACUAGACAUAAAAGAAGUACAAAUUAUAUGAAAAAAUAACAAGAAAUUAUGAAACAAUGCAUAUCAUCAAAAACUAUAUAGAGUGAUCGAGAUUACGAAUAGUUUUUUUUUUUUGUACGUAAUCAAAAAAUAGAAAAAAACUUUAAAUAUCACCUCUGUGGUUUCACAUUUUUUAUUUUAGCACUCUGUAAUUUAAAAUAUAUCAAGUGGUUUCGCACUUUUUUAUUUUAGUACUAUGUAAUUUAAAGCGUAUCAAUUUAGUACCCCUUAGUUUCAUUUUUCUCUGUUUAUUAUCCCCUCCACUAUUUUUUUUCCCGUUAAAUCAGUGAUAAAGUUAAAGCUAAAAGAUAAAAAAAUAAAUAUUCGAUAAAAUUAGGUGGGAUAUCUGAAGUUUUUUGUAUAUAAUUUAAGAAAAUGUUAGCGGAAGAGCUGACGAAAAGAGAAAAAUGAAACAAUAGGAUAUUAAAUUGAUACACUUUAAACCACAGGAUACUAAAGUGAGAAAAUAUGUAUGAGAUAUGGUGUAGAGAUUAAAAAAAAAAGAAGAGUUUAAUAGCAAAGUAAUGCAAAACAUAUUGGAAGAGUGAUCAAGAAUCUUUAUAGAAGUUGAAAUACAAUAUUUAUUUUUCAGUAAUUUUAUCAAUUAAUUUAAUUAUAAUAAAAAUAUGUACAAUAUUUUUGAUGAUUGAUAUUAAUAUGAAAGAAAUUUACUAACCACCACUUAAUUGCUCAUGCUAAAUUUGCUUUCAAUAGGAGGCGUUAUUCUUAAUACAAAAGGUCUGACAUAAUUUGUAAUAUGUAAAAAAAAAAAUAUUUCAUGUGUUAAUAUAAUUUUUAAUUUUAAUAUUAGGCAUUUAAAUUAUAAAUAUUUGGAGACCCAAUUUAUAGACCAUGGUGCAUGCAAUAAGUUCUCUUAAUUUAUUUAGAUUUAAAUAUUUCUAUUCCCUUGGAGGAUAAUUUACACCCUACAAUUCAUGCAUUGUAUUUAAUAUUUGAUAAUUAUCACUAUAAAAUUAAAUUUCAAUAUUGCAAUAAAAAUAAUCUAUGGCUUAAAAAUCUAUACUUAGCGCUUUAGUAGUUCCAAAAAUUGAAAGUAUAGAGUAAAGGGCACUGUUUGAUUUUCUAUUCCAAAUAUUCACAUAAUAAAUUUGACCAGAUUUAACUAAUUCAAUAUUUUAUUAGAAAUUAAUGCUUUUAUUAACAUCAUUACUAUUCACUCUAAAACUUAAGCUGCUCUGAUAUCAUGUGAAAUAAUCGUGUACUCUAAAAGCCUAAGCUGUUAUAGAACGGUGUUUAUAUAUUUUUUAUAAUUACCAAUAUUGUCGUCAUGGUUUUGUAGACAUGCAAUUUAAUUAGCACAUUUAAAUUGUAUAAAAGUAGUUGAAACAAUAGAUGGGAGUUGAGAUAUCCUUCUUAGAAGGUACAAUUAAACAAAUCCUGGUCCUUUUGAUUGAAUCAACCUUAAAUCAUCUUAAUUAGCUAAUUAGGGUUAAUAUGGAGAACAUACAUGCAUGGAGGUUUCAUAUUUUACUGGUGAAAGAUGCUACAUUGCAUUUUUCAUAAAAGUAACUAAAUUGGUCACACCAUAUAAUAUAGAGAAAACUUCAAAAACCCCCCCUGUGGUUUCGUAGUUUCUCACUUUGCCCCCCUGUGGUUUCUUUUUUCUCUUUUUCUUAUCAAUUUCAUUAUUUUUUUUUCUUAAAUCAGUGAUAAAGUUAAAAUUAAAAGGUACUAAAGUGAAUAUUUGAUAAAUCUAGAUAGGUAUCUGAAGUUUUUUGUAUAUAAUUUAAUGAAAUAUUAACGAAAAAGCUAUGGAAAAAAUAAAAACGAAACCACAUGGGGGUAAUUUGAUACAUUUAAAAUCACAGGUGGCAAAGUGAGAAACUAUGAAACCGGGUUUUUUUGAAGUUUUUCCUAUAAUAUAUAAAGGGAUAAGGUUGAGAUAUAAAUAUAGAAUAUAGAAAAGUAUAAAAAUAACUAAAUCAGUCCAAUCAAACAGGCCAUAAGUGUGUUACAUAUUAAAUUCUUAUUGGGACCAACUCACAUCUAUCUAUUUAAUUUAUUAAUUUAUUAAUUAUUAAUUAAUUAACAACAUUAAAGGAGGGUUUGGGGACCUUAGAGUGACACGUGUCCCGCAAAACCUCCUCUUCUCUCUCCUUCUAUACACACACACACAGACACAACAUAACACACCACACACACAUAUAUAUAUAUAAUUAUAAUAUAUAUAAUAUAUAUAUAUAUAUAUAAUACAAAAUUUAAUUUUGAUAUUUUUAAAUUUUAAAGUUUUAAAUUUUAAAUUAAUAUUUUCAUUUUAAAUUAUAAUAUUUAUUUUCAAAUUUUAAACUUCUCAAAAUUAAAAUUUUAAUCUCUAAAUUCUAAUAAUACGCGUAGUAAAUCGCGUAAUAAAAUCCAACCUAAUAAAUGCAAUUUAAAUUACAUAAAAUAUUCGUCUGUAUAAAAAAAUAUAGAAUUUAAUUUUAGGACUAAAAUUUUAGAAAAUUAUAGAUGCAUAUGUGUAUUAUAUAUAAUUAAUUUUAUUAAAUAAUUUUUUUUACAAUUUUUUUUUAUUUAUUGGUUUUCUUAAAUUAUUUUGAUAGAUUUAUCUCAAAUUCUUUUCAUAUAAAUUUUAUAAAAUAAAUUAUUGUAUAAAUUUAUUUUGCACAUAAUUAUUUUUAUAUAAUUUUUUAUUUAAUUAAUAAUUAGACUUAUAAAACUAUAUAAAAAUAUUAAAAAAUAUAUAAUUUAUUAUAAAAAUAAUUUUAUAUCCGCAGCAUCGCGCGGGUAAUUCACUAGUCAGGCAUAACAUGAGGGUAUAUAAAAAAUAGGGUUAAUUACAUACAGGUCCUCACAAAUAUAGUGAAUUAUAAAUAUAUUUCUGCAAAGUUUAACUUUCAUAAGUUAUUCCUAUAAAGUUUCUAAUAUUUUCAGAUAUGUCCCUUUGGUUUGUUAUCGUUAGAGAACUGUUAGAAAACUGUUUAUAUUUCCAAUUUUGGCAUCACAAAUAUAUUUCUCAAAAAGUUAUAACAGUAUAAUAUAAGAAGAGUAAAAAUGUCAAAAAUUAACCCAGGUAAAGUAUUUAACCAAUGGUUAACUAAAUUUUUCUGACAGAUUCUAACAGCAGGGACUUAUCUGAAAAUAUUUAGACUUUUGUAGGGAUAACUUAUGAAAGUUAAACUUUACAGGAAUAUAUUUAUAAUUCACUAUAUUUGCGAGGACCUGUAUGCAAUUAACCCUAUAUGAGUCCGUCUAAUAUACUUUCGAAAGUAUCGGGACCUCCGUGCUUGUAAGUUGUUUUCGAUGAUAGGACAUCCGAUUCGACGAUCGGCUCCGUUAGGUAUAAUCUACCCUAUUGGAACUAUUUAGAAACCAAAUUUUAUAAUUUUUUGACAUCAUUUACUAAGCAAUCAAAAGGUCCCAAAAAUGACUAUUUUAAUGGCCGAUGCGAUACGUUUUUAAGUUCAAUGGUGUAGAAGUAUCCAAAUUACAUGAAACUUUAAAAGAAAAUUCUACUUAACGUCAAUAGCAAGAUCAAUACUUCCGAUUUGAAAUUUGAGUUCUUUAUCAUUAUUUUUUAUGAGAUUUUUAUUUUCAGCCGUUCAUUUUGAGGCUACUCGUUCACUAGGCAAACGAAGUCAAAAAAUUAUGAAAUUUGUUUCUAGAUAGUUCCAAUAGCGUAAAUCAUGUCUAACGAAACCGAUCGCCGAAUCGGACGUCCCAUAAUCGAAAACAACUUACAAGUACGGAGGCCCUCGUACUUUCGAAAGCAUAGACAGUAUUCUUAGAAAUAUAUAUAUAUAUAUAUAUAUAUAUCAUAUAUAUAUAUAAUUGAGCUCCUGCUUUUAAAAGUACAAAUUUAUAGUGCUUAUAGGAUUUUUAGCAUUGGAUUAAGAGAUUAUAGCGUAUAGGAUUGAUGUGGCCCUAGGUUGCAAGUGAGGUGUGUUGGUUUAAUAGUGAUAAUUAUAGUUGGUUGAAUAUAUGAUUCAAGUCUGUAAUUGACGGUAAAAAAAACUUUACAAGACACCAAGGCUGGUCCUUUUACAAGCCCGAUAGUGGACUAUAUAUAAAUAUAUAUAUAAAAUAAUCAUAUUAUUAUCUAAUAAUAGAACAUAGGCAUGGAAUACUAUACAAUGCAGCUCAUAGAGUUUUAUGUUUUGUUUUUUUUUUUUUUAUUAUAAUUUUGUUUUUCAUAUAUUUUUUUGAUGCUAUUAGUUUUUUAGCCUUGGAUUCAGAAGAAUGUGCCGGUUUUGGAUGAGUCUGGGCCCAUAGGGUUGAGUGAGUGCAUGUGGAUAGUAUAAUCUCACGGAUGAAAAUAAUCAAGGAGGUUAUCAUAAACGGUAGAAAAAACUAUUGAUAGCACAAGUGUUUGUGCCUUCGUAGCCUACAAGCCUACUAUCAUAGCAAUUAUUUAUAUUAUAUAGAAUUAGGUUACUAUACUAUUAGUACAGACUCCAGUCUAUACUUUUGUUGUCGAUCUUAGAGGUUCAAAUUAACGUACUCAACCUGUUAAAUAUGAUUUAGAUAGAUGUAAGUAAUUUUAGUUUUUUCGAAUCGUUUACUUAGUGAAUAUAAUUAAUGUCAAAAUGGCAGGGAAUAUUGAUAAUCAUUUAAAAUAAUUGAGUAUAGAAUUUAAAUUGCAAAGUCAGGAAUGUUAUCUUAAUCUAUGAUAGGUUUAAAGUAUUUCUUUAUUAAAAUUUGAAGAAAUUUAAGAUAUCCUUCGCUGCACCGAUAACUCUAACACUCGUCCAUAGUAGCUAUUGAAAAAUGAGCAAUUAUAAUGAUGUUGUCUAUAAAUAAACUAUCCCGCAAAAAAUAUAAAUUUUAUUUUAAACUAAAUACCUAAAUCAGCUUUAACGGAGUGGAUCGGUUGAUUUGAACACCCUAGAUCGGAAAACGGACCUAUCAAUACAGAGGCAAUAAUUAUAGAUCAGUAAAUAGCGGACUAGCUUCUCUCUCUCUCUCUCUCUGCAUCUCAUUCUAUAAUAUAUAAUUAUAUAUAGCACAUUAAUUAAUAUAAGGUUGAGAUAUAGAUAUAGUUAAUAGUUUUUUUUUUUUUUUUCCCUUCUAAAUAGUCCAAUCCAACAAAUUGGGCCCAACCUCAAUAUAUAUAUAUAUAUAUAUAUAUAGCACAUUAAUUAAUAUAAGGUUGAGAUAUAGAUAUAGUUAAUAGUUUUUUUUUUUUUUUUCCCUUCUAAAUAGUCCAAUCCAACAAAUUGGGCCCAACCUCAUCUUCUUGUGUGGCAUUCACAUGACAAUGCAAAACCAACCCAUCAAAAUCUAUGGAGAUCAUGCAUGGGAGAUCAUGUGCUUAUCCACUUUUCACCAAAUACCCACCUUUUUUUUCCUUUUAAUUAAGGGAAAGCUUUUAGGUAUCUUUAUUUAUGUUCAUUGAUUACAUCUAGUUGACAAAUGCUUGAAUCAAACAAAAUAGAGAGAAAAUGACAUAAACACUAAUAUGGCUUCUAAACUAAGAUUAUCUGCACUUUCCCUUAUAUGCACAUCUUAGUUUUGAUUAAAAUAGAUAGAGCAAAGAAUAAUGAUACACAUGUUUUCAAAAAUAGAUGGGAACAAAAUCUAAGCUAAGGUGACUGGUUUAUAUAUGGACAUUGUAUAAGACUCACCAGUAUGCAAUUUGUGCGACUCAUUUAACUAUAUAAUUCUCAUCAUCCUUUUCUACUUUUUUUUUUUAUUUCUGAAAGUGUUCCUGUCGCCUCUUUAUAAGAGAGAUCCACUCAAUUUGCUCAAAUAUUUGCGUCAAAAAGCUAGAAAGAGUAAUUUAGAGUUUGAAUUUUAUACUACAACAGAACUAGAUUAUAGCGACACAUGUUUGGGACACUUUUAUGUAAGUGUCCCAUUUAUGCCAAAACUAAAAAAAAAAUCUAUUAAUGCUUAAGUAUAAAGCCCAAUCCAACCAAAAAUAAAGGUUACUCUACUCAACCGACCCCACCCAGCCCAUUCGACCCGAUUACAAACAGAAAAGAAAAAAAAAAAGAAAAAUCGAUUGUCAACUCCCCUUCUCCCCUCGCUCAAUCCACUGAAAUUCUAGACGAAGAGCCCUUCCCUCUCCUCCUCCUCCGCCACCACAGCCAACGAGGUAGAGUUCCGGCGGUUGCUAAAUGCUUAAAUGAGUGUUAGUAAAUUAGCAGCACUCUUUUUAUGUUAUAGCGACACUUUUUAACUGUCACUAUAUACCUAGCGACCCAACAUAUAGCAACACUUUUUAAUAGUGUCGGUAAUUUAGUCAGCAGCAUUUUUUUUACCUGCAGUGACAUUUAAAAGUGUCGCUAUAUACCGUUUUCGUUGUAGUGAAUUAGGCACGCUUUAGUGGCUUUAUUAAGAGUAUUAAUUAGAAUAUUUAUCCUUUAUUAGAUAAUGUAAAAGCAAAAAUUUCGGCCCUAUCUAUACACACAAUGUUCAAGGACCAUUUUAUAUCAAGUCAAUUUCAAGUUAAUGGAUAUAGAAUCAAGAUCCAUCCUAAUGGUGACUUUAGUGAGUGCAUGAUCUAGUAGUGGUCCUUAGAGGUGGAACCAAACAAGGGACAAGAUUUGGUCCCUCAUGUGAGUUUUUGAUAAAUGGACCAACAUAUAUGAUAUCUUCACUUCAUGGAUGCUACAACUUAACAAUAAUAAGAACAAAUAUUUUAGGAAAUAUUAAGAAUAUAUCUAAAUUAUUUUUUUACUAAAUCAUUUUUUAAGUAACAUCGUAGCAGAAUCAGCUAUUAUGUUUAUUUAUUGGGAUAAUUGCCUAUAUACCCCUCGUACGUUUGAAAAUAUCUGAUUUAUUCCUACUUUUUUUUUUCUUUCUAAAAUACCCUUCAUAUGUUCCACCGUUAUUAUAAAAUACUCCUGCAGUUAUCUCCUGUUAAGUUAACUUGGGUUAAACGUGAGUUAAAUAUCUACCACAGUUAAAAAAAAUUAAAAUGCUAAUUUUGUCCUUAACUUAAGGGCAUAUAAGAAAUAUUGGUGACGGUAGAAGGAUAUAUUUGAAAAGACCAAAAGUCAAAAUACUUUUUGUACCUCUGACUUUAAGGGCAAAUAAGAAAGUCAGUGAUAGUGGAAGGGUAUAUUUAAAAGGGCAAAAUAAUAAUUUUACAGAGAUAACAGAGUUCAUUAACAGAUUUUAAUCCUAGGGAUAUAUUUGAAAUAGGUUGGAACGUAAAAAAGGUAUUUUUAAUAUUAGCCUUCUAAGAGGGAUAAAUCAAAAAGUCGGGAACUUUUCAGAGGUAAAUAUAAGCAAUUGCCCCUUAUUUAUUUAUACAUUCACAUUACAUGUGAGCUGAAGUGUAAAGAUUAAUUCUGAACCAUUUUCUACUAUACCGAUCAUUUGGAUAAUAGCAUAGGUAUAUAACAUUUCAAAACAUUAUGUCAGUGAUUCAAAUAAGAAAUAUUUUUUGUUAAAAUUGGGCCAAAAAUCACAAAAAUAUGAUAGUAUGGAAUCUAUGGAUAGUGCUUUUAUUAUUUAUUUAUUUAUUUAUCAUUUUUUGUAACCAAUUCAAACUUCCCAACCAAAGACACAAUAGGGAUAAGAUCUUGACUCAUAGGUUGCAUAAAGGAUAUCUAUGUAUCUUUCACUUAAAUAAAUAAAUAAAUAAAUAAAAAUAUAUUUAUUCAUAUAUCUUUGAUUGAAAUUGUCCCACUGAAUAAUGGAUAAGGAUAAAGGGGAUGACAAUAAUAUUGAAUCUAGUGACCACCAUUUUAAUUCCAUCCUCUAAAAAUAAUCUAUCUCAGAUAAGCACGAACUAAACAAAUUUUAUGUUUGGUUGAGAAUUGAAAAAUCUACUAGAAUAAGAAAAAUAAUAUUUUGAUGGUUAUUGCCAGGAAUAAUAGUCGGAAUAAGAAUAAUUAUAAUUUCAAAAUAGAAAUAUUUCACCUUAACACUGUGUAGGAUGAUGGAGAAGUACAUUAGUAAUUUGUUUGAUUAGUUAGAUGAGUAAUUAGUGAAUAAAUUAAUUAGAUUAGUUGUAUUAUUAAUUAGUAAAGUAAUAUAAAUAUUAAUUAUUGGAAAACUUAGCUUAUUUUAGUAGCUGUUAACUUAGUUAAUAAAUGCUAUGUAUGUAGCACAUUCCUUGUAAGAAUCAUAGAUAGAAGAAUUGGGAUACAAAUUCAGAUAAUAAAUCACUUAAUUAAAUAUAACUCUUCUUAGUUCUUGAAUCACAAUUAUCUCUCUUACCAAAAGAAAAAGAAAAGAAAAAACAAAUAAUACAAAUAACAUAGGGUUCUCUUUUUCAUAUAAUUAAAUAACAUAGUCAUUACAAGUGCAUUUUCCACAAAUUAAGUAUCAACACAAAACCAUGUAAAUAAAACAAAUAAUUACAAGAAGCACAUGGAGGCCAUGUACAAAAACAGCAGUUACAUCUCCACAAGAACCUCAAAUUUAUACACAUCACAAAGAAACUCAAAAGUACAAAAUCACAUAUUCACAGAAAAUCAAAUGGUUGUUCCUUCACAUCGGCAUUUGAUUUCACGUCACACGAUCCAUCGGAAACAUAAAACGAAGCCUCGAUCAAGGAGAGAAAUAGUUCGCUCGAUGAGCGUUUCACCACCACCACCCUAUUUUUCGAGAUGAAAUUAAAACUUCGUAAGGUUUAAGCUAUAAAUAUUCAUAGGAAACAUCAUUUGCAUCACUUGUUCAAACCAAAUAUGCAUACCCAAAUACUAGAUUAAAGCCGCAUACAGUAUCAGAAACAAUAUGCGCCAUAUAUAUGUUGCGAAUAAUCUCAAUAACAUUUAAAAGCACGUCGAUGCAUUAUAGCUGCUGCAUCAAGAAAUCAUAAUAUAAGAGAGGCUUGUCAUGUGAAAUAUGGGAUUUAUACGAUUUUUUUUUUCAGAAACUUGAACAUACGAAAGAUAAGGAAACUGAAUAUCAACAAGUUAUGAGUGUUUCGUAAAAAACUUAGCGUCAUGGGUCGGACAAACAAUCAAAGUGCGAGAUCAGAAACCGAAACCAGUACAAGUUCUCUUCAUUUGUUUGAUCGUAAACCGAAACCAAAAAUGCUUCAAACCGAAACUCUAAGAAAACCCAGGACACAAGGGAAAUUGAAAUCGAUACACUGUGCCUCAAUUUCGUUGAGGCUAAGAUGCUUCUUUUGAUAUCGUAAUCACGCGAUCGACUUUAAGUAGACCACUACGAAACCUACAUCAUAGAAGAAGCAAUGCUUAGAAGCAUAUCAAGUUCUCGAGAAGUAGCUUCAAGUUCUCCUCAACAAAGUAAGUUCGUAUUAUGCGACCAGAGUAGGAAUCCAAGAGCACAAAACACAUGAUUAGCAUCUGACAGAUAUGCAAGAAACUUGAAUCGAACAAGCACCGAUAAUUUCAUAUACUAUAUUUGCAGAGAGAACAAUGCACGGAAUGAUAUUAGAUCAGCACAAGCAGAGAAUUUAAAGCGCAAGUUACAAAGACAACAGAGGUUUCUGCAGAUCCAGCCAACCUGAAAAUGUCACUUCGAUCCGACAAACACAUCAAGGAUUCCGCAGCAAUUCCACCACGUUGCGCGGUGUGCCGCUGAUGUAGCAUGCGGCUUGACCUACGAGCCAUCGAAACAGUCCCUCGUCAUCAGUAUAUCACCAUGAACAACAAAAGAAAAUGCCGCGAAUAAUGAUUUUUCGUGGGAUAAAUUGCAUGUUUGGUCCUCAGACCUUAAUUUGGUGGGAACUGUUGCAAUCAAAUCCUAUAACGCAACUUAAUUGGCUAAAUAUUGAUGAAUCGCAAAAGUAAAAAUGAUGUAGCAGUGUUGUGAUUGAUGACCACGUCGCUUUUAUAUCAACGAUGCGUUAAUAUUUAGUCAAUUAAAUUGGUUUAUGGGACUUGAUUGUAACAAUUCUAGAAAUUCGAGCCUGAAAUUGUAAUAAAUUAAAGUUUGAGGAUCCAACAUGCAAUAUAUCCAUUUUUUGUGGAUAGAACUCAAGAACCCUAAUUGCAAAAUCUCGCUUUUUUUUGCACAAAUUAUCCAUAGUUUUUUUUUUCUUUGUAGCAACACAAGCAAUUUUUACUUGAUCUAAUCCAUAAUAGUAAAGUGAAAGUGGGCUAAACCAAAAUUAAGCAUUUAUAUACAAACAUAUCAACAUAAUCUAUCUAUGAUAUACCUCGGUUUUCGCAAAAUCCACGGCUUUAUCGGCUUCAGAAAUCGGCGAAACCCUAGGUUCAGGUUCUCCGGAAGCAGCCGCCGCCGAUGCCGAUGACGAUGACGAAUCCUCCUCCUCCGAAACCCUAACCCUAGACUCCUCAAUCACAGUGAACGUUUUCUCCACAGGGGAAUCCCCUUGCUCCACCACCACUUUCUCCUCCUCCUCGUGCUCCAAUUUACCUGCUUCGGCAUCCGAAUUCGUCGGCUCCGGAGCCUCCUCCGCCGCCGCCGCCGCCUCCGGGUUUAGGGUUUGCUCCGCCUCGCCGUCGCCAUUGCCGUGCUCGGAGCUCACGUCGCUCGCCUUGCUGACGCCGUCGUCGUCCUCCUGCGCGACGGCGUCGCCAUGCCCGUCACCUGUUCGAUGAAAUGCUUGUGAGAGAUGCGAAUAGUUUGAUAAAAGAGAGAAUUAGAAACCACCGUACACUGACCUUGUGGGGGAUUGGGUUGGUGUUCUUCUUCUUUUUUGGUGUUCUUUUUGGUGUGUUUGGAUGAUUUCUUCUUCUUGGAACCUGGGAUUGGAGAUGGAGAAGGUGAGAGAUAGAGAAGAAGAAGAAGAAGAAGAUGUGUGGUGAGUGGAGAAAAGGAGGCAGAAGAUGGAGGGUUGGUGUUUCUAGGGUUAGGGUUUUAGUCUCUGUUUGUUUGACAAUCCGCUUCUGUUUCUGCUUUCAGUAAUAUGUCACUUACUUAAGCAAAAUCACUUAUCAAAUCCGUGCGGUGCUCGUCUUUCUCCGCAAAGUGAACAAGUCUGCCUCUCCGCUUGCUAUUAAGAGCUAAUAGAAAGGCACCCAGUGACGCAAAGUUACAGAUCAAAAUAGAAAACUACGAGCUCUUAAGAGACUCUCCUAGAAAUCCUAAGAAGCUCUUGACUCUUCGGCAUUUGUGCCCGCAGCCUCGAGAUUCAUAGAGAUGAUUCUAAAAGGCAAGAACUCUGACAAUAAUCUUCUUUAGAGUUUGGGUGAUUGCAAAGGUGAAAUUAGGGGAUGAUUCUAAGUCCUUACAAGUAGCUGUUAUCUCUACUUUGACUAGGGUUGUCGAUGAGCUGACCACGAGCGACCUAGGAUCGGCUCGUGUUCUAUCGUUUAUUAAACGAGUCGAACAUCAGCUGGCUCGUUAAAAUAUCGAGCUGAAAAAAAUAGCUCAUUCAUUAAACAAGUGAUCGAUUUCGAUCGAGCUGACAACGAACUGAAUUGCCAGCCCUACUACUACCAAGCGAAAGGUACAAGCUCUAAAUUGGCGCUCUUUUUUAUGGUAUGGAGUUAAUCCGUUGAAAGGAUUUGAAGGAUCAACUAAUUUUUUAAACAAAUUAUUCGCAAAAGUAAUGAGUUAUGAGCCGAACAUAAAUUUCAUCUUAUUCUUUCUUAUUCAAGUACAAGAAAAUUUAACAUAUUCCUGUCUCAAAAUACAGAUGUUUUAAAUAAAAUACAUGAUUUACAUAGGGAAAAUUAAUAGGGAUUAACAAAAAUUCUACAAGAAACUCACUUCAACAAGAUAUUAUGAGGGGUUGGAAUUAUAUCAUUAAAUCUAAAAUAAAACUUCCAAUCUCAACUAUUAAACCAAGUUCGUUAAUAAACUUAAAAAAUAUCAAUGUCAAUAAAAUCAUAAAACACAUCUAAUAUAUAUGUAAAAUACAAAAAACAAAGUUUCAUUGAUUCUACACAUAUAAAAUAGAAAACAUAGAACCAAAAAAAAAGAAAAACCACAAGAUAUAUAAGAAAAUGAGAUAUUAGGCAACAUGGCAUGCACAAGAAAUAAGAAAUGAAAACUUUUUCUUUUUCCAAAUUAAACUAUUGAGAAUUUAAAGAGUUUGAGUUCAAUUAGUCCCCUACUACACAUAACUUUUCAUCCAAAAAAAAAAAAAAAAAACUUUUUCAAUGAAAAAAAGAGAGAUAAAACUCAUUACUAUAUUAAAAAAAAAACAAGUAAUUAAUUUAUUUAAUUCUACAAAUAUAAAAGAGGAACAAAAGAACAAAAACCACAAAAACCCUAAAAUACAUAAGAAUUAAAAAAAUUAGGAUUAUUUUUUCAAAUCUACAAAAAUAAUGUAAAAAACUCAUUUUAAGUUUCUUUGAUUCAAGAAACAUAAAAGAAAAAUUAGAAAAACAGCAAAAUAUGUAACAAAAGAGGGGGUAAAAAAAAAGAGAAAUUAAUUUAAGGGGCAUAGAACACAUAUACCUUGUUGUGUGUUCUCCUCUAAAUCCACAACACCAUGCUGGUUCUUUUUGGAGAAGAGCUUUUUGAGCAUGGACAUAAUUAAAAGUGCUUUUCAAAUAAGCCCAAAAAGUAUAUAUUUUAGAGAGAAAAAAAAAACAAAAAAGACAAUAUAGGAAUAGAAACAAAUAAUUGCUUCUCCAAAAAGUGUGUGUAAUGCUUAUUCUUCGAUCCCUCCUAUGAUCUCUCAAAUCUUAUAAUUGGAGGAGAGAAAUAAAUAGAGUGAAAGGGGUGGUAGUUGACUUGGAUGCUUCAUGUAUUAUUAAUUUGUUUGCUACAUUUGGUGUAUCUGCGCAUCAAUGCGUUACGUAUUAUGAUACAGCGUUGUGUUAAAUAUAAAAAUAUAAGGGGCAAUUUCAUGAAUACCCCUCCCAAAGUCUUAAAUAUCAUAGAUACCCUUAUAAAGUUUAAAAUAUCACCUAUACUCCUGUAAAUACAGAAAAUUAUCAUCAAUACCCCUAUUGUUAGUUAUGUUAGCUUUACCAUAGUUAUUAAAUGGUUAAAACUGGGUUAAAUUUUAAAAUGACUCAUUUACCCUUAAGUUUCUCUUAAGUAAAAAUGUAUGGAGACCCCCUCAACUAUAUGCCAUUUUGAAACAACUCCCUCAACUUUUAUUUUUUUAGGUGAUAUCCCAUUAACUUUUAGUUUUUUAAAAAAUUAACUAAUUUCAGUGUAUAAAAAAAUGAGAAUUUUUUAAUUUUUUGAUAAUUUUAUCAAAUCUAGUGGCUCUAUUUAUAUUUUAUCGAAUAAAUAAUUAUAUAUAAAAAUUUAAAUGAAAAAAAAAGUUCAGGAAUUAUCCAUAUUUAAAUUCAGUUAUACGUUUGGUCUAUAUUUAAACUGAAGCUGAACCGAAAUCCAAAACCAAAAAACAAAACCAAAAUCAGAUAAAAACAUACUAUAUAUAAAAUAUAAUUUUUAUAUUUUUUUAAUAAUUAAUAUAUAUUAAUCAUUUAAUUUAAUAUGUAUAUAUUAAAUACUCAAAUUUAAAUUUACAAAAAAUAUCUUGAAAUACCUCUUAGUAUUUCUACUAUUAAUAAGAGAUAAAGGGUAAAAAUGGUAUUUUGAAAAUUUAACUCCGUUUCAUACAGGCCUUAACGGAUUUUAACUAAUAGAGGGUAUUUAUGAUAAUUUUUAACAUAUUGGAGGGUAUUUGUGAUAUUAUCAAUUUUAGAAGGGUAUUGAUGAAAUUAAUAGUUUCUAGAAGGGCAUCUAUGAAAUUAUUUCAAAAUAUAAAAACAUCAUUCUUUAACACAGCUUAAUUAAGUUUUUUGGAUAAAACUGUUAUUUCGCAUUAUUUAAUUAACAUGGUAUCAAAGUAAAAGGUUUUGAGUUCGAGUAACAUGGGACUCCAACAUGAGGGUGAGGUGUUAAAUAUAAAAAGGAGCAAUUGCUUAUAUACUCCUGAAAAGUUUUCAGACUUUUUGAUUUACCUUUUUUAGAAGACUAAUAUUGAAAAUAUUUUUUUUUACGUUCCAACCUAUUUCAAAUAUACCUCUAGAGUUAAAUUCUGUUGAUGAACUGUUAGCAAUAGCUGUUAUCUCUAUGAAAUUACUAUUUUAUCCUUUCAAAUAUACUAUUCUACCAUCACCGACUUUUCUUGUUUGCCCUUACGUUAGGGGCACAAAAAGUAUUUUUAUUUUUGGUCUUUUCAAAUUACCCUUCUAUCAUCACCAACAUUUCUUAUUUGCCCUUAAGUUAAGAGCAAAAGAGACAUUUUGAUUUUUUUAACUCUGGUAAAUUUUUAACUCACGUUUAACCCAAAUUAACUUCACGGAUAGUAAUUGUAGAGAUAUUUUGAAAUUACAGAGGAACAUAUCAGGGAUAUAUUGGAAAGAAAAGAAAAAUAAGGGUAACUGAGUUAUUUCUAAAGUUUUGAAGGGUACAUAGGCAAUUACCUCAUAUAAAAAUAUAAAAAUACUAUUCUCUACCUGCUUAAGUUCUCAAAGAAAAAAAAUUAUGUAAUAUCUUGAUUCAUUUAAAAUCUAAUUAUUAUAAUUGAAAUUACAUAAGAAAGCUCAACUAUAGCGGCUCGAAUUAACUGUAGCAAUUGAAGAGAUAAACUUCAAAAUAAUGGUAAACUUAUUUUCCUAAUCACAUUUGAAAAUAAUAUAUUAUUUUUUCUUGUACAUUAGAGAUAACCUCCUGAUCAUCCUGUAUAAAGUGAUAAAAUUUACAAAUACAAUUCUCAACUGCAAUCGAACAACCAGAUUAUUUUUUACCGCGGCUCUUUUACGAAACAAAAUGUAUGCUGUUGUAAUAUUUGUUGGAUUUUAAUUACAUGCUUAUCUAACUGUACUGUAUUUAUUAUUACGUUCAAUCAAAUAUGAAUAUGAAGUAAGUUGAUAUUUUUCAAAUAUGUAUAUCUAAAUUGGACGGUAGAGAUUGAAAUAUGAGAAGGUAUAGAGCUGAGAUGUAAGGGUGCACUGGUGCACAAAUAUAUCCGUACACCCGGUUCAUCGAAAAAUAAUUUCUUGGAACUAUCGCCAUUGUAGCUCGAAGUGACGCCUCGGUUAAAAAAAAAAAGUUUAUAAAUCUUCCUGGACCAGGUCCACAAAAUCACAGCUCCAUGGACCAGGUCCACCACCUCAACUAUAUAUAUAGGAGCAUUGAUUGGGCGAAGAACAAAUCGGAUGACAUAUCCAUUGGAUGACGUGGUGAACCGGGUCCAUAUAACUGAACUCCCACUUGGUGGGCGUUGUGACGUGGCGGAGUAUUAUUGGUGGGAAUUGAAUCUGAGGACCGGUUCAGAUAUAUCUGGACCAAACCCGGCCCACCGGUUCGGAUAUAAUUUGACCCGGACCCAACUUAAUAACAAGUGAAAUUUAUCACUUAUUACUUAUGUCCUAUAUUAUAUAUAAAAAAAAUUGUAUUAUUAAUUAAUUUUAUAAUAAUAUUUAUACCAAUAAUUUGGUAUCAAAAUUUAAUUAUAAGCAAAAAUCGACAUAAGCCACAUUUUAUUUUAUUUUAUUUUAUUUUAUUUAAUAUAUUUGCACGCUCUUUAUUAACUCGAGUUCCUAAAAAGGAAAACAGUUUCAUCGUACUAAUAAAAUUGCUAAUUUUAAUAAAUUUUCUAAUUUAAUUUAUUAACACAAUUUAAAGGCUUACUCUAUAAUUGUGGGACCGGUCCGGUUGGGAUAAAAUAAACCGAACCGGAACGGUUUACCCCGAAAAAAUUAAAAGUUAUUCGGUGGACCGGGACUUGUUGAGCAAAUUAAUUAAUAUUAAUCUUUAGGAGUUUGAUGGGCAUAAUCUUGGUCGGUGGUUGCUACACGUGGCAUAUUUUUCUUAAUACAUCAUUUUCUCCAAUUUUUUAAAUUUAUUUAUUUUUUAUUUUUUUAUUUUUAAUUUUUUAAUUUAGUGUUUGGGUGCACGUUUGGGAAACACAAUUAAUGGAGAGGUGGUGGCGUGGGGUGAAUUAGGGGAGUCCCACGUGUUCUAAUUAUGCUUUGCGUACCCGCAAUUGAUACUUUUUAUUUUUGCUUAUGUUUUGAAAAUAAUACUGUAUAAGUUAAUCUGUAUGUGACGCAUCAGUAUACUAUUGCUUCAGCUAUAUAUCCAUAACCGUGCAUCGUGUUUUAUAUAUAUAUAUAUAUAUAUAUAUAUAUAUAGAGAGAGAGAGAGAGAGAGAGAGAGAGAGAGAGAGUUGAGCUAGAAUACUAUCGAUAGCAAACGGGUUUCGUUGUCAUUCAUUUAUUUUUUAUGAUGGAGCCUCCAAAUCGACGAUCGGCACCGUUGAACAUGAUUUAUACCGCUUGAAGUGUUUAGAAAUCAAAUUUCAUACAUUUUCGAUAUUGUUCUCUUAUCCAUCGAGUGGACAUAAAAAUGAACAGCUGAAAAAUGAAUAUUCUUUUAAAAAUGAUGAUAGGAGUUUUGUAAUCAAGAUCAAGAGUAUAGAUCUUGUUUUAAAUAGUUUAAAGAAUUCUCUAACCAAAAUUCAAUUGAUGUGGAUAUUUUUACGCCGUUAAACGAGAAAACGCUCCAUGUCGACCAUUAAAAUUACAAAUUUUGAAAUCCUUUGAUCAUUAGGCAAAGGAUGUCGAAAAGAUUUGAAAUUUGAUUUCUAAAUACUUCAAGUGGUAUAGAUCAUAUUCAACGGUGCCGAUCGUCGAUUUGGAGGCUCUAUCAUCGAAAAUAAAUGGAUGGCAACAAAACCCGUUUGCUAUCGAUAGUAUUUUAGCUCAAAUAUAUACACUUUGGAAACCGUAUACUAGUCGGUACCUUUUAUUGUUGUUGAUGUGUUUAUAUAUGUUACAUGUACGGACUAAUUUUCGCAUGUGACAUAUCAAUAUGUCGGCACAUCAACACCAUCCCAUAAAUAUGAAUUUUUUUUGUAUACAUUCGAUGGGUUUAUUAUAUGUAAAUAAAUUAAUCUGUGUAGAUAUUUUACUGUAUCAAUACAUCAACAAUCUAUAAAAAUAGUAUUUUGGUUCUUUAAUAUAGAUAGGUACCUUUUAUGUCCGCUAAUAUAGUGACCGUUGGUGUAAGUACACAAAAAUAAAGAUUAGACUUAAAUGAGUGAAAAAUAUCGACGAACCAAUGAAGCAGGAGCACGAAAAACCUCGCACACUAAGAAGAUUUAAGUCCUCUGUGGUUCGUAAAACUUUCGAACUGAUAAUAACAGAGUAUUGACAUGUCUCCUUCUAAAUAUAAAGGCUCGACUCUCGUUAUAUGGCUUCAUCAAACUCUGUAUAAAUAUAUGAGUUCAAAGAUCCACUAAAAAUCAAAACUUUAUUUAGGCUCUCUCUCUCUCAAAUAUAUAUUAAGAAAUAACGAGGCAAAUAAAAUAGAUAUGAGAAUUAUAUUUGGUGUGCGGUUAAAUGUUACAUAGGUUGGAAGAUUAAAAAUUGCAAGUGUGUGGGUUUCAUAUAUAGAAAGUUAAUUUUGAUUGCAACUCCACCAUGAUUGCUAGGAAAUAUAUAGUGGUAACACUAACACCACAGUGGGUAUAUUCAAUAAAAAAUUAAUAUUAUUUCAUAAUAAAAUAUACAAACACUGAUAAGUUAUUAUACAUUAUUUAGUCUAUGUGUAAGAUAUACUUAUAUGCAUAUAUGUAGUUGGCUUCACAUCAGUGUCACAGGUUGUAUAUAAGGGUAAAUUUCAAAUACCACUCCUGUAUUUUCGCACUUUCUUAUUUUAGUACCAUGUGAUUUAAAGUGUAUAUAUUAAGUUAGUGUCAUGUGGUUUAUUUUUAUCUUUUUGUCAGCUUUUUCGUUAAUAUUUUGUUAAAUUAUAUAUAAAAACUUCAAAUACCCCAUCUAGGUAUAUCGAAUAUUCACUUUAGUACCCUUUAGUUUUAACUUUGUCACUGAUUUAACAAAAAAAAUUAGUGGAAUCGAUAAUAAAAAAAUAUAAAUGAAAUCACUGGGUACUAAAUUGAUACACUUUAAAUCACGGGAUAAUAAAGUGAGAAGAUAUGAAACCACAGAGAUGGUAUUUAAAGUUUUCCUAUUACUUAUAUAUAUAUAUAUAUAUGCUUUAUUUGUUAAAACAAUUUUUUAAAGGAUGUAGGUGGAACAUCAAAUAAUUUGGCUACACAUUAGCAUACAAAAGUCAAAUAGAAACAGUCCACAUGUGAGGAUUUUGAACCUAGCUUAGAACCUGGUAUCCAAAAAAGAGGCACAAACACUACACAAUAGAAUCCUAUGGGAGUUGAUUCAAAUUCUUUUUUAAUUAUAUAUAUUUCUUAAUGAUCAGCUACUAUGCUAUCGGAAGUAUAGAGAAUUUGAUGCUUUCGAUUUUUUUGAUUCUUAGAUCAGUCCCUUUAAUUAUUUUUAAUCUUUAGAUUAAUACUGUUAUUCUGUGGAGAUCGACCACUCAACUCUAAGGAUAUUACUCAAUCCUAGAGGGGACCACGAUCAUCCCAAACGUAUAAUUCUUGAUCCAAGAGUCAAAAAAUCAGAAGUAUCAAAUCGUCUAUACUUUUGAUAGCAUAGUAGCUCUACACUUUCUUAAUUGUCAUGAUUAAUUACCUAACUUUUAAUUCACUAAAGAAAAAUAUAAUAGCAAAUAAAAUUACUAUAAAGUCGAUUCUUUUGCCAUUAUAUUGAUUAAUUACUAAUGACACAGCUCAAAAUUUUCUUUCGAUUGAAAUUACUAAGUACUUAUCUCGAUAUAAGUUCAAAAAAAUUGAUAAAAAUAUAUAAUAAGAAGCAAUUAGAAGAUAUUGGUGAUAAAUAAAAUAAAUAUUCAAUACCAUUAUGUGUCAAUAUAUAUAUAGAUAUUUUUGUUGACCUGCAGGUAUCGAUACGGUACAACACAUACUGUUUCAACAAGUUUUUGGCACGAUCGCCUGCUUUUGAAUUUUUAAGUACUCAAAUGGACCUUCCUACAAUCUUUUUUCUAUUCUACUAAAAGGAAACAAACUUGAACUUUUUUACAAAUUUGUAAAAGAAAAAAGUAAUAAAAAAGUAGAUGCAAAAAGCUUCUUAAAGUAAAUUAAUGUUGAGAUUUCUACAUCAUCAAUAGUGGUUGGUGUGUGACACUAUGACUUAAAUGUCUAAAUUUAAUUAAAAGUGGUCCACUAAUUAAAGGGAUUAGGCAUAUAGGAGGUUGUGAGCUUUUUUUUUUUUUUUGAGAAAAAGGUUGUGAGCUUGUUAGUGCAACUUAGGUAUAUGGAGAUGUUUGAUCAACUCCGUUUCGAAUUGCAGAGAGAUUACAACAUAUGUGGUGAGAAAGUACGAUCGAUGAACAAAUAUUCUAUUUAUUUCUGUAUGUGAUGUCACGUUUCUCAUAUCGCAAUAAAUUCACUAUGAUAUAUUUUUUACGAUGCAAUCAGAAAACCAAAAAAUAAAGCAUAUUCCUAUAUACCCCGUCUCUAUCAUAUCUAUAAACGUUAGAUAGGUUUCAAUACUAGCUCUACGAACCCUUAAUUUGAUUGUUCUGUAAAGAAUCUUUUAUAGAUUGUUGAUAUAUUGACAAAUUAAUAAAAUAUUUUUAUUUACAUACAUAAUAAAUUAUAAACUUCCUCAUUAUAUAUAUAAAAAAUGAGCAAAUAAUUUUUUAAAAAAUUAAAAGUGAUAUAUAAAUUUGAGAUGCUAUAUGUAUGUAGGUCACUGGAAAAUAUUUAUUCACAUGGAAAUCAUGAUAUGUUAAAAUAGCAAUCACUUAAAUAAUUACUAUGCAUUAAAUAAUUAUUAUGCAUUAAAUAAUUACUCCACCAAAAAACAAAAUUUUAUUUUUUUUUCUGCAGUAAAAUUUAAGCUGCAACCUCAAAUUAAACUUGAUAGUGAUAUUAGGUGAUUCAAAGUUAUAAAAGGUGUUCUUUUCAUUAAUUAGAAAUAUUUUUUGCCCACUCACAAUGUUUUAGACCAUUUAAUUUACUUGCAAUUAAUGAUGUGAUAGAUCUUGGUAGAUCUUUCUUAAGCCCCUUGGUAAUUAAAAUUAUCAUUUACUCACACUCUAUAUGUGAAUUGUGUCAAUUAUUAGUAGUAGUAUAAAUUACUUUUACUUACAAUUGUAGAAUAGUUUACUAACAUGCUAAGAUUAAGGAUGUUAAUGGAUACAGAUACCUGAAAUUUUAUCCAAAUUUGAAUUUGAACAAGGCGGGUUUACUCGAUAAUAAAUGAAUACCGUUUUGGAUAUGGGUAUAGAAAACAAAAAUUUGACCGAUUUUGCCGGUACCUGAUCCGAGCCCGAAUCGGACCCAAAGCCAAAUUGAUUUUACGAUAUAUAAUGUAUAUAAAUGUUUGAUAUUAUAUGUAAAUUUGUAUUUUGAAAAUUUAGAUUUUGAUAUAAUAUAUUUUGAAAUAUGGUAAAGAGAAAUAAUUAUUUCUGGUUCGGCUCUUUGGGUUUCUGGUUCAGAUUUCAGAUUUUCAGUCUGAUUCAUAUUCGAGCUCAGGUUUCGAGUUUGGUUGUCACAUUCGGAUUUAGAUUUUUGAAAAUUCAUUCCGAAUCUGAAUCGUUGACAUCUCUAGCUAAGAGAGAAGGUUUUAGUUGUAGUUGAUACAAUUCAUGACAAAAUGAGAUAACCAAAAAUAAUCAAUAAAAAUAUGAUAUAUAUCACCAUAAGUGAAUUGGGCUUAGCACUUCAAGUUAUAUAUAACUGGACAUAACAUUUUUCUUUUAUGUAACAAUUCUUUUACUUUAAGGAAAAUGUUUUUUUUUUUUCCACUUAUAGUUUUACAACUUUUUUACUUAUGUCUAUAUGGAAUUUCUUAUUAUUAUUAGUUCAACAAUUUUUUAUAUACUUAACGCAAGAAAGAGAGAUUUUUAUUAAUUCUUGUUAUCUAUUAUAAUUAUCAUUUUACCAGUAAAAUAAAAGAUAAUGCUAUAACUCUGCAUCCAAAAGUGGAUGCAUCUCUUACAUUCUCUCUAUCCAAAGCGUAUUUUUUUCACACUGUCUUAUGCAUGUCUCCUAUUUUUGUAAUACUAAAAAUUUAAAAAUUAAAGUUGUCUAAAUCUUAGAUUAAUGUAUUUGCUGUAAUAUUUACACUAAUAUUUUUGUAAAAGAGUGUUUAAUUCUCGGAAAAAUAUAUAUCUUAGAAAAUAAUUUUCUGACUAAAAGUAUUUUUUAAUUUGUCCAUUUGAUUUCUAGGAAAAGUAGCUUUUCUUAGAAAAAAAAAAAUCCCUAGAUUUUACUAUAAAAAAAAGUAGUGUUUUCCUUUGAAUUAUUAUUUAUCCGGAAACCAAAACUUAUGGAAUUAUUAAUGCUUGUUUUUUUUUUCCAUAAACUUAUUUUUCUUUGCAAAAAAAUAAUUGUGCACGAUUUUCGGAGCAACCAAACACUCCCUAAAAAUAAUUAAAUUACUAGAUCUCCUCCUUAAUUCAAUCACUCCAUUAUAUAAAAACUCUUCGUUCAAACCAAAAGAAAUUAAUUAUUUACUCCAAAUUAAUUACAAGCACGUACCCCUCGUAAACUGUAAUAAGUAAUUAACAAUUACUAGUGCUCUCAUUGGAACCAUGAAAACACAAUUAAUUACUUACUCACAAAUUAAAUUAUAUAAUAAUAAACACUAGCUAUAUAAAUACUCUUGCAUGCAUAUAUAUAUAAAUCAAAUCAAACUAACAUAUAUAUAUAUAUAUAUAUAUACAUAUGUUUAGAUUAUAUAUAUAUAUAUAGAUUAAUAUAUAUAAUAAUAAUUAGUUUUAAUAGUUUUAAUUUUGUAUGGGGGAGGAGGAGAAGAGGGAUGAUCAUGAUCAUCAUGAAUAUUAUUUGGAAGGAUUAAGGUUGAUUAGGGAGAGAUGGAUAACACAUUACAGCAGUUGUCAGAGGAUUCUGCUUGUGGGUGAGGGGGACUUCUCCUUCUCUGCAUGCUUGGCUAGGGCUUUUGGAACUACUGCCCAAAACAUGGUGGCCACCUCAUUUGACUACAAAGGUGUUGUAAAAAACAUAAAUGGUUAUAUAAUUGAUUCAUUUUUUAUGUUAAUUUAGCAUGCAUGCAAUAAUGUAAUGUUGUAAUCUUUUGUUUCCUUUCUCUCUCUCUCUCUCUUUUUUUUCUUCUUUGAAUCAUUCCCAUGAAAUACAUAUAUGUAGCUUAUAUUCCCAUGAAAUACAUAUAUGUAGCUUAUAUAUAUAUAUAUAUAUCUAAUUUUUUAUUGAUGUUUGAUGAGAUUUACCACUACUAAAGUAACUAAGAUUGCUAUCUCUCUCUUGUUCUAGAUGUAAUAUAUGUAUAUAUAUACUCAAUUUUUAUGGAUUCUUGAUGAGGUAACUAAGAUUGCUCUCUCUCUCCUGUGCUAGAUGUAAAGUAUAUAUAUAUAUAUUUCUCAUUUUCUUUUUUUUUGUAGAUAGUUGACGAAAUCUGUCACUACUAGAGUAACUAAGAUUACUCUCUCUCUCUGUCUCUCUCUCUCUCUCUCUCUCUCUUUUCUCAUAUAUAUAGAAAACUCGAUGUAUAGNNNNNNNNNNNNNNNNNNNNNNNNNNNNNNNNNNNNNNNNNNNNNNNNNNNNNNNNNNNNNNNNNNNNNNNNNNNNNNNNNNNNNNNNNNNNNNNNNNNNNNNNNNNNNNNNNNNNNNNNNNNNNNNNNNNNNNNNNNNNNNNNNNNNNNNNNNNNNNNNNNNNNNNNNNNNNNNNNNNNNNNNNNNNNNNNNNNNNNNNNNNNNNNNNNNNNNNNNNNNNNNNNNNNNNNNNNNNNNNNNNNNNNNNNNNNNNNNNNNNNNNNNNNNNNNNNNNNNNNNNNNNNNNNNNNNNNNNNNNNNNNNNNNNNNNNNNNNNNNNNNNNNNNNNNNNNNNNNNNNNNNNNNNNNNNNNNNNNNNNNNNNNNNNNNNNNNNNNNNNNNNNNNNNNNNNNNNNNNNNNNNNNNNNNNNNNNNNNNNNNNNNNNNNNNNNNNNNNNNNNNNNNNNNNNNNNNNNNNNNNNNNNNNNNNNNNNNNNNNNNNNNNNNNNNNNNNNNNNNNNNNNNNNNNNNNNNNNNNNNNNNNNNNNNNNNNNNNNNNNNNNNNNNNNNNNNNNNNNNNNNNNNNNNNNNNNNNNNNNNNNNNNNNNNNNNNNNNNNNNNNNNNNNNNNNNNNNNNNNNNNNNNNNNNNNNNNNNNNNNNNNNNNNNNNNNNNNNNNNNNNNNNNNNNNNNNNNNNNNNNNNNNNNNNNNNNNNNNNNNNNNNNNNNNNNNNNNNNNNNNNNNNNNNNNNNNNNNNNNNNNNNNNNNNNNNNNNNNNNNNNNNNNNNNNNNNNNNNNNNNNNNNNNNNNNNNNNNNNNNNNNNNNNNNNNNNNNNNNNNNNNNNNNNNNNNNNNNNNNNNNNNNNNNNNNNNNNNNNNNNNNNNNNNNNNNNNNNNNNNNNNNNNNNNNNNNNNNNNNNNNNNNNNNNNNNNNNNNNNNNNNNNNNNNNNNNNNNNNNNNNNNNNNNNNNNNNNNNNNNNNNNNNNNNNNNNNNNNNNNNNNNNNNNNNNNNNNNNNNNNNNNNNNNNNNNNNNNNNNNNNNNNNNNNNNNNNNNNNNNNNNNNNNNNNNNNNNNNNNNNNNNNNNNNNNNNNNNNNNNNNNNNNNNNNNNNNNNNNNNNNNNNNNNNNNNNNNNNNNNNNNNNNNNNNNNNNNNNNNNNNNNNNNNNNNNNNNNNNNNNNNNNNNNNNNNNNNNNNNNNNNNNNNNNNNNNNNNNNNNNNNNNNNNNNNNNNNNNNNNNNNNNNNNNNNNNNNNNNNNNNNNNNNNNNNNNNNNNNNNNNNNNNNNNNNNNNNNNNNNNNNNNNNNNNNNNNNNNNNNNNNNNNNNNNNNNNNNNNNNNNNNNACAUUUUAUGUAAGUCUGGACAAACAAACCAACCUUCUACGUCGUUGUUAGAAGAAACCUGAUAAAUACCUUAAUAUGUAUAUUUAGAAACAAAACACAAUCAUCAUACAACUGAUUAAACAAACCUACUAGUAUAUAAAAAUCCAUACAAUAAAGAGAACGAAAUAGUAUCCUGAAUAAACCUUUUAAAAUAUGACCAAUAAUACGAGUCUGGUUACAAUGGACAAUGCCCCAUACGACACCACGUACCAUGACCAUCUCUUUGUACCAAACGAUCUCGAUCCUAAUCAACCUUGCCAUAAAGGUCUUACACCAAGUAAAUCUUGCAGUUAUGUCUAGCUGUAUAUAUUAUUUCAGUUAUUGAAUGGAAACAAAGACAUAUCAAGAAAAGAAAGCAAUUCCAUAGUCUAACCUUAGAGGACCACUUCCCUACACGGAAAAUCGACUACCGUGUUAUGUACGACGUGGUGUCGGAAUUUGUGACAUGACAAGAAAGGAAUUUUGAUAUGAAGAACAUGUUGCAAUGAACUUUUUGAAUUAUAAUACUCUAUAACAACCUCAGUUCGAGUGGAGCUUUCAUUUACUUGGUUUGAACUAUACUGUAAGAUUCAACCCGUACUUAACAAAGGUUGCUUACGCGCAAGUUUGCAAAUCUUAAGUGCUGCUUCAACUUAUAAGUCCUACAAACCCUAGAAAGGGCAUUUUAUAGUUUCGUACAAAAUAAUGGUUAAUUACAAAUUCAGUUCGCAAAAUUCGACCUUGAUUCUAAUUUAGUCCCCCAUAGUCUCAACUGUAACAAAUUACUCCCUAAAACUUGUCCUGCAUAACAAUUAUGAUUUUUCUAUUAGUUUUUUUUUUUUCUGGGUCUUAAAAAGAAAAGGUGAAGCAAUGUUUCUAUCAUUCUACUUCUCAACAGGCGAAAUUGAAACCGAUUUCAAGCCAUAGGGACUAAACUGCGAAUCAAAGAAAGAAAAAUCAAUGCCAAAACUACUAUUUUGUAACAACCCUGAAGAAUAAAUGGUAGAAGUAGUAGUAGUAGUAGGAGUUAGCAGGGAGAGUAGUAAAAAUGCCAACUUUACUCAGUUAAGAUGGAGAAUAAGGGCGGCAGCCGGUCGGAGAGGAGGAAGCGCGCCAAGCGGGACGGCGGGAAGGUGCUCGGGUGGAACUCCGACGAGGACUAGGGCAUCCUGGGUGCUCCGAAGGAGAAGAGGGAGGAUCGAGGUAGAUGGGCGGAGGCUUCUGCAGGAUCUGGAGGGCGGAGGAAGAGAGCGGAGGAACGGGUAACUCGAUAGCGGGUAGCGGGCGGUCGGAUUACCGGAUCGGGCGUAAAACGCGGACCCAAGCCCCGCCUGGUUGUGGAUAGUGCGGAGUAGGCGAACCCGCGAACCGCUUACCCGGUUAACAUGUAGUUUCGGACCAAACAAAACCACCCAAGGCCCACAAGCAACCAGAUUCAACCCAUCAGGCCUCAUUCCCCAUUUUUGACAAAUUGCUGUUAACCCCUAGUAGCUUAGUUUGCUUACAAUUCAGUACAAGUUGUAUAGGCUAUAUAUAGUUAACGGGAUGUAAUUGCAAGGCAUGAAGGAAUGAAAUGAAUUAGUCUAUUUUCUCCCCAAAAGUUCUUCUCCAAACCCUACUUCUUCUCCACUACUUCUCUUCCCCAUUUCUUUCCCCCCAAUCCUCUAUCUCUAUCUCUAGCUAUAUUUCUACUCCCUAUUCUCUACUAUUUCUCUCCCUAAUUCUCUUCUUUCUCUUCCCUAUCUCUGUCACCGUCUCUCUCUUACCUCAUUUUACCUCAGUUUCUUACCACGAAUCCGUCGGAGCCGCGACCGGAAGCACCAAGAACAGGAAUAUACAAGCCGGGAUAUUACAUAUUUCUACCACAAAAUUCGUAACUAAUCUUUUCUUCCAUAUGCUGAUACUACACAAUUAAGCUUCAACCACAGCUUACAAGAUGGAUGCUACGCCACAUUCACAAGUCGAUUUAAGAACAAAAAGGGGGAGAUUAAAGCGGAUAAGGUGAAUUGAGAAAGGGCCCUACUAACCCUAGGGCGAACCUUUGGAUGAAGCUUCGCCUCGAAAACGGCGGCGGCGGCGGCGGAGGGAGACGGGGUCGGCGCCGCCGCACCUAGGGAAGAGAGAGGAAUCCCUCGCCGCCUCCGUAGAGAAGAGAGAGAGGGGGAGAGAGAGAAACCCUAGGAGAGAGAGAGAAAGAGUAGUAGGGCCCCUAGGAAUCCCUCCGCCGCCGCCGCUUUCGAGGCGAAGCUUCAUCCAAAGGUUCGCCCUAGGGUUAGUAGGGCCCUUUCUCAAUCCACCUUAUCCGCUUUAAUUUUAUUAUUUUGUAGGGACACAUUUACAAUUAACCCAAACCAUAAACAAACCCCUUCUCUCUUUCUCUUCCCCCUCUCUCUCUCUCUCCGACUCUUUCUCUCUCUCUCCUAGGGUUUCUCUCUCUCCCCCUCUCUCUCUUCUCCACGGAGGCGGCGAGGGAUCCCUCUCUCUUCCCUAGGUGCGGCGGCGUCGACCCCGUCUCCCUCCGCCGCAGCCGCCGCCGCCGCCGCCGCUUUCGAGGCGAAGCUUCAUCCAAAGGUUCGCCCUAGGGUUAGUAGGGCCCUUUCUCAAUCCACCUUAUCCGCUUUAAUCUCCCCCUUUUUGUUCUUAAAUCGACUUGUGAAUGUGGCGAAGCAUCCAUCUUGUAAGCUGUGGUUGAAGCUUAAUUGUGUAUUAUCAGCAUAUGGAAGAAGAGAUUAGUUACGAAUUUUGUGGUAGAAAUAUGUAGUUUUCCGGCAUUGUAUUUUCCUGUUUCUUGGUGCUUCACAAUUCGGUCGCUAUAGCUUCGAAAUCGGUUUCGUUUUCAGCUGCUGAGAAGUAGAAUGAUAGUACGAUUGUUUUGUAUGAGACUGUGACAGAUGCAUUUUCUAGGGUUUGUAGAACUUAGAAGUUGAAGCAUUAGUUAGAGAUUUAGUAGAGCCUAGGGCGUAAGCAACCUUUAGUUCUGUAGAUAUAGAUUCAGACCUGUUUGUUUGGUUGGAAAGAAAUGGGGCAGAUAAUCUAGUUUGGACGUUGUAUGGUAUUGUAGAUAUAUAUUUGUUUUGUGUUAGGAGUAUGUUGACUAAUUUGUUUGGAUUCCUUCAUGUCUUUCAAUUAGGUCUCGUUAACUUUCUCUUGCUUAUAUAACUUAGUACUUAUUUGUAAGCAAUUUUAGCUACUAGGGGUUAUUAUGCUCAGACCAAUGUUGUCUGUUAUGGGGUAUGCUGUGGUGCAUGGUACUAGUUGAGAAUCAUGGUUUGCUUGUGCUAGGCCUUGGUUGGUUUUGUUUUGUCCAGAAUGUGGUUCAUGUUAGACCGGUUAAGCGGUUCGCGGGUUCGCCAUACUCUGCACUAAAGUCCAUAACUUGGCUUUGUUUGUGUCUGCGUUCUUUUCUUUCGUUCCGGUAAUCAUGCCCACUUAGAAUGUCCUAUCAAGUUUGGUUCCUUCUCUUUCGAGCUGAUCUUGACUCCGACAAUAUCCUCCUGAUACUAAGUUUUUCAAGUAACGUUGUACUAGUUCGUCUAGUUUUAAGGGAGAACUUUACCGUGUUUCGCUUGGUGCAGCUUGUACUGUGCGAUCAGCUUAAUCUUAUGCAGAUCCACUUGACUAGUAGAGUUGCAAUCUUACUACCUCUAACGAAAUGAAUAGAACUAUACUGAUACUAAGUUAUGCUUGAUUGGACUUUGUUAUAUAUGUUGUUUUGUAUUGAUGUUCUUUCUUAAGCACAUUGUGGCAAUACCGUUCCAACUGAUCCUGGCUCUAGCACAACCAUUUUUUUCUACCAGGUUACCAUGCUCCACAGCAUACCCCGUAACAGGUGACAUUGAGUCUUGAGCAUAAUAGCCUUUAUAUUUUUAUUUUCCUAAUAAGUCCUAUGAUAAAGCAAUAUAUAUUAUAUAUCUAAUUAUUUAUGAUCAUCUAUAUAAAUAUAGAUUAACAUACUACUUAUAUAAAUGUAAGAUUUAUAUGUAUUCGAAUUGCAUUAUUGAGUCCGAAGACGAUUGUUGCUGCAUCUUCCAAGCUCGUGUUCAGGUCGUGUUUGUCUCGUUUACCUAACCGAGCGAUUCGAUCUCGAGCUCAUUUUUAGUCGAAUACGAGCUGGCUUGCGAAUAGCGAGUUGGAUUGCCACCCCUACCGAACACGAGCCGGCCUCAGCUCACUUGUGUUCGGCUAGUUGACACUUAGUUGCAAAUAGUUGUAAUUGCAUUGUAUUUUUAUAUUAUUUAUGGUCGGUAAAAGUGUUAUUAAUUCUUUCUGUUUUUACACUAAAAUUUCGGUUGCAACCGUUACUCAGUAAUUUUGUUGCAAUAAUUUAAGGAUUAUUGCUUCAAAAGUCCUAAUUAUCAAAUGUGUUUUUCUUUAGCUUCAAAAUAAACAAAUUUUGUCUUUACCAUAAGUUAGAAUGAUAGGUAACAUAAAAAUAAAAUAUUAAAAUUGAUAAAUGAUAUAAAAUAUUAUAAAUAAAAACUAAUUAUAUUUGAUCAACUAACAGGAAGGAAUAUAUUAUUUAUAAAUUUACAAUUUUAGAGAGGUAUAUUUUUUUAAGAAACUAUUGACGGGUCGGAGUUUGGAUAAGUUUCAAGAGAAAAGCCUAACCCGAAUCCGUGAACCAACUCCGAAAUCGAACCCGAAUUCGAACCCAACGGAUUUUGAAAAUUCAUAUUCAAAAUCUAAAAUCAAACCAAACAAAAAACUUGAAACUUGAGCCUGAACCCGAACUCGAAAAUUCGAACUCGAAACAAUCAUUUUUCUUUACCAUAUUUCAAAAUUAUAUUAUAUUAAAAUAUACAAUUUUAAAAUAUAAUUCAUUCAAAUGUAACAUUAAAUGUUGAUACUAAAACAAAAUCUAUUCGGUUCGGAUCAGGAUACACAUAAAAUUCAUAUCCGAAUCUGAAUUUAUCAAAUUUUAUUUUUAUAUUCGAAAUUAUACCCACUUUCGAGUUUGGAUCCGCAUAAAAUUUUGUGCAUCCAUACCCGUUGACAUCUCCAACCGAUACAUUCUAGGGACAAGUAUAUUCAAUUUUAUUAUUUUGUAGGGACACAUUUACAAUUAACCCAAACCAUAAACAAACCCCUUCUCUCUUUCUCUUCCCCCUCUCUCUCUCUUUCCGACUCUUUCUCUCUCUCUCCUAGGGUUUCUCUCUCUCCCCCUCUCUCUCUUCUCCACGGAGGCGGCGAGGGAUCCCUCUCUCUCUUCUCCACGGAGCCGGCGAGGGAUCCCUCUCUCUUCCCUAGGUGCGGCGGCGUCGACCCCGUCUCCCUCCGCCGCAGCCGCCGCCGCCGCUUUCGAGGCGAAGCUUCAUCCAAAGGUNAGAUAAUCAAAAAAAAAAAAGACCCAGAAUUUUAAGCAUUGCCACUUAGAGAAAAAGAUAGUAAGACGAAGAGUUGUCCGCUUUAACUUCGGCUAAAGUUCGGUAUCCCUGAAUUGACGCUUAGUUUCUACCUACGAAGUUACGGUGUAAGUGAUCAGCUAAAACAUUGUUGGGCCACCUCUAAUUUAGCCUAUCUUCAUCAUCAUCAUCAUCCUCAAUCGUCCCUCUCAUCAUUUUUACGGUUGAAAUGAGUCAAUUCUACCUCUUAUUCCCGCCGUCGGCCAGCCUCUCCUCCUUCGCGCGGUUCGCCCUGCCGCCCUUCCACGAGCCCACCUUGAGGCUGCUCCUGAUCCCGUAGGACCCACGAGGCUUCCUCUUCUCCCUCCUAGCUCCAUCUACCCGCCUCCGAAGACGUCCUAGACCUCCCGCCUCCUUCUCUCGCCUCCUUGCCCAUUGAGCUAUCGCCCAUCGCCCGCCAGCCUAAUGGCCUAGCCCGCAUUUUGCGCCUGGGUUCGGGGCGGACCAACACCUAUCACGCCUCAUCCGCUUGGGCGCUUGGCGAAUGGGCCAAUUGUACAUCAAAGCCUGGUUUGUUUUGGUGGGUUCCGGGUGUUCGUUGGUCUAAGUUGGGUAGUCCGGAGUAAGGGGUAAAAACUGUUUAACGACAAUUGGGGAUCAUCGAAUCAAACGAAUGUUAAGUCAUGUUCAACAUAUCCGAUAUAUAUCAAUUGCCCUACAUUAACGUUCCGUACUUCCUUACUUUACUUAAUCAGAUAAAAGAGGGGUUUUCAAGAAGAGGUUUGGGAUGAAGAAGAGGUGAUGAAGAGAAGGGGUAAAGAAAGGGGGGUUAGGAGAUAGAGAUAGAGAUCGAUAUAAAGAUGAGGGAUAAGAGAUGAUAAAGAGAGGGAUUAAGAGAAGAAAGAGAAGGGAUAGAGACAGUGGCAGAGAGAGAAUGGAGUAAAAUGGAGUCAAAGAAUGGUGCUUAGGCAGCCUCGGCGCUGGCCUUCGUGGUUCUUGUCCUUAUAUGUUCGGCCCUAUAAUGUAUAAAGAUGGUGUUUUAAGCAUUGAUUAGAAAAGAAGGUAUACGACUAUGAUGUGUUAAUUCGAAGUUGGUGUCGAAUGUUCUACCUACGAUGCGGUGUAAGUGUUCAGCUAAAUUCUUGUUUUUCCCCCUCUAAUUUCGCCUAUUACUAAUGGAAAAUCAUAAUUGUUAUGCAGGACAAGUUUUAGGGAGUAAUUUGUUACAGUUGAGACUAUGGGGGACUAAAUUAGAAUCAAGGUCGAAUUUUGCGAACUGAAUUUGUUAUUAACCAUUGUUUUGUAUGAAACUAUAAGAUGCAUUUUCUAGGGUUUGUAGAACUUACAAGUUGAAGCAGUACUUAAGAUUUGUGAGCCUGCGCGUAAGCAACCUUUGUUCUGUAAAAUACAUUCAGACCUGUUUGUUUGGUUGGAAGAUGCAGCAAUAAUCUACUUUGGACCUUUAUGGUAUUAUACAUAUAUAUUUGUUUUGUGUUAGGAGUAUGUUGACUAAUUUGUUUGGAUGAUCAUAUAUUUUUAGGUAUGUUAUUUCUCUUGCUUUAUCUUAGGACUUAUUUGGAAAAUUUUAUACUGGUUAUUAUGCUCAGACCAAUGUUACCUGUUACGGGGUAUGCUGUGGUGCAUGGUACUAGUAGAGAAACAUGGUUUGCUAGAGCUAGGAUUAGUUGGAACGGUAUUUCCAGAAUGUGGUUCAUUUAGAACGUCAAUACAGAUCGACAUAUAUAAUAAAGUCAAUAACUUACCUUUGUUUCUGUAUAGUUCUUUUUUUUCGUUAAGGUAUCAGGUUGGAAUCUCCUGGUGAAGGGAUGUGCCUUUUAGCUGAUGGCACAAUACAUGCUGCACCACAGCCUUAAACACUGUACUGUUCUUUCCUUAAAACUAUACUUCUUGUACAACGUUACUUGAAAAACUUAAUAUUAUGAGAUAUUGUUGGAGUCAAGCUCACCUCGAAAGUAAAUGAACCAAACUUGAUAUGACAUUCUAAGUUGGGCAUGAUUGGACUUGGUUUUUGAACUUGCUUAUAUAUAUGAUGCUCCUAAGUUGAGGCCCGCCAAAGGACUGAAUAUACACAAUCAUUAAAUUCUAAGGUUAAGCUCAACCAUGUAAAAGCAGACUUGAUGGCUGGUUUAGAUAUCGGCCUACCAUGUUAUUUCCAAUUUACAAGAUAUGAGAGUCCAGCUAUGUUUAACAUUACGGACCAAUUACUACUUGCUAAUGAACAAGUGUAAGUAGAAUUAGUUUUUCUAAUUCCCUACAUUGUUUUGUCAUAACCUUUCCAUGCUAUGUGUCAACAAAGAAAAAUACUAUUGAUAUUUUGCCUGUUGGUGGUUACAAAGGAAUGUAUGAAUUAUAUGUUUGAUACUUUUUCCUUUUGGCAUUACAAAAACUUCUCUUUUUCAUUUCUGUCUAGAUUAGAUGGGGAGGAAACAAGAGAAGAGGCGAUCCUUAGCUACAAACCAGGGAAUGAGUCACGGUUUAACACUCCGUGAGGAAAAUACUGGUAAGAAGACUGUUGAUGUGACUUCCAUUUUGAGGAUACAACAUCUUAAACGUUUGGCAACAUGGGCGAGCGGAGAGGCUCGAAUACCUCCUCUCGGAGCGUUGCUUGGUGAACGUCUAGCUGCCAAUGCCGAGGCUUCGGGAGUCCCUUUAGACUCGUCUACUUUUCUUUGCCAAAGGUGAGAUUUAUGUUAUAUACAUGCCUGCCUUAACAUAUAUCAUUGGCUUAAGGGUAUUUCUUUUGAUACGAGCGAAAAUCAGGGCAGAGUGUAGUGAAGCUUGAGUUUCGCCGAGCUUCACCUUUGCAUGGUGGUUAUUUGUAUGUCUGCAAGACACUCAGAAAAGUCAAAGAUCUAAGAGGUAGAAUUAGACAGACGUAGAAUUUGUUAUUCUUCAUGCUCUCUUGUUUUAUGAAAACGACUUCGGCUCAGAGUGCGCAUAAGCCAUUUCUGGGGAGUGAGGCUUGUGUGCAUAAGCCAUUUCUGGGGAGUGAGGCUUGUCGCAAAAUCGUAGUUUUGCUACAGUUCCAGUGAAUGAUUGGGCACUUGCAUUGAUACGAGCAAUUGUUGCUCCGACUUCAAAACAAGUAGCCUCGUCAUGUAACUGAUAGAGUGCAUAGUAAUUAAACAGUGAAAGUGAAAUAUUAUGCUAUCAUGGACCUUGACAUUUGUAAUAACUUAAAUGUUUCCUUGUCAGCUAAUAAAUUGCAGCGGGUGACAGAUGCUGAAAUCUUAUAAACAGUUUUACAUUUCAUUUUCAUUAUUAACCUUUUGAAGAAUUUGAGUAGCUCAAUCCUGUCUCUACAAUUUGGUCACUAUCUAGCCUUAUUUUUCACCAUCUCGUAUCUCCAAUAGUAAAUUAGUAAUAUACAUCGAACAACUGGCUGUUAAUGGACUAUAAUUCUUGUUUUAGUUCGUCUCAGAUAAACUUUUUGGUUGUGUGUGAAACAGAUGUUUACUUGAAGCAACCCAUUUAAAUGCUAUUUCUUUUAGGGGGUGUUUCGUACAAAUGAAAUUUUGCAUGAGAGCCUUCAGUGAAGUUCUUCGUAUUUUUGUUCUGAUGUUACAUUCAAAUUAAACGGGACUACUAUGAAUUUUAAUGAGGAUUUAUAUAAUGUUAUGCAGGUGCGAGACCGUCCUACAGCCCGGUUUCAACUGCACCGUCCGCAUAAAGAAGAAACCAAACAAGCCGAGAAGACGAAAGAAGUCGCGCAUUCCUUCUCAAAACAAUGUUAUCUACACAUGCCAUUUUUGUUCUCACCCAAACAUAAGAUGGGGUACCCCCAAAGGCCAUCUUAAGAGCUUAUCUGCUCCAAGAAGCAGCUCUCAAUCCGACUCGAAGCGCGAUCAAUCAUCCAUCAAGGAGUUAACGGACAAGAAAGCAGAAUCCAUUUCCGAGUUGAAUCAUAUCACUCCCGAAAAGGUUAAAGCAGUAGAAGAGGUAGCUUUGAAGCACCCGACGACUCCAUUAGUAAGACCAGUUAACAUGCCCGACAAUAAACAGAAGGGUUCUGCUUCUGCAUCUGAGAAGCUUCUUCGGAAUGACGUAAAUAGUUCUUCAAGACCAGAUUCUGAGAAAAGGGCCGGUGGUUCGAGUAAGCGGAGGAGGAAAGGAUGGUCUAGUCUUAAAGAGAUUACUGAAAACAAUGAGCUCCAGUGUGCCAGGAGCAUCAACAAUUUUGUGAUCCCAUUUGUUAUGUAAACAAUGUUUUGUUUUAUCUUACAAAAAGCGAUGAAGAGGUGGAAUUAUGAGAAAUUUUGCCAGAUAUAAAAGUGAAUUUCUUUUGCCUGGUGGGAGCUUUACGUAAAAAGUACUGUAUGAAUAGAGUUAUUUGAAUAAGCACUUGAAAAUUUUCAUUAAAAUUUGCCCGACAGCUUCCAAUUGCAGCUUCCGUCUAUCGAAAAAUCCAGAAUAGAAUAAGCUGUUCUUAAAGUCAGGCCAAAUAAGCAGAAGUUCGACACUCGUCAGAACCUUUUAGGCAAAAUAAAACACGAAACACGGAAAACAUACUCAAAUCGCAAGUUCCGGUACCACCAUCGUGACAUCUUCUUCUCCGCCGCUUCUUUGAGUGAUCUGCAACUCAUAAUCUUCUCUUCCAUUUUCAGAGCAUAUCUGAAGCACCCUUUUUUCUCUGCAUUCUUUCAGCAUGAACUUGAAUGUGAAGCACUCCUUCAAAGGGAAGGUUUUGUUGCUCCUAAUCCCACCACCUCUCUUGUUGUGGUAUCCAGGGUAAUCCACCUUCUUGAACUCCACCUUCUCAUGCAACUGAAACCCUUCUUUCUCUGCAAUUUCCUGCAGCUUCCACUCACAGUAAGGGUAGUCAUCCCUGUGUGACACAUGCACUUCACCACCUUCACUAAGCAUGAAUUUUGCACUCCUGAAAAAUGCCCUGAGUAGCUCCUUGUGCCUCCUGCAUUGAAUGCACAUUUCAUAAAAAAAUGAAGACUGGAUAAACAUGCAUGCAUGCCCGAUAUUACUUGUGGAAGAUACGUACAUUGGAAAUAGCCACCGUGGAUUGGCUGAAAGUGACCAGAUUCAUUGUAUGUGAUUUGUACCGAUAAAUACUGAUCCGUCAAUAUUAUUAUCGUAUUAGGUUAUAUUCAAUUCACUGUGUAGUUGUUCUUACGUGAGAAGUUUGAUUAAAGAUUCCUUUUAUAUCUCUAAUAACAUUUUUUUUUUAAAAAAAAGAAAAAAAUCUUUUGUCUAACAGUUUUUCAUAAUAAGGGCAAUAAAAGGAGAUAUGCUUUUAGAAACUUAAAAGAUUACUAGAAAAAUAAGGUUUUAAUUUUUUUUUUUUAUGAGCUAUGAUUGAUAUUAGCAUAUUUAUAUUUACGACACACAAAUUACAUACAAUGAAUUUGGUCGGUUUCGGUAAGUAUAUAUAUAGUAACAAAUUUUACUAUACAUAUCUGUCAUUAGUAAUACAAGAACUGCUAAUAUCACCACCCUUCUCUUAUCCGCUCCAGUGACUUAUAUAACUACACACAUAUCUCGUACGAUGAAUCUGAUCAGUUUCAGUCAAUAUAAUGAGUCAGUCAUUGAUAACAUCAGAACCGUUGAUCUCACCAUGCACCUUUCUCUUAUAUAUAUAUAUAUAUAUAUAUACAUCCAUUCCUUGAAACAACAAUUGCUUUUAGCAAUUGCACUUCUUGACAGUUAUGGAGUACUGCAUAUAAUUCACAAAUUAAUUCAAAAAAAUAAAGAAAAAAGAAAAGAGAAAAAAAAGAACAAGUUUGUGAUCUACAUAUAUUGAACUGGUGAUUAUGAUCAUACCUGAUAAGCUCAGCAUGCCUCUCACAGUAGAAAGGAUCAUGCCCAGCAUGAGGGAAGUUGAAGACGACGCGGUCGAACCUCGUCAUCCGCUUCAGCGCGACGUGCUCGUGCAUGUCGCGCACGUCGAUGCCAUGCACGACGGUGCACCCGCGCUCUGCGAGCUCCGCGAGGUGCGCCGUCGAGGUCCAGUGCUUUGUGGGCAGCUCAUCUGGGGUGAAUAUAUAUAUUUUCAUGUACAUGUAGAAGAUGAAGUACACAUGCAUGCAUAUGCAAUGUUUACUAUGUAUGUAUAUUGAUGGAUUAAUUAAUUUGGUAUUUAUAUAUGAACAUGCAAUAUAUUAUAUAUAUAUGAUUAGUAGUCGAUUGAGAUCACAUAAAUUUUGUUAAAAAUGUAACAAUUUUAUCUUCUCUUUUGUGGAAUUUUAGAUAUUUUAAGUCAAUUUAUGUAGAAAUAUAAAAAGUUCAAACAUUUAAUCGAAAUAGUCCAAAGAUUAUAAGCACAUAUGAACCCAAAAAAUCUUCCAAAUGAAAGUUAAUAAAAAAAAAAGCCAAAAGGAUGCAAGAAUUAAUUAUCUUUUUACUUAUCAUUUUAGUUAUCUUUUUUUUUUUAUUUGUUGCCUUUUUGGUGCAAUUAAUUGGGGUUAAUUAAUCGAUCAAAAUUGAGUUUCAUUUGGAAGAUAAUAAAAAAAAAAGCCAAAAGGAUGCAAGAAUUUAUAUAUAUAUAUAUAUAUAUAUAUUCUCAAGCCUUAGUGAAACUUUGAUUUCGAUCUUUAUAUGAUGAAAAUCUUCAUUAAUUCACUCCGACAAAUAAAAAUUUUAGUGAAAGUUAUUAUUUAAUAAGUCUAACUGCUAGAUAUGUUAAUUUGAACUAAAUUUGAUAAAUUUGAAAAUUAAAAAAAUUGUAGUAAGUUGUAGUUCUAAUAAUUUAAAGUUACCGAUUGUAGCUCAUUUAAACGCUGGUAAAUUAAAUCGGCUGUUUAUAUAAGAUUUUGGCAAUCUAAGUUAAAGAUUUUUCAAAUUUAUCGAAUAUAGCAUAAUAAUCUACCAUAGCUAACGGCUAUGCUUAAAAGAUAGUGGUUUGUAUAUAUUAUGUUUUCAUUUGAAAGAAUAAAUAAAGAUUGAGUUUAAUGGUUUCAUUAAUUUGAUUUAAUUUGAUUUAAUUUGAUUCUCACAUCCCCAAUUAAUUUAAUAUUAUAUCUCUAACAUAAACAAAAUUUUUACAAUGGUAUAUUACUUGGUACGAUUGUUGUUCUUUAUUUUUAAUUUUUUCGUUUUAGCAAUUCUUGCACCUACUCCUGCUACUGAACCAUGUAAUUAAAUUCAUGUGUGCAAAACGUGGAGGCUUAUUUAAUUAACAUUAGGAUAAUUUAAUUUAUUUAAAUUAGAAUUUAAUUCUUAUAUAUAAACCAAAUUAUAUAUAUAUUUUAUAGAUUUCAUUAAUAUACAAAAAUGUAUUAUACAAUAUGUUCAACAAUUAAUAUUGUUUUUUAAUUUAAAAUUUCAUGUUUAAUAUACAUUUUUAUUCUUCUUUAAUACUUUGUCAUGCAUAGUAGUUUUUGAUAUAUCUCACUAGCUCUAAUGCUUAUCAUAAAAAAUAAACAUGCGUUAGCUUUUUAUCCUUUUUGAAAUUUAUAGUGGAGACACCAAAGUGUAAAAAAUAAAAUCGUGAGACAUUAAAUUUUAUAUAGUUCACCAAAGCGUAAAAAAAUAAAAUCAUGAGACAUUAAAUUUCGCAUAGUUAAAUCAUGGGGAAUCAAAGUAAAAAGAGACAAAUAAUAGGGGAGGUGAUAAAAAAAAGGGCAAUUUAGUCACUAUUUCAAUUUCGAUUUUCUAUCUUUUUAUUUAUAAGCUAUUUUAAUCCACCCUAUAGACUUCAAAAAACAUAUAUUAAAUUCUUUUACAAUCGUCUUCUCGACUACUUUUUUCUUUUUACUUUGGUAUCCCAUAAUUUAGCUAUGUGAAAUUUGGUGACCUAUGAUUUCACUCUUUUAUACAUACUCUAUACCACAUCUCUAAUUUUUUUUUUUCUUUUCAAAUUAUCGUUUCAUUACGUUUUGUAUAACCUUCUCACUAGUUCUUAGAAAUAUCUUCAAAUUAUCGUUUCAUUACGAAAAUAAUUGUAGUAAUGAUAAAUGAGAUUUUCGAAUUCGACGAGACUAUAGUACACUUUAUUAGCACAUGAGAUUUUCGAAUUCGACAAUCUCUUGCCACAAAUAUAUAAAAAAAUAUUAAUGGUUAUAACAGCAGUACCAAAACAACUGUAUGUUAAAUUAAUCGCGUAAAUUUAACAUAUUUUCAUCAACUUUGUUACCUACCCUCAACUCUAUAGGAAGAAUCUUCCAUGUUAAUUUGUUUAGGAUCAGGAAAACUAACUUAGUUGGAAUUUAGUAGAAUUAAUCGAUUAAUCCCAAUUAUACCUCUUAUAUGAACGUACCUACAAAGUAUAAAAUGAUCACUUUCUACGAUGUAACGUAAAAAGUAUUUUCAUUGAUUUAACCAGUGUGGUAUAUUAUAUCGCUUUUGAAGUUUUGGGGGGGGACACCAAAGCAUCAAAGAGUGAAACGGGAGGACACCAAAGAAAAAAGAGAAAAAGAAUAGUUAAAGUAAUAAAAAAAAAGAAUUUAGUCACUAUUUCAAUUUUAAUUUUCCAUGAUUUCACUUAUAAACUAUUUAGAUCUAUACAUAUACUGCAAAAAACAUAUAUUAAAUUACUUUAUAAUUGCUUUUUCCAUGGCUUUUCUAUUUUUGCUUUGGUGUACCCCCAUUAAACUAUGUAAAAUUUAGUGUCCUCCAUUUCAUUCUUUGAUGCUUGGUAUACCCCAAAAAAAACUUCAAAAGGUGAUAUUAUAUAUUUCCCUAUUCCAACUCUAUAUUUAUAUCUUAUAUCUUUUCAUAUUUUUAUUGAUUUAGUCAGGUUAGUUUGUCCGGUAUUCACACAAUGUAUAAUUUAAGAAUAACCCUGGUUGAGUGUAGAUAGAUAAAUUAAAUAAUUAAAUAAUUAAUAAUUAAUUAAUUGUUGUAAUUUCCUCCCAAACCCCUGGAAUCUCACUGUGCACAGGGCGUUUUGGAGGAGAAGAGAGAGGAAGAUAUGUGUGUGUGUGUGUGUAUAUAUAUAUAUAUAUAUAUAUAUAUAUAUAUAUAUAUAUAUAUAUAUAUAUAUAUUAUGUUUUAAAUUUUAAAACUAUAAAAAUUUAAAAUUUCAAAAUUUAAAAUUUAAAUUAUAAAUUAUAAAAUUUAAUAUUAUAAAUAAAGGUUUAAAAUUUGAAGAGUUUUAAAUUUUAAAAUUUAGAGAUUUAAGAUUAUUAUGCGCAUUAUUUAGCGCAUUAUUUUAGAUUGUAUUAUUUACAUUAAAUUUAAUGUAUUUUAUAGCGACAUAUUUUUUUAUAUCUUAAAUUUAAAAUCCUGAUUUUAAAAUCUUUAUAUCACGUAUACACAUAUAUAUAUUAAUUAAAAUAAUUUAUUUAAAAAAAAUGUUAAAAAAAAAUAAAUAACCAAAAGAAUUUAAUAAAACUAUCCAAAUAGAGUUUAAGAAAAGUAUAUUUAAAAUAUUUUAUUUAAUAACAUAUUUAAAUAAAACGCGUAUUAAUAAAAAUAUAUUAAAAAAUAAAUUAAUUAUUAAUCUGAAUAUUUUGAUAUAUUUUUAUAAUUUUUUAUAUAUUAAAUAAUAUUUUUAUUAAAAUAUAGGCGUCGUAGCGCGCCCAUUAAGUGAUUAGUCCGUAUUGUACUCCCAUAUAUUUUUUAUCCCAAUUAAUGUAUGUCCAGGAGUGUUUAUAUCACUUAAUGUUUAUAUAAAGACGUUUCAAAUUGAAAGUAUUCAAUAAGGAUAUUUCAAAGAUUAUAAAAGUCUAUACAGAGAAACCAAACAAUAGCAAUCUCUUGACAAUCUUUUGACAAAUAUAAAGGUUAAAACCGUAGUGUUUAUAUAAGGAGUUUUUCAAUAUUGUCAUAUUAUAUUCUUCUCAUUUUUACAGUUUUUAAUUGGGUCUAUUUCAUAAAUUGGUUACCAAUUGAUUUAAAAAGACUGUCUAAGAUUGUCAUCCCUGAAUAGACUUUUAUAAAUCUGAAAACAUCCCUAUUGAAUACUUUCAAUUUGAAAUGUCCUUAUAUAAAUAUUAAGUGAUAUAAACGUUCCUGGACAUACGUUAAUUGGGAUAUACUCAGGCAGAUUAUAUGAAAGCUUUCAUGGCCCUGAAGGCACGAACAUUUAACAAAAGCUACUAUCCUGUAGGCUAAGCUACUAGCCGAGGCAAUCCAUAUUAGAUGGGAUAACCUUGAUAGAUCUUUGGUUUCAAAUAUUAAAAAACUGUAGUAAAUGAUUCGUUAGUUUUCCAGGGUUUUUACUGAUAAAAUUACCGGCUACGCCAUGCAAAAAUUCAAGUUGCCACAUCUUCAUAGGUUUAAUGUACUUUUAAAUUUUCUUUUAAGAUGAAUUGCAGUUAUCGUUCUAGUUAUGAAGGCUAAACUUUAAACUCAGGAAAUAGUAACAAAAAAUACUCUAAAAAUAAAAGUCGGCAAGUAAAACUCCGAUAAGCAAGUGAUCCGUUUGCUUCAGUUUUUUAAUACUUUAAACCAAAGAUCUAUCAAGGUUAUCGCAUCUAGUACAGAUUACCUUGACUAGCGGCUUAGCCUGCAGGGUAGUAGCUUUUGUUGAAUAUUCAUGCCUCCGGGAGCAUGAAAGCUUUCGUAUCCUCAGAUUGAUAUAUAUAUAUAUAUAUAUAUAUAUAUAUAUAUUAACUCGUGGAUACGAAAAUUUUCAUGGUUCAGUAACCACGAACAUUCAAAAAUCGGGAACCUAAUUCCCUACACGCCAAUUCUACUACACCCAGGGGAUCCCAAUUCACCCACCAACCAACUUAUCAUAUUAGAUUGUCCACUUUUACUAGUUUCCGCAUCUAGAUUGCCAUUUUUUAAAUGUUCAUGAUUUAUGAAUCAUGAAAAUGUUCGUGGUAUCGGCCUGAGAUAUAUAUAUAUAUAUAUCUUGAUCCGACUUUAUGAUAAUUAUCGUGGUUCAACAAACACGAUAAUCAAAAAAUCGGAAACCUAAGUCUUUACACGCCAAUCCUACUACACCCGGGGGAUCCCAACUCACCCACUAACCAACUUAUCAUAUUAGAUUGCCUACUUUUAUUAGUUCCUCCAAUUAGAUUGCCGUCUUUUGAACUAUCGUGGUUCACAAACCACGAUAGCUAUCGUAUCGUCGGCCUGAGAUAUAUAUAUAUAUAUCUUAAUCCAAUGAUAUGAUAGAUAUCAUGGCCUUGAGGUCAUGAUAUGAGAACAAAAACUAGAAUCUCACAAGUUUAAUUGCUAGGUGUAGCAAUUUAUACUAAAUCCCAUAUACUUCAAGAAUCCUUAUGUUAAAAUCAAAAAAAGCUGUAGCAAAUGAAUCAUUUAUUUAAUACAGUUUUACCUGCCACCUUUAACUUAUUAAAAAUUUUAAACUCAUAUCUUGAAAAUUUAAGUUCUAGUUCUUACAAUUAGAAUUAGAUCUAUCAAAUUUCAUAAAGAUAGUUUUAAACUUCUUUAAAUCUAAGAAGACGUGGCAAUUUGAGGUUUGAGCAGUAUCGUCAAUAACUUUUAACUGUUAAAACUUUACUAAACUAAUAUUUUAUUUGAUACGGCUUUUUUAUAUUUUAAAAUAAAGAUUUUUGAAAUUUAUGGGAUUUAGUCAAAAUUGCCUUACCUAGCAACUAAACUUGUGGGAUUCUAGCUUUUGUUCUGAUAUCAUGGCAUCGGGUCCAUUAUAUCUAUCAUAUCCUCUGAUCGAGAGAGAGAGAGAGAGAGAGAGAGAGAGAGAGAUAUAUAUAUAUAUAUAUAUAUAUAUAUCGUGUAAUUAAUUAUAUUCCAACUCUAUAUCUAUAUCAAUUAUCAAAAAAAAAAAAAAAAAGGAAGAUUUAUCAGGUUAGGUUGUUUAACCCGGGUUGGAGUAGAAGAACACACCGUAAGUGUACUGUUACGUUUUGGUUGGGUAGUUUUAGAUACCUCUAGUACGUACCCUCUAGUACACGAAUAGGUGAAAAGUGGUUUAUGGGUGAAAAAAAAGGAAAAUUAAUUCCCUUUCGAAAAUCCAUAGAAAUAAAUACAAGUAACUAAUGUAGAUCAACUGUUUACGAACUUAGUUUGUUUUAUCUCUCUUUACUGUAUUUGUGAUUAUACCGAAGAUUUGAUUCUAAUAGACGUGAAAGGGAAUAUACGUGUAGAUUCAAAACUAAUUUUAUCUAUCUCGUUUCUUAUUACUAUGUGUACAAAAGUUUUUAUCUACCCUUGUUUUAGAUUCGAUUCCACUGACCAAAUAUAUACCUGUAACAUAUUCUGAGUGGCCAUACGUUAAACACGCUGAGUAAAUUGAUAUGUUAAGAGUAGUAGGAAAAGAUGAAAAAAAAUAAAGACUUUCACAAGGUCUGUGGAAAAAUAUUCUCUCUAGGUGAGUUAAACGAGUUUAUAAACGCAGUUUUUCGAUCUUUCUCAUUAAAUCUCAAACUUAAAAUGUGAUGUUGUCUUGAUCCAAUAUCGCUGUGUACAAACCCUGUGAAAACACAUUCACAUGGUAAAUACGGUUUUGAUUUUUUUUUUUAGAUAAUUACGAAUUCAUAUUUUGGGUUAGGUUGGUUUUUAUUUUCCAAUGAGAUGAGUUGGCUGGGGUAGGUCGGGUAAGCUGGGCUAAUGUUUGUCUUUUCUUUUUUUUUUUUUCUUUUUAACUAACAGUUGAGGGGAAGAGGGGAGCGAGUUAGGUGACUUUAGGAUCUGCUUCUCGGGAAGGGAGAGGAGGAGGAGGCGGUGGUGUCGGUUGCUCCAUCUCAAGGCCGCCAACGAUUUACGAAUUUACUCACAAUCAUUUAAUCGUCGUGAGAAAAAUACAAUAUCGCUGUGAAAAAUUGACAGUGAUAUAUGGAUCGCUGGGUUGUAUAUCGUUGUGAAAAAUUAUCACAGCCAUCAAAUCAGUCGUCAUAAAAAAACUGGACGUCACUGUAAAUUUUCACAGCGAUAUAUGGCAAAAACAACAUCACAAUCCGUGCAAAAUCACCGAAAUAAUUCUCAUAAUUAAUCUUAUAAAUAGGAAAUAAUCUAUUACAUUUUUGUUUUUAAAACCGGGAUAGGUAUGUAUGUUACAAGUUCCUGGUAAAAUAUGGUUCAGUUAAAGUUCAAUUACCUAUAUCUUAGUUCUAGGUAGGAUUACCACUGAAAUCACUCACGUACUAGAUCAUCACCAGGAAUCUCCACCUUGGUUUGUUCCCUGUUCUAAACCAGGGAGUACACUCAAAAACUAUUUACCUGGUUGUAUAUACUAUAGAAGUGAAAGUACCUACGAUGUUGAAUUGUUAUUAUUCUUGUUUAUAAAAUCCUUUAUAAUUCUUAUAUAGAUUUAAUAAAAAAAAUGAUUUAGGAAAAAAUUCAUUGUAGUAUCGUCUUAGUCGGAAUUUUGAGGUAACAACGAUAACACAAAUAAAUAACCCUAUUAACGGAUAUAUAGAGAGGAUGCAAACUUUUAUAGAUUAAAUGGAGAAAAAAAAAAGAAAGAUUUUAUGGCGAGUAUACAAAGUGGCAAUAACAUUUCAUGGGGGCGUCAAUAGAGGACAAUUCAAUUGAAUCUAAUUUGUACUCAAUUUAUAGAUGGUGUCAAUUCUUUUUAUUUUUAUGGUUAAAACGGGAAUUAAUUCCUGUUUAUUCUUCGCAACCACUGCCAUCUCCCCAUAUAAACUUUUCUGGUUUUCAGUUUUAUUAAAAACACGGGGACUGAAAUUUCUGUUUAUUCUUUUCAGCCACUACCACCUUCUCAUAUAAAUUUUCCCAUUUUAUCAUUAAAAUAUGUCUAUUGUCUCAAGUAAUUGUCUAAAAUUGGGAUCUUUAUAUAAACUUUAUCCAACCUUGUAUUUUUCCCAUAAAAGUUAUAAUCGGAAGAUUCUCCCUAUUUAGUUUUUCAGCCUUUGAAAAGUCUCCGUUUAUAUUCGUUAACGGGGAAUAAAUAAAUACAUAAGUGUAAUGUACACUCGACUUCACAUUUUUAAUUAAGACUUGGUAAAAGAUGAUAUGGCUAGUAAACCUAUUAUCGUCUGUAUAUAUUGUAAAAUUUUGUAAUACAGUCACUAAGUUUAUUCUUUAUAAAAAAGAAUUUUAACCCGGUUUUUAGUGUUUUUAUACUAUCAUACCUAUCACGAAAAUAAUAAAUAAAUAAAUAAAUAGUAAAAAACAUCGGUUAAGUUUGAAGGGUUGGUUUCUGUGUUAUCCCUAUUCUAGAACUUAGUAUCCAACGUAUUUCCUAUAGAUACAUAGAAAGUGAGUUUAUUUAUUUAUUUAUUUUUAUAUAAAUAAGUAUAUAGAAAGUAACUUUAACAGGGUGACUUAUUACCUAUUCCUAUUUCCCCUACUGUUAUUAUAACUUAGAUCACUGGUGGUAAAAUUAAGGUAGGAGAUUUUUAUUAGAUAGAGUCUAUUCGUGCUUGAUUUGUUUAAAAUACAAACCAACUCUUAACUUAUUAGAUAAUCUUAUUCUUUUUAUUAUAAAACUACCAAUAGCGGUCCUUAUUAUCACCCUUAUUCUUAUUAAUAUUAAAGUUUUAUCUUUAUAAAGUGGAAUUGUGACACAUCCUACUACCUCUUCAUAUAAUCAAUCAAUUAAUUAAUAUUUUAUAAUCAAUAAACAAACUAAUCAAUCUACUUAUUAAUCAAUUAUUUAAUUAAUCUAAUCAACAUAAUAAUAUUGAGGAGAAUCAUGAACUUAGUGUUAAUAGAGAGAAUGGUUUUCUUUUUCUUUUUUUAAUGUUUAUUAUGCUUAUUGUAUCCCAAAAGAAAAAGUAUAUUAAUUUAUUGUAUAAGUAAUGUUCACGUAAAAGGUGUUUAAUUCAUAGUUGUGUUUUGGUACAUUUACUUUGUUUAUUAAUGUUCUUCGGGUACCUCCGGUACAUGUUUUUGUCGUCAAUGUAGAGGUGUUCUUGGAGUUUAAAUAUGUGUAGUGUUUCUUUGAGUUUUCAUGGUUUAGUGUAUAAGUGUUUUUGAGUUUACCAACAAGGAACUGUAGCCGUAAACUAAAGUGCAGUGUACUAGGUAGCCUUUGUAUUUUGCUUCGGAGCUAGUUCCUCUCUUUAUCAAGCAAGCUACUCGCAAAGUGGUGGUGGUGGGAUAAAAAGCUCUACUUUAAUUUUGAAGCAUUCCAAAUUCGAUAUUUAUAAGUAUCCUUUGUAGUAAACGUAGUGAACAAGUUUGGUUUAUACGUAUGGGUUUAUGAUCUAAUUUCGGCGUAUGUCAUAGUCUUUGUUAUACGCGGUAUAUAUACAACGCUUAUUAGAGUUAUUGUAAAUUUUCGUGCAGCUGCGUAAUAUCGACGACGUAGUUCUUUAGUAUUAUAUUCUCUCCGAACAGUACACUUUAUACCUUAAAUAUGCUAAAAAAAAAAAAGUCUUUGAACUUGUAUGCUUUCUAUUCCUUUGACUUGUAGUUGUUCAAUACUCACAAAACGCUUUUUGAAUCACAGCACCCAGCCUGUUUGUUAGUUUCACCCUCUAGUAUUUGGCUUUGGUCAUGUUCAAGAGAAGUAAACAAACUAGUAUUUGGCUUUGGUUUUUGAGAAGUUUGGCUUUGAGACUCUUUUGGGUCCUGUGUUCCCUUUAGCUUUAGUUAUGUGACACGGAGUUAAAGCAACCCCGAUUCUACGAAGAAAACUAUAGCAUGAGUGCGCUAGCUGAAAUUCAUCUGGUGAUGCUUUGGAUGUAGUAUCUUCUUCGUUACGAAUCUUCGUAUAGUUCAAGAGCUCUUCAUCGAAGCUCAAGAGGAGUUGUUUCAUUCAAGCAUAAUACGCUGGUCUCAUCCUUAGGUUCUCGUGUUUUGUGUACUAAUCGUAGACUGUCUAUGCGUUCUUUGAACUUAGCUUGUUCGUGGCUAUUAAAGCAUAUGAUAUAAACGUCUCUCUUGUUACGUGCCUUACUAUAAUCUAGUCGUGUUCAUCUCUUAAAUUUCGCGUUCAAUGUUUCUGUUGUCUCCAAAGAUGUCUAGGUCGGUUGGACUUUUACAGUGAAGCUAGGCUGUUUGUGUAGUUCCUAAGGCGUUGUUAAGGUGGUGCAGCGCGCCACACGGCGACUACAUCGUGCGCCGCGCUGGAUGCUCGGUAGCUUUGUCAGGGAGCAGUAGUCAUAUUAGUGGUACUUGUUGCUUUCUUUUGCGGCGCUUAUUACUAAAAAGCACCCUAUUUAACGUACAAACCAGGAGUCUGGAAUUAAACCACCCUUGACAACGUUAGUUUAGGAUAUUACGUUGAAUUAACCGAUUUAUAAACUACUUAGCGUUUUUAUUUUUACUAUAUCGUCACAACACUAACUACUGGUGUAGCGAAAAUAUAGUUGCUACGCAAUUAUAAAUCAGUUAAUUUAACCAAAUACCCUGAGCUAACGUUGUUAAGAUCUUUAAGCUCGGACUUUAACACCUAUCUUGAGUUCUUGGGAUUAACGUUUUAGAGCGAAAAAAACGUGUUUAAUAGGUAUCAAAAAAAAAAAGAAACAUCGUUGUGUUCGUUUAAAAUGAACUAGAUUAGGUAUUAUCAUUUCACUUUCACGCGAUUUGGUUUUAAUUCGUAAAUAUAUGUUUGUAUAGUUGUAUUAGAUAGAUACUAUAUGGAGCCAAAAGCGUUUUAGGUGCCGAAAUAGCCGAAGCCUUUAGCCGCUUUGGGAUCCAAGUCCAAGAGGCCUUCGUCGGCGGUGGCUACGGCUACUGCUACUGCUUAGGAGGAGGAAGCUUUGGGAUUGGGAUCUGAGGAGUUAGUGUCACUGGCAAAAGAGGUGUCCCCUUAGGGGAACGAGGCGGUGGUGAAAGAGGAGGAGGAGCACGAGGUUAAAUGGACGAAGCCGUAGGCUUAAGCAGCCGAGGCCUCGGAGGAGGAGGCGGCGGCGGCGGAGGCCCAAAUCCCAAACGAGGCGGAGCGGCAGCGGUAACGGCACGAGCCUCGAGUGCAGCGAGCGGAACGACUGCGGCAGCAGCAGGAGGACGCGCUGCCGCAGCGGUACGGGCAGUGGACAAGCUGCUUUACGAACACUCUCUACGCUUAUCAAACUAUUUUCUCUCUUAAUCUUUGGCGGUAUGUGACUGGAACACCCCCCAACCCAACCACAAGAAGAAGAAAAAACCACAAGAAAAACCACACAAACCUACUAAAGAAGAAGAACCUUGGACCCUAACCUCUACCUCUUCCACUCUCUAUCUCUUCUUCUUCUUCUUCUUCUUCUUCUUCUUCUUCUUCUACACACCACUCACCUCUCUCCCUCCUUCUUCUACCUCCCAACCACAAAGAUCCCAAUCCCAAAAUCAGAGAAAAACAAACUGUUAGACGAAGACAAAGACGAAAGUCAUUAUACAGUGCAUGAAUUCGUUUUAGUGAAUAGUUUAAGCCCGCCACGAGCAGAAAGAGGCGUUUCACUUGUUCGGACGGAGAGGCGAACGAUAAUUCUCGAUUAUCUUUCCGUGGGUCACUGCGUUUCAAUGUCUAGUUUUGUCUUUUGAUGCUCGAGAAUUCUCUGAGAGGAUCUUUGAGAUUUGAGAAGCCGUAAACGCGGGCGUCGGAGCUCUAAGUAUCUCUACGAAGAUCUGCCGUUCUUGAGACUGUUAUUAGAAGAAACCUCAAACCCACUAACGUUUCCACUUUAACCCCUUACUAAGAUUUAGGAACUGUUCGUCGACAAUAGAGAUGAAACUGAUCCCGACAGCUACUCGACUGGUGCUCGCUGGAUCCUAGCCGAGCACAAGAUAGCAAAUAAUUUGCUCAGCUUCUAGUCGACCGAGCAAUUUUAUAGCUCGACUUUUUUUAUCGAGCAAGUAAUUUGCUCACUAGCUAAAGCUAGCUCGACUGUUGCUUGAUUUAACGGUCGGGAUGAUGAUGGUUCGCUUUCCAUGUUCGAGAUUUAACCGCGCGAAAAAAUACGAUACCUCAAUUAGGCAACUUUCCUAAACUUCCUAGUCGAUUAAAAAAUUUGUUUAAUAAGGGUUUUUAUUACUUAAUACUCGGCUUGUAUUUAAAGUAGAAUAAGAAAGAAUAAGUCCAUGUUUUUUCUAAAUUGUAUAAGAGCAGAGUUUUAUAUCUACAAAAUUUAUUUUAUGUACUAAAUAUAUCCCUUUUAAUUAUCCCUAAUUGUUUUUAAGAUGUUCUUUGAGUGAAGUUGUUCUAUAAUAUUCCCCAACCUUAAUAUAGUGAUUUAGAUUUUAUUUUGAAGGUUAGAGUUGAUAAUUUGGUUCAAGAAAUUAUUGAAUUUUAUAGAGUUACAGUUAUGUUAGUAUUUUGUGUAGAUUAUAUAUACAUUUUAUGUUUUUUAUUUCAAAGUAACUAAGAUGUGUAUAUUUUAUCUUUUGUAUCUUGGUUUUUUUUUCUUUUUGUUGUUCUAUAUAUUCUUUUACUCUAUAAUCCCUUGUAUAUAUCGUACGUGUUCUUUAUUCUUUACUUUUGAAAAAGAAAAAGGUUUAAUUUGAUAACUCUUAAAUUUCUCAAACUCAAGUUAAUCAGGGGAUGAUGUGUAUUUUUUUUUUUUUUUUUUGAAAAAGUUACUUUUUUUCUCUCUAUUUUGAGUAAUGAUAUAAUUUUUUUUUGUUUCAUUAAUUAAAUAAAUUAAGAUGUUUAUAUUUUCUCCUUGUUUUCUUGUUUUUGGUGUUUUUGGGAUUUUGUGUAUUCUUAAGUUUUUUAAUUCUAAUAAAAAAGUUUAGAUGUUUUUAUUACAUUUUUUGAGUAAUUCAAAGAAACUAAGUUCUUUGUAUUUUCUUUUUAAUCUCUUUGUGGUUUUAUACAUUGUUUUCUCCCCCCCUUUUUUUUCUCUUUAAUUAAAUUCCCCGUAUCUUGUGUAUAUAAAUGGAACACACAAGAGGAGAUUUAGGUGUUGUGGUACGACCAAGAAAAACCUCUUCUCGAAAAACUCGUACCUGUAUUAAUUUUCACUAAAAGUUUAUUCGGGUUUUUCAUAUAUCAAAUCUCUCUUUUUUUUUUUUUUUUUUUUUUUUUUUUUCUUUUUUUUUUUCUGUUAUAUCCUUAUCUUUGUUUAUUAACGAAGAGGUGUUUCACCCAGAUUACGAAUAAGAAGCUAGGGAGGAUACUAGAGAGUUUAGAAUAUAUUAAUAAUUCCCUUUUAUGAGCUUCCUCUCUUUAUUUAUCUCACUUUCCCCACCAUCAACUGAACCUACGAAGUACAUAAUAAUUAAACAAACGAUGUAAACCACAUAUACACGUAAGUACGCAAUGCAUAAUACUAUGUCGCAACACAAUUUAUAUUUUUAUAUUUUUCUUAUUAAUAAAUAUAUGGAGAGUUUUAAAGUUUUUAUAGAAUAAAUAAAAAUAAAAAAAAGAAAGGUUAUAUGAAGAGUAUACAAGGAGGUAUGACGUCAAUGGUGGGCAAUUCAAUUGAACCCAAUUUGUACUCGAUUUAUAGAUGAUCUUAAUUUUUUUUUUUAGUUUUAUGGAGAAAGCAGGAAUUAAAUUUUCGUUUAUUCUUUACAAUCUUUCCAUAUAAACUUUUCUGAAUUUUAGUUUUAUGAAAAACGCAAGGAUUGAAUUCCCAUUUAUUUUUUUUCAACCACUACCAUUUUACUAUAUAAACUUUCCCAUUUUAUUAUUAAAGUAUCUUUAUUGUCUAUAACGAUUGUUAAGUAAUUAUCUUAAAUUGAGAUCUCUAUAUAAACUUUAUACAGUUUUAUAUUUUUUCCAUAAAAGUUAUAAUCGGAAGAUUCUCCUCAUUUAAUCUUUUAAUUUUUAAAAAGUCCUCAUAUACACGUUAACGGGGUUAUAUUUUUAUAGUAAGAAAUUGUCGAAUUAAUUCGAAAACCUAUUUUGUCAACAAAGCGUAAUAAAUUAAUUGUACCGUAGUCUCAUUUUCCAAAACUUAAGCUCAUUGCAGCCUGAGGCUGUAUUCACACUCCACAAUUUAUAUUUUUAUAUUUUUAUGAUAAGAGAUGGUCGAAUUCGAAAACUUCUUUUUUUUUUAGUACAUGAUAGAAACUAAGUAAAUUCAGAUUAAUAAUGUCAGCCUUAACGUACUCCUUCGAGUUGACAUCGUCAAGCUUAAUUGAUGUCGUUAACUUCUCUAUUUGAAGUUUUAUUACCAUUUGAAUAAAAGGAUUAGUGUAAACUUUUAUUAUAAAAAAAAGGAACAUGUAAUCUCUGUUGGAGCACUAGUACACAUAUUUCACCAUUUUAAAUGUUUAUGUUAAGAGUUGACGUUAGCUUGUUGGUUCUAAUAAAAAUUGGUGCCGAGAAAAUGCUUUGUUCUACAUACGACAACAUUAUAAACAACCUAAAAUUAAUAUACGAAUAAAUAAUAAUAUAAGUUAGUUUAUACUUAUACUUCAUUCAACUUUUAAAAGUUUAUACAUAUAGAUUUAACCUGCCAUCUCUAACUUUAUACUCUUCCAUAUCUCGACUCUACAUUCCCACGUGACCACGUGUUUAUAUAGGCAUGUGGGCCAAGUAGCUUUUUAUUAAAGAACCUUGAUGGCGGUAACAUCGAGCUUCACUGCGGAGCCAAUUUUUUUUUUUUCCAAAUAUUUAGAAGGACCUGGUCCAGGUGUUUUAGUGUCGAGGUACCUGGUCCAGGUGGUGGAGUAGAUAUAUAUAUCCUCGUAACUAACCCGCUUCUUGUUUAGCCUACUGUAUAGGUAACCUACUGCACCACUUGGCCCAGGUAUAUUGACUUGAGGGUGAACCACCCGCAACACUGCACCGCCUCAUAAUAACCACCCUUAACUUAGACUCCUGGCCAAGUCUAUAUAGACCUGGUUUGGCCGGGUGGCCAAGCCUAUAUUAAACUGGGCCUGGGUUGAAUUAUUGUUCACUUUAAAUAGUGAAUAAUGAAUACAGGAUAUAAUAUAUAUUUUUUUUUAAUAAUUAAAAUAUUAUUAUAAAUAUGGUUAUUAAACCAUAGCUUUAAAUUAAUAUUCGUUUUUAGCUGUAUUCGGUGUAAAAUAAAAUAAAAUAAAAUAAAAUAAAAUAAAUUAUAUAAACGUGCGAGAAAUAAUUGAGCUCAAGGAUUUUUCCUUUUGUCAAAGUAGCAUGAUUAUUUUAACGAUUAAAAUUAUUUAAAAGAUUAAAUUAAAUAAUUGUGUUAAAUUUCCGAAUGAGAUAUUAACACCCUGGCCAGGCCAACCCUAUUUUAUUUGGCUUGGCCUUGCCAAAUGGGGUUUUUUAAUUUUCAAUAAGCCACCUGGCCCUGAACAACUCGUGUAAUUAAUUAAUUUUAAUUAGAAAUCCUCAAACUACCCGUAUUAGAACCAGCCACCAACGAUGUGCACCGUAUAAAAAGAAUUAUGUAAUAAAAGAGGUUAAAAAAUUUAAAUAAAUAAAAAAUAAAAAUAAAAAUAAAAAAAAUUAAAUCACAAACCCACGUGCAAACCCUUUGUGUUAAUUACCUCUCCACCACCGCACCCUACGUAAUCUCCUCAGGAUGCACAAGAUUAAUACGAAGCGCAUGGGCGUUAACUAUGAAAAAUAAAAACGAAUACAAAACUUUUAUUAUAAUUUAUUCAAUUAGACAUACACUGCGUAGUCAUAUGACAACGAAGUUGAUAUAUAGGUAUUGGCACGUAGCACAAAAUAUAUAUAUAUAUAUAUAUAUAUAUAUAUAUAUAUAUCUCUCUCUCUCUCUCUCUCUCUCUCUCUCUCUCUCUCUCUCUCUCUCUCUCUCAACUCAAUCUUAUGAUAGCUAUCGUUUACCCAAAGCAACAGUAAGUAAAUAAAAGAUACUACCUCGGAGGUUUAGCUGCUAGCCGUGGCAACUUGUACUAAAUAUGGCGAACUUCACAAAUCUUUAGUUUAAAGUAUGUAAAAGCUAUAACAAGAGAAUAGGCAGCUCACCUGUGUUUUUACUUGCCGACUUUUUACUUAUAAGAAAAUUUUUACUACUAUCCUCAGAACAUUAGUUCUAAUUCUCAUAUCUAGAACAAAAUUUAUCAAAUUUCUUAAGAGAUUGGUUUUAAGUUAACGACACCUAUAGAAAUGCGGCAAUUUGCUCUUUUGCGGAGUGCAGCUGGUAAUUUUAAUGUUUAAAACUUUGGGAAACUAGUAAUCCGUUUCAUACAGCUUUUCUAAACUUUAAACUAAAGAUUUAUGAAGUUCACCAUAUCUAGUAUAAGUUGCCACGGCUAGCAGCUAAACUUCCGAGACAGUAGCUUUUGUUUACCCACCGUUACUUCAGGCAAACGAUAGCUAUCAUAAAAUCGAGUUGAUAUAUGUGAAACCUUUGGCAUAUGACCAGCCUUGGAAAAUAACAACAACUACAUAAAUAUAUACAAUGUACACGCCUGAUUAAAAACGUACACUGUAUACUAGUUAUAUAUACAAUCGUGUAGUUGCCAAAUAUUCCCAAGACAUAAAACGCAAUAACAUCAUCUUGAGUAGCUCAUUAAUUACGAGGCGGUAGGGUAUAUAUACUUAAAAAAACAUAUGUAAGCUACCCAAAUAAUAUACAUUUAUUUAAUUAGACACAUCUAUAAAAUGACAUAGUUAUGUAGUUGUUAGAUAUUUUUAUCGUAAAACCAAGAAGUUAUAUCCAUCCAUGGAAAAUACAGGCGAUUAUACCACUGACAACCACAUUCAUGUGGUUUUAUCUCUAAUCUGAAUUUACUCACUUUUUAUAGCUGCUUAGUUAGUUCGUCCUCGUGCUUUUUGGAGCGUGUGAUUAAAUUCUUCUAAAUUCAAGAGACACCAACCAUUUUGAGAGCUUGACUAUUAUUGUUUCAUAACUGUGCAGAGGAAGACUUAUAUUUCCGAGCUGAGAACAAUAUACCGAAGUAGUUUGAGACAUAUUUAUAUACUCAAGUUUCUAAGUGAUUUUUAGUUUUGAAAUAAAUCCGAGAGAGAGAGAGUUUAGUGAUGUUGUUUUUGCCAGAUAUCGCUGUGAAAAUUUAUAUCCAUGUACAGUUUUUUUACGACGAUCGAUUUUAAUGGCUGUGAAAAUUUUUCACAACGAUAUACACCCCAGCGAUUCAUAUAUCACUGUCAAUUUCUCACAGCGAUAUUGGAUUUUCUCACGACGAUUAAAUGGUUGUGAAUAAAUUCGUAAAUCGUUGGCGGCUUUGAGAUAGAGCAACCGACGGCACCGCCUCCUCCUGCUGUCCUUUACGAGAAGCAGAUCUUAAAGUCACCUAACUCACUUCUCUCUUCUUUUCUACUAUUAAUUAAAAAGAAAAAAAAAGAAAAGACAAACAUUAGCCCGGUUUACCUGACCCACACCACCCAACUUAUCUCAUUAGAAAAUAAGAACCAACCUAACCUGAAAUAUAAAUCCGUAAUCAUCUAUAAAAAAAAUUCAAAAUCGUAUUUACCCUAUGAAUAAGUUUUCACAGGGUUUAUACAUAAAGAUAUUGGAUUAAGACAACAUCACUUAUAAUUCCUUAUUGUUCCGUUUAUUUUAUCUAUACUCUUAAUAUAAACCACACGCCAAUUUACAAUGUAUCCAACCUUCUAAUUUUUAACGUUCACACAUCCAAAGUAUAUAUCUUUCAAUUAAAACUAACGUUGAGGUGGUACUAACGAUCCUUUAUAUAUCACCAUUGUGAUUGUGGUGUCACCCAUAUAAGUUAUUUUUUAAUUAUAAUAAAGUAUUAUUUUAUAUGUUUGUGACUAUUCAAUAAUAUGUAAUAAAUCAGAUACACAUUCUAUAUGAAUAUACGUAUAUACAUCAACCGAAGUGUAGUCACAGUGUCCAACAUAUAUUCCCAUUUGAAGUUUAUGGUGAGGACAUAAAAGCGUGAAAGAAUAAAAUGAUGGUACACUAAAUUUCACAUAUAUAAUUCAAUCACAGUACACCAAAUAAAAAUAGAAAAAUAGUCGAAAAAGCAAUUAUAAAACAAUUUAAUAUAUAUUUUUUGAAGUUUAUGCAUGGGGUAGAUCGAUCCAUAUAGCUUAUAAGUGAAAUCAUGGGAAAUCAAAAUUAAAACAGUGACUAAAUUGUUUUUUUUUAAUCACCUUAGCUAUUAUUUUUUUAUAUUUACUUUAGUGACCCAUGAUUUAACUAUGUGAAAUUUAGUGCCCUAUGAUUUCACUCUUCUAUACUUUGGUGUCUAUACCAUAAAUUUCAAAAAGGAUAAUGAAUAUAUAUAUAUGAAAUAAACAAUUUUGUUAAAAAAUUUCCUACGUCCACCUUGUAGUUUAUUAAACCGAUGUGUAAUCGUAUGUUUUCAGUUUAUCUUUGUCAGGUGUACACUCCUAAAACUUGGAUCGAAUCUUGGACCAUAGGUUUUUUCUCCGUGUUUGUGAUGUGUUAUCUUAGGAUACCCUCAACUAAGUUUAAGAAAAAAUUAAUAUAUAUAAAGAAUUAUUAGUCGAUGAUACGAUAGCUUUUAUAUCUCUUAAAUUACGAAGGCUAAAAAAACAAAGAAUCUAGUCAGGGAAUUAAUAAAAAUUAGAAAUCUAAUUAUGACAAUAAGACACCUCUAGCUGGUGAGUUGAGAUUCUUAUAAUGAGUUAGGAUCCCCCCUGGUGCUAGUAUAUAGGGUUUGCAUAUUAAGAACUAGGUUCUCAGUUUUUUAGUCUUCAUAGUUUAGCAGAUAUGAAGACUAUCGUAUCAUCGAGAUGUGAAAGAAUUAACAGUACUAAUUAAUGGAUUGAAAAUUAAGUGAUUUCUUUUUAUAUUAUCGUUUAUUUUAAUGAUAUUUCAGCUAAGAAAACGGUAAUAUAACUAAUUAAUGAUUAUUGUGUCGAGUUUUAAAAGAAAGCUAAUUUUAAUGAUUCAUGAAUAGAGCUAUAUUCAAGUUUUUUUAACUAUUUUUAUAUAUUAUUCUUCGUUAAUCUUCUAUAACCACUAUUUAUUUUAUUUAUAAGUUAUGGUAAUACACAGUUAUAUAUAUAUCUAUAAAAACAACUGGACGUCCAUAGCUAUGCCAUGUUGUGUAUGACAAAGUUGUUCAAAAACCGUGCUAGCGGACGAAAACUUAAAAAUUCAUGAGUUUACCUGGAAGGAUGUUAGAAAAAAGAUAAGAUGAUUUUCCUUUGUUUGAACUUGAAAAAAUGUUUAAACAUUUUCUUUUUUCAUUAUUUUUUCAUCUACGUUUUUCGAAGAAUUUCAUUUAAUUACAACUCUAAAGAUGUAGUAGUUAUCACCAACCACACACUGUGAUACUGAAUUUACAGAUUUAAAUUAAUUUUCACCAGGUGAUUAAUUUCCCUAAUCCGUAUAUCCUCCAACACUCGAAAAAAAAAAAAAAAACUCUUUUUCCAACACUCGAACAAUCACGUUGAAUCCAUAUACCUCUACAAACUAGUUGAGGCAAAGCUUAACGUCUCUCUAAUGUUGUAUACACCACUCUUUCAUGCUAGCUACUUGUUUAUAAGAUAAAUAAAGACAUACACUACAGUGCAAAGAGUAUAGCGUUAUUUAAGUGAUACUAUAUAAAAAAUGCUACGUUAGUCUUUUGGUUUUUUAUUUCGUAUAAGGAUAUAUGGGGCAGAGAUAGUAUAGAUAUUUGCAAUCUAUCCAAAGUUAUGAUCGAGAUGCUUGGGAAUUAAACUAACAAGACAUUUCUUAGAAAAUAUCUAACAACUAUAUAACUGUUUAAUUAUUUUAUAAAAAUAAAUGUAUGUAUUAUUUAAUAUUUGAAGGAGUAAUAUAUAUAUUUUUUACUCGUUUAUUAAAAAAAUUUUUAAUUUUCACUAUAUAUUUAAACUCUACGAUAUACAUACAUCCAGUGACCUUUUAUAAAUAAGUGUACCUUUAGUACUAUACAAUUUUAUCGUUAGUGAAUUUAUUAAUGAUACGUAAUUUAUUAAUAAUACGUAAUUUAUUAAUGAGGUGGUUUUUUGUUUUAAAAUAAAAAAAAAGACGUCAUUUUAAAUUCGACGUUGGAGUUUAAUUUGAACUAUCACUAUAAUCCACUAAGUUUCAAUAUUUUCCACAAGAAAAGUAAUUAAUCUUUAUAAAAAACGGGUGAGUGUUACAAAAUCUGGUAAAUUAAAUGAACGUUAAUUACUACACUAUCUAGAACCAUCUAGAAAGAAUUCGGGGAACCAUUAAUUUUAAUAGUAAAUGAGUGUGAGAUAUACACUUAACACAGUUAAUAAUCAUCAUCAUAUUUAAUGAAAAUGAAUGUUAACAUCUUAUCAAAUGAUUGUACGAUUCUAAUUCCUACAAUUACCUAUGUCUAUGGACUUUAAAAUAGGUUUAAACUUAAACUUGUUCCGCCCAAAUGAGCUAUUAUUUACUUAUGGCAAAACCUAUACCCAUAUCUUUUGUUUUUAAACUGGCUAAAACGGCCAUGGACUAGGCUCGGGCUUAGCCUGGGUUUCGGUUUAACUAAAAUGCUAUAUAUUACAUAUAUUUACAAACUAUAAUAUACAUUUAAACAUAAAACUUUUAAAUCUAAAACUAUAUUAUAUAAAACUUUAUACCAUUUCUCUUUAUUAAUAAAGACCAAGCCGAGAAACCCAAAGACCAAGUCUAAAGUCUAAAAGUCAGACUAAGUAUAAGCUCGAGUCCAAAGCUCAAACCAACAGUGUAAGCCUAAAUCUAAAAACUUUUAAGUAAGGCUUAGACUUAGCAACUGUAGAGAUCGAUUCUCUCUUCCAAAAUCAACAUCAACUAUGUUAAGUACUGUUUUACUCUAUUGGUUUUUAUUAGUUAUUUUUAUACUAUAUAUAGUGGUAUUCACUUAACCCGAAUCGUGAAGUUCAAUAUAUAUUGACCUGUAUUGUAAAAAGAAAAUACAUUGUUAAGAAAAUGAAAUUCCUUUUACAAAAAAAAAAAAGGUGAAUAUCAAAAUGUUGAAAAAAUGAAUACAGAUAUACCUUAAAGAAUAAUAAUAAUCAAGUUGUUAAAAAAUAUAUGAAUUGCGUUCUUUCUCUCUAAAAAUAAUUAAGAACAAUAGAUAAUAUUAAUAGUAAAAUGGUCAUUUUAUUUUCUAUUACGAUAUUGAGACGUAGGUUUUCACCUACGUAGAGAAUGUAAGAGAGAUAGGUUUCGCAUAAAAAAAGUGUGACAGAAUACGUACAGAGGAUAAAAACAUUAUGAUUUUUAAAUUUUUAAUUUCAACAGAUUUAGAAUCUAAUUACAUAAACGACAUUAUAAAUGUGAUUAUAAAAACAUUUUCUCACAAAUUAAGAGCCUUUUUAUAUAUAGAAUCUUUUAUUAAAAGACUGAUUUUCAUAAAAAAUUAAACAGGUAAACUAAAGAUCCUUUUCAUCGAAAAGAAUCUUUUUUUUUUUAGGGAUCUAAAAUGAUAUUUUUUUUCAUCACAAAAGGAAACUUAAUAAUAAAUAGGCCUUUGGUUUUGAAUACCUUAAUAAUUACGAACAAAAAAAAAAGGUAUUUGAAUAAAAAGAAACGUUUUUUUAUUAACACGUGCUAAAAGCCUCGUUGGUUUGUGAGGGAUUUUUAUUAAUUUAAUGAUCUAGAGGAGGAAUUAAGUUAGUGAGGUAAUAUAUUUUUGAGAAGCAAGUUUGGUUUACUUUAAUUAAUAAAUGAGGUUUAAUUAAUGUUCGUGCAUGGGGAGCAUUUGACGUUAUUCAUUAAUUGUUAAUGAUCACGUACGAGAGUAACCUUGGUACUUUUGUGUUAAUUAAUUGAUGAGUGUUUAAUUUAAUAUAUUAUUAUUUGUGAUCGAUAUAUUUAUGAGAGCGUACGUAUAUAUUUAGUUUAGUUUGAUUGUAUAUAUAUAUAUAUAUAUAUAUAUGUAUACAAAUCUAAUAUAUAUAUAUAUAUCUCUCUCUCUAAUUAUAUUAUUAUUAAUCAAAAUUAUCAAAAUUAAAACAUACCCCCUCCUCCUCUUCUCCCUACUAGUACUAGUAGUACUUAUAAUAAACCUUCCUAAUUCCAACUAAUCCCUCUUUACCUAUUGUGUAAUGUCGUCAACAGUCUCCUAAGACGAACACCCACUCCCCCUGAAGAGGAAGAGACGUACGAACCGAUCCCGAAAACCUUGAUGACGGGUUUUGUACCACCGGUGGAGUAAACUGGUGUUUCCACAACAUUUUUUGUAUUUACCAAUAUAUUAACUAAGUAAAAAAUACAAUUAAAUCCUACGUACGUUAUUACAUUACAACAUUAGAAAACAAAGGAAAGAGAGAGAGAGAGAGAAAAAAAAGAAGAAACUUAGUAAGGGUACUUUAUGUAUAUACAUCGAAUAUUAUAUUCCACGUACGAAUUAAACAGUUUUCUAUAUAUAUGAGAAGUGAGAGAGAGAGAGAGAGAGAGAGAGAGAGAGAGAGAGAGUAAUCUUAGUUACUCUAGUAGUGACAGAUUUCGUCAACUAUCUACAAAAAAAAAAAAAAUGAGAAAUAUAUAUAUAUAUAUAUAUAUAUAUAUACUUUACAUCUAGCACAAGAGAGAGAGAGCAAUCUUAGUUACCUCAUCAAGAAUCCAUAAAAAUUGAGUAUAUAUAUACAUAUAUUACAUCUAGAACAAGAGAGAGAUAGCAAUCUUAGUUACUUUAGUAGUGGUAAAUCUCAUCAAACACCCAUAAAAAAUUAGAGAGAGAGAGAGAGAGAGAGAGAGAGAGAGAGAGAUAUAUAUAUAUAUAUAUAUAUAUGAUAAGAUCCCAUAUCGUACGUACGUACGUUGCAUUAGAGAAAACUAAUCAUGAAUAAAAAGAGAAAUCGAUCAAUUUUGGUUACUCUGGUACUAACAAAUCUCGNCAUCCAUCUUGUAAGCUGUGGUUGAAGCUUAAUUGUGUAGUAUCAGCAUAUAGAAGAAGAGAUUAGUUACGAAUUUUGUAGUAGAAAUAGUAGUUUUGGCAUUGAUUUUUGUUUCUUUGAUUAAAUCUAUAAACAAAAAGAUCUAGUGUACUAUUAUAAUUAGGAGUUUACUUACAUAUGAUCGAAACCAAUCAACAAAAUUCUCCACAUGAAUCUUAUUUAUAACCAUAUCACUUGGGCGUGUUCCACGAUUCUGCCUUUUUAUUGCACUUUUAUGAAUACUAGACAAAAAGAAAUAAUGUUAAUAUCAAGCAAUUAAAACUAGUAAGUACAUAAUACUUACAUGAUAUAGUUAUUUACCUACGAAAAGGAAUUAUUUCAUUACUAUUGAACAGUACAUAUCGAUGAGCUUGCAUCCAUGACUUUUGAUCAAGAAGAAUAUUUGAUAUUGCUCCCAUUGAAUCAUCGAUAUUCCUAGCGGGCCUAUUGAAUGUUGUCUCGAUAGUUUCCAAGUAUCUUGAGCAAAACGUCAUACAUUCUUCUACCAUAUAGCCUUCUGCAAUUGAACCCUCUGGAUGAGCCUUAUUACGUACCUCAGACUUAAGCCAAAAGAGAGCCCUAUAGGUUGAAAAGAUAACAUAGACUAUAAGAGUUAAAAGACAAUUAGGUUAAGUAAAAAGUAACAAGCUGACUAGGUCAAACCUAACCUCUCGAUAGGAUACAUCCAACGAUAGUGAACUGGUCCUGCAAUUUUGGCUUCAGUAGCUAAAUGGACGACCAAAUGUACCAUAAUGGUAAAAAACGAAGGAGGAAAGAUUAUUUCCAAAUGACAUAGAGUUUCCACAAUUCGAGAUUCCAAUUGCUCAAGUUCACGUACAUCCAAAGUUUUGGAACACAACUCACGAAAGAAACAACACAAGUCGAUUAGAGGUGCAACUACUCUCUUCGGCAAAACCCCACGCAAUGCUAUCGGAAGAAGUUGUUGCAUUAAAAUAUGACAAUCAUGACUCUUUAAACCUAUCAUUUUGCGUUCCUUAAGCUGAAUACAGCGUGAUAGGUUAGAUGAGUAGCCAUCCGGCACUUUCACAUUUUUCAAAAUUUUUAAAAACUCGUCCUUCUCUUUUAGAGACAUUGUGAAGCAACUUGGUGGUAAAAUAAUUUUAUUUAGUCCAACACUUUGAGAAUGAAGCUCAGGUCGUAACCCCAUAUCUUUUAAAUCAAGGCGUGCCUUCAGAUUGUCCUUUGAUUUGCCAUCAAAAUUCAUUAAUGUGCCAAGAACAUUAUCGCAGAUAUUUUUUUCAAUAUGCAUCACAUCGAGAUUGUGACGCAACAGAUGGUGUUCCCAGUAAGGUAACAUAAAAAAUAUACUCCUUUUCUUCCAUGGUUGAUACUCUAUAUUUUUAUUUCUUUUUCUCUUUCCUUUUGACAUAUUAAUAUGCUUACCAAAGUGACAUUCAACGUAUUGAGUGUGCUCCAAAAUUUCUGCUCCAGAUAAUAUUUUAGGUGCCAACUCCUUUUCUUGAGUGCCAUCGAAUGAUAUCCUAUCUUUUCGAAAUCUGUGAUUCUUGUGUAGGAAUCGCCUAUGGCCCAUAAAGCAGUAUUUGCCACCGUAUUUUAACCAACGAGAGCGAGUAUCAUAAUUACAAGAAGGACAAGAAAGAGGACCCUUGGUGCUCCAUCCAGAUAAGUCACCAUAUGCAGGAAAGUCAUUGAUUGUCCAUAACAAUGCAGCACGCAUACAAAAAUUCUCUCCGACAGAUGCAUCGUAUGUAUCAAGGCCGAGCUCCCACAAUUGUACUAACUCCUCGAUCAAAGGUUGCAAAUAUACAUCUAUACUAAUAGAAGGUGAAUUCGGGCCUGGAAUGAGCAAUGACAAAAUCAAGGAAGACCUUUUCAUGCAUACCCAUGGUGGCAAGUUGUAUGGGACCAAGAUGACAGGCCAACAACUGUACUUAGUGCUCAUAGUUCGAAAAGGAUUGAACCCAUCCGUUGCUAAUCCGAGCCUAACAUUGCGAGGAUCUAACGAGAAGUCUGCAUAUCGCCUAUCAAAACUUUUCCAUGCUAAUGAAUCAGCAGGAUGCCUCAACAACCCAUCAUUCGUCCGACCUUCAACAUGCCAUUUCAUCAUAGAAGCAGUUUUUGAGGACAUGAAUAAUCUUUGAAGCCUUUGCUUUAGAGGGAACCAUCGUAGGACUAUUGCUGGCUUUUUCUUUUUGAUGGACUUUUCUUCCGCAUCUAAAUUAAUAUUAACCUCAUUAGUUUUCCAUCUUGAUGUACUGCAUUUUGGACAAACUUCACCAUCUGCAUUCUCUUUCCAGAAUAGAAUACAAUUAUUAGGACAUGCAUGAAUCUUUUCAUAUCCAAGGCCUAGGUCCCUAAUAUAUUUUUUCGCGACAUAGCAAUCAUCUGGCAACUUAGCAUCAGAAGGAAGCAUAUCUUUUAGUACUUCAAGGAGCAUACUAAAAGAUUUAUUACUCCACCCAUGAAGGGCCUUCAAAUGAUAUAAAACUACAAUAGCUGCCAAUUUGCUAUACUUCUCACAACCAUUGUACAAAGGUUGUUCAGCAUCUUUAAGUAACUUAUAAAAUUUACUUGCAUCUUCAUUUGGAGCACCUUUAGGUUGCUGUGAAUUAGAACCUUCCCCAGGUGAGUCUUGAAAAUCACUAUCAUCUUGAAAGUCAUCUUGAAGUUGAUUGUUAUGCAUUUGAAAUGCCUCAUGUAGCAUACCACGUAUACUGUCAUUCACACUAUGGACCGGAAAACUAUGGCUCUCAUUAGUGGGAUUAGAUGUGGCUCUAGAUAUAGGUUCCUCAUAAAAGAACCAAUUAUCAUAAUUAGGACUAAUUCCAUUGCAAAUCAGGUGAUCGCGUACAACUUCCCGAGUCCAACUAUAGGAAUUUGUGCAUUUCAUACAAGGACAUGAAAUCCUCCCAUCCUCUGACGCAUUUUUAAAAGCAAAAUCCACAAAAUCAUUCGCUCCUUUGUAAUAUUCAUAUGUCCAUCUACUCUUUUUUAUCCAACUUUUAUCCAUUACAGUAUUAAUCAAGUUGUAAAAUCAGCCUAGAGAAUAAAGAAAGCUCAUAAUUAUAAAAGAUAAUAUAGAUCAAACAAAUAAAUGGUAAAAGUAAUGGUGACCCAGUUAAAUACAUAGACAAAUGAAAAAACCAAAGGGCAUGUUGUGUUAUUUUUAUAACAAUCUUUGGUUAAUUAAGCAGUUCCUAAUUGCUGAUUCAAGUGAUUUUAUAUCUCUAAACCUGUAUGAGUUACAGUCUACCUCAAUGUGAUUAGUCUCUAAAGUUCGGUCCUACUUCAAUUUCGUCAUCAUAGGAACAAAGUAAACAUCUCGAGAAUGAAAUUGAGAUCCUCUAAUACUGUAGGACUAAAUAAAUUGUAACUUUUGAGAACAAAAUGCAAAUCCACGUCAAAAUUCAUAAAUAAAUUUAUGAAAAUUGAAAUUCAAUGAAGCUGAAAUUACAGUCAAACUCCAGAGGGAAUACUUAUAACUUUUAAUUUAUAGUAACUUUUGGCUAAGCAUGCUACUUUACUAAAAUUUGAUUACAUUUUCUGUUGAUUGGACUGAACUACAUGUGAAAACUGCAUCAAAUGGAAAUGCUCUGUUUGCUCACUGGAUAAGAAAGAGUAUAAAGACUAGAAACCAAAAGCAAAGUAGUUGGUAAACAUUGAAACUAAGUUCUGUCAUAGAUGUUAGAAGAAUUCCCCACACAAUGGGUAUCAAAGAAGUCCAUAUUCGCCAAUCAAAGUGCUUUCUCUUUGAUAGCUUUCAGUUCUAGCAAAAAGGCCCAAGCAAAAGUAAAAUUAUUGGUAGUUAGAUGAAACUCUUUGGCUUAGAUUAUGAUCAUGAUGAGUUUACGAUAGAGCGAGGAUCUAUAACGGCUCAUGCAGGAUUGUUCGUCGAAGACGGGAGAAGGUAAUCUGUCAAGAAGUUUGCCCUCCGAGAUAGGAGAGGUUGUAGAUGAUGUAUUUAUGGAACCUAAAAUUUAAGCAGCAGAGAGUAAGCUACGCAAUCGAAAGUAUGUUUUGCCGAAGAUAAAUGGAAAAUGAAGUGAGAAAAGUAAGUGAUAUACAGCUAAAAAAUCACAUAUAAGUUAUGCUAGAUCUAAUAAUUAACCAUUAUGAUUCACUUUCUUAGAAUAAGCAUGGUUUUCUUAUUGAAUAAAGAGUGGCAUAAACUUUGAUCAUAAACAUAUUUUGCUACAGCAUUUGUUUGUAUCCAAAGCAAUAACUUGUAACAGAGUUUAGGCCUAUCGUUCGACAAACGGUGCAACUAAGGCCUAUCGGCUUUUUUUAUUCCUUUUUUUUUUUAUUUUUGGUGUGAGAUUGGAAUGUCCAAUAAUUGAGCAUGCACUAUAGUUAAUAGCCUCGUCUAAUCAACGCACAGGAUUAACUGUGCAGUGGGGCCCACAGGUAGCCGACGGUCGGCUCCAAUCACACACUAGUGGGACCCACCCACCGCCACUACGGCGUAUACAUACACCUCAUACACCCAACUUAAUUUCUAAUAAUUAAUACAUAUUAUUAACAUACCGACACUAUGGCGCAGAGGGAUUCGAUUCCUUGACACGCAUUUUUCCCAAAUAAGGAGGUAUGAAAAACACAUUAACUACACUUAAUUAUCUAACAAUUUUUUUAAAAAAAAAGGAGCAUUGUAUGAUGUGUAUGAAUUAUGUCUUCAACAUUAAAAAUUAAGGUAGCGAACAUGGUAAUACUUUAACAAAUGUGGUGUGGAUCAGUUCUUAAAUGAUAGCGUUCAAUAAUAUUGAAGGCAAUAAUCUAACAUCCCCUUGUCCCAUGGUCUAGUGGUCAGGACAUUGGACUCUGAAUCCAGAAACCCGAGUUUAAAUCUCGGUGGGACCUUAUAUAUAUUAUUAUUAUUAUUAUUAUUAUUAUUAUUUUGUUAUUUAAGUUCGAUCUGUAUUGGAUAAUUGGAUAUCACCUUAAUUAUCUUUUUAGUUAUUCAAACUACAUCUUUAGUUGGUUCCAAAUCAACCUGAAUCAUUGAUAUGACCUUGUUUAUUUGUAGUUAUUCAAACUGUAUCUUUGUUUUCAUUCCAAAUUAAGCUGACCCACUAGGAAAUGGAUUUUAUGUCACCUCAUUUAUUUUUCAGUUAUUCAAGCUGUAAUGCUGUGUCUUUACUUUGGUUCCAAUUCCAAUCCCAAUUCCAACUGAAUCAUUAACACCCGAAUACCCGAUAGGAGAGGGACUGGAUAUCUGCAAAUGUGGUUCAAGACCACUAACCGAUUGUUUUCAUGCAAGCGCUAACUAAUUGUUCCAUGGUUCAAAUUACUGGAGUUUUUGUUGCUUUACUGGAUAUCUGCAAAUGUGGUUCAAGACCACUAACUGAUUUAGUGAUUUGUAUGCUACUUUGUCCGAUCAAGGAAUUAGUGAGUGUAUCUGUUUGAUCUUUUAGGUACCCUCUACGAAAAGUGUGCAAAAUUAGCAACAGGUGUGGCUCCUUUUAUCCAUAGAAGGUGCAAAACACUAUGCUAUAGGAAUACUUUACAAUGUAUGCAACACAGCUAAAGUAUACAUUUAGUUAAACAUCAACAAAUCAUGAUAAAAUAAACAUGAAUUUAUAAACUACUCACAACAGGAUUUGAAGUGAUUGGAUGCGAGAUUUCCGAUCUGUCGAGAAUCUGCACAAUGCUGAGAAAAUUGAGUUAACACAAAAGCACCUAAGCUACCGAUCGAGUGCUCGGACUGCUCCAAUUUGCGAAAUCAAAAACUAAAUAGCAUGCAUAUAGACAAAUCCAAUCACCCCCGAUCACAAAAAAAAAGCUCACCUCCACUACUGCAGAAUCAGAUCCUCCAACACAAGCAGCAAAUUUCUAGGGUUUGGAUAUGAAAUUAUGCGCUCAUAGGAACUAAGAAUUUCUAGGGUUUGGAUCUUUGUGGAUCGUUCGGGAUCGCGAGGGGAUAUAGGAAGAGAUGGUUUUAGGGAUUUGGGGAGGAGAUCGAACCCGGAGAGAGGAAAUUGGGGGAGGAGGAAACCCUAGAAGAGGAAGAGGUGAUUAGGCCGCGGCGACGAGGGAGGGAGAAAGAGAGAGGCGGAGAACGGCGGCGCCGAAUGCGAGGGUGAGGCGGAAUUCAAUGGGUGAGGGUUCUUUCACUUUGUUGCUGGAUGAAAUUUUUGCAUGGACCCCGGUCCAUGGACCAAGUCCUCAUAUGCUAAAUUUUUUUUUUGAGUAUUUUAUUUAAAAAAUAUUAGAAUAAAUGUUAUUGGCACUGCAAUAUCAAACUAAUAAGCGUAAGUAAAUUUCGUAUACAGCAUUUUUUAAAACAGUCUUAAUAUAUAUAUAUAUAUAUAUAUAUAUAUAUAUAUAUAUAUGAAUUAACACAUCAUAGUCGUAUAUCUUCUUCUCUAAUCAAUGCUUAAAACAUCAUCUUUAUCAUCAAAACCGUAACUAAAAACAAAGAAACUAAUUUAGAUAUUUGUUUUUCUAGAUCACAUGAUAAUAUUAAUCCUCAAAUGAAUGUAUACUAGCUUUGGUUAGUUGUUUUAAGAGGUGUACUUAGAAUAAAUAUUGGUAUAGUGAACCCGCACAAGGUGCUAAGACGGAAAAAUAACGUGAAAAUACUUAUGAUCUGUUUUUCUUUAUUACAAUUAUAGUUCGUUAAUUUUGAUCAUUCAUGUAUUAUGAAUGUACUAUAUCAAUAAAUGGAUGCUUUUCCUUAAUAAAGUAAUGAUAACUUGUCAUGUAUAGCUACUCGAACGUAGGUACUGAAAACUAGUUCUUCUUAUAAACUAUAACGAGGGUAACUUAGUAGCUAUAAGGAUCGCCCGGAUAACUUACAACAGAGCUAUCAAAGGUUCAUAGAACUCGUUUUGCAGUAUGUAAGAAGAUGGUAUAUCGGAAGACGUUAACUUGGGAGACCUACUCGGAAUAAUGCAUGGAGUCUGAAUUCGGUUUUCUCUCGGGAUAUCCAACUUUUCUAUUGUAUCUGAUAUUCUCAAUUUUCUGUUAAUCCAAUUCAUUUUUCAUUGUUCGACUGAUCCAGUUUGGAUUGGAGAGCUAUCCUAUGUAGGUUGCUAUCACUUGACCAGGACGUUAAAACCGAAGUCAUCGAUUUACCUGCUGGUUUACAUGGUAUUACCAUUUUUUGCUUCCUCCUUUCUAAUAAAGGUUUACUGUAUCUCAAAGGUGUUAAGCUCUAAGGUUAACGAGUUCAAGUGCAUGUAGGUUUCAAAACCUUGUGUUGAGUGCUUUCUUUGUUGUGUUCAGCUAAUCUCCACGUUGAUGAGAGAAGCCGUUUUGGGGUGCGUUACGAUAGCCUUCUUCAACAACGUAAUUUUAUACUGUUAGUACUGAGAAAUUUGGAUAGUAAAACGCAAGGAAUUCGACUUAUGUCGCACUAUCCAAUCUACUCAUCGGUAGGCCGUGAAAGUGUAAAAAGUUUUAAAAAUUUUUGAGCAGGAAGAGAAAAUCUCUGUAACACUUCGUUGAACCACCAUUUUAUUAAAAUAAAUCAGGUUGUGAAACUCUUACUUCGAGUCCAGCAUUGGGGUAUAGAAAAUUUAGUUCCGCACGGAAGUCUAACAGGAAACUAAACGGUAGUUUUAAGUAAUUACACGGUUCUUGUAAUAGCGUCUAUAAAAAAAGUUAUACGUAGUGUAGCUCUAACACUGCGUUGUCUACCACAAGGGUCAUUCCAUUGUAUUUUUUAUAUGAGGAAAAGAAGGUACCAACUAUGAGAUAUAAAAAUAAAGAAAAAGAGAAAGGAAAACUGUAUAAUUAUACGAAUGGUUUCACUGUAAGUUGCAUAACUCACACGAGGUUUUAAAGACGAGGUCUAUUAUAAAAUCCACGGUUGAGGAAAAGAACUCACGGUAGCUUACUAUAGGAUAGAAAAGCUUUAGACACUAAGAACACAUCCUUAGCGGAUACCGGGUAUUUCGUCAUAAACGGUGGCAUAAAAUUGGUUGCUCUCGCUCAUAGUAUUAAUGUUCUUCCUGUUCUUUCUCCUGGGAACCACGAGGUAGGUCUAUUCAGUGGUAUACGUCCUUUCAGUAACUAACAGGUAUUGUUACGUCGUGCGUAUGUUUUUAAGAGAGGCUGUCUACGUAGCAUACAUAGUUCCGGCUCGAGGGUGUUAACAUGAUUGAGGAGCUAGUUUCCAACGUUUAUAUGUAGAUAUGAUUAUCUUCCACUUAAGCCCGGACCUUACUCGUUACUGUUUUAGUUCCUUCUGGAAAAGUACGUAUGGGUACCACCGUUCAACAUACCCUGGUUCUACUGUCCGGUUGUUGACAUGAAUCACGAGUAUCAAGCUUUUCCUAACUUGGGUAGGCAACGAUUAGGCUCGGAUUGUAACGCUCCUAGAUUGCUCUUCAGACGUAUAGCGGAUAGUUUUGAAAAGGUACGAUUACUUAGUCGUCCUACGGAGUUGUUGGGUAGUAAGCAGGCUGGAAGUUGUACGGUAAAGUAGUAUCUUCGUCAAAAACUCCUGUACUUAUUAGAAACUUCGGAAACGAAAUCUCCCUUGGUAGCAUCCUGAUAACGACCGAAAAAGAAAAACUACCUGAAAAGAAGGCGUAGAUUUAAUUAUAAUUGGAGUAAUCAAAAGGUAGAACUACAUGACGUAAAACCUGUUUGAAGUGGUAGACGUAAGAGAAAGGUCUUAUCUUAUGUUAAUAAUCCUGUACGUACUUAGAAAAGUAUAGGUUCCGGAUCCAGGGAUUAUAUAAAAAAGCGCUGUAUCGUUAGUAGACCGUUGAAUCGUAGUCUUCCUUCGUAUAGAAAAUCAUGAAGUUCCUCGUAUGAUUUUCUAAAUAAUGAGGUGGGUACUUCCCGGAAGUUUACUAUAUUUUGAUGUUAUCGACGGUUAAACGAUAUGAAGAGUGUUGGUAACAUGUUUCCAACAAGUCGUAGAAAUUCAUUGAAUAUUUUAAAUGAACGUAGAAGUAAACCUCGUGGAAAUCCAACGACACUUAAUCUUGGAAGGGGUCCACUCAGAACUUUUAGUGAUAGUAGAACUUUCAGUAGAACUUCAACUAACAAUACGUAAACUUUACGGAGUACAUCGUAUGGUGCAUAUGACAGUAAGUGUGAUACCUGGCCUUUUGAUACCGAGAGUAAUCACCCUAAUCUACACCGAGAUCUAUAUCCAAGGAGUAUUUUCUUGGUUAAUAGUAUUAAUCCUGAUUAAGGUAACGUUUAGUCCACUAGCGCAUGUUGAAGGGCUCAGGUUGAUAUCCUUAAACACGUAAAGUAUGUUCCUGUACUUUAGGAGGGUAGGAGACUGCGUAAAAAUUUUCGUUUUAGGUGUUUUAGUAAGCGAGGAAACAUUAUAAGUAUACAGGUAGAUGAGAAAAAAUAGGUUGAAAAUAGGUAAUGUCAUAAUUAGUUCAACAUUUUAGUCGGAUCUCUUAUUUCUUUCGAGUAUUAAUAUUUUCUAUUAUAUCUAGUUUGUUUAUUUACCAUUUUCAUUACCACUGGGUCAAUUUAUGUAUCUGUUUACUUUUUUGGUUUCCCGUACAACACAAUAAAAAUAUUGUUAGAAACCAAUUAAUUCGUCAAGGAUUAACGACUAAGUUCACUAAAAUAUAGAGAUUUGGACAUACUCAAUGUCAGAUGGAGUUACACUAAUCAGAGAUUUCAAGCCAGGAUGAAGUUAAAGCAGUAGUAUCCUUGUUUCAUUUGUAGAGCUCUUACUUUAACUCUAGGAGAUUAUGACAUCCUGAUUUAUUUAACAUUGAAAACUCUUGUUUUACGUUUAGGUGCAGUUUUAAGUAUUUAUUUAAAUACUUUUAACUUUAAGUUACUUCGACUUUAAUGUCAGUUUGAGGUCUCCCUUAUGAAUAUUGAAAAUUAAAUAUCAUUGAAAACCGAUUCGUACGAUGAAAUGAUUUUAAACUAAUGUAAAAGACAACUAACCUGACUUGAUGUACACUUUUGACGUAGUUUACCUUUACGAGACAAACGAGUGACCUAUUCUUUCUCAUAUUUCUGAUCUUUGGUUUUCGUUUCAUCAACCAUUUGUAACUUUGAUUCAAGACAGUAUCUACAAUCUUCUUAAGGGGUGUGUUACCCAUAGUUUCUUCAGGUAUAAGCGGUUAGUUUCACGAAAGAGAAACUAUCGAAAGUCAAGAUCGUUUUUCCGGGUUCGUUUUCAUUUUAAUAACCAUCAAUCUACUUUGAGAAACCGAAUCUAAUACUAGUACUACUCAAAUGCUAUCUCGCUCCUAGAUAUUGCCGAGUACGUCCUAACAAGCAGCUUCUGCCCUCUUUCAUUAGACAGUUUUUCAAACAGGAGGCUCUACCCUCUCCAACAUCUACUACAUAAAUACCUUGGAUUUUAAAUUCGUCGUCUCUCAUUCGAUGCGUUAGCUUUCAUACAAAACGGCUUCUAUUUACCUUUUACUUCACUCUUUUCAUUCACUAUAUGUCGAUUUUUUAGUGUAUAUUCAAUACGAUCUAGAUUAUUAAUUGGUAAUACUAAGUGAAAGAAUCUUAUUCGUACCAAAAGAAUAACUUAUUUCUCACCGUAUUUGAAACUAGUAUUUGUAUAAAACGAUGUCGUAAACAAACAUAGGUUUCGUUAUUGAACAUUGUCUCAAAUCCGGAUAGCAAGCUGUUUGCCACGUUGAUUCCGGAUAGCCGAAAAAAAUAAGGAAAAAAAAAAAUAAAAACCACACUCUAACCUUACAGGUUAUUAACUCGUACGUGAUAUCAAUUAUCGGAGCAGAUUAGUUGCGUGUCCUAAUUGACACGUCACCCCGGGUGUCCAUCGGCUGCCAGCCGAGGUUAGUGUGUGAUCACCCUGGGUGGGUGGCGGUGAUGCCGCAUAUGUAUGUGGAGUAUGUGGGUUGAAUUAAAGAUUAUUAAUUAUGUAUAAUAAUUGUAUGGCUGUGAUACCGCGUCUCCCUAAGCUAAGGAACUGUGCGUAAAAAGGGUUUAUUCCUCCAUACUUUUUGUGUAAUUGAUGUGAAUUAAUAGAUUGUUAAAAAAAUUUUUUUUUCCUCGUAACAUACUACACAUACUUAAUACAGAAGUUGUAAUUUUUAAUUCCAUCGCUUGUACCAUUAUGAAAUUGUUUACACCACACCUAGUCAAGAAUUUACUAUCGCAAGUUAUUAUAACUUCCGUUAUUAGAUUGUAGGGGAACAGGGUACCAGAUCACCAGUCCUGUAACCUGAGACUUAGGUCUUUGGGCUCAAAUUUAGAGCCACCCUGGAAUAUAUAUAAUAAUAAUAAUAAUAAUAAUAAUAAUAAAACAAUAAAUUCAAGCUAGACAUAACCUAUUAACCUAUAGUGGAAUUAAUAGAAAAAUCAAUAAGUUUGAUGUAGAAAUCAACCAAGGUUUAGUUGGACUUAGUAACUAUACUGGAACAAAUAAACAUCAAUAAGUUUGACAUAGAAACAAAAGCAAGGUUUAAUUCGACUGGGUGAUCCUUUACCUAAAAUACAGUGGAGUAAAUAAAAAGUCAAUAAGUUCGACAUUACGACACAGAAAUGAAACCAAGGUUAAGGUUAGGGUUAAGGUUGACUUAGUAAUUGUGGGCUUAUGGGCUAUCCUCUCCCUGACCUAUAGACGUUUACACCAAGUUCUGGUGAUUGGCUAACAAAAGUACGUUCGCGAUUGAUUAACAAGGUACCAAGUUUAAUGACCUCAAAAACAACGAAAUGACCUAUAGACGUUUACACCAAGUUCUGGUGAUUGACUAAAUCACUAAACAUACGAUGAAACAGGCUAGUUCCUUAAUCACUCACAUAGACAAACUAGAAAAUCCAUGGGAGAUGCUUUUCACACGUUUUAAUCGUUGUCCACACCGAGGAAAAUAGGUAUCUUCCACGUUUUGUGAUACGAUAUCCUUAUGAAAUGUUACAUACGUUGUGUCGAUUUCAUAUGUAAAUCAAUUUGUAGUUGUUUAGUACUAUUUUAUUUGUACUUAAAUAUUUGAUGAGUGUUGUCCUAAACUUCACUAACCUACGCUCUAAAGGCUAGACAGCUCUUAGACGUGUUACGACUCUUUUAACUCAAUUGUGUUUUCGUGGAUUCGAUGGCUAGCUCACGAGCCUGACGAGGUUAAACGCUUUAGUUUUUGAUUUAUCGUACGUAUAUCUGUUUAGGUUAGUGGGGGCUAGUGUUUUUUUUUCGAGUGGAGGUGAUGACGUCUUAGUCUAGGAGGUUGUGUUCGUCGUUUAAAGAUCCCAAACCUAUACUUUAAUACGCGAGUAUCCUUGAUUCUUAAAGAUCCCAAACCUAGAAACACCUAGCAAGCCCUAGCGCUCCCCUAUAUCCUUCUCUACCAAAAUCCCUAAACCCCUCCUCUAGCUUGGGCCUCUCUCCUUUAACCCCCUCCUCCUUUGGGAUCUUCUCCUUCUCCACUAAUCCGGCGCCGCUGCUCCCUCCCUCUUUCUCUCUCCGCCUCUUGCCGCCGCGGCUUACGCUCCCACUCCGCCUUAAGUUACCCACUCCCAAGAAAGUGAAACAACGACCUACUUUAAAAACGUACCUGGGGCCAGGUACCUGGUUCAGGAGUAUACGAUUUAAAAAAAAAACUCAUAAAAUAAAUUUUUUAUAAUCUUAUUUACAAUAACCGUGACGUUAUAGUUUGAUUAUUCGCAUUCAUUUAAAGCAUAUGUCGUAAAAAAUUUUGUCAGAAUNUUUAAUUUAAUUAAAUCAUAUAUCGAUGAUUUUAAACCAUUAUAAUAAUUAAUUUAAUUGCUAGUAAAAUAUAGUUUUGCCAACACUUAUGUUAAGCGUUACUAAAAAAACCGUCAUAAAAAAUUAUUAUAUAGCUAUAUACCGACGGUUUAGAACUGUUAUAAUAAUUUAGUUAAAACCGCUGCUAAAAUAUAUUUUUACCAGCGCUUAUGUUAAGUGUUACUAAACUAACUGUCACCACAAAUCAACUUUUUUGUAGUGAGAGGGGGGAGAGAGAAGGGGUUUGUUUAUGGUUUGGGUUAAUUGUAAAUAUGUCCCUACAAAACAAUAAAAUUGAAUAGUUGUCCCUACAGUGUAUCGGUUGGAGAUGUCAACGGGUAUGGAUGAACAAAAUUUUAUGCGGAUCCAAACUCAGGAGAUGGAUAUAAUUUCGAAUAUAAAAAAUAAAAAUUUGAUAAAUUCAGAUUCAGAUAUGAAUUUUAUCUGUAUCCCGACCCGAACCAGAUAGAUUUUGUUUUAGUACCAACAUUUAAUGUUACAUUGGAAUUUAUAUUUUAAAAUUUUAUGUUUUAAUAUAGGAGAAACUUCAAACACCCCUCAUGUGGUUUCGCACUUUCUUAAUUUAAUAUCCCGUAGUUUAAAGUGUAUCAAGUUAGUACCCUGUCCCUGUGGUUUCGCACUUUCCCACUUUAGUACCCUAUAGUUUCAAGUGUAUCAAGUUAGCACUCUGUGGUUUCAUUUUUGUAUCAAGUUAGUACCAUGUGGUUUCAAUUCUCUUUUUAUUAUCCAUUUUGGGAUAAAUAAUUUAAAAAAGUAUUAAACCACAUCCACAUGGUACUAAAGUGAGAAAGUGCGAAACCACAUGGUACUAACUUGAUACACUUGAAAUCACAGGGUACUAAAGGGAGAAAGUGCGAAACCACAGGAUACUAACUUGAUACACUUUAAACCACAGGGUACUAAAGUGAGAAAAUGCGAAACUAAAGAUUAAAGUUUCCCCUUUAAUAUAAUAUAAUUUUAAAAUGUGGUAAAGAAACAUAAUGGUUCCGAGUUCGAAUUUUCGAGUUCUGGUUUAGGUUCAAGUUUCAAGUUUUUUGUUUGGUUCGAUUUUGGAUAUGGAUUUUCAAAAUCCAUUGGGUUCGAAUUCAGGUUCAAUUUUGGAUUUCAGAUUCGGUUGACAUUUCAAGUUUUAAGUUUUAAGUUUUUUUGUUUAGUUUGAUUUUUUAUAUGAAUUUUCAAAAUUCAUUGGGUUCGAAUUCGGGUUCGAUUUCAGAUUUCAGAGUUGGUUGACGGAUUCGGGUUAGGUUUUUCUCUUGAAACUUAUCCAAACUCCGACCAGUGAUUAGUUUCUGAAAAUAUACCUCUAAAAUUGUAAAUUUAUAAAUAAUAUAUUCCUUCCUGUUAGUUGAUCAAAUAUAGUUAAUUUUUAUUUAUAAUUUUUAUAUCAUUUAUCAAUUUUAAUAUUUUAUUUUUAUUUUAACUAUCAUUCUAACUUAUGGUAAAGAGAAAUUUGUUUAUUUUGAAGCCUAAUAAAAACAUAUUUGAUAAUUAGAACUUUGAAGCAAUAAUCCUUAAAAUUAUUGCAACAUAAUUCUCCAAUAGCGGUUGCAGCCAAAAUUUUACAGUGUAAAAAUAGAAAAGAUUAAAAACAUUUUAACUGACCAUAAGUAAUAUAAAAAGAUAAUGCAAUUAUAACUAUAUGCAACUAGAGGCAUCAACGAACCAAAUACGAGGCACAUGUACGGUUCAUUUCAUAAACAAGCCAAAAAAUUCAGUUUGUGUUCGGCUUGUUUAUUAACAAGCUGAACACGAGCUGACUUAUAAUUAACAAGUUAAAAAAAUUAUGAAGGGUACAUAUAAAAAUUAAAUUUAUAAUACCUUACCUUAACUGUUUGAUUUUGAUAUAAUAGUUGAAACUUUAUAUAUAAAUAAAUGACCUUUUUAUAAUUGAAUUAGAUUUUAUAUUUUUGUCAAGCUAAAAACCAAUUAUUUAUUUAUAUAUAUAAAUAUAAAAUACAUGUAUUCGAGCCGUUAUCCAGCCAAACACAAGUGAGCUGACCCCACCUCAUGUUCGGCUCGUUUAUUCAAUAAACUGAAAAAUUCAGCUCGUAUUCGGCUCGUUUAUUAACCGAGUGAUUCGAUCUCGAGCUCAUUUCAAGCCAAACACGAAAUGAAUUGCCACCCCUACACGCAACCAAAAGGCGAGCUUUUUCACUCUUUUCUCUGUUCCCAUCACAAGUUUCAACAUGGCCUUGAGAUACUGAAGAGAGUAUAGAAACUACAAAGCAACAGAGAUGAGCCAAAUAAGGAUUUUGAUUGUUUAUUUCUGCACAACUCUGAAAUUAGAACUACAUCCAGCAAUAUGUUAGGAAGCAUAAUUGGAGAAGCAUUAUGAAUGCGCCGGCAAAAUUGAAAGAUAUAUCAGUUUUGCACCCACAUUUAGCAUUUCCAAUAAGAAAUUUUGAUUUCUCUAUACACCAUUAGUAGCUCAAAUAUGCACCGCCCGCGACAUCUACGAAGAAAAUAAUAGUAAGAGAAGUAAUCGUUAGUAUAGAUAUCUAUAUCCGAAAAAAUUGAAACGUAUUCGGGCCGAUUCCCGACGGAAAUGCAGUUGCACGUCUCGACUCUCCGGGAUCUGCUUUCGGCUGGUUCCAGUCCCUGCGAAAGAAUCAAUGUAUCAGAAAUGACCCUAGAGAAACAAGAAAUCAUGAAGAUGGACGGAUCUAUGGGGAAAUCAACAAAGAGCGAGGUUUGUAUCGGAAGCAAAAUACAGGUGUGAUGAAUGAAAGAUGAGACGGAAAAAAUCAGAAUCCGGAUGUGUUUAAAAGAAACCAGAUACUGAAACAAUGGAGUCACAAAUUCAGUUUUCUUUUUAGGCUAAAUUACAUAAAACCUUCCUAUCAAAACCCGAUUUUUUACUUUCCCUCCCUGUCAUUUAAAAACCCAUACUUUACCCCCUUAUAAAAUAAAAAAUGUUCACUUCACCCCAUGCCGUUAGUAAUCCGUUAGGGUUCCGUUUAUAAAAUAUUAUUAUAUUUUUUUUUAUGCCAAAAAUGCUCUCAACGUACUCUCCUGUGAACAUGGUGAGCGGCAAAAUGGUCAUUUUACUAUCACAGUUCACACCGUACCCCCUAUGAGCAUUUUUCAUUUUAUAAGGAGGCAAAGUGUAGAUUUUUAAAUGACAGGAGGGGAAGUGAAAAAUCGGAUUUUGAUACGGGGGUUUUUUGUAAUUUAGCAUUCUUUUUAUGCUACCUACAAGGAACAAUUCGAUUGCUUUUAGUGGCUCCCUGAAAGAGAGGCUUUCGGUUUCUCACGUUUUCGUCCGCGUAAUAAAAGUGAAUUAAGCCAGUUUAUUACUGCCGACUUUCAAUGUUUAGUAGUUUAAAAAUAGCUUCUGCCAAUAUAUAUAUAUAUAUAUAUAUAUAUAUAUGAAAGGUUGAUUACAUUUUUUCUUAAAGUUUAGGAGGUCUCAGAUGGGUUUCUGGGUAUCGUAUUUUCUGCCAAAACAUCAAAUCAUGAAGUCGAGAAAUUAACAUUAGCUGUAGAAAUGCCAGCAUAUCGAGCCCUUGCGAUGCAGGUACUAACAAACAUUCACACACAUCUCAUUGGAAAUAAUAACGCGACAAAAGGCACAAAAUCGAGGAAGAAAACAUAAACAUAAAAGAUUACGCAAGUGAGACUUCACCUUUCUAUCUCGACGACUAAAGGCUACUCAUCUCCAUUGACAGGUACUAUAGACUCGUCAACGUCCACAUCCGACACAGCAACUGCAGGAACAAUCGCGAGGCUUUCGACAGGUCCAACUGCUGAAAAUGGUAAGAAUAAAAUACUCAGACAAACCGAACUAACAAAGGGCAGAAGAAAGCACAAGUCUAUGCUGAAAAGUUUGGUCACCUUCAACUUCUUCUUUUAGCCAAUCUUGAGCACACACCAAGGCUUCGACGGUCAUCGGGUCCAUCGGGCUGAGGUACUCAUUGAGUAUCCUAGCUUCAUUAUCUAACGGAACGAUUGAUACCGGAAUAGCCAAAAUAUCACGAGCCAUCGCAGAGAGGACGGGAUAUUUUGCCGCAAAGGAUUUCCACCACGCUAAAAUGUCGAAAUUAUCGGAAGGACCUUUAGGGCGAUACACGGCUUCCUCAAAGUACAUAUCCAAGUCGGAUUUCAACGUCUGGCCGGAAGAUGUCUCUUGUAGAUAUUGGUCGAGUCCCCUUUGCGCAUCCGAUAGCGUGGAGCGAGAAAAGGUCUUAGAUUCAGCAGCCCCAUUUGCAUAGUUAGAGCUGCUGAUGCCCCCGCUGUUCACGACAUAGCACAGGAAGGUUUGAUCUUUACUAGCUAACUGGAAAGCAUACUCAUUGUACAGGCUUGUAAAACACUUACGGAUACUCUCAAUCCUCUCCUUGGCUGUAUUUGGGUCAGUAUAGAUUAGCUUAAAGAAGUAUUCCACGGAUUUCAUCUUGUAUCGAGGAUCCAAAAUAGAGGCAAAGGCCAUUACCAUUCUCGUCACACCCCAAUACUGCUCGAAUUUCUCAAACAUGUGCGAAGCCAUCGAAGCGACAAUAGAAUACCGGCUGUCGCACCAUGUCUUUAGAAGUAAGUGAAUGCCGCAAAUCUCAUUGAAAUAAAGAUUUGAGGUUGGCUUUUCCGUGCCCGAGAGCUUCUCCAUCGUGUGAUAAAGGAUGUCGAGACAUUCUGUAAGCGCUUUUACUUCAGCCCAAUCGUUCGAAGAGAGAAAAUCCUGAUACUCCGGAUCCCAUUCGGCCAAGCGAGUAAAGGCUUCUUGAUAAUGGCAGGCAGCUUCGAGCAUCACGAACACAGGAGCCCAGCCGUCUGGAGAAUCAACAAGAAGCGGCUUCUCAGUUUCCGCUGCCUUCUGAAACCUAAUGAAUUUUUCUUCCGAGGAUUUGACGUAGUGCACACAAGCCCGAACUCUAUUAAUCAACUCAGCUGCGAACUCUAUACCUUCUUGAAUGAUAAGAUUCAGCAUACACGCACAAGAACGUACUAGUAAUAGAUCGCCGUUCAACACGAGGAAGCCCUUUGACCUAAGGGAACGUAGAAGCUCUCUUCCGACCAAUUCACUAGCUGUACAAUUGUCUAAAACAAUGCUUACUAACUUCUUAUCAAUACUCCACUCACUAAACUUGUCCAAAAUUGUUCUAGAAAUAUCUUCCCCGGUGGAAGAAGCAUCUAUGUGUACGAAAUUGAGGAACUUCUUUUUGAGUUUCCAUUCGUUGUCAAGGUGUUCGAUGUAAUGGCAAGUCAAAGACAUGUACUGUUGGACAUUUUCCUUUGACCUCCACAUGUCAACAGAGAUGCUGACUCGGCAGUGGAGCUUCUUAUCGAACACUUCGCGGAGCUGGAGCUUCGCGCUCUCAUAGAUCCGCAUGCAGUCGAUUUUAACAGCCUCGUAGGGCGUGAUCUUGAAAUUGGGUUGGAGGUUGCGGACAAAGGCCCGGAACCCGACAUCGUCGACUAUGGAAAAGCGGUAGCCGUGCUGGACGAUCAUGCGGGCAAGGUCCUGUCGGCUGACUUCCUGAUCGAAGUGUGGGUGGGAUGCCACGUCGUUGGCAGCGGUGGCAGCAUUUUGGGGUUUGAGGAGGAGGCGGCGGACGAGAAGCUUCCUGCGUUUGGACACGCGUUUUGUGGAGAGGCAGGUGGCAAGGUGGUUCUUGAGGUGGGUGGUACCACUGCGGCUGCUUGCUGUCAGCUGCCUCUUGCAGUGGUGACACACCGCGACAAAGCUCCCAUCAGCGCGCCGCUCCUUUGUGAAGUCGUUCCACACUGCCGAGCGCAGUUUCCGAGCACGUGGGUUGUGCGGCAACAGUGCCGCAGCAUUCCCGUCAAUAGCUGCUACCGCUGCAGCGGCAGCGGCGCCUUCAGGUUCCGCCAUAGUGCGAAUUAAGGUAGUGAUCUCAUAAAAUCUGAGGAAAAAAUAGAAACAAUGUGCGCAUAAAUCAGAAAACAACUUUUUCGUAGUUGCAAUGAGGACAAAUAACUUCAACUUGGACGGAAAACAAAUCACACUCUUUAAUUACCAUUGUAAUGAAGCUUGAUUUAUUGCAACCGAACACAAAUUAUUUUAUGCUAUUUGAAUUGAUUCAAACAACUAAUAAUUUCGUGCAAAGAGCCUCAUCAAUGGAUAUGUUAACUAGCGAGACUGAACAACUAGUGAGGCUUUGUCGUUUAUCAAAUCAAGCUUCAUAUGUAAUAUUGCAAUGGAAAAUAAAUUAAUGAAUUACUUACAUAACAAAGUUGGUAGAUCAAACUGUAAUUAGGAAUGGUUAGCUAGUUUUUAUGAUCAAACAAAUCAAUUGAUCAACAGUAAGAAGUCAAAUACUGAAUAUGUAUAAAUUUUUCCAUAAAAAAGAAGAAUAAUCACACAAUAAGAUUACUAGAAAAUUGUAGUAGGCUAAUAGCGGAGAUCGAAGGCAAAGCAUUCAAUCAAACAACAAAUCAGCAAGGACUUGAGAAGAAGAAAAUAAAGAAAAAUCUAAUUUUUCCACCCAAAAAAAAAAAAGAAAUAAUAAGCUAACACGAAAGAGAGUGUGCUUUAAUGAUCUUAACCCUAUUACUAAUUCUUCUUCCAAAUAAGAAGAAAAAGAGCAUGGUAUUGUCAAAAUUACAGAUAUAUGGAUCAUAAAUAAGCAUAGAGUAGUUCAAAGACGGAAACAUUAAGGUUUUGCUUUCAGAUUGGGAUAUCAACAAAGUGAAUUAGUGGGGUUUUAUGAUACUAACCCAAUAUAAAUUUUUCCAAUAAACUAAGAAGAAAAAUAACAUGCUAAGAUCCAAAUCAGAGAAUAGCUCCAAAUUAUAAAUGAAAUCUCAUAUAGAAAAUAGGAGCAGAGCGCAUCCAAGACAAAAAAAAUAUUAGGAUUUUACACGAAAUUGGGAGACCAAAGAAGCAAAAAUUUAGCAGGGCUUUAUGAUCUUAAACAGAGAUUCGUAGAAAAGUAACAUUACAAUAUUAAAUUUUCGAAGGGGUCUUCAAAAUUCUAACAAGAUAUUCAUAGAGAACCGGAGUAAUCAGAUGUGAUACAAAGGAAUAGGGUUUAGCCUUGAGGUUGCAAGAUAGAAGAAGCGAAAAUUUAGAGUGCUCUAAAAUGAUACUAAACAGAGAUCGCUGAGAAUUAGAGAAGACAAGAUCAAAAAAAAAAAAAAUCACCAAAUUUAGGGUUUUACUAUGAAAUUGUGGAUCAAAGAAGCAAAUAUUUGGUGCGGUUUAAGAUCCUAAAUGGAUAUUUGUAUGGGGGAGAAAAAGAGAGCCACAUCAAUAUUCAAAGCAGUCUCCAGGUUUUAACAAGAGAUUCGUCAACAAUCGCAGCAGGUGAGAUCAAACACCAAACAAUUUAGGGUUUCACUAUGAAAUUGAGUAAAAUCGAAGAAGCGAAAAUUUAGUAUGAUUAAAUUAUAAGCAGAAAUUCACAGAGAUUGGGUUAUCAGAAGAGCGCAAAGUUACGAGGGUUUAUGAUCUCUUAACCCUACUAUAAUUUCUCUGCCAAAAUAAGAACGAAAUAGCAUGAUAGGAUGAAAAAUUCGAAGAAAUCUCAUAACUUUAAACAAGAGAUUCGCCGAGCAUCACAGCAUAAAUGAUCAAAUAGCAAGAAAUUUAGGGUUUUACUAUGAAAUCGUGAGAUCAAAAAGGCGAAGAUUUAGUGUGCUUUAAUGAUCCUAAACAGAAAUUUGUAGAAAGAAAAAAAAAAAAAGAUUGUAACAAGUAUACGUUGAGAAUCUCUGUAGAUGAAAUAGUGAGAUCGAACAGAGCAGAGCUUUGUAGGAUCCAAAAAGCAAGCUAAGAUCAAAAUUAAUAGAAAUCUCCAAACUUUACAAUAGAAUAAUCGAGAACCGACGCAUACGAGAUCAAACAGCAACAAAUUAGGGUUUUACCACGAAAUCAUGGGAUCGAACAGAGAUUUGUAGGAACCAAAAUAACAAGCUAAGAUUAAAUUCGUAGAAUUCUCCAACUUUAACGAGAGACUGGCAGAGAACCGACGAAUACAAGAUCAAACAGCAAUAAUUUAGGGUUUUACCACGAAAUCAUGAGAUCGAACAGAGAUGUGGGAACCAAAAAAACACGCUAAGAUCAAAAUUUCGUAGAAAUCUCCAAAUUUCAACGAGAGACUCAUCGAGAACCGACGCAUACGAGAUGAAACAGCAACAACUUGGGGUUUUACCACGAAAUCUGAGAUCGAACAGAGUUGUAGGAACCAAAAAAACACGCUAAGAUAGAAAUCUCCAAAUUUCAACAAGAGGCCCAUCGAGAACCGACGCAUACGAGAUCAAACAGCAACAACCUGGGGUUUCUACCGCGAAACCCCGAGAUCGAAGAAGCAAACGAGAGGGAGGUACCNGGGCCGGCGAAGAGGCGGCGAUCGGCGCCGACCACGGCGGAGCUCGUCGUCGUCGUCGGCGGCGGCGGCGGUGGCGGCGGCGGCGGCGGAGAGGGAGGAGGAGGAGGAGCGGAGCAGGGGCGAGAAGCGAAAUAAACCCGUAACCCGAUACGCCUCUCUUAACAAAUUCGGGUUGAGAGGAUGAUGAUGUCGUGCCCUAGCCCACCGACCUUUUGGAAUUUAUUUUUCUUAUUUUUUUUAAUUUUUUUAUUAUUAUUAUUAUUAUUUUGUAACGAAUUGGAUUAGGGAGGGGAAUGGACGGCUGGGAUGCGAGUGGGAGAGUGGAGAUGGACGGAGGAGAUUUGUGGGGCUUGGGUUUGUUUUUUUGUUAAUUAAUGAUAUAUAUAUAUAUAUAUAUAUAUAUAUAUGGUUUGAGUAGGAUUUGGUGUGGGGUGUUUUAAGAUGAUGAUAAGGAUGAAUCAGAAUCCAAGCUUAGUUGGAUUAAUAUUCACAAAUUCAUAUAACACACUAUAUUCAUAAUACCUGCUUUUAAAUAUAAAUUUUUACUAGGGCUUUACGUAGAAAUUUUACUUUAGUACCAUAUAAUUUUUACUUUUUCAUUAAUUUAAUAAAAAAAUUAACAAAGUAGAUAAUAAAAAAGAAAAACAAAAUCACAUAAUAUAAAAAUAAAAUAGUUUAAACCACAAUAUACUAAAAUGAAAAAGUAUUGAACCACUGAUGGUCUCUAAGUCGAGUGGCAAAAAAUUUGGUGGUUAGUAUCCGGAAUCUUAAGUUCGAAUUCUAAUUAAUUCAUAUUUUCAGCUAAGUUCACGGGAUUGUUUUUUUAUGCGAUAGAGUGGACAGAUUAGCAGCGAAAUGCUUACAUUCUAAAUAUGUACAAAAUAUUUUUGACAACCAAAAAAACAGUAUAUUUUUUUCUUCUUUUAAAAGUGUCUUUUCUCACGCAACCAGAUUAUUGAAAUUAUAUUGCAAAUUAACCAAUAGUUAAAAAAAAUAGGAAAGUCGAUCCAACAGGAACAUCAAAACCUUCAUUUCCCCGUCAACAGAAAAAUAGCAAUAAAUAGUGUAGAACUAUUAUGCUAUUAAAAAUAUAGAGAAUUUAAUAUUUUUAAUUUUUUUUAACCCUUGGAUCAAAAAUUAUACGGUUAAAAUAAUUACGGUCCCCCAAUAUCUUUAAAAUUGAGUGGUUCCUACGAAAUAACAGUAUUAGUCCAAAAGUUAAAAAUAAUUAAAAGCACUGAUCAAUAGGCCAAAAAUUCAAAAGUAUCAUAGUACAGUAGCUCUACUCUCUCUCUCUCUCUCUCUCUCUAUAAAUAUCCAUUGCACAAACCAUACUCCGAGAGAAGCAAAAAGCUAAACAAAGAAAAAAAGAACUAAAAAAACUAAAAAAAAAAAAAAUCACAUUCUGAUAGAAAAGUUAAAUGGUACAAAGAAAGAGAGGGAUUGUGAUGAAAAAAAAAAAAGAAAAGAAGAUACAUCAUCAUCACAUUUGCCGCAUCUGGGAUGUAAUAUAUGUGCUACAUGGUUUCGAGCAACAUGGCUCGGACUUUCGCUCUCAGCUCGUUCGGGACGUCGGCCACAGCAGCAGCGGAGCCCGCUGGUUGCGUCUCCACUUGCGACUUUUCUACAGUCCUCGACUCGCUCCCCUCUCCCCGGCCGUCGUCCCUUUCCCUUUUAGACCGUGAGCGGUGUUUCCGCCUCGAACACCCGUCUCGACUCUCGUCCUCGGAACUGUCAUCGUGGUUGUCGUUAUCCCCGUCCCUGUGUUUAGACCUGGAGCUCUUUUUAUGCCGACGACUACGACUAAUUUCUUCUUCUUCUGAAGAGCUACUAUGUUUACGAUGAUGGCGGUGGUGAUGCCGAGACAAAUGCCGCUUCCUGUGUUUGUGAUCAUGAUCAUGAUCAUCAUCAUCCCUGCUAUGGCCGGUGGAAUGUUCCGACCGGUGCUUCUUCCUCGAGUGCUUAUGGCGUUCCUUCGAGGACUCGUCUUUCUCUUCUUCUUCUUCUUCCUCCUCCCGAGAAUGACGUUUCUUUCUAGACUUGUUAUCCCCAUUGUUAUCGUGCUUGGUGGUAUCGAAGGGAACCGAGCUUCCUUCUCGCUCCUUGGCCACAGGAUCCGACUCCCCGCCGGACCUAGCAGAACCAGCGGCGUUGGAAGGCUCUGCCGAUCCGCUGCGAGCAGCGACAGACGAACCGACCAGCCCGUCUAACGGGGGGUGGCCGCCGCUCUUUAUCAUGGCGGCGAACAUCUUGGCCCGCUUCAGCCGCUCCGCCUUCAGCUUCUGCUCCUUCGUAAGCGAGGCUUCCGAGGAGUCGGCUUCUCGGGACGCCACAAGGGCCGCCGUCUUCGCAAUCGCGUUCGCAAUCCAGACGUCGUCUUUGGUCGAUUGCAAAGAAGAGCCGGUUUCAUUUUCGGACGCAAACUUGGAGAGCGAGGCCCGGCCCGACCCUGAUCCCUCUGCUGAAACGUUUCGUCCGCCGUUGGCGGGACUCGCACCCCUCGUGGCCGCCAGGACAAUGGCCGCAGCUUCUUCCAUGCUGACCUCGCGCUGUUUGGGGGGUUGUUCAGGAUCCUUCUUUGGCCCUCUGGCGAUCACCAUCUUAAACUUCUCCUUCCUCUGCGAGUCAUGUAGCCAACUGUCCGGCUCUUCCGAGCUCCGAUCGAAAGCAGCAGAUUCCCUAGAAGUUGCUCUGUGGGCCCUUUUCUUACUUCCUCCGUGACUGUUUACGUCAAGCUUCUGAUCCGAUGAGCUCUUGCCGUGCAGCUUGGCCUGCAAAAGCAGAAAACAAAAAACAGAAUUAAGUUCAGAGAGAAUUUCCCACCGGUUUAAAUAUUUUUCUCCUCCAACACUACGAAAUGGUGCGGUUUCAAGAUUUUAUACCCUCAAAAGCAUCCAAAUGGAUGCGGUUGGACAACGCAUUCUCAAACAAGAACUAUGUUAUUUUUCUUUAGCAGAAAUUGCAGUGAUGUUAGUAAAUAAAAUACGUAAAACCAACAUAAAGCGGUUAAGAGUAAAGCAUGUCGCGAAUAACAAUUAAUGAGGACAUACAGAACAUCUGCAGAAUACUCGGACCGCUGUGUGAGAAUCUAAACAAAGUGCGCAGGAAAACUGUGUAUUGCGAUUUGCGAAGAAACCGUGCAGCAAAAGCUUUCUCUAAUAAUAGUGAAACAGAAACUUAGAAGAAUGAAUAUCUGAUAAAUUACUGCAUUAAUGAACACCAUCAGGCCAAAUAUCCAGUUGUGAUCCCACAUAACUUUGCUACCUAUCCCUAGAAUAGCCACUUUUUCCUUAUCCUCGAACCAAACGAUACCUAAGUGGCUAGUAUCAAGAAUUGAACCAGCAACCGUCACAACUUGCGAUCCCCAAUAAAUUAUCAAUGCACCACACAAUGGGCUCUUAUCGUAUGAGAAAACAAAAACGGCAUUGAAUUAAAAUACGAACUCAUGCAGUGUAAUUGGUUAAAGAAAAAAGGUAUAGUAAGCAGUUGAAGUGCAUCAGCAUUUAACUUGUUCAACACAGGAACUUACCCGAGGGUUCAGAGAUCAAGUGUAAAAACAUCAUAUGCACUUGGAACAAAAUCCACAUGUUUUUAUAAGAAACAGUUGUCACAAAAGCCAGAAGAAACAACAAAACAAUAUUAAAUCUUCAUGAUUACAUAAGAUACAACUGCACUUGAAGAAAUAUUAUCAGCUAUACAAGAAAAUAACCAAACUAGUGCAGUAGUUACAAAGUGGUAAAACGAAUAAAAACAAUUGAGAGCAGGAAAAGUGAAAGGAAUAAAAGAAGGAAAUUUUCUGUCUGUUGUGAACUAGUACAGAAUUUAAACUUACCUUGCAAAUUCAUAUAUUAAAUGUAAAAGCCAUCAUAUAUACUUAAGAUCUGAAACUUAAGUGCCAAAUUUAGUGUUCACAAGAAUACAACCAGUAUAUAGACAACCAGUCACCGAACACUAGGCAGGCACCUAAGAUAAGUAAAUUGAAAAAGAAAAAGAAAAAAAAAAAGGUGAAAGUAGAAAUCCACAAAAUUGUUAAAGCAUUACAUAGGACAAAAAAGACUUUAGUUUUUUCUCCUUAACAGCUAAAAUUAGAAAACAAUGUAUAAAAUGAACAUAAGAUUGCUUGAUACCAAAAAAAAAAAACAAAAGCAGCUAAGAAAAAGUAGCUUAAACAUUUACUUACGAAUUGCCGAAAAAAAAGAAUUUCAAGAUAUCAUUUACGCAUCAAAGAAAUUCAAAAUAACCAGUAAAAAAGAGAUAUUUUUACCAUAAAAUGCUCAUAUUUCUCAGGAAUAACAAUCUUUAUCAACCAACAAAUAAUACAAAUUAAAGAAAAUAAGAAAAUCAUAUGUUCAUGAGCCAUACCAGAUAGUAUAGGUGAGUGCCAUAAUUUUCUGACUGUUAAGAUCAGUAUCUCAGUGACUAAAACAAAAACCUUUGAGAAAAACUAAAUAUUUCAGCUGUCAAGAAAUAUUUAAUGUUCAGAAGGGGUAUAAAGAUAAAAGACCAACAGAAAUUUCACCACCCAACACCUUUUUAUUGUUCAGAAAGUAUUUACCUUACCGACGCACACCCAGUUGACACUUACAGUGGACCACGCCAACACGUGUGACACACACCCAGUUGACACUUAUCGUGGACCACUCCAAAUUCCUAAAGUUUGACUACAAAACUAUUUUGUUCUUUUAAUUAAAUGCAUAGUAUCUCCUUUUCUAUUAGAAAGAAGUUCCUACAUGCAAUUUUGAGAGGGAUAAGUGUAAAUUACCAGAGGAAGAAGAGUUUCCAAAUUAGAUCCAAUCUAAAAUGGGAUCUUCUCUAAUUAUGAAUUCAUAAUAAGAAGGAAUGGAUAAAACAUAUGUUAGAAAACAAACAGCCUUCUCUUUGAUUUUCAUUAUCUCCUUUGUAUAAUUUUCUGUCUUUUCAUAACUCAGACCCUAAUACAUUAUACAUCCUCAUUGCAAUUGAAUAUUAUGUAUUUUCCAUUUCAUAGUUAAAACCAAUGUAGUUGAUCAACCUUUUUUUUGCAAUUGGUACUUGAAUAUAUUAAGAGAGCAUUGUUAGACUUAUAAGCACGUCAAUUUUAAAUGGCAAAGCUUAAGGAAAAUCACCUCACGAGCUUCUUCGAGAAUCUUCAAAUAAUAUGAAUGAUAUUGGUGUGAUGGAAGAAGAAAUGGAAAUCGCCCUAUUGUCUUAUCUUGCUCAAUAAGCACUGCUUCAAACUCCUUCCCAUUCCUGAGAAUGAACUCCACUAUUUUCUCCAUCAUCCUUUUAAUGGAAGAUGGAGGCUCCAAAAUUAAUGGCUUUCUAUCAGAUACACCAGACUGCAGACUGUGCAGCUUGUCCACAGAACUAGGAACUUGACCAACUCCAUCUUUAACUUUCUUGCUGCCUGUAGCACUUAUAGUGCCAACGCUAGAAAACUGGUUACUUUUAAUAGAGAUGACCUUCUCCUUAGAAGGAACGGCAGCAGAAGUGGUAAGUUUAGUUGCUUCUUUGUCUUUCAACACCUCGGAUGUAGAAGAUUCACGAGCUUUGCUGGUUGCAAUAGUAUUGUUUUCAGGUUCCAUGCUUUUUGAAUCAGCUGGAAGCAUGCUAUCAUCAUCAUCUCCGGACCCAUACACAGAUCCAAGCAAGGAUAAUGCCCCACCGCCAGCAACAGACUCCUGAUCCUCUUCAUUUUCCAAUUCCUUAUCUUUUGUGUUUUCCGCUGAAGUAUGCCUGACCUCAUUUAGAAGCUGAGGGUGAUCAACAAGGUAGCGGAAGUAUGCAUGAAGAUGAUUGUCGGGCAUUAAGAAUCCAAACGUCGGAUUAUCCCCCUGCUUUACCCUCAACACAAUCUCUGAUUGUCCUCCAUGCCUGCUCACAAAAAGAGCCGUUCGUGCAAUUAUUUGAUGCACCUUUUCAGUCGGAGGCUGAAAAAGAAAACAAAUAAAAAGAAAAGAGUCUAAAUAAUGAUUGUAUACCGCAUAAGUAAUCAAACUAUUUUUCAGAGAUAAGAACACCUCGGAUGCUAAUAAUAGUAUAUAGCAUUAGAAUAGAAACAGAAAACAUGAAUUGCCAUCUUGUUUUUAGGUUUUGUUGCAUAUAGCACAUAUUAUCAUUCUUUAUCCCACCUGCCUACUCCUUACGUCAAGACACAUCACAAGGAAACACGGUGCCCAUGAAUGGCAAUAUUUAGUAAGAACUUCAACUCUGCUCCAAGGAUCUGAAAUUUAGGACAUGUAAGCCUUAGAAGAAAAACAUGCACCUUGAACGAGUAUUGCUGGGCCAACUGGAGAAGAACUAAAUAACAAUCUACAAGGAACAUUAUUCCAUGUCAUCGGCCAAAAAAGAAUCUAAACCGGUGAAAAAUGGUUUAACACAUACAGCUAGCACUUACUAGGUUGCUUAAUAAGUUUUCCGGAACUGGGAAAGGUGGACGAUAACAAGAAUUUUCCAUUCCAGGAUCAGUUCUCUUGGCAUCAGAUAAACCAUCAUUAUCGCCAUAUGAGAAAGGAACAGACUGAUAAGCACCUUGAGCAGUUGCAUCUGAACCUGACAAGCAAAAAGUACAAAGCAAAUAAGAAUAAAUAUAUUGGGGAAAAAAAGAGUUCAAGUCAAAAGCAGUUCAUAAAAUGAGGUGGUAAAGAGAAUAGAAGAUGAAGUAUAUGGAAGUUUCUUACUUGAACUUGUGACAGAUGCUCAUGAGAUAACAAAACCCUUCCUGCAAACUUAGAAAUUCAUAUGUAACAUGAUACAAUUAGCAUGCAACCCUUCUAUGCAUGCCCUGUUACUGCUAUUGAAAUUAUGGAAAAUCUACCUACGCAACAUAACCCCGGAAAUUAUUACAAAAGGAAAAAAAGAAGCAAAUCAAACUCUUUCCUUUGUGAUUUUAUGACUUCAAUUGAAAGGUGUUUCUUAAUCAGCCAAGUUAAAAAGGAAUAAAAAUAACCAAAUAAAUAUGAGAGGAAUUGAGUUUCUUGAGCUACGAUCAAAUUUUUUGACAAAAUUCGUUUCAGCAAAUUGCUAUUAAUCAUCCACACUCAAACAGGAACUUCAAAGUAUGAUUAUAAAUUUUUUCUGGAUGAACUCUUCCAAAACCACUAGGAUCAGCCGUACAAUUUGAAAUACCCAAACUUUUGGCAUCAACCAUUUACAAGAAUUAAGAUUAGGACAUUUAAGAAGACAGAGAGAGAGAGAGAGAGAGAGGAGAGAGAGAGUUAAGCAGCCACAAUGAUUGCGCAUCAAAUAAAACGAAUACUAUAGUAUAGCUUAAUAGAAUAGGUUUAUCCACAAGUUAGUUAAAUGCAUACACUAAGGAAAAAGAGGAACAACGCAACCAUUUCCCCAAGAACCUUUCUCAAAUCUAUUUAUAAUAAUUAGAAAUUGGGUUUUCAAUAAAGAACUAACAGAGACGAGCACAGAUAGGGCUUUUCAAGCAAAUUAGUCAAAGAAGCACCACGAAUUACUACUUAAAAAAGAGGGAUAGAAAGCAUCCAUCCAAUAUCCCAAUCUUUCUUUGGCAUUCAUUCAAACAUAAAUAUUCGGAGAUUAGGGUUUUUAAACUGCAAGGGAGAGAGAGAGAAGAGAGAGAGAGAGAAGAGCGGAAUUAGCAAACCUGAAUGUGCUUGUGGUGCGUCAUCACUCAUCACGCCACGGCCAUAGGCGCCGCCACUCGUGCGUCGGGAGGGGAGAUCCGUACGCUACAGGUCGAUCUCGUCCUCGGCGGGCGCGGCGCGCGCGGUGGCGCGGCGGCGGUCGAAGCGAGGGGCCGCGGGGGGACGCGGUCGAGGAGGUGGCGCACGUCAUAGCGGUCGAUGAGGAGGGAGGCGUCGGCGCUCCAGGGCACGAGCGCGGAGGCGGAGCCCACGAACGCCGCCGCGGCGUCGUCGUCGAAGAGGAGCGCGUGGCGCCCCGACACCUCCAGAUCCAUCGAAAACCUUCCUCGAUCUCGACCUCGAACUCGCCCUCGCCCUCGCCCUCGACCCUGACCUCGACCUCGACCUCGCCCUCGCCCUCGCCCUCGACUACGAUCUCAAUCUCUCGAUCUCGCGAUCAAUCGAUGGAUCGAGGGAUCCGCGGAGGAAGAAGAGAAGCGGGGAGAGAGAGAGAGAGAGAGAGAGAGAGAGAGAGGUGUUCGAUCGGGGAACGGGAUCGACUUAGGGUUUCGAUGGGGGUGAGAGAAAGAGACGCCACAAAACCAAUAUUUUAAUAAAGGGUUAAUUGCAUAUAGAUCCCCCAAACAUAAUAAAUUGCAGAUACAAUCCUGUCCCCCAAACAUAAUAAAUUGCAGAUACAUUCCUGUAAAGUUCAACUUUUAUAAGUUAUUUCUGUAAAAGUCCUAAUAUUUUUAGAUAUGUCCCUCUGGUUUCUUACCAUUAGAGACCCGUUAGAAAACUGUUUAUAUUUACUGUGAGACCCUAGAUAGUCCUAUAUAUGAGAUAUAAUAGGGCUAAACUCUUAACCCAGCUUAAGCAUUUUGGGUGGUGGCUAGACCCAAGAGGUUAAGAGAGUAAGCGUCCUAGGACGGGAGUAGUCCUAGGAUGGGUGACCUCCUGGGAAGUCGGGGCGUCACAGAUGGUAUCAGAGCCAAUUACCAGCCGUAAGUGUGAGAUGAGUCUCGGCUGAGCCAGGGUCUGGAUGACGGGCUAGCGAGACGAGUCUCACAUCGCUUGAUACUUAUGAGUCUGAGCCUGACGAGGACGUCAAGACUUAAAGAAGGGGAGAUUGUGAGACCCUAGAUAGUCCUAUAUAUAAGAUAUAAUAGGGCUAAACUCUUAACCCGGCUUAAGCAUUUUGGGUGGUGGCUAGACCCAAGAGGUUAAGAGAGUUAAGCGUGUUAGGAUGGGAGUAGUCCUAGGAUGGGUGACCUCUUGGAAAGUCGGGGCGUCACAUUUACAAUUUUGUCAUCACAAAUAUGUUCCUCCAAAAGUUAUAACAGUAUAAUAUAAGAAAGGUAAAAAUAUCAAAAAUUAACCCGGAUAAAGUAUUUAACCUAUGGUUAACUAAACUUUUCUAACGAAUUCUAAUGGAAGAGACAUAUUUGAAAACAUUAGGGGUGUGUUUGGUUCGAAGUCGGAUUCGAAAUCGAAAACGGAAUGGGAAUAAGCUAGAAUCGGAAUCGGAAUGACUAAUUACCUCAUUCUGUUUGGUUUGCCACCUGAAUCGGAAUCGAAAUGAAUCAUUUCCAUUAUCGGUGUUUGGUUCAGAUAAUUAUCAGAAACAGAAUCAAAUUAAUAUACCAAUUUUACCCUUUUAAUAUAUUUUAAUUACUUUUAACUAGUUUGAAUACUCUAUUUAAAAUAUAAAUGAGCAACUUACAAAUUUUCUUUUUUAUCAAAAUCUAGAUUUUUUUUCCCUCUUGACACAGCAGCAUCAUAUGUGAUUUAAUAUCAAAUAAAAAAGUUUACUUUUUGGUAACAAGGACAAAAAAAAGCAUGACCUCAUAUUACUAUGUUAUUAUGAACCUUUAUUCUUCUUACUUUUUUUUUGUUUUUUUGAAAAAGUCCAAAGUCCAAAGUCCAUGUGACUUUUGAAAAUAAAAGAAAAAAAAAAUAAGAGGGAGGGAGAGGUGAGGGGUUUUUUUUUUUUUUAAGUCUAAUGGAUGGAGGUUAUUUUAGUAAUAAGAUAAUUAAGCCGGGAUUCAAUUUUCAAUCCGGGGUACGAGGCCAGAUUCAUUUCUACCCGGAUUAGCCGAUUUCCAUUCCGGAAUGGAAACGGAAUCGGAAUGGAAUUACGGCAUACCAAACAUCUAGAAUCGGAAUGGAUCAUUCCGAUUCCGAUUCCGGGGUUAAUCUUUAGCGAACCAAACACGCCCUAGAACUUUUGCAGGGAUAACUUAUGAAAGUUGAACUUUACAGGAAUAUAUCUACAAUUCAGUUUGUUUGCGGGGACCUGUAUACAAUUGACUUAACAAAAGGCUAAAAUACAGUAUAUUCUCAGUAAAUAUCUAUUUUUUUAAUUUUUCAAAAUUUAUAUUUUAUUUAUUUAAAUUUUUAAUUUAAUCCCUCUAACCCACGCCACCGUCAGGUUCCAUGACUAUUCCGUUCAUUUCAUAUAAUUUAUAUUUAAAAAAUUUUGAACUAAAAAAAAAUAAAAAAAUUUAUUUUUUUCUUAUGGAUCCAGUAAAAAUAAUUUGAUUAUUUCGCCUUCUCCAUUCACGCCAUAAUCCUCUAAAAAUAUUUCUGAAUUUUAAAAGUAUAAAAUAUAGAUUUUUAAAAUUCAGAGAGAAAGCAAAAAUGUGAUAUAAUUUAUGAAGAUUUUUUUUUUUAUAUUUUAGCCAUUUUAAAAACGAGGUUGUAUAGUAAUAUGAAAAUAUUAGUGGGUUAAAGAUUAACUGCUAAUUGAACUAGUAAAAUUAGUAUGACUUCAUAAAUAUCUCAUUUUAUUUUUUUAAUUUUAUUAUAUAGAUCAUGACAAAUGCUAUUUGUACAUCUGGAUAAGACAUAUAAAUCUUACAACUUGAUCAUCCAAGAGUUUACGAAUCUCCAAUAAAUUUUAGUAUUUAAAAAAGGCUAAAUUACAGAAAAUCCCUUUGUAAUAAUCCGCUUUUUCACUUUCCCUUCCUGACAUUUAAAAACCUACACUUUGCCCCCCUGUAAAAUAAAAAAUGUGCACUUCACCCCCUACCGUCAGGAUUCCGUUAAAAAAUAUAUUUUUAUGCCGAAAAUACCCCUCCGCCAUCUCCCUGUUGCUUCGCCUCCCUCCGGCUCGCCACCUCGCUGCCGCCUCGCCGCCUCGCCGGCUAGCCGCCUCGCCGUCCUCCACUGCUGCGCCCUCACCCACAUUCCCUUCGCCGUCCUCCGCCGCCUCGCCUUCGCCUUCUUUGCCCUUCUCCUACUGUCGCCGACCACGGUUUUCUCCUACUGUCGUCGAAAUCGAGGGCGGCGAGGGUGCAGGAGGAGAAGGAGAGCAGGUGGAGAAGGAAAUGGAGAGAAAUCGCGGCCGAUUGAGGUAGGAAUCGCGGUCGAACGAAGGGGCGGCUGAGGAAGAUGGGGAAGAAGACGACAAUGGUGAGGGGCAAAAUGGUCAUUUUACACACCGUAACCCUCCUGUGAACAUUUUUUAUUUUACAGGGGGGCAAAGUGUAGGUUUUUAAAUGUCAGGGGGGAAAGUGAAAAAGCGGGUUAUUACAGGGGGGGUUUUCUAUAAUUUAGCCUUUAAAAAAAAUAAAUCGAUCAAUCUGAUCCACCGAAAGGUUAAGAUUUUGCACCCUGAUCUAGAAGGUAUGGCUAGCAUUGCUCAUAUAAGUUCACACUAAUAUGUGCUAAUGGCAAAUAAAAUCAGCUAAGUUGAUUUUUAAACCGUUGGAUUUAUGUGACUUCGUAAAAAGUAUUCAGCCGGUUUGAUUAAAUCUGACCGGUUCACCAGUUCGGUUGUUAAACCGUCAGUUCGAACGAUUUUUGUUUUAACUUAUUCAAUUUAAAGAGUUGAAUUGAUCUGUUUUAUAUAUUAGGUCGCAAUCAGAUAGGUUGGACCUACCGAUUCGACCCGAUUUUUUAUAUCAUUCGGUAAACACAUGAGUUAUUUGUUCGACCGACCCAAUUUUUAAAGCAUUGGAUAAAUAUGAGUUAUUUGGUAUUAAAGUGAUAUUCAAUAAAUAUAGGUGGAAAAUCGGAAGUAUUUUGUAUAUAUAAUUUAAUGAAAUGUCAACGGAGGAGUUGAUGGAAAUAAAAAAAAAUCCUAAUUUGAUACACUUUAAAUUAUAAAAUUCUAAAAAAAAAAAAGUACCAAAGAAAUGUUAUUUGAAGUUUACCUAUAAUAAUAUACUAGUGCACGGCCCGUGCUUCGCGGCGGAUAAAUAAUAUUUUAUCAAAAUUAAAUAUUUUAAUUUAUACAAAUUUUAAUAAAUAGUUCGUAGUAUUUUAGUAAAUUUAAAAAUUUUAAUUUGUACCCAAUCCAAACGGAUCCUAAGUGUAUCAAAUAUGAUAUGCACUAUAUCAUAUAUAGGUGAUAAUAAAUUAUCUAUAGAUGAACAAAUCAAAUCUUUGUGGCAUCCUAUAUUAAAAAUUAAUAUGGUCUUUGCUUCCUAAAGGAAAAAAAGAAAAAAAUAAAGAAAAAAAAACCUAAUUGGUUAACUUACAAGCUUUUAAUUGUUUAUCUUCUUCUCUAAUCAAAUGAAUAUAUUAAUUUGAUCAGAUUAAUCUAUUUUUUCGAUGAAGGAUAAUUUGCGAAUUAGCUAAAAAAAAUAAAAACCGGGACACUAUAAAUACAUAACAAAGAAAAAAAAAAAAGAAGAAUAAGAUAAUCUACUAUAUUGGGAAAGCAAGAAAAGAAAUAAUAUUAUAGACCAAAAAUCUGACAAAUUUUUCAUUCUACUCUAAUCGAUAUUUAUAGUGUGCUUAUAAUUGAGAAUUUUUAUAACUGUUAUCUAUGAAAAAGAAGAGGCAAUAUAGAAAAUAGUAAAUGGGGAAUUUAAUUCUCUUAUUUAAUUUCUAUUAGAUAAGCUGCGAAAUUAAAAAAGCAUUAUUGAAAGCUUUAUUUGAAGAUUCCGCUCUUAGAAAGAAAAACGGUCACAUUAAAUGUGCAUUAAUUUAGAAAUUUUUAUUUGUUUAAAGUAGAGCAUGAAGCUAAUUACUUUCAGUUACUAAUCACGGAAACCAAAAAGAUUAUUAUAUAUAUAUAUAUGAAAACAUUGGAUUAAUUAUAUGUAUUAAUUAUAUAUUAAACUAUAGUUAUUAUUAUGAUCAUAUAUCCAUAUCAGUUACUAAUCAUUAAAUUUCUCAUUUUGUUCUUUUUGAGUAUGCUUGGUUGCCCGUAAGUAAAACANNNNNNNNNNNNNNNNNNNNNNNNNNNNNNNNNNNNNNNNNNNNNNNNNNNNNNNNNNNNNNNNNNNNNNNNNNNNNNNNNNNNNNNNNNNNNNNNNNNNNNNNNNNNNNNNNNNNNNNNNNNNNNNNNNNNNNNNNNNNNNNNNNNNNNNNNNNNNNNNNNNNNNNNNNNNNNNNNNNNAACCAAACAAUAGAAGUCAUAAAAACUGUAUUUUUUUUCUUUCACUUUUUUGAAACCAAACACUUGAACUCAAAAGUGACUUCUAUAAAAGUCACUUUUGAAAAGUGAUUUUUUUCACUUCGAUCACUUACGGACAACCAAACAUGCCCUUAAAUAUGGUAAUACUAAUCAUAGAAGCCAAGAAGAUUAUUAUAUAUAUUAAAACAUUGGAUUAAUUAUGUGUAUUAAUUAUAUAUUAAACUAUAGUUAUUAUUGUGAUUAUAUAUCCAUAUCAGUUACUAAUCAUUAAAUUUCUCAUUUUGUUCUUUCUAAAUAUGGUAAUUAUAGAUUAUAGAGCCAAAAAGAUUAUUAUAUAUAUUAAAACAUUGGAUUAAUUAUGUGUAUUAAUUAUAUAUUAAACUAUAGUUAUUAUUGUGAUUAUAUAUCCAUAUCAGUUACUAAUCAUUAAAUUUCUCAUUUUGUUCUUUCAAUAAGACUUAUAGAUGAAGGGUCAUAUGAAGCUACAAGAUUACUUGCCACGUGGCAAGUAAUCUUGUAGCUUCAUAUGACCCUUCAUCUAUAAGUCUUAUUGAAAUUGAUCUCUUAACUUUAAAUUUUUUUAUUUACUAUCAAAUAUUUCACCGGGUCUGGGUUCGGGUCUCAAUCCGGAUUUGAAAACUCUUUUGGACCCUACCCAUUAAAAGGUCAGGUUCGGAUUGGGUCCAAGCUAGGUAUGGGUAUAAAGUAUCCGGACCCAUACCCGAAAAUUUAAUAGGUAAUUUUUUUUACCCGUAUACUAUCUAUUUUUUAUUAGGUAUGGUUCGGAUCCGGAUAGGAUCCGAGUAGGGUCUAGGUCAGAUAUGGGUGAAAAGGGAAGAAUCCAAACAGUUUGGAGGCUCAAGUUUGGACUCUCCCUAAUUUCUAAACCUGUCCCCCUAGUGUAUCAAACUCAAGCUCCACUAUACUCAACUUUCUCUAAAAAAGUUAUUAAAUAUUAAAACAUAAAUUAAUCCAUAAAGGGAUCGAAGAAGUUACUUUUUUUUUUUUUUUUUGAGAGAUAGAUAGCAUGCUAUUCGCUUCGUUUAUUUCAUUUAGGGAAGAAGUUACUUAGAGUCUUAGACUCUCCCUCUAGUGUAUCCAACUCAAGUCCCAUUAUACUCAACUUCUUUAAAAAAAUUUAUUAAAUAUUAAAAUCUAAACUCUGCUUUCUUUAGAAUGAGUUAGAGUUACUUUUUUUUUUUUUUACAAAGGAUUAAGAUUAUUUCGAAACACUAAUGGGGGAUUUAUUUUUUUAAUAUGUUGGAUUUUAUCGAAAAAAGUUUACCACUAUAUUUAGAAGGUAAUGAAAUUCAUUUAUUUAUAUCGAAACAAACAAUAGAACUCAAAAAACUAAUUUCACCAGCAUCAAAUUAUACCAAAACAAGCAGAAGAACUAAUUGAAUUUAACUUUCAAACCCUACGAAUUAUCUCAAAACAAACGACAAAAAAUAAUCACACUUCGAAAAAAUUCAAACAGCACCGCACUUGAGCUAUGAGCCUAAGAUUAGAUCUAAAAAUUCGUCAAUCCAAACGCCCUUUAUUGAUGAAUGAAUACCAAACAAACGUAUAAAAUUUUAUCUAUAACUCACUAGAAAAAGCACCUAACACAUGCAUCACAUAUGUUUCUAAGAACCACAAAGACCCCUACCCUUAUUCAAACUAACAAUCACUUGCUAAUAAUAAUAAUCAUAUAUAUAUAUAUAUAUAUAUAUAUAUAUAUAUAUAUAUAUAUAUAUAUAUAUAUAUAUAUAUAGUGAGGUUACUNUUGAGUGAGUUAGCCAAUUAAAUUUGGAAUUAUUAAUAGAUAAGUGCUAACAGGGACAUUAAAUUUAAUAAAAGUUUUAAAUAGAGUAAUUGCAAAAACUAUAUUUUAGAGAAUUAGAAGUACGUAAUUUAGAGGGUCUUUAAGUGAAAAAAAAAUCCUUCGAAUAAUCUAUCCUAUUUUAUAUUCUUUAUUUGGCAUAAAAGCUAAAAAUUGUGUAAUAAUUUUUUUCCUCUUUUAUAUUCGAGAAAAAAAUUGUCAUUCCAAUUAGGGCAUAUUGUGAGCUAAUUAUUUCUCUGCCUGUUUUGGGAUCAAGUGGUAUUCAAAUUCAUGUAAUAAUAUAACCCAAUUAUUAAAUUUUUUUUUUGGGCUAAAUUACAGAAAACCCCCUAUCAAUAUUUGUUUUUUUACUUUUUUUCCUGUUAUUUAAAAACCUACACUUUUCUCUUUGUAAAAUAAAAAAUGUUCACUAUACUUCCUAUCGUUAAUGCUCCGUUAGGGUUCCGUUAUAAAAUAUUAUUAUAUAUUUUUUUAUGCCAAAAAUAUCUUCAGUCUCUUCCUCAACAUUGCCGCAUGUUGAGAGGCAAAUUAGUUAUUUUGUCAUUAUAGUUAACAACGUAUUCUCUGAGAACAUUUUUCAUUUUAUAAGGGGGCAAAGUGUAGGUUUUUAAAUGACAGAGUGGGCUGCCUACUCCACGCAACUUACGAACCGCAUCAAAAAACCUUUUUCAAUACCAUCUACAAAAGAUAAAAAAUAAAAAAAAACCACCCUAUCUUAACAAAAAAAAAUCAACAUAUCUUUUUUUUAAAAAAAACAAAGAAAGUGACGUGCCUUAUUCCAUACCAUCUACAAAAAAAAAAGAAAAAAAAAACUACGCAUCGAAAAAAAAUCAUUUUGUUUUUUUAUUUUCUUAUUUAGAACCAAACAAUAGAAGUCAUAAAAACUGUAUUUUUUUCUUUCACUUUUUUGAAAUCAAACACUUGAACUCAAAAGUGACUUCUAUGAAAGUCACUUUUUUAAAAGUGACUUUUUUUCACUUCAAUCACUUACGGACAACCAAACAUGCCCUUAAAUAUAAUAAUACUAAUCAUGGAAGCCAAAAAGAUUAUAUAUAUAUAUGAAAACAUUGGAUUAAUUAUAUGUAUUAAUUAUAUAUUAACUAUAGUUAUUAUUGUGCUUAUAUAUCCAUAUCAGUUACUAAUCAUUAAAUUUCUCAUUUUGUUCUUUCUAAACAUGAUAAUUAUAGAUUAUAGAUUAUAGAUAAGAAGUGAUUUAAUUCAAAGAGGAGCUAUAAUAAGAAUGAUAGAUUACUUGCCACGUGGCAGGAAAUAUUGUAGCUUCGUAUAGUUUUAUAGAUUAUAUGUAUACUAGAAUACUUUCAAAAAUACCAAAAGAUUGGUGCUUUUGAGUUUUUAACUCUUGGAUGGAGAAAUGUAAGAUUGGGAUGAUGGUGGUAGGUGGUAGUAGGUGGAAUAGUAUUUGAUCCAAGAACUAUUAGUAAGCAAGGAGUAGAUUCAAAGGCUAUCUAAAAGCAGCAAGAGGGUGAUACUUCUAAAAGUAUUCUAGCUCAAUUUUAUAUAUAUAUAUAUAUAUAUAUAUAAAAGAAAAAAGCUCCCAUUCCUUAUCGCACGAUUCUCCCCCUCCCCAAACCCUUUUCGACGCAUGGAGCACUACGCAACCCUCUCCAAUGGCGACGACGCCCCCUCCCUCUCCAACGGCAGCGACGAAACCCUAAGCCAGAUCUCCCACUAUUCCUCCGCCGGCGACUCCCACGAGAACAUCGGCGGCGGCGGCGGCGGCCGCGGCGAUGGCGAGUUUAAGGGGCUCAUGGCGGAGAUCGGGAGCUUGAAGGCGGAGAAGCGGGAGCUCGAGCGCCAGCUCGAGGAGGCGCGGCGCGAGCGCGGCGUCGUCGCCGCCGAGGCCCACCGCCUCGAGGGCGAGAUCGAGCGCGUGCGCACGGACCUCGUCGCCGCCGCCUCCGCCGCGAUGGAUGCCGAUGCCCUGGCGGAGGAGCUCAGAGCCGAGCGGGACAAGCUCAGGGCCGAGAUCGAGAAGCUCUCCGCCGCGGCGGAGUUGAAGGAGAGGGCGAUCGCCGCGCUGGAGCGGAUGGUGGGGACUCUGGAAGAGGCCAAGGAGAAGGCGGCGAAGGUGAGCAGGGAGCGCGAGGAGGAUCUGAUGAAGCGGAACGCGCUUCUGCUGGCGAAGAUCCAGGAGAAGGACAUCGCCCUGACGAAACUCAGCAAGAGUAACUCCUCUCUGGAAGAGGAGAUUAUCAAGCUUAAGGAUGCCCUCAUGGUGUCCAAGGAGAGGAACGCCGUGCUCGAAGGCGAGAUCGGCGAGAAGACGAACGACGCGGAGGCCGCCUCCCCCGCCCCCGCCACUGCCGCAGUGCUCGGGGCCGUAGCGCUCGGAGCGGCGUCGGCGGGAGCUGCGGCCGCUGCGGCUGUGACCGCGGUUUACCUUCACCGUAGAAGGUAGAGGUAAUGAGCACGAACACUCUCUGAUCAGAGUUUUUGCCUUAUCCUAUUAUCCUGUUGUUUCAGCUUGUUCUUAAUUGUCAUAGGUUUACUAUUUUUGCUACACAAGAAACAUCUCUGAUGAGGGCUUUACUCAUCUGCUGCUAUUACUGCUUUGUUGGGCAAAACUGUUGUUGCCGAGUCUUUCGAAUGCCUUCUUGGGAAGUUUCUGAUAAGAAUUCUAGCCUAACUUUUUGACUGGAAAUGGAUUGUUGUUGGGCCAGAUUUUUGUUAGGGCAUGAAGAUUUGUCACUUGGUGAAUGCUAUGUUUCUUACAUACUAUGAUUUGUGAGGAUUUGGAAAAAGUAAUCUUGAUUGUGUUUGCUUUGCUGUUGUUUAUUGUGAAUUCUCGAUGUUCUAUUUUAAGUGUGUUGCCUACCGAGUCACUUGGUUGUUCGUAAUUUGAAGUAGUGUGAGAGCCUUGAAGAGUUUGUGUAUCUCUUUGAAUGCUUCUAUUGGGAAUUUUCUGAUAAGAAUUGUAGCCCAACUUUUUGAUCGGAAUGUUCUUGCCUCGGAUUUUUAUUAGGGUAUGAAGAUUUCUCACUUGAUGAAUGCUAUAGUUCUUAUAUAGUACAAUUUGUGAUGACUUGGAUUGCAAAACAGGGAAAGUAACCUUGAUUGUGUUUGCUUUGUUGUUCUGUAUUUUGAUGUGUUGCCUACUGAGUUACUUGGUUGUUUCUAAUGAAUUUGAAGUAUUAUGGGAAUCUUGAAGAGUUUUGAGUACCCCUGUGAAUGCUCAUCUUGAGAGGUUUUUGAUAAAAUGUAGCCUAACUUUUUUGAUUGAAAUCUUCUUGACAGCACGAAAUCUCCCAUUUGGCGGACGUUUUUCUUACAUAGUGCUUUGUGACAUUUGGCUUGCGAAAGAGUGAAGACUGACUAUGUUCUUGAUCUUGUUUAGUUGUUGUUCUGGGUUGUUGAUCCUCCAUACUCCAUUUUAACUCUGUUGCCUACUGGCCCACUUGGUUGUCCCUUAUGAUUUUAGAAUUAUCAAGGUAGUCUUGAAACUUGUGUUUCGAAUUGGUUUGAGAGUUUGUUUUAAAAAUUUGCCGCUAUCUGGCAGUUCUUUACUGAAUUGAAGUUUGGAAACUCCAGGCAAUGAAACAUUUAUCAGCAUGAAGUAUUUUCUUGGCCAUGGCUCUUCACUCCACCAUCUAUUGAUUAGUUUCCUUUCUCUUCAGAGUGCUAGAAACAAUUUAGUUUUUGUCAGUUUGUAUAUAAUCAGUUUAGGACUUUAAGUAUUUGGUGAUACUGUCAUUUUUGUUUCUCUGCUCACCCAAUUAUUAUGUUAUGAAAUGGGUAGCUGAUGAGUCUUAGGGGUACUUGAGUCUCUAGAUUACGUUCUACUUCUAGCUAGUACUUUAUUGUGGAACGGAUAUAUUAUUGAUGCAAGCCAACAGAAAACCAAAUAUGUGUGGAUACUCAAAAACUCAAACCAGCCAUAAACCUGGAUUGUUAUCCACAAAAGAUCCUUCAAUUUCUGUAUUUGCAAAAGAUGGUUCCUCCCAGGUUUGUGGUAGCAUUUGAUAAUUCCAAUUUACGUCGCACCGUUUUCCUCCUUUUCUUCUCCUCCUUUUUACCGUUCUUCUUGUUCCUUCUCCUUCUUUUUGGUCUUAUGUUUCUCCUUCUUAAUACACACUUUAUCCUUGGAAAAAAUAACAAUACACCCUAUUUUCUGACAUGUAAAUGAAGGUUCAAAAUAUUUGGAUCGAGUUUUGUUCUUAUUAGAGUUCUAGUGUCCCCUUUUGGCAAUUUUGAUGGUAUAUACAAUUCAGGAUUUGAUUCCAGAUGUGUUAUGAACAGUCUUAGGACUUGUUGAAAUAUGAGAGUAACCUGUUUUGGCAGUUUAGACAAUUCCAGGUUUUGGUUCUGAAUGUGUUAUGAACAGUCCCAGGACUGACUUGAAAUAUAAAAAUAAGUACCUAGAAAGGACUUUUUUUCCAAAUAACCCUAGAAAAUAUUAUAAUCAGCUAAAUGACCCUACUAAGAAAAUAUUAUAAUCAGCCAUAUAAAAAUAUGGCUGUUAGGAUUAUAUAUGGAAAAUAAAAAAAAGCGAGGUUGUUAGUAUUGUAUGGGGAUUAUCAGAAUUUUUGUUUGAUUGUUAGGAUGGUAUCGAUAGAUUAUUGGGAUUUUUGUUUGUUUGUUAAGAUUGUAUGCAAUUUGUUAAAAUUAGGAUUAUAUGGAAAAUAGAAAGAAACAAUAAAGGAGAAAGAUGGUGAAUGAUUCACCGCUUUUGUGAGAAAUUAGAAAGGUGGUGAAUCAUUACCGCCGUCAUGAAGGCAGUAAACGAUUCACCGCCUUUAAGAGAAAAUUUCACUUUCGCUCCUACAUGGCAAAAAGUGGGUUAGUUUGCCAAUUAUUAUUUUUAUAGGGUUAUUUAUCCGAUUAGAGAAUUUUAUAAGGUUAUUUUGAAAAAAAAAGUCCACCUAGAAAUAGAAUUAAGAGAAUUAAGAUAUCUAAACUAGUUUUACAAUGACCAUGGUAAACCUUCCAUAUUGCCUUCUGUCAAUCGAAUCAAUCAAUAGAUGAAUCAGAUUUGGUCGUAACAGUUAGGUUUCGUAAAUCUGAAAUCCCACUUUUUUUAACUAGUCAUUCUUAAGGCUCAUCUUUUAACGAUUUUCGGCUUAGCUUCAGACCUUUAGUUUUGAAUCGACACUUAUUGCAUGUUUGUUUCGCCGAAAUUAGACUUUGGAUUUAACUGGAGUUCAGGUGAAAAUGACUUCUUUUCCGCUGUUUGUUUUUUAUGGUUGUGGAAGUGAAGUUCUCCCAUUUGCUGUUCGUUUCGUAGAAAAUGAAUGGCGUAAAAUGAUAUUGUUACCACUUAUAUAACUUAAUAAAUAAUGAACUAUAAUGUAAUAAUUUAAAAAUAAUAUAAUAUAUAAUUAUAUAAAAUAAUAUAUUAUAAAUAAAUAAAUAGGUUUAUUCUUUUAUGUUAAUUAUAUUUUUUCUCUCACAUCUCUUUUUUGUAAUUGACUUCGCCCCGCCCUGGGGUGAAGUCAAGUUACAGUGUUUUGGAAAACUCAAGUUUCGGCCAUAACUACAUUACAGUGAACAAAACACUGGAAGUGUUCAUUUACGGGGUUUAGGGUUUACCUUUUCACUUUCGCCCAAACAUACAAGCCCGGACUGAAACUGAAUUUAGCCUUUGAUAUGGAGAUUCUACUGAAACUUAGAAGUUCAAAGCAUGAGGCAGAUGCCUCUUUUUUCUGAUGGUUUUCGAGUUUGUUUUCUCUUGCUUUCGCAUGCUACUUCGUACAAUGACUUCUUCAGCUUGACAAGUAAAUGCUUUGAUCAUCUUGUUUUCUAUCGUAAAUCCGAGUCGCCUUUCAAUUGUAAAUGCCUGUGUGAGGCAUGUAGUUUUGAAAUUCACCAACUCAAUAACUAGGAAGAGAUUAAUUUGUCCUGUGAGGACUACAAUGAAAUAUUCUUACGAAGUUUAAGGAUGAAAAUAAAAUAUUGUUAAAAAGUUCAGGAUUUCAAAUGUGGAAUCUAAGCAAAUAGUUGGUUCGAAGGAUUUGAGACUUGGAAUGGGAAUCAGAAUAAGCCCUUUUCGUUGUUAGCAUUUGGUUUGAGAGAUUGAUAUUUCGAUUUUCAUUCCGGGAAGAAUCAAAUUCUUCCAAAAUGGCUCCCAUUGUGGAGGUGAUUGUCAGUUUUGAUUCCGAAAGGGAUAGAAAAAAUAAUAUUUUCUUUUCACUAAUAAUUACUUAAAUUCAAAUAUAAAUAUAAAAAAAAUUAUGAGGCUAAAUUAUUAUCGCAAAUUUGUAUUUGAAUUUACUGUAACAUAAUACAUGUGAGCAAUACCCAAAAAUAAUAAUAAUACUCAAUAAUAAUGCAAAGUGUACAACACAAGAGUGCUUAUCAAUAAAUAAAUACAUGAUAUUCCCUUUACAAGCACUUAAUGUCCCUCCUCUUUUCAAAGUGGAGAGGUACUUGAAAUUUUUUGCUAUGGACACAAAUUUGUUGUCUCACGCUGUAGCAUAGCAUAUUAACUCCCUCUAAAGCAAAAUCUAGCAUAAAAGUUGUAAAGAAGGGGGUGGGAUCUCACCUCAUUCUGACGACAUGCGAAGCUCGACGAGCGAAGCGUAAACUCCCUCCUUCAAUCCCAUCAGUGUUUCGUGCCUUCCUUUUUCGACUAUCAUACCAUUCUUCAGAACCACAAUCAUAUCAGCUCCCUUUAUCGUAGAUAGCCUGUGCGCCACGACCACUGUCGUCCGCCCGACCAUUACCCUGUCUAGUGCUUCUUGAACCACGUGCUCGGAUUCUGCAUCUAGAGCGCUCGUGGCCUCGUCAAGCAGAAGCACUGUCGGGUCCUUCAGAAUGGCCCUUGCGAUGGCUAUUCUUUGCUUCUGACCGCCGGACAGUUGAAUGCCUCGCUCUCCGACCGGCGUGUCGUAUCCCUGAGGCAAUCCCGAUAUGAAUUGAUGCGCGUUGGCUGUCUUAGCUACUUUGACGAUCUCUUCCUCGGAGGCCUCCCCCUCUUUCCCGUACGCUAUAUUGGUGCGAAUUGUGUCGUUGAACAGCACGGGCUCUUGGCUCACCAACCCCAUCUGUUGCCUCAGCCAACUUUGAGCGUCUCGAUUUCGACCCCGUCGAACAAGAUCUUACCCGAAUCGGGAUCGUAGAACCUCUCCAGUAGUGAGAUCACCGUUGAUUUUCCGCUGCCGCUCUCUCCGACAAGCGCGACGGUCUAUCGGACCAAUAGCAAGCAUGAAUUAGCAACAUCAUCUCUAUACAAUAGUUUAAUAUCAAUAACAAAAAGGGAUUUGCACGCAAGUAAAUCCCUGCUAAAUUAUCUGUUUACAAAAUCAGAUGAUUUUUCGACUCAAGAUAUGCUAUUUCCAUAAGAAGCUGCACCUUCUGAAGGGUAUAUAUGAAAAUUUAGAUUUUGUAAAAGGGUAUAUAAACAUAAAAGCCCCUAACAUCAAAUUAAGUGAUGCAUUAAAAUGGCUACCUUUCCAGAGUGAAUUGUCAAGGAGAAGUUUGUAAAAAUUGGAAUAUUCGGACGAGACGGGUACUUGAAGGCGACGUGGCGAAAUUCGAUGUCUCCUUUAACAUUUGCUAAGACCACACCCUCCUCGCUGCUCGAAUCGACCUUGGACUUUCGAUCGAUGAUUCCGAAUAUUGAAGCAGUCGACUCCUUGGCCUUGGUGGAAUCUGCGCCUAAUGCGCUCGUCUGCGAGAUUCCUAUAGUAGCCAGAACUAGUGCGAAGAAAACCUGCAGAUCAACGGUAGUAGCAAGAGCUUCAGUAGAAGUGCUGUUUGGUAAAGCAGUAACGUACAACGGAAGCAAAAGCGUCAGUAUGGUGAAUGCUUGUUUACAGCUUUCUGGAAUGCAGAAGCUAUUGCAGAAGCCAAGCCAGACAGGCCUGUGAGUAUGCAAGUUCGAAGAUGAUGCAUUGUGUUCUCACUCUGAAGACAUCUGAAAAAGUGGCUUUGCCGUCAUGCACAAAUCGUGCUCCAAUGUAGAAACAAAGCGCGUACGUCAGGUAGAGAGUGAAGAACGAGAAACCGUAGCCGAAGCCGCUUAUAAGCCCCUGUCGCACUCCUUGUUUCACUGGUGCUUCGCAUUUCUUUUUGUAGGUUUCCAUCACUCUUUGCUCAGCGGAGAAAGAUGCCACGGUUCGGAUACCGCUCACGGCGUCGUUCGCCACCUGACUUGCUUCCUCAUACAUCAUCUGCAACAAAAAUUGAAAAUCAGUUUCUCUGUGAUUACUAGAAGGCUUGAAUUGUUGGUCUCAAUUGCUACAACUGCUGUUUCAAUUUCAGUUACUAGUUAGAAAGUGUUCAAGAGUUUCGAAGAGACAAAAUCGAAUAUAGAGAAAUCAAAAUUGUCAUAAAAUACUAAUUUUGGCAUUGUAAGCUACAUAAUAAACAAUUGUACUAUCUGUAAGCUACUUUCAACUAAUUUCUGAUCUAUUUUCUGAGAGUAUUUUUUAGGCAUAUCCUAGAAGAUCUCCUGAAAUACUGCUGAUGAGUGAUUCAAUUAUAAAUGAGAAAACUGUUCGUCAUCAACAGCACUUGAUGGGAUCUUCCAAGGUCCCCCAAGUGCUUCUUAUUUUCUAAAAUUAAGCCCUUGUUUAGACCCAUACUUAGCCGAAAUGCUUCGGCUUGGAUAGGUUUGGAACCCUAGCGGUUGAUCGACAACAACUAUCGAAGAAGCAGAAACAUUUGAAUUUAACAUUACCUUAGCAUCUGCACUAUACCCCUUCAUAAACUUUAUCUGUGCAUAACCUUGGAAACCCACCAAAGGGAUCACCACUGUGAUAAUAAGUGCUAGCCUCCAACUCGCGACCAUUGCUACGAUAAACCCCGUGAGAAGCGUCGAAAGGCAUUGAACCAUCAAAGCCAACGUAUCCCCCAGAAGUCGCCGAACAUUCGUAGCAUCAAUCGAUAGCCUUGCGCCAAUCGCCCCACUGCAAGAAAAGAAGAACAAAAGAAGUUUUUUAAGCAUGGUGCAAAACUCUCGACAACAUUCGGAAAGUAAGAUGGUGGAAUUGCUAUGCUUUAAUAGACCUGGAAUUGCGAGGGUCGUCGAACCAGUUGAUUUCUUGGUGGAUGAUUCUUUGAAACGACAUGGAACGGAUGCGUUCUACGAGCCUCCCGCCUGCUACUCCGAACAAGAAAUUCUCGAUCGGUAUCACGAACAACGCGGUUAUGCCCAACACGACAUACAUCGAUGUCCAGAAGUUUGAAUCCUUUUGCAAUUGAUGCGGCUCUUCGAAGAAUAUCUUUAUAGAGAUCGACAGCAAAAUACCGAACACCGGGAAGAGGACUCCGUGUAUUGCUGCGGCUAUCGAUCCUAAGAGCAGAACCGGGAUUUCCGGCUUGUUAAGAGAGAUCAAUCUUGUGAUAGGAACUUCUUUUGGAGCCCCAACGUCACCGACAACUUCUUUAUCUUCUGUUUCAUCUUGAGGUCCAGCUUGAACUUCCAUCGGGCCGGUUAAGCUGAAAGGAAUGGUGAAAGAAUGCCUGCUGCUACUGCCGAUCGAGGAUCCUCGACUUGCUGACCUUUCGAAUGAUAUGCUCCUUUUCGAUUUGCUCAGCGAUUUCGACUCGUUGCUCAAACUGCGCAUCGCGGAGUCACCGACGUGUUCUUUUGUUUCCUUGUGAGUUUCUUGCAAAUGGAUGAGUUGGGAAUAAGCGCCAUCGGGGUUCCUUAUCAACUCGUCGUGACAACCUGCAUUUUUAGUAAUUUGCUUAGAAUCUAUUAACAUACUUUCUAAAGUAGGUAGUAAACUAAACAAAUAACUAACUUUACGGACGAAAGUGUUAAAAUUGAAAGGAAUCAAGUGCGCCCUCGAAAGGAAGUGAUUGUAAUGUGCAAGAUGAAAAAACCUUGUUCCACUAUCUUUCCCUGAUGCACGACGGAUAUUGUACCCGCAUUCCUCACGGUGCUUAGGCGAUGAGCGACGACGAUGGUCGUUCUCUUGAGCAUGACCCUAUUGAGUGCCUCUUGAACUAUUCUCUCGGACUCCACAUCUAGUGCACUUGUCGCUUCGUCAAGCAAUAAGAUCUUUGGGUCCUUCAGAAUUGCCCUUGCGAUCGCAAUCCUUUGCUUCUGUCCCCCCGAAAGUUGCGCCCCACGCUCACCAACCAUUGUAUCCAGGCCCUAAAAACAUAAUCAAAUGAAUAUAAACUCAUAAAAAACUAAAAAACAAUGAUCAAAUUGUUAACAAUAUAUGCAAAAUUGUGCAAACUACUUUGCAGCCGUCUUAUUUAUGCAAAAAAAAAGAAGAAGUUUUUGCAUUUAAAUAGUGUUUUCAGGAACACAUGCAAAUACCAACUUCGUAUUAUUAUUCACACAAUUUGACACAUUUUCAGAGGUAUAUUUGUACUGAAACCUUCUUGCAUUCCUUACAUUGGGCAACUUGUCAAUGAAAUUCGUCGCAUUCGCGAGCUCGGUCGCCCUCUUGAUCUCUUCGAGUGUCGCUUUCUUUUUACUGUAUGUUAUGUUCUCUUUGAUGGUUGUCAUAAACAACAAUGGUUCUUGGCUAACAAGUCCAAUCUUUUCUCUUAUCCAACUAAGCCUCAAACUCUUUAUGUUAACUCCGUCUAUCAAAACUUCGCCUGCUUGCGGAUCGUAGAACCUCUCCACUAGGUUUAUAACAGUUGAUUUUCCACUGCCGCUCUCUCCGACGAUAGCCAUUGUCGUACCGCUUGACACUUUCAACGAGAAUCCGUUGAAUAUGGGGUAGUCGGGCCGCGUAGGGUAGCUGAAGUAGACAUCUUGGAGCUCGACAUCACCCUUCAUGUCUUCUAACACGACGCCGCUCGUGUUGUAUGCGUCGAUCUCCGGCUUCCGUCUGAUUGUUUCGAACAUUCUGUAUGCUGCAGCUUGUCCUUCAGCAAAGGCAGUCACACAUGGGGUUGCCUGACCUAAAGACCUGCAAAGGAAAAGCAAAAUUCAACUCAAAAGUAGUAACUAAAACUUACUAUGUAAAACAUCAUUUCAUCAUAGAGCUAGAUAUGUGAUAGAAUAGUGCUUCUACAUAGCAAUUUAUUCUUUGGAGAGAUUCAUGUAUAUCGCUAGAAAAUCUUAAUUUUAAUGCCUUUAAAAAUUGAUGGCUAAAAUAAAGAAAACCUUCUUGUAAAUAUCCUUCUCUUUUACUUUCCCUUCCUGAUUUUUAAGAACCUUCAUUUUACCCUCUUAAAAUUUCAACGAUGCAUUUUGCCCUCCUUUAUUAUAGUUCUAUUAUUAUUUCAUCCAUUUCUUAUAAUUUUUUACUGAAAAUGUACUUGAAAAUGACAGAAAUACAUUAAAACAUUAUUAUUUUUUUCUUAUGAAGUUAGUAAAGGCAAUUUGUUCAUUUCGUUCCCUCCAUUAAUGCCGUAAUCUCUUGAAACCAUUUCUAAAAUUUUAAGGGGGCAAAAUGCAGGUUUUUGUAAGUCACGGAGGAAAAGUGAAAAAGCAGAUAUUUAUAGGAGGUUUUUCUAUGUUUUAGCCAAAAUUGAUUUUGCAAACCUUCUAUUAUAUGUCAUACACAAUCGGCAAAGGGGACCAGUUUAUUGUCACUGUCAGCACAUGCCCACUGUGCCGGUGUGCUGGUGUGGUGUUGUGGAUGUGGCAUAUCAACACGCCCCGUGCCAGUUGCAUGACAAUCCUUGGCCUUGUAGUUGCAAAAUCUACUUUAUCCUUUAAUACAUGGAUUAAUGAGGUGAAGUGAUAUUAACAUAUCCAUUUUUGAUAGCGGCAGAUCGUUCAUAUCUAUUGAAUCUAGUCAGGUUCAGAAUGAACGGUAACCGAAUUCAAUAAAUUGAUCUAUCAAUAUCAAAAUCAGCUUUUCUAGCAGCAUCACCCCCGUUGGUAAACUCACAUUGCACCGGUCAUGACCGCGAACAAAACAUUGACGACCGUUCCUCCGGUGUAGCCUUUGUUGAUAAUCAACCUGGAACCAUACCAUAUCGCCAACGCGUAGCUCCAGAACAAGACCAUGAAAACAGUUCCCAUUCCCAGGCCAGCAGCAGUCCCUUCUUGGACAGCAGACAAGUAGGCAGGUCUGAUGAACUUGUUGUACAGGGCAAUAGCUUUCUUCUCACCAUUGAAGGAAGCAACCUUUUCAUAUGUGAUAAGUGAAUUAGAGAAUAAUAGUUCUGCAAAAUCAGAAGAACCUUAUAUGCCCUUAAAAAACUAGGGGUUUGUUUGGCCCUUCUACUGCUUCCACUUUUACCAACAACAGUAGAUUCUGGUAGUUCGUUUGGCAAGGGAAAAAAAAAAAUUCAGGUUUCUGUUGAAGCAGGAAGCUGAAAUAAGAUUAUGAGAGUGAAAAGUAGAAAACCCAAUUUGGUGUUUCUGAUUUUGCUACAAAAAACUGUUGACAAUAUUUUACUAAAGUACUUCUUUUAAUAGUACUACUUAGGCAAUACUUCGUCAGAUAACACUAUACCCUAUAACAGGGCCUAACUGGCACUUAGUUUUUUUCAAUUUUGCCCUUGCACUGGGAGAACUUACUUCUGAAAGUAAGAUCUUGUAUGCACUUAGUUUCACAGGGUCUAUAUGCUUUCUUUUUUUUCUCCAUAGGAAACUAAGAUUAUAUGCUAUAUAUAUAUAUAUAUUAUAUUAUAUUUUGUAGAAGAUCUUACUACUGAAAGUAUAUAAAUUAUUUACUCACUGUUCUGAUGGACCCAAUUGUUUGCUCGACAACAUUUCCCGCGUUGCUGUACGUCGCUUGCCGGCGGCUCGUCAUUUUCGAGACGAACCACGACAUGGUCGUGCAGGCGAUGACCAACGGCGGAAUGCUCGACAACAUCACUAGAGAUAGAAGCCAUCCUUUUGUGAAUGCUAUAAUGAAUCCGCCCAAGAAUGUCGCAACAAGUUGUAUGAACUUCCCUACCUGAAACCAAAGCAAACAAACAAAAGAAAAAAAAAAACGACAUCUACAUUGUAUUAAACAUUUAAUGUUCAAUAUGUCUCAUGAGAGGUAGGAAAAGUAACACAAACUCUUAUUUCCAAAGUAUAGUGAUUGAUUGGAGAAAAGUGGUUACAAUGCAUUUUACAUACUUUUGUGGAGUGUUACAACUUUUUAUGACCCUUCUUGCUAAAUAUAUAAAAAAUAUAAAAAUACCAUUUCUACUAGCUUAAGCUUUUGAAGUAUAAUGCUUAGAAGUCCUGAGUUCUAGUGACAACAUGCUUCUCGUAGUUUACGUUAUGGGCCUAUCAAAAAAUCUCGAGCCCUGCUUAAGUUUUUUUUCGAAACAAUGAUUAUUUCAUUUAAUUUGAGACUUCUUUAACCAUAAAAGGCAAAAAUCUAAUUAUAUGAUCAAUUUAAAUUUCUUCUAUUGUAGACCAAUGUGUAAUCAGAUGCUUAAAUGGUGUUUGAUUACUUAGAAAAUCGCGGGAAACUGUUUUCUAGAAAAGAAAGUUUUCAAUGGAAAAUAGAAAAAUUGGUUACGAAAAUCAAAAUUUUGAAAGAUUAGAUAACUUUUAUACAUUUUUACCUGAAAAAACUUCCUUAAUUUCUUAUGAAUUAAAGUUUCAUAAAAAAAAGACUAAGACAUGCAUGUAAUUGUUAAGGGAAAUGCUGCUCUUUUUGUUCUUCUCUUUGUUGUGUAGGAACAAGCUUUGAAGUUUUUCGCACCUUUUCGCCGAUAGCAUCUUGAAUGAGUAUCGUGUCGCCAGACAUCCUCGUGACCGCCUGCCCAGUCGUCAUCUCCUUGUCGAAGAAUGCGAUGUCCUGCCUCAGUAUCGCCUUCAGGUACAGCCCUCGAAUCCGCGCCGCCUGUCUUUCCCCAGUCACCAUCCAACAUGCCACCUCUGAAAUAGUCAGUAAGUCAGAUUAUGUUUUAGUUGGUAAUUUCUGAUUCCAGACUUUCUGAAACUGAGUUGGUAUAGCAUUAUGACUGAUAAUUCUAGUGAUAAUUCUAGUGGUAAUUCUAGUGGUAAUUCUAUUGUGUUUAUAAGAUAGCAAAUCUGAUGCAUAAUAUGAUUAUGAUCUCAUUGAAGGAAAUGUACACAAUUAGAUGUGAUUAAAAUGUGCAUCAUUUGGCCUUAACCAUCAGAGAGUGCAUUUGUAGAAGUAUUCCUCCUUUUGCUUCGUGAUAAUAGGCCCAGGAGACCAAUAAGUUUAGUCGAAUGAGCACAAUAAAUUGAGUGGAAUUGCAAUCUAUUGUAGACUAACGACACGAGGCCCAAUAACGUCCAUGUGGAUUGAAUAAGGUUAAAACCUAUGAACACUGUGAUCGUGCCCUUUCAAUGUGCAUGCCCUCUCUAUCUGCACAUACCUUUAAGAUAGUUGAUUAGCGGUUACUAUUCAUAGUCGACACUCUAAUGUGUGUAUAUAUAUAGAAGUAGGCUAUUAAUAGUACCAAGUCAUUGGCGCUAUUAGGUUUUCGGCUUUUGGAUGAAAGGAUGUGUCGCUAGGAUGGUAGUGGUAUUUUAGGGCUGAGCGGGUGGUUAGUUGAAUAGUAUGAUCUAACGGAUGAAAAUGAUCAAAAUGAUAGAUUUAACGGCGAAAAAUUUGAUAGCACUAAGAGCUUGGUGCUAUUGUUGUAUAUAUAUACAUAUAUACAUACAUAUAGAACGAGGCUGGUAUACUAUCGGUAGCAUGGAAGCCUCCGUGCUACCAAGUUAUUUUCGAUGAUAUGGCUUUCAAAUCAACGAUCGGCUCUGUUAGACUUGAUCUAUACUAUUGAAAAUAUUUGGAAACUAAAUUUCAUAAUUUUUCGACAUUAUUUGGCUAGUGAUCAAAAGGUUUCAAAAAAUGACAAUUUUAAUAGCCGGUGUGAUGCGUUUGUCAAUUUAACGAUGUAAAACAAUCCAAUCUGAUAAAUUUUUUAUAGAAUUUUUUUUUUACUAUUUAGAGUAAGAUCAAUACAUCUGAUCUUAAAUUCAAGUCUUUUAUCAUUAUUUUUUAUGAGAUUUUUAUUUUCAACCGUUCAUUUUUCGACUACUUGUUUGAUAAGUAAAUGAUGCCGAAAAAUUAUAAAAUUUAGUUUUCAAAUACUUUCAAUAGUGUACAUCAAGUCUAAGCAGAUCGUCGAUUUGGAAGCCGCAUAAUUGAAAACAAUUUGGUAGCAUGGAGGCUUCCGUGCUACCGAUAGUAUACCAGCCUAGCUCUCCUCUCUCUCUCUCUCUCUCUCUCUAUAUAUAUAUAUAUAUAUAUAUAUAUAAAUAAAUGAAGGAAAUGUUCAGAACUAGAAUGAGCAUAAUCUUGCAUGAACAGCAGGAAGUGUAUUUGUUAAAAAAACAAAAAGAUAAAGAUUGAGAAUGUCUUGCAACUUAAAAAUACGUUAAAAAUGCUACAGGGAAAACUUCAAAUACCUCCAUUAUGGUUUCAUUUUUUUUCACUUUAGUAUCCUGUGGUUUAAAGUAUAUCAAGUUAGUAUUAUGUGGUUUUGCACUUUUUCACUUUAGUAUCCUGUGGUUUAAAGUGUAUAAAGUUAGUACCCUGUGGUUUCGUAUUUUCUCACUUUAGUAUCCUAUGGUUUCACACUUUCUCACUUUAGUACCCUGUGGUUUAAAAAUCACAGGGUACUAACUUGAUACAAAAAUAAAACCACAAGGUACUAACUUGAUACACUUUAAACCACAUGGUACUAAAGUGAGAAAGUGUGAAACUACAUGGUACUAACUGGAUACACUUUAAACCACAGGGUACUAAAAUAAAAAAGUAUGAAACUUCAUGGGAGGUUUUUGAAGUUUUCCCAAUGCUACAACUAUAUCACUGAGUUCAUUGAUUAUUCAAAAAAAAACUAAACAAAUGAGCUACACGGUUUAACGAAGGGAUUAAUUGAUUGAUACUCACGAAAGAACGAAGCAACCAUAGAUCCGAUCGCUAAGUACACAAAGUUUAGCACCACCUGCAAAUAAGAUAAUGAGAUUAUUUAAGUUCUCAUUUUAAGUAAAAAUAGGCAAAACGAUUAACAAAAGUUAAUUAAUUAACUUGCUAUUCCUAAGCAUCCAAAUAUUGAAAAUAAAUAAAUUCUGAAGAACGAAAUAUAAUUUUGCAAAAUAAUAAAAAGAGGAUUCCUCCAAAGUUUUAGCUUCGCAAUCAGUAAAUUUCUGAAAAUAUCCGUUUUUUUAUUUUUUUCUCACUGACUUUUGAAAAUUAAUAUUUUAUCCUUUUAAAAUUUCAGAAAUAUUUUCAGAAGAUAUGGUAUUAAUGGAUAAGGUGAAAUGACCAACUUGUCCUUACUUCUUCUGUAAAAAAAAUAAAAUUUUAAUAUGUUUAUGCCAUUUUGAAAUUCGAGUGGCAUAUUUUGGUAUAAAUUAUAAGAACGAAAUAUAAUUUUGCAAAAUAAAAAUAAAGGAUUCCUCCAAAGUUUUAGCUUGGCAAUCAGUAAAUUGUUUGUUAAUUGGAUAAAUUAGAGAAAACGUUCUGCUUUUUCACUCUCUUUUUCUGACUUUUAAAAAUUAAUAUUUUAUCCUCUUAAAAUUUUAGAAAUAUUUUCAGAAGUUACCGCAUUAAUAGAGAAGGUGAAAUGAUCAACUUGUCCUUACUUCUUCUGUAAAAAAAUAAUUUUUUAAUAUGUUUUUGUCAUUUUGAAAUUUGAAGGGCAUAUUUUGGUAUAAAUAUAAGAAGGGAGGCUAAAUGCAAUAACUUGAAAUAUUGAGGGGGUAAAUUGUAGAUUUUUAAAGUUAGCGUGGAAAAAUAAAAACAGGUAUUUAUAAAAAUAUUUUCUGUAAUUUAGCCUUGUUAAUUUCUUGAUUUGGAUAACAAAACAAAAUUUAAUUAUACAGUGAGAAGUAUCAUAAUUCAAAUUCAAAAAAAAAUAAACAUAUAUAUUCUAAAUUUUACUAUUCCAGAGAAUGGAUCUCUGUAGCUUAUUUAAUUCAAAAUUUUGUACUGUUCUUUAACCCCUGAUAUGCCUUUUUCACACAAAACCCUACCAAUGUAUUGGUUUAGGGUUAUUAAACAUAUUGUUGUGCAAAACACCUGAUAUUUUUAAAAAAAUUGUUAUGUUUAAAAAAGUAAUUAAUUAUAUAACUGCUCAUCUUGUUGGGAUGGAUCUAAAAUGAUUAAAUUCCAUUUAUACUCAACAAAAGUCAAACCAAAUAACACUACAAGUUAGAGAUCCCUCCAAUUAAAAAAAAAAUGAAAAAAAUAAAAAAUAAGUGGCUCAAUCCCUUGAUUUUGUUGAUGCAAUAUAUAUAUAUAUAUAUAUAUAUAUAUAUAUCCAUGUUUAUAUAAUUGACAUUAAUUAAUUACUCAUCACAUUUAUUGCAUGAUUACCAAAAAUGAAAAAAAAAAAAAGAAAAAAUUGGGAGACCAUCCUCCUCUAUAGGAGAUUCUCAAACACACUCUUAAACUUAUUUUUUGUUGGUACUUCUUAAGUUAUUUUAAUCAUCUGAAUUAGUAAUUAUGUUGAUUAAUUAACGAUUAUGUUAAUUAUUAAUUGUAGAUUAUUAAAUAAAAAUUCUCUCUUUUUUUCAGCUGGAAAAUAGUUAGAGCUGUGAAAUUUGAUAGAACCGCAAAUGGUUUAACAAAAUUUCAUUAAAUAAACAUAAAAAGAACAACAUAAAUGAUUUGAAAUCAAAGUUGUGGAAUGUUAAUUGGAAAAAGAAAAGAAAAGAAAAGAAAAGAAAAAAGGUUUAGAGGCCUCUUUCAAAAUUGUCUACAAUUGUGUGGAUCUCAAUACUCUCUUAGCUAUAUGCAUUAUAAAUAGGGGUGGAAACGAGCCAAGUUCGAGCGAGCUUAUGUCAGCUCAAAUUCGGCUUGAAAUUAAUUUCGAGCCUAAAUCUAGGCUCAAGCUCGGCUUGAAAUUAAUUCGAGCCGAGCUCGAGCGAGCCUAAUUUCGAGUCGAGCUGAGCUCGAGCUCUAAACGAGCCGAUUGAAAUUCUCGACAUUAUAUAAUCAAUAGUUUAAUUUUUAUAGAACAUUACCUACAAUUUGAUGCAACAUGUCCAAUAGUUUAAAAUACAAAAUAAUUAUAAGAAAUGUGAGUUAGGGUGACUUCCUGACUCGAUGAGGGUCUGAGAGAGAGAGAGAGAGAGAGAGUGAGAGAGAGAGAGAGAGAGAGGAAAAAACGUAGGGAUUUGAAAAUUUGAAUGUUAUCAUGUUUUAGGGUUAUGUGCAACAGUGAAAGUCUGAAAGAGAGAGUGUAUUAUGUAAAUUUAGAGUUGGGCUCAAUUGCACGUUUGUACUUGUUGGAUUUAUUUUAUGGGCCAACAAUAAUGGCCCAAAUUAAAUUAAAGCCUAUAUAUAAUUAAAAUACAUUAUAUUUAUAAAUAUUAUAUAUAUAUAUAGAGUCCGGCUACUAUACUUUUAUGAGUAUUGGCUCCUUUAUACUCAUAAGUUUUCGACCGUUAAAUUUAUUCUAUUAAUCAUUUUCAUCCGUUAGAUCAUACUAUUUAACUAACUACCCACUCAACCCUAGGGGACCACUAUCAUUCUAAGUGGGGACCCCUAUCAUUCUAACCACACAUCCCAUCAAUCAACGGUUAAAAAUUUAUGAGUACAAGGGGGUCUAUACUCAUAAGAGUAUAGUAGCCCCGGCCUAUAUAUGAGUCCGGCUACUAUACUUUUAUGAGUAUUGGCUCCUUUAUACUCAUAAGUUUUCGACCCUUAAAUUUAUUCCAUUAAUCAUUAAUUAUUUUCGAGCUUUUCGAGCUUUUCGAGCCUAAUUCGAACGAGCCGAAUAAUACUCAAGCUCGGCUUGAAAUGAAUUUCGAGCCUUUUAUUUUGUUCAAGCUCGGCUCAUUUAAUUUCGAGUCGAGCUCGNNNNNNNNNNNNNNNNNNNNNNNNNAUAUAUAUAUAUAUAUAUAUAUAUAUAUGAGUUGGACUGGGCUACUAUCGGUAGUAAAUUACUCGGUUUACUACCGAUUUGUUUUUGAUGAUAGAGCUUCCAAAUCGAUGAUCGACACCGUUGCACAUGAUCUAGACCAUUUAAAUUAUCUAUAAAUCAAAUUUCAUAAUUUUUUGGCAUCACUAACUGAAUGAUCAAAGGGUCAUAAAAUCUAUAAUUUUAAAGGCCGAUAUGGUACGUUUGCUCGUUUAACGGUAUAGAAGAGUUCAAAUCAACUAAAUUUUUGUUAAAAAAUUCUUUAAACUAUUUAAAGUAAGAUCUACACUCUAGAUCUCAAAUAUAAAAAUUAUAUCAUCACUUUUUGAAGGAAAUUCAUUUCCAGCCAUUCAUUUUUCUGUUCACUUGAUGGACAAGAGAACAAUAUCGAAAAUGUGUGAAAUUUAAUUUCCAGAUAGUUUAAAUAGUUUAGAUCAUAUUUAACGAUGCCGAUCAUCAAUUUGGGAGCUCUAUCAUCGAAAACAAAUCGGUAGUAAACCGAGCCGUUUACUAUCGAUAGUAUUCUAGCAAAACUCUCUCUCUCUCUCUCUCUCUCUCUCUCUNUACUAAUAGCCCUUGGAUCAAACACUAUUCCGCCUACCACCACCUACUACCAUCGUCUCAAUCCUAUAUCUUUCCAUUCAAAGACAGAAAAACUCAAAAGCAUCACUCUCUUGGUGCUUUUAAAAGUAUUCUAGCUCAACUCUCUCUCUCUCUCUCUCUCUCUCUCUCUCUCUCUCUCUCUCUCUAUAUAUAUAUAUAUAUAUAUAUAUAUAUAUAUAUAUGAGCUAGGCUCCUAUGUUUUUGAAAGUACGGAGGCCUUCAUUCUUAUAAGUUGUUUUCAAUGAUGGGACAUCCGAUUCGGUGAUCGGUUCCGUCAAACUUGAUCCAUGCUAUUGGAACUAUUUAGAAACUAAAUUUCAUAAUUUUUUGACUUCGUUUGUCUAGUGAACGAGUAGUCUCAAAAUGAACGGCCGAAAAUAAAAAUCUCAUAAAAAAUAGUGAUAAAGGACUCAAAUUUCAAAUCGGAAGUAUUAAUCUUGCUAUUGAUGUUAAGUAGAAUUUUUUAUUAAAUUUUUAUGUAAUUUGGAUACUUCUACACCGUUGAACUUAAAAACAUGCCACAUCGGCCGUUAAAAUAGCCAUUUUUUGGACUUUUUGAUCGCUUGGUAAAUGAUGUCAAAAAAUUAUAAAAUUUGAUUUCUAAAUAGUUCUAAUAAGGUAGAUUACAUUUAACGGAGCCGAUCGUCGAAUCGGAUGUCCUAUCAUCGAAAACAAUAAACACGGAGGUCUCCGUACUUUCGAAAGUACAGGAGACGUACUCAUAUAUAUAUAUAUAUAUAUAUAUAUAUAGAGAGAGAGAGAGAGAGAGAGAGAGAGAGAGAGAGAGAGAGAGAGUUGAGCUAGAAUACUUUUAAAAGCACCAAGAGAGUGAUGCUUUUGAGUUUUUCUGUCUUUGAAUGGAAAGAUAUAGGAUUGAGACGAUGGUAGUAGGUGGUGGUAGGCGGAAUAGUGUUUGAUCCAACAAACUAUAUAAUAACAGGAGUAUGACCAAUGGUAGAAUACUGAAAGCACCAGCGGCAUUGUGUCUUCUAAAACAUCUCUAACUCAAGUUAAUAACUAAUAUAUAUAUAUAUCAUAGAGUGACGUUUGGUAUGCUUCUGAAGCACGAGCGCUCCGGCUUCCAAGUCUUGGUUUUCGAUGUUCGGACUUUCAAAUCGAAUGAUCGACUCCGUUAGACUUAUCUAGAGUAUUUGAAGUAUCUAGAAAUAAUUUUGCCGGAUUUUCGAUAUUAUUUGCUAAGUGCAUUCGAAGUGGCUUCAAAUCAAAGGCUGAAAAUAAAAAUCUUAACAACAAAUAUUGAAUGAUAUGACAUUAAAAUUUUAGCAUCAACAGUUACCUUGAUCUGGUUUUAUACGGUAUAAAGAACUAUUUCUAUCAAAAUAUUCAUUGUAACUUUGGAUAUUUCUACACCGUUAAAUCUGCAAACGGCUUACCACGCCAUGUAAAAAUUAUUGGUAUUUGAGCCCCCUUCGAUCACUAGGGCAAAGAUCAUCGAAAAUCGCAAAAUUUAUUUUCUAAGUAUCACAAUACUCUAGAUCAAGCUUCUAACGGAGCCGAUCAUCGACUUCGACAAGUCCCGAACAUAAAAACGACUUGAAAGCACGGAGGCCUCCCUGCUUCCAUAACAUGCUAGCCAAGUCUCUCUCUCUCUCCUCUCCUCUCUCUUCUCUCUCUCCUCUCUCUCAUUCCAUCUCUCUCUUAUCUAUAUAUUAUACUAUAGUACCCCUCAGAGGGUCGGCUACUAUAACCACACUAUUAUGUAGUACCGAGCAUCCCCCCCCCUCCUCCCCACUCCCCCCAGUACCUCAUAAGAUUAUUUUCGACUCGAUACAGACACUUCAACACUCCGACGAUCCCACACGCGUCAACCGUAAUAUCUAGAGGCUUUGCAACAUCUAGAAAUCAAAUUUCAUAAUUUUUAAGCGUCAUUUACUACGAUAAAAACUUACAAAUUGAACAAUUUUUACGCCGGUAUAAGAAUUACUUGCUAGAUUUAACGUGCACUUAAAGACUCCGAACUAAAUUUGAAUUUUUGAUAGAAAUGUACUAUAAACUAGCCUAGAUACAGAUAAUAAUCCGUCUUAAAUUGACCGGAUCCCGCUCAUCCCAUCCUUUCAUCAACACAUCCAGAAUCAGACAUAUAUAUAACAAAUAUAAUAAUAUAUAAUAUCAAACAACCCUAUGAUGACUUUAUUAUGAUUUCGAAAAAUUACGAGUAAUUUUAUUUUCAUAUAAGUUUCAAAUACUACUAAGAUAUCCUUCCCUAACGGAGUGGUCGUCGGAUUCGGAAAGCAUCCAUCAUCGAACAACAACUAUAUGAGUACGAAGGGCCUAAUAUUUAUAAUAAGUAACCGUACGUCCCUUACGGUGAGUGAGGAUAUCAAUAAAUACUCACAUAUUACUAAUAAAAUACAUCAUAUAAUAAUAUUAAUAGUAUAAUAUUACUAACUAGUAUAUUUUUACUUUGCUUAAACUGCUAGCUUUACGUAAUUAAUAUUAAGAUUAAACAUAAUAUCAGUUGUGAAAAACUAAAAAGAUGAAACAUAAUAAGAAUUAACGAGUAAGGUUAAGGGCUAUUCUGGUUUCGACAUAAAAUUUAGUGAAGAAAAAAAAGUUUCUCGGGUGGAAAAUCUUUUUUUUUUACGCUAGUUUAGACCUGUCUUGAUUUGGUAGGAAAAGAACAAUUAGUGUUAUGCAAUGCACAUAGAUUGUUUGGUUUGAGACGAUAAAAGACCCCAAAGUAGAUGAAAGAACCUACAUUUAAUCCAUAUUUUCUCUAUCGUAUAUAUAGUCUAUUACUUAUCCCCAUCUAACCCCUUAAACAUACUACUAUAUACUAUAUUCAUUCAUUAUAAUUUUAUAUAUACGACUUAAACUAAUUAAAACUUAUAAUUAUAUUAUAUAAAUAUAUAAAUUAUAUAUUCCAUUUGAAAAAUAUUAGAUAACCAAUCAGUACAAAUUAAAGGAGUGAAUACCUAUUAAUAACAUAAUGAGUAUACGGCCUCAUCGCAACUUAAGGCUAGGGCUACUACUUCCAUUAAUCCCAGGAUAAGGUAAGGCAUCUGUCCUUAAUACAAAUCUGCUGUCUUGCAUGAGUAGAGAUGUUACGACAAUCGGAUCGCAUCUGUGAGCUCGUUGAACGUUCGGAGUUUGACGUAUUGUGAAAUAUCUUAGAACUAACAUUUUGGGUCAUAAAAUUUUAAAAAUUAUUUACAUGGUGACUCAAAGUGUCGUAAAUACGAGCAACGUUUUAUGAGGGCCUCAAUGAGCCGUUUGCUUGUUUAAAUGACUCAUAACCGCAAGCAAUUACAAAGUUGUUUGCAAUUUUACCCAACUCAAGCAAAACAGAUUCUUUAUACUAGUAUUAGCAUGCACUCCCCACGUGCAUCCAGUUUUUACAGGUCAAUUUAUACCAAAUAAACUUUUGCUUCAUACUGUUCCCCUGAACAGCCCUAGCCCGCGUGAUUUGAUAACUCUAAUUAUAAAUUGAAAAAGUCUAACCUCUAUUUUAAGAAGGUUAUUCAUUUACGACCGUUCAUUUUUUAACUCUUAAGAUGAACUUGAUAAUGAUUUUUAAAUAUUACAAAAUUUGGUUUCUAAAUAUUUCUAAUUGUGUAGAUCAAUUUCAACGGUGCCGAUUAUCAAUUUGAAGUUCUGAUUAUUCAAAUCGACUUGAUAGGACAAUGUCCUCGAUCCUAUUAAUAGGAUAGUAGAUGGACUCUCUCUCUCUCUCUCUCUCUCUCUAUAUAUAUAUAUAUAUAAAAUUUUUCAACGGAAAAAAAAAAUUUUGGGAGCAAUUUUACAGCGAUCCAAACACACCAGUGUAAUCUUUUUAAACUACGAAAUGAUAAAAUAAAAAUAAAAAUCCUUUUUUUUAAAAAAAAGAAACAAAAAAGGUUCAUAUUGACCACACAUUAGCUCAUGUGAUGAAUAAUAAAAUCUUUAACAGUGCAACUAAGCAUGCUGCAUGCAUAUGUGUUAUAUAUACUUUACUUAUUUUAUAAAGAAAUUAUAUAUUUCUAUUAUUUUUAAGAAUAUUAUUCGUAUAAAUUAUAUAAAAUGAACAUAAUAAUAACAAAAUCCUUAUGGAAAAGUGCUUUUUGCAUUAGUUUAAAAUUUCGAGUGAUAAGAAAAUAAAAAAGAAAAAUAGGUAUUUGCAUAAAAAAAAAGGGCAUUCAUCGUGCUCUAAGUUGGUUCGGGUAUAAGAAAGAACUAGCUAUUACAGGGAUAGAUACAAGUAUGGUGUGACGCCCCAACUUUCCAGGGGAUCAUCCAUUUUAGGACUACUCCCGUCCGAGCACGCUUAACUCUCAUAACCUCUUGGGUCUUGCCACCACCCAAAAUGCUUAAGCCGGGUUAAGAGUUUAGCCCUAUUAUAUCUCAUAUAUAGGACUAUCUGGGGUCUCACAUAUGGGGAUAAGAAAAAUAACGUUUGGAUGAAAAUUGGAUAGUUUCCGGAGAUAAAAAAAAUAUUAGGUAGUUUUAUAUAGAAAAUGGAGGUGUUGGUGGGGAUAACCGAGAACUACUAUUCUCGGAUAAAAAAUUAGCGUUUGGAUAUAAAGAAGUGAAUAAGGGGUCUAUUUCUAUUCCUAUCCCCUAACCAAACACUGCUUUAACAGUUUAAGUUUUACCGUGUUGAUGCGGCGGAGGACGGAGUUGACAUCCCCGCCGCCGAACACGUCGAUGGCUUGGCCGAAGAUGACGGUCAUGAGCGGCUGCGAGACGCCGUUGGCCACCGCCGCCGCCGCCCCGACCGCCAUCAGCACGCUGUCCGCCGCGUCCGCGAACGCCAGCAGCCGGUGCACCCCCACCUUCUUCACCUCCUCCUCCUUCCCUCCAUUCUCUCUCUCUCCUCUCCCCUCCAUCUCCAUCUCUCUCUCUCUCUCUCGCUCUCUCUCUCUAAGCUCUUCUUUCUCUUUCUCUCUCUCCCUCUAAGCUACUCUUCUUCUUCUUCUUCUUCCUGAUUUAUGGGGAUUUGUUUGUUGGGAGGGGGAGUUUGAAAAUAUGAGAUCGUGGCCAUUUCAACUAAAAAAUAUAUAUAUAUGUAUGUGUUUUAGUUGUAGGAGAGAGAGAGAGAGAGAGAGAGAGAGAGAGAGAGAGAGAGAGAGAGAGAGAGGGGUCCAUGAUCUUGGGGGGAAUAUUUCUGUUUGUUUAAUUCGUGGAAGAUGAAAUUCAGGUGAAGUGAUCUUACUGGUUGGUAGAUUAAAAUUUAGAUAAGGAUUAUUUUAUUUUUUGUAUUGUUUACUUAAUUAUAUUGAUGUGAAAAUGAAGGAUUUUUUAGUUCUGGUAUUUGUUUGGCCGGCGGUGAGGAAAAGUUGAAGGAAAUUCUUUCGGUUUUAGUAUUUGUCUGGCAAAAAGAGUUAGUAAACCUGAAGGAAACUGGAGUGUUUUCAAUUCUGUUAUUUGUUUGGUGAAGUUUUUUCUGUCUGCUGUUUGUUUGGCAAACAGUAAGUAAAAGCUGAAGGAAACUGAAAAUUGUUUUUUCAGUCGUGCUGUUUUGUUUGACGGAAAGUGAGUAAAAAUUAAAAAAAAAAAAUUAAAAUUUUUUCAGUUCUGCUGUUUGUUUGGCAGAAAGUGAAUAACGUCAAAACUAAAGAUUUGAAUAAUAAGUUCAUAUUUUAUUGUUAUUGUUAUUAUUAUUUGCCACCGAUUUCAGUCUAGAAUGUAAUGAAAUCAAUUACACUAUUUUAGGAGUUUGUCUAAAAAAGUUGUGAUAAACAAAACAACAAAAGUGGACAUUGAGCUCUUUAAACGCCUCUCACCCUAAAAUCCCUUAAUUUUUAGUCAUCCUAAAUUAUCUCGCAGAUAAAAUAUAUUAUUAUAUUAAAAAUGUGAAUAUCAAAAUUUUUUCAUAUAAAAAAAUUGAAAUUAUUAAUUUUAAAUUACAAGAGAAUUUUCAUACCGAAUGAGUUAUUUAUGAAUAUCUUAGCCAUCUGAACUUUGAAAGCUUUGAAGUACUGCAUGAACUUUUUUCAAAAGAUUGCAAUCAUCUGAAGUUUACAAAAUUAAAAUAUAUUAAAUAAUCUCUUAAUUUAUUUCAAUUAACCUUUGUUUUUACUUUUUAUGACAUUUUGUGACUAAUUUUAAAAAAAAUAUUUGAUGUCUCCAUUAGUGUCAAUUAUUAAGAUAGAUUAGUAAAAUUUAGCUUAGAUAUAAAUCAUUUGAUGGCUAAUUGAAAAAGUUUUUUUUUUUUUUUUUUACUAGUUAUUGAGAAACGUCUAAUAGUAGGACCAUAAAUGCGUUUGCUGGCUCACGUGAUCUAUGCUGUGUUUUGCUCAAAUUGAGACUCUCUCAAAACUAACGAUUCGAGCACAAGCUUAAUCUCAAAUUCUCAGCUUACAUGAUUUUGAAGCAUACAAUGGUUUUAGACCAAAAUGAAAACUUGCUAUGAACAGUUCGGGGACUAUAGUGCAAUUUACUGUAACAUAAUAGUACAAUCACGUGAAAAAUUCCCCCCAAAAAAUAAUAAUUAAUACUAUCGCAAUAAUAAUGCAAAUUAAGUGUAAAACAAGAGUGCUCCUCAAUAAAUUGAAAAUAACAUAUAUAUUAUAUAUAUAUAUAUAUUAUAUUAUAUAUUGAGUGUUGGCCUGUACUAUGCUAUCAAAGCCGGAGCCUUCCGUGCUUACAGCUCGUUUUCGAUGUUGCGCCUUUCGAAUCGUCGAUCAGCUCCGUUUAAACUUGGAUCUAGAGUAUCUGAAGUACCUAGAAAAUAAAUUUUAUGAAUUGUUUACGAUAGUCAUUUGCCUAGUGAACGGCGGAAGGGGCUUAAAAUCAACGGCAAGAAGAAUAAAAAUCUCAAAAUGUGAUAUAUAUAAUAUUAAAUUUUAUAAAUUACAAAGAUAUUUGUUCAUUUUUUAUAUCAUGUAUACCAGAAUUUUCUAACAAAAUUUCACGAUGAUUUCGGAUAUUUACUACAACCGUUAAAGGCUUGCACACGCUCCUAUGACAUUGAAAUUUGUUGAUUUUGAGCCCAUUCGAUACUAGGCAAAUAUAUCACGGAAAAUAGAAUAAAAUUUAUUUUCUAGGUAUUCAAAUACUCUAGAUCAAUUUAAGAGCCGAUCGACGAUUCGAAACAGUCGAUAUCGAAAACGAGCUGAAAGCACGAAAGGCUCCGUGCCUCGAUAGGCAUAGUAGCCUCAACUCUAAUAAUAUUAUAUAUAUAUAUAUAUAUUAUAGAUAUAUAUAUAUAUAUAUAUAUAGUAUAAUAUAAUAAUAGCUAUAGCCGAAGUUCCCUUUAUAAGCACUUUUAAAAUCUCCCUCUUUUUCAAUGUGGAGAGAUACUUAGAAUUUUUUUUUGCCAUGCACACAAAUUUGUUGCCUCACGUUGUAGCAUAGCAUAUUGCAUAUAUAUAUAUAUAUAUCAAUUCAACCCGAUCCUUCUAAAGCAAAAUCUUGCGUAAAAAGUUGUACACUCACCUUAUCCCGACGACAUGCGAAGCUCGACGAGCGAAGCGUAGACUCCGUCCUUCAAUCCCAUUAGUUUUUCGUGCUUUCCUUUCUCGACGAUCAUACCAUUCUUCAGAACUGCGAUCAUAUCAGCUCCUUUUAUCGUAGAUAGCCUGUGCGCCACGACCACUGUCGUUCGCCCGACCAUUACCCUAUCUAGUGCUUCUUGAACCACAUGCUCGGACUCCGCAUCCAGCGCGCUCGUGGCCUCGUCGAGCAGAAGCACUCUCGGGUCCUUCAGAAUGGCCCUCGCGAUGGCUAUUCUUUGCUUCUGGCCGCCCGACAGUUGAAUGCCUCUCUCUCCGACAGGCGUGUCGUAUCCGUCAGGCAAUGCCGACACGAAUUGGUGCGCGUUGGCCGCCUUGGCUACUCUGACGAUAUCUUCCUCCGUGGCCUCGCCCUCUUUUCCGUAGGCUAUAUUGGCGCGAAUUGUGUCGUUGAACAGCACGGGCUCUUGGCUCACCAGCCCCAUCUGCUGCCUCAGCCAACUUACUCUCAGCGUCUCGAUUUCGACCCCGUCGAACAAGAUCUUACCCGAAUCGGGAUCAUAGAACCUCUCCAGUAGCGAGAUCACCGUCGAUUUUCCGCUGCCGCUCUCUCCGACGAGCGCGACGGUCUAUCGGACCAAUAGCAAGCAUGAAUUAGUAACAUCAUCUCCAUGCAAUAGUUUCAUAACAAUAACACAGAGAUUUGCACACAAGUAAAUCCCUGCUAAAUUAUCUUAUCUAUUUACAAAAUCAAAUCAUUUUCCGACUUUAGAAAUGCAAUUUUCGUAAGAAGCUGCACUUUCUGAAGGGUAUAUAUUGAAAAUUCAGAUUUUGUAAGGGUAUAUAUAUAAAGCGAGAGAAAGAGUCUUGCUAUUAUAGUUUUAUGAGUAUAAUCGAUUUCGUACGUAUAAGUAGUUUUUAUUGACAGAGCAUUUCAAUCGAUGGUCCGUACUGCUAAACAUGAUUUAGAACAUUUGAAACUUCUAGAAAUCAAAUUUCAUAAUUUUUUGAUAUUAUUUACCUUAAAAUCAAAGAUUCAAAUUGACGAGUUUUAAUGGUUGGUAUAAGAUACUUACUAGUUUAACGGUGUAAAAGAAUUGAAAUCGGUUGAAAUUUUAAAAGAAAAUUUUAUUCACUGUCUAGAUAAAAAUAAAUAACUCCGGUCUUAAAAUUGAAGAAUCUGAUUCUUUAUUCUUAGGAAAUCGUUCGAUUUUCACCAUUUAUUUUGAAGCUUGUUUGAAGGAUUUCAUUAUAAUUUUAAAAAAUUAUAAAAUUUGAUUUCUAAAAGUUUUAAAUACUCUAAAUUAUGUUUGACGAUUUGGAUCGUCGAUUCAGAAGCUCUAUCAUCGAAAACAACUUAUGAGCAUGAAGGACUUUGUACUCACUAUAGUAUCCCUAUUAUAUAUGUGUGUGUAUGUGUAAAUAGAUGAUUUUGCAUGAAUAUGUAUAAACAUAAAAGCCCCAAACAUCAAAUUAAGUGAUGCAUCAGAAUGGCUACCUUUCCAGAGUGAAUUGUCAAGGAGAAGUCUGUAAAAAUUGGAAUAUUCGGACGGGACGGGUACUUGAAGGCGACAUGCUGAAAUUCGAUGUCUCCUUUAACAUUUGCUAAGACCACACCCUCCUCGCUGCUCGAAUCGACCUUGGAUUUCCGAUCGAUGAUUCCGAAUAUUGAAGCAGUCGACUCCUUGGCCUUGGCAGAAUCUGCGCCUAACGCACUCGUCUGCGAGAUUCCCAUAGUAGCCAGAACUAGAGCGAAGAAGACCUGCAGAUCAACGGUAGAAGCAAGAGCUUCAGUAGAAGUGCUGUUUGGUAAAGCAGUAACAUACAGCGGAAGCAAAAGCUGUUACAGAAGCCAAGCCAAAUAGACUUGUAAGCAUGCAAGUUCGAAGANUUUUUUUUUUUUUUUUUUUUUUUUUUUUUACUUUGGAAAGUCUAAUUGUCUGAGCAUAAAUCGCAUUUGCUGCUCAUGAACUAGCUCAUGUUUUGCUCAAAAUUGGGUCGAAUCAAUUCGCUUUUUUAAUUAACAAGCCGAUCGCAAGCUCAUUUUUUCAGCUCGAAAAAUAAACAAACAAAUCGAUCUCAAUUCCUUUAUAAUGAUUUUGAAGCAACAUGUUUUUAGGACCAAAAUGAAACUUUCGCGAAAGUUCAGGGACUAGUAGUGCAAUUUACUGUAACAUAAUAGUAUAAUACACGUGAAAAAUUCCCCCCCAAAAAUAAUAAUAAUACUCAAUAAUAAUGCAAAUGAAGUGUACAACACAAGAGUGCUCCUCAAUAAAUAAAUAUGCAUGAUAUAUAUUAAUUCCCUUUACAAGCACUUUUAAAAUCUCCCUCCUCUUUUUCAAUGUGGAGAGAUACUUAGAAUUUUUUUUUUGCCAUGCACACAAAUUUGUAGCAUAGCAUAUUGCAUAUAAUAUAUCAAUUCAACCCGAUCCUUCUAAAGCAAAAUCUUGCGUAAAAAGUUGUACACUCACCUUAUCCCGACGACAUGCGUAGCUCGACGAGCGAAGCGUAGACUCCGUCCUUCAAUCCCAUUAGUUUUUCGUGCUUUCCUUUCUCGACGAUCAUACCGUUCUUCAGAACUGCGAUCAUAUCAGCUCCUUUUAUCGUAGAUAGCCUGUGCGCCACGACCACUGUCGUUCGCCCGACCAUUACCCUAUCUAGUGCUUCUUGAACCACAUGCUCGGACUCCGCAUCCAGCGCGCUCGUGGCCUCGUCGAGCAGAAGCACUCUCGGGUCCUUCAGAAUGGCCCUUGCGAUGGCUAUUCUUUGCUUCUGGCCGCCCGACAGUUGAAUGCCUCUCUCUCCGACCGGCGUGUCGUAUCCGUCGGGCAGUGCCGACACGAAUUGGUGCGCGUUGGCCGCCUUGGCUACUCUGAUGAUAUCUUCCUCCGUGGCCUCGCCCUCUUUCCCGUACGCUAUAUUGGCGCGAAUUGUGUCGUUGAACAGCACGGGCUCUUGGCUCACCAGCCCCAUCUGCUGCCUCAGCCAACUUACUCUCAGCGUCUCGAUUUCAACCCCGUCGAACAAGAUCUUACCCGAAUCGGGAUCGUAGAACCUCUCCAGUAGUGAGAUCACCGUCGAUUUUCCGCUGCCGCUCUCUCCGACGAGCGCGACGGUCUAUCGGACCAAUAGCAAACAAGAAUUAGUAACACCAUCUCUAUGCAAUAGUUUCAUAACAAUAACAAAAAGAGACUUGCACACAAGUAAAUCCCUGCUAAAUUAUCUAUUUACAAAAUCAAAUCGUUUUCCGACUUUAGAAAUGUAAUUUUCGUAAGAAGCUGCACUUUCUAAAGGGUAUGUAUGACAAUUCAUAUUUUGUAUAGAGAGAAAGUCUGGUUACUAUACUUUUAUGAGUAUAAUUGAUUUCGUACGUAAAUGUAGUUUUUAUUGACAGAGCUUUUCAAUCGACGAUCCGUACUGGUAAACAUAAUUUAGAACAUUUGAAAUUUCUAGAAACUAAAUUUCAUAAUUUUUUGACAUUAUUUACCUUACGAUCAAAGAUCCAAAAUUGACGACUUUUAACGGUCAGUAUAGAUGCUUAGUAGUUUAACGGUGUAAAAGAAUUGAAAUCGGUUGACUUUCUGAUAGAAAACUCUAUUCACUGUCUAGAUAAAAAUAAAUAACCCCGAUUUUAAAAUUGAAGAAUCUGAUUCUCUAUUUUUAGGAAAUCGUUCGAUUUUCACUGUUUAUUUUAUGCUCGUUUGAACGAUUUCAUUAUAAUUUUAAGAAAUUAUGAAAUUUGAUUUCUAAAAAUUUUAAUUACUCUAGAUUAUGUUUAACGAUUUGGAUCGUCGAUUCAGAAGCUUUAUUAUCGAAAACAACUUAUGAGUAUGAAGGACUCUAUAUUUAGUAUAGUAUCCCUACUAUAUAUGUGUGUAUGUGUAAAUAGAUGAUUUUGCAUGAAUAUGUAUAAACAUAAAAGCCCCUAACAUAAAAUUAAGUGAUGCAUCAAAAUGGCUACCUUUCCAGAGUGAAUUGUCAAGGAGAAGUCUGUAAAAAUUGGAAUGUUCGGACGGGACGGGUACUUGAAGGCGACAUGCUGAAAUUCGAUGUCUCCUUUAACAUUUGCUAAGACCACACCCUCCUCGCUGCUCGAAUCGACCUUGGAUUUCCGAUCGAUGAUUCCGAAUAUUGAAGCAGUCGACUCCUUGGCCUUGGCGGAAUCUGCGCCUAACGCACUCGUCUGCGAGAUUCCCAUAGUAGCCAGAACUAGUGCGAAGAAGACCUGCAGAUCAACGGUGGAAGCAAGAGCUUCAGUAGAAGUGCUGUUUGGUAAAGCAGUAACAUACGGCGGAAGCAAAAGCUGUUACAGAAGCCAAGCCAAAUAGACUUGUAAGCAUGCAAGUUCGAAGAUGAGGCGUUGUGUUCUCACCCUGAAGACAUCUGAAAAAGUGGCCUUGCCGUCAUGCACAAAUCGUGCUCCAACGUAGAAACAAAGCGCGUACGUCAGGUAGAGAGUUAAGAACGAGAACCCGAAGCCGGAGCCGCUUAUAAGCCCCUGUCGCACUCCUUGUUUCACCGGCGCUUCGCAUUUCUUGUUGUAGGUUUCCAACACUCUUUGCUCGGCGGAGAAAGAUGCCACGGUUCGUAUGCCGCUCACGGCGUCGUUCGCCACCUGGCUUGCUUCCUCAUACAUCACCUACAACAGAACUUGAAAAAUCAGAUUCUCUGUGAUUAUAAAAGACUUGAAUUUUUGGUCUCAAUUGCUGCAACUACUGUUUCAGUUAUUGGUUUAGAAAGUGUUCAAGAGUUUCGAAGAGACAAAAUCGUAUAUAGAGAAAUCAAUAUUGUCAUAAGACACUAAUUUCGCACCGUAAGCUACUUUCGACCAAUUUCUAAUCUAUUUUCCGAGAGUAUUUUUAGGCAUAUCCUAGAAGAUCUCCUGAAAUACCGCUGAUGAGUGAUUCAAUUACAAAUGAGAAAACCGUUCGUCAACAACCGCACUUGAUGGGAUCUUUCAGGGUCCCCUAAGCGCUUCUCAUUUUCUAAAAUUAAGCCCUUGUUUAGACCCAUACUAGCCGAAAUGCUUCGGCUUGGAUUGGUUUGGAACCCUAGCGGUUGAUCGACGACAACUAUCGAAGAAGCAUAGACAUUUGAAUUUAACAUUACCUUAGCAUCUGCACUAUACCCCUUCAUAAACUUUAUCUGUGCAUAACCUUGGAAACCAACCAAAGGGAUCACCACUGUGAUAAUAAGUGCUAGCCUCCAACUCGCGACCAUUGCUACGAUAAACCCUGUGAGAAGCGUCGAAAGGCAUUGAACCAUCAAAGCCAGCGUAUCCCCCAGAAGUCGCCGAACAUUCGCAGCAUCAACCGAUAGCCUCGCGCCAAUCGCCCCACUACAAGAAAAGAAGAACAAAAGAAGUUUUUAAGCACGGUGCAAAACUCCCGAGAACAUUCGGAAACUAAGAUGAUGGUAUUGCUAUGCUUUAGUAGACCUGGAAUUGCGAGGCUCGUCGAACCAGGUGAUUUCUUGGUGGACGAUUCUUUGAAACGACAUGGAACGGAUGCGUUCUAUGAGCCUCCCGCCUGCUACUCCGAACAAGAAAUACUCGAUCGGUAUCGUGAACAACGCGACUAUGCCCAACACGACAUACAUCAAUGACCAAAAGUUUGAAUCCUUUCGCUGUUGAUCCGGCUUUUCGAAGAAUAUCUUUAUAGAGAUCGACAGUAAAAUGCCAAACAUCGGGAAGAGGACUCCGUGUAUUGCUGCGGCUAUCGAUCCUACGAGCAGAACCGGAAUUUCCGGCUUGUUGAGAGAGAUCAAUCUUGUGAUAGGAACUUCUUUAGGAGCCUCAUCAUCACCAGCAACUUCUUUAUCUUCUGCUUCAUCUUGAGGUCCAGCCUCAACUUCCAUCGGACCGGUUAAGCCGAAGGGAAUGGUGAAAGAACGCCUGCUGCUACUGCCGAUCGAGGAACCUCGACUAGCCGAUCUUUUGAAUGAUAUGCUCCUCUUCGAUUUGCUCAGCGAUUUCGACUCGUGGCUCAAACUACGCAUCGCGGAGUCACCGACGUGUUCUUUUGUUUCCUUGUGAGUUUCUUGCAAAUGGAUGAGUUGGGAAUAAGCGCCAUCGGGGUUCCUUAUCAACUCGUCGUGACAACCUGCAUUUUUAGCAAUUUGCUUAGAAUCUAUUAACAUAGUUUCUAAAGUAGGUAGUAAACUAAACAAAUAACUAACUUUACGGACGAAAUUGUUAAAAUUGAAAGGAAUAGAGAGCGCCCUCGAAAGGAAGUGAUUGUAAUGAGCAAGAUGAAAAAAACCUUGUUCCACUAUCUUUCCCUGAUGCACGACGGAUAUUGCAUCCGCAUUCCUCACGGUGCUUAGGCGAUGAGCGACGACGAUGGUCGUUCUCUCGAGCAUGACCCUAUUGAGUGCCUCUUGAACUACUCUCUCGGACUCCACAUCUAGCGCGCUCGUCGCCUCAUCAAGCAACAAGAUCUUCGGGUCCUUCAGAAUCGCCCUCGCGAUCGCAAUCCUUUGCUUCUGUCCUCCCGAAAGUUGCGCCCCGCGCUCACCGACCAUCGUAUCAAGACCCUAAAAACAUAAUCAAAAGAAUAUAAACUCAUCAGAAAACUAAAAAACAAUGAUCAAAUUAUCUACAAUAUCUGCAAAAUUGUGCAAACUACUUUGCAGCUGUCGUAUUUGCGCACAAAAGUUCGCCUGAAACCUUGCUUACAUGUAUGCAAAAAAAAUAGUCUUUGCAUAUAAAUAGUGUUUUCAGGUACACACGCAAAUACCAACUUCAUAUUAUUCACACAAUUUGACACAUUUUCGGAGGUAUAUAUGUACUGAAACCUUCUUGCAGUCCUUACAUUGGGCAACUUGUCGAUGAAAUUUGCCGCAUUCGCAAGCUCGGUCGCUCUCUUGAUCUCUUCGAGUGUCGCGUUCGUUUUACCGUAUGUUAUGUUCUCUUUGAUGGUUGUCGUAAACAACAACGGUUCUUGGCUAACAAGUCCAAUCUUUUCUCUUAUCCAACUAAGCCUCAAACUCUUUAUGUUAACUCCGUCUAUCAAAACUUCACCUGCUUGCGGAUCGUAGAACCUCUCCACUAGGUUUAUAACAGUUGAUUUUCCACUGCCGCUCUCUCCGACGAUAGCCAUCGUCGUACCGCUCGACACUUUCAACGAGAAUCCGUUGAAUAUAAGGUAGUCGGGCCGAGUAGGGUAGCUGAAGUAGACAUCUUGGAGCUCGACAUCGCCCUUCAUGUCUUCUAACACGAUGCCACUCGUGUUGUAUGCGUCAAUCUCUGGCUUCCGUUUGAUUGUUUCGAACAUUCUGUAAGCUGCAGCUUGUCCUUCAGCAAAGGCAGUCACACAUGGGGUUGCCUGACCUAAAGACCUGCAAAGGAAAAUCAAAAUUCAACUCAAAAGUAGCAACUAAAACUUAGUAUGUGAAAAAUCAUUUCAUCAUAGAGCUAGAUAUGUGAUUGAAUAGUAAUUCGAUCUCCAUAGCAAUUUACUCUUUUGAGAUAUAUAUAUAUAUAUAUAUAUAUAUAUAUAUGUGUGUGUGUGUGUGUGUGUGUGUGUGUGUGUGUGUGUGUGUGUGUGUGUAAAAUCUUCUUUAUCCUUUAGUGCAUGGAUUAAUGAGGUGAAGUGAUAUUAACAUAUCUAUUUUUGAUAGCGGCAGAUCAUACAUAUCUAUUGAAUCUAGUCAGGUUCAGAAUGAAUGGUAAGCGAAUUCAAUGAAUUGAUCUGUCAAUAUCAAAAUCAGCUUUUCUAAGAGCAUCACCCCCUUUAGUAAACUUACAUCGCACCGGUCAUGACCGCGAACAAAACAUUGAUGACCAUUCCUCCGGUGUAGCCUUUGUUGAUGAUCAGCCUGGAACCGUACCACAUCGCCAGCGCGUAGCUGCAGAACAAGACCAGGAAAACAGUUCCCAUGCCCAGGCCAGAAGCAGUCCCUUCUUGGACAGCAGACAGGUAUGCAGUUCUGAUGAACUUGUUGUACAGAGCAAUAGCUUUCUUCUCACCAUUGAAGGAAGCAACCUUUCAUAUGUGAUAUAAUGGAAUUAGAGAAUAGUAGUUCACAAAAACAACAGGCUAUUUUUGUAUAGGCAUCCUAUUUAUGUGUAUAGAUAUAUAUCCCCGCAAAAUCAAAAGAAUCUUAUAUGCACUUAAAAUUCUAGGGGUUUGUUUGGCACUUCUAUUUCUGCUUUUAUCAUCAACAGUAAAUUCUGAUUGUUCGUUUGGUAAAAAUGUCAAAUAAGAUUAAAUUUUGCUACAAAAAUAGCAAUUGAGUAUAUUUUACUAUAGUGCUUCUCUUAAUAGCACUACUUAAGCAACACUUUAUCAAAUAGCAUUAUACCCUAUAACAGGAUCAAGCAGGCCCUUAGUUUUUAUAAUUUUGCCCUUGUACCUAGAAAAGUGGCCUUUACAAAACUGCAAAAAUAUUUAAUAUAUCUCUGGUUGACCAAAAUGCCCUUGUUAAUUUUCAAAAAUCCCUUCAGAUAUUUUGAGGUUAGAAGGUUAUUUUAGUAAUUUUACGAUAAAUUUGAAAUUUUUGAAUAAUGCUGAGGGUAAAUAAGCAGAAGCCCUUUUUUUUUUUGUUUUUCACAGAAGGAAAGCAAGGUUCUAUGUAAAGUAUGUGGAUUAUUUCUACUCACGGUUCUGAUCGACCCAAUUGUCUGCUCGACAACAUUUCCGGCCUCGCUGUACGUCGCUUGCCCGCGGCUCGUCAUUUUCGAGACGAACCACGACAUGGUCGCGCCGGCGAUGACCACUGGCGGAAUGCUCGACAACAUCACUAGAGAUAGAAGCCAUCCUUUUGUGAAUGCUAUAAUGAAUCCACCCAAGAAUGUUGCAACAAGUUGUAUGAACUUCCCUACCUGAAACCAAAACAAACAAACAAAAGGAAAUAAAAAAAAAAAAAGAAAAGACAUCUACAUUGUAUUAAACAUUUAAUAUGUCUCAUGAAAGGUAGGAAAAGUAACACAAACUCUUAUUUCCAAAGUAUAGUGAAGUGAUUGAUUGGAGAAAAGUGGUUACAAUGCAUUUUACAUACUUUUGUGGAGUGUUACAACUUUUUAUAUAUAACCCUCUUUGACCAUAAGAGCACAAUAUGUAAUUAUAUGAUCAAUUUAAAUAAUCUUUUAAUAUGAACCAAUGUGUCUAACAGAUGCCAAACCUAGUUUCAAAAAAGUAGAUAAUUUAUCCAACCAUCACCCGUUUUGAUCCGACUAUCCAGCCUUUAAAUAUUAAUUUUUGCUACCUAAUCUUCUAAUUUAUAUGAUUUGAGUCAAUUAAUAACUCUUUAACUUCAAAAUUUGUAUGUAUCGUUUAUUCUUACAGGUCUGAUUUUAACAUAUUUUAUGCAAUUCAUGCGACUAUAAAUUCACUAAAGUAAGCAGUCAGCGUAAAAAUUUGCAUGGGAAGGGUUACAAAUAACAUAAACAAAUAGAAAAAUUGGUUACGAAAAUCAAAAUUUCAAAGACUAGGUAAGUUUUAUACAUUUUCACCUGAAAAAAACUUCCUUAAUUUCUUAUGUAUUGAAGUUGCAUAAAAAAGACUAAAGACAUGCAUGUAAUUGUUAAGGGAAAUGCUGCUCUUUUUGUUCUCUUUGUUGUGUAGCUAGGAGCAAGUCUUUGAAGUUUUUCGCACCUUUUCGCCGAUGGCAUCUUGAAUGAGUAUUGUGUCGCCGGACAUCCUCUCGACCACCUGCCCGGUCGUCAUCUCCUUGUCGAAGAACGCGAUGUCCUGCCUCAGUAUCGCCUUCAGGUACAGCCCUCGAAUCCGCGCCGCCUGUCUUUCUCCGGUGACCAUCCAACAUGCCACCUCUGAAACCAGUCAGUCAGUCAGAUUAUGAUUCAGUUAUCUAGACUUCUGAAACUGAGUUGGUACAGUUUUAUAACUGAUGAUUCUAGUGUGUUUAUAAGAUAACAAAUCUGAUGCAUAUAUGAUUGUGAUCUCAUUGAAGGAGAUGUUGAAAGUUAGAUGAUUAAAAUGUGCAUCAUUUUGCAUGAACCACAGGAAGUGCAUUUGUAAAAAUAAUUCAAUUUUUUGUCCCAUGAUAAUACGCUCCGAAGACCAAUAAUAAGUGAAAAUAUAAUAUAUGUUAAAUAUGUCUCGAAUUCUAGUACCAUAAGGUUUUCUAACCCUAUUCUAUUUUGAUUAUCCCAUUAAGUUAAGUUUAGAUUAUACCUAAUCUAAUUAAAAUAUUCCUAGUCUUAGUGGAUUUGUGUUCCUAAUCGUUUUAGGAUUUAUUCCAUUGAUUUGGUGCGGAAGAUGAGAGAGGGAAAAUUGAUGUAUUUUUGAGAUUAGGGUUUUGUGAGAGAGGCAUAUUUUGUAUACCACUUUGAUUAUAAUGAAGAUCUCAGCUCCGUCUUCACCCGUGAACGUAGGCCGGUGGCGGAACCACGUAAAUAUUAUGCGCUUUAUUUUUCUUCUCGUUCUCGAUUCUCUUUUGGUAAAUUUGCACCCGACGAACUAGAUCUUCUCGGUUUUAGCUCUAACGGUCCACAAUAGACCUAAUGGCAAGAGGGCCAACAAUAGACCUAACGUUCAGAUGGAUUGAGUCAGAUCGAAGCUCGUAAGCAUUGUGGUUGAGUCCUUAAGUUCGAUGAGUGUAUUAUUUCUAUUAGCACGUACUUUUAGAAUAGCUGGUUAGCGCUUACGAUCUAUAUUCAGCAGAUAUAUUUGAUCAUAAUCUCCAGAUAAUGUAUAUGAUCAUGAUCUCAUUGAAAGAAAUAUUCAGAAUUAGAUGAUUAAAAUGUGCAUCAUUUUGCUUGAACUACAGUGCGCGCAUUUAUAGAAAGAAACAAUAACAAUUGAGAAGAUGUUGUACCUUAAAACUGCGUUAAAAAUGCUAGAAUUGAACGAUAUCGCGAGUUCAUCGAUUAGUUAAAAGAAAAAAAAACAAACAAAUGAAGCACGGUUUAACGAAGGGAUUGAUUGAUUGAUACUUACGGAAGAACGAAGCAACCAUCGAUCCGAUCGCUAAAUACACAAAAUUUAGCACCACCUGAAAUAAGAUAAUGAGAUUAGUUUCUCAUUUACCAAAAUCAUUGAUAAAACUAAUAACUGCAACAAUCCUACAAAUCUAAGUAAAAAUACGCGGCGAUUAACAAAAGUGUAGCUUGCAAUUCACAAGCAUAUACCAAAUAAUGAAAAUAACACCACAAAAGAAUGAAUAUAAUAAUUCAGCAAACAAAACUUUCCUCCGAAAUUUAUUAAUUUCUUGAUUUGAAUAUGUAACGACCUGGCUCGCAAACAAUAAUAACUCAAUGGACCCAAACCAUCAAUCCAAAAUAUUAAAUUGUCCAUGGUCUCUUAUAUAUCCAAUUAUAACUCUAUUUCCAUCCGAUGCGGGACUAUUAGCGUGUCAUAGAUUAACAGUAAAAAUAUCACAAUUUCAAAUUCAAAAAACAAAAAGCAUAGUUAUUCUAAAUUUUACUAUUCGAGAGAAUGGAUCUCUUUAGCUUAUUUAAUUCAAAAUUUUGAGCUGUUUUUUAAACCCUGAUAUGGCUUGUUCACACAAAACCCAACCAAUGCCUUACUUUAUUUAUUUAUUUUUGUUGGGGUUGUGAUAAUAUCUACUAAUUAAUAAAGUAAUUAUUAUAUAAUAACAGCUCAUCUUGUUUGGAUGGAUCUAAAUCCCAUUUAUACCCAACCAAAGUCAAAGCAAAUAAACACCACAAUUUAGAGGUCCCUCGAUCCAAUUAAACAAAACAAAAAAAAAAAGGGCUCCAUGUUUCCUACUUAACAUAAUGUUGUUGAUACAAUGUACUUUUUUAUAUUCCAUGUUUCCUACUUAAGACAAUGUUCACAUUAAUUAUUAAUCACAUCUAACACCCCCUUGGUUUAGCACAAUUUUACUUUACCACAAUGCGGUUCAAAAAAUUACACUUAACUAUUCUAUGAUCUUUUUUUUGUUUUACCAUAAAAUCCUACCAUUAAACGUAGCUGUAAAUAAAAUAAUACUUUUUGCAAAUAAUAUGAUGGUAAUAUAUAAAUUAUAGGAUGGUUAAUGCUAUUUCGUACCGCUAUGUGGUUUUUUUUUUUUUUUUUUUUUUUUUUUUUUUUUUUUUUUUUUGAGGAAACAGGAAUAUACCCUAUUUGUAUAGAGAAUUUUAUUUUUAUUUUUGAAAAAAGAAUUCAAUUUACUACUAUGUUUCAUAGUAGGUACUUUAGACGAAACAACAAUAAAACUAUGGAGAGGUUAAGUGUAACUUCUUAAACCACGAGAUGAUAAGAUAAAAAUGCACUAAACCACAUAUGGGCAAAUUAAAGUGUACUUUAAAAAAAAAAAACUAAAGAAACACAAAAAAAAAGAGAGAAAAACCUUCAUAUUGAUCACAAAUUACUCAUACGAUGCAUAAACCUUAGUGCAACUAAGGCUCCGAAAAUAGCUUGAUUGUUUCCAUGCGUAACAUCACGUUCUGUAUAUAAGAAUAAGUCGGUUAUGAUAUAUUUUCUACUAUCUCGUGGAAAAAUAUAAAAAUAUAUUCCUAAUUUUAGAAACAAGUUAUACUCUGCCUCUCACCUAACCUGCUCAUUAAGAUCCUUCAUUGUCUUAUUCUUUUACUUGGAGUGCUUAAACACCAAUUUUUUUUUAAUUUUUUUAUUUUUUUAAAGGUUGUUGUUACCUAAACAUGUGUGAUUCUAUGGAGACUUGUAUUGUUGUGCUUCUCAUAUAAUUUUUGUCCAGUUGUAUAUGGUUGUGUUCAGUGUCUCUUUCUCAACAAGCCAACUAAUUAACUUGUCCUUAUAUCACUUUCAAAUUCAAUAAUUUUAAUUAUUUUUAGCAUAAAUUAAAUUAAAAUAACUAAUAUUUACUAGCUAAGAGCCUGGCUUGUGUGCUUUCAGAAGCACGGCGGACUCCGUACUAUCAAAUCAUUUUUUGAUACUGGGAAUUCAAAAUCGACAUUCGGCUCACUAUCUAGAAAAUAAAUUAUGUGAAUUUUAGAUACUAUUUACUUAGUGAUUGAAAAUGCUCAAAAUCAAUAGCUGAAAAUAAAAAUCUCAUAAAAAGUGAUGAUACGACACCAAAAUUUUGGAUCAAAGAUAUUAAUAUUAUUUUAUAUAGUAUAAAAAGCUUUUAUCAAAUUUUUAAGUUAUUUGGAUAUUUCUAUACUAUUAAAUUCGCAAACUGCUCAUUAUGACCAUUAAGAUUGUUACUUUUGGAUCGGUUUGAUCAUUAGGUAUAAAUGAUAAAGAAAAAUUGCGAAAUUUUUUUUUUAGAUACUUGAAAUACUCUAAAUCAAGUUUAAUAGAACUAAUCGUUGAUUCGAAAGUCUCGGCAUAAAAAAUAACUUAAUAAUAUGAAGGUCGCUGUAUUUCUAAAAGCACACAAGUCUACCUAAAUUGUUAAUAGUGUUAUGAAAAAUGAUAAUAUUUUUUACUUAAACCAACAAAAAUAUCUCAAAAUUUUUUUUUAAAAAAAUAAAAGUUACAUAGUAUCCAGCACCAACAUUCCUCUACAAUAUGCGCACGAGACUAUCCAGCCGCUUACAAAUCAUGGACCUAGAAAAAAAUAGCGAGUAGUCGAGGGGGCUCUCUGUAAAUUUAAACCCCUCAAUUUAAAUUCUAAAAAAAAAGAGCAAAUUCUAUUAUAGAUUUAUAGGCACGUUCUCACCUGCAUGCGUCGUGAUGACGCAUUGGAUGAUGUUAAAUUGUUAUCUAAUUGCAAAUUAAAUAGUAAUAAUAAUAAAGUUAAGGGACCUGUUUCUAAAUUGCGAAUAUUCAGGGGGUUCUCCAUAAAUUUCACCCCCCCAAUAUAAACUGGCGUCGUUACAUCUUACAUACAUUAUUUGUAAAAAAAAAAGAAAAGAAAAAAAGUAAAAUACUCUGCAGUAAAUUUUUUUAAAAAAGUAUGGUGUAAUGAAAUUAAGCCACUUAAAUUUAAAAAUAAAAAUAAAAAAAUGUAUGAAGGGCCCCCCAACUAUCGCCAAGUCUGAAAUGGGACCCUCAACUUUAGUUUUUUUUUUUCUUUUUAAUUUGAUACCAUUUUGUUCCACUCUCCUCUCUGAAACAAACUUGUUCCCAUAUAUUUAAGUCUAAUUUUGAUCAUUGUAUUAACUUCUUAAUUAAUCUAAUUAAUAUAUUUAAGUCUUUAUUUAUUAUUUAAAUAGUUAAAUAAUUAAAUAAUUAACGUGUUUAUCUAAUAACUAGUAUUUAUAUCAGCCAACUAAUUAAUAUUUUGACUAAUCAAAUUAAUUUCUUAAUUAAUCAUCUAAAUAAUUAAAUAAUUUACUAAUAAUUAAACAAAUUAAUAUAUAUAUAUAUAUAAUUAAUUAAUAUAUCUUUUAUUAUUAUUUAUUAAAUUAUUUUUCAUUAAUAUUUUGAUACUAAUUAAUUAAAUAAAAUAUUUUUAAUUUAAAAUUAUAAUUACUCUUAUUUCGGUUUAUUCUAAUCUAAUCAUUCAAACAUUAUUAUUUAUAUUAUUUUCGAAAACAAUUCAAUUUUCAUUCAAAUAAAAAUUUACUUAAAUUCUUGUUUAUAUCUGAAUUUAUAUAUAUUUUUAAAAUAAACAGUUCUUACUUAUAUCCGAACCAAAUGAAGCGUUGCAGGUUUUUAAGCAUUUACCUUGUUGACGCGGUGGAGGACGGAGUUGGCGUCGCCGCCGCCGAAGGCGUCGAUGACCUGGCCGAAGAUGACGGUCAUGAGCGGCUGCGAGACGCCGUUGGCCACCGCCGCCACCGCCCCGACCGCCAUCAGCAGGCCGUCCGCCGCGUCCGCGAACGCCAGCAGCCGGUGCACCCCCACCUUCUUCACCUCCUCCUUCUUCUCCUCCUCCUUCUUUACCUCCUCCUCCUUCUCCUUCCCAUUCUCUCUCUCUCCUCUCCCCUCCAUUAAUCUCUCUCUCUCUCUCUCUAAGCUCUUCUUUCUCGUUCUCUCUCUAAGCUACUCUUGUGUUGGAUAUAGUUUGGAGGCUAUUUAUGGCGAUUUGUAGGGGAGGAGAGAGAGAAUAUGAGAUCGUGGUCAUUUCAAUUAAAAUAGAAAAAACUUCACGGGUAAAUUUCAUAUAGAUCCUCUCGCAAACCUAAUGAAUUAUAAAUAUAUUAUUUCUACAGAGUUUAACUUUUUAUAUAUUGUUUCUGUAAAAAUUUUGAUGUUUUCAAAUAUGUCCCUGCUGCUAUGCCCCUCCAAAAACCAUAACAGUAAAAUAUAAGAGGAAAAAAAAUAUCAAAAACUAAACAGGAUUAAAUAUAUUAUUUCUACAGAGUUUAACUUUUUAUAUAUUGUUUCUGUAAAAAUUUUGAUGUUUUCAAAUAUGUCCCUGCUGCUAGAAUCCGUUAGAAAAAUUUAGUUAACCUAGGUUAAAUAUAUACUUAAUCCUGUUUAGUUUUUGAUAUUUUUUUUCCUCUUAUAUUUUACUGUUAUGGUUUUUGGAGGGGCAUAUUUGUGAUGGCGUAAUUGAAAAUAUAAAUAGUUCUUUAAUGGUUCUCUAAGAUAAUAAACCAGAGGAAUAUAUUUGAAAACAUCAGGACUUUUGUAAGAACAAUAUAUGAAAGUUGAACUUUGUAGUGAUAUUUGCAGGGACCUAUAUAAAACUAACCCAAACUUGGAAUGUCAUCCCUGUAGUUCAAUGCUUUCUUACUUCAGUAUCUUAUGAUUUAAACUGUAUCACUUUAUUAUUCUGUUAUUUUAUUUUUCUCUUUUUUAUUAUCACUUCCUUUAAUUUUUUUCGUUAAAUCAAUGGUAAAGUUAAAAUUAUAAGAUACCAAAAUAAAAAAUUUUGUAAACCACGCGAUACUAAAGUGAAUAUUCAAUAAGCCACAUGAGGUAUCUAAAGCUUUUUUUUUUUCUAUAUAUUUAUCAGAGAGUUAACAGAGAGAAAGAGAAAAAUGAAACCAUAAAGUAAUAAAGUGAGAAGUGCUAAACCACAGGGGAUAUAUUUGAAAAUUUUCCAUUAAAAUUUUUGUGUUUAGUAGUAGGGGAGUGAGAAAGAUUCGUGGAAAGAUAAAAUUGAGAAGAUAUAGUCUUGCUGGUAAAGUUUAGACAAAAAUUUUCUGAGUCUUGUUUUUUGUUUGGCGGAAAAUGAGAAAAAAUUGAAGGGAACUAAAGUUUUAUUUUCUUCAGUUCUACUGUUUGUUUGAUAGACAAUGAGUAAAAGUUGAAGGAAACUGAAGUUUUUUCAGUUUUGUUGUUUGUUUGGCAGACAGUGAGUAAAAGUUGAAGAAAACUGAAGUUUUUCAGUUCUGCUGCUUGUUUGACAGAAAGUGAGUAAAAGCAAAAAAGAAUAGAAAUUUUUUUAAUUAUGUUGUUCGUUUAGCAGAUAGCGAAUGAUAUAAAAACCGAAGAUGUGAGUAAUGAGUUAAUAUUUUAUUAUUUUAGUUUUAUUUUUAUUCAUUGAUUUCAGUAUAGAAUCGGACGAAAUCAAUUACGCUAUUUUGGUGAACUUGAGUUUUCGCCGAAAGUGAAGUUGCGAUAAACAAAAUAACAUAAGUGAACAUUGAGUUUGUUGUUUUUCCUUAAAAAAAAAUAAGUAAAAUAUAUAAUCUUACUAAAUUAUGAAUAUUAAAAAAAAAUUUUAAAAAAAAUAAAAUUAUUAACUUUUAAUUAUGAGAUAAUUUUUAUACUAAACAAGUUAUUUAUGAAUAUCUUAGGCAUCUGAACUUUGAAAGCUAUGAAGUUCUGCAUAAAUUUUUAAAUUUUCAAAAAAUUGGCCGUUGCGAACGUCUGCGCUUCUAAGUUUACAGAAUUAAAGGAUAUUAAAUAAUCUCUUAAUUUAUUUCAAUUAACCUUUGUUUUUUUACUUUUUAUGACAUUUUGUAACUAAUUUUAGAAAAUAUUUAAUGUCUCCAUUAAUGUCAAUUAUUAAGAUAGAUUAGUAAAAUUUAGCUUAGGUAACAAAUCAUUUGAUGGCUAAUUGAAAAAAAAAAAGUUAUUAUAUAUGUUAUUUUUACUUUGAAAGUUCAAUAGUAGGACUAUAAAUCGAGUUCGCUGUUUGCGAGCUAACUCGUAUUUUGCUCAAAAUUAAGUCGAAUCAAUUCACUUAUUUAAUUAACAAGCCGAUCACAAGCUCAUUUUUUUCAAGUCAAAAACUAAAUGAAUAAUAUUCUAAUUAGCACCACGUUUAAAUUUUAAUUAAUACUAGUUACACUUCAACAAAAACGGUUUAUAGCGACAUUUUUAAAUGUAGGUACAUUUCAAAAAAGUGCUGCUAGCUAAAAUUACCGACACUUUUAAAAAGUGUUGCUAUAUGUGGGGUCGCUAGGUAUAUAGUGACAGUUAAAGAGUGUCACUAUAACCUAAAAGAGUGCUGCUAAUUUACCAACACUUAUUUAAGCAUUUAGCAACCGCUGAAACUCUAUCUCGUUGGGUGCGGUGGCGGAGGAGGACGACAGUAAAGGCUCUUCGUCUAAAAUUUCAGUGGAUUGAGUGAAGAGAGAAGAAAAGAUGGUAAUUGAUUUUUCUUUUUUUUUUCUUUUCUGUUUGUAAUCGGGCCAAAUGGACUGGGUGUGGUGGGUUGAGUAGAGUAAUCUUUUAUUUUUGGUUGGAUUGGGCUUUAUAUUUAGGCAUUAGUAGAUGUGUUUUUAAGUUUUAGCAUAAAUGGGACACUUACUCAAAAGUAUCUAAACAUGUGUCCCUAUAACCUAAUUCUGUUGUAGUGUUAGUACUACUAAGAGCGAAAGCCAACAUCAAUAACAACAAAUUAAUAAUAUAUUCUAAUUAUAGUCCGUAUUAAUAUUUUAUUAAAGUUUUAUUCUAAGCUGGUUCGAAAUAAUUUUGAGUCCGCUAAAACUAUUUUCGAAUUGAAAAUGAGUUGAAUUAUCUCAAUUUCUUUGAAAUUUGAGCUGAACAUAUAAUUUUAAACUAGCUCGCUCGUGUUCGACUCGAAAACAUACAUUAUAUUAUUGCAGCAUAUAUCUUAUAUUAUUUCAUUAGAAAAUUAUAAAAUGAGAGUAGACUACCAUAGUUAGUUAAUUCGGAUUCGGCAAAAAUUCGGUACGAAUAUAAUACGCAUAAAAUUUAUUUUUUAAUUUUUAAAUUUAUUAAAAAAUUCGGCUUAAAAAACAAGUUCGGUAUAAAAUAGAAAAUAUAAUAUAUAAAAUAUAAGAUAAUCUAUAUUUAAAUAUAAAAAAAUAUAUUUUUUAUUUAUAUUUUUAAUAAUUCGGGAAUAAUUCAGAAAUAAUUCGCGAAUAAUUUACGAAUUUUUCGGCUGGCCAAAAAAUUCACAAAUAAUUUUUAUUUUAAAAAAAAUUCAUAAAUGAACCGUUUAAUCUGAAUUUUUAAUAAUUCGUGAAUAAAUUCGCGAAUAAAAUCGCGAAUUAACAUAGGAGUAGAGUACUUGUUGGAGAAGCCAAAAAGUGGAAAGGGGAUUGAAUGUGGAGGGCAAAAUUGGAAUUUCAUAACUCCACACUUGGUUUGAUUUUUUUAGUGGUUUUUCUACAUCUUCUUUAAUAAAAAAUAAUAAUAAUAUAAGUGAGUCCUCUUCUUGUCAAAAUUAUUACAACAAAAGUAUACUAUUUCUUGGAUCUCUUUUGAAUAAUAAUAUUCUAAGCUUCUCACUAUCAAAUUCUUAUAAUAUUUUUUUAUUUUUGGUCAAAGGGGCCUUGGGAACCUUGCUCACUAAGAAUACUCUGUUCCUUUCAAAUUGGAAAAAAAAAAAAAAUUGAAUUUAAAUUUAGUUUUUAUUUAUGGGUAGGUGGGGGAGUUAAAAAGAAUAAAAAGUGUACCUAUUUUCAAUUUUUAUUAUUUUUAUAAAAUAUUAGAAUAAAAAAAAAUAUUUUAGUAAAUUUUAAAGCGUUUUUUUGCUUGAGUUUCAAAGUAGUUUAUGAAAUUUUUGUGUUUUUUUUCUUUUGUUUUUUCUUUUUAGACUUUUUUUACUUGUAAUAAGUUAUCGUCUGUGUGAGAUGUUUCUGUACAUUUUAUGUACCAUAUUUAUCAUUUAAUAAUUAAUAUUUUAGAAUAAAAUAUAAUCUGAUACAUAUGAUUUACAAUUAUUUAUCUAUAUAAAAGUCGUAAAUUACGAAGAUUUAUUACGUAGAUGUCAAACUAUUUUUAUGGAGUUUGUAUGUGCAUUUUAUACGCCACUUCCAAAACUUCAAAAUAGAGGCAAAAUCUAGUAUAAGAGUCUUAAUAUUAUUUAGAUUAAAAUACAAAAAAAUUUCGUAUAAAUAUUUAUUUUUAAUUUUUUUAGCUUUCAAAAUUUAAAUUUUAUCUUUUUAAAAUUUUGAGUUGAUAUAUUUAGCCCCCAUCGGUCUAUUCUGUCCAUUUCUCAUCAUUUAUACUGAAAAUAUUCUUAAAAAUACCAUAAAUAUAUUAAAAAAAUAUUUUUCUUAUAAAAUAAGUAAGAGCAUUAGAGUAAUUUGAUCAUUUCGUCUUUUCUAUUAACGUCGCAAUCCCUAAAAAUAUUUCUAAAAUAUUUACGAGGGCAAAAUAAAGGUUUCUCAAAAUCAAAAGAAAAAAAAAUUAAAAAAAAAUAGAUAUUUACCGAAAGAUUAUCUGUAUUUUUAGCCUAAUAUUUAAGCUCAAGUUAGUUAUUAGAACUAAAUUGUUAACUAUAUACAAAGCUCACCGAUCUUCGUUCUAUAUUAUUUAAUGUGGAAUUAUUGGGAUGUCACAACAAAAAGUACUAAACAUCAGAGAAUGUUUUUGUAUCUUUCCUUGAUAAAAAAACAUAUAAAACUUACCACAAUGAUAUAUCAUCUUUGCGGAUUCGACUAUCUAAUCUUUAAAAAUUUUAAUUUUACUCUCUGAUCAUUUUAUUUAUUUGAUUUUAACUAAUUAAUGAUUUUUUAACUUCAAAUUGUGAAUGCAUCUUUCUAGGUUAAAUUUGCAUACUUUAUACAAUAUUCAUUAUAAAAUUAUUAAGAUAAACAAUUAACUUAAAUUUUACAAUCGAAGUAUCACCAAAUCGCUUAAUGCAAAUAAAUUAAAAUAUUAGAUACUAUAAUCAAAAUUUUAAAGGAUCGAAUAGUUGAAUCAAAAUAAUGAAAAAACUUCGAAUACUUCCCCUGUAAUUUCGCACUUUCUCACUUUAGUACCAUGUAGUUUAAAGUGUAUCAAGUUAGUACCUUAUGGUUUCGCACUUUUUCACUUUGGUAUCCUGUGGUUUAAAGUGUAUCAAGUUAGUACCCUGUGGUUUUGCACUUUCUCGCUUUAAUACCCUGUGGUUUAAUAUUUCGUUAAAUUAUAUAUAAAAAACUUCAGAUAGAUUACCUAGGUUUAUCGAAUAUUCAUUUUAGUACCCUUCAGUUUUAACUUUGUCACUGAUUUAACGAAAAAAAUACUCCGAAAUGGAUAAUAAAAAGAAAAAAAUGAAAUCAUAGGUUACUAACUUGAUACAAAAAUGAAACCAUAUAGUACUAACUUGAUAGACUUUAAAUCACAGGGUACCAAAGUGAGAAAUUGCGAAACCACACGGUAUUAACUUGAUACACUUUAAACUACAGGGUACUAAAAUGAGAAAGUGCGAAACUACUAGGAGGUUUUUGAAGUUUUUCCCAAAAUAAUUUAUAGUCCAGAUAUGUAUUAUGUAUUUAAAUUUUUUUUUCCAAAAAAAAGUGGCCCAAGGUAUUCUAAUUUAUUUUUGAUUGCAUCACCAUGGCUGUUGCUUGCAGGUCUCUCUCUGUUCACAAAAAUUUGCGAGUCAAACCCUUCUAGGCUAAAUUACAAAACCCCCCUUGUACUUUAACAAUUGUCUCAAUUAACUCCUUGUAUUAAAAAUUAUGAAUAAUUGCUUAUAAGCCUCUCAAAACUUCAGAAAUAGUUCGUUUACCCCUACUUUUUUUUUUUUUCCUUUUCAAUAUACCCCUCAUAUGUAGGGAUGCAAACGGAUCCGGGUUGGUGGAGCUCCCGUCCCGAUCCGCCACGAUGGGGGCAGUAAAUGAGAGAAAAUAAACGGAUUCGGGACGAGAAAUGGAGUAAAUUUUACGAUCCGAGACGGAUUCAGGGCAGAAAACGGGAGAAAUUUUGACCCGUUCUGAAUCCGCUCCGAAAAUUAUUUAUAUUUUUUUAAAAAAAUUUCUAAAAAAUAAUGUAUUUACAAAAAAGUUCAAAAUACAAAUAACUUAGUACUCUCUUUUCUAAUGUAUUUGAAACUUUUGAAUUUUGUUUUGAAUUGUGAUUGAUAUUUUUUAUUUUUAUAAUUAAUAUUAUUAAAUUAUAUAUAUAAUAUUAUUAAAAAUUAUUAAUUUAUAUUUUACAAAAUAUUAAUAAUAUUAUAAUUUUAUAAAAAAUAUUAGUUGGCGGGGCGGAUUUGGGGCGCCGGUGGGAGGUGGGUUGCGAGGCGGUGCGGAUUAUGAGAUGUAUUUUUUAACCCGUCACGGAUUCGGGGCGGGAGGCGGGGCGGAAUUUUGCUAGUCGGGGUAAGAGCAGGGCGGGGCUCCCGCCUCCAGAUCCGCCCCGUUUGCAUCCCUACUCAUAUGUUCCUUUGUUAUUUCAAAAUAUCCUUCAGUUACUACCCGUUUAGUUAACUUGAAUUAAACGUGAUUAAAUAUUUACUAGAGUUAAAAAAAAAAAAUCAAAAUAUCUCUUUUAUUCUUAACUUAAGGGCGAAUAAAAAAAUGUGAUUGAUGGUAAAGAUGUAUUUGAAAAUUUAAAAAAUCAAAAUACUUUUUGUACCCUAACUUAAGAGUAAAUAAGAAAAGUCGGUGAUGGUGCAAGAGUAUAUUUGAAAGGGCAAAAUAGUAAUUUUAUAUAGAUAAUAGUUACUGCUGACAGUUGAUUAACAGAAUUUAAUUCUACGGAUAUAUUUGAAAUAUGUUCGAGACGUAAAAAAAAUAUUUUUAAUAUUAGACUUUUAAAAAAAAUAAAUCAGAAAAUUGAAACUUUUCAAAAUUAUAUAAGCAAUUGCCCUUAAAAAUUAUGUCAAACACUCCCAUACUUCACCACUGCUUCAAAUCGGUCCAAAAUUUUUGAAUGGUUGUUAAAUUCAGCUUUAUAAUUUUAUAUUGGAAAAACUUUAAAUAUCUCUCUUGUGAUUUAGUAUUUUCUCAUUUUAAUACCUUAUGGCUUAAACCGUAUCAUUUUAGUAUCUUAUAAUUUCAUUUUUCUUUUUCUGCCGAUACCUCCGUUAAUUCUCUAUUAAAAUAUAUAAAAGAAACUUUAGAUAUUCCUAUGGUUUAUCGAAUAUUCACUUUAGUAUUCCGUGAAUUACAAAAUUUUUAAUUUAGUACUACGUUGUUUUAACUUUCUCACUAAUUUAACAGAAAAAUUAACGGAGGAGAUAACAGACAGAGAAAAACGAAACAACUGAGUACUAAAGUGAUACAGUUUAAACCAUAGAAUACUCAAGUGAAAAAGUGUUGAACCACAUGGGUGGUAUGUGAAGCUUUUUUUUUUAUAUUUGCAUAUUAAGUUUGUUAUAAUUUAUGCAGGACGAUAAUUAACAUAGUUUUUAAUACAAGGAGCAAUGAGACAUAGAAUAAAAUGCAAGGGAUCUUUUUGUAAUGUGUGGGCCCCAGAGUUAAUUAAAGUGUUGUAUAGUGAUUGAUAACAGUUAUUGAGUCCUUUUGUUGCAUCUGCAUCUAACACAGAGAACACUGAUACAGAAUAUUCUUAAAUCUUAACGGGUCGAUCGGAUCCAAAAUAUUAAAAAUAUCGAUACCCGAACCGCUUAAGUUUUCAGCAACUAUUUGAUUGGAUGUUUAAACACUGCUAACUCAUCAGCAAUAUUUAAAGAGCAAAAAAAAAGAGAUCCUUUUAAAUACAGCUGAUGAGCUAAAUGUUUUUAUAGAUACUGGUUAUAGUGCGCGUGUAAUUCAAAUCACAUUUACAAAUUGAACGAAAAUUAAAAUAAAACUUCUCGGACUAAAGAGCCAGCAAUUUUUCUGUGGCGGGAGAUCGAGUUAGAUCGAAUCAUGUUUGAAGUAGCGAGAGGCUGGUUAGGCCGAAUCACAAUCAAGGUCGGUCAAUAUGCCAUAUCUGUACGCCUUACGUGAAUUGAUCGUAUAUUUCUAACAGUUCGAGAUUUAGGAAUUAAUUGUUAGCGCUAAUGAUCCAUUCGCAAUCUAUUGUGCGAACGGCACAAAUUCCAAAACUUUGCACGCAAUGCAAUAAACUGUGCCAUGUUUGGGGCCAUCCCCACCAACUUUUUUUUUUUUUUUUUUUUCUUUAAUCCAAUCCAUUUGCUUAGUAGGGAGGUAGUAUCAUGUCUUGGAGGAGGAGGCAAUGAAUAAAUUAAUAAUAAGAAAUUAAUUAAAAAGAGAGUAGAGGAGGUGCAGUUGCUUGGAGGUGAAGGUAACCCAAAAAAAAAAAAAAGAAAAAGAAAACCCUCUACUUUAGACAUAAUUAGAUCAAUGUUUCAAGAUUUUUUUUUUUAAAGAUAAUUAUCUUUAUACUUUUCAUACGUUUGAAAAUAUUCGAUUUAUUUUUAUUUAUUUUUUUAAAAUAUUCCUUAUAUGUUCCACUGUUAUUGUAAAAUAUCCCCGCAGUUAUCUCCUGUUAAGUUAACUUAGGUUAAACGUGAGUUAAAUAUCUAUUACAGUUAAAAAAAUUAAAAUACAAAUUUUGUCCUUAACUUAAGGACAAAUAAGAAAUGUUGGUGACAGUAGAGAAGUAUAUUGGAAAAGACCAAAACUCAAAAUAAUUUUUGUCUCCCUAACUUUAAGGGCAAAUAAAAAAAACAGUGAUGGUGGAAAUGUAUAUUUGAAAGGGUAAAAUAGUAAUUUUACAGAAAUAACAGAGUUAAUUAAUAGAUUUUAACUCUAGAGAUAUAUUAGAAAUAGGUUGGAACGUAGAAAGGGUAUUUUUAAUAUUAGCUUUCUAAGAGAGGUAAAUUGAAAAGUCAGAAACUUUUCAGGAAUAUGUAAGUAAUUUUAGCCUUCUAAGAGAGAUAAAUUAGAAAGUCGAAAAUUUUUCAAAAAUAUAUAAGCAAUUGUCCCCUUUUUUUUAUUUUUUUAUUUUUUUUUUACGUAUAAACAGUUUUAGUCACGUGCAUCGUGGACGUUUCAACGUUGACGCUACAUUGUUCACGGCGUCAACUAUGGACCAGUUUCAAACAGCCACCAAGCUAGAAUUCAAUCUCGAUGGGCGCCAAAAUAUAUUCAAAAUAGAAGCUUUAGUAAUAAAUAAUAAACAAAAUUUUUUCUAAUUGAAAAAUUUUUAUAAAAAAAUUAUUAAUUAAAUAAAUAAUGUAAAUGCAUGAAAUUUAUUAUUAUUUUUUUUAUUUUAAGAUGUUUAACUUCUAAUUAUUUUAUUUAUAUUAUUAUAUUAGAAUAAUUUAGAAAUUUUACUAAAUCUAACAAUAAUUUUUUAGGUUUUAAGAAAAUAAAAUUAACAUAGGUAUUAAAUUUAGUACAACCCUUGAUUUAGUCAAAUAAAAGAGCUCGCCUAAGAUAAAUAAAAAUUUUAAAAACUAUUAAAUAAAAUUUUUAGAGUAAAGAAAUACAUUACAAAAUACUCUCUAUAUAAACAAGAGACCCUUAAUAUAUUUUCAACCAUAAAAAGAGUAUACCGAUUAGGAGGAAGAGAGAGAGUUAUUUUGGCACCGUACUAUUAAGUAAAUAUUGAAAAAUUAGAGGUGCCAAAACUAUCCGUGGCCCAUAAAAAAAAAAAGAACUUUUGAGGACAUUAAGUAAUAUUAGACGUGAGGAGUCAUGGCACUUGGGCGUCGAGUAGGGGUGUCAAUGGCGUAUGUGCGAUACCUGAAGUUUAUAUCCCCACCCGAACCGAAUAUGAAGCAGUUAUAUCUAGGUGCUAUAUGGAUUGGAUUGGAAGAUGGAUAUCCAAAAUAUAAACCCGACGAUAUGGAUUGGAUAUUGGAUUUUGAUAACGCAAACACAAUGAACCAACCGAAUAUUAAUUAUAUAUAAUACUAUGCUUAUACUAUACUAGUUAUAUAUAUAUAAUUGAGCUGAGAUACUUUUAGAAUAUACCUCGUUGGUGCUAUUAUAGAUUUUUAGCUAAUGGAUCUAUCAUAGAUUACAAUAGCCUAUAGCAACUAUUCCACUACCACCUAUACCUACAACCUCAACCUAAUGUUUAUAUAUCCAAUGGUUAAAAACUCAAGCCCAAUUUAUAUUUUAGAAGUAUUCUAGCUUAACUUGUCUCUGUAUCUCUCUUCUCUCUCUAUCUCUGCUUAUUAUAUAUAUAUAUACUAGUUGAGCAUACGUGCAACUGCACGUAACAAUUAUUUUAAUUUAUUUUAAAUCAAUAAACAUUUGUAAAUCAUAUUUAUUCAAAAAUUUAGAAUAAAAUAUUUUCUAAAUUUACAUGUUACAUUUUAUUAGAAAAUAUCUAUAAUAUCAAAUUUAAAUUUUAAUAUAAAAUAGAUGAAUAGAUUUAAUAUCAAAAAUUAAAAAUUUAAUUUAUAAUUUAAACUCAAAUUUAAAUUUUAAUGUAAAAUAAAUGGAUAAAGUGCUACUUUUUAACAGAUUGAAUAUAACAAUUUAUUUUUAUUUUCAAUAUUUUUAACCUAUAACCGUUCGUAGAAUUGAAGUUAUAGAUAGGUAUAAAUAUUUUUUUUUAACAAAUUGAUCAUAAUCGUUCGUUCUUAUUUGAGAUAAUUUUUUACAAAUGAAUCAUAAAUUUGUAUAUCAUAUUUAUUCAAAAAUAUGAUUUACAAAUUUAUCAACCAAUCUAUCUUUUAAAUUAUUUCUAUUGUAAUAUAUUGAUAGUCCCAAAAUUUUAAAUUUUAAAUUAAUUUUAAAUUUUGAAUUGAAAUAUAAAUAAAUUUGGAUAAGCAUAAAUUUUUUUCUAUUUUAGGGAUAAAAAAAUUAAAUAAAUUUUUAAUUAAAGUAUAGAUUCACAGUAGAUAUCUUUCAGUUGACAAAAAUUUGGAUAAGUAUAUUUUUUUUCUAUUUUAGAGAUAAAUCGAAAUUAAAAGUUUGUUUCAUUACGUUAUUUAUUUUACGUAAGAAAAAAGAAACAAAUAUUUUUUUCCCGCCAAAAAAUAGGUCCGUCGACAUACCCAAAUUUGAAAUACGUGCUUUUAUAUAUAUAACAAUUUGAUGUUAUAUCUGAAUUUGUAUUUUAAAAAUUUAGAUUUAAUAUAGUAUAUUUUGAAAUAUUGAAAAAAUAAAUAAUUGUUUCGGGUUCAAAUUUUCGGGUUCGGGUUUGGAUUCGGGUUUUGGAUUUUUGGUCGGGUUCGGUUUUGGAUAUGAAUUUUUAAAAUCCUUCGGGUUCGGGUCUCGGGUUUGGAGUCGGGCUCGGGUUCGGGUUUUUGAAAAUCCGCCCCGAAUUCGACCCGUUGACAUCUCAACUCCGCAUAGCUCCGUCCCUUGUGAAAUUAUUAUUCUUUUACCCUUCGUCCCUUGUGAAAUUAUUAUUCUUUUACCCUUCGCACGCUUUGCUAAUUAAUGGAACAUACAUCUCCAAAUUUCAGUCUCCAAAAUAUAUAAUGUAAUUAUCCUCACUUACGCUCGAACAUUUGUGACGCUUCAAAAUAUUCUUUAGCUUGCUAAUUGGUCCCCUAGCUAGGGAAGUAUAAUUAAUUAGGCAGUGAAAUAAAAUAACCAGUGAGAUAAAGCUACAUUAAAGACACUAAUCACAUUAUUCAUAUAUAAAUAGACUACUUGUAGUAGUCUUAUUCCAAUCCUGCACCAAGUAAAAUAGGAGACUGUACACAAAGCAGUAAAACUUUAACCAUCCUUCAUAACAAGGACGAAAUCCAUAGGCUAUAAUAACAGAGGGUUUUUUAAUUCAUACACCACCGAGAACAAAAAGAAAAUACAAAUACAUAGGCAGUUUCUUUUGGUCUUGUUACAUUCCUAUAUAUAGAGAAAUCGAUAAGAGUCUUUAAUUGGUUCUUGUACCACCAAACAUAGAACAUAAGCAGUAACACUUCGGUCUUUUCGUGCAAUCAUGUGAAAUGAAUCUAAAGUUUGCUUAAAAAAUGUAAAGAACGUAAAUGUAAGAUACUGCAGGAUGCGGUUGCAUGUUGAUGCCUGCUCAGCAUUGCCUUCAUUUUCCUCUUAUGAUGCAUUAUCACAAAAGCAUCCACCAAAUUUACUCCAGAUAUCGAUACAACCUGCAUUAAAAACUGAAAAAAGUUUAACAAAAUUUGAAGUUAUGAUUUAUACUGCUGAAAUUGAGUUCACCAGUUUAAUCUGGUGCCUAUUAUAAUGCCCAAAAAGUAGUAAUAAUAAUAAUUUGAAACACAUUUAAAGCAAUGUUUAACAACUUCACUGGAUAAUACACAAGACAAAACAAGCUUAUGACCUGUAUAUAAAUUGAGGAGAAACAAAAUUGAAGCAUUUAACCUCCCUUCCACAAAAGAGGGCAAUUUCUUUCUGAAAGAUCUUACAUUAGUUUGGCUGCUACACACACACACACAUACACACACACACACACAAAAAAAAAAUGCAUGGAAUCUUACUCUGAUCCUGCACCAACAAAACUGAUGAAGAACACAAACAUACAAUAAGAAAUUAGUCCCUUUUUUUUUUUUUCAAUAUUCUUGUGAAUAAAAUGAUAGACCAUAUAUGGGAGUCAUAUAUGAGUCCAGUACGAAUAAAAUAGAAGAACAUAAGCAGUAAGAGUUUAGGCAUCUAUUGCUCCUACAAUGAAAUUGAUAGACUACAAAAUGAGUUGUUGUUUUUUUUUUUCAACUCAUGCACUGAAAAACAAAAAACAGAGAGAAUAAGUAAUUUAGUAGUACGAUUUUAAUCUUGUUUGUGUGCCUGAUAAGGAAAAAAUAGAUUUGAGCGCCAAUAGAGAGUCCUAUUCCUUACAUGUUCCUGCACUACCGAAAUAGAACAUAAGCAGCAAAAAACUUCACUCUUUUUUUAUAUUAUUGAACAAAUUGAGUGAAAUAUAUGUAGGAGUGUUAUAAUGUUACUGUGGUCCUGCACCGAGAAAUUAAAUGAACUUGAAAGCUUUUGUCGCGCGGGUCUCUUAUGUUCUAACUAAUCACUGGACAAUUAGUCAUAUUUUUUAACUUUUGAAAGCAAUUGAUAUACUAGCAACAUAUGUUAUAUUCAUUACAUUGCUUGUUUUACAAGACCAAUCCGUCCUGUGAGAAUAACAUCAUGUAUUAAUCACAGGGCGCAAUUAAUUAGCGCUAUAUUCCCUAAUUAUGUAUCCAAACCAUAAAGUAAGAGUGCAAAAUAUAAAAAAUUCCUAAUGGAGGAUGCUAAUUAAAAACGAACCUGACUGCCGCUGUAUUCUUCAGAAAAUCGAAUCCUGAAACAAAUUAGAUAACCUUGUUAAUUAAGAUCGAACGAGAUGUAGCUCAUUAAAAUCGAAAUGAAUUGCGUUAAUCGCAGAGAGUAGCAGGGGCGAGAUGAAGGAUGGUAAAGUAAACAUACAAUUUCGUCAUCGUCACUCUGCAACUGUUCAAUCCACACGUUAGGGAUGUGGGCAAUCUUGGGCCAAUCAAGGCCAACAUUCUCUUGGCAUCGCUCCUUCAACACAGGGUGACACUCAAGGAUCCAUAGAUAACGCAGUGAAGUAGGCAGAUUUGGGAGAGACUGGAUGAGAUUAGCAUCAUUUACUUUGAGACGCUCAAGGGAGCGCAGUUUUGUCAUGCUCUGGGGGAGGGACUGAAGGGAGACUGCAUUCCAUAUGCUCAAAAAUUUGAGGGCAGCGUGAUUUUGCAGUAGCCAUUCCUCAGGUAAGGAGGUGAGUAAAGCAUCAAAGAGAGUCAACUCGUUGAUGGAGGAGAGACUUCUCAAUGGCUCCAUGAGCAGGAGCGCGUGGUGGUCAAUUGAUAGCUCGCCAUCCUUCAAAAGGCAGUCCGCUGCAUCCUCUUUUUGGCCGGCAUCAUUUGGGAACGGAGGCUGUAGCAGCAGGGCAAAUUCAAUCAGCUUGUCGCACCCUUCAAUUUUUAAAUAACGGAGGGAUACGAGAGCUUGUAUUCCACCAAUUGAUGACAGCUCUUUGCAGUUCUUUAUCACUAAAAUGGAAAGCAUUGUCCACCGUGCACACGCUUGUGCUGGGGGAAGGGAUGUUAUGCUUGCGCAAUCGACUAAUACCAAAUAGAAAAGAGAGGUUAAAUUUGGUAAUAACUGGAGCAAUGGCACCUCAAGGUCGCCACAUGACCCAACAGUGAGACAAUUGAGUAUAGAGGGCUGUUGGAUGUCUGAGAAGACUGAGAUCAGAUGUUUUGUCAACUGCGGGCACUUUUCUACAUAUAGCACUGUGUGGGUGUCGAAUUUCUGAAAAAACUCUGUUGGAACAUAUUCAAGCUUCUCACAUUGUUUGAUGACUAAGCUUUCAAGAGCUGGAAAAUGUUCUUGCUGCUGUAAGAAAAGAAAAGAUGUAAAAGAUAUUUAAGUCCGGGCAAUCAAAGCCGUGCAAAUACGAAUUGGUGUUUUAAUAUAAGGGUAAAGUUCAAAUUGCCCCUGCGUGGUUAAACUCAUUUUUACCUUGCCACCUUGCGGUUCAAAAAGUUUUACUUUGCCCUCUAGUGGUUUAAUUUUUAUUUCAUCAAAAAAAUUCUAUAUGAAAUAGCAUGGCAAAUUAAAAAUAUUUUAAAAAAAUCACAGGAUAGCAAAGUAAAAAAUGAGCUGAACCAAAAGAGGCAAAGUGUAACUUUUUAAACCACGAGAUAGACAAAAGUAAAAAUAGGCUAAACCACAGGGGGAAGGGGCAAAGUGAUACAUUUUGAACUACAGGGCGGGUAAAUGAAAAUGAGCUAAACCCAAGGAGAAAUUUGAAGUGUACAAAAUAAAGCACUUACAUUGUUGUCUGUGUAAUUCCGAUUUAUUGUUGGAAGAGCGGUCAAGCCAACAUUUGAAAUUUGCAAUCGUCUUAGACUAUAAGGCAGAAUAGGAAUUUCCCCCAAAUUAGGGCAGUCGGUGAUAUACAUAUAAUGAAGUUGAGGAAACAUGCACCCAUUAUCUACUCCAAUCCACUCCUCCAAAUUAGGCAUGCCCCAUAACUGUAACUCCUUCAACAAUGGAAAGGCACAUCCACUGCUGCUUCUGAUGAAUGAACAAUCUAUUUGCUUUAUUGCAUGCAGUCUCUUCAAAUGAAGAUAUUGAAGUGAAGUAAACUGCCCAAGAGGUGGAAGGUGCUCCCAUCCUUUACAAUCAAUCAGUUCGAUGGACGUCAAGUUGACAAGAGACAGAUUUGUCAUCCAACAUGGAGAUUUAGCACCUUGGUAUUGUUGGAUGCACAUUUUCUUGAGAUUUUUAUGCGGGCAGAGGUUAUCGAGGAGCUGUUCAUCUGCCUCUGCACUAUUGGAGCAGUGUGCGGACCAUUUCAAUGACAAUGAUUUGAGAUGUUCUUUCUCAUUCAACUUGGCCUCAUUGGCUUCUUCAGAAGUCCUCACAUUUUCAAGUCCUCUAAUAUAUAGAUGACGAAGGUCCCUUAGGUUCUUUAGUUCACCAAUUUUGUAACCACUCUUCGCUUGGACAAUAAAAUUUUGUAAUUUGUGAAUGAAGGGUAAUUUUCUAAUAUAAGGAAUAUUUUUUAUCACAUCAUCGGAAACAUCAAAUGAACGCAAAUUGACCAAGUUGGUCAUGCCAUCAUAUUCAAUAUUUUUGUUCAGAAUGAACUGUCGUGGAAGUGAUAGGUAGCGGAGGUGUAUCAAGCUAUCAAAUGCAUCAGGUGAUUUACUAAAAUCAAAAUUCUUGCAUAAGCUCAAUAGGCGUAACUUUUUAAACCCUUUUAUAACCUCGAUAAAUUCAGAUACAUAAUCUGCAUUAUCCAUAUUAUACCCUUUACCCGAUAUGACAAGAGAGCGUAAGUUCUUAAGAGCGGAGAUCUCUCCGAUGGAUAGAAGCUUGACUAUUUCAACAGAUAAAUGUCGAAUUGUUCGUGGAAUAUUAGUAAUUCUUGCAACAUCACCUCCUAUUCUGAUGCAUUCUCCUUGAGAAACUGAUCGUGCUAGGUCAUGCAGCAGAUCGUGCAUAAAAUACUCUAUAAUAAUUUUCGACCCAUUAUCACUGGUUUUGCAAGUAAAGAAUGAUUUUCUUGUCAGAAGAUUUAAAUACUCCUUUCCGAUAUCCUCUGGCCUUUGCCUUCCACAUAUAGAUUGCGGAAUCAGACCCGAACCAAUCCACAUAUUGACCAACUUUUUUCUCUUAAACAUAUGAUUCUGCGGAAACAAACUGCAAUAUCUAAAGCAGAGUUGUAAGUUUGUAGGUAAGUGAUCGUAGCUUAAUCUUAAAACUGUCAUGUUGUCGUCGUUUCCUUGUUGUAAUUUCAUGUUGCCUUUUUCCAGGAUUUUCUUCCAAUAUUCAUAGUCCAUGUAGGAGUUCAGCAUUCCUCCCAUGACCUUUAUGGCCAAUGGCCAUCCUCCAAGCUUCUUCGCUAUAUGUUCGCUAAUCGGUUGAAAGUUUCUAUAAUCAUCAGGGUUCACACCGAGAAAUGCAUGCUUAUUGAAAAGCGACAUAUAGUCGCUCUCCUUCAACUCAUUUAGAUUUAAUGAUUCCCGUUUGCAUUUCGUCACUGUUGCCGCCAUAUCUGCAACUGAACCCAUUCGAGUUGUCAACAAGAUCUUGCUUCCUCUCUGUCCGAAUUUCAAAGGAGCAACCAAUUUCUCCCACUCCGUCAUUUUAUCAUCGUUCCAAACAUCAUCCAGUAUGAGCAAAAACCUUUUUGAUGUAAGUUUUUGUUUAAGAUCCUCAUGGAGAGCAUUUAAACUAGUUGAGCAAGAGUAGUCUAACAUCUUUCUUGUUAUCGCAGCUGCAUCAAAGUCCAAAGAAACGCAAACCCACAUAAUCGGGUCGAAGUACUCUCGCACUCUUUCGUCACGACAGAUUAGUUGAGCAAGAGUAGUCUUCCCGAGCCCACCCAUGCCAACAAUUGUAUAAGCGGAGACAUCAACAUUAACAUCUCCCGGUUUGAUCAGCCAUUCAACUAUCUGGUCCCUCUCCUUGUCUCGUCCGAGCACCUCACUUUCGGUUAGCAAGGAGCUAGUCUGUCGAGCUUUUAUGAUAUCUUCGAGCUGCUGACGCUUGACACUAGGGCCAUAAAACCCAGUAACAAGUUGAAGGAAUGGCCCCAUAUCGGCAACGACCCUAUCCAACCCCUUGACGGCCUCCCUCAACCGCUUCCGUGUGUCAUUGCUAAAGAAAUCAGAGAGACUACUAUUAAACUUUCUCUUGAAGUUAGAUAGAAAACCACGCACCUCGCCAUCUCGAGCCUCCUCUCUAGUCUUCUUUAGCUUGUAGUACUCCAACUCGUCGAGCACGUCCUCCGCGUUCUCCACAGCGUCUCUAAACUGCCACAGCCACGCAUCCAGCGCCUUGUUCUCCACCAUGUCCGGCGCACCGCCCUCGACCGCAGUCAAGACUGCCAGGACCUGCGGAAGUGCGUGCUGUAGCCGUUCGAGCUCGUCCUGCAUGCCUCCGCGGAAGGGCGCCGGGUACACCUCAAGGUAGGAAAAGCAUGUAUCAACGAGCUUCUCGAUGAUCGCCGUCCCCACCGCUCCGGCUAUGAAAGGUAGAGCCAUGAUCGACUUCACCACUGCUCAGGCGCGCAAUUGAUGAAACUCGAUCCUGGAGUGCAGAAAAUUGGAGAAUGAGGAAAGAGAGAUGUCGAAACAAUCAGCUGAGUAGAUAGAUACAAUCGCACGCAGGCAUCAAAGAAUUAAGAUCCGCGAAGAGUAGUAUUUUCUUGUAUUAAUUCUUCUCGGAAGAGGGGAGGAAAUAAAGUAUGGAUGCUUUAUUUGACAACAAAAGCCCCCCACUAAUUAAGCGGGCGUUUCGAUUCCCUAAUUUUUUUUUUUUUAAAAAAAAAUUGAAAACCAGUGUUUUUCGGGAAAAAAAAUAUAUGAUUUUUAUUUUUUGAAUAGGGAAGAUAAUUUUCGGAUAAAAUUUAGAAACUAAACAAGCUAAUUAAAUAAAAUAAUAAUAAUAAAUUCAGCUAGAAAAUUAUUUUCAAAAAUAUUUUCUCCGAAAUCAAAUACUAAAUCGAAAUAUGCCCACUUUCAUUCAGUAGCAAACAAGUUAAACUUCGGGCAUGUUUGGUUCGUCGGAAGUGUAGUAUCGAAAAUGAUACUUUUAAAAAGUGACGUCUUAUCGGUUGUUUGGUUUACGAAAAUGAGUAUAAAAGUCAUUUUACGAAAAUGGGCUGAUAAAGUGAGUUAUAGCUAAAUCUCACUUUUUUGACUUCGGAUCAAAAAAUUCGGAAGUCACUGAAAGUGAAGAACUUAGCUAAGAGGUUAUAUUUGGCCUUAACUUUAAUAUUUAAAUUUAUUUUUAAAGUUUAAUUUCAUUUUAAAUUUGAAUUAAAAUUAUGAUCACAUUUUGAAUUUUAUUUGUGAAUUAAAAUUCAACAUAAAAUUUUAAAUUCAAAUUUAUGACUUUAUAUUUAAAUUUAAAUUUUAAAAUUUUAUUUUUAUUUAAAGUUGAAUUCUAGAAUUUAAAUUUAAAUUUUAAAUUUUANUGUCUUCUUCUGUAACUUGCAGUACUCCAGCUCGUCGAGCACGUCCUCCGCGUUCUCCACAGCAUCUCUGAGCUGCCACAGCCACGUAACCAGCCCCUCGUUCUGCUCUGCAAUCGACGCCGCCUCCUCUACAGCAGUCAAGACUGCCUGGACCUGCGCAGGGGCGCACUGCAGCCUUUCCAGCUCGACCCGCACGUCCUGCAGCGCCGGGUAAGCUUUGAGGUAGGAAAAGCACGUCUUAACGAGGUUAUCGAUGAUCGCCGUCGCCACCGCUCCGGCUAUGAAGGUUAGAGCCAUGAUCGACUUCACCACUACUCAGGCGCGCAAUUGAUGAAAACUCAAUCCUGGAGUGCAGAAAAUUGGAGAAUGAGGAAAGAGAGACGUCGAAACAAUCAGCUGAGUAGAUAGCUAGAUACAAUCGCGCGCAGGCAUCAAAGAAUUAAGAUCCGCGAAGAGUAGUACUUUCUUGUAUUAAUUCUUCUCGGAAGAGGGGAGGAAAUAAAGUAUGGAUGCUUUAUUUGACAACAAAAGCCCCCCACUAAUUAAGUGGGUGUUUCGAUUCCCUAAUUUUUUUUUUUAAAAAAAAUUGAAAACCAGUUUUUUUCGGGGGAAAAAAAUAUAUAUAUAAUUUUUAUUUUUUGAAUAGGGAAGACAAUUUUCCGAUAAAAUUUAGAAACUAAACAAGCUAAAUAAAAUAAUAAUAAUAAAUUCAGCUAGAAGAUUAUUUUCAAAAAUAUUUUCUCCGAAAUCAAAUACUAAAUCAAAAUAUGCCCACUUUAAUUCAGUAGCAAACAAGUUAAGCUUCCGGCAUGUUUGGUUCGUCGGAAGUGUAGUAUCGAAAGCGAUACUUUUAAAAAGUGACGUCUUAUCGGUUGUUUGGUUUACGAAAAUGAGUAUAAAAAUCAUUUUAUGAAAGUGGGCUGAUAAAGUGAGUUAUAGCUAAAUCUCACUUUUUUGACUUCGGCUCAAAAAAUUCGAAAGUUACGAAAAGUGAAGAACUUAGCUAAGAGGGUAUAUUUGGCCUUAACUUUAAUAUUUAAAUUUAUUUUUAAAGUUUAAUUUCAUUUUAAAUUUGAAUUAAAAUUAUGAUCACAUUUUGAAUUUUAUUUGUGAAUUAAAAUUCAACAUAAAAUUUUAAAUUCAAAUUUAUGACUUUAUAUUUAAAUUUAAAUUUUAUUUUUAUUUAAAAUUGAAUUCUAGAAUUUAAAUUUAAAUUUUAAAUUUUAAUCAAAAUAUUUUUAGUUAAGAACUUCAAUUUGAAAUUUGAAUUCAAAUUGUUCCAAGUAUAAACUCAAAUUAUUGACUGAAAUUUAAAUUUAAAAUUUAAAUAUUUAAGUUAAAAUUUAAAUUCAAAUUUAAAUUUGGUAUUUACAUUUAACUUCAAUAAUAAGUUUCAGUCUGAAUUUGAACUCAAAUUAUGAAUUCAAAUGUUCAAUUCGAAUUGUGAUUUAAACUCAUAUUUUUAAUUUAAAUUUAAAUAUUAAUUUAAAUUGUGAAUUCAUAUUUGAAUUCAUAAUUUAAGAUCAAAGAGUGAAUUAAUAUAUGAUUCAAAUUAUAAAUUCAAAUUUGAAUAAAUGUUCUAAUUUUUGUGUUGAACUUUUAUUUUAAAAUUUAAUUUCACUUAUAAGUUAUAACUUAAAUUUUAAAUUCAAAUUGUAAAUUAAAUUUAUGUCUUAAAUUUUAAUUAUAAAUUCAACUUAGAUUUAAUUUAAAUUUAAAAUUUUAAUUUAAAUUACAAGUAUAAGUUGUUUGUUUAUAUUUUUACCUCUUUAUAUAUAAUUUAAUAAUAAAAAAAUAUAAAAUUAUAGUUUUAAUUUUAACCUUAUAGCAACCAAACAAUUGAACUGAAAAGUCACUUUUAUACAAAUUACUUUUCCACUUCGCUGACUUCCGAGUUACCAAACAUGCCCGAAUUUUUGAGACAAGCAGUUGUUUCAAAUUUCUAACAGGCAUAUAGUUAGGACAUACCAAAAAAAAAAAAAUACUGGUGAGGAGUAAUUUCUUGAAUGCUUCUCAAUUAUUCAAAUUUGUCUGCCUUCUAUGACAGCCCGUAGUUAGUUAAUUCGGAUUUGUCAAAAAUUCGGUACGGAUAUAAUUCGGAUAAAAUUCGUCUUUUAAGUUUUAAAUUCGUUGAAAAAUACGGCUAAAAAACGGAUUCGGCAGUUAUUCAGAUACGUGAUUUAUACGGGUAUUAUACGUUCACCAAUUAAAAAUUCGGGAUCAAAUAUAAUUUUUAUAUAUAAUUUUUAAAAAUUCGGUAUUAUACUAUAUAUAUUAUUAUUAUAAUAUUUAAUAAUAGAUUAAAUAUAUUUAAAAUUAUAAUAAACAUAUAUUAAUAAUAUAUAAGAGUUAUAUAUUUAGAAAUAUUAAUAAAUAAUUACAAAUUUAUAAAUAAAUAUUAUAUAAUAAUAUUUCUAUAUAAAAAUAAAAUACUAUAUAUAAUAAAUGAAUAUAUAUAUAUUUAUAAAUAAAUAAAUAAAUAAAUAAAUAAAUAUAUAUAUAUAUAUAGAGAGAGAGAGAGAGAGAGAGAGAGUUGAGCUAGAAUACUAUCGAUAGCAAACCGGCACUUUUGCCACCCAUUUGUUUUCGAUGAUGGAGCCUCCAAAUCGACGAUCGGCACCGUUGAACAUGAUCUAUACCAUUUGAAGUAUUUAGAAAUCAAAUUUCAUACAUUUUCGAUAUUGUUCUCUUAUCCAUCGAGUGGAUACAAAAAUGAACGGCUGAAAAUGAAUAUUCUGAAAAAAUGAUGAUAGGAGUCUUGUAAUCAAGAUCAAGGGUAUAGAUCUUAUUUUAAAUAGUUUAAAAAAUUUUCUAACAAAAAUUCAAUUGAUUUGGAUUUCUUUACGUCGUUAUUGUGAGAUCCCUGGUGUUUUGUUGUGGAGGCUUGUCAGCAGCUCUGGAGAGUGUCGGGACAAGUCCGAGUCGCGUUGGCGUCAAAUAGACGCAAAACGGACUCCGUGCGACGCGAGGGCAGCUUAUCGCGAAGAAUUCUGGAAAACAGCAGAAUUCUCUGCUUGCUGUACCGAUACAACCAGCGUGGCUGUACCGGUACAACCAGCGCGCACUGGUUUAGCUGCUCUCGGGUUGGCUCUUGUACCGGUACAGGAGCCCGUGUACCGGUACAAGGGGGUAGGUAAAGGGCUAAUUAGGUAAUUCCCUCCUUUGUUUGUAUCACCAACACACCCUCUCUCUAUAUAGCUUCGUGUAGAGAGAGAGAAGUCCCCUUGCUGCAUUUCUUCAUCUCUCUCUCUCUCACUCUCAUCCGGUUGAAGACAAGGAAGAAGCUCGGAUUCGUCGCCGACGUCGCGCCGCUGAGCCGUUUGGGGAUACGGUUGUUGCCGGAGCAGUGCGAGGAGGCCGGGCGAGCGUGCGGCUUCGCUGUUCUUGACGUCACGCCGGUGCUAGUCGCUAUCGAGGUGAAUGUUCCGUCGAAUUGCUUCUUCAUUUCUCCAAGCAUCAGUAAUUCGAGCUUAAGUGCUGUUUUGCUGAAAUUCAUCGUCGACUGUUAGUAUUUCAGCUCGUACUCGACGCAGGAACAUCGGAUUUUGACGAGACUUGGUUCGCUGGAUUCAGGACUUCGAGAGGAAUCCACGAAGCCCUUACUUGCUGGAUUUGGUGAAGGUUAGCUUGGUCGAAUCCCUUUUCUACUCUGUUGCAGCGAAAUUCGGACUGAAUUAGUGGAUUUUGAUCGUAGAGCUUGGAGUUAGCUCGAGUACUAGACUUGGAGGAUUCCAGUUGAUCCAGCAGGGAUCACUUUGGUUCGAGGCUUCGUUCGCUGCCAGGAGCUUGCUUCUUGAGGUGGGUUUACAUCGGUUUUACUCCUAAGUUCAUAAUCGUCGGCAUGUAGAUUUCGAUUUUUGGAUACUCUAUUCUAGCUCGAAUUCAUGGAUUAUAUUGUAGAUUGCAAAUCUGAAUUUGGAGCAUGUGGUAAUUAAUUGAGUAGUUUAUACAUGUUGGACUUGGAAUUUGAAUUAGGAGAAAACCUGCGAUUUGGAUCUGUCACCUGUUUAAACUGGAUGAUUUAGCCCUGGGGCCGUUGUAUGAUUUUAUACUGUUGCAGUAUCAUCAUAGCAAGUAUUCCGGGUAGUUUAGAUUUCAGUUACACUCACGCUGGGAUGCCGAGUGAAUUUUUACAGUAGCGUUUAGGCUGUUCCGGACUGUUGGGUGCUGUCGGGGUUGACGGUGGACCCGUAUCGCCGUUUUGGCGUCAGAUUGUGUCGAGGGCACGUGACAUGUUGGUUGUUAGACUAGUUAGAGUCGUUUACUUGACCUUAGCCUGUGAGAGCCGUGUGAACUUAACAGAGAUACUUGUAAACUCGUUGGGUCGCGCCCACGAAUGCCAUUCCGAAAUGAGGUUUCAGUGCGAUGAGUGUCGCAGUUUCUGUUGGACAGUUCUUAAGCCGGCUACCCACGGGGUGGUGUACGGCGCAGCUAGAUACAGGCAGGGUGGGUCCGUUUUGGGCAGCCCGGGUGAGAUAGUGAGGUAGUGACGUGAGUGGGGUCUUAGCCAUCCUGUUGGACCUUUUUCGGGACCGACUACUCUUGAGAUACGGUGCAAUCUAAUUAAGCGAGAUGGGUGUAUUCACAGUCCCUAGAGAGUUUUCUCCGCCGGUUACUCUUGAGAUACGGUGUAGUCUAGUAGAUGAGACGGGUGUAUUCACAGUCUCUAGAGAGUUUUUUCCGCCGGUUACUCUUGAGCUACGGUGUUACCUAAUUAGACGGGAUGGGUGUAUUCACAGUCCCUAGAGAGUUUUCUCCACCAGCUAUUCCUGGAGUAGGACUCGAGUUCGAUCCGACAGGCGGGACGGGUGUGUUCACAGUCCCUAGUGAGACUGAGCCAGUUUUGACCUUUCCUACAGUUGGUUAGCAUAGAGCAGGAUAGUGUAGUGACUAGUAGCUGUAGAGUCUAUUCCAGCAUUUACUACUACCUUUGCUCCCUACUGUAGACUUAGUGGGUGGACCGAUAUUGUUUUGGGCGGCACCCACUGAGGACUACUUGUUUUUACAGUAGUUUCACGCCAGUGUUACCCCCUUCCCUGUUUUGCGGAGCCACAGGUUUCGCUGAAUGCGCCGCUUCCGAUCGCGCAGAAUCAAGGCAUCGAGACAAGGGCGUCGCGAAGUAGAGCCCUACGUUCCGACGAGCAGAAGCUAAAGGCACCUACUCAAGUAGUUGUUUUAUUUUGAGUUUAUGUAGAUUAGUAAAUACUUAGGCUCGCCAGUUGCGAGUAAGCACAGCUAUUUUAGUUUUUGAACUAUGUAUACUGAAACUCACAAUGUUUAGCAUUCUGUUCCUCGAGCUACUCUAUCAUACUACUGUUUAGUUAGUUGUAUAUUACAGUAUACGGUGUCGCUUCGUAUAUCAGAAAAAUUUCUUUUAUAUACGGGGCGGAUUUGUGCGCUGCCUCGGGGACGAACAUCCGAAGGCGUGACAGUUAUUAGAUAGUAAUAAAGAAUUUUGUAAUCAAAAUUUCAUCUGAUUUGAAUACUUCUAACACGUUAAAUCUUGAAAACGACAGAUAUCAACCUUUAAAAUUAUUGAUUUUGAAUCCUUUCGAUCAACGUAGGUAAAUGGUAUAAAAUCAAAAAUUCGGCAAAAAUUAUUUUCUAGAAACUUCAAAUGCGCUAGAUCAAGUCUAGCGGAGCCGAUCGUCGAUAUGGAAGUCCCAUCAUCGAAAACGGCUCAGGAGCACAAAGGGCUUUGUGCUCCUGAGAGCACACAAGACCUACUCAUAUAGAGCAGGACUGCUAUGCUCUCAGGAGCACGGAGGCCUCCGUGCUCCUGAGCCGUUUUUGAUGAUUAGAUUUUCGAAUCGACGAUCGGCUCCGUUAGACUUGAUCUAGCGUAUUUGAAGUUUCUAGAAAAUAAUUUUUGCGAUUUUUCGAUAUCAUUUACCUAGCAAUCGAAAUGAUUCAAAAUCUAUAAUUUUUAACGGCUAAAAAUAAAAAUUCUAUAAAAAGUGGUGAUAUAGCACUAAAAUUUUCGAUCAGAAAUAUUGAUCUCGUUAUAGAUAGUAUAAAGAAUUUUGUAUCAAAAUUUCAUCUGAUUUGAAUAUUUCUACACCAUUAAAUUUAAAAACGAAAGAUAUCAACCAUUAAAAAUUAUUGAUUUUGAAUCCUUUUGAUCACUAGGUAAAUGGUAUCAAAAAAUCGCAAAAAUUAUUUUCUAGAAACUUCAAAUGCGCUAGAUCAAGUCUAGCGGAGCCGAUCGUCGAUUCGGAAGUUCCAUCAUCGAAAACGGCUCAGGAGCACAACGGGCUUUGUGCUCUUGAGAGCACACAAGACCUACUCAUGUAGAGCACGACUGCUGUACUCUCAGGAGUACGAAGGCCUCCGUGCUCCUAAGCCGUUUUUGAUGAUUGGAUUUUCGAAUCGACGAUCGGCUUCGUUAGACUUGAUCUAGCGUAUUUUGAAGUUUCUAUAAAAUAAUUUUUGCGAUUUUUCGAUAUCAUUUACCUAGCAAUUGAAAUGAUUCAAAAUCUAUAAUUUUUAACGGUUGAAAAUAAAAAUUCUAUAAAAAGUGGUGAUAUAGCACUAAAAUUUUCGAUCAGAAAUAUUGAUCUUGUUAUAGAUAGUAUAAAGAAUUUUAUAUCAAAAUUUCAUAUGAUUUGAAUUCUUCUACAUCGUUACACUUGAAAACGACAGAUAUCAACGAUCGGCACCGUUGAACAUGAUCUAUACCACUUAAAGUGUUUAGAAAUCAAAUUUCAAAUCUUUUCGACAUCAAUUGCCUAAUGAUCAAAGGGUUUCAAAAUUUAUAAUUUUAAUGGUCGAUACGAGGUGUUUUUUCGUUUAACGGCGUAAAGAUAUCCAAAUCAACUGAAUUUUUGUUAGAAAAUUCUUUAAGCUAUUUAAAAUAAGAUCUAUACUCUUGAUCUUGAUUACAAGACUCCUAUCAUCAUUCUUUAAAGAAUAUUCAUUUUCAAUCGUUCAUUUUUGUAUCCACUCGAUGGAUACCCAGAAUAGUGUAGAAUGCAUUUACGCUCGUGCUGAGGUGACGAGCUUAUUUUUACAGCAGUGUUUAGGCUGUUCUGGACUGUCGGGUGCAGUUGAGGUUGACGGUGGACCCAGUUUGCUAUUUUUGCAUCAGAUUGUGCCAAGGGCACGUGAGUUUUGGUAGUUAGACCAGUUUGACCUUUCCGCUUUGAUUAUAGUCUGUGAGAGCCUGAUUGAGCUCGACAGAAAUACGUUUGCAUACUUAAUUUGGUAGCGCCCACGCGUGUCACUCCGGAGUUGGACUUAAUGCUUUUGUAUUGAUGUCGGUUUGUCCUGUUUGGACUUGCUCUCCACUGACGACCUAGCGUGGUGGCAGUUAAUGUAGCUUCGACCAGCCGGAACGGAUGUGUUCACAGUCUCUAGUUAGAUUGGGUCAGGAAUUUCAUUUUUCUACAGAUUGUUAUUGUUGGACUAUGAUAGUAUAGUGACUUAUAGUGUAGAUUUGUUCCAGCUUUCUUUACUAUCUUUACUUACAUUUGUAGACUUAGUGGGUGAGCCGUUGAGGUCGGUAGUGGUAUCCACUGAGGACUACUUCUUUUUGUAGUAGUUCUCACACCAAGUUGGUGACUUUUUGCAGAGCCUUCUAUUGCGGCUGCUGCUACUGCCGAGACUGAUCGUGGAAAGGGUAUUGCUAGUUAGAGCCUUUCCAGUUUUGCUGCAGAGCUAGAGGAGUGCCUACUACAGGUAGUUGUAAUUUUUGGGUUCUUUUACAUAUAGAUGUUGUAACUCGCUGGAGCGAGUGAUUUUGUAUAACAGGAUGCUAUGUAUGUAUAGUGAACCUCUGUUGUUUUUAUAUGUCUUUCUUUUUAGCAGCUCUAUACUACUGGUGUAGUGUUGUAUGAUUACAGGUACAGCUAUCGCUUCGUAUACAAGAAAAAUUUCUAUGUAUACGGCUGGUCUGUUUGCGUGCCCAGGGUAACGAGUAAUCCGGGGCAUGACAAAUAAAUUCAGCUAGAAAAUUAUUUUCAAAAAUAUUUUUUCAGAAAUCAAACACUAAAUCAAAAUAUGCCCACUUUAAUUCAGUAGCAAGCAAGUUAAGCUUAUUGAGACAAGCAGUUGUUUCAAAUUUCUAACAAGCAUAUAGACCGACCGUUCCUAGCGCAAGUGGCAAAGGGCUUGGUGGUUGAUACUCGAGGUUAUAAGUUCAAAUCCUAAUUAUUUCACAUUUCUAGCUAAGUUUAUUUCUAAAUGAAAUAAACGAAAAGGGUAGCGUGCUAUUUAUCUCUCUCAAAAAAAAAAAAAAGAAAAAAGCAUAUAGCUAGGACAUACCAAAAAGGAAAAACUGGGGAGGAGUAAUUUCUUGAAUGCUUCUCCGAAGAGGGGAGGAAAUGAAAUGGAAGUGUUUCGUCGAGAAGAAGACUUGCAGGUCAAGCCAUAAUCCUCGAUGAUCGCCGACGCCGCCAAUUCAGCUAUGAAAGGUAAAGCCAUAUAAUCCUCCAGAUAAUUAAUAAGCUUAGACCACAGCUACUUCACCACCGCUUAGGCAAUUCAUCAAACACUUGGAGUGCCAAAAAGAUAGAGAAUGUGGAAAGAGCGACGCUGAAAACAUUCACUCUCACUUAUUAGGUAAUGUAUAUACACAGAAGGUAUAUAUGGUAUCUCUCUUUACGCAAAAAAAUUAACUGCAUGUAGAAAAGGAAUAGAGAAGACUUACAGGUCAAAUUUGCCUGCCUUCUAUGACAGCCAACAGCCAACAGCCAACAGCCAACCAAACUCAAUUAUUGCUGACAAAGGCGUCUGUCCGGCCCCACUCCACUCCACGAAAAAUUCUAGAAUGCAUCGGGUGUAUUAGUGACGUGGCAUAACAAACCAAUCAAAUUAAUCCUUUUAAGAAUAUAUGUCCCAUCAUGAUUGUAAAAAAGUAUUUUUAUUGUAUUUUUAUUUGAAAAGAAGAAAUGUGAUUGGCUUAUUAUUGAUGACGUGGUGCAAGUGUGACAGUGUAGAAUUCCUCCCACUCCACACCCUUUCCGAGGGAGAAAUUAUUGUCUGCAUAGCCAAUAAUAGAGGCUUAUAUAUCACGCGAGGGGAAAAUGUACAAAGAGCCUCUGAACUUUAAUUAACUCUUUCCUAAUGAAUUUGGUUGUUGAUAUAAUCAUUUCAAAUCAUUUAUAUUUUCAGUUAAAUUUAUUUCUAAAUGAAAUAAACGAAACAGAUGGUAUGCUAUCUAUUUUUCAAAAAAAAAAAAAACUCCACCAAAACAAUAGUGUAUAUAUAUAUAUAUAUGAUAAAUAGCAAUAUGAAUGAGUUUAGACGGUAUGAUGGAAAGAGCAAUAUGAAUGAAAUAUUUAGAGUUUAGAGUAUUAGAUAUUCAUUUUAUGAGUUUAGACGGUAAAGAAAAAUUCUACCCAAAGUUCAGAAAUUAACAGUGUAAUAAAAUUUACAGAAUUUAAUUAUCAAAAUUAAAAGUUUCGGUGUGUUAUUUACUACAAAACUAAAGUUCAGAAGGUCUGUGUACUUUUUUUUUGUCCUAAGAAUUAAAAUCUAAGUAGUUCUUUAUCCACGCAUUGCAAGUUCUUACUAAGUUUUGAGACUACUUAAUGCUAUUGUAAAAAUAUUUUAAGCCUUAGAAAUUUUAAUACAUUGUAUGUUUAUUGGGAUAGAUGACAUAUACUAGAUUGGGUUUUGGCCAUACAAAAUUUACAAAGUAGUCACAAGGGAAAUUAUUGCCUACAUAUAUAUAAGUACAUCAUAUACAUGCUAUAUGUCGCAUACAUCUCAUUUCCAAACUUUUGUGAUAGAGAUCUUAAGAUUAAAACUAAGACUAAAAUACAGAAAACUCUUAUAAAAAUACUCACCUUUUCUUUUUUUUUUUUUAUGAUUUAUAAACAAUCUACGUUUUGCCUCUAAAAAUUUCAGAUAUUUUUAGGAGAAUUACAAUGUUAUUGAAGUGGGUGAAAUGACAAAACUACCGUUACUCAAUUCUACGGAAAAAAAUUUAGUUUUGUUAUAUAUUUUUAAGAAUAUAUCCAGUCAUAAAUUAAAAGAAAGAGAUGGGACAGUAAUAGAAUUCUGUCGGCGGAGACUAUAUAAGUACAUCAACUUGAAACUUUGAGGCAUAAAAUAUAUAAAUUUUUAAAAGUUAGAAGGAGAAAGAAAAAAGAUGAAUUUAUUUUUAAAAGUCAGAAGGAGAAAGAGAAAAGACGAAUAUUUACAGGAAAUUUUUUUAUAUUAGUUUAAAUUUAAUCUAGUAUUUGACCGAUGCAUUAUAGGUAGUCACUGAUUUUUUAUUUUACUUGAUGUUACAUAAAUAUAUAUUUUUUAUAAAUCUUGUAAUUUUUUUAUAUAUAAUCCCUUUAUUGUUGUAGAUAUUAAUUGAAUUGGGCUUGGAUUUUAAAAAGUUACGCAUUGAAAAAUUACAUAGAAGUAAUUACAUAAGGGAAUUAAUUAUUGGCUGCAUCUUUUGUAUUUAAAUAUCAAAUCACUACAACGGAAUUAGGUUAUAGAAACACAUGUUUGGGACACUUUUGUGUAAGUGUUCAAUUUAUGCCAAAAUUUAAAGAAAAAUCUAAUAAUGCCUAAAUAUAAAGCCCAAUCCAACCAAAAAUAAAAAGUUACUCUACUCAACCUACCUCACCCAGCUCAUUUGGCCAGAUUACAAAUAGAAAAGAAAAAAAAAAGAAAAAUCGAUUACGAUCUCCCAUUCUCCUCUAACUCAAUCCACUGAAAUCCUAGACAAAGAGCCCUUCCCUCUCGUCCUCCUCUGUCACCGCAGCCAACGAGGGAGAGUUCCGGCGGUUGCUAAAUGCUUAAAUAAGUGUUGAUAAAUUAGCAGCACUUUUUUAGAUUAUAGCAACACUGUUUAACUGUCACUAUAUACCUAGCAACCCCACAUAUAGCAACACUUUUUAAAAGUGUCGGUAAUUUAGCCAGCAGUACUUUUUUUGACCUGUACCGAUAUUUAAAAGUGUCGCUAUAGAUCAUUUUUUUUAUAGUAAAUGUAUAUAAAUAAAUAAAUAAAUAAAUUUGACACCGAUUUCUUAUAAAUCAAAUAAACUUUUAUCCUUUUUCUGCCGCUAAAUCUCAAGGCUACUCCGUAUCUACAUGAUUUAAUUUUCAUUUCACCAAAAAAAAAUUGUGUUCAAUGGGAUGGUAAAGUAAAAAAUUUUGAAAAUAAUUAUAGAAUUACAAAGUAAAAAAUACGCUAAACUAUAGAAUAAUUAAAUAUAAUUUUUUGAACAAUAGAACGAUAAUAUAAAAAUAAGUUAAACCACAAGGAGGCAAUUUGAAGUUUACCCUUUUCAAAAAAUCACAAUUUUUCCAGUAUAGGCUCUUUAGAUAUUUUAGAUCAAACAUAUGGGAUCAUAUACUGGUGCGGUGCACAUAUAUGUGUACACUGGGUACAGGCAAUUGUUUCUCAGUGCAUAUAAUGUGUGGUGUUUGGUUACACAAAAAAACUACUAAAAAUAAUUUUAUUUUAUUGAAGCAUUAAAUUAUAGAAAAAAAAUAUGGAACAUGCUUUUUUUUUUUUUUUUGAGAAAUAGAUAGCACGCUACUNNNNNNNNNNNNNNNNNNNNNNNNNNNNNNNNNNNNNNNNNNNNNNNNNNNNNNNNNNNNNNNNNNNNNNNNNNNNNNNNNNNNNNNNNNNNNNNNNNNNNNNNNNNNNNNNNNNNNNNNNNNNNNNNNNNNNNNNNNNNNNNNNNNNNNNNNNNNNNNNNNNNNNNNNNNNNNNNNNNNNNNNNNNNNNNNNNNNNNNNNNNNNNNNNNNNNNNNNNNNNNNNNNNNNNNNNNNNNNNNNNNNNNNNNNNNNNNNNNNNNNNNNNNNNNNNNNNNNNNNNNNNNNNNNNNNNNNNNNNNNNNNNNNNNNNNNNNNNNNNNNNNNNNNNNNNNNNNNNNNNNNNNNNNNNNNNNNNNNNNNNNNNNNNNNNNNNNNNNNNNNNNNNNNNNNNNNNNNNNNNNNNNNNNNNNNNNNNNNNNNNNNNNNNNNNNNNNNNNNNNNNNNNNNNNNNNNNNNNNNNNNNNNNNNNNNNNNNNNNNNNNNNNNNNNNNNNNNNNNNNNNNNNNNNNNNNNNNNNNNNNNNNNNNNNNNNNNNNNNNNNNNNNNNNNNNNNNNNNNNNNNNNNNNNNNNNNNNNNNNNNNNNNNNNNNNNNNNNNNNNNNNNNNNNNNNNNNNNNNNNNNNNNNNNNNNNNNNNNNNNNNNNNNNNNNNNNNNNNNNNNNNNNNNNNNNNNNNNNNNNNNNNNNNNNNNNNNNNNNNNNNNNNNNNNNNNNNNNNNNNNNNNNNNNNNNNNNNNNNNNNNNNNNNNNNNNNNNNNNNNNNNNNNNNNNNNNNNNNNNNNNNNNNNNNNNNNNNNNNNNNNNNNNNNNNNNNNNNNNNNNNNNNNNNNNNNNNNNNNNNNNNNNNNNNNNNNNNNNNNNNNNNNNNNNNNNNNNNNNNNNNNNNNNNNNNNNNNNNNNNNNNNNNNNNNNNNNNNNNNNNNNNNNNNNNNNNNNNNNNNNNNNNNNNNNNNNNNNNNNNNNNNNNNNNNNNNNNNNNNNNNNNNNNNNNNNNNNNNNNNNNNNNNNNNNNNNNNNNNNNNNNNNNNNNNNNNNNNNNNNNNNNNNNNNNNNNNNNNNNNNNNNNNNNNNNNNNNNNNNNNNNNNNNNNNNNNNNNNNNNNNNNNNNNNNNNNNNNNNNNNNNNNNNNNNNNNNNNNNNNNNNNNNNNNNNNNNNNNNNNNNNNNNNNNNNNNNNNNNNNNNNNNNNNNNNNNNNNNNNNNNNNNNNNNNNNNNNNNNNNNNNNNNNNNNNNNNNNNNNNNNNNNNNNNNNNNNNNNNNNNNNNNNNNNNNNNNNNNNNNNNNNNNNNNNNNNNNNNNNNNNNNNNNNNNNNNNNNNNNNNNNNNNNNNNNNNNNNNNNNNNNNNNNNNNNNNNNNNNNNNNNNNNNNNNNNNNNNNNNNNNNNNNNNNNNNNNNNNNNNNNNNNNNNNNNNNNNNNNNNNNNNNNNNNNNNNNNNNNNNNNNNNNNNNNNNNNNNNNNNNNNNNNNNNNNNNNNNNNNNNNNNNNNNNNNNNNNNNNNNNNNNNNNNNNNNNNNNNNNNNNNNNNNNNNNNNNNNNNNNNNNNNNNNNNNNNNNNNNNNNNNNNNNNNNNNNNNNNNNNNNNNNNNNNNNNNNNNNNNNNNNNNNNNNNNNNNNNNNNNNNNNNNNNNNNNNNNNNNNNNNNNNNNNNNNNNNNNNNNNNNNNNNNNNNNNNNNNNNNNNNNNNNNNNNNNNNNNNNNNNNNNNNNNNNNNNNNNNNNNNNNNNNNNNNNNNNNNNNNNNNNNNNNNNNNNNNNNNNNNNNNNNNNNNNNNNNNNNNNNNNNNNNNNNNNNNNNNNNNNNNNNNNNNNNNNNNNNNNNNNNNNNNNNNNNNNNNNNNNNNNNNNNNNNNNNNNNNNNNNNNNNNNNNNNNNNNNNNNNNNNNNNNNNNNNNNNNNNNNNNNNNNNNNNNNNNNNNNNNNNNNNNNNNNNNNNNNNNNNNNNNNNNNNNNNNNNNNNNNNNNNNNNNNNNNNNNNNNNNNNNNNNNNNNNNNNNNNNNNNNNNNNNNNNNNNNNNNNNNNNNNNNNNNNNNNNNNNNNNNNNNNNNNNNNNNNNNNNNNNNNNNNNNNNNNNNNNNNNNNNNNNNNNNNNNNNNNNNNNNNNNNNNNNNNNNNNNNNNNNNNNNNNNNNNNNNNNNNNNNNNNNNNNNNNNNNNNNNNNNNNNNNNNNNNNNNNNNNNNNNNNNNNNNNNNNNNNNNNNNNNNNNNNNNNNNNNNNNNNNNNNNNNNNNNNNNNNNNNNNNNNNNNNNNNNNNNNNNNNNNNNNNNNNNNNNNNNNNNNNNNNNNNNNNNNNNNNNNNNNNNNNNNNNNNNNNNNNNNNNNNNNNNNNNNNNNNNNNNNNNNNNNNNNNNNNNNNNNNNNNNNNNNNNNNNNNNNNNNNNNNNNNNNNNNNNNNNNNNNNNNNNNNNNNNNNNNNNNNNNNNNNNNNNNNNNNNNNNNNNNNNNNNNNNNNNNNNNNNNNNNNNNNNNNNNNNNNNNNNNNNNNNNNNNNNNNNNNNNNNNNNNNNNNNNNNNNNNNNNNNNNNNNNNNNNNNNNNNNNNNNNNNNNNNNNNNNNNNNNNNNNNNNNNNNNNNNNNNNNNNNNNNNNNNNNNNNNNNNNNNNNNNNNNNNNNNNNNNNNNNNNNNNNNNNNNNNNNNNNNNNNNNNNNNNNNNNNNNNNNNNNNNNNNNNNNNNNNNNNNNNNNNNNNNNNNNNNNNNNNNNNNNNNNNNNNNNNNNNNNNNNNNNNNNNNNNNNNNNNNNNNNNNNNNNNNNNNNNNNNNNNNNNNNNNNNNNNNNNNNNNNNNNNNNNNNNNNNNNNNNNNNNNNNNNNNNNNNNNNNNNNNNNNNNNNNNNNNNNNNNNNNNNNNNNNNNNNNNNNNNNNNNNNNNNNNNNNNNNNNNNNNNNNNNNNNNNNNNNNNNNNNNNNNNNNNNNNNNNNUUUAAAAAUUAGUUUUUUAAUUUUAGAGAUCCAAAAUCAGAAAUAGUUAAAACCUGUUUCUUAAAAUCUAAAUCCAAUUUUGAACCCAAAUUUUAAGCUUAAAUUUAAAUUUAGAUUUUAAAUUUUAAAUUUUAGAUUUUAAUUUUCAAAAUUUUGAAUUUAGAUAUUGAUUUUUAGAUUUUAAAUCUCAAAUAUUAAAUUUCAAAUUUCAAAAUUUUAAAGUUUAAAUUUUAAAUUUCAAAUUUAAUCUAAAUUUAAAUCUUAAUGUAUGAAAUUUAAAAAUUUUGGACACUGAUUUUUUUUUUUUUUAUACAUAAAAAUUUUGGACACUACCUCUUUUUUUUUUUUUUUUUUUUUUUUUUUUUUCAAAUUGAACGACUUUUGCCUCUUUCUCUACUAUAAUACGUUCCCCAAAAUUCAUAAUUUUUUUUAAUCUACUCUUAUUAGAUAUUUUAGAUUAAAUUUAUUAGACCAAAUAUAUAUCGUACGUGUGGUGCAUAUAGUUAAUGUAUACACCGGGUACAGGCAACUGUUUCUCACUGCAUAAUGUGGUGUUUGCUAACACAUAAACUUUGUAAAAAUAGUUUUUAAGAGACAUUAAAUUAUAUGAAAAAAAAAAAAUCUACUUCUUAGUAUUUGGUUUGGCGUAAAAUGAAAUUGAGAUUGAAGCACAAGUGUGUUUUUCUUAAAAUAUAUAAUUAUUUUGGCAUCGGAGAGUGUAAAAUGCACAAACCAAAUAUCUGAAUAUCUUAUUCCUUCUAUUCCUGUUCGACCGAAAAACUAUUUUCGACGUGAGCUAUGUAUUUAAAUGCAUGAAUAUCUUAUUCAUUAUAUUUAUUCAAUUUACUCAAGAACGGUGAAGUGUUUGGUAGAUUAGAGAAUUUCCGUCAAUCUAAUGGUUUUAAUUAUCUUUUAGCAAAUAAAACUGAAACAACCAAUAGAUAAUAGAGUUAUUAAACAUCACAAAAUUUUCACUUUAACUAACUAAAAGAACACAAAUAAAAAGACCAAAUUAGAAUUUAAGAAUGGUGUCAACAAAAAAAAAAAAAAAAAAAAAAAAAUAAAAAAAAAAAAAAAANNNNNNNNNNNNNNNNNNNNNNNNNNNNNNNNNNNNNNNNNNNNNNNNNNNNNNNNNNNNNNNNNNNNNNNNNNNNNNNNNNNNNNNNNNNNNNNNNNNNNNNNNNNNNNNNNNNNNNNNNNNNNNNNNNNNNNNNNNNNNNNNNNNNNNNNNNNNNNNNNNNNNNNNNNNNNNNNNNNNNNNNNNNNNNNNNNNNNNNNNNNNNNNNNNNNNNNNNNNNNNNNNNNNNNNNNNNNNNNNNNNNNNNNNNNNNNNNNNNNNNNNNNNNNNNNNNNNNNNNNNNNNNNNNNNNNNNNNNNNNNNNNNNNNNNNNNNNNNNNNNNNNNNNNNNNNNNNNNNNNNNNNNNNNNNNNNNNNNNNNNNNNNNNNNNNNNNNNNNNNNNNNNNNNNNNNNNNNNNNNNNNNNNNNNNNNNNNNNNNNNNNNNNNNNNNNNNNNNNNNNNNNNNNNNNNNNNNNNNNNNNNNNNNNNNNNNNNNNNNNNNNNNNNNNNNNNNNNNNNNNNNNNNNNNNNNNNNNNNNNNNNNNNNNNNNNNNNNNNNNNNNNNNNNNNNNNNNNNNNNNNNNNNNNNNNNNNNNNNNNNNNNNNNNNNNNNNNNNNNNNNNNNNNNNNNNNNNNNNNNNNNNNNNNNNNNNNNNNNNNNNNNNNNNNNNNNNNNNNNNNNNNNNNNNNNNNNNNNNNNNNNNNNNNNNNNNNNNNNNNNNNNNNNNNNNNNNNNNNNNNNNNNNNNNNNNNNNNNNNNNNNNNNNNNNNNNNNNNNNNNNNNNNNNNNNNNNNNNNNNNNNNNNNNNNNNNNNNNNNNNNNNNNNNNNNNNNNNAUUGAACUAUAAUCCUUUGAGUUAAGGAUAUGAUCAUACUUGCUGUUGAGUUCCGUGCUCGAGGGCGGUCGCUCCCCCUCGGGCGAUGCGCUCCGGAGUUAUGCAUCCGGGUUGGAGUAGACCCGUAAGGACGGUCCUAGCUGGUGAGUACCUGCGAUGAUGGACUUAACGUGAGGCAAGUUAAUGUGGCGAAACCCCCGGGUUAGCCUUAAUGAUAAAGAGCAAAGAACAAAGAAUAAAGAACAAAGAGUAAAGUGAAAAGAACUAAAGAACAUGCAUAAUCUGCAUCUAUUAAUGUUGAGCAUAUUCCUUGCUUUUGAUCAGGCAUAUUAGUAUCAUGUUAUAGAUUGGUUACUAUAUCCUGCUUAUCCUUUCUAUUAUGCCUGAGUUAGUCCUAGUGGGAAAGUCGGUGAUGUUGGGGCCGAACCCACUGGGAACUUUGUUGUAGUUCUCACCCCACUAUUCCACAGAGCCGGGACCGAGCGAGCCGGCGAGCGACCGCGGUAAAGGUAUCGCACCGUAGUCAGAGGCCACCGGAGUUGGGUUACAUUUUGCUAGUAGUUUACCCCUUUUAUCAUCUUUGUAUUUGAUGAUCUAAGAUGUUGAUGUGUUAAGCAGAGUAAAGAAAAGAAUGUAAUGUUCAUUUUGAGGUAAAUGUGAUGUAAAAGAAAUGAUGAAAGAAUGUAAAGAUUUUGGAUGUACAAGUUGGAUAGAUACAACGUAUGUGAUCAAAAUGAAUCAUAGUACUAGUUGAAUGUUUAGUUUUCCUUUCUUUCACUAAUGGCUAUUGCUUACCUUCGUGUAAGCCGUUUGUGCAUGUUUCCGCUAGUGCAUUUCAAUUCUCUUGAAAUUGUACACGUGAUGAGCCUUGGGCGGAUAGGGGAAACUCUGUCCGUUCGGCGUCUGUUCGACGUGCUCGGGCCGGCCCAAAUUGGUAUCGGCUCCGGGGGCGUGACAGACAUCGUUUGGGAAAGGAGGCUGCAGCCAGGCAACUUCAAUUAGCUUAUCACACCCUUCAAUUUCUAAAGAACGAAGGGAUAUGAGAGCUUGUAUUCCACCAAAUGAUGACAGCUCUUUGCAGUUCUUUAUUGUUAAAUGGGAAAGCAUCGUCCACCGUGCACACACUUGUGCUGGGGGAAGGGAUGCUAUCCUUGCACAAUCGAGUAAUUCCAACCAUGUAAGAGAGGUUAAAUUCGCUGACCACAGCAGUGGCACCUCAAGGUCGCCACAUGAUCCAAUAGUGAGCGAACUGAGUAUAGAGGGCACUUCGAUGUCUGAGAUCCCACGUUUUGUCAACUUCGGGCAAUUCUCUAUACGUGCGAAAUGUAGGGAGUUCAAUUUUCCAAAAAACUCUGUUGGAAAAUAUUCGAGCUUCUCACAUCGUUUGAUGGUUAAGCUUCCAAGAGGCUUAGAAUGUUCUUGCUGCUGCAGAAAGAAAAGAUGUAAAGAUAUUUAAGUCCGGGCAAUCACAGCUAUGGGCGCAAAUAGGAAUUGGUGUUUUAAUAUAAGGGUAAACUUCAAAUUGCCCCGUGUGGUUUAGCUCAUUUUUACCUUUCCACCUUACGGUUCAAAAGUUUUGCUUUGCAUUUCUGCGGUUUAAUUUUUAUUUCAUCAAAAAAAUUCUAUAUGAAAUAGUGUGACAAAUUAAAAAUGUUUAAAAAAUCAUAGGAUAGCAAAGCGAAAAAUGAGCUAAACUACAAGGGGCAAAGUGCAACUUUUUGAAUCACGGGGUGACAAAGUGAAUAUAGGCUAAACCACGGGGGGGAGGAGACAAAGUGAUACUUUUUGAACUACAGGGGGGCAAGUGAAAAUAAGCUAAACCUCGGAAGAAAUUUGACGUUUAUAAAGUAAAUCACUUACAUUGUUGUUUGCGUAAUCCUGAUUUAUUGUUGGAAGAGCGGUCAAUCCGACAUUAGAAAUAUGCAAGUCUCUUAGACCAUAAAGCAGAGUAGGAAUUUCCCUCAAAGUAGGGCAGUCAGUAAUACUCAUAGAAUGAAGUUGAGGAAACAUGCACCCAUCAUUUACUCCAAUCCACUCCUCCAAGUUAGGCAUGUCCACAAAGAAUAACUCCUUCAAAGAUGGAAAGGCAUAUCCACUGCUGCUUUCGAAGAAUGAACAAUCUAUUUGCUUUAUUGUAUGUAGUCCCGACAAGAAAAGAUAUCGGAGCGAAGAAAACUGCCCAAGAGGUGGAAGGUGCUCCCAUCCUUUACAAUCAAUCAGUUCGAUGGUUGUCAAAUUGAUGAGAGACAGAUCUAUCAUCCAACAUGGAGAUUUAACACCUUGGUAUUCUGCAAUACACAAUCUCUUGAGAUUGAUAUGCGGGUAGAGGUUAUUAAGGAGCUGCUCAUCCGUCUCUGCUCUAUUGGAGUGGCCUUUAGACCAUUCUAAUGUCAAUGAUUUGAGAUAUUCUUUCUCGUUCAACUUGGCCUCCGUAGCUUCUUCAGAAGUGCUCACAUUUUCAAGUUCUCUAAUACAUAGACUAUGAAGGUCUCUUAAGUUCUUUAGUUCACCGAUUUUGUAACCACUCUCCUCUCGGACAAUAAAAUUUUGUAAUUUGUGGAUGAAGGUUAGUUUGCUAAUAUAAGGAAUAUUUUUUAUCACAUGAUUAGGAACAUCUAAUGAACGCAGAUUGACCAAGUUUGUCAAGCCAUCAUAUUUAAUACUUUCAUUCACAACUUUCCCUAGUGAAAGAGAUAGGUAGCGAAGGUGUAUCAAGCUACUACGUGCAUUGGGCAGUUUAUAAGAGUCAAAAUUCACAUCUAAGAUCAAUAAGCGUAACUUUUUAAACCCUUUUACAACUUCAAUAAAUUCAAGUGCAUGAUUUGCAUUAUGCUUAUUAUCCUCUUUAACAGAAAUGACUAGAGUGCGCACAUUCUUAAGAUUGGAGAUCUCUCUGAUGGAAAGAAGAUUGACCAUUUCAACAGAUAAAUGUCGAACUGUUUGUGGAAUAGUAUCACCUCCUCCUCUGAUGCAUUCCCCUAGAGAAAUAGAAUUUGCAAGGUCAUGCAGUAGAUCGUGCAUAAAAUAGUGUUUAUAAAUUUUCAACCAAUCUUCACUGGUUUUGCAAGUAAAGAAUGAUUUUCUUGUCAGAAGAUCUAAAUACUCAUUUCCAAUGUCCUCCGGCCUCUGUUCUCCACAAAUAGACUGCGGAAUCAGACCUGAACCUAUCCACAUAUCGACCAAUAUUCUCUUUUUAAACAUAUAAUCUUGUGGAAAUAAACUACAAUAUCUAAAGCAGAGUUGUAAGUUUGUGGAUAAGUGAUCGUAGCUUAAUCUCAAAAUUGUCAUGAUGUUGCUCUUUCCUGGUUGUAAUUUCAUGAUGUCUUCUUCCAAGAUUUUCUUCCAAUAUUUAUAGUCCAUGCAAGAGUUCAACAUUCCUCCCAUGACCUUUAUUGCCAAUGGGCAUCCUCCAAGCUUCUUCGCUAUCUGCUUACCAAUCGGCUGCAAGUUUUUAUAAUCAUCAGGGUUCACAUCAAGGAAUGCAUGCUUAUUGAAAAGCGACAUAUAAUCGCUCUCCUCCAACUCAUUUAGAUUUAAUGAUUCUCGUUUGCAUUUCAUCAUUUUUGCCGCCAUAUCUGCAACUGAACCCAUUCGAGUUGUCAACAGGAUCUUGCUUCCUCUUUGUCCGAAUUUCAAAGGAGCAACCAAUUUCUCCCACUCCGUCAUUUUAUCAUCGUUCCAAACAUCAUCCAGUAUGAGCAAAAACCUCUUUGACGUUAGUUUUUGUUUAAGAUUCUCAUGGAGUGCAUGUAGACUCUUGUCGCCAAAAUUCUCACUACUUACACAUUCUAAAAUCUUUCUUGUUAUCACAGUUACAUCGAAAUCCUGAGAAAUGCAAACCCACAUAAUUGGGUCGAAGUGUUCUCGCACUCUUUCGUCGCAAUAGACUAGUUGAGCAAGAGUGGUCUUCCCGAGCCCACCCAUACCAACAAUUGUAGAAGCGAGAUCGGCGCGGAUUCCGGUAUUGUCGCAUACUAUAGGUCCCUUCUUUGUUGUCCCAAGACUCUUCGAGUUGAGGAAGUUUCGGUGUGUUCUGAUUCUCGGUUCUGCGUUACAUAGGGGCGUAUACGUACAGUUGAAUAGGGGUGGCCAACAGCAACGCGGAUUAACCUUUACGCCUCCCUCACCGAUUGUGUGCCUUUUGCUAAAUUUAUGACUACGAAACGGUCGACUUUUUCUUGCAUGUGGAGAGAAUGCACGCACCUCGUCAUCUCGAUUUUUUAGUUUUUUUCAGUCGUAGUUCCCCGUUGUGCGGACGUCCUCGCGCGUUUGCACCGGCUCUUGGUGACAGCACGUAUCCAGCGCCUCGCUCUGCUCUGCAAUCGACACCGCCGCCUCCUCCACGGCAGUCAAGACUGUCCGGAUCUGCGGAAGCACCAGCUCCAGCCUUUCCAGCUCGUCCCGCGCGCCUCGCAGCGCCGGGUAAGCUUUGAUGUAGGAAAAGCACGUCUUAACGAGGCUAUCGAUGAUCGCCGACGCCACCGAUCCGGCUAUGAAGGUUAAAGCCAUAAUCGGCUUCACCACCGCUCAGGCAAUUGAUCAAACACCGAGAGUGCAGAAAUUAGAGGAUGAGGAAACAGAGAUGUCGAAACAAUUAGCUGAGUAGAUAGUUACAAUAGCGCGCAGGCAUCAAAGAAAGAUCCACGAAAGAGUACUUUCUUGAAUGUUUCUUGGAAGAGGUUUGAUAGAGAAGACUUACUGCAAUCGAAGCUCAGGAAAUUUGUCUGCCUUCGCUAGCGACCAACCAACCAACCAACAAAACUCGAUUGAUUAUUGCCGACAGAGGAAUCAGAAUUAAUCCGUCCUCCCCCGCUCCACACGGACUCUUUUUUUCUUUUUUUCUUUUUUUCAAAAUGAUACAACAAAAUUUUCUAAUCGGAUAAAUAGCCCUAUGAAAAAUAAAAUUGGCAAACUAGUUCUUCUUCUGUUCCUAAUUUUUCACAAAAAUGAUAAAUUAUUAACCGUCUUUUUUUAUUUACUAUAAUUCUGACUGAUAUAAUAAGAAAUUAUGAAGACGGUGAAUUAUUCGUCGUUUUUAACCAUUUUAAAAAAAAAAUAUCUAAUAAUAGAGUUCUAUAGAUUAAGGGGAAAAUGAACAAAGAGCGUAUGAACUUUAACUCUCUUGUAAACACAAGUUUAAAUUUUUUACUGACUUGAUUACACUAUACGAUACUGUUGUAGUUUACAGAUUUUUUCACUUUUUAUAUAUUACUAAUUUUUUUUUUUAAAGCUAUCAACUAUUCUCUUUUCUUUUUUGCAGUCUAUUUACACUCUUAGGGCCCGUUUGGUUCGAGUUAUGUAAUAUUACAAAGUAUCUUGACAUAUCCAGGGAUCUUAGAUUUCGGCGUGAGAUUACUACUGAUGCUGCAUUAACGCGUUUGGUUUAAUGCAGUAAUGUAAUACUAGAUUACAGUGUUUAUAACAUUAAUACGUUUGGUUCAGUUUAUAAAAUUUAGUAAUCCUGACAUAAAAGCAUAGUUUUUUUCAAAAUUGCCCUUAUUGUGGUCAGUUGAAUAUUAUUUUAUUUACAAAAAUAUAAUUUACAGUAGUAAAUUAAUUAUAUUAAUAAUUAAUAAAAUAAAAAGACCUAACAUGAAAAAAAAUUAACGUUGCAAAAAAUUAAUUUCAACCCAUAAAAGAAUAAAUAGAAAAAAGAUCAUUAUACAUAAUGAAAAAUCAUACAAUAACAAAUAAAUUUCAAUUUUAAAACUCAUCUAUAAACAAAAUCAUUAACCAAACAUAUAGAAUAUAUAUUUUUCAUGUUUAAUAUCAAACAGUACUAUUACCAAGUUAAGAAAUUAAUAAAGCACCAUAUAGAAUAAAUAUUUUAUAAAGUCGAAACUUCCACACACAUUAUAAUAGCAUCCAAAAGUGAAAGCUUAAACACUUACAUUAUAAAAAUUUAAAAGUUCUUGCACUAAUAAAAAAAAACUAAAAAAGUCUAAACCAACGAUGCAAUAGAAAAUUAUAAGUGUUCGUGCACGAGAGAGAAAGAGAUAUAGAUAGAGAGAUGUGCGAGAGAGAGAGCGAGAGAAAGGGGCGUGCGAGAGAGAGGGAAGAAGGCGAGAGAGAGAGCGAGAGAAAAGGGCAUGCGAGAGAGAGGGGGAAGGCGAGAGAGAUGAAAAUAAUACAGUUAAUUAGAUUUGGGGUUGUUGGAGGGUAAAAUUGUCAUUUUACAUAAUAUGUAGUAUUAACGGGUUUCAAUAAUGCAAGAUACACGACCCCCCUCCCAUUAAUAUUUUCGAUGUAAUCCUGUUCGAUUUGUAAUGUUACAUUAACGACUACAUUACAUAGCGGAUUAACCAAACACAGUUAUCCUGGCAGGAUUGCCUGUAAUCUUGCCGGGAUAACUUGAACCAAACGGGCCCUUAGUAAUAAACUUAUAAUUUUGCACACAAGCUGCUAUAAGAUACUCGUUAAAAGUGAUAGAGCAUAUAUAUUCAACUCAUGCUGACAUAAAAAAAAUAACAAAAUAAAUGAAGAUAAUAAAAAGAUUAAAAAUAACUUGAUAAAAGCUUUCAACAAGUCUAUCUGGAAGAUUCAUUUUAGCAUUUUUUUUCUCUAUUUUUUCAACUAAUAUUCCUUAACAAACUAUUCGAUUUUAUGGGUAUCUUAGAAAGUCAUCUCCUUUUAUUUUUCUUUUAUAAUUAUUAUAAUUUGAUCUCAUUGAAAACAAGUUAAUUCAAAAUUUUCAUACUCAAGUUCUAGAUGAUGAUAAUUCGUUCACGGUCUCUACCUUAGACUCUAAACCAUAAAUCCUAUAUGUUAUCUUAAAUUGUAUACAUUACUAAAGUAAUGUUGCUCAAUGUUUUAGACAUAAAAUUUUUAUUUUUAAAGAGAUAAUAAAUUAUUUACUUUCGUUUGAAGGUAACAAAUUAUUCACUUUUUUUUUUUUUUCGUUCGUCCUGCUUCGGUAUGAUGAUGGAUUUAUUUGCUAUAUAAAUUUUAGGGACUUUUUUGCUUUUAUAACCCUCACUGUUAUUCAAAAUUUUUAAAUUUAUGAUCAAUUUAUUCUUCAAAUACCCUUAUGCAGUCCAAACCUCAUUAGUAAACCCUGUGGUUAGGGAUUUUUUGAAGGAAUUUUUGAAAUCAAUAACAAUAUUUUGGUCAAUCAAAACUAUAUUAAAAUUUUUUUAAAUUUUGAAAUGUAUAUAAAAUAUUAUCCCUAAAUUUUAAGAGUAGGUAGGUCACCAACUUUAUUUCUGGAUAAAUUUUAUUAACCACCAUUUCCAAUCACAAACAUAGACUAAUAAAAACAUUAACAGUUUUUGUGAUUUAAUUUAAAAAGUUGUCCCUACCUAUAUGUCACAAGAAUUUUUUACGCAAAAAGCCGCUGGUUCGAAAUCCAUUUUAUAAAAAUACAUAAGCAGGGAUUCAAUUCUCUGACCUUUAGCUAGCCCUCGAAAAGCAAAGAUACAUACAUAUAAUAUACUAGCUAAAGGUAUUUAGUUAGUUUAUUUUAGACCCGAAAAUAAAUUAAGCCAGAAUAGUGAUGCAUGCAUUAAAAAUAGGGUAAACUCCAAAGUUUUUUCUAUACGAUGUACCUUAUUUUUUCUCUAUCAUCCUAUGGUUUGAAAACUGUUAGAUGCGACUCGAAAUCUACUAUCGAUUCAGGUUCGGGUUUACGACUCGCCGACAGCUUCGCGGUGCGACCAAUUUGGAAAAGAAAAUUAUGGAGGAAAAAUGAAUGUCUAUGGUGGGUAGCGGAGCCCCCCGCGGUACGGAUCGGAUCCGAAACCUGUUAUGAGUUUUUCUUUUUCGUUUAUCGUUUAUGCCCUAGAGGCGUGUGAUCGUGGUUGGUUGUAACCUGAAGAACAUUGUAUUCUCUUUUCAUUCCAUAGUGAAGUUCUCUCCUCCCUCGCCCGUGGUUUUUCUCUGCAAAAGGGUUUUCCACGUAAAUCUGUGUCUCUUUAUUUUUCUGCUUGUGGUUUGAUUGUUUUUGUGUUCGUCAUUUCGUUUCCGUUUGUGCGUUUGUCGUAACAAAAACUUUCUCUUUAACCCCUUGUGGUUUAAUUUCUACUGUACCCAAAAAUUCUAUAUGAAGUAAGAUAGCAAAGUAAAAAACUUUUAAAAAGCCACAAAAUGGUAAAGUAGAAAACGAGCUAAGCCACAUAAAAGCAAAGUGUAAUUUUUUAAACUACAGGGUAGCGCAAUAAAAAUGAACUAUAUCAUAGAGGGGCGGAGUGAUAUUUUUUGAACCACAGGGGGUAGUAAACUGAAAUUGGACUAAACCAGUAGGGAGCAAUGCAUAUUUAGUAAAUUUCUAGUGGUGACAGCCUUACAGAGGAUCCAGUUUAUAAAUUUGGGUGAUGAUGUGACUGUCAUUUGGAAUAAUUAGACGUCAAGAUAUAGAACUCAGUCUAUUCGUUCUAGGCUGAUCGAACUGAUAGCCUGGUGAUGAGUUAUUUGGAAUGUUAAAAAUGAUGUGAUUUUUAGAAAAGUUAGUGCGGACCCAUUUGUAGCAGUCAAUAAAAUCAGGUACUUCAAAAACUUGUGGGGAAUUUAUCUCAGCAAAGUAGCUAUUUCGUAUUCAGUUAACCAUUUCUUUUUUUUUUCUUCUUUCUUCAUCUCGACUGACGUCUAGUACCUCGCUCAUGUAGUCUAGUUAUAUUUCGAAUGAAUGAAGCAGACAACAUGCUAUAUUUUUCUUUAAGAAAAAAAAUCAAAUAAAAUUGAUUUUUUUUUUCCCCUUGCUUGAUUGCAUUCAGAGACAGCACCACGUUCCCAACUCAUCCGAUCGAGUCAAUGGCCUCGAAAAAAUAUAAAUCAACAACUAUACCCUUUUACUUGUGCGAUUGUUUAUUUAUUAGGGCUUUGUUUUUUAACUUUUAAAUAACCUUGAUUAAUAAAAGUUUAAAAUAUAUAAACAUCUCCUGAACUUUAAUCUUUUUUUGAAAGGACCCCUGAUUUUUUUUUAACUAGAGCAAUUUUUUAUCACGCGUGCAUCUUUGGUGGGCAUUUGAUUCUAACAAAUUUUUAAAAUUGCUAAUGAAAGGACCAAAAUCCAAGAAUUUGUAAGUUGAGGGUUGUAAAUCAAAUAAAAAAAAUAUGCUAAGUCUACAAUCUUUACAAUUCUCAAUCCAUGACCGUUUAAUUCACGAUUUUUAGUUUUUAGUUAAAAAAAACAAAAAAAAUUGGACAAGACGAGUUGGAAAACGGUGGACAUUGGAUGGCGGAGGUUAUAGGGCUAGCAUUGCACAUUAAAAAAUUAAAAAAGAAAAGAAAAAUUCACGGCAUUUAAACCAAAAACAAUUGGGGAAUUAACCCCUAUAUAAAUGUUAUUUUGGAAUCUAACCCUCAUACCACGCAAGAGGAUAACGCUGGUGCCCGUUGGCAGCAUUUAAGAUGUGUUGGUUGCCACAAGAAGAUGGCGAAUCAUUCGGUGCCUUUUGAGUAGAAGACAAGUGAAUGAUUUAUUACCUUCUUAUAUCCGCCUAUGCGCUUAAUUUAUUGUGUUUCUCACGCACUAAAUUAGAAGAGAUAAUUUUCUUUUCGUUCUAAAGCUUUACAAAAUUAGGUGUAAGACAUGUGUUGAGAAUAAUUAAGUGUUUAAUUUGUAACUUCCUUGGGUAGAAGAAUCUAGAAACCUAUUGGGUAAUUAAAUUUCAACCAACUAGAAUAACUCACCCCCAAAAAAAAAGGAAAAAAAAAAGAUAAGCCUCUCUAAUAAUUAUUGAUGAAAGAUAAGGAACUGUACAAAAAGGAGUGUACACCAAAAAGAAAGACUGACAUGAAUUUGUUCGCAAAAUCUGAAUCAAAAACCAAACUUACACAGACUGAAAACUGAGUUUGUUUUUUAAUUUGUCUUCAACACAUAAAGAAAUUUAAUUUCUUUUUGAAAAGUGUAAAGAAAUUAAAAAAGUAAAAUAGCUGCAAGAUGUGGUUGUAUUUACAAUGAGUCAGCCGCGCCAACCAAAUUUACUCCAAAAUUCGAUAGAGGCCGCAUUAAAAACUUGAGAAAAGUUUAACAAAAUUUGAAGUAUAAACAACUUUAGAGCUGGGAUACUUUGUCUACUUCAAAGAAGCUCAUCAACUUCAUCAGAUCAUGAGAUUUGCUAGUUGUGCCGAUAAAGUGAAGAGAAACAAAUUGCUAUCUUGCCAUUGUUGGGAACCGGAUGUAUCGUCCGUCAUGUGCUACCAACAAAAAUGCACGAAAAAUAAAGAAAAUCGAUCGAACGGUAAAAAAAAUAAAUGCAGAAAGAAGAAACCAAAAUUUACGUGGUUCGGCAAUUGCCUACGUCCACGGGGAGAGCGAGAGAAAUGUAUUCCACUAUAUGAAGAAAUAGAAGUACAAGCUUACACCUUAUGUCUUCUCCGGAUAAAAAAUCAAUAACCUUAUGGUGAAUCCCACCUUUCUUCUCCAACGAAAACUCCAAAAAAAUACCGAAAAAGCUUUUCGUAAAAUCGAAAAGAUCAAAUUAGAGAAGUAUAGAAACUCUAACCAAAUUCCUUUAUGCCGUUGAGAAUCGUCGCUCCUGCUGCCGACUCCGAUCCGACGUCGCAUGCAAAGGUGCAGCCUUCUUAUGCCGUACGGAUGGUGCUAUGUUAAUUAAUUAGCCAAUACACCUUAUGCUAAUUAAUUUGCUUCUAUGCACCCGAAACCGUACGGUCCACUAUGGCUAAUUAAUUAAGCCUCUUCCUCAGCCUCUUCCGCCCGUAUGGCCACAGGAGACACCGUGUAUUAAUUAGCCGGACCGUGAAUGCUAAUUAAUUUAUCCACACGCCUCACCAAGCCGUACAUGCAUAUGCAUGUAUAUAUAGAGAGGGAUUUGGCUGAAUCCUACUCUAAUUCAAUAUGAUUAUUGAAUAUAGAGUGUUAUAUGGAAACCAAUCCUAGUCCACCUACGAUUCCAAUUUAAAGUAGGAUCUACCAAAAAUAAAUCCUUAUGAGAUCCUAUUUAUUUAUUUUUUUUNNNNNNNNNNNNNNNNNNNNNNNNNGAGAAAAGAAAAUAUAAUUAAGCCUGUAAAUAGUUAUAAAUUUUGGAUAAUAACAAAUUAAUAACGACCCCUUUCUCUUACCAUUGAUACCUUAAUAACAUCUAAUUGAUUUGAGUCUUGAUUUAGGAAAUUGAUUAUAAAAAUUACAUAUACCUGCAUAAGUGAGGGAGGAGCAACUGCGUGCACCAAAAUAUUACCUGCACCUGGUGUACAAGCACAUAUCUAUACACCGCAUCUCUGAAAUGGACAAAUGUUUUAGAACUAAGAAAAUUAAAAUCUAACUCACUGAAUGUUAAAGUGAUUUUAGACCAAAAAUGAUCUUUCCCUUCAUAAAGCAUUUGAUAACUUGUCUUUCAAAAUCUAAUUCUUAUUUUUUCUCUAAAAUCAGAAGUAUUUAAAACCUGCUUCUCUAAUCUGAAUCUAAUUUUGAACUCAAAUUUUAAGCUUAAAUUUUAUUUUAGGUUCAAAUUUUAAAUUUAAAUUUAGAUUUUAAAUUUUAAAUUUUAAAUUUCAAAAUUUAAGUUUUAAAUCUUAAAUUUCAAGUUAUCAAUUUUAGUUUUCAAAAUUUUGAAUUUAGAUAUUAAUUUUUAGAUUUUAAAUCUCAAAUUUUAAAUUCAAUUUCAUAAUUUUUUUUAAUCUACUCUUUUUAGAUAUUUUAGGUUUAAUAUAUCAGACCAAAUGUAUAUCGUGUGGUGCAUAUAGCGUAUUUAUACACUGGGUACAUGCAUUUGUUUCUUUCUGCAUAAUCUGGUGUUUGGUAACACAUAAACUUAGUAAAAAUAGUUUAAGAGAUAUUAAAUUAUAGAAAAAAUAAUAAUCCACUUGUUAGUAUUUGGUUUGGCGUAAAACAAAAUUGAGAUUGAAGCACAAGUGCUCGGUUUGAAAGAAGAGAAAAUAAAGUAUGUAGGAAAGUAGAUGUGGGACGGAGGACAGAUACUACUGACUUUUUAGUUUUUGUUUUUUCAUCCGAAAAUAAUUAUUUGUCACUUAAAGUAUAUAAUUAUUUGUCACUGGAAAGUGUAAAAUACGCAAACCAAAUAUCCAAAAAGCUAAUAUUAGUAUUUGACCAAAAACUAUUUUCGACCUGAGCUAUUUAUUUGAAUGCAUGAAUAUCUUAUCCGGUCUAUCUGUUAUGUUUAUUUAAGAACUGUAUAGUAUUUGGUAGAUUAGAAUUUCCAUCAAUUUAAUGGUUUUAAUUAUCUUUUUGCAAACAAAACUGAAACAACCAAUAGCUAAUAGAGGUAUUAAACUUCACAAAAUUUUCGCUUUAACUAACUCAAAUAACUGAAAUAAAAAAAACCAUAUUAGAAUCUAAGAACAGUGUCAAUAAAAAACAAAAAUAAUUGCCAAGUUGAGGGGCCUAUUUCGCAAUGGCGUAUAGUUGCAGAGGUCUCAUUAGAAUUUUACCUCAAAAAAAAAAAAAAAUUUAUGUCUGUGAAAACAACAGUUCGAAAAAUAAGGAACUGCACAAAGGAGCGUAGACAGAAAAUUUGAAUCAAAACCAACCUUACAGAGAUUGAAGACUGAACUGAACAUCAGCAACAGUUGUCGGUCUGUUUGAGUUUUGAGUGUGCUUUUCUGUCGUCAAUGCAUUAGGAAAUUAAUUUUUUUUCUGUUUUGGCAAAUCGUAAAGAAAGAAAAAGCAAGCAGCUGAAAGACGUGGUUGCAAGUUGAUGCCUGCUGCAGUGUAGGCCUCAUUUUCAUUUUACGGUGAAAUGUCGGUAUAAGUGUUAUCGACGGAGUGUCUGUCAAAUUUGCCCCGGAAAGUGGAUACAACCUGCAUUAAAAACUUGGAGUUGUUAUACUGCUAGAGAAACAUAAAAAUUGAUUGAUGUUUUAGCUACCUCAGAGAAGCUCAACAACUUCAUCAUAUAACAGACAAAAACAGAACAAGCUUAUGACUGGGCUAUGCGAUUUGCUAUUUGUGCAGGAAUCAAACACAAAAUUAUCUUUAAUAUAUACGCAUAUAAAUUGAGGGGAAACAAAAUUGAAGCAUUUAAUCUCCUUGCCGCAAAAGAGGGCAAUUUCUUUCUUAAAGAUUUUACAUUAGUUCGGCUGCUAUACACACACACACACAAACAAAAACGCAUGGAAUAUAUGUUACUCUGAUCCUGCACCAACAAAACUGAAGAACACAAGCAUGCAGUAAGACAUUAGUCUUUUUUUUCCAUAUUCUUAUGAAUAAAUUGAUGGACCAUGACCAUGUAUGGGAGUCAUAUAUGACAAUAAGAGCCUUUUUCACUAUUGCGCCAAAAAAGAAAGAGAAGAGAAAAUAAGUAGUAUGAUUUUAAUCUUGUUUUAUGCCAGAUAAGAAAAAUAGAUUCGAGCACCAAUAGGGGGUCCUAAUCCUUACAUGUUCCUGCACCACCAAAAUAGAACAUAAGCAGCUACUCUUGCUUUAUAUUCUUGAAAAAUUUGGGAGAAAUAUAUAUAUAUAGGAGUGCUAUACCAUUACUACUGCCCUGAACCAAGAAAUUUAACAAACUUAAAAAGCUUUUGUCAUGCUUCUCUUAUGUUCUAACUCAUCAGCGAGACUUCGCAUCUUGUUUGUACUCCUAGAGAGAGAAAUUACUGCACAAUUAGUCAUAUUUAACUUUAGAAAGCAAUUGACAUGCUAGCGCAAUGAACACAUGUUAUAUUCAUGACAUUGUUUGUUAAGACUAGCACAAUGUAUUAUAGGAGGCAAUUAGUGCUUCAUUCCCUUUUUAUGUAUCCAAAUCAUAAAAUGAGAGUACAAAAUGUAAAAAUUCCAUUGAGGAUGCUAAUUAAAAAGGAACCUGGCUACUCUUGCAUUAUCUGAAAAAAGGUAAGCAAUUAAUCCCGUAAGAAAUGAGAUAACUUUGUUAAGACAAUGAGAUGUAUGUAGUUCAUUAAUUAAGAUCAAAAUGAAUUGCAUUAUUUACAACAAAGGGUUACGAGAUGAAGGGCGGUAGAGUGUACUUACAAUUAAUAUGCAUCAUCAUCACGAUCUGCAAAUAAUGCUAUGUAAUCCUCACGUAACGGAUGUUGGCAAUCUUGGGCCAAUCAAGGCCUAUAUUCUCUUGGCAUCGCUCCUUCAACACAGGGUGACAGCUGUUGAUGACUAGACAACGCAGUGAAGUAGGCAGAUCUGGAAGUGACUGGAUGAGAUUAGCAUCUUCCACACCCAAAAUGACGAGGGAGCACAGUUUUGUCAUGCUGCGGGGUAGGGACUGAAGGGAGCGUGCAUUCCGUAUGCAUAAUUGUUCGAGGGCAGCGUGAUUUUGUAGUAGCCAUUCCUCAGGUAAGGAGGCGAGUCGCGAAGCAUCAGAGAGAGUCAACGAGCAGACGGAGGAGAGACUUCUCAAUGGCUCCAUGAGCAGGAGCGCGUGGUGGUCAAUUGAUAGUAAACCAUUCUUCAAAAAGCAGUCCAGUACUGUAUUCUUUUUUUGGCCGACAUCGUUUGGGAACGGAGGCUGCAGCAGAAGGGCAACUUCAAUUAGCUUGUCACACCCUUCAAUAUCUAAAGAACGGAGCGAUACGAGAGCUUGUAUUCCACCAAAUGAUGACAGUUCUUUGCAGUUCUUUAUGUCUAAGCGGGAAAGCAUCGUCCACCGUGCACACACUUGUGCCGGGGGAAGGGAUGCUAUACUUGCACAAUCGAGUAAUUCCAACCAUAUAAGAGAGGUUAAAUCCGCUGACCACAGCAGUGGCACCUCGAGGUCGCCAAAUGACCAAAUAGUGAGAUGACCGAGUACAGAGGGCAGUUCGAUGUCUGAGAUCCUACGUUUUGUCAACUUCGGGCAAUUUUCUAUGUGCAAGGUUUUCAUGGCUUUGAAUUUCCCAAAAAGCUCCGAUGGAACAUAUUCGAUCUUCUUACAGUGUCUGAUGACUAAGCUUUCAAGAGCCUGAAAAUGUUCUUGCUACCGCAAGAAAGAAAAGAAAAGAUAUUUAAGUCUGGGCAAUCACAGCCAUGUAAAUACGAAUUGGUGUUUGGAUACAAGGGUAAAGUUUAAAUUGCCCCCGUGUGAUUUAACUCAUUUUAAACUUGCCACCUUGCAGUUCAAAAAGUUUUACUUUGCCCUCCUGUAGUUUAAUUUUUAUUUCAUCAAAAAAGUUCUAUAUGAAAUAGUGUGGCCAAUUAAAAAUAUUUAAAAAAUACUUUUUGAACUACAGGGAGGGGGGUGCAAAAUGAUACUUUUUUGAACUACAGGAGGGGCAAGUGAAAAUGAGCUAAACCUCAGGGGAGAAAUUUAAAGUUUACAAAAUAAAGCACUUACAUUGUUGUUUGCGUAAUCUUGAUUUAUUGUUGGAAAAGCGAUCAAUCCGACAUUAUAAAUAUGCAAAUCUCUUAGACCAUAAUGCAGAGUAGGAAUUCCCCUCAAAUUAGGGCAAUCAGAAAUAGACAUAGACUGAAGUUGAGGAAACAUGCACCUAUCAUCAAUUCCAAUCCACUCCUCCAAGUUAGGCAUGUCCCAUAACAAUAACAUCUUCAACGAUGGAAAGGCACAUCCACUGUUGCUUCCAAAGAAUGAACAAUCUAUUUGCUUUACUGUAUGCAGUCCCUGCAAGAAAAGGUGCCGGAGCGAAGAAAACUGCCAAAGAGGCGGGAGCUGCUCCCAUCUUUUACAAUCAAUUAGUUCGAUGGAUGUCAAAUUGACAAGAGACAGAUUUGUCAUCCAACAUGGAGAUUUAGCACCGUGGUAUUGUUCAAUGCGCAUUUUCUUGAGAUUGAUAUGUGGACAGAGGUUAUCGAGGAGCUGCUCAUCCGCUUCUGCACUAUUGGAGUGGCCUUCGGACCAUCGCAAUCCCAACGAUUUGAGAUAUUCUUUCUCAUUCAGCUUGGCCUCUGUAGCUUCUUCAGAAGUCCUCACAUUUUCAAGUUUCAUAAUACACAGGUGAUGAAGGUCCCUGAGGUUCUUGAGUUCACCGAUUUUGUAACCACUCUUCUCUCGGACAACAAAAUUUUGUAAUUUGUGGAUGAAAGGUAGUUUGCUAAUAUAAGGAAUAUUUUCUAUCACAUGAUAGGGAACAUCUAAUGAACGCAAAUUGACCAAGUUGGUCAAGCCAUCAUAUUCAAUACUUUCAUUCACAACUUUCCAUAGUGAAAGAGAUAGGUAGCGGAGGUGUAUCAAGCUACUAAGUGCAUUGGGCAGUUUAUAAGAGUGAAAAUUCACAUCUAAGAUCAAUAAGCGUANGAUCAGCCAUUCAACUAUCAGGUCCCUCUCCUCGUCUCGUCCGAGCACCUCACUUUCGGUUAGCAAGGAGCUAGUCUCGCGAGCAUUCUUAAUUUCCUCGAGUUUCUGACACUUAACGCGAGGGCCAUAUAACCCAGUAACAAGAUGAAGGAGUGGCCCCAUACCAGCAAUGACCCGAUCCAACCCCUUGACGGCCUCCCUCAACCGCUUCAGUGUGUCAUCGCUAAAUAUACGAUUAACGAAACUAUCAAACUUUCUCUUGCAGUUAGAUAGAAUACCACGCACCUUGUCAUCUCGAUCUUGUAUAGUCUUCUGUAACUCGUAGUACUCCAGCUCGUCGAGCACGUCCUCCGCAUUCUCCACGGCGUCUCUGAGCUGCCACAGCCACGUUUCCAGCGCCUUGUUCUGCACCAUGACCGGUGCACCCCCCUCGACCGCAGUCAAGACUGCCUGGACCUGCGGAAGUGUGUGCUGCAGCCUUUCGAGCUCGUCUUGCAUGCCGCAGGCUGCCGGGCAUGCCUCGAGGUAGGAUGAGCAAGUGCUAACGAGAUUCUCAAUGAUUGCCGACGCCGCCGAUUCGGCUAUGAAAGUUAAAGCCAUAAUCCUCCGAAUAGCUCUAUCUCCUACUACUUCACCACUACUCAGGCAAAUGAGGAUCGGGAAGUUGAGCGUGCAAAGAAGAAGGAUUAAUUUAGGAGGAGAUAUAAUACAAGCUGUAGAAAAAAGUGGCACGUUUUGGAAAAAACACCACAUCUCUAGAUAUUUUAGACUUUGUCGGAAUUGAGUGAUAUGUACCUUGAGAAAAUAUGAUGAAAAAAACAUUUGAUUUAUAUCUGUAAAAAAGAAAUUGUCAUAUAUAAUUUUUGCAGCGAAAAAUAUAGAACCAUUUCUCCGCACACUUUUCUUCUAACUCCUUUUUUUUUUUUCCAUUAUUUGUUUAGACCCUAUCCGGAUACAUAAAUUUGUUAUUUAGUAUAUCUUCGUGAUAUACUUAAUAAGUUUAUACAUCUGGUGGAUGGAGAAUGUGAUUAAAUGUUUAAAAUUGGGUACUAAGUACAUUUAGCCUUCGAGUUAUUUUUUAGGAUAAAUAAAUCAUUUCAUAUUUGAAAUAUGUUAUGCUAUUACCUUUUUUUUUUAUAAUGAUACUAAAAAUUUUCAUGCCGAAUAAAUUAUUCUUAAAUAUUUUAUUUCGGCUUCCAAACAAGCCCUAAAUUUUUUUCUAUUUAAAUCAAAUCCACACCUAGAGCUCCUUAAAAAGCUUUAAGCCCAAAUAUAACAACAUUUUCCAAUGACUUAAGCUUUCGAAGAAUAAUGAUUGCUUCAUAUUAUUUAACAUAAUAUCAGAAUGAGAGAUUCCAAAUUUGAAUCCCACCGGACCCUUGCCUCAUAAUUUCCACUUAUUUAACUCAACGUACGUACUUGAAGGCGGGAGCAUUAGAGCAUAUAAAAAAAGAUUCAAGCCCAACCAUACGGAGGAAUGCUGAACAUAAUUAUUAAAAAAAAUAUCAGUAUGUAAUAAUUUAAGCUUUUAGAGAUAGCUGGUUGUUUCGCAAUUUUUAACAAGGUAUAUAAUACAUAGCAAAGAUAUAUAAAAUGGGGAGCAGUAGUUUCUCGAAUGUUUCUGAGAAAAAGAGAGGAAAUGAAAUUAAGUUUCAUAGAGAAGACUUAUACAAGUCAAAGUGCAAGAAAUUUGCCCCCCUUCCGUAACUACCAACCAAACUCAAUUAUUGCAUAUAACUACAUCAUAUACACGGCAUUUCUAAAAGUCCUUGGUAGAGAUUUUAAUAUUAAAAUUNAGCAGUAGUUUCUCGAAUGUUUCUGAGAAAAAGAGAGGAAAUGAAAUUGAAGUUUCAUAGAGAAGACUUAUACAAGUCAAAGUGCAAGAAAUUUGUCCCCCUUCCGUAACUACCAACCAAACUCAAUUAUUGCAUAUAACUACAUCAUAUACACGGCAUUUCUAAAAGUCCUUGGUAGAGAUUUUAACAUUAAAAUUUAUAUUAAAAUACAAAAAAAAAAUUCUGUAAAUAAUUAUUUUUUAUUUUUUUGAUUUUAAAAGAUUUAUAUUUUGUCUGCUUAAAAUUUCAGAUUUGUUUUAAGACAGUUACGGCAUUAACCAACUAGGUGAAAUGACAAAACUACCGUUAUUCAUUCUGGAGAGAAAAAAUAAUUUUUAAUAUAUUUUCAGCAUUUUUAAUCACGUAUUCUGUAUAUCUAGUUAUGAAUUAUAAGAAAUAGAUGGAAAAGUGACGGAACGCUGACGGUAGGAACCAAGUGUAUAAACUUGAAAUUUUGAGAACCAAAAAUGAAAAUUUUUGAAAAUUAGUAGAAGAAGGUGAAAAGACGAAUAUUUAUAGAAAAAUAUUCUGUAUUACUCUAAAAUUUAACUAGUGCUUUACGGCCGCAUUAUAGACAAUUAUUGAUUUUUUUUAUUUUACUUGAUGUUACUGUAAUAAGUUUUUCCCCAUAUCUUGUUAUCUUUUUAGGAAAAACUUCAAAAAACCUCCUGUGGUUUCGCACUUUCUCACUUUAGUAUCCUGUGGUUUAAAGUAUAUCAAUUUGCCCUUCUGUGGUUUUAUUUUUAUCUUUUCGGCGGCUUUUUUCUUAAUAUUUUGUUAAAUUAUAUACAAAAAACUUCAGAUACUCAUCUAGAUUUAUCGAAUAUUUAUUUUAGUAUCCUUUAAUUUUAACUUUGUAACUUAUUUAAGAAAAAAUAAUAAUAAAAUUGAUAAUAAAAAGAAAAAAACGAAACCAUAGGGAGACAAAUUGAUACACUUUAACGGUACUAAAAUAAAAAAGUGCGAAACCACCUGGUGAUUUCUGAAGUUAUCCCUUUUUUUUUUUAUAUAUAUAGUCCCUUUACUGUUCUAGAUCACAUUAGUUGAAUUGGGCUCGGGUUUUAAAAGUUACUCGUAAAAAAACUACGUGGAAAUAAUUGCAUAAGGGAAUUAAUUAUUGGCUCCACCUUUUGUAUUUACAUGGUCUAUGCAUAGAAAUUAAAAAAAAAAAAAAAAAUUGACAUUGGUUCCUUAUAAUUAAUUCCCUGUAACACAAUAUAUUUUUACCUUGCCACCUUGUCGUUCAAAAAAUUGCACUCUUUUCUCCUAUAUUAAAUAGCAAAUAUAUUACUACAAAGUUUAACUUUUUAUUUUUAUCUCGGCAAAAGUCCAGUAAUAUUCAUAUUUGCCCCUCUAGUUUGUUACCGUUAGAGUAUUGUUUAUUUAUUUUAACAGAAGAUAAGAAAAAUAACAUUUUUACCCUUACGAAUAUAUCCCUCCAAAAAUUUCCAGAAAUGCCCUCCCAAAAAAUAUUUUAUCCAAUAAUAUAAGAAAAGUAAAAAUAUCAAUUUAACUCAUCCACUAAUCAUGGUUAAAUAUUUUACUCAUGGUUAACGAUAUUUUUUUUAACGGAUCCUAACAGUGGGGAUAUAUUUAAAAACGGUUGGACUUUUUUGCAGGAAUGAAAAUAAAAAAGUUAAACUUUAUAGGAAUAUAUUUGUUAUUCGAUAUGUUUACAGGGAGCUGUAUGCAAUUAGUCCAAAUUUUUAUGUCCAAUGAGGUGGCAAAGUAAAAAAAUUUUGAAAAUAAUUAUAGGACGACAAAAUGAAAAAUGAGCUAAAUCAUAGAGUAGUUAAGUGUAACUUUUUGAACCAUAGGAUGGAAAAAUAAAAAUAAGUUAGGCAAUUUAAAGUUUAUCCUUUUCAAAAUUCAUAAUGUUUCAAAUGUAGGAUCAUACAUAUAAAGGUGCGGUGCAUAGAGUGUACGUGUACACUGGGUACAGGCAAUUGUUUCUCAUAGCACAAAAUGCGCGGUGAUUUGGUUACACAUAAAGCUACUACAAAUAAUUUUAUUGAAACAUUAAAUUAUAGAAAAAAAAAAAUUAGCACUCAAUGGUUUUAAUCAUCUUAUGGACAAAUAAAACUGAAUCAACCUACAGCUAAGGAGCUGUUCAAUGCAGCGUACUCAGUAUCGACAGAAUAAUUAUUGCUUCAUAUUAUCUAACAUAAUAUCAGAAUGAGAGAUUUCAAAUUUGAAUCCCACUGGACCCUUGCCUCAUAAUUUCCACUUAUUUAACUCAACGUAUGUACUUCAAGGCAGAAGCAUUAGAGCAUAUAAAAAAAGAUUCAAGCCCAACCAUACGAAGGAAUGCUGAACAUAAUUAUUAAAAAAAAUAUCAUUAUGUAACAAUUUAAGCUUUUAAUAGAGAUAGCUGGUUGUUUCGCAAUUUUUAACAAGGUAUAUAAUACGUAGCAAAGAUAUAUAAAAUGGGGGCAGUAGUUUCUCGAAUGUUUCUGAGAAAAAGAGAGGAAAUGAAAUUGAAGUUUCAUAGAGAAGACUUAUACAAGUCAAAGUGCAAGAAAUUUGUCCCCCUUCCGUAACUACCAACCAAACUCAAUUAUUGCAUAUAACUACAUCAUAUACACGGCAUUUCUAAAAGUCCUUGGUAGAGAUUUUAACAUUAAAAUUUAUAUUAAAAUACAAAAAAAAAAUUCUGUAAAUAAUUAUUUUUUAUUUUUUUGAUUUUAAAAGAUUUAUAUUUUGUCUGCUUAAAAUUUCAGAUUUGUUUUAAGACAGUUACGGCAUUAACCAACUAGGUGAAAUGACAAAACUACCGUUAUUCAUUCUGGAGAGAAAAAAUAAUUUUUAAUAUAUUUUCAGCAUUUUUAAUCACGUAUUCUGUAUAUCUAGUUAUGAAUUAUAAGAAAUAGAUGGAAAAGUGACGGAACGCUGACGGUAGGAACCAAGUGUAUAAACUUGAAAUUUUGAGAACCAAAAAUGAAAAUUUUUGAAAAUUAGUAGAAGAAGGUGAAAAGACGAAUAUUUAUAGAAAAAUAUUCUGUAUUACUCUAAAAUUUAACUAGUGCUUUACGGCCGCAUUAUAGACAAUUAUUGAUUUUUUUUAUUUUACUUGAUGUUAGUGUAAUAAGUUUUUUCCCAAAUCUUGUUUUUUUUUUUUAGGAAAAACUUCAAAAAACCCCCUGUGGUUUCGCACUUUCUCACUUUAGUAUCCUGUGGUUUAAAGUGUAUCAAUUUGCCCUCCUGUAGUUUUAUUUUUAUCUUUUCGGCAGCUUUUUUCUUAAUAUUUCGUUAAAUUAUAUACAAAAAACUUCAGAUACUCAUCUAGAUUUAUCGAAUAUUUAUUUUAGUAUCCUUUAAUUUUAACUUUGUAACUGAUUUAAGAAAAAAUAAUAAUAAAAUUGAUAAUACAAAGAGAAAAACGAAACCAUAGGGAGGCAAAUUUAUAGACUUUAACGGUACUAAAGUAAAAAAGUGCGAAACCAUAGGGUGAUUUCUGAAGUUAUCCCUCUUUUUUAUAUAUAGUCCCUUUACUGUUCUAGAUCACAUUAGUUGAAUUUAGCUCGGAUUUUAAAAGUUACUCAUAAAAAAACUACGUGGAAAUAAUUGCAUAAGGGAAUUAAUUAUUGGCUCCACCUUUUGUAUUUACAUGGUCUAUGCAUAGAAAUUAAAAAAAAAAAAAAAAAUUGACAUUGGUUCCUUAUAAUUAAUUCCCUGUAACACAAUAUAUUUUUACUUUGCCACCAUGUCGUUCAAAAAAUUGCACUCUUUUCUCCUAUAUUAAAUAGCAAAUAUAUUACUACAAAGUUUAACUUUUUAUUUUUAUCUCGGCAAAAGUCCAGUAAUAUUCAUAUUUGCCCCUCUAGUUUGUUACCAUUAGAGUAUUGUUUAUUUAUUUUAACAGCAGAUAAGAAAAAUAACAUUUUUACCUUUACGAAUAUAUCCCUCCAAAAAUUCAUUACACAGAAAUGCCCUCCCAAAAAAUAUUUUAUCCAAUAAUAUAAGAAGGGUAAAAAAAAAAAAAAAAAAAGAAAAUAAUUAUAGGACGACAAAAUGAAAAAUGGGCUAAACCGUAGAAUAAUUAAGUGUAACUUUUUGAACCAUAAGAUGGGAAAAAAAAAAAAAAAAAAAAAGUUAGGCAAUUUAAAGUUUACCCUUUUCAAAAUUCAUAAUGUUUCAAUUGUAGGAUCAUACAUAUAUAGGUACGGUGCAUAGAGUGUACGUGUACACUGGGUACAGGCAAUUGUUUCUGUAGCACAAAAUGCGCGGUGAUUUGGUUACACAAAAAACUACUAAAAAUAAUUUUAUUGAAACAUCAAAUUAUAGAAAAAAAAAAAUUUGCUACUCAAUGGUUUUAAUCAUCUUAUAUAGCAAAUAAAACUGAAUCAACCUACAGCUAAGAGAGCCAUUAAACUAAACAAAAUUUUCACUUCAACAAGCUAAAGUAACUCCGAAAAAAAACGAAGUUAAGAUGGUGUAAAGUAAACCAAAAAAAAAANACAACUGCAUGCCGAAAUGGUCCCACAUCAUCAAAAUUCUGAUCUGAAGCUCGGAAAAUCAGAAUCAAAACCAAACUUAUACAGAUUGAAGACUGAACUGAACAUGAACAACAACUGCCGAAAAUGAUCCCACAUCGUCAAAAUUCUGAUCUGAAGCUCGUUAUUUUCGUUAAAUUAAGCAAAUGCAAUCACUUUAAGCAGCAAAUAAAGUGAUGUCCUGCUGUCUUGCCAUUAGUAAUGUAAUUAAUUAUACUUCUCUACUAAGAAAUCAGAUUAGUCCCACAACUUACACUCAAAAUAUUCUUUAUCCUGCUAUUUGGUCUCCUAGGGAAGAUUAAUUAAGCAGAAAAACAGAAUAACCAGUAAAAUUAAGCUACAUUAAAGACACUAAUCACAUUAUAUAUAUAGGCUACGUACAUGUAGUAGUCUUAUUCCAAUCCUGCACCAAGAAAAAUAGGAGAGAAUAUGUACACAAAUUAAGCAGUAAAACUUUAACCAUCCUUCAUAACAAGGACGAAAUCGAUAGACGAUAGUAAUAGGAGGGCUUUUAAUUCAUACACCACUGAGAACAAAAAGAAAAUACAAAUACAUAGGCAGUUUACUUGGUCUUGUUACAUUCAUAUAUAUAGAGAAAUCGAUAGAGUCUUUAAUUCAUUCUCGCACCACCAAACAUAGAACACAAACAGCAAUACUUCAGUUUUUCUGUGCAAUUAAUACGUAAUGAAUCUAAAGUUUGUUUAAAAAAUGCAAAGAAAGUAAAAGUAUGACACUGCAGGAUGUAGGUUGCAAGUUGAUGCCUGCUAGAGCAUAGCCCUCAUUUUCCUCUUACCAUAAGUCGAUGGAAUCUUCUCGCGACAGCUGAAAAAAUGUAAAGAAAGUAAAUGUAAGAUACUCCAAAUGUCGAUUCAACCUGCACUAAAAACUAAGAAAAGUUCAACAUUUAAAAGUACGAUUUAUACUGCUGAAAUUGAGUUCCCAAGUUUAAUCUGGGUGCUUGUUGUACUGCUAAAAAACCAAUAAUAGUUUGAAACACAUUUUAAAGCAAUGUUUAACAGCUUCAUUGGAUAAUUCACAAGACAAAACAAGCUUAUGACCCGGCUAUGAGAUUUGUUAUUUGUACAGGUGUCACGCCCCAAACCCAAGGCAUAACAGAUGCCGCAUAUUUACUAAAUUAGUAAAUAUGCAAGGCUACAGAAUCAGACAAAUAAUAUACAAAAGAUGAUUAUAAAAAUAGAAAUCCAAACUGUCGAAAGAUGAGGUCAACAAUUUAAUUUCAACUAGAGUCAAGAAAAUCACAUAUAAGCAGAACUAUAAUUUAUUAUGCCAAUCAAACAAAAUUUAGUCUAACUAGUGCUCUAAAUAACAAAUAUGGGUACGAUGAAAUAACAAGGUAGAAACAGAUAGACAAUGAUUAUCUACGAAGUUCAAAGUUCAUGUCUAAAUGCAAAAGAAAUAAGACGAAGAGGUUAGAAUCAAAUCUAGCUACAUCUAACGUUCACUCACUCCCAGCCCCGCCCUGCGAAUCGGUCUCAGUACCUGGGUAAGCAACCAUACACCACAUUAGUCGGAUUAAGCAUACAAAUAAAUAGAUACACAAAUUAAUUCAAGCGACUGGUUUUAAUUUGCAAAAUUUAAGAAAACAAGAAUUUAUCAAAACUUCAAAUUCAGAUCGGAUUGAAAUUAUAAUUUUUCAAAGCAUUUCCCUUUCGACAUAUAAACAAAAUAAAUAUUGUCUCCGGCACUUAACUAUAUCUUAUGAUCCGUUGGCGAGAUCCAAAGACACCCGAAGGCGUAAACAAAGCAUAGGCACCCGAAGGCGCAAACAAAACAGAGGCGCGGAUAGGCGCGGGCACCCGAAGGCGCGAACAAAACAGAGGCGCGGAUAGGCGCAGGCACCCGAAGGCGCAAACAAAGACGAAGCUUGCUUCUAUAACAAAGUACAUGUCGAAAUGGCCAACAUUGCAUAGCAGAAUACCAAGAGACAUCAUAAUUCAAAAUAUAUCCAGUCACUAAUUUGCAGAAUAAAUUAUCAGAUUUCAAAAAUUCUUUUUGCUAAACGAACUUGUCAAUCACAAUUGAAACUCAAUAUACAGAGAUAUUUAAUAAUAUGCUUAACCCUUAAUUUUAAAUUCUACAAAAUAAGAUUUCCAUACAAUCAAAAUAUUUUCCUAAAUUAUCUUACAAAAACUAAUGGGUGUUCGGUCGCUUACCUUAACACAGCUUCAAAGAUAAAAGAUAUCCAGUCAAAAUUGUGCAGAAAAUCGAUCGUCGGAAUCUAAAAUAGAAACACGCGAUUCUCUAUAAGCUAACUAAAAUGAACAUGCAAGGAUAAUAUAAUUAUAUGCAACUAGGUCGGGAUGGGGCACAAAAGGAUUUAGAACAAUAAAUUCGACGAACCUCCAAUAGCGAUCAAAAGGAUGAAGGAGUUUUUGAAGAAUUUAAAUUAUUCCAAGAAGAUAACAUGAACAGGAAUUUAAAUAAUAAACAAAGACUUUAAUAUUCAAACAGAGGGUUUAAUACAUAUAUAAAAUAAUUUUUUACAAUUAUAAUCGAAUGGGAUCAAAAUUAGAGAUAAAACGGCGCACGCCUUCUGUUAGGCAUUUUAUCGAGCAUAUUACCGACAUUCCAAUAGGUGAGUAGUAUGUGAAGUAUUAAGCAACAAGAUCAUACAGAGAGGUUGGAUGAUCACAAGAUCCGAUACAAAGGUAAAAUGAGGGAAGGAGAAAAAAAUCUUCUCGAAAACGGUGAAGCCGAUGGUAAGAUUCCGUCGAUAACGAACCAAAAGAAAAUAAUGGCCAAUGAGAAAUGCGGUGGAGGCGGCUACGGAUGACAGCGACGACGAUAGGGAGCGGAUGGCGUCGCGCGUGCACAAGGGGAGUGGCAGAGGUCGUACGGGCGUAGAGAUGAGAGGGGGAUCGAGCGAAAAAGAGAGAGGUGGAUCGGGUGGGGGGCCUAAUUAGUUAGGGACUAAUUAAGCAACAAAAAGCCACCGAGUCCCUCGAAGAUCCGAAAUUACGAAAAGGUCCAAACCUAAAGUAAAUUGGAGUCAAAACAAAAACUUAAAAGUGUGGGGUGUUACAACAGGAAUCAAGUACAAAAUUAUCUUUAGUAUAUAUGCAUAUAUAUCAAGGAGAAACAAAAUUGAAGCAUUCAACCUCCCUGCUGCACAACAGAGCAAUUUCUUUCUUAAAGAUUUUACAUUAGUUUGGUCAUAGACACACACACAUACACACACACAAAGAAACGCAUGGAAUCUUACUCUGAUCCUGCACCAACAAAACUGAAGAACACAAGCAUGCAAUAAGAAAUUAGUCUUUCUUUUUCAAUAUUCUUAUGAAUAUAUAAAUUGAUAGACCAUGACCAUGUAUGAGAGUCAUAUAUAUAUGAGUCCAAUACUAAUUAAUAGAAGAACAUAAGCAGUAAGACUAUAGCCAUCUAUUGCUCCUAUAAUGAAAUUGAUAGACUACGAUAUGAGGUUUUUUUUUUUUUUUUUUUUUUCAACUCAUGCACUGAAAAACAAAAAACAGAAGAGAGAAUAAGUACAAAUUAGUAUGAUUUUAAUCUCGUUUUGUGCCUGAUAAUUAAAGAAAAAACAUAUUUGAGCGCCAAUAGAGAGUCCUAUUCCUUACAUGUUCCUCUACUACCAAAAUAGAACAUAAGCAGCUAAACUUUACUCUUGUUUUAUAUUCUUGAACAAAUUGAGUGAAAUAUAUAUAGGAGUGUUAUAACGUUACUGCAGUCCUGCACCAAGAAAUUAAAAUAACUCGAAAGCUUUUGUCGCGCGCGCGUCUCUUAUGUUCUAACUCAUCUUCACUGGACAAUUAGUCAUAUUUUUUGACUUUAGAAAGCAAUUGAUAUACUAACAACAUAUGUUAUAUUCAUUGCAUUGCUUGUUUUACAAGACCAAUCCGUCCUGUGAGCACAACAUCAUGUAUUAAUUAUAGGGUGCAAUUAAUUAGCGCUAUAUUCCCUUAUUAUGUAUACAAACCAUAAAGUAUAAGGGUAAAAAAUAUAAAAAAUUCCUAAUGGAGGAUGCUAAUUAAAGUCGAACCUGACUGCUGUUGCAUUAUUUGGGAAAAGAAGGUACGAAAUCCUGAAACAAAUUAGAUAACCUUGUUAAUUAAGAUCGAACGAGAUGUAGCUCAUUAAAAUCGAAAUGAAUUGCGUUAAUCGCAGAGAGUAUAUAGCAGGGGCGAGAUGAAGGAUGGUAAAGUAAACAUACAAUUUCGUCAUCGUCACUCUGCAACUGUUCAAUCCUCACGUCAGGGAUGUUGGCAAUCUUGGGCCAAUCAAGGCCAGCAUUCUCUUGGCAUCGCUCCUCCAACACAGGGUGACACCCGGCGAUGCGUAGAACAUGCAGUGAAGUAGGCAGAUCUGGAAGAGACCGGAUGAGAUUAGCAUUCAGUACUUCUAAACACUCGAGGGAGCAUAGUUUUGUCAUGCUCUGGGGGAGGGACUGAAGGGAGACUGCAUUCCCUAUGCGUAAAACUUUGAGGGCGGCGCAAUUUUGCAGUAGCCAUUCCUCAGGUAAGCUGGUGAGUCCCGAAGCACGAGAGAUAGUCAACGAGCUGACGGAGGAGAGACUUCUCAAUGGCUUCAUGAGCAGGAGCGCGUGGUGGUCAAUGAAUAGGCUGCCAUUCUUCAAAAAGCUGUUCGCUGCAUUCUUUUUUUGGCCGACAUCGUUCGGGAACGGAGGCUGCGGCAGCAGGGCAGCUUCAAUUAGCUUGUCACACCCUCUAAUUUUUAAAUAACGGAGGGAUAUGAGAGCUUGUAUUCCACCAAAUGAUGACAGCUCUUUGCAGUUCUUUAUCUUUAAAAUAAAAAGCAUCGUCAACUGUGCACACACUUGUGCUGGGGGAAGGGAUGUUAUGCUUGCGCAAUCGACUAAUACCAAAGAGAAAAGAGAGGUUAAAUUUGGUAAUGACUGGAGCAAUGGCACCUCAAGGUCACCACAUGACCCAAUAGCGAGUCCAUUGAGUAUAGAGGGCAGUUGGAUGUCCGAGAUCCCUUGUUUUGUCAACUUCGGGCAGUUAUGUAUACGCAGCAAUUUGAGGGUGUCGAAUUUCUGAAAAAACUCUGUUGGAACAUAUUCGAGCUUUUCACAUUGUUCGAUGACUAACCUUUCAAGACCCUGAGAAUGUUCUUGCCGCCGGAAGAAAGAAAAGACGUAAAAGAUAUUUAAGUCCGGGCAAUCAUAGCCGUGCAAAUACGAAUUGGUGUUUUAAUAUAUGGGUAAACUUCAAAUUGUCCCCCGUGUGAUUAAACUCAUUUUCACCUCAUCCACCUUGCGGUUCAGAAAGUUUAUUUUGCCCUCCAGUGGCUUAAUUUUUAUUUCAUCAAAAAAUUCUAUAUGAAAUAGCAUGGCAAAUUAAAAAUGUUAAAAGAAAAUCAUAGGAUAGCAAAGUAAAAAAUGAACUAAACCAAAGAAGGCAAAGUGUAAUUUUUUGAACCACGGGAUGACAAAGUGAAAAUAGGCUAAGCCACUGGGGGGAGGGGGCAAAGUGAUACUUUUUGAACUACAGGAGGGCAAGUGAAAAUGAGCUAAACCUCGGGAGAAAUUUGAAGUUUAUAAAAUAAAGCACUUACAUUGUUGUCUGCGUAAUCCUGAUUUAUUGUUGGAAGAGCAGUCAAUCCAACAUUUGAAAUUUCCAAUUGUCUUAGACUAUAAGGCAGAGUAGGAAUUUCCCUCAAAUUAUGGCAGUCAAAAAUACUCAUAGAAUGAAGUUGAGGAAACAUGCACCUGUCAUCUACUCCAAUCCACUCCUCCAAGUUAGGCAUGUCCGCAAAGAAUAAAUCCUUCAAUGAUGGAAAGGCACAUCCACGGCUGCUUCUGAUGAAUGAACAAUCUAUUUGCUUUAUUGCAUGCAGUCUCGACAACCAAAGAUAUUGGAGCGAAGAAAACUGCCCGAGAGGCGGGAGGUGCUUCCAUCCUUUACAAUCAAUCAGUUCGAUGGAUGUCAAGUUGACAAGAGACAGAAUUGUCAUCCAACAUGGAGAUUUAGCACCUUGGUAUUGUACAAUGCACAUUUUCUUGAGACUGAUAUGCGGGCAGAGGUUAUCGAGGAGCUGUUCAUCUGCCUCUGCACAAUUGUAGCGGUUUGCGGACCAUUGCAAUGACAAUGAUUUAAGAUAUUUUUUCUCGUUUAAAUUGGCCUCAAUUGCUUCUUUAGAACUCACAUUUUCAAGUUUCAUAAUACACAGGUGACGUAGGUCCCUGAGGUUCUUUAGCUCAGUGAUUUUGUAACCACUUUCCUCUCGGACAAUAAAAUUUUGUAAAUUGUGGAUGAAAGGUAAUUUGCUAAUAUAAGGAAUUUUUUGUAUCACACGAUCAAGAACAUCUAAUGAACGCAAAUUGACCAAGUUGGUCAAGCCAUUAUAUUCAAUACUUUCAGUCACAACUUCCCCUAUUGAAAGAGAUAGGUAGCGAAGGUGUAUCAAGCUACUAACUGCAUCAAGCAGUUUAUAAGAGUCAAAAUUCACAUCUAAGAUCAAUAAGCGUAACUUUUUAAACCCUUUUAUAACCUCGAUAAAUUCAAGUGCAUGAUCUGCAUUAUGCUUAUUAUCCUCUUUAACAGAAAUGACUAGAGUGCGCACAUUCUUAAGAUUGGAGAUCUCUCUGAUGGAAAGAAAAUUGACCAUUUCAACAGAUAAAUGUCGAACUGUCUGUGGAAUAGUAAUUCCUGAAACAUCACCUCCUACUCUGAUGCAUUCUCCUAGAGAAACUGAUUGUGUUAGGUCAUGCAGCAGAUCGUGCAUAAAAUACUUUUUAGUAAUUUCCACCCUAUUAUCAUGGGUUUUACAGGUAAAGAAUGAUUUUCUUGUCAGAAGAUUUAAAUACUCCUUUCCGAUAUCCUCUGCCCUUUCCCUGCCACAAAUAGAUUGCGGAAUCAGACCUGAACCAAUCCACAUAUUGACUAACUUUUUCCUCUUAAAUAUAUGAUCCUGCGAAAAUAAACUACAAUAUCUAAAGCAGAGUUGUAAGUUUGUGGGUAAGUGAUCGUAGCUUAAUCUCAAAAUUGUCAUGAUAUCGUCCUUUCCUUGUUGUAAUUUCAUGAUGUCUUCUUCCAAGAUUUUCUUCCACUGUUCAUAGUCUAUACGGGAAUUCAGUAUUCCUCCCAUGAUCUUUAUAACCAAUGGGCUUCCUCCAAGUUUCUUCACUAUUUGCUCACCGAUCAGCUGCAGGUUUUUAUAAUCACCAGGGUUCACAUCGAGGAAUGCAUGCUUAUUGAAAAGCGACAUACAGUCGCUCUCCUCCAACUCAUUUAGAUUUAAUGAUUCCCAUUUGCAUUUCAUCACUUUUGCCGCCAUAUCCGCAACUGAGCCCAUCCGAGUUGUCAACAGGAUCUUGCUUCCUCUCUGUCCGAAUUUCAAAGGAGCAACCAAUUUCUCCCACUCCGCCAUUUUAUCAUCGUUCCAAACAUCAUCCAGUAUGAGCAAAAACCUCUUCGACGUNGCAACAUCACAAUUUAGACACCACAGGAGAGAAAAGACAUGACACCACACGAAAGUUCUUUGGUUUCAUCUGAGACACAGCGCAAGGAAAGAGGCGAGGACAACACCAAGUUUGAAGUUAUUCACGGUGAAGUAGCGCCGUAGGCCCCGGAGACCCCCAAAUUAUUGGACGACCAGGAGCUUUGUAAAGAGGACGUUACUUCGAUAGAAGGCUUUAGUGAGCGAGUGGGAAGUCGAUUGAGUGGAGGGUUCGCCUUUCUGAAAGAAGGAUAGAUUGCAGAUGCCCGGCGGAUGAACCCUCCCUUUCCUUCUGAAGACAAGUCUUGAGGAAAGGGAGUUGCUCUGAACGUGACCGUCGACCCAUUAUACACCCCUGAAGUUAAAAUGGUUUUUAGUUCUCCUCUCCUUUCCUUCAUGAACCUCGAGGUCUCGGUGUCGAUACAAGACACUGGAGUAGAGAUUGUACCGCCAGUAUCUGAAUGGGUAGAGGUUAGUCUACAAGUGAACCAGCUUAUACGUUGCGUCUGGAUCGGAACGAUUUGAACUGUCCAAGGAAUAAAGUUGCCUGACCCUGGUUUCGAUAGGAGAUUCAUUCCAGUUUCGGGAGGGAGCCUAGUGAAGGCUAGUGUGUGGAUAGCAAAAUAGAUGGCCCGAGGUAGGCGGCUGGGCCUUCAAAUCUAAGCUCGCGCAGACCGAAAGAUUCCUCCUGGAGUGGUGAUCGCAGGGCGAAACCACCUUACUUCAGUGGGGAUUCUGUAGCCGACAGGAGUGGGAAUGCCGGUUCGAGUCUGUGACAUCUUAGUCUUAAUUCCUUACCACGUUCUGCUUGAAGAUGUCGUAGAGUAGGUGGUUCGCCGUGGACGUCCUUCUUUAGGUUUCGUAGCUGGAUGACCUUCUUGUAAGACAAGAUGGAGUUCUGUAGAACCUGUCUGCCCUGCGGAAUUUUUUGGUCGAGGUCUUUUAAGAAGUCCUGCUCCUUUAAAAUACCUUUAGAUCAAGAUUUGUUAAGACCGAUUUGCUUCCGCUGUUAUUGUGAUUCAAGAAAGUGCGCUAACGGUUGCCCUCUUUUGCGUGGUUACGCUAGCUUCAAUAACUCCUACUUUAUCCUGCCAGAUAAGUGUUGCUUGUUGUUUUUUCCCUGGUGAAGAAAGAAUGGAAGUUCGUAGAAAAACCAGCGCGGCUCCUGGGUACACGUAGAGUGCCUCUAACCUCACCAGAUAUGGUGAGGUUAUCUAAUGAGUUGGGCCUUUGGGAAUGAACGGGCAAGAGAGAGCUACUUCAGUUCUUGCGUUGAAAAGUUGAUCCCUCGCUGUUUCGGGGCCCCGGUCUACCGAAAGGGGAUAAGAAGAAGGUUUGAAAAACCCUCUGGCAGUUCCUCCUGUAAAAGUUGCACAAAGACCUGGAGGUCCUUCUAUUUGAAAAGAGACCGGGCUAACUGAUGAGAAUGCAAACGGAGUAGGGAUUUUUUCUUCCGCGUUCUUUCCACUUGCUAUAAGCGGGUUAUUCAGAGUAAUUACCGUAAGUCUUUUAGUAGAGAUUCCAUAACCGGUUGGCUGAGACAUCACGAGAUGGCUUAUAGUAUAGGGGUAGCGUUAGUCGGAAGUAGUUUUUAGCUGUUGAACGUCUGAGGAAACAGUGACGAUCACUCGAUUAGUUAACCACGUGGUUUAGCCCGUGGCUUCCCCAUUCGUAAUUCCAUCUGAAGCUUUUUCGAAAGCUAUUGUAGUUUACCUGGAAGGAGGUUUUCUAGGACGUCACCGAGCCGAAGUCGCUAUUUACCACCCGGACCUAUCUUGUUACGUAAACGUUGCGGUUCCACCGGUAGGAGCAGUUACUGUUGGGCUGUUUUACCGAGUUUUGAUUUUUUCCGGAAUCUGUCCCACUAGGAGAUAGAGGAAUGGAAAAGUAGGAGCACCGACUGACAGACUGGUCUGAUUGGCUUCGACGAUCCCGAUUGUUGAACGACGUGCCUUAGCCAGGUCCACUUCUGACAGCUUGUUGCGAGGAUGUUAUACGCCUGCUGUGUUAGAAAAAGACGCUUGGCGCUUUUGCGAUGUACGCUUUGGAGGAUAAGCAAACCUUUUAGAAACUUACCCGGAGACCAAAUGCUUAGUUGUUCGUUUUCUGCCUUAAUAAGAUGUAACCACGGCUGGAUUGGUUCGCCCUGUCUGAUCGAUUGUAGAAUCCAACAGUUCAUCCGUCAGGCGAAAAAGCAAUGAACCCCGACGGGGAGGUGUUGUUCGGGGAGGUAUUCCUUCUAACCUGUUAAUAGUAGUUAGCGUAUCCGAGCGCUUAACUGCCUACCUUUCGAUUUAACGAUAGCGUUCCCCCAUCUGAAUAAGAAUAGUUGAGCCAUGAUAGCUUGAAUGGCGAGAAGAUAGACAGUUAGAAGUUCCGCGGAGUAACCCACAAUAGGUCUUAACUUCGGGAUGCAUCUCGGAAGAAGACCUUUCCUACGAGGUUUUAGAGACCGCCUCGUACGGAACAAUUGACCUUUUGCUAGACAUUUUCGUUCGUACUUCCCCCCGACCCCCAAUUUCUAUACCUUCGUUACUUGUAGCGAGAGAACUGGUUUAUCACCACCGCGAAAAAGUGACUCGGUGUGAACGGAACCACAUUGGAGGAGUCUAAAGAUAUGAUGUUCUCCGCCUCUGGUAACGUGCUCCCUUAGCGGAAACGAGGUAUGAGCGUCACCACCUUUCCACACCAAGCCACAGCGCUACACAAAUUUACACCGUAAAGGAUACUAUAACCACUACCUUCGUUGCAGUCUGAGACCUGCCUGUAGACCUACCUCCUUUGUGGCGAGUCGUGACACAAAGGUCCUUAAAAAAGAAGAUAGUCCUUGUUCCUCCGCGCGUAAAGGGUUACGACCUUGGAGGUACCUACCUCUACCGCGAUGUAGACAUCCCCAAAACACCGAAGUCGGAGGAGACUUUUAUCUUCUGUUUAGCCCGACGAUUUCCUAGACGAUGAGGUGAUGUAGGGUUCGUCACCUGGUCUGUGCGGAUUUACCUCUACCUGGAGUGUAGUUUUCAAGUGACAGUUGAGAGAGAUAUUUAAGUAGUGAAUACGUCCGGCUAGACUGGGUUAGUUAGUCGUCGAAACCUUUGAUUUCUAGGGGCAAUUUUAGUUUUAAAAGUAGACCGACGAUGAGGCGUUCUCCGACGAGUGCCGGCUGUCUAACUAUUUGGCACCCUAGGUUCGACUUGGUACAACGCAGAAGACACGAUAAAGGAAUCUUACAACGCUGGUGGAUAAAUCGCUAACGCAGAAGCGGGCAAAAGAAGAAGAUGCAGACCGACUCUAUGGCUCGUCACAAAGCUCACACCUGCAAGCUCUAGCGACCUUGAGAGAUAGUGAAUAGGGACUGCGGUCACAUUCUCGAUUUCCUAAUUGGUACGAACGCCGAUGAACCACCCAACAGACCUAGCUCGCUUUGUCGAAACAGAAGAGAAGCUAGGAAGGCUUGCGACAAUCUCGGAACUUAUCUCGGAGUUGGGACAGGUUGAGAACCUAGAGUGAUGACAUUGGGAAGUUGGAUCCAAAAAAGACAGAAGCGAAGGAGGGGGGACUGGAUAGGGGAGAGAAAACGAAACAGACAAAUGGAGGAAAAUACAUGGAGGAGAGACAGGAAAGAAUUUCCUUCGGAUUCGACGAAGGUAGAACAUGCGAAUCAAGUAAAGAGAAUACUUACUUCGUUCAUCGCACGAUGAAUAAAGAGUUUUUUUUUUAUCGAUUUGUGUGGUCAACUAAGCGGUUUAUUCUGAACUUAGUUUACAGAGUUUUCAGUUUUAAUUAAUUCGUUAUUCACAAUAAUUAAAUAAACGCAAUCCUUAGUAUCUGCGCACUCUUACAUCAAGUAAUCUACUUAUUUUACACGUUAUACAUUAUUAAUAAAGUAAAGUAAAUACUACUAUUCCAACAAUCUUAUAUAUUAAACGGAAAAAAAAUUUCAUUUUCAUAUAUUUCUCUUGGCAUGCAUGUUCCAUGUUGGUUCUUUAACACAUGUAUUUUUUAUUUUACCUGAACAAGAUAUACUAAGAGCUAGAGGAACACCACAUGUCGUUUUACGUGUUACCUGUAUCAUGCACUAAAUAAAAAAAAAAAUAAUAAUAAGAGUACACCUGAGAGAUUUUAUUUUACCAAAAACUUGUUAAGGUUAGGGUACCUAAGCUUAUAGAAAACUACUAGAGUUCACAAGAACACUAUUUUCCUUUUCCUGCAAGAUUGAAAUUUUUAUAGGGGUCCAAGGGAACCAUGUCAAUUAUUGAACGGGUAAUUUAUCUCCCUUUUUUUUUCAUUGUUUAUUUUAUCUAUAAUAUUUUUACAAGGGUAAGUCUAUGAACGUGGUACAAAAGCAUAAAAGUAAGAUUUCAACGUUUUUUAAAAUCGAGUAUUUCAUGUUAAUCAAUAUUCAAUUGAUAAUUGCGUUCUAUAAUCACCUAAUUUAUUUUCUCUUAAUAACCAAGGGCAUUUAUUAUACUUACACUAGACUUUGAUUUUGAAUCAGAAAUAAAUCUUCUUCAGUUCAAUAAAAGAAUGUUGUAAACCGUCGUUUUUCAAUAUAAAGAAGUCUAAGUAAAAGUUACACAACUGAGCUUAUAAUUAAAGAUAGGUGGCUAAGAAAAGUCUUAAAAAUCCUUCAAAGUAUACCAAUUAUUUAUAUUUUUAUAGCACUUAUUAAUCUUUUUUAAACAACACUCACUACGUAUUUUUCUCACCUCAUAAAGUAAAUAGCGCAUUUUAAUUCUUGUAUAGCUUACCAGAGUUUAUAUGUAUCUUCAUCAAAGAAUUAAAGAGUUAAUUAAUUAGAACUACGUACGACACAAGAAACAUUUUGGAAUUCGGUUGCUUCUUAGUAACGAGUACUAUAGUUCAAUAAUUGGUAAUUAUAUACUUACCAUAACUAGAGUACGUACAACCAAAUAAUAUUUCUAUUCUAUAUAUUAUCAGUGACUAAUUUGAACCCCAGGUUGAGGAUCGAUCGAUCUCUUACUAAAUAACGGAAGAAUAAGAAAAAAAAAAAAAAAGACAUUUCAACUCCAUCGUAACGGAUCUAAAUAGAUUAUGGAAAGAUAUUACUUGGAAAGUAUCGGUAUUAAUAUAUACGGAAACAAAAUUAGGUUUUCUAGAUAUAUUACCUUUACUUUAUUGUGAUUAAAACUAUAAAAACAAGUGCACGUACUGUUUUUACUCUAUAUGGAUGGUAUGUGUCUGCGUGUUUGUGAUCGAAAACUUAUCAGAAUUGCCACGAUUACAGUUUUAUUGUUUAUUAUUAUCGUUAGAAGAUUAACGAUCCUGGAUCACAUAUCUUUAUAUAAAAGUUUAUUGAUUUGAAAAUUGCAUCUGAGAAAUUUAUGGUGGCGUGUUUAUGCGGUCUAAUCCAAAACCAAAUUUUUAUAAAUAUUAGUUAUAUUUGACGACGCCACGUACUUCACGUACGUAUGUGAUCCUCAUCCGUUAUUUAAGGGGUUUCACUCCACAACCCGGUGGGUUUACCCGCACCCGGGUUUAUAGUAUACCCGAAUUAUAAAAAAAUUGCCCGGCUCUACUAAACCGGGUUGAGAUCUCCCGCCCAAACCUGAGCCGGGUUAGUAUCGGAUCGGGUUAUUUUGGGAGGAUCGAUCAGGUUAUCUGGCUGUAUGUUUGUGUCGGAAAACCAAAAAUAAAAAAAUAAAAAAAAUAAACCUCUUUUUUCCGUUUUUUUUUUUUCGACAAAUAAUUAGGGUGCGGUAAUCUGUGCACAAUGUCAAAUUAUCCACGGCAGGUACCUAAUACACCACCUGGUUCAGGUGUGUAGUUAAAGAAGAAAACGAGAGAUUCAGAGAUUACGUGGUUAAAAUAGAGCACUCCCCUUUAAUAUUUUUUUCUUUUCAACUGCAUCGGUUACCCAGAGAGUAUUUACAGGGGGCGAAGUUUGAUUUCCCACCGAUCAUUCCAUUUAAGUGGUUUCGGUUUUAUAGCUAGAGGUAUUACGUUAUAAAUGAGCGUUUUCUAGUUUUUUUUUUUUUUUCAUUUUUCUUUUCCGUGUUUGGCGUAGUGAACGUUUUCCUCUCUCUCUCUCCGGGUUUGGCGUAGUGAACGUUUUUCCUCUCUCUCUCUCUCUCUCUCUCUCUCUCUCUCUCUCCCCUUGGGAUUAGAGCUAAGAACCACCCCCUCCCUCCUCCUCCUCCUCCUUCUUCUACUGCACUUACUUUGUACAGGGGGUGGCGGAGAGAGAGGAGCGGAGGCAGCGGGAUCGCUAGCGCGAGAAGGUGCGGGGAGGGUGCGCCUGCUCGAGAGGGGGAGGCUAGGGAAGCGGAGGCGGAGGCUAGCGGCGCUUCUCCACCCCUAGGCCCACGAGGAGCCUUCGCUUGGGGUUGGCGUCGCAGCUCUAGGCGCUAGGCUAGCCCCGGCCCUGCUCCCGCUACAGCUUCCGCGCCCAGAUGCGGCUGCACUUGCACGAUGCGGGGUUCCUCAUGACCCUAAUGCUCAGCGAGUGGCAGGUCACCCCCAUACCCAAGCUCUUUGGAAUCCAGAACUAAACUGCUAAAACUCUUCGGGAUACUAAGCUCUUUGGGAUCAAGAACUAGGCAUGAAACAAAACAGGAAAGAGACCAAUACUAGCGCACUAACGACAAGAUACACCAGCCACUACUUAAGUUAUAACGUUUAGACCAAAGUAAGAGUCGUCCUGAACGAUAGAUAAGGCUACGAAAUAGAUCGUAAUCUAACAACAAUUAUUCAAUUUGUAUAAUAUAUUGAAGGUUAUUUAAAAGACAAAUACUUAAUACUCAACAGGGUGUAAGAGAUACGAUAACCGGAACGACCAACUUAAAUGCAACCGCAACAAGGAGUAACUAACGUGGUUUCAUAUCUAGGAGGUACUGGGAUCUUACUUUCCCCGUAAGAGAAUCAAGAACAAAACGCCUCCAUACAAAAAUCCACGAGAAAAAAAAGGACAACUCCGGAUAUUACGCAGAAGAUAUCUCUUAAAGAAGAACAGAAGAAUAAAAUUUUAGAUACUUUCAACCCUUGCUACGACUAAUAUAGUAAUAUCUUUAAAGGUAUCAGUGUUUAACAUCACAGAGACGACCCUAUUUUGAAGUCACUCUCGAAGGGUUGCUGUAGAGCAAUCCCUCGGAGGCUAGACGACGGUGCACAAUGAAAACGGUGGUAGGUUACCAAACAAUCCACAAAAAAUUAUGAUUUUAACUUUUUGUUAAAACUUUGGCAUCUCCUUUCUUAUACUGGGAACCUAUCUCUACUUUCACCGUGAACCGCUGCCUACCCCCGAGGUAUUACUCCGCAGUAAUCCCUCGAGGGAUUACUUCAAAAAAGGAGGGACAACCGUUCGUAACUACUCAGAAAACAACAACGUACAAACGAAGACCGAAGGGAUCUCGACUCUUAGUCAACUAACAGGUUAAUCCGCUGUAUUCCUGUACUUUCGGAAACAGUUUACGUCUUAAGUCAUCUAUCCUUGUUGCAAUUGUAAAUCCCCAAUCUAAAUGUAAAACAACUACGAUAAACAUAAUAAAUUAUAUAGUAACAACAAAUAAAAGAAAAGACGUAACAAUAAAAAAACUCUCUUUCCAUCGUACUAUGGACAAAGUAAGUACUUUAUUCACUUGAUUCGUUAUCUUUACUGCGUUGACCCGGAGUCUUUUUUUUUGCAAGGAUCUGAAGGACCACCAGGAGGGUUUCCGAUAAUUUAGACAAAUGUAAUUCGUUGCCGACUGGGUUUCGGUGAAAAGACGUAAUAUAAUCAGAUUGUAAUAUAUCUCAAUUUAGAGAUCAGUAAAAUCAGGUUCAAUUAUAGUACAAAGUAACAACAAGCACUCUAGUAGAGUGUACAAUGUAUUCAGUCUAUCAAAAUUUUAUAAACAUGCUCAAUGAAACCGUAGAUGUAAAAAAUGUAUUAAUGACGACACAGUGAAAAGGGAUAAAGAGAAUACAAAUCCAAGUCGAACGGAAAUAUGAACUAUAACUUACCCUUUUCCUGGGUGUUAUUAUAAGAAAAAAAAAAUGGUGAAACAGUUCAAUAGACUAUAGAAUACUUUCGGUGAUAUUAUCCUAUAAGAUCAGAGUUCCAACGAGUCAAAAAAAUGUCUCAUUCACUGUUGAAAAUGUUCACAAUAGCGAAUGGCCCUUUAUUACGAAAUCAGAAUAGUAUUCAAGUUCCGUAUUGUCCAUAGUAAAUCUUAAGUAACGUCACCAAGUACUUUUACAUCUUGAAAGAGUGACCGAAAUCCGUUUAUCAAUUCUAUCAAAGAAGAAAUGAUCCUUACUUGACGUCACGUUCGUGUCCAGAACCUGGGUGAUCCGAGGUCUUUAUUGACCCUUUUAAGAAAGAGGCUAACGACACGGAAAGGAGGAGAAGGGGAGAGAUACCAAUGUCUCACCGUUGCGUACCCGGGGCCCACUUGGUACCGUCAAGAUUCUUUUCUUGGUUAAAUCUCGUCUCCUUAUAAUAUAAGUAGAAUAUUUUACGAAGAUUUUCUUAUAAAACAAAGACAAUAGAACCGAAAAAUAGGAGGCUUCUAAAGACGAUGAUCCUACGUUCAGCAGUAAACUAGUUUGAACCGUUAGUUAAUCUUCUGCAACACCGAUUUGAUGUAAUAAAUAUACUACUAGUAAGCUUCAGUAACCGACCAUCAAAGUAUAUACUAGGAAAAAAAAAAAUGAAAAUAAAAGGUUAUCUCCAACCCCUAUAAUUCUACUUUCAUAAUGUUCUUAACUAAUAAAAUCUAGUAAGAUAGGUAUUAACAUAAGACAUAAUUAUAAAUACUAAGUUCCGAAAAACGUAAGUGGUCAAAAAGAGAAAGAAGUUAGUCACUUGUCCUACUGAUACUCCAACAGGCCUUUCAACCUUCUCCCUUCAUAUCACUCCAGAAACUUCCGUAUUUUCAUAGGUUAUUACUCGCAACGUAGUAAUUCUAGGAGUUCGGACAUUUCUUUUUCUUCCAUGACUUACUUACAUUUAGACCUGAUUUACCACAAAAUCGUAUAAAAUACAACAACAUAAAACCAUACUAGAAUAAACAUCUAAACUUCUUAAGACCAGUAAUGUGAAACCUAGACAAAACAGAUGUACGAGAAAAUUAUCUAUUUUUUAGAAAUAUUAGGUGAACGUCUAGUUCUCUCUCUAUUUUUAUGAAGUCUUGGAGACACCCCCAGGUUUGUAACACUUCGACGAACUGUAACACUCUCUAGUGGUAAGUUUUUGAGGAUCGAACUAGAAACUCAUACAAUUGUUGUGGCUAAAAUUUCAAGAUAUAGGCUGCAACUGUCUGAUACUGUAAGCCAUGAUGUAGAUGCUCGAAGAGUUCCAGAAAGGGCUGGAAAGAUAAAAACAACCUUUAACAUAACAGUUAACUUAUUGAGUACCCUUAUACUCAGCACACUUUACAAUAACUAUUAGAACCAAUAUUUGUACCUCGAUUUGAAAAGUACCUGCACCCUAUAACACAGGUGUAGUAGAAUAACAAACCUAACUGUUAAUGUUCAGUAAAAGGAUUUCUUUCGAUUCGUACUUAUAAUAAUCAUCAUGAUAUAAUGUACAUAUACUCUCAUAAACUUUCAAAGACUUUCUUGAAUUAUGUAAGUAGUAACGUCCGUGACCUAAUGACGGUGCGAGUUCCUUAUUACGUGGCUCUACAGUUCGGAGUGUUACAAUACUAUCUAGUGCUCGAGGCUUUUGAGGCGAACUAUCUAACCCCUGAACGACUUAAGAUGGUAGGUCCGUUCCUUAUAUUACAGGCACAACGAAGUUCCAAUCACACCCGACUACGAAAAGUAACGAAUACGUACGGUCAACGGACAAUUAUGAAUCCGUACGGGUUUAGAGACAUUAAAUAAAGUAAUUCUAAUCGUCUAACUUACUAAAGUCAUCAUGGAGAUAUUUAACACGUUAACGAAAAGAAGUUCGAUAUUACCACUCAAAAGCCAGUAUACUAACCAAACGUACUCUUGAAGAAUCGAACAAAGUAUGUUACCUAUAACGGAAAAGGAGAAGAAAGAGUUAAAAAAAAAGAAGGAAACCUCUAAAAACACCAGUAAGUUGUACUAAAGAGAACGAUACGUCUAUAAAAUUCCCUGGACUUGAAGAACAACUAAACGUUCUAAUACUGAUGAGGAACCUGUACACCUCGGACCCUACGUACAAACGACCGUACCAUACGUAAGAGAGAGAGCGACUUAAGGAUUCAAGUUGUUACAGUGUUACGAGGUAAACAACAUUUUAACGGACGAUAAAACAACAAUUGAUGACUAAAGGAACGGACAAUUUUUAAACCAAAAAUACGAAAAAACAGGAUCUAUAAAGCUUUUCUUGGAAAAAAGAUACCGGUGCUGUUGGUACUAGUCGAACAAUUUUAACGGUUCCAUUACAGAAAAAAAAUAAUAAUAAAAGACGAACCACGAAAGCCUAAAUACUUUACCGUAUUUAAUAAAAUCAUAACGACUAUCGACUAUCAACAUAUUUGACGAGUAAAUAAAACUCGGAAGAUCAAACUAAAGAACAAGCGUACGACUUCGUCUGGUUUGUCACGACUUGAUAUGGUCUAUAAACCAAUCGACUAUAAAAAUCAAUAAAGUAUAAAGAAAGAACAUCAAUGUAACCUGCAGGUAUCUGACACUAGGUUUAAAAUGAAACAUGGAUACGAACUUGAACAGAGCCUAUUACGGAGUUUCAAAUAAUCCACAAAGUCACAAUUGUUGGUAGAUACUUCAACCGUCUUCAGUUUACGUAGUAGUGUCAGUAAAUUUUAGAAUCAUAUCUACCGUAGAACGAAUCGAAAAUUAACACGAAUACAUCAACUUUUUCCCGGACGGAAUCGUGAACUUGUCCUUUUUAGGAAAUGCAAACUUACAACCCUACGAGGAAGGUGGUUAUCCGUGGUUGAUUUACGUCUGGUGAUACGGUGUACCAGAUUAAAAUCAAAGUUCGCUGACACUACUAUGUGAUCUGGAGAAAGUUUAGAAUCUUUACUUUCAACUAUCCUUCCAAAAGAACUUACCAAAUUACAAUUACCCUAUCUAGUCCCUAGUUUCAGCCAAAAGUUUAAGUGCCUGAAGACAUAAUAUAUGGGAAAUAUAGGCGACAAUAAAUUGGUUUUACCUCCAAUAAGAUCAAUAUUUGAACGUACAGGUUUGAACGAACUAAAAAUAAAAGACGAACGAUACAACAUAGUAAUCGACUAUUCUCGUUGAGAGUACUUCAACUAAAUAUACUCCAUUUGUUGGGAUUCCAAAACUAUGAUAACACUUCUACGAUAGGCUACACAUUGUUGUCAUGAUUAUUACAUAAUAAACUACUGAUAUAAAGAUCCACGACAUUUGGAAGUUUUUCGAAAGAACUUUGUUAGUUAACUCUUAGAAAUGAAUCGUGCUGAAACUAAGGACUAAGGGAAAAGAGUCCAUGACCCCUGUCUACUCGAUUUACGAAUAGAUUUAUUUAUAGCCAACCUCGAACUGGGCGUUGAACUUCGAGAACAACCUUCCAUGUACCGUACGACAAGCGGGAACAGAAUCCUGUUUAGUGAAACUUUCUAUUAAUUGUUAACCGAUCAAGAUCAAAGUAAAAAAAGAAUUAAAAAAAAAUUAGAAAAAAUACGACGUCUGUGUCGUCCUUUGGGACCAGAUUUAAACAGUUACGUCUGUUGGUUGUAGAGCAAAGGGGUCUCCAAGGGAUAAUCGUGUAACUAUUGUCAAAAACCACGUAGUUUAGACAAUCAGGAACAUAAACUUUAAGCAUCUGUAUUGGACACCUAUAUACCAAACGUCCGGUAACUAAAAGAACUAUUCGAAGAAGCCAUACUAGUGGUCCUAUCCGAAUGUCGAGCUCUUCGAUACCAUUGAUAUAAAAUAAAAAAAACAUGAAAAAGAGUAAGAAGAUUAUUUCGAUUCAUAAGUCAGAAAAAAAAAUCGACCAAUACUAAUGAACAACUGAUCAAUUUAAAACGUUAUGGUUAUGAUCGUCUAAAUGGACGUGUGAAAACAGAACCUAAAGAAUGAGUGAAAACGAACUAAAUAAAAUACUGGCAGAAACAAAAAGUUUAAAAAUAAACUCCUAUAUGCUAGAUAUAAAUAAGGACAUAAAGAAAAACGGGAAUCAUCACGAUUAAAUUACGUACGUCCGCGUGGGUAUAAAAGAAGUUCACCCUCGACGUCUCUUAUCGUCUCGAGCGUACGUCAUUAACCGUAAAUGAUCGACCCUAACCACAUUAAAUCAUCCGGCAUGAAUAACAACAGUGAACUAACCGCGGGGAGCUACACCCACCGAGAACAGGGAUGCGGGGCAUGUAUCGACGACCUUGGUAAUAGUCGGCUAAGAUAACGAACCACGUAAACUAUAGCAACACGUGGCAAACAUCAAAGAUACCCACUAAGACGUCAUUGACCUCGACGAAACACCUAAUGGAGUUGAGCGUGCAGAAAACUGGGUUCUGCACGGGAGUAUUAAAAGACAAACUACACAAAAACCAUAGUACACAGUGAACACAUACUAGAAGACGAUGAAAGACACUAUGUACCAAAAUUUAUCCACCAAAAUCAUGCGAUCGAUAGAGCGAGCUAGUUUUAAACUGUAAUUGUAAGUUUCAUAAAGAUACCAAUUACGCGGUCUAUACCGAUCCGAGUUCUCAGGCAUCUAAUAGACAGGACAUUCCUCAAUGGACAGAUCCAUCAUACCUUCCAGGGCAGGUUAAUUGUAGAGUCUUAAUCGACAACAGACAAUCGCAUGACUUAUUCGCGUGAGCGUUCUUUUACUUUUCUAAUAUUAUUAAUAAAUACGAGGUUCAUCCAUCGUCGCCCUACCAACCCAGGGGAUGAUCGAAUGCAGGCGUACACCCGUCUGAACGCAUAUAACCUCUCGGUCAUAAAAGCUGUUUAAAGUCGAAUUUCUCGACUGUAAAGCUGUUGUUUUGCGUCCAAGCGUCAUUAUACCUCAUUGUUAUUUCGUUUAGCUUUUAGUCGUCUGUCGGAUCCCUCAAGGCGGAGUGUCGGUGUUUCCUUCUCUCUCUCUCUCUCUCUCUGUAUUUUAUGGAGGGCGUGAUGGAGCUUUACUUGUUUGUGCGGAUUAGAGUGUUCUUUCGAAUUGUUGAUAUGUUUCCGACAAUUUUGACGUCAUAGUACUUUAUUUAUUUAUGUUGAGCUCCGUAGGAAUGAUCUACGACGCCUAAAUUGUUAACGCUGGUUGCUUUUUGUAUGGACGUUUGCCGUUCGUGCCCACUUCGAUUGGACGAUUUACCUUUUAUCCAGUACCCGGCCCGUCCCAGCACUUACUGUAUUUCCGUGACGAGAGACUAAGGAUUAUACGUCCCAAUCUCUGUCUUUAGGAAAGUGAGGACAUUAAAGGUUUAAAGGUGGUUCUGGCUUGAGAAGGUUCUCGGGUGUUUCUUUAGUUGUUAGUAGGAAAGUUUCAAAUGUUUAGGCGUCUAUUUGUUGUCAAGAUAUGGUUCUGUAGGCCAUUUAAUAGGAAUAGAGUGUUUUGUUUUUUUUCCUUUAUCAAUAAAGCUGAGAUUAGGUAGAGUUUAACUUUGUUCUUCUUUGUCGAUCUACUCCAGGUUUUUCAUGGACCUAUUAGUACCGGAAGUCAAACCAUAUCUUGACCGUGAGCAUUGUCUAAUUAAUCAAUUUGUUUCCAGUUUCUUUUUCUUUGAGGUUAUAUAAUUUUUUAUUUUAUUUUACCGGUCUUUUUAAAUCUUCCCGUCCUAACUCUAGUUUUGGAAGCCCCAAAACAAGAAAGAGGUGCAAGGAAAGUACCCUGUGAAACCAGGAGACGGGAGACCGAGAGAAGGGUAGAGGGAGAGGGCCGAGAAGGAGGUGCAUAGGACAUUUCACCAUUCUCGAACUCGUUGCUAAAAAGGAAGUUGUUGGUUUCGCCAUCUUCUCACCAAGUGGAAAAGAGUAGUAUAUAACCCGUUUGCACCCGAGCGUCUUAAUUUUUCAAUCACUAAAGUGAACAAAGUGUUGUGCAUAAAUGAAACACCCUAGAUUAUGGAAGUCACCGAAACGUAAAGGAGUUAAGGGCUCAAGGUUUUGAGCGUAGAAACGGAUUAGUGGUAUUUACAACAGAGUGUAGAAGAGAACAAACGGUACGAUGGUACCCUUACCAGUCUAUAGUCAGAUAUGGUCACUCUGUUACUGGCAUGGGUCCUACGUUCAUUUUCAUGUCAAGUGACCCGUUUAAAGGAAAGACUCUACAUAUUACUGUUUUUUAAUUGGGAACCCAUUUUAAUAAUACCUUGAAGAUUAGUUAGUCUAUUUCAAGCUCGAGUUCUCUUGUCCUAUAUCUAUGGACCUCUAGUUCGAAGUUAUUAGGUCCGUAAUUGGAGAUUCGAAAGAAAAUGUACCUCUCUUGUUAUAUCUCUCUCUCCGUGACGUUAAUUAGUGACAUGAACUUUUGCUUAAAUACUAUUAACUCCUUGACGAAAAGAAGAAUUGUCAAGUUGUGUCAGUUUGACAGUUAUAUUAUCGAACACGAGAGGUAGAGAGAAUUACGGAGGGUAGUAGAAGUUUAAGUGUGGUAAUCUUAUUAAAGGAUUUGGUUACUUCCUAUACUAUCUCGACACCAAGGUCCUUCGAACAAUACGAGGUGAAGGAAGAAAAACGUAAGAGCUCCAGAUUCCUAGAUAUACGUUCUCGGUCAUUUAUGUAACGUCCUACAUCAGAAGACGUCAUGUUCAAUAUGAGGAAAUUCUGGUAUUAUAAGUGGUCGUGUCGUUUAUACGAAGCUUAACUUUAAUGUCAAAUGGUUGAUUUUGAUAAACAUGAUUUAAGGUCGUUUUUGUUUUCUAAACGGAAAAUUUGCUAAUCUUAACCAUCGGUCCUAAUCGUUGUAGAUUUUUAAUUUGUAGACUAUAUAAGGAAUCGUUUAUAUUGACCAGAUGACACCUCUUUUCUCGUUAUUACCACAUACGACCUGGUUUAACAUGAGUAUUUAGUACACAAUAACAGUGACCACUAAUUUCCUGUCCGUGUCCCAGUUACUUUCAGGGAAAGUACUAAAAUCAUGAAGGCUUUUAUGAUUUCACCUAACCGUUUGUUUGUUUCUGAAGUAAUCAACCGUUCGUUUAAUUUUUCUUUUGCCACUAACCGUAUUUUAAACAUGACGUAUUAUUCUGAGUUAGUUCAAAAUUCAUAUAUCCACCCUACGUGUUGAGGAUCUUUCCUGAGGUUAUAAGUAUCCUGGUUUUUCGGUCAUAAUAAUACGAUAAUAUCACACAUACGUUAUAACAGUGGAAAACUCGAAUGGAAAGUCACGUAAGUUGUUUGAGUAGGGUGUCAGAACCACUACCCUACCAGGAAGGAAAGAACAGUGCUGGUUUACAGAGUUGUAUGGUUGGUGGUUACAGUACGUAUAUUGUCGCUCCAAGUUUGUCGGUUAUGGACGUGUUCUUCCCUUUUUCCUUUUUUUCCCCCCUUUUUCUUUUUCUUUUCUUCCUCUCCCAAAUCCUUGUGAAGUUCCUAUCUUUCUAUCGUUUUCUUCCCGGUCAAUUCAAGUUGAUGUAAUAACGAUGAUUUUGUGACAAACGGUUUAAGUCUUGGAUAACGGCGUUUUGUUCUAUAAAUUUAGAGGAAUUCUAGUACGAGACAUGAUAUUAUAAAGAAAUGCUAUAUUUUAAUCUCCUCUAUGUACGAUCCUCAACAUCCGAGGCUAUACGCUAUAAUUUUUUCUAUAGUCACUCUCAUUUAGUUGUUUUAGUGAACGGGGACUUCACUCAAUUGAUUUUUUGUUUCCUUAAUAUCGAAUGUAUUUAACCUCUACCUUUUUCGUGUAUCGUAUGUAUAAUUUUUACCUAAAUUACAGUUUCAAGGCUUCGUUCUUGUUUAAUUCGUGAUGUUGAGUUCUUUUAAUAAGGAGAAACAUCGAUCUUUUUAUGCAACUUUACAACUAAGGUGAUCUUAAUUUUCGUUAGUAAUUUUAACUAGUUUGUUAACAUCUUCCAAUAUUUUCUUUCUCCUAGUAAAAUGGACGAUCCGUUGUUCGCUCGAGAUGAUCUAGCUGUAAGUGUUCGUCUUUGAAGUGCAGGUUGAACUAUGGUCACGUACACAAAGUGGACACUUAAUGUCGUAGUUAAUGUUCAACACGUUGUCUUGAUGUUAGGAUAUCCACAAUCGGUUUUAAAAGAAAUCUGAACUGGAUUACAUCUUAGUUUAUUCUCCAAUAUUGUUUUACGGUGAGUUUUAACUAUCUCUUGAACCGGGAACCAAACCAUGCUAAAUAAAGAGUAUACAAUUUUUACUAGUAGGUUUGGUGAAUCAAACAGAGAAUUUUAAAAUGUACGUAUUGUAUGUUACAUACGUAUAAAACUUUGGUAUGUGCAGGUUUUUAAUACAAUUUCUAUAGUUUCAACUAAACCUUUAUAGAGAACAAAGAAAGACUAUUUUGUUGUUUAAACGUCCUCUGUCCGCAAACAUAGUACUUCAAGGGAUCUUUCUUGAUCGGGCCUUUAGGUCAAAGUCAGGUGCAAACGAGAAUUAUAGAUCUUCAUUACAGAAGGCAUGUAAUCCUCUACUUUCUGAGUCUUGAGUUUUGAAGUCAGAAAAUCUUGUACUUCGUUAUUUAAAGUUGAAGUUGUUUUUUUUGUACCCAAGUCCUCUCCUAUAUCUAAAUAAACGAGAUUUCCUCAUUCAACAUGUUUGGUCGUCACAAGACACAAAAUAUUAGUGUACUCAAAAACGUGGUGAGCGUAACAUUUGGCUCGUCCUCGGAAGGAGAGGUGAUCAAGGGUCAGGUCAAUAUCAUGGGUCUUCUUCUGCGCUAACUCGACUUGUCCUAUUUGGUCUAAGUAAACUUUAUUCUAUUUGUACAUACACCAGGAGUCUUAGGUAUAAGCCCUGUAGUUACGUAAACGUAAAUCCUGAGGAUCAACGUUGUCGGUGGUGAGAAGGUGUCUAUACGUCGAGUUCUAGAAACAUUUAUAGACUUACCUCUAAUAGUAAAGAAAGUGGUUGAAAGAGCACUUAUAGAUAUGAGGGAUUUAGGUAGGAUCAAACGGGCUCUUUUAGUCUUUAAGGUAACACUCUUACGCAAUCGAAGAGUACUUUUGAUACGCUGUCGAGUCCUUACAAUAGGCGAUGUAUUUGUUAUGGUUUAUUUAGUGCGGGACUUUGGUUCACAUUCUCAAGUCUUCACAGCAUAUGUCUGGAGAGGAGUCGAAGUUUUGUUAGUCCUUCUACUAGGUACCUAAGCUAUACUCCCGGUAUUAUCCGUCGUGCAUAACGGCUCAUUUCGAGCAAAAGUUCGAAUAGUUUUAUCGAGCUCGGGCACCGCUGAAAGAAGACGUAAUAUUAUAGUAGUUAACAUUUAGAUAUGGUGAAAUCGGUGAGCUGUUGUAAUGAAAGAGAUCGUUAUCGUUACCUACUUAUCGAGCAUAUUUAUUGACUUGACCCAGGUCCUACGAAAACGUGGUAGGAAGAGAAUCUUUUGUCUAUCGAUAGUAUCACCCGAGAAGCGACUCUUAGACUAUUUUAGACGUUGAAUUACGUUUACUCUUACACUCUAUGGAGCAUCAGUAACGACACUCGUUACGUCUUCACAAUUUCCAUUCCGUUUUCUGUUACGAGAGUACUCGUUUUGUUACAGAAGCUUUGAUUAAUAUGGCAGAAUAGUUACAGACGUUUUAUACUUCUUAUAGUUAUACAGGUGAUAAAUCCGCGCUAGAAAUACGACGCUAAGGGGAUUAGAAAAAGGUGAUUAGAUUUAUAUAAUUCACUCUAUAAACCGUCUACAGGUAGACUGCUAUUGUUUAUUACCAUGACUUUUCCUUUGUAGUAACUGCUUCAUAUUAAUUUUACGGGGAGGGGACGCAUUAGGAGUGUUCGAGUGGUUAGUGGAAGAUGUUAUUCAUUGAGGGAAGUUUAGGUUACGUGGUGAUAUUACAUACUAUUUCUCUUCGUCGUGUUAUAUUGAUAGGUUUUAGAGAUCGUUUACGGAUCGUGUCUAUCUAAUUUUUGUUGACUCCUUUGUAGUCGAGACAAUCUUCGUAGUUCUUUUGCACGUCGCAUCCCAAAACUACCAAGGGCUUCUAUUCUUAGGAGUCAAAGGAGAGAGGGUUUAAUCUCAUAAGAUCGCGCGGGUUUCAUUGUUGUUGUUAUCUAUUUAGGCGCCGUAUUAAGAUUAUUUCAGAGCGUUUUGGGAUUGUUAAGGUUAAGGUUUAACUAUCUAGAGUCAUGCUAGCGAGAGCUACGUUAUUGGUUGGCUUCGUUUAGUUUGAAAUCUUUUUCCUAGAUAGUGGAGUAUUCGCCGCUCCUAAGCCUCCUUAGCAGCGCUACGCCGCCGCGCUAGGCUCCUCCUCCUUCGGCGCCGCCGCUGCAGCCCCACGCAGAGGAAGCGAUCAGAGGCUUUGCUCUGGAACUAGAGCCGCCGCCUCGAGCAGAGGCGGUGCGGCUCGUGGAGCAUCCGCGAGGAGGAGCGCUUGAGGAGUAGGAGGAGGAGCGGCGGCGGCGGCGGCGGCGGCGGCGACCACCGCCUCGAGUCUCCGAAGAAUGGGAGCGGCGCCUGUACCUCCGUCCCCUAGCUUCGUUAGCGAACACCCUUCUCCUCCACUACCUCCGCAACCUCGAGAGCGCUAGCCUCGCGGUAAAAAGAGAAUGCCAUCUCUUUUCUACCUUGGGGUGCAACACCCUCUGCUUUUCCUUCCUCUCUCUAUGUACUACUCCAUCUCGAGGUAAAACACAAAGCCUCUUCUCCUCUUGCAGAUGUUACUAACACAUUAAAAAAUUUUAAACUAAAAUGAUGAAUUUAAAAAUUAAUAACUUAAAUAGAAACGUAUAAAUUAAUGAUAUAAAAUAUACUGAUAUUAAAAUUAUUUAUUAAUUAAUUAAUAAAAUUUAAAAUGUAUUUUCUCGGUGAUUUGUUGAAUUUAUAUUGUUUAAUUCUCCAGUUCGUAUUAUAAUUUUUAAAAUUUUAUAACUUAUCAACUUAGUUUUAUUAAAUAUCAAGCGUAUUGAAAACAUAUAAAAUAAAAAAUUACUGACAAACAUAGUUACUUUCAACCUGUUGGUUUAAAAUAUUUAUACAUGUACAUCCUAAGUUAUUGAUAGUAGAUCUUUAGGAAGGUUAUUGUUGGUGAUGUGAUGGCUGACAGUGAUCUCGUUCACCGUUUCCCAAACCACCAACCAUGGACUCUGGGUUCAAACUUAGGAUCAACUAAGUGUAAAGAUGGAUUCAAAUAAAGAUUUAUUUUGUUUGCUUCGCUCAUCGCACGAUGGAUAGAGCUUAGCAGCAGCGUUUAGGCCGCGAACAUUCCAACUGAAAAUGUUAAACAUCGGGAAACAACGACUAACACACACAGAAAGCCACACGGGCACAAAAACAUGAGCUAGACUUCUACGCUAGUACUUCCACGCUAGACUUCCGCGCGGAGAAGCUUGCAGAGCUCCUCCGUUUCGCCAUCAGAAAGCUUGACCCCACAGAGGAGGCUCUUGGCCUUGACCUUGGAGCAGGUCCACUUGCGGUCUCCGUCACCGAGAAUGCGUGCCUUCCUACGCAUUGCCCUGCCGAGCACGGGCUCCUUCGUCUGGAAUUGCAGGCGAGCGCUGGAGCGUGGAGGUUCCGCCCGGGAAGAGAUGCAAGCAGAAAGGUCACCAAGGGAGGGAGAGAACGUCGAAAGCCCCGUGGCUCUGGAGGAUGAGGUGGACUGGGGGAGUGCUUGGAGAGGUAGACCGCUGUCGUGGGGCCUGUGCGAGGAUGGGCACGCGCCUGGUCCGUACUCGGUCUCCUUCGUCAGAGAGGGGAGACGAGCACUGGAGCGUGGAAGCUUCCUCCAGGCUGUGAUGCCAGCAGAAGGGUCCCCAAGAGGGGGAGCGGUCUCAGUAAACUCGGUGGCUUCGACGAAGGGGGAGAUUGGAAAAGUCGCGUGGGGAGGAAGGCCACUGUCGUCGGAGCCUGGAGAAGGAGGGCUCGAGUCUGGCCCGAGAGACUGGGCGGAGACGAGUGGAGGGAGGCCUCCGACAUCAGUCCAGGGGCACGAGUCAGACCCGCGGCUCACUUGGAGGCAAAGGCAGGGGGGACCGGGUUGCGAGAUGAACAAGCUCAUAGGCGCAAGCUUGCGGGGGGGGGCCCAGACUCCCGUCAGCAUCAAACGGAGAGAGAGAGAGAUCGAUCCCCGAACUGGAGGUGCGGUCGAGGGGCCCAGCUGGACAGCAGCUCGGCCCAACUGGACAGCAGCUCGAAUAGGGUCCAAAAGGCGUGAGCCCAGAGAGAAAGAGAUCCGAAAUCCAACUUGAGGGAGUGGGCCCGAAACUGGCAGAGCCCGGCCCAGGAACUCGGAAAGCUACGGUCCACGUGAGGGAGGAUGGAAAAGAUGAAGGCUUGGCAGCAGCUGGCUCCAGUCCGUGGUAGGUGGGGGUAGAAAUCGAGGAGGAUGAGGAGAUCCCCACAUAAAUGCUCCAGCACAGAGAUAAACCGUUGGGAGAAGCACAGAGGGCCAGCUUUCCCAAAGAUGUCUGUAGCACCCGAGAAAAGGACGGGGAAUUACCUGAAGCAGAAAAGACAGGCGCCGCGCUAGCCAUCAAUGUAGGCUGCUGCGAGAGGAAGGAGCCGUCUGACAGAAAGGUACUUGGAUCGUCCAAUGCAGGUGGUAGCACCAGGGUGGAAGGUCUGUCAGGGAGGAGAUUUGAAUUCGAACGACAAUCCGUCCGCCGCCCGUUCCCGCCGGCGAGAUGAAGUCUCGCACGACCGCCGCCGGCCGCCGAGGGAGGAAGCUCGGAGAGCAGCGUCUUGCUCCCGCUAGCUUCCACUCCGACCGACUUGGUGCACUCAUCCGGCGAAGCACAACGGGCCGCAGCCCCUCCCGAUGGGUGCAUCCCAAGAUGAAGUGGGGGUGGUGGAGAGGGAGCGCCUUUAGGUGGCCUGUCCGACACGCGUCUUCUGUCUCGAAUUUUCGAAGAGUUCCAGGACGCAUCUGAGUUGGACGAGCCCCCCGCCGACGAAUGCCGUCCUCUAGCUGAUCCAACCGAUCUGCGAAGAGCUUCCGCGGGUGAAGGAUUGUCGAGAGGGUCGUGUUGAUCCGUCCGCUCGUUUGGGGGUUGCCUCUGAACAGCUGCAUCACGACGCCCCCAUCUCUCCAGUUGGAUGAGGAUCGAGAGCGAAAUAUCUCCAAAUGAGAGAUCGAGGUUUUCCGGGAUGUCGGAUAGGUGGUUAACAGCAAUAAGACAGCGGUAUCCGGAUAGGUCCACCAUGCGAGAGCUGAAGUCAUCGGCGCGUAUGAACCGGUCGAAGCCUCCGACGAGCGCAGACACCGUGCGGGACGACCAACACUCGUAAGGAAGGCUGACCAGGCGGAUCCAAGCAUAAUAGGUUAGCGGGGGGUGAUGUGCGCCUGCGUAAGGGUUCCAAGGGAAACAACGCAGCCGAACUUCCCCCAGACUGAUCGUUUCACGUCGGAGAAGUUGGUCGCACGGCACCCAUUCCGGCAGGAAGACAACGUAGUCUCUCUCGCUGUAUUUGGCGACGUGGAAGUCAGUCGGGAAGCCCCCGAAGCGGCUUGCCAGGCUGUUCGCAAUGGUUUGCUGAGGGAAGUGGCCUAGGUUAGCUGGAGGUAGCACAUCAGCUAAGAUAGCGUUGCGACGACGGUUUUGCCGGGCGGAGAAAUCAUCGGAGAGCGGAACAAAGGCGUUGAGGUAGGCGGGGCGGGCGCGCAUUGCUCGGUAGACGGGCAACGGCAGUCGCUGUCGCUGCAUCGGCAGUCGCUGACGGUCCAUGCACGAACGUGCAAGAUGGCCGAAUUUGAAGCACCUCACACAACGGACAGGCUCUCGGCAACAAAAGGCCCUGUGGGAUCGCCCCAGACACCUGAAGCACCUCCCUUUGAACAGCUGGUGGCGGGAGAAGGGCUCGCCUGCUUCGAGGGGGGGAAAGGCGGCUCGUGGAGAACGACGGGGUUUGGGGCGAGGUUUGUACAGGUAGGUCGAAGCUGGAGUGAGGAGGGCCUCCUUAUAGGACUUCGCGAGCUCAGGAGCCGAGUGAAAGGUCUUCAGAGUGGGCCUGUCAGGAACUGCCUUGUCGUCUGACUUACAUUGUUUGAGAGUCCAAGGUGCGGAGGGAGUAAAUGGCCUUGGAUACGCCUCAGGUUUGAAGUAGGUUGUCCGAGUUAAUGUCGAGCCCACAGAAUCCGCCCAGCGCACCUUCUUGGAAGAGGAGCAACCUUCAAGGCCCGAGGAUCUCUGGUAGGUGGUCUCAUAAAUAUACCUGACUGGUUGGGUGGAACGAGAGCUGGCAGCAGUCUGCGAAGAGCAAAGCUUGUCGGAGUUCCUCCCCGCCCAGUGUUCAACCACCUUCUCCUUCCCUUUCUUCUCUACUAGCGCUUCGAAUACCGUUUUCCCCUUGCCUUUCUUCUCUACUAGCGCUUCGAGUACCGUUUUCCCCUUGCCUUUUUUCUCCAGAGCAUCAACUUGGGCUACUUUCUCCUUUUUCUCCUUGUUCUCCUGCUUCUCUUUCUCUCUCAACAUUUUUUCUAAACUGCGAAAUUUUUUUUUUUCAAUUCAUUAUUAUUACGUUAGUUUAUUUUAGAUCCGAAAAAAAAUUAAUACAGAAUAGUGAUGCAUGCCAUUAAGGUUCCAUCUUUAAAAAUAGGGUAAACUUCAAUUUUUUCCUAUGCAAUGUAGCAUAUUUUCACUGUGACAUUCUACGGUUUAAAAACUUUCACUUUUAACCCCUUGUGGUUUAAUUUUUACUGUACCCAAAAAUUCUAUAUGAAGUAAGAUAGCAAAGUAAAAAAAAAUUUUACAAAGCCACAAAAUGGUAAAGUAGAAAACUUGGUAAACCACAUAAAAGUAAAGUGUAAUUUUUUAAACUAUAGGGUAGCGAAGUAAAAAAUGAACGAAAUCAUAGAGAGGCAAAAUGAUAUUUUUUGAACCAACAGGCCGGAUAGUAAAGCGAAAUUAGACUAAACCAGAGGGGGACAAUGCGUAUUUAGUAAAUUUCUAAUGGUGACUUCUAAUGGUGACAGUCUUGGAGGGGAUCUAAUCUAAUGGUGACUUCUAAUGCCCAUAUAGUGUUAUAUUUUACAUUAGCAAUAUAGUUCCUAAUUACUAUGCAUUUUACACUUUGAUACAUGUAAUCUGGGGAAUGGAGCAUGGGUAGAAAUAUUAUCUUAUUCCCCAAUUCUCUCCUCUCCUCUCCUCUUAAUCCCUGUAUCCCUCUAUUUCUCUUCUAUUCCCAAUCCCUAUCUAUCCCUCCUACCUGUCAAUUCUUAUCCCCCAUAAUUUCUUCCUCAAUUCCCAUCAAUUCUGCGAAGUAAUUGCACAGUCCCAUCGGAAUUGGUGCCGGAACCCACCAUCAUCCCCGUCGCCGUCCUCGCCUCGGCAAAGUAUCGUCAUCGGCGGGUUGCAACGGGUCCGGGAUAUUACACUCUGGUGAGCAUUUAAUUCUAACAAAUUUUUAAAAUUGCUAACGAAAGGACUGAAAUCAAAGGAUUUGUAAGUUGAGAGAUGUAAAUCAAAUAAAAAAAACAAAAAUACAAAGUCUACAAUCUUUACAAUUGUCGAUCCAAGACGCAGAGUAUAGUUCGCGUAUUUUAGUUUUUAGUUAAAAAAAAAAUCAAAAAAAUAUUUGGACGAGACGAGCUGGAAAAAAGUGGACAUUGGAUGGCGGAAGUUAUAGGGUUAGCAUUGCUCAUUUUUUUUAAAAAAAAAAUCACGGCAUUUAAACCGAAAACAAUUGGGGAAUUAACUCCUAUAAAUAUUAUUUUAGAAUCUAACCCUCAUUCCAUGCAAGAGUAACACCGGCGCUAGUUAGCAAAAUUUAAGAUUAGUUAGUUGCCACAAGAAGAUGGCGAAUCAUUCGGUGCCUUUUGAAUAGAAGACAACUUAAUAAUUUAUUACCUACUUAAUUUCAUCCGCCUAUUUAUAAGCUUUAUUGUGUUUCUCAUGCAGUAAAUUAGAAGAGAUAAUUUUCUUUGUGUUCUAAAGCUUUACAAAAUUAGGUGUUGAGCAUAAUUAAGUGUUUAAUUUGUAACUUCGUUGGAUAGAAGAAUCUAGUAACCUAUUGGGUAAUUAAAUUUCAACCAACUAGAGUAACUCGCCAAAGGAAAAAAAAAAAAAAAAGGAAAAAAAAAAAGAUACGCCUCUCCAAUAAUCACUGCUGAAAGAUUGACAUGAAUUUGGUCGCAAAAUCUGAAUCAAAACCAAACUUACACAGACUGAAAACUGAGUUUGUUAGUUAAUUUGUUUUUCUGUCUUCAACACAUAAAGAAAUUUAAUUUCUUUCUGAAAAUUGUAAAGAAAUUAAAAGUAAAGCAGCUGUUGGAUGUAGUUGUAAGUUGAUGCGUGCUGAAGUACAGCAGCCCUUUUUUUUUCCUUUUACAAUGAGUCGGCCGCACCGACCAAAUUUACUCUCAAAAUCGAUGUACAGCCCUCAAUAAAAACUUAAGAAGUUUAACAAAAUUUCAAGUAUAAAUAACUUUAGACCUGGGAUACUUUGUCUACUUCAAAGAAGCUCAUCAACUUCAUCAGAUCAUGAGAUUUGCUAGUUGUGCAGAUAAAGUGAAGAGAAACAAAUUGCUAUCUUGCCAUCAUAGAACACACAGAUUAUUACUCUUUAACCUUCGCGCACUUCGCUAAUUAAACAUACAUCUCCAAAUCUCAAUCUUCAAAAUAUAUAAUGUAAUAUAUUAUCCUUCCUUGCAAAGAAAUCAAAUUAGUCCCACAUUCUUAUGCUCGCUAAUUGGUCUCCUAGGGAAGGUUAAUUAAGCAGUGAAACAAAAUAACCAGUAAAAUUAAGCUACACAAAGCAGUAAAACCUUAACCAUCCUUUCUAACAAGGCUGAAAUGGAUAGACUAAAAUUACAGGACUCAACUUAUAUACGAUACAGUCAAAAUUGGCCAUAAAAAAUUGUCGAAAGCAUGUUUUAAUAUUUAAAUAAUCAUUAUCACAUUUGUCUGACCUUUUUUUUUUAUCAAAUCACAAAACCUUGUUUUUUUUACAUUCUUUACUUUUUUUUUUUUUAGACACUUCAUAUCAUUUUAUAUUAUAUUAAUUCGGUUUAUUUUUUAAGUUUGCAGACAAAUUUUUUUAUUAUUAUUUUAACUCUACGAAAGACAUGAAAAAAACGGCAUUAGACAUCUGGAGAUAAUAACCUAUACGUCUGUUAUUAAAGAGGUAGGCUUUCCGACACCUCAUCCCCACAGUUGCUCGGCUUAUGCUCGCUCGACCCGAGUAAAUUAUUUGCUCGGCUUAUGCUCGACCCGAGUAAAUUAUUUGCUCGGCUUAUGCUCGAUCCCAAAUCCCAAAUCCCAAAAUCCCAAAAAUCCCCAAAUCCCAAAUCCCAAAAUCCCAAGUCCCAAGUCCCAAGUUGUAUAUUUCAUAAAUCCGAAUCCUGAGGGACACGGAAUGAGAAUGACGUACAUAACGUAAAAAAAAAAAGAAAAAAAGAUAACGGUUUAAUUACAUUUUAGAAAUACCUACUUUAACAGGAUUUUUAUUAAUUAAAUGACAAACUAAGGACGUGUUCAUCGUUUAGAGUAUCGGGCCACUCGAACAAAUCAAAACAGAUGAUUGACUACUUCAACAACUCGGAUCAAAUUUGAAACCAAAUCUUACACAAAGUUUGGAAAAAAUAAAAAGAAAAAAGAAAAGAAAGUCGUCGUAUUAAUCAUGGGAAUUCGAACACUCGAAUAAAAGUCACCAUAUUUAAUAUAAGUUUAAAACAAUUUCAAAUAUACAAAAAAAUUAUGUCCAACAUAGUUAAACCCUCAUUUAAAUUAUCCACGUACGAGACAGUUAUUCCGAGCUGACUGAGCAACAUUUUCCUUUUAUUCUCGUUUUGACGUUGUCGUGCGUACUUGAACGUUGGUUGUAGGACGUCAAAGUAUGAAAAUGAUAGAAACGUGAAAGAUUUGUUUGAAUUCUAAGUAAUUGCUGNUUGACACCCCUACUCCACAGCCUUUCGGAUGGAGAAAUUAUUGUCUGCAUAUCCAAUAAUAGAGGUCUACAGAUUACGGAAAAAAAUGUACAGAAAGCAUCUCAAUUUUAUUAUUAUUUUUUUAAACAGACGUUUGAAUUUUUUAUUUGGCUUAAUUAUAUUAUAUUUUACUAUACUUCACAGAUUUUUUUUUUUUUCAUUUCUUACAUUUUUUUUGUUCCAAAACACUAAACUAUUUUUUUUUUUCCAGUCUGUUUACACUAUUACUAAUAAAUUUAUAAUUUUGUACGAAAGCUGUUAAAAAAUACCGGUUAAAACUGACAUAGCAUAUAUUCAACUCAUUUUGACAUGAAAAUAAUAAAAUAAAUAAAAAUUAUAAAAAAAAUAAAAAUAACUUGAUAGAAGCUUUCAAUGAGUCUAUCAGAGAGAUUCCCUUUAUAUUUAUUUUCUAUUUUUUAACUAGUAUUUCUUAAUAAGUUGUUAAAAUUUUUCUAAAAUAAUAGAUUUAUUAAAAGUAAUGUAGUGAUUGAUAAGAAAAAAUUAGUUUAGUAAUAUCUAUAAAAAAAUAGUAAAGGGUAGAAACCAAAAAUAAAUCUAAAAUAUAAUGUAAAGAUUGAUAAAACAUAAUAAUACAAUAAUGUCUUUGAAAAAAAAGUAUAAUAUAGCAAGUAAAGUCUAAUACUGAAAGUACAGUAUAGUAGAGUGUAAUAAGUCUUGAAAGAAAUCUAUACUUAUAUAUCUAUAUCUAUACUUUUUUUUACUACAUUAAAGGAGGGUUUGGGGACCAUGGGGUGACACGUGUCCCCCCACCUCCCUCUUCUCUCACUAUACAUAUAUUUCAUAUAUAUAGUAUCUAUAUAAAUAAAAUUUUAAAUUUUCGAUAUCAAAAUUUGAAAUUUUGAUACUUUCAAAUUUCAAAGUUUUAAUUUCCAAAUUUUAUAUUCCAAAUUUUAAAUUACAAAUUUUAAAUUUUAAUUUAUAAUAUUUAUUUUAAAUUUUAAACUUCAAAAUUUAAAAUUUGAAAUCCCUAAACUCUUUUUAUUUAAAUAAAAUUAACUAUUAAAUUAUUUUUAUAUAACUUUAUUUAAUUAAUAAUUAGACAUAAAAUUAUAUAAAAAAUAAAAAACUAAAGGUUAUUAUAAAAAUAUUUUUAUAUCCGCAGCAUCGCUAUUAAAUUAUUUUCAUAUAACUUUAUUUAAUUAAUAAUUAGACUUAUAAAAUUAUAUAAAAAAUAAAAAACUAAAAAUUAUUAUAAAAAUAUUUUUAUAUCCGCAGCAUCGCGCGGGUAUUUCACUAGUAUAAUACUGAAGCUGAACAUGAACAACCACUGCCACAAAUGGUCCCACAUCAUCAAAAUUCUGAAGCUCGUGAUUUUCCUCAAAUUAAGCAAAUGCAAUCAGUUUAAGCAGCAACUUAAGUGAUGUCCUGCAAUAUUCUUGCCAUAAUAGAACACACAAAUUACUAACUAAACAAAUUUCCACAAAUCUGGGUCUUCAAAAUAAGUAAUGUAAUUAAUUAUACCUCUCUACUAAGAAAUCAAAUUAGUCCCACCACUUGCACUCAAAUAUGCUUCAGCUUGCUAAUUGUUGGGUCUCCUAGGGAAGAUUAAUUAAGCAUUAAAACAGAAUAACCAGUAAGAUUAAGCUACAUUAAAGACGCUAAUCACAUUAUAUAUAUAGACUAUGUACAUGCAGUAGUCUUAUUCCAAUCCUGCACCAAGAAAAAAAAGGAGAAUGUACACAAAGCAAUAAAACUUUAACCAUCCUUCGUAACAAGGACGAAAUCAAUAGACUAAAAUAACAGGAGUCUUUUUAAUUCAUACAACACAGAGAACAAAAAGAAAAUAGAAAUACAUAGGCAGUUUAUUUUGGUCUUGUUACAUUUAUAUAGAGAAAUCGAUAUAGUGCUUAAUUCGUUCUCGAACCACUAAACAUAGAACAUAAGCAACAACACUACAAUUUUUUUGCGCAGCAUCUACCAAAUAUACUCCAAAUGUUGAUACAAUCUGCACUAAAAACUAAAACAGUUUUAACAAAAUUGAAAGCAUGAUUUAUACUACUGCUGAAAUUGAGUUACACAAAUUUAAUCUGGUGCCUAUUAUACUGCAAAAAAAAACAAAAGAAAAAAGAAAAACAAUAAUAAUCUGAAACACAUUUAGAGCAAUGUUUAACAACUUUUUUUUUGAGAAAAAAAUAGCAUGCUACCCGCUUCAUUCAUAUAGUAGGUGAAUUAAGCAACAUGGGUGAGGCAUCAAGGCCUCAAGGUUGAUGGAGCCAAAAAGGAAAAAACAGGAGAACAGAUGUUGUUUGCAAAGUACAGCUGAUACCUCUAUGCUGACUACGAGGUCUAACUAUAGCUCUACGGAUCAGGAAUACCCCACUGAGCUAUCAGAUGUUUGAUCUUAUGAGUCCCACGGAUCGGAUCGGCCUGGGACUUCGCAAAAAUGAUUCCAUUCCUAGUCACCCAAACCACCCACCAGCAAGCAAUAAUACCGCUUAAAUCAUUAUUCGAGACCUUCCGUCCUUUCCAUAUAUCCCACAGCUGGUGUGGGACCAGGCAAUAAUACCGCUUAAAUGUUUAACAACUUCAUCAGAUAAUAGACAGAAAAGUAAACAAGCUUAUGACCAGGCAAUGAGAUUGGUUAUUUGUGCAGGAAUAUUCAAACACUAAAUUAUAUUUAGGAUAGAUGAAUACAAAUUGAGGAGAAAUAAAAUUGAAGCACUUAACCUCCCUGCCUCAAAAGAUGGCAAUUUUGUUUUCAAAGAUUUACUGUUGAUUUGGCUACAGAGGACGCGAAAAAAAAAGAAAAAUGGAAAACAUGGAAUCUGACUCUAAUCCUGCACCAAGAAAACUGAAGAACACAAGCAUGUAGAAAGAAAUUAGUCUUUUUUUCACUUUUAAUUCCUAGAAAUAGAUUGAUAGAAAACUCAUAGAGAGCCAUAUAUUACUCCAGCACUAAUAAAAUAGGAGAACAUAAGCAGCAAAACUUUACUCUUAUUAUAUAUUCCUUAAUAAAGAAUUGAUAGAAAUAUGAGUGUUAUACCAUUACUACAGUCCUGCACCAAGAAAUUUAAGGAACUUCAAAAGCUUUUGUCACACUUCUCUCUUCCUUAUUAUGUUCUAACUCAUCAACUAGUCAUAUUUAAUUGUAGAAGGUAAUUGAUAGAGUGCAUAUAAUAUCAUCAUUACAUUUUUUGUUUUACAUGACUAAUUUAUUGCUUCAGUGUUCACGCCUAAUAAGAUAUAAUACCUGAACCACGAGCAUAGGAAAUCAAAGGCAAGAGAUACUGAAACAGAAAUUUUAUUUAAUUUCUAAUACAAAUGUGGAAGAUAUGUGAUGCAGAGGGUAAGCAAAUACUAUAAUAUCUUUGUAAUCACGCGCUGCGAGCACCAUGUCCUGUAAGGAGUGAUUAGCACUAUAAUUUCUUUUAUACAUGCACCCAAACCAUAAAUUAAGGGUACAAAAUAUAAAAAUUUGUUUUGAGGAUGCUAAUUAAAAGCAAACCAGAUUGCUCUUUCAUUGUCUGAAAAGAAAAAGGCUAGUAGUCCUGAAACAAAUGAAAUAACCUUGUUAGUUAAGAUCGAAUAAGACGUAGUUCAUUAAGACCAGAGUGAAUUGCAUUAAUUACAGAGGGUAGCAUGGGUAAGAUGAAGGGUGGUAAAGUGAACAUACAAUAUGCAUCAUCACCUUUGCAAAUGCUAAAAAAUCGUCAGAUCAGGGAUGUCGGCAAUCUUGGGCCAAUCAAGGCCUAUAUUCUCUUGGCAUCGCUCCUUCAACACAGGGUGACACCCGGUGAUGCAUAGAGUACGCAGUGAAGCAGGCAGGUCUGGAAGUGACUGGAUAAGAUUAGCAUUAUACACUAGCAAACGCAUGAGGAAGCAUAGUUUUGUCAUGCUCUGGGGUAGGGACUGAAGGGAGCAUGCAUUUUUUAUGCUCAAAAAGUAGAGGGCACUGUGAUUUUGCACCAGCCAUUCCUCAGGUAAGGAAGUGAGUUGCGAAGCACCAAGGAGAGUCAUCCUACUGAUGGAGGAGAGACUCCUCAAUGGCUCCAUGAGCAGGAGUGCGUGGUGGUCAAUUGAUAGUCUACCAAGCUUCAAAAAGCAGUCAAGUGCAUUCUUUUGGCUGACAUUAUUUGGAAAUGGAGGCUGACGCAGGGAAACUUCAAUUAGCUUGUCACACCCUUCAAUUUCUAAAGAACGAAGAGACACAAGAGCUUGUAUUCCACCAAAUGAUGAUAGUUCUUUGCAGUUCUUUAUCUCUAAACUGGAAAGCAUUGUCCACCCUGCACACACUUGUGCUGGGGGAAGGGAUGCUAUCCUUGCACAAUCGAGUAAAUCCAAACAGGUAAGAGAGGCUAAAUCUGCUGACCACAGCAAUGGCACCUCAAGGUCGCCACAUGACCCAAUAGUGAGUUGACUGAGUAUAGAGGGCAGUUGGAUGUCUGAGAUCCCACGUUUUGUCAACUUUGGGCACUUUUCUAUACACAAGAAUUUUAGGGGGUUGAAUUUCCGAAAAAACUCUGUUGGAAGAUAUUCGAGCUUCUCACAUUGUUUGAUGGUUAAAGUUGCAAGAGCCUUAAAAUGUUCUUGUUGCUGCAGAAAGAAAAGAUGUAAGGAUAUUAAGUCAGGGCAAUCACAGCCAUGCAAAUAUAUAAAUUGGUGUUUUAAUAUAAGGGUAAACUUCAAAUGCUCUUUUGUUGUUUGACUCAUUUUCACCUUGCCACCUUGUGGUUCAAAAAGUUUCAUUUCACCCUCAUGCAGUUUAAUUUUUUAUUUCACUAAAAAAUUCUAUAUGACAUAGAGUGGCAAAUAAAAAUUUUUAAAAAACCACAAGGUGGCAAAGUAAAAAAUGCGCUAAAUGAUAGGGGGGCCAAAGUGCAACUUUUUGAAACGCAGGGUUGCAAAGAGAAAAAUGAGCUAAACCAUAGGGAAGCAAAGUGAAACUUUUUGAACCGCAGAGGAGCAAAGUGAUGAGCUAAACCUUGGGGUAGGUAAUAGGUAAUUUGAAGUACACAAAAUAGAGCACUUACAUUGUUGUUUCCGCAAUCUUGAUUUAUUGUUGAAAGAGCAGUCAAUCCAACAUCAGAAAUUUUCAUUCGUCUUAGAUUGCGAGGCAGAGUAGGAAUUCCCCUCAAAUUAGGGCAGCCAAUAAUCUCCAGAGAAUGAAGUAGAGGAAACAUGCAUCCAUCAUCUACUCCAAUCCACUCCUCCAAGUUAGGCAUGUAUAAUAAGAAUAGCUGCUUCAACGAUGGAAAGGCACAUACACCGCUGCUCCCGUAGAAUGAACAACAUAUGUGCUUUACUGCAUGUAGUUUACACAGGUAAAGACGGUUAAGCAAAGGCAGGUCCCCAAGAGGUGGGAGGUGCUCCCAUCCUUCACAAUCAAUCAGUUCGAUGGAUGUCAAGUUGAUGAGAGACAGAUCUGUCAUCCAACAAGGAGAUUUCACACCUUUGUAAUUUUGAAUACGCAAUCUCUUGAGAUUGAUAUGCGGGCAGAGGUUAUCAAGGAGCUGCUCAUCCGUCUCUACACAACUGGAGCGGUCUCUGGACCAUCCCAAUGACAAUGAUUUGAGAUAUUCUUUCUCGUUCAACUUGGCCUCCAUAACUUCUUCAGAACUCCUCACAUUUUCAAGUUCUCUAACGCACAAAUGACGAAGGUCUCUUAGGUUCAUUAGUUCACCGAUUUUGUAACCACUCUCCUCUCGGACUACAAAAUUUUUUAACUUGUGGAUGAAGGGUAGUUUGCUAAUAUAACGAAUAUUUUUUAUCAUACCAUGACGAUCAUCUAACGAACGCAAAUUGACCAAGUUAGUCAAGCCAUCAUAUUCAAUAUUAUACGUGCCUAUUCCAAAAGUCAAGAGCUUCAGGAAUUGUAGGUGAUAAAGCCUACAAAGAGAUGAACGAAUGAAGCCCAUGAAACUUUCAUCUAUUACCACUCUUUCCGAAAGAGAUAGGUAGCGGAGGUGUAUCAAGCUAUUAAGUGCAUAGGGCAUUUUAUAAAAGUCAAAAGUCACAUGCAUACUCAGUAAGCGUAAGUUUUUAAAUCCUUUUAUAACCUCACUAAACACAAGUAAAUGAUCUGUAUUAUGCUCAUGAUUCUCUUCAACAGAUACGACAAGAGUGCGCAAGUUCUUAAGAUUGGAGAUCUCUCUAAUGGAAAGAAGAUUUGUGCUUUCAACAGAUAAAUGUCGAACUGUCCGUGGAAUAGUAUUUCCUACAAUAUCACCUCCUAUUCUGAUGCAUUCUCCGAGAGAAACAGAUUGUGCUAGGUCAUGCAGCAGAUCGUGCAUAACAUAAGAUUUAGAAAUUUCAAACCCAUAAUCAUUGGUUUUGCGAGUAAAGAAUGAUUUUCUUGUCAGGAGAUCUAAAUAUUCCUCUCCGAUAUCUUCUGGCCUCCGCUUUCCACAUAUAGACUGCGGAAUCAGACCUGAACCCAUCCACAUAUAGACCAACUCUUUCUUCUUAAGCAUGUAAUCUUGUGGAAAUAUACUACAAUAUCUAAAGCAGAGUUGUAAGUUUGUCGAUAAGUGAUCGUAGCUUAAUCUCAAAAUUGUCAUGAUGUCGUCCUUUCUAUGUUGCAAUUCCACAAUGUCUUCUUUCAAGAUUCUUUUCCAAUAGCCAUAAUCCAUGCAGGAGUUUAGGAGCCCUCCCAUAACCUUUAUUGCCAAUGGGCAUCCUCCAAGCUUCUUUGCUAUCUGCUUGCCAAUCAAUUGCAAGUUUUUAUAAUCAUCUGGGUUCACACCAAGAAAAGCGUGCUUAUUGAAAAGCGACAUACAAUCGCUCUCCUUCAACCCAUUUAGAUUUAAAGAUUCCUUUUUACAUUGCAUCACUUUUGCCACCAUAUCUGCAACUGAACCCAUUCGAGUUGUCAAAAGGAUCUUGCUUCCUCUUUGUCCAAGUUUCAAAGGAGCAACUAAUUUCUCCCACUCUAUCGCAUUAUCAUCAUUCCAAACAUCAUCUAGCAUGAGCAAAAAGCGCUUCGACAAAAUUUUCUGUUUAAGGAUAUAAUGGAGCGCAUUUAGACUCUUGUCGCCAAAACUCUCACUACUUGCACCUUCUAACAUCUUUCUUGUUAUCACAGUUGCAUCAAAGUCUUGAGAAACGCAAACCCACAUAAUCGGGUCAAAGUACUCUCGCACUCUGUCGUCGCUAUAAACUAGUUGAGCAAUGGUAGUCUUCCCGAACCCACCCAUACCAACAAUGGUAAAAGCAGAGACGUCCGUAUCUCUCGGUUUGAUCAACCAUUCGACUAUCAAGUGCCUCUCCUCGUCUCGUCCGAGCACCUCACUUUCGGUUAACAAGGAGCUAGUCUCGCGAGCAUUCCGGACUUCCUCAAUCUUACGACGCUUAACGCCAGGGCCAUAUAACCCAGUAACAAGUUGAAGGAGUGGCCCCAUACCGUCAACGACCCGAUCCAACCCCUUGACGGCCUCCCUCAACCUCUUCAGUGUGUCAUCGCUAAAGAUACGAUUAACGAAACUGUCAAACUUUCUCCUACAUUUAGAGAGAAUGCCACGCACCUCGUCAUCUCGAUCUUGUACUAUCUUCUCUAGCUCGUAGUACUCCAGCUCGUCGAGCGCGUCCUCUGCGCACUCCACAGCAUCUCUGAGCUGCCACAGCCACGUAUCCAGCGCCUUGUUCUGCGCCAUGACCAUCGCACCCUCCUCGACCGCAGUCAAGACUGCCUGGACCUGCGGAAGGGCGUGCUGCAGCCGUUCGAGCUCGUCCUGCAUGCCGCCGGCCGCCGGGUACACCUCGAGGUAGGAUGAGCAAGUGCUGACGAGAUUCUCGAUGAUCGCCGACGCCGCCGAUUCGGCUAUGAAAGGUAAAGCCAUAACCCUCCAGAUAAUAAGCUCAAACCACAGCUACUUCACCACCGCUCAGGCAACUCAUCAAACACUUGGAGUGCCAAAAAGAUAGAGAAUGAGGAAAGAGUAACGCUGAAAACAAUCACUCUCACUUAUUAGGUAAUAUACACAGCAGGUAUAUAUGGCAUCUCUCUUCAUGCAAAUUAACUGCAUGCAGACAAAAAAUUAAAAGGAGGAUACAGUUUGGGGAAGACUGACAUGUGAUCGAUUUCACAUGACCGUAGGUUCUGCCGACUUGUUUGAGAAUCCAUGCCCCCAGUCCUGAACUCACAUAAUUAAUUAAUCAUAUUCAGGGCCGUGUAAUCCUCGCCCCCACGGCACCGCUGUACUGAGGGAGCAGUUACACUUUUGACGCUCAAACUGUACCUUUUUAGUUCUUGAAUUUUAAUUCAUUGUAUUCUGGUCUUAACGAGAGUGAGACUGUAGACCACCUAUUCAUGGGAUGUGACUUUUUCAGAGCUUUAUCUCUAUAAGUCAGCUCUUCGUAUAUGUAAUACUGCCGAUUCGCUCCGGGAUGAGAGCCGGCAUAAAAGUGGAGUGCUGGGCGAAACGAAAUUAGCGACAAUUGCCGCAACACGGUGGAUCGUUUGGUUGGAGCGGAAUAAAAGAAUUUUUCAAAAUUCUAAACGAAUGGUAGGCGGCUUAGGGACUCAGAUACGCUCUUUUAGAAACACCUAAAAUCCUUUUUGCUACUUUUUUUUCCCUAAAAAACAGAUGCCGAACUGCUUCAGAUUAUAGCUGAGUUCAUCUUCCAAAUGAAUGAAACGGUAACAUGCUAUCUAUUCUCAAAAAAAAGAAAAGAAUUUUAAUUCGUUGUAAUUUUUGACUUGAAUUGUGAGAUGUGUGACAAGUGUCCGAACUUUAAUUUGCCGUAAUUUUUUACUUGAAUUAUGAGGCGUGUACCACUUUAGUCUUCGAACUUCAAUUAGUUGCAAUUUCUCAUAGUUGGAGCAAAAAUUGCAACAAAUUAACCAGUGCCCUCUUAAUAAAAUUAUUAAAUUUUAUUUAAAAAUAAUUGAUUUGUUAACCUUAGUAUAGAGAUUGGUGAGAGAAAAUAAAAAGUUUAGUGAUAUAUAUGUAUGAGAAAAGAAAAUAUAAUUAAGCCUGUAAAUAGUUAUAAAUUUUGGAUAAUAACAAAUAACGACCCUUUCUCUUACCAUUGAUGAUACCUUAAUAACAUCUAAUUGAUUUGAGUCUUUGAUUUACAAAUAAGUGAGGAGCAACUGCAAUGCACCAAAUUAUUACCUGCACCUGGUGUACGAGUACAUAUCUAUGCACCGCAUCUCUAAAAUGGACAAAUGUUUUGGACAAAUGUUUUAGAGCUACGAAAAUUAAAAUCUAACUCACCGUCAAUGUGAAAGUGAUUUUAGACCCAAAAAUGAUUUUUUCCUUUCAUAAAGCAUUUGAUAACUUGUUUUCAAAAUCUAAUUCUGUAUUUAAAAUCAAUUUUCUGAGUUUAGAGAUCCAAAAUCAGAAGUAUUUAAAACCUGCUUCUUAAAUCUGAAUCUAAUUUUGAACUCAAAUUUUAAGCUUAAAUUUUAUUUUAGAUUCAAAUUUUAAAUUUAAAUUAGAUUUUUAAAAUUUUAAAUCUUAAAUUUUAAGUAUCAAUUUACUUUUCAAAAUUUUGAAUUUAGAUAUUAUUUUUAGAUUUUAAAUCUCAAUUUUUAAAUUCAAUUUCAAAUUUGAAAUUUAAGCUAAAGUUUAAAUCUUGUCUAUGAAAUUUGAAAAUUUUGGACAUCGAAUUUUUUUAUACAUAAAAUUUUGGACACUACCUUUUUAAAAUAAAAAAAAAAAAAUUGAAACGAUUUCUGUUGUUCUACUCAAGCCUUCGUUUGGAUUGAGGGAGAUUUGUGUUACGUGCGGUGAAAAAGUACAUUUAAAUACCUAUUGUUUUCCGUAGUAUAUUGCGUUACGAAUAUCACGAUGAGUUGGUUACGAUAUAUUUUCUGCGGUCCACACGGAGAACGACAGAAAUAUCUCUUAGUUUUUUUCUCAACUCCAUUAUUCUAAUACGUUAGAUAGACUCAAUACCAACUAAGCCUAAAUCGUUUACAAAUCUCAUAAUGUUUUUUAAUCUACUCUUUUUAGAAUAUUUUAGGUUUAAUUAUAUUAGACCAAAUGUAUGUUGUGUGGUGCAUAUUAGCGUAUGUAUACACUGGGUAACAGGCAUUUUUUCUUCCGCAUAAUUGGUGUUUGGUAAACAUAAACUUAGUAAAAAUAGUUUAAGAGAUAUUAAAUUAUAGAAAAAAUAAUAAUCCACUUGUUAGUAUUUGGUUUGGCAUAAAACGAAAUUGAGAUUGAAGCACAAGUAUUCUGUUUGAAAGAAAAGAAAAUAAAAUAUGUAGGAAAGUAGAUGUGUGAUGGAUGACAAAUACUGACUUUUUAGUUUUUAUUUUUUCAUCCGAAAAUAAUUUGCAAAAUCGUAUACGGUGCGUCUCUUAAAGUAUAUAAUUAUUUGUCACUGGAAAGUGUAAAAUACGCAAACCAAAUCUCCUAAAAUCUAAUAUUAAUAUUCGACCGAAAAACUAUUUUCGACCUGAGCUAUUUAUUUGAAUGCAUGAAUAUCUUAUUCGGUCUCUCUGUUCUAUUUAUUCAAGAACUGUAUAGUAUUUGGUAGAUUAGAAUUUUCAUAAAUUUAAUGGUUUUAAUUAUCUUUUUGCAAACAAAACUGAAACAACCAAUAGUUAAUAGAGGUAUUAAACUUCACCAAAUUUUCACUUUAACUAACUCAAAUAACUCAAAUAAAAAAAAAAAAAAAAAAAACUAUACUAGAACCUAAGAACGGUGUCAAAAAAAUAAAAAUAAAAAACAAAUUGUGAAGUUGAGGGGCCUAUUUCGCAAUGGCCUAUAAUUGCAUAGGUUUCAUUACAAUUUUACCUCAAAAUAAAAAAAAAAAAAAAAUGUAUAUGUAUGCAACAGUUCGAAAAUUAAGGAACUGCAGAAAGGAAUGUAGACAGAAAAUUUGAAUCAAAACGAACCUUACAGAGAUUGCAGACUGAACUGAACAUAAGCAACAGUUGUCGGUCUGUUCGAGUUUUGAGUGUGCUUUUCUGUGUUCAAUGCAUCAGGAAAUUAAUUUUUUUUCUCUUUUGGAAAAUCGUAAAGAAAUUAAUUUUCAUUUUACGAUGAGAUGUCGGCCUGAGUAUUAUCGACGGAGUAUCUGUCAAAUUUACUCCGGAAAGUGGAUACAACCUGCAUUAGAAACUUGAAAAGGUUUAACAAAAUUUAGAGUGGACACAAGUUCAAUCUGGGUGCUUGUUAUACUGCUAAAAAAUAUAUAAAAAUUGAAAACACAUCUUAAAGCAAUGUUUAGACCAUGGAUGUUUUAGCUACCUCAAAGAAGCUCAACAACUUCAACAUAUAACAGACAACAACAGAACAAGCUUAUGACCAGGCUAUGCGAUUUGCUAUUUGCGCGGGAAUAUUCGGACACUAAAUUGAGGAGAAACAAAAUUGAAGCAUUUAACCGCCCUGCCGCAAAAGAGGGCAAUUUCUUUCUUAAAGAUUUUACAUUAGUUUGGCUGCUAUAUAUACACAUACACACACACACAAAAAUACAUGGAAUCUUAAUCUGAUCCUGCACCAACAAAUUCAUGUAAGAAAUUAGUCUUUUUUUUGAUAUUCUUAUGAAUAAAUUGAUGGACCAUGACCAUGUAUGCGAGUCAUAUAUGACAAUAAGAGCCUUUUUCACUAUUGCACCAAAGAAGAAAAAGAAGAGAGAAUAGGUAGUAAGAUUUUAAUACUGUUUUAUGCCCGAUAAGGGAAAAUAGAUUCGAGCGCCAAUACGGAGUCCUAAUCCUUGCAUGUUCCUGCACUACCAAAAUAGAACAUAAGCAGCUACUCUUGCUUUAUAUUCUUGAAAAUUUUGAGAGAAAUAUAUAUACAUAGGAGUGCUAUACCAUUACUACAGCCCUGCACCAAGAAAUUUAACAAACUGAAAAAGCUUUCGUCAUGCUUCUCUUAUGUUCGAACUCAUCAUCAGCCAGACUUCGCAUCUUGUUUGUACUCCUAGAGAGAGGAAUUACUGCACAAUUAGUCAUAUUUAACUUUAGAAAGCAAUUGACAUGCUAGCAAUUAACAUAUGUUAUAUUCAUUACAUUGUUUGUUUUAUAUAUAAGACCAAUCCGUCCGGCAAGCACAAGGUAUUAUAUAUAGGAGGCAAUUAGUGCUUUAUUCCCUUUUUAUGUAUCCAAAUCAUAAAAUGAGAGUACAAAAUGUAAAAAUUCCAUUGAGGAUGCUAAUUAAAAAUGAAACCCGACUGCUCUUGCAUUAUCUGAAAAAAGGUAAGCAAUCCCGUAAGAAAUGAUAAUUUGUUAAGACUGAAUGAGAUGUAUGUAUGUAGUUCAUUAAGACUGAAAUGAAUUGCAUUAUUUAUACAAAGGUUAUGAGAUGAAGGCGGGUGGUAGAGUGUACGUACAAUAUGCAUCAUCAUCCAACCUGCAAAUGCAUGUUCAAUCCUGCAUUAACGGAAUGUUGGCAAUCUUGGGCCAAUCAAAGGCCUAUUCUCUGGCAUCGCUCCUUCACAUAGGGUGACACGUUGGACUAGACACGCAGUGAAGUAGGCAGAUCUGGAAGUGACCGGAUAGAAUAGCAUCUUUCACACUCAAAAUGACGAGGGGACACAGUUUUGUCAUGCUCGGGUAGGGACUGAAGGGAGCGUGCAUUCCAUAUGCAUAAUUUGUUCGAGGGCAGCGUGAUUUUGUAGUAGCCAUUCCUCAGGUAAGGAGGCGAGUCGUGAAGCAUCAGAGAGAGUCAACGAGCAGACGGAGGAGAGACUUCUCAAUGGCUCCAUGAGCAGAAGCGCGUGGUGGUCAAUUGAUAGUCUACCAUUCUUCAAAAAGCAGUCCAGUACUGUAUUCUUUUUUUGGCCGACAUCAUUUGGGAACGGAGGCUGCAGCAGAAGGGCAACUUCAAUUAGCUUGUCACACCCUUCAAUAUCUAAAGAACGGAGGGAUACGAGAGCUUGUAUUCCACCAAAUGAUGACAGUUCUUUGCAGUUCUUUAUGUCUAAGCGGGAAAGCAUCGUCCACCGUGCACACACUUGUGCCGGGGGAAGGGAUGCUAUACUUGCACAAUCGAGUAAUUCCAACCAUAUAAGAGAGGUUAAAUCCGCUGACCACAGCAGUGGCACCUCGAGGUCGCCAAAUGACCAAAUAGUGAGAUGACCGAGUACAGAGGGCAGUUCGAUGUCUGAGAUCCUACGUUUUGUCAACUUCGGGCAAUUUUCUAUGUGCAAGGUUUUUAUGGCUUUGAAUUUCCCAAAAAGCUCCGAUGGAACAUAUUCGAUCUUCUUACAGUGUCUGAUGACUAAGUUUUCAAGAGCCUGAAAAUGUUCUUGCUACCGCAAGAAAGAAAAGAUGUAAAAGAUAUUUAAGUCCGGGCAAUCACAGCCAUGCAAAUACGAAUUGGUGUUUGGAUACAAGGGUAAAGUUUAAAUUGCCCCCGUGUGAUUUAACUCAUUUUAAACUUGCCACCUUGCAGUUCAAAAAGGUUUUACUUUGCCCUCCUGUAGUUUAAUUUUUAUUUCAUCAAAAAAGUUCUAUAUGAAAUAGUGUGGCCAAUUAAAAAUAUUUAAAAAAUACUUUUUGAACAACAGGGAGGGGGGUGCGAAAUGAUACUUUUUUGAACUACAGGAGGGGCAAGUGAAAAUGAGCUAAACCUCAGGGGAGAAAUUUAAAGUUUACAAAAUAAAGCACUUACAUUGUUGUUUGCGUAAUCUUGAUUUAUUGUUGGAAAAGCGGUCAAUCCGACAUUAUAAAUAUGCAAACUUCUUAGACCAUAAUGCAGAGUAGGAAUUCUCCUCAAAUUAGGGCAAUCAGAAAUAGACAUAGACUGAAGUUGAGGAAACAUGCACCUAUCAUCAAUUCCAAUCCAAUCCUCCAAGUUAGGCAUGUCCCAUAAAAGUAACUUCUUCAACGAUGGAAAGACACAUCCAUUGUUGCUUCCAAAGAAUGAACAAUCUAUUUGCUUUAUUGCAUGCAGUCCCUGCAAGAAAAGAUGCCGGAGCGAAGAAAACUGCCAAAGAGGCGGGAGGUGCUCCCAUCUUUUACAAUCGAUUAGCUCGAUGGAUGUCAAAUUGACAAGAGACAGAUUUGUCAUCCAACAUGAAGAUUUAGCACCUUGGUAUUGUUGAAUGCGCAUUUUCUUGAGAUUGAUAUGUGGACAGAGGUUAUCGAGGAGCUGCUCAUCCGCUUCUGCACUAUUGGAGUGGCCUUCAGACCAUCGCAAUCCCAAUGAUUUGAGAUAUUUUUUCUCGUUUAAAUUGGCCUCGAUGGCUUCUUCAGAACUCUUCACAUUUUCAAGUUUCCUAAUACACAGGUGACGAAGGUCCCUGAGGUUCUUUACUUCGCCGAUUUUGUAACCACUCUUCUCUUGAACGAUAAAAUUUUUUAAUAUGUGGAUGAAGGGUAAUUUGCUAAUAUAAGGAAUAUUUUCUAUCACAUCAUCGGAAACAUCUAAUGAACGCAAAUUGACCAAGUUGGUCAAGGCAUCAUAUUCAAUGCUUUCAUUCACAACUUUCUGUAGUGAAAGAGAUAGGUAGCGGAGGUGUAUCAAGCUACUAAGUGCAUUGGGCAGUUUAUAAGAGUGAAAAUUCACAUCUAAGAUCAAUAAGCGUAACUUUCUAAACCCUUUUAUAACCUCGAUAAAUUCAAGUGCAUGAUCUGCAUUAUGCCUAUUGUCCUCUUUAACAGAAAUGACUAGAGUGUGCACAUUCUUAAGAUUGGAGAUCUCUCUAAUAGAAAGAAGAUUAAGCAUUUCGACAGAUAAGUGUCGAACUGUUUUUGGAAUAAUAUUUUCUGCAACAUCACCUCCUAUUUUGAUGCAUUCUCCUAGAGAAACAGAUCGUGCUAGGUCAUGCAGCAGAUCGUGCAUAAAAUACUUUUUAGUAAUUUCCACCCUAUUAUCAUGGGUUUUACAGGUAAAGAAUGAUUUUCUUGUCAAAAGAUUUAAAUACUCCUUUCCGAUAUCCUCUGGCCUUUCCCUGCCACAAAUAGAUUGUGGAAUCAGACCCGAACCAAUCCACAUAUUGACCAACUUUUUUCUCUUAAACAUAUGAUCCUGCGGAAAUAAACUACAAUAUCUAAAGCAGAGUUGUAAGUUUGUGGAUAAGUGAUCGUAGCUUAAUCUUAAAACUUUCAUGAUGUCGUCGUUUCCUUGUUGUAAUUUCACAUUGUCUUUUUCCAGGAUUUUCUUCCAAUAUUCAUAGUCCAUGCAGGAGUUCAGCAUUCCUCCCAUGACCUUUAUGGCCAAUGGGCAUCCUCCAAGUUUCUUCGCUAUCUGUUCGCCAAUCAGUUGCAAGUUUUUAUAAUCAUCAGGAUUCACACCGAGGAAUGCAUGCUUAUUGAAAAGCAACAUAUAGUCGCUCUCCUCCAACUUAUUUAGAUUUAAUGAUUCCUGUUUGCAUUUCAUCACUUUUGCCGCCAUAUCUGCAACCGAACGCAUCCGAGUUGUCAACAGGAUCUUGCUUCCUCUCUGUCCGAAUUUCAAAGGAGCAACCAAUUUCUCCCACUCCGUCGUUUUAUCAUCGUUCCAAACAUCAUCAAGUAUGAGCAAAAACCUCUUCGACGUUAGUUUUUGUUUAAGAUUCUCAUGGAGUGCAUGUAGACUGUUGUCGCCAAAAUGCUCCCUACUUACACAUUCUAAAAUCUUUUUUGUUAUCACAGUUACAUUGAACUCCUGAGAAAUGCAAACCCACACAAUCGGGUCGAAGUACUCUUGCACUCUUUCGUUGCGAUAGACCAAUUGAGCAAGAGUGGUCUUCCCGAUCCCGCCCAUACCAACAAUUGUAAAAGCGGAGACAUUGACAUCGGCAUCUCCCGGUUCGAUCAGCCAUUCAACUAUCAGGUCCCUCUCCUCGUCUCGUCCGAGCACCUCACUUUCGGUUAGCAAGGAGCUAGUCUCGCGAGCAUUCUUAAUUUCCUCGAGUUUCUGACACUUAACGCAAGGGCCAUAUAACCCAGUAACAAGAUGAAGGAGUGGCCCCAUACCAGCAAUGACCCGAUCCAACCCCUUGACGGCCUCCCUCAACGUCUUCAGUGUGUCAUCGCUAAAAAUACGAUUAACGAAACUAUCAAACUUUCUCUUGCAGUUAGAUAGAAUACCACACACCUUGUCAUCUCGAUCUCGUAUAGCCUUCUGUAACUCGUAGUACUCCAGCUCGUCGAGCACGUCCUCCGCGUUCUCCACGGCGUCUCUGAGCUGCCACAGCCACGUUUCUAGCGCCUUGUUCUGCACCAUGACCGGCGCACCCCCCUCGACCGCAGUCAAGACUGCCUGGACCUGCGGAAGUGCGUGCUGCAGCCUUUCGAGCUCGUCCUGCAUGCCGCUGGUCGCCGGGUACACCUCGAGGUAGGAUGAGCAAGUGCUAACGAGAUUGUCGAUGAUCGCCGACGCCGCCGAUUCGGCUAUGAAAGGUAAAGCCAUUAUUAGGAUCCUCCUAAUAGCUCCAGCUCCUACUACUCCACCACUACUCGGGCAAUUGAUCAAGCUCCUGCAGUGAAAAAGUUGGAGAAAGAGGAAGGAGAGGUUGAGCUUGCAACGAAGAAAGAUUAAUUAGGAGGAAUAAUUAAGUUCUUGCAUGCUGACAUCCAACGUGGAGCACACCUACUAAGAAAUAAAGCAUGGCUGCUUUAUUCGACAACAAAAUUAAGCCCCCUACUAAUUAAGUGGGUGUUUAAUUUGAUUCCCCAAUUUUCUUUUUUUUUUAAAAAAAAAAAUGAAAACCAGUGUUUUUCGGAAAAAAAUAUAUAUAAUUUUUAUUUUUUGAAUAGGGAAGACAAUUUUCGGAUAAAAUUUAGAAACUAAACAAGCUAAAUUUAAAAAAAAAAAAUCAGCUAGAAAAUUAUUUUCAAAAAUAUUUUUUCAGAAAUCAAACACCCCCCUAAAACCUAAAUCAAAAUAUGCCCACUUUAAUUCAGUAGCAAGCAAGCAAGUUAAGAGUCUUGAGACAAGCAGUUGUUUCAAAUUAAUUUCUAACAAGCAUAUAGCUAGGACAAAUAUACCAAAGAAAAAACUUACAGGUCAAGCCAUAAUCCUCGAUGAUCGCCGACGCCGCCGAUUCGGCUAUGAAAGGUCAAGCCAUAAUCCUCCAGCAGAUAAUUAAUAAGCUCAAACCACAGCUGCUACUGCACCACCGCUCAGGCAAUUCAUCAAACACUUGGAGUGCCAAAAAGAUAGAGAACGAGGGAAAAGGAAAAGAGCAUAUAGGUUGGGGAAGACUUACAUGAGAUUUCACAUGACCGGAGGUUCUGCCGACAUCUUUGAGAAUUAAUCCACGCCCCAGUCCUGAACUCACACAAUUAAUUAAUCAAAUCCAAUUAAGGUCGUGUUUCCACGCCCCCACGGCACCGCUAAACUGAUGGUGCAAUUAGUGGCCCCUAUUAGUGGAUUAAACGUAAGGGUGUGUUUGGUUCCACGUAAAACUGUGGAAAAAAAAUUUUCGGUGGAAAAAAAAAUUUCAGUGGAAAAAAGUUUUACGUCGUUUGUGUUUGGUUUGUAGGAAAAGAAAAGUAGUUUUUCAUGACAGUUGUUUGAUUGAAAGAAAAGAAAAAAUAGAUAAAAAACUAUUUAAUAUAUUUUUUAUUAUAUAUAUUAUUAGUAUAUUGUAAUUAUUAUAUAUAUAUUCUCUAAUUAUAUAUAUUAUAUAUUAUUAAUAUAUAAUAAUUAUCAUAAUAUAUUUAAUUAUUAUAAUUUAUAUAUUAUAUAUUAUAUAAUAAAUAUUAUAUUAUAUAAUAAAUAUGUAUAUAAUAUAUUAAUAAUAUAUAUUUAAUAUUAUAAAAUAAUUAUUAUAUAUUUAUAAAUAAAAUAUUAUAUAAUAUAUAUUAUAUAAAAAAUAAAAUUAUUAAAUAUAUAUAUAUAUAUAUAUAUAUAAUUAAAAAGAGAGAGAGAGCUAGGUUCACUGCUCUCUCUCUCUCUCUCGGUCCACGAGGUGAAGCACACCUCGUGGACCGCGCGCAAAAAGAUGGAGCCGCACCUGUGAGCCCCGACUUUGCUCUCUCUCUCUCUCGGUCCACGAGGUGAAGCACACCUCGUGGACCGCGCGUAAAAGGAUGGAACCGCGCCUGUGAGCCCCGACAAUUUCACUGUAGCUUUUCAUUUUCCGCUCGGACAGAGCGGAAAACGAAAACACGAUUUUUCCGCCUAUUCGUAAAAAAAAAUUUCGGAGAAAAAUUUUUUACAGAGAACCAAACAAUGGAAAACUAUUUUUCAACUGAAAAAAAAUUUUCGGACUCAUUUUACAUGAAUCCAAACACGCUCUAAGUGUAAAUUACACUUUCGUGCUCAAACCAUACACUUUAGUUCUCAAAUUUUAAUUCAGUGUAAUUUUUGGCUCGAUGUGUGAGAUGCGUGACAAGUCCUUGAACUUCAGUUCUUCGCAAUUUUUGGCUCGAACUAUGAGGCGCAUAACACUUUAAUCUCGAGCUUUAGUUGUACUUUCUCACAGUUGGAACAAAUUAACUGGUACUUUGCCGGUGUGUUAUAGACAAUUCUAAAUGUUUUCUUUCAUGAAAACAAACUCUAAAUUUCUGUACGAGAUGAUGAUGAAUUGUUCACGGUCUUUAGCCUAAACCUUAAACCAUAAACCCUAUACAUCAUCUUAAAUAGUCUAUACUGAAAGUAAGUAAUUAAUGUUGCUCAAUUUUUAAUACAUAAAACUUUUAGUCUUUAAAGAAAUAAUAAAUCAUUUACCGUUCUCCGAAUGUAAUAAAUUAUUCACUAUUUUUUUUUCUUUUCAUUCAUCCCGACUCAGAAUGAUUGAUUUAUUUGCUAUGUAAAUUUUAGGGGCUUUUGUUUAUAUAUCUUCUACUACUAUUCAAUUUUUUUAAAUUUAUACAUCCCCUUUAUUCUCAAAAUGUUCUUCUAAACCUCAAAUCUCAUUAGUAAAUACUAUAGUUAUGGAUAUAUUGAAGAAAUUUUAUAAAAUCAAUGAAGCCAUUUUGCGAGACCAAAAAUAUAUUAGAUAUCUUUUGGUCAAUUUCAUGUAUGCUUCUUGAUAAGGGGAGGAAAUGAAAUGGAAGUUUCAUAGAGAAGACUUUCAAGUCAAAGUGCUGGAAAUUUUUCCACACUCCUAAAUAAAUUCUAACCAAAAUUUUCCGCACUUCAAGACAAAUCUAAAACAAAUAUUCAAACUUUUAUCGAAAACGAAUUCAAAUGGGAUGGAUUAAUUUAAUACUAAAUGGAUAUCAUUUCGGAUACAGAUAUAAAAGCCGAAAACUAGUCUAAUUUAGAUUCAAUAUAAUAUAUUUGAAUAUAUGGCAAAAAGAAAUAAUUGUUUCGAGUUAGAGUUUUCAGGUUCGGGUUUCGAAUUUUUGGUAAGGUUUGGGUCUGGAUAUAAAUUUUAAAAAUUCGUCAGAUUCAAAUUUUAAUUUUAAAUUUUGAGUUUGGUAGUCAAGAUUGGAUUCAGAUUUUUUUUUAAAACCUGCCCCAAAUUUGAUCAGUUGACGUUACAUACACGCCUUCCAACUCAUCCGAAUCAAUGAAAGUCAAAAUCAUAGUUAGUUAAUUCGCGAUUAAGCGAAUUAUUCGCGAAUUUUUGAAUAUACGAAUUAAACGGUCUGUUUCCGUAUUUUUUCAAAAAGUUUGGAAAAAAAUGCGUCUACUUCCUCAAAAAUAAUUAUUCGCCAAUUAUUCACGAUUCGCGAAUGGUUCGUCCAAAAAAACGGCGCUUGCUGACGCGGAUUUGCAGCCGAGGGUCGCGUCGUCGCCGCUCUCAUCGCCGAGCUUGUCCGGGUCAUCGUCCUCCUCCUCCGCCUCCUUGGCCGGCGCCGGGAGCAAGAGCCACGGCGGCAGAUCCGGCCUCAUCGUCGUCCUCCUCCGUCGCCAUGGCCAGCGCCAGGACCAAGAGCCGCGGCGGCGGAUCCGCCCGAGGCCCCACGGAAAAGAGGAAGUGGAACAGUAUAAAAAUCACGGCUUUUUGGGGCAUAGAUCAUGCGCGGUCCACUGCAUGAGAGGGAGGUCCACUCAUUACAUAUAUAUAUAUAUAUAUAUAAUUUUAUUUUAUAAAUAUUUAUUUAUUUAUUAUAUAUAAUAUUUUAUUUUUAUAUAGAAAUAUUAUUAUAUAAUAUUUUAUUUAUAAAUUUGUAAUUAUUUUUUAAUAUUUCUAAAUGUAUAACUUUUUAUAUAUUAUUAAUAUAUGUUUNAACUCUUAUAUAUUAUUAAUAUAUGUUUAUUAUAAUUUUAAAUAUAUUUAAUCUACAUAUAAAAAUUAUAAUAAUAAUAUAUAUAGUAUAUUAAUUAUUAUAUAUAUUUAUUAUAUAGCCGAAUUUUUUAUUCCGAAUUUUUAAUUGGUGAAUAUAUAAUAUCCGUAUAAAUCACAUAUCCGAAUAAUUACCAAAUUCGCUUUUUAGCCGUAUUUUUCAACGAAUUUAAAAAUUAAAAGACGAAUUUUAUCCGAAUUAUACCCGUACCGAAUUUUUGCCGAAUCCGAAUUAACUAACUAUGGUCAUAAUAAAAAAAGUGGCCUCGAAAAAAACUUAAAAGUCACCGACUAUACCCUUUUCACUUGCGUGAUUGUUUAACUAGUAUAGGAACCCACGCAAAACAGCGGAUAAAAUUGUUUUAAUAAAAAUUUAUAAAUUAAAUGAGCAAAUAUAGAAUAUAAAAAAAAGAAGGCUAUAAUCAUAUUUGAUUGAAAUUAAUAAUUAAAAAAUACGUUAAAGCUUUCAUAAUGGAAUUAUAAUUCAAUGAAAAAUAACGAAAGACAAAAAGGACUAUAGAAUAAAAAAAUUUGUUACAUAAAAAUCAGUCCCCUUUGUACCCUUGUCUAAAGCAUUCUCUACCGAGGCCAACUAUUUCAUGAGGUAACAAAGCGCCUUCAACUCUUUCCUAGCAACUCCAUAUCUUAACCAAUACUUCUAGUCCUUAGGAGCAUUAGAGGAAAGGGAGGCACCUCCUUCACAUAACUAUACAUUACAAAUUUAAGUACAAGUAUUACACAUCUUUUAUAUAUAUAAUAUAAAACUAACAAAAAAAUUUGUACAUAAAAGAAAAAAAAAAAAAAGCAUACUGUUGUAGAGAGAAAGAAUAAACAUCAUCAAAUUCCUCAAUUUUAACCAUUAAUGUAGUAACCCUGCAAUAUAGCAGUUGAGGCUUGUCGACAGCUCUGGUGAGUGUCGGGACAAGCCCGGGUCGCAUUGGCGCGAAAUGGAUGCCAAACGGACUCUGUGGGAAUGCGAGCGCAGCUGGUAUUAUGAAAAUCCGCGAAAUAGCAGAUUUUCUGCCACUUGUACCGGUACAAAUUUUGGAAUGUACCGAUACAAGCUUGAUGGCUAUACCGGUACAACCAUCAGGAAUGUACCGGUACAAUUGCUACGCAGACUACUCUCGGGUUGCCCAUUUGUACCGGUACAAACGUGCGUGUACCGGCACACUUUGGUAGGUGAGAAGGCAAUUCAGUUUUUUUCACCUCGUUUGUAUCACCAUCCCUUUUCCCUCUCUAUAUAGGAUUGAGAGAACAGAGAGGAGAGGAUUUUUACUCUCUCUCUCUCUUCUCCUUGUGCUGGACGUGGGUAGCGGAGGAACUUGGGUGGAGUUCGGGUGUCGUCGACGUCGCGCCGCGGUACCGUUCGAGCGUGUAUUCGUCGUCGUGGUGCUGCGAGGAGGCUGGGUGAGCGUGGAUUUUCGCCGUCCUCGACGUUGCGCCGGUUCUAGAGGGGUUUUCGAGGUGAGUGAUCUAUCGAAAUCACUUCAAUUACUUCAAGCUCCAUCAAUUUUGAGCUAGGGUGCUGUUCCUACAGAAUUCCAGUGUCGACCGUCGGCGUUUCGGCUCGUGUGCAACGUAGGAGCAUCGGAUUGCUGCGAAACUUGGUUUGUUGGAUUCUAUACUUCGAGAGAAAUCCACGAAGCCUAAGAUUGCUGAAUUUGGUGAAGGUUAGCUUGGUUGAACUCCCACUCUUCUCUGCUACUGUUGCUUGGACAGAAUUUCAAGCUUUGAGUCUUCUUUGAUGCUAACUUUGGAGGAAUUGGAAUGUUUACACCAGGGAUGCAUACUCCAACCUAGAUUACUGGAUUUGAAACCUUGCUUUACUAGGAUUGAGGUUUGGAAGGUGAAGUUUCGCAUUGUAAUUGAGGAUUUUUAGCUUAAGUGUUGAUUUUGGGAGGUUAUAAUGCAAGUUUAGUGUUAUUGUGGUUCAGAUCAUUGGAGAGGUGCGGUUGCUAGUUGAGAGCGGAAUCGAUUGAGUUUCCUGGUGGUUCGUGACUUCCUCGCUGUCGGGGAUUAGCUUGAGAGGUGGGUUAUUCAUCGGUGUUACUCCUAAGUGCAUAUUUAGUCGACGUGUAUGAUUUCAGUUGUUGGAUAUCAUAUUUUAGCUCUAAUUCAUUGAUUGUAGCUUGUAUAAAAUCUGAAUUAGGAGCAUGAUUAUUAAUUAGAUGAAUAUACAUGUUGGACUUUGAACUUGACUUAGGAGAAAACCGCGACUAUAACCGUCACAUGCUUAAACUAUCAGAUUUAGCUCUAGGAGCCGUGAUGUGAUUGUGUCAUCACAGUAUCGGCGCGAUGGAUACCCGGGGUAGUUUAGAUUGCAUUUACGCUUGUGCUGGGAUGCCGAGCUUAUUUUUACAGCAGAGUCUAGGCUGUUUCGAGUGGUCGGGUGCCGUCGGGGUUGACGGUGGACCCAGAGUUUGGUUUUGGUUUCAGAUUAUGCCGAGGGCACGUGGAUUUGGUUGUCAGACCUGUUUAGACCCUACCUACUUGACUUUGGCUUGUUAGAGCCUGAUUGAGCUCGACAGAGAUACGGUGCAUACUUGGUUGGGUAGCUCCCACGAGUGCCACUCCGGAGACGGGCGCUAUGCUAUUGCGUUGGUGUCGUUCGUACAGGUUGGACUUGCUCUCCACUGAUUGUUAGUGUGGAGGUAGCUGUACAGUCACAACCGGGUAGGACGGGUGUGUUUACAGUCCCAGGGACGGGUAUGAUUACAGUCCUCUUUGAGAUUGAGUCUGAUAUGACAUUAGUCUAUAGAUAUUUGGAUCUAGAGUAUGAUAGUGUAGUGGCAUUUAGCUGUAGAUAUAUUCCAGCUUUUCCUACAAUUCCAGCUCCUUUCUGUAGACUUAGUGGGUGGACCGAUGAUGUUGAGGGCGGCACCCACUGAGGACUACUUGUUUUUAUAGUAGUUCUCACGCCCUUUUGUUACUGUUGUUAUUGUAGAGCCUUCUGUGCCGGCUGCUACUCCUUCCCAGGCUGAUUGAAGCAAGGGCGUCGCGAGUUAGAGCCCUACCCGAUGAAUUGCCGUGAUAGAGGAUCACCGCCGCAGGUAGUAGUACUUUUGUGUUGGAGUUCUUGUACAUAUAGUCGUUGUAACUCGAUAGAGCGAGUAUUUUUGUAUCUGGAUGUUUUGUAUGUAUAUGGAACUUAUUUCUAUUCUAUCUGUUCAGUUUCAUUACAGCUCUAUAUUACUGGUUGUAGUAUUGUAUGUUUUACAGACACAGCUACGCUUCGUAUACAGAAAAAAUUCCUUUGUAUACGGCGGAUUUGUCAGCGUGCCCGGGGAACGAGGAAUCCGGGGCGUGACAAUUAAACAUGUAAAGAAAAUUUUGGUAAAGAAGAAAAAUGGAAUCGAACUUGUGCCGCCCAUUAAAAUUAAUUAAUUAAAAAAAAUGUAAAUUAAUGGGAAUGGGUGAAGGUGGAGAGGAGGUGGGUAAUGAUUUUUAUAUACGAAGUAAAUUAUUUCAACAUCUUUUCGAUCUAACCUUUCAUGGAUGGUAGCUCAAGGGCCACUAAAAAAAGAAAAAGUAAAUACGAGUGAAUGCGACGGAAAGCGAAGAGCCAUUUGAAAAAAUAGAUUAGCUAUAGUUUUUUAGAUGAGAGAAGAAAUGGCUUAAAGCCCCACCUGCCUCAAAUUAAAGAGUUACAUGCACAUAGGAUUUAGGCAUGAGAAUUUAUACAUAGGUAUAUAUUAGUGCUUUUUUUUUUUCAUAACUUUUAAGUAAUCUUGGUUAAUAAAAAUGUUAUAAUGGAAUAAUGGAUAGACACGCCCUGAAUGUUAACCUAUUUUGAAAUAAACCCCUAAUUUUUUUUUUUUUUUAUUUGAGUUAAACCUAUCAACUUACAAACUGUUUGAUUUAGGUUCUUCCAUUGGUAAUCUUGGGAAUUUUGUUAGAGUGAAACACCAAGAGGGAUGCACAUGCAAACAGAACCAAAGCAAUUCUUGAUAAAAAUGAAGGGGUAUUAAGGUUGUAGCAGUCAUACGAUUCAUAACAAAUUUGAAAAUUAAGCAAAAAUAGAGCAACGGCUCGUUUCUUCUUUUUGACUAGAGCAAUUUUUGAUCACGUGCAUUCCUCGUGGGCUUUUGAUUCUAACAGUUUAAAAUUGCCUAAUGCAAGGACCUAAAUUAAACGAUUUGUAAGUUGAAGGGUAUAAAUCAAAUUAAAAAAAAGAAAUGCUAACUCUGCAACAUUUUUAAGGUUUGAAUCUUUACAAUUUCCAAUCCAAAAACCAAGGGUUUUACUUCACCUUUUUUGGUUAUUUUUUUAAAAAAAGGGAAAAGACAAGUUGGAAAAAAGUAGACAUAAAAUGGUGGAAAUUGUAAGGUUACAAGCCAUAAAGGAUUGUAGAGCUAGCAUUGCUCAAGAAAAAAUAUAAAAAUAAAAAUAAAUAAAAAAUAAUAAUCAUCAUGCGUUUACACAUCUUAAGCAAAAAAAUUUGGGAACUAACCUCUACAAACAUUAUUUGGGAAUCUAACCCUCAUACCAUGCCGGAGUAACGCCGGUGCUAGCAGGUAGAGUUUAAGAUUUAUUAGUCACCUUAAUAAGAUGGUGAAUUAUUUAGUGUCUUUUGAGUAGAUGACAAAUUUAUCUUCUUACAUCCGCCUAUGAGCUUUAUUGUGUUUUUUCAUGAAUUAAAUUGGAAGAGAUAAUUUUCUCUACAUUUUGAAGCUUUACAAAAUCACGUAUAAAACAUAUGUCGAGAAUAACCAUUUAAUUUGUAACUGCCUUGAGCAGAAGAACCUCUUAACCUAUUUGGUAAAUUUCAACUAACCAGAAUAACUCCACAAAAAAAAAAUGAAGGGGAAGUCAAAAAAAAAACAAAAGAAAAGAAAAAUGUGAAGUUUGAUAGGAUUAUUUCAAAAUGUGAGGAGUUCUCAAUACAUUCUUAAAGAGAGAGAGAGAGAAAGUGAGAGAGAAGCCUAUGUAAACACUGUUGAAAAAUACGAAACUGUACAGAAAGAAGUGUAGACCAAAAAGAGAAACUGAACGGAACUGUUCGCGAAAUCUGAAUCGGAACAAACUUACACAGAUUUAAAACUGAAUUUCUUUUUCAGUUUUGAUUUUGUUUUUCCGUCUUCAAUGCAUAAAGAAAUUUAAUUUCUUUUUGAAAAUUGUAAAGAAUAAAAGUAGGUAGGUAGCUGCAGGAUGUGGUUGCAAGUUGACGCUUGCUGAAGUGCAGCAGCCCUUUUUUUUCCUUUUACAAUAAGUUGGCCGCACCGACCAAAUUUUCUCCAAAGGUCGAUGUACAGCCCUCAAUAAAAACUUAAGAAGUUCAACAAAAUUUGAAGUAUAAUUUAUGCCACUGAAAUUAAAUUCACAACUUUAGAGCUGGGUUACUUUGUCUACUUCAAAGAAGCUCAACAACUUCAUCAGAUCAUAGUGAAAAAAAAAAAAACAAAAAAUGAAUAAAACAAGCUCAUCAAGCUAUGAGAUUAAUUUGCUAUUUUGCCAUCAUAGAACGCACAAAUUAUCAUUCUUUUACCUUUCGCACCCUUUGCUAAUUAAACAUACAUCUCCAAUUUCAGUCUCCAAAAUAUCUAAUGUAAUUAUCCUCACUCACGCUCGAAUAUUUGUGACACUUCAAAAUGUUCUUUCGCUUGCUAAUUGGUCCCCUAGCUAGGGAAGUAUAAUUAGGCAGUGAAAUAAAAUAACCAGUAAAAUUAAGCUACAUAUAUUAAAGACACUAAUCACAUUAUACAUAUAUAAAUAGACUACUCGUAGUAGUCUUAUUCCAAUCCUGCACCAAGAAAAAAUAGGAGAAUGUACACAAAGCAGUAAAACUUUAACCAUCCUUCGUAACAAGGACGAAAUCCAUAGGCUAUAAUAAUAGGAGGGUUUUUAAUUCAUACACCACCGAGAACAGAAAGAAAAUACAAAUACAUAGGCAGUUUCUUUUGGUCUUGUUACAUUCCUUUUUUUGAGAAAUAGGUAGCGGGCUACCUGCUUCAUUCAUUAAGCAAAAUGAACUAAGCGUACAUGUUGGAGGCAACUAAGACCUCCUGAAGGGACCAGACAAAAAAAUUGAAAAAAAGAUAAAAAAGAAAUCACAGAUCACAAAGCAAAACAAAGACACACAAAGAAACGACCAACGAAGGGAACAAAAAUAGAAGACGUGGUCAAAAUCAAAGGGCGUCGGUCCAAGCUUUGAUCAAGGAGGUGACUCGUUCGAACGCCCGAGCAGCAUUGGGACGCGCAUCGCAAAAGAUAAUGUUAUUACGUUCCGUCCAUGUCACCCACCAGAUUGCUGCUAGAUGGGUCAGACUUUUUGUCCUCAACACUGCAUUGUGAAUAUUAGUUGUUUCCGUCCAAAGUCGGCCUACAUCCCCCGAUUCCAAUUCGCUUGUAUGAGAAAUUCCGGCGGUGAUUAGAAGAUAUCUGACAAAGACACAGUCCCGAAAGAGGUGAUCGCAGGUCUCUGGGAAUAGUGCACAAAACACGCAAAACUGAUCCACAACAUGCCCCCGACGGAUCAACCUGUCCUUGGUAAGUACUCUCUUGCGAAGUAGAAUCCAAAUGAAUACUCUGUUUUUAGUUGGAAUUCUUAUCCUCCAUAGGUGAACAUACAAGGAAUCUGUCUGGCCAUCAUCGGUGAUGAAAUCAUAGAUCGAUUUAACAGUAAAAAUUUGGUCGGCAGUCCAUCUCCACUUGUCCUAUAUAUAGAGAAAUUGAUAAGAGUUUUUAAAUGGUUCUUGUACCACCAAACAUAGAACAUAAGCAGUAACACUUCAGUCUUUUCGUGCAAUCAAUGCGAAAUGAAUCUAAAGUUUGUUUAAAAGUGUAAAGAAAGUAAAUGUAAGAUACUGCAGGAUGUGGUUGCAUGUUGAUGCCUGCUACAGCAUAGCUUUCAUUUCCUCUUAUGACGUCUUAUCGCGAGAGCAUACACCAAAUUUACUCAAAAUAUCGAUACAACCUGCACAAAAAAUUGAAAAAAGUUUAACAAAAUUUGAAAUUAUGAUAUAUACUGCUGAAAUUGAGUUCACAAGUUUAAUCCGGUGCCUAUUAUACUGCCCAAAAAAAAAACAAUAAUAAUUUGAAACACUUUUUUUUUUUUUGAUUAAACAGGGGUAUACCCUAUUUUAGAAUACAAAAGAUGCAGAGGCAUCAAUUUGAAACACAUUUUAAGGCAAUGUUUAAGAACUUCAUUAGAUAAUUCACAAGACAAAACAAGCUUAUGACCAGGCUAUGAGAUUUGCUAUUUGUACAGGAAUAUUCAAACACAAAAUUAUCUUUAGUAUAUACGAAUAUAAAGUAAGGAGAAACAAAAUUGAAGCAUUUAACCUCUCUGCUGCAAAAGAGGGCAAUUUCUUUCUUAAAGAUUUUACAUUAGUUUGGCUACUACGCACACACGCACACGGAAAAGCAUGGAAUCUUACUCUAAUCCUGCACCAACAAAACUGAAGAACACAAGCAUAAAGUAACAAAUUAGUCUUUAAUUUUCAAAUAAAUUGAUAGAACAUGACCAUGAAUUGGGAGUCAGUCCAGUACUAAUUAAAUAGAAGAACAUAAGUGGCAAGGCUUUAGCCAUGUUGUGCUCCUACAAUGAAGUCGAUAGACUACAAUACAAGCCUUUUUCACCCAUGCACCAGAAAACAAAAAAGAAGAGAGAAUAAGUAGAAUGAUUUUAAUCAUGUUUUAUCCCUGAUAAGCAAAAAUAGAUUCAGCGGCAAUACGGAGUCCUAAUCAAUACAUGUUCCUGCACUACCGAAAUUGAACAUAAACAGCUAAACUUUAUGUAGUUACGUAGUAUGAUUUUAAGAAUAAGCACUGAAAAACAAAAAACAGAGAGAACAAGUAAUUACGUAGUAUCAUUUUAAUCUUGUUUGUGUGCCUGAUAAGGAAAAAAAAUAGAUUUGAGCGCCAAUAGAGAGUCCUACUCCUUACAUGUUCCUCUACUACCAAAAUAGAACAUAAGCAGCUAAACUUUACUCUUGUUUUAUAUUCUUGAACAAAUUGAGUGAAAUAUAUAUAUAUAUAGGAGCGUUAUAACGUUACUGCAGUCCUGCACCAAGAAAUUAAAAUAACUCGAAAGCUUUUGUCACGCACGCGUACGUCUCUUAUGUUCUAACUCAUCUUCACUGGACAAUUAGUCAUAUUUUUUGACUUUAGAAAGCAAUUGAUAUACUAACAACAUAUGUUAUAUUCAUUGCAUUGCUUGUUUUACAAGACCAAUCCGUCCUGUGAGCACAACAUCAUGUAUUAAUUAUAGGGCGCAAUUAAUUAGCGCUAUAUUAAUUCCCUUAUUAUGUAUCCAAACCAUAAAGUAUAAGGGUAAAAAAAUAUAAUAAAAGAUUCCUAAUGGAGGAUGCUAAUUAAAGACGAACCUGACUGCUCUCGCAUUAUCCGAGAAAAGAAGGUAAUUAAUCAAUCCUGAAACAAAUUAGAUAACCUUGUUGAUUAAGAUCGAACGAGAUGUAGCUCAUUAAAAUCGAAAGGAAUUGCGUUAAUCGCAGAGAGUAUAUAGCAGGGGCGAGAUGAAGGAUGGUAAAGUAAACGUACAAUUUCGUCAUCGUCACUCUACAACUGUUUAAUCAUCCUUCUAGGGAUGUGGGCAAUCUUGAGCCAAUCAAGGCCACCAUUCUCUUGGCAUCGCUCCUUCAACACAGGGUGACACCCGGUGAUGACUAGAGCACGCAGUGAAGUAGCCAGAUCUGGAAGAGACCGGAUGAGAUUAGCAUUCAGUACUUCUAAACACUUGAGGGAGCACAGUUUUGUCAUGCUCUGCGGGAGGGACUGAAGGGAGACCGCAUUCCAUAUUUGUAAAUCUUUGAGGGCAGCGCAAUUUUGCAGUAGCCAUUCCUCAGGUAAGGUGGUGAGUUGUGAAGCAUCAGAGAGAGUCAACAAGUUGAUGGAGGAGAGACUUCUCAAUGGCUCCAUGAGCAGGAGCGCGUGGUGGUCAAUUGAUAGUUCACCAUUCUUCAAAAAGCGGUCCAGUACUGCAUUCUUUUUUUGGCCGACAUCGUUUGGGAACGGAGGCUGCAGCAGCAGGGCAACUUGAAUUAGCUUGUCACACCCUCUAAUUUCUAACCAACAGAGGGAUACUAAAGCUUGUAUUCCGCCUAAUGACGACAGUCCUUUGCAGUUCUUUAUUGCUAAAUAGGAAAGCGUCGUCCACCGUGCACACACUUGCGCUGGGGGAAGGGAUGUUAUGGUUGCGCAAUCGACUAAUUUCAACCCGGAAAGAGAGGUUAAAUCUGCCAACCACAGCAGUGGCACCUCAAGGUCGCCACAUGACCCAGUAGUGAGAUGAUUGAGUGUAGAGGGCAGUUGGAUGUCCGAGUUCCAACGUUUUGUCAACUUCGGGCAAUUUACUAUACGCAGUGAUUUGAGGGAGUCGAAUUUCUGAAAAAACUCUGUUGGAACAUAUUCAAGCUUCUCACAUCGUUUGAUGUCUAAGCUUUCAAGACCCUGAGAAUGUUCUUGCCGCUGCAAGAAAGAAAAGAUGUAAAAGAUAUUUAAGUCCGGGCAAUCAUAGCAGUGCAAAUACGAAUUGGUGUUUUAAUAUAAGGGUAAACUUCAAAUUGCACCCCGUGUGGUUAAUUAAACUCAUUGUCACCUUGCCACCUUGCGGUUCAAAAAGUUUUAAUUACUUUGCCCUCUAGUGGUUUAAUUUUUUAUUUCAUCAAAAAAAUUCUAUAUGAAAUAGCAUGGCAAAUUAAAAAUAUUUAAAAAAAUUACAAGAUAGCAAAGUAAAAAAUGAGUUAAACCAAAGGAGGCAAAGUGUAACUUUUUAAACCACGAGAUAGACAAAAGUAAAAAUAGGCUAAACCACAGCAGGGAGGGGGCAAAGUGAUACUUUUUGAACUACAGGGGGAAAAGUGAAAAUGAUCUAAACCUCAGGAGAAAUUUGAAGUUUAUAAAAUAAAGCACUUACAUUGUUGUCCAUGUAAUUCCGAUUUAUUGUUGGAAGAGCGGUCAAGCCGACAUUUGAAAUUUUCAAUUGUCUUAGACUAUACGGCAGAGUAGGAAUUUCCCUCAAAUUAGGGCAGUUAGUGAUAUACAUAUAAUGAAGUUGAGAAAACAUGCACCCAUCAUCUACUCCAAUCCAAUCCUCCAAGUUAGGCAUGUCCCAUAAAUGUAAAUCCUUCAAUGAUGGAAAGGCACAUCCACUGCUGCUUUUGAAGAAUGAACAAUCUAUUUGCUUUAUUGCAUCCAGUCCACACAAGUGUAGAGAUUGGAGCGAAGGAAAAUGCUCGAGAGGUGGAAGGUGCUCCCAUCCUUUACAAUUAAUCAGUUUGAUGGAUGUCAAAUUGACAAGAGAUAGAUUUGCCAUCCAACAUGGAGAUUUAGCACCUUGGUAUUGUCUGCUGCACAUUUUCUUGAGAUUGAUAUGAGGGCAGAGGUUAUCGAGGAGCUGCUCAUCCGUUUCUGCACUAUUGGAGCGGUCUUCAGACCAUUCCAAUGAUAGUGAUUUGAGAUUUUCUUUCUCAUUCAGCUUGGCCUCCAUAGCUUCUUCCUCAUCACAUUUUCAAGUUUCCUAAUACACAGGCGACGAAGGUCCCUGAGGUUCUUUAGUUCACCAACUUUGUAACCGCUCUCCUCUCGGAUAAUAAAAUUUUGUAAUUUGUGGAUGAAGGGUAGUUUGCUAAUAUAAGGAAUAUUUUCUAUCACAUGAUGGGGAACAUCUAAUAAACGCAAAUUUACCAAGUUGGUCAAGCCAUCAUAUUCAAUACUUUCAUUCACAACUUUCCCUAGUGAAAGAGAUAGGUAGCGGAGGUGUAUCAAGCUACUAAGUGCAUCGGGCAGUUUAUAAGGGUCAAAAUUCACAUCUAAGAUCAAUAAGCGUAACUUUUUAAACCCUUUUAUAACCUCGAGAAAUUCAAGUGCAUGAUUUGCAUUAUGCUCAUUAUCCUCUCUAACAGAAAUGACAAGAGUGCGCACGUUCUUAAGAUUGGAGAUCUCUCUGAUGGAAAGAAGAUUUAUCAUCUCAACAUGUAAGUGUCGAACUGGUUUUGGAAUAAUAUUUCCUGCAACAUCACCUCCUAUUCUUUUGCAUUCCCCUAGAGAAACAGAUUGUGCUAGGUCAUGCAGCAGAUCGUGCAUAAAAUACUCUUUAGUAAUUUUCACCAGAUUAUCACUAGUUUCGCAAGUAAAGAAUGAUUUUCUUGUCAGAAGAUUUAAAUACUCAUUUCCGAUAUCCUCUGGCCUUUGCCUGUCGCAAAUAGAUUGCGGAAUCAGACUUGAACCAAUCCACAUAUUGACCAACUUUUUCCUCUUAAACAUAUAAUCUUGUGGAAAUAAACUACAAUAUCUAAAGCAGAGUUGUAAGUUUGUGGAUAAGUGAUCGUAGCUUAAUCUCAAAAUUGUCAUGAUGCCAUCCUUUCCUAGUUGUAAUUUCAUGAUGUCUUCUUCCAAGAUUUUCUUCCAAUAUUCAUAGUCCAUAUAGGAGUUCAGCAUUCCUCCCAUAACUUUUAUUGCCAAUGGGUAUCCUCCAAGUUUCUUCGCUAUAUGUUGACCAAUUGGUUGCAAGUUUUUAUAAUCAUCAGGAUUCACACCGAGGAAUGCAUGCUUAUUGAAAAGCGACAUAUAGUCGCUCUCCUCCAACUCAUUUAGAUUUAAUGAUUCCCGUUUGCAUUUCAUUACAUUUGCCACCAUAUCCGCAACUGAACCCAUUCGAGUUGUCAACAGGAUCUUGCUUCCUCUCUGUCCGGAUUUCAAAGGAGCAACCAAUUUCUCCCACUCCGUCAUGUUAUCAUCGUUCCAAACAUCAUCUAGUAUGAGCAAAAACCUCUUCGAUGUUAGUUUUUCUUUAAGUUUCUCAUGGAGUGCAUUUAGACGCUUGUCGCCAAAAUUCUCACUACUUACACAUUCUAAAAUUUUUCUUGUUAUCACAGUUACAUCGAAAUCCUGAGAAAUGCAAGCCCACAUAAUCGGGUCGAAGUACACUCGCACUCUUUCAUUACUAUAGACUAGUUGAGCAAGAGUGGUCUUCCCGAGCCCACCCAUACCAACAAUUGUGAAAGCAGAGACAUCAACAUCGGCAUCUCCCGGGUUGAUCAGCCAUUUGACUAUCAGGCCCGUCUCCUUGUCUCGUCCGAGCACCUCACUUUUGAUUACCAAGGAGCUAGUCUCGCGAGCAUUCUUGAUUUCCUCGAGCUUUUGACGCUUAACACUAGGAUUAGAAUUUUUAAGAUAAAUAAAUAAAUUUAUUUAAAAAAAUAUAUUUUGUAAUUAAAAAUAUAUGUGUGGGUACCCGUGGGUACCCGUGGGUUACCCAAAAUGCUCACAACUUAAUGGGUACCCACCCGUUUUACCCAUAAUUUUUUGGGUUGAAAAAGUUGCUACCCAUACCCGCAAAUUUGCGGAUAACCAACGGGCACCCGCGGGUUUGGGUCGAGAUUGCCGGGUCUAAUUGGUACCUUAAUAACAUCUAAUUGAUUUGAGUCUUGAUUUAGGAAAUUGAUUAUAAAAAUUACAUAUGCCUGCAUAAGGGAGGGUGGAGCAACUGCGUGCGCCAAAAUAUUACCUGCACCUGGUGUACAAGCACAUAUCUAUACACCGCAUCUCUGAAAUGGACAAAUGUUUUAGAACUAAGAAAAUUAAAAUCUAACUCACUGAAUGUUAAAGUGAUUUUAGACCAAAAAUGAUCUUUCCCUUCAUAAAGCAUUUGAUGAACUUGUCUUUCAAAAUCUAAUUCUUAUUUUUCUCUCUAAAAUCAGAAGUAUUUAAAACCUGCUAUCUCUAAUCUGAAUCUAAUUUUGAACUCAAAUUUUAAGCUUAAAUUUUAUUUUUAGGUUCAAAUUUUUAAUUUAAAUUUAGAUUUUUAAAUUUUAAAUUUUAAAUUUCAAAUUUAAGUUUUUAAAUCUUAAAUUUCAAGUUAUCAAUUUUUAGUUUUCAAAAUUUGAAUUUAGAUAUUAAUUUUUAGAUUUUAAAUCUCAAAUUUUAAAUUCAAUUUCAUAAUUUUUUUUAAUCUACUCUUUUUAGAUAUUUUAGGUUUAAUAUAUCAGACAAAUGUAUAUCGUUGUGUGGCAUAUAGCGUAUUUAUACACUGGAGGUACAUGCAUUUGUUCUUUCUGCAUAUCUGGUGUUUGGUAACACAUAAACUUAGUUAAAAAUAGUUUAAGAGAUAUUAAAUUAUAGAAAAAAUAAUAAUCCACUUGUUAGUAUUUUGUUUGGCGUAAAACAAAUUGAGAUUGAAGCACAAGUGCUCGGUUUGAAAGAAGAGAAAAUAAAGUAUGUAGGAAAGUAGAUGUGGGACGGAGGACAGAUACUACUGACUUUUUAGUUUUGUUUUUUCAUCCGAAAAUAAUUAUUUGUCACUUAAAGUAUAUAAUUAUGUCACUGGAAAGUGUAAAAUACGCAAACCAAUAUCAAAAAGCUAAUAUUAGUAUUUGACCAAAACUAUUUUCGACCUGAGCAUUUAUUUGAAUGCAUGAAUAUCUUAUCCGGUCUAUCUGUUAUGUUUAUUUAAGAACUGUAUAGUAUUUGGUAGAUUAGAAUUUCCAUCAAUUUAAUGGUUUUAAUUAUCUUUUGCAAACAAACUGAAACAACCAAUAGCUAAUAGAGGUAUUAAACUUCACAAAUUUUCGCUUUAACUAACUCAAAUAACUGAAAUAAAAAAAACCAUAUUAGAAUCUAAGAACAGUGUCAAUAAAAAACAAAAAUAAUUGCCAAGUUGAGGGGCCUAUUCGCAAUGGCGUAUAGUUGCAGAGGUCUCAUUUAGAAUUUUACCUCAAACAAAAAAAAAAAAAAAUUAUGUCUCUGAAAACAACAGUUCGAAAAAUAAGGAACUGCACAAAGGAGCGUAGACAGAAAAUUUGAAUCAAAACCAACCUUACAGAGAUUGAAGACUGAACUGAACAUCAGCAACAGUUGUCGGUCUGUUUGAGUUUUGAGUGUGCUUUUCUGUCGUCAAUGCAUUAGGAAAUUAAUUUUUUUUUCUGUUUUGGAAAAUCGUAAAGAAAGAAAAAGCAAGCAGCUGCAAGACGUGGUUGCAAGUUGAUGCCUGCUGCAGUGUAGGCCUCAUUUUCAAUUUACGGUGAAAUGUCGGUAUAAGUGUUAUCGACGGAGUGUCUGUCAAAUUUGCCCCGGAAAGUGGAUACAACCUGCAUUAAAAACUUGGAGUUGUUAUACUGCUAGAGAAACAUAAAAAUUGAUUGAUGUUUUAGCUACCUCAGAGAAGCUCAACAACUUCAUCAUAUAACAGACAAAAACAGAACAAGCUUAUGACUGGGCUAUGCGAUUUGCUAUUUGUGCAGGAAUCAAACACAAAAUUAUCUUUAAUAUAUACGCAUAUAAAUUGAGGGGAAACAAAAUUGAAGCAUUUAAUCUCCUUGCCGCAAAAAAGAGCAAUUUCUUUCUUAAAGAUUUUACAUUAGUUCGGCUGCUACAAACACACACACACACACACACACACACACACAAACAAAAAUGCAUGGAAUAUAUGUUACUCUGAUCCUGCACCAACAAAACUGAAGAACACAAGCAUGCAGUAAGACAUUAGUCUUUUUUUUCCAUAUUCUUAUGAAUAAAUUGAUGGACCAUGACCAUGUAUGGGAGUCAUAUAUGACAAUAAGAGCCUUUUUCACUAUUGCGCCAAAAAAGAAAGAGAAGAGAAAAUAAGUAGUAUGAUUUUAAUCUUGUUUUAUGCCAGAUAAGAAAAAUAGAUUCGAGCACCAAUAGGGGGUCCUAAUCCUUACAUGUUCCUGCACCACCAAAAUAGAACAUAAGCAGCUACUCUUGCUUUAUAUUCUUGAAAAAUUUGAAAGAAAUAUAUAUAUAUAGGAGUGCUAUACCAUUACUACUGCCCUGAACCAAGAAAUUUAACAAACUUAAAAAGCUUUUGUCAUGCUUCUCUUAUGUUCUAACUCAUCAGCGAGACUUCGCAUCUUGUUUGUACUCCUAGAGAGAGAAAUUACUGCACAAUUAGUCAUAUUUAACUUUAGAAAGCAAUUGACAUGCUAGCGCAAUUAACAUAUGUUAUAUUCAUGACAUUGUUUGUUAAGACUAGCACAAUGUAUUAUAUUCAUGACUAGCACAAUAUAUUCAUGACAUUGCGCUUUUUGGGGUUUUUUGGGGCUUUGAUUUUGGUUUUUGGUUUUUUUUGGUUUCUGGGUUCCUGCUCCUAGAUCUUGAUUGCGAUCAACCCAUGCUGUUCUUGCCGUUCUGUUUUUUCGCCUUACUAGACUGCUCCUAUACUCUCUGUUCUGACUUUGUUAAAAUAGGGUAUACCCCUGUUUAAUCAAAAAAAAAAAAGACUAGCACAAUGUAUUAUAGGAGGCAAUUAGUGCUUUAUUCCCUUUUUAUGUAUCCAAAUCAUAAAAUGAGAGUACAAAAUGUAAAAAUUCCAUUGAGGAUGCUAAUUAAAAAGGAACCUGGCUACUCUUGCAUUAUCUGAAAAAAGGUAAGCAAUUAAUCCCGUAAGAAAUGAGAUAACUUUGUUAAGACUGAAUGAGAUGUAUGUAGUUCAUUAAUUAAGACCAAAAUGAAUUGCAUUAUUUACAACAAAGGGUUACGAGAUGAAGGGGGGUAGAGUGUACUUACAAUUAAUAUGCAUCAUCAUCACGAUCUGCAAAUAAUGCUAUGUAAUCCUCACAAAACGGAUGUUGGCAAUCUUGGGCCAAUCAAGGCCUAUAUUCUCUUGGCAUCGCUCCUUCAACACAGGGUGACAGCUGUUGAUGACUAGACAACGCAGUGAAGUAGGUAGAUCUGGAAGUGACUGGAUGAGAUUAGCAUCUUCCACACCCAAAAUGACGAGGGAGCACAGUUUUGUCAUGCUGCGGGGUAGGGACUGAAGGGAGCGUGCUUCUCGUAUGCAUAAUUGUCCGGGGGGCAGCGUGAUUUUGUAGUAGCCAUUCCUCAGGUAAGGAGGCGAGAGCGCGUAAGCAUCAGAGAGAUGUCAAACGAGCAGACGGAGGAGAGACUUCUCAAUGGUCUAUGAGCAGGAGCGCGUGGUGUCAAUUGAUUAUAACCAUUCUUCAAAAACAGUCCAGUACUGUAUUCUUUUUUUGGCCGACAUCGUUGGGAAGGAGGCUGCAGCAGAAGGGCAACUUCAAUUAGCUUGUCACCACCUUUCAAUUAUCUAAAGAACGGAGCGAUACGAGAGCUUGUAUUCCACCAAUGAUGACAAGUUCUUUGCAGUUCUUAUAUUCUAAGCGGGAAAGCAUCGUCCACCGUGACACACUUUGUGCGGGGGAAGGGAUGCUAUACUUGCACAAUCGAGUAAUUCCACCAUAUAAAGAGGUUAAAUGCCGCUGACCACAGCAGUGGACCUCGAGGUCGCCAAAUGACAAUAGUGAGAUGACCGAGUACAGAGGGCAGUUCGAUGUCUGAGAUCCUACUUUUGUCAACUUGCGGCAAUUUUCUAUGUGCAAGGUUUUCAUGGCUUUGAAUUCCCAAAAAGCUCCGAUGGAACAUAUUCGAUCUUCUUACAGUGUCUGAUGACUAAGCUUUCAAGAGGCCUGAAAAUGUUCUUGCUACCGCAAGAAAAGAAAGAAAAGAUAUUUAAGUCUGGGCAAUCACAGCCAUGUAAAUACGAAUUGGUGUUUGGAUACAAGGGUAAAGUUUAAAUUGCCCCCGUGUGAUUUAACUCAUUUUAAACUUGACCUUGCAGUUCAAAAAGUUUUACUUUGCCCUCCUGUAGUUUAAUUUUUAUUUCAUCAAAAAAGUUCUAUAUGAAAUAGUGUGGCCAAUUAAAAAUAUUUAAAAAAUACUUUUUGAACUACAGGAGAGGGGGGUGAAAAUGAUAUUUUUGAACUACAGGAGGGGCAAGUGAAAAUGAGCUAAACCCAGGGGAGAAAUUUAAAGUUUACAAAAUAAAGCACUUACAUUGUUGUUUGCGUAAUUUGAUUUAUUGUUGAAAAGCGAUCAAUCCGACAUUAUAAAUAUGCAAAUCUCUUGACCAUAGAUGCAGAGUAGGAAUUCCCCUCAAAUUAGGGCAAUCAGAAAUAGACAUAGACUGAAGUUGAGGAAACAUGCACCUAUCAUCAAUUCCAAUCCACUCCUCCAAGUUAGGCAUGUCCCAUAACAAUAACAUCUUCAACGAUGGAAAGGCACAUCCACUGUUGCUUCCAAAGAAUGAACAAUCUAUUUGCUUUACUGUAUGCAGUCCCUGCAAGAAAAGGUGCCGGAGCGAAGAAAACUGCCAAAGAGGCGGGAGCUGCUCCCAUCUUUUACAAUCAAUUAGUUCGAUGGAUGUCAAAUUGACAAGAGACAGAUUUGUCAUCCAACAUGGAGAUUUAGCACCGUGGUAUUGUUCAAUGCGCAUUUUCUUGAGAUUGAUAUGUGGACAGAGGUUAUCGAGGAGCUGCUCAUCCGCUUCUGCACUAUUGGAGUGGCCUUCGGACCAUCGCAAUCCCAACGAUUUGAGAUAUUCUUUCUCAUUCAGCUUGGCCUCUGUAGCUUCUUCAGAAGUCCUCACAUUUUCAAGUUUCAUAAUACACAGGUGAUGAAGGUCCCUGAGGUUCUUGAGUUCACCGAUUUUGUAACCACUCUUCUCUCGGACAACAAAAUUUUGUAAUUUGUGGAUGAAAGGUAGUUUGCUAAUAUAAGGAAUAUUUUCUAUCACAUGAUAGGGAACAUCUAAUGAACGCAAAUUGACCAAGUUGGUCAAGCCAUCAUAUUCAAUACUUUCAUUCACAACUUUCCAUAGUGAAAGAGAUAGGUAGCGGAGGUGUAUCAAGCUACUAAGUGCAUUGGGCAGUUUAUAAGAGUGAAAAUUCACAUCUAAGAUCAAUAAGCGUAACUUUCUAAACCCUUUUAUAACCUCGAUAAAUUCAAGUGCAUGAUCUGCAUUAUGCCUAUUGUCCUCUUUAACAGAAAUGACUAGAGUGUGCACAUUCUUAAGAUUGGAGAUCUCUCUAAUAGAAAGAAGAUUAAGCAUUUCGACAGAUAAGUGUCGAACUGUUUUUGGAAUAAUAUUUUCUGCAACAUCACCUCCUAUUUUGAUGCAUUCCCCUAGAGAAACAGAUUGUGCUAGGUCAUGCAGCAGAUCGUGCAUAAAAUACUUUUUAGUAAUUUCCACCCUAUUAUCAUGGGUUUUACAGGUAAAGAAUGAUUUUCUUGUCAAAAGAUUUAAAUACUCCUUUCCGAUAUCCUCUGGCCUUUCCCUGCCACAAAUAGAUUGUGGAAUCAGACCCGAACCAAUCCACAUAUUGACCAACUUUUUUCUCUUAAACAUAUGAUCCUGCGGAAAUAAACUACAAUAUCUAAAGCAGAGUUGUAAGUUUGUGGAUAAGUGAUCGUAGCUUAAUCUUAAAACUUUCAUGAUGUCGUCGUUUCCUUGUUGUAAUUUCACAUUGUCUUUUUCCAGGAUUUUCUUCCAAUAUUCAUAGUCCAUGCAGGAGUUCAGCAUUCCUCCCAUGACCUUUAUGGCCAAUGGGCAUCCUCCAAGUUUCUUCGCUAUCUGUUCGCCAAUCAGUUGCAAGUUUUUAUAAUCAUCAGGAUUCACACCGAGGAAUGCAUGCUUAUUGAAAAGCAACAUAUAGUCGCUCUCCUCCAACUUAUUUAGAUUUAAUGAUUCCUGUUUGCAUUUCAUCACUUUUGCCGCCAUAUCUGCAACCGAACGCAUCCGAGUUGUCAACAGAAUCUUGCUUCCUCUCUGUCCGAAUUUCAAAGGAGCAACCAAUUUCUCCCACGCCAUCAUUUUAUCAUCGUUCCAAACAUCAUCCAGUAUGAGCAAAAACCUCUUCGACGUUAGUUUUUGUUUAAGAUUCUCAUGGAGUGCAUGUAGACUGUUGUCGCCAAAAUGCUCCCUACUUACACAUUCUAAAAUCUUUUUUGUUAUCACAGUUACAUUGAACUCCUGAGAAAUGCAAACCCACACAAUCGGGUCGAAGUACUCUUGCACUCUUUCGUUGCGAUAGACCAAUUGAGCAAGAGUGGUCUUCCCGAUCCCGCCCAUACCAACAAUUGUAAAAGUGGAGACAUUGACAUCGGCAUCUCCCGGUUCGAUCAGCCAUUCAACUAUCAGGUCCCUCUCCUCGUCUCGUCCGAGCACCUCACUUUCGGUUAGCAAGGAGCUAGUCUCGCGAGCAUUCUUAAUUUCCUCGAGUUUCUGACACUUAACGCGAGGGCCAUAUAACCCAGUAACAAGAUGAAGGAGUGGCCCCAUACCAGCAAUGACCCGAUCCAACCCCUUGACGGCCUCCCUCAACCGCUUCAGUGUGUCAUCGCUAAAAAUACGAUUAACGAAACUAUCAAACUUUCUCUUGCAGUUAGAUAGAAUACCACGCACCUUGUCAUCUCGAUCUCGUAUAGUCUUCUGUAACUCGUAGUACUCCAGCUCGUCGAGCACGUCCUCCGCGUUCUCCACGGCGUCUCUGAGCUGCCACAGCCACGUUUCCACCGGUCUGUUCUGCACCAUGACCGGCGCACCCCCCUCGACCGCAGUCAAGACUGCCUGGACCUGCGGAAGGGCGUGCUGCAGCCGUUCGAGCUCGUCCUUCAUGCCGCCAGCUGCCGGGCACGCCUCGAGGUAGGAAAAGCACCUGCUGACAAGAUUGUCGAUGAUCGCCGACGCCACCGAUUCGGCUAUGAAAGCCAUUAUUAGGAUCCUCCUAAUAGCUCCAGCUCCUACUACUUCACCACUACUCGAUCGGGCAAUUGAUCAAGCUCCCUGCAGUGAAACAGUUGGAGGAAGAGGAAGAAAGAUUAAUUAGGAGGAAUAAGUUCUCGAUCGAAUGCUGGCAUCCAACGCGCGUGGAGGACACCUACUAAGAAAUAAAGUAUGGCUGCUUUAUUCACAACAAAAGCCGCCCACCCCCCCUAAUUAUAAGUGGUUGUUUCGAUUCCCCAAUUAAAAAAAAAAAAAAAAAAAUGAAAACCCGUGUUUUUUCGAAAAUAUAUAUAUAUAUAUAAUUUUUAUUUUUUGAAUAAGGAAGAAAAUUUUCGGAUAAAAAUUUAGAAACUAAACAAGCUAAAUAAAAAUAAUAAUAAUAAAAUUCAGCUAGAAAUUUAUUUUCAAAAAUAUUUUUUCAUAAAGCAAACACUAAAUCAAAAUAUGCCCACUUUAAUUCGGCAGCAAGUUAAGCUUUUUUAGACAAGCGGUUGUUUCAAAUUUCUAACAAGCAUAUAGGGAGGUAUACCAAAGAAAAAACUGAGGAGGAGUAAUUUUUAGGAUUAAUUGCAUACACGUCCCUACAAAUAUGGUAAAUUAUAAAUAUAUUCCUGCAAAGCUUAAUUUUUAUAAGUUAUCCUUACAAAAGUCGUAAUGUAUUCAGAUAUAUCAUUCUGAUUAGGAUCCGUUAGAGAGCUGUUAAUUUUUUAACAGUAGAGUUGUGAAAUGAUAAUGUUGUCCUUGCCCUCUUCCUCUUUAGGCUGCGGGAGUGGUCGGCGGCGGCAGCGACAGCGACAACGACCUUGUGGAGCUUGUCGGGGUUACGGCCAAUGAGGACGAGGAAGAGGCGGAAGGCGAAGGCACGGCCGAUGCCGUCGGAGGCGCCCGUGACGACGGCCCAGGCGGGCACCACGACGGCGACGACGAUCGGAUCAUCGACGAUGACGACGAAGAAGAAGAAGGAGGAGGAGAAAAGAAGGAGGAAAAGAAGGAUAUGGAGAAGAAGAGGAAGAAGAAGAAGCAGGAGAGAAAGAGGAAGAGGAAGAAGAAAAAGGAUAAAAUUAUCACUUCACAUUAUUAAUUAACUUUGUAAGUAUUUUAACUGUGGUUAACAAAAUUUUUCUAACGAAUCCUAACGGCAGGAAAAAAUCUGAAUACAUUAGGACUUUUAUAAAAAUAACUUAUAAAAAUUAUACUUUGCAGAAAUAUAUUUAUAAUUUAUUAUGUUUGUAGGGAUGUGCAUGUAAUUAACCGUUUCUUGGAUGCUUGUUGGGAGAGGGGAGGAAAUGAAAUGAAAGUUUCAUAUAGAAAGACUCACAGGUCAAAUUUGUCUGCCUUCUUGGGACAACCAACCAAACUCAAUUAUUGCUGACAAAGGAAUCUGUCCGGCCCCACUCCACACCCUUUCCGAGGGAGAAAUUAUUGCCUGCAUAGCCAAUAAUAAUAAAGGUUUAUAGAUUGAGGGGAAAAUGCACAAAGAGCCUGUGAACUUUAAUUAACUCUUUUGUAAUGGGUUUGGUUGUUGACAUUUCAGUUGAUUUAUAUUUUCAGUUAAAUUUAUAUUUAAUUAAAAUAAAUGAAUCGAGUAACAUACUAUCUGUUUUUCUUAAAACAAAAAAAAAGCUCUACCAAAACAAUAGUGUAUAUAUAUAUAUAUAGGAUAAAUAAAAUUGUUCCUUCUUGAAUUUUUAGUGAAAUUUUACUUUACCCCGCAAACUCAUAAAAUGGUUAUGAAUGAAAUAUUUAGAGUUUAGAGUAUUAGAUGUCCAUUUUAUGAGUUUAGAGGGUAAAGUGAAAUUCUAACAAAAGUUCAGAAAUGUAAUAAAAUUUAGAUUAUUUAAUUAUCAAAAUUAAAAGUUUCGAUGUCUUAAUUAUUUACUGCAAAACUAAAGUUCUGAGGGUCUGUGUACUUACUUUUUUGUCCUAAGAAUUACAAUCUAAGUAGUUCUUUAUCCACGUAUUGCAAGUGCUUAUUAUGUUUUGAGACUACUUAAUGCUAUAGUAAAAAUAUUUUAAACCUUAGAAAUUUUAGUACAUUGUAUGUUUAUUGCGGUAGAUGACAUAUACUUUUUUUUCUUUUUUCUUUUUUUUUUGAGAAAGAGGUAGCGAGCUACCUACUUCAUUCAUCAAGCAAAAUGAAUUAGGCGUACAUAAUGGAAGCAGCUAAGGCCUCCUAAGAAAGCAGAGAAAGGUAGAAAAAUACAAGAAAGGAAAAAUAGAGCUAUAGGAGAAAGCUGGAGAGGUAGCACGGAGGAUGCGAAAGUACAAGAGUGAGAGGUCCGAGAGAGAAGUAGAGAGAAGUAGAGAGAUCACAUGUCGUUCUCAGCUUCGUCAAGGCAAGAACGUCCGGUCAUUCGACAAGGUAGAGAUGUGCUCGAGAGCCCUGGUAGCAUUGGGGAGGUAGUCGCGAAAGAUAGUAUUGUUGCGUUCCGUCCAAAUGACCCACCAGAUUGCCACCAAUUUGGUUAGACGUUUCUUUCUCCUCAUAGCGUCAGGGAUGCUGGAAGUGUCUGCCCAAAGACAUCGCACGUCACUUUGUUCCAAGUUGGUUGGGUCUGAGCUUCCCUCACUGAAAAAGAGGUAUCUGGCAAAUACACAGUUACAGAAAAGAUGGCCACAGCUUUCUGAGCACGUAGCGCAGAAGACGCAAUGCUGGUCCACGGGGCAGCCGCGGCGAAGCAGUCUAUCAGCAGUAAGUAGUCUUUUGCGGAGCAAAAUCCAGAUAAAGAUUUUGAUUUUGGCCGGUGUUCGUAAACUCCAUAAGUGUACAUACAUCGUGUCUCUCUGUCCUGCGUUGGUAAUGAAGUUAUAUAGGGAUUUAACGGUGAAAGAUUUGUUGCUGGUCCAUCGCCACUUUAGCAUAUCCGAUGUGGGGGUUGGAUUGUACUGUGGCAGUAGCUCUUUAAGCAUCAUCAUUUGUCGCCGACUAUUAGAGGGGCGGAAGAUCCGAGCCCUCUGGAUAUGAAACGCCAUCUGCAGGCGCGUAUAUUCCAGCAUUGGGAAACUGUGGCCUUCUUGUUCUCGAUUUUGUCGAAGAUUUCUGGGAAUAGGGUACUAAGAGGGGUUUCUCCAAUCCAAAUGUCAGACUACAGUCUGAUGAUUCUUCCGUCUCCAAGUACGUAAGAUACACCGCAUUUGAACGCGUCACGACACCUCUCCAUACUCAUCCACCACUGGGAGUAGGGUCUGAAGCCUCUACCCUCAUGUAACGGCCUUCUUCUGGUGCAGUAUAAAGAUCUAAUCAAUUUCCCCCAGAGCAGAUGCGACUCGUUAAAAAAGCGCCACCACCAUUUGGUUAAUUGUGCUGUAUUCAUAGCUUCCAUGUCCUUUAUCCCUAAUCCCUCUUCUUUUUUGCUUUUGCAGAUAGUUUUCCAGCCGACUAGACAUGAUCCCCCUAAAAUUUUGGAACACCCUUUCCAGAAGAAAGAUCUUCUUAGGGCUUCUAUGUGGUGUAAAACCCAAUGCGACGCCUUGAAAAUAGAGAAGUAGAAUAGCGGUAAGUUUGAGAGCACCGAGUUAACUAGGAUGAGUCUUCCUCCUUGUGAGAGUAGUUUAGCCUUCUAGCCUUCAAUGCGCGUUUCAAUACGGUUAACGAUCAGAGCUCAGUCCUCUCUUCGCAGCGACUUGUUGUGAAGCGGCAACCCCAAGUAUCUGAAUGGAAGAUUUCCUACUCCACAACCCAAGAUAUCAGCAAGCCUAUCCGCUCUGUUGGCGUUGGGUCCCAGAUAGUAAAGUUCCGUUUUGUUCCUGUUGAUCUUGAGACCUGAGGCCUAUUCGAAGAUCUUCCAAAUAAACAAAAGGUUUCGCAUGUUUGACUUUCUUGGUUUGCAGAAGAAAACUGUAUCGUCCGCAUAUUGAAGAAGCACUGUUUGGCAGUCUGCAUAUGGGCCAAUACUGUGGAUCAAACUGUUGCCCCUAGCGGUUUCGGUGAGUCUGGCCAGGCAGUCGAUCACCAAAAUGAAAAAGUAGGGGGAGAGCAGGCCUCCCUGUCUGAGCCCUUUCCUUGCUUUCAGCCACGUUAUCGGGCAAUCGUUUACUAAGACGGCGCUUUUUGCGUUGCAAAUGCAUUGUUCGAUCCAACUCCACCUUUUGUCGUUGAAACCAAGCCAUCGCAGUAUACGUUGCAGGAAAGACCAUCUAACAUUAUCGAAAGCUUUCACGAACAAGGUUACUAGAUUGGGUUUUGGCCAUACAAAAUUUACAAUGUAGUCACAAGGGAAAUUAUUGCCUACAUAUAUGUAAGUACAUCAUAUACAUCCCAUAUGUCGCAUACAUCACAUUUCUAUACUUUUGUGAUAGAGAUCUUAAGAUUAAAACUAAGACUAAAAUACAGAAAACUCUUAUCUAAAUACUUACCUUUUCUUUCUUUUUUUUCUGAUUUAUAAACAAUCUACAUUUUGCAUCUAAAAAUUUCAGAUGUUUUUCAGAGAAUUACAAUGUUAUUGAGGUGGGUGAAAUGACAAAACUACCGUUACUCAUUCUACAGAAAAAAAAAAAUUUAAUUUUUUAAUAUAUUUUUAGGGAUAUAUCCAGUCAUAAAUUAAAAGAAAGAGAUGGGACAGUAAUAGAAUUCUGUCGGCGGAGACUAUAUAAGUACAUCAACUUGAAACUUUGAUGCAGAAAAUAUAUAAAUUUUUAAAUGUUGAAACGAGAAAGAGAAAAGACGAAUAUACUCAAAAGUUAGAAGCAGAAAGAGAAAAGACGAAUAUUUACAGAAAUUUUUUUUAUACUAGUUUAAAUUUAAUCUAGUAUUUUACCGAUGCUAUAGGCAGUCACUGAUAUUUUAUUUUACUUGAUGUUACAGAAAUAUAUAUUUUUUAUAAAUAUUGUAAUUUUUUUUAUAUAUAAUCCCUUUAUUGUUGUAGAUAUUAAUUGAAUUGGGCUUGGAUUUUAAAAAGUUACGCAUUGAAAAAUUACAUAGAAGUAAUUACAUAAGGGAAUUAAUUAUUGGCUGCACCUUUUGUAUUUAAAUGUCCUAUGUAUAUAAAUAAAUAAAUAAAUAAAUUUGACACCGAUUUCUUAUAAAUCAAAAAAACUUUUAUUCUUUUCCUACAACUAAAAUGUAGUUGGGGUAAAAAUAUAAAGGGAUAUACUUCUGUGUUCUUCGGUGGGACUGCAAAAAUAACUGACUAAUUGCGAUAUGCAAAACGCAAUAUUACGUAUGAAAAGAAACAGAAUAUUUUUUAUUAUACUUUCUCACCGCACGUAACGUAAUCCCCUGCAAUUUCAAACGAAGCCCUAAAUCUCAAGGCUACUUGAUCGAUAUCUUCGUGAUAUAAUUUUUGUUUUACCAAAAAUUUUAUGUCGAACCGGACGGUAAAGUAAAAAGAUUUUGAAAGUUCUGACUGUUAUGACUUGAUCGAUAUCUACGUGAUAUGAGACAGUUUUGACUGGUUCUCGACUUUUUGACCAGUCAAGCCUAGGGAUGUCAAUGGGUAUGGAUAUCCAAAAUUUUAUCCGAACCUGAACCCGAAUAAAACGGAUAUAUACGAUGCUAAAUUGAUAUGGAUUCGGAUAUGGAUAUCAAAAAUAGAAACCCAACGGAUAUGGAUUUGGAUAUGAAUUUUGACUGUACCCGACCGGAACCCGAACCCGACCCUAACCUAAAUUUAUUUUAUAUUAUAUAUAAGAUAUAUAUAUAUAUAUAAUUUGAUAUUAUAUUUAAAUUUGAAUUUUAAAAAUUUAGAUUUAAUAUAAUAUAUUUUGAAAUAUUGAAAAAAGAAAUAAUUGUUUCGGGUUCAUAUUUUCGGGUUCGGAUUUGGGUUCGGAUUUCAGAUUUUUGGUCGGGUUCGGGUUUGGAUAUGGAUUUUUAAAAUCCGUCGAAUUCAGGUUCGGGUUUGGAUCUUUUUUUUGGUUCGAAUUUUUGAAAAUCCGCCCUGAAUUUGACCCGUUGACAUCUCUCGGGCAGGCCCCAAAUGACAUAUCAAACAACACCCUUCAUUUCGAACCUUUUAUUUUAUGCCCAUUGGCUCUUAACAGCAAACGAAAAAGAAAGGAGCAAUUGCUUAUAUAUUUCUGAAAAAUUUUUAAUUCUCUUACUUGCCCUUUUAAUAAGACUAAUAUUGAAGAUAUCUUUUUUACAUUUCAAACUAUUUUAAAUAUACUCUAAAGUUAAAUUCUAUUAGCAAUAACUAUUAUUUCUAUAAAAUUACUAUUUUACCCUUUUAAACAUACUCUUUCAUCAUCACCGACUUUUUUUUAUUUGUCCUUAAGUUAGGAAUACAAAAAGUAUUUUGAUUUUUGAUAUUUUCGAAUAUACCUUUCUACCAUCACCAAUAUUUCCUAAGGACAAAAAAAAUAAUUUGAUUUUUUUUAACUCCAGUAGAUAUUUAACUCACGUUUAUUUAACGGAUGGUAACUGAAGAGAUAUUUUGAAAUAACGGUAAAACAUAUGAGAGAUAUAUUGCCAAAAAAUGAAUAAAUAAAAUAUUUCUGAAGUUUUGAAAGGUAUAUAGACAAUUAUAUCAAAAAGAAAACAGAUGAACGCAUUUUCUUUCUACAUCAGCUCCAGAAGGGCCAAAUAAGCAUCAAAAGAAACAUUUCUGUAUAAGCUCCAAGGAGGCUAAACAAGCACCAAAAUGCCACUAUAUUAAUUUGUAAAUCCCAUCUUUAGGUAAGUAUACUAAGACUAAACCACUAUAUUAAUUUGCAGUAGUCAAGAGUACUCUCAUCAAAUCUCAGUCAACCUCAACCAUGCUCAAAAUUAUUUUAUUAGGGGCAUGCACUUGUUUGAAUUGUGAUGAAAUGAACUGAGGCAAAAUGUUGUCGCGUCAUGUACUCCAAUAGACCAAGCAGAUGCAUCUUUGCAUCCGCGAAACAUUCAUCUAGUUCAAUGUUCAGAAGUAAUGAAAAGCUGAAACAAUAGGAUCUCAGCUUCUUGCUGCAGAGGAAUUAGGAAUUGCCUUCUUCAGGACGGUUGUCUCCUUGAAAUUCAGAAUGGGGUGCUCCCUAAACAUCCUUAGCUGUUCAAACAGAAAGUCUUAUCAACAGUAAUCAAAUGGAAAUGCCAAAGUAGAAUACUAAAGAGAACCAGGUUCUGCAAUCCAAAACAAAGAGAAGUAUCUGCUGGAUUCCUACCUCCUCAUGUGUCACUUUUACAAAGCCAAACUUAUUAAUCCACAUGGAUUGUGUGUGCUCAUCAACAGAAGUUAUGAGAAGUUUCACUUGCAAGUCGCUUAGGAAUCUUUCAAUUACCGAAAGGAGAGUCUGAAAAUAUCCCUGCAAAAGGGGGGAAAAGAAAAAUGAGGUUAAAUGUGAGUAAUUUUUUUUGGCAAGGUUCGAAUACAGUCUGAUGCAUGUAUAAACUUCCUAUAUAGCUUCUCGACAUUAUAAAGGGCUUGCGUAUCAAAAAAAUUUUAAAAAAAAUUGACAGCUACUACGAAUCAGUACAAAGUUUCUCCAAUUUCAUGGCGCAAGGAGAAAAAUCGAGUAUUUGCGUGAAGACAUUGUAGUACUUUAAAAAAUAACGAGAAAUGUUAUACUUGGAAACAAAUUUUGCAACACUUCACGAACUAGUAUUAGUAGGGGUAUUUAAUUGAUGUAGUGUAAAUCACGAGGAGAUUAUAAUUUCAAGGUCGAAAUAACUCAUUAAGUUGUAGAGCUUAUAAAAUAUCGUAAGAUAUGUUCGUUCGUAAGCAAAGCAUUUCCUAAAUAUGAAUGUUGAAUAAGAAGUUAUGUUAAUUCAUGCAAGACGAAAGUUCCCCUCUUGGUCAAGAAAGCUCUGAGAAAAUUUGUUUUGUUUUAUUAAAAGAUCCACACAAUCUAACAAAAGCUUGGACUCUUCUAGUUUAUAUUAUAUUCAAAAAAGUAUCCUUAAAUUUCACAUUCAAUCCAUUAAGGCACCAAAGUAAACGUAGAAUUCCAGCAAACAUAGUUGAACUGUUUUGCAGUUCUCAUACUCUUAACAUGUAAUAGGAUGAAAAUGGAAUAUUUCUAAAUGCAUCAAUAGUCACUGUACCAUCCUGAUACUGCAACUCAGUGCCUGCAAUCUCAAACAUUUUCACAUGCAAAAUUUCUCCUAUAUUGGAAUCCCAUCCUUGGUUGUCAAAAAAUCUGCCACUCGACAUGACUAUUUCAUAUAGAGAAACCAUUUAAACCCUAUUUGAAGUGUAUUUAUUUUGUAGAUGAGGUAAAAUGCUCAUUCUGUAAGAUUUUUUUUUUUUCUCUGCUCCACAGUUAGAAAUGAAUUGCAUUAUGUGAGGGAGUUUAGGGAUUAUAUGUGUCCAAGUGAAAGUUCAGGAAUUAAGAUUUGACAAAAUGCAAAGGAAUCUAAAAUGCUUCCGUACCUUUCCCUGACAUUCUUUACGUGUAACAACCAGAGGAAGCUCUGCAGUACAUCGUCCAUGUACCCUCAGAAUUGCUGCUGACAUGAUGACUGACCUGCAUUGACCACAAAUAAGCCGUGAGGAUGCUCACACAUAAUUACAGCUAAAUCACAAGUUUUCUCUCGUAAUUUGUUUGGGCCAAUAAUAAUGGAGAAAAGAUUAUGACCAAUGCCCUUCCCUACACAUAGUUUUUUUGAACCAUUGAAAAUAUCAAAAUCAUAAGAUAGAUGCAAUUAUUGCGAAGGUUCAUUACUUUUCUAUUAGUACUGCACAACAACUUGAGUGGAAUAUUAACCCUGCCUCUCGCGCCUCUUUACUGCAAAAAAAAAAAUUAAAAGUUUAAAUUCAUCUGAUCCAUGACAAGAAAAAUGUGAGGAGAGAUGCAGCUAAAAUAGUACUAUUAAAAUCACUACGAAGGAAGAAGGAAAAGAAUCAAGAGUUUACGCAUAAACCAUCUGCUCUAUCAACUCGUUUGAUCCUACAUAUAUAGGUUCGAAUGCACCCUGCAAACAUACGGCAAAGAAAAUUGUGAAUUCUUGAUGAAAAUCCUAUUUAAUAGGCCAUCUUGAUGAGAUUGAUAGGGGUGGUGAAGUUGCAAAAUAUAUGACUAAACAUUUAAAGCUUAGAGACCUCAUUAAAAACUAUGCAUGCAGAAUCCAGGCUUUACCAAAACGUAACAAAACCAUACUUAUCCAACAAGAGGAAGGGCAAAAGAAAAACAGUAUGCUUACUUGAAAAAGUUUAUUGGCUGCUUUAAGCAGGCUCGUAUCUUUAGUAUGUUUUCCAUUUAAAAGUUGCCAGCGUACAGCAGCUACAGUGUCAUUUUGCAAACCUCUCUGUUCAAAAUUUCUCUUCAAUAUACUAGAGGAACAAUCAGGAAGAACCUUCUUUCCUUCAGUAGGCAUUUUUUCCAAAGCAACACAAACUGCGCUGCAGCCUGUACAACAAAACCAUUUGUCGCUGAUGGCUUCCUGUAAGGAAAAAUGAAUGAUGCACAUGAAUUUAUGCUAUCUUCAACAUUUUAUUUCAUAGCUAUGUUCAAAUGUUAUCCACUAAAACAAAUAUAAGUAGUAGUUUGCUAUCACCUUAAAUUUCAAUCCCGGAUGACUUCGGUCAUAACAACCAACAUGAUAUGCUUUUCCACACUAAAGAGGUAUUAAAAAAAGGGGAAAUUAAUGAUAAGUUCCAAUAAAAAGAAGAAAAAAAAUCGCUCAAAAAGCACCACAAAAGGAACAAGGAGAAAAACUUGCUAAGCCAUCUUACUUGUCCACAGAAAGUGAUGGUUCUUCCGUCAUAUUUUGUUUGUAAAAUGGCUUUGUCAUCCCUAUAAGAUAUAUGGACACAAAGGCAUUACAGGAGGAUAAAUUUUACAAAUUCUAUACCAGCAACUAUGUGAAUAAAUUAAAGAAACCUACUUGCAGAUUGUGCAGUGAAUGUCAUCUUCAGCUUCAGGAUCAAUAGUGCGCCUUAACCGAAGGUUAGUUGGCUUUACAGCAUUUGAAGAGGAAAUGCUCAAAGCUCUUUGAGACUGAUCAAAGCAAUCAGGGCAACAGUGUGGACCAUUAGGAGCAUCUUUUAACCACAUACCAGCUGCAAAACAAUUGCAGUAGACAAGUCAAAGUGAGCAUUAGUUCACCACUAGGAGCAUCUAUAUGUUCAGAUACCUAUUUCAAAAUGCACAACAGUUCAGCAAAGGUCAGUAGUUCAGUACGUUGUUGUCAAAACUAGAUUAAGCUAUUGGUGACAAUUGCUACAGGUUACACAGCAGAUCAGAAGUAGAAGUCCGAUCUCAAAAAUAUGCACCUGAAGGAAAAUGUUGAUGGCAUCCAUCACAAGAAACCAGUUCUCCUCCAUCACUGCAGCUAAGGCAUGGAUCCUCGCUGCCAAUUGCAGGAUCCUCGCUGCCAACACUUGCUUUUGUAUUUUUGGAUAGAAUCUGGCAUAACUCAUGUAGUGUCGUCCCAUCAGAAGUAUAUAUGUUUAGAUAGCUGCAAGGUAACAAAGCUUUUGUUGGAAUGAAAAACGCUUCAUCUAGCCCCCAAAACAACCAAAAAGGGGGGAAAAAAAAAGAGCAGAGUAUUAAUAUUUAAGAGUAACAAUAAGCAGUAAGAAGUGACACUGACGGUUGGCGCCUUCGACCCAUCCCUGCAUGAGCUUCAAACUGUGAAGGGCUAAACUGUUCACAAGAGAACAUAUUCAGAUAGUAGUCUUGGCACAGACAUGCAAACACAUGAGAAUAUUCAGAUAAGGGACUUUACCUCCUCUUUGUGGCAGUGACAUACUAUGCUAUUUCCUUGUUUAUAACCUGAGAGCAAAAUCUGUAGGAAAAAAAGAAAAAGGAAGUGUGAAACAGAUUUAAGAAUGUGGCACAAUAAGAAACCAAUCACUAAAAGAAGUGUAAUUGUGCCCAGAACCUCUCCCUUGUUACGGUAAGUCAAUUCUGUUCCAUCGGGAAGACCUCCUUGUUCGAAAACCAAUCUGUGCAAAGUAUUAUCCCUGAUAAAAGCAAAAGAGCUCACAACUAGAAUAGUACAAAACAUCUGUUUAAGUCAUGAAAUAUCUGAUGAGAUUAGCAUUCUCUUUCCCACAGUAACAAACCUUUUCUUUUGAGGACCAUGAGCAACAGUUUCCUGUUGGACAGGGGCAGCAGAAGAUUCCAGAAAAUUAGGCAGCCUAGACACAUGUUUAGAGUAUAAAACAAAUCAUCAGCCUGGCCAAACUUUCGACUGUCAAUUGAGUUUCAGCAGUUGCUGCUUUGGAAUCUUAGAUAAGAAAAAUACAAAAAGAUAAGGAGCUUCAGAAGAACGUCAUUGGACCUUGUUUUCAGUUCAGACGCAGUUUCCGUCAGAGAGCUAUUUUGUUUGCGCUGCACACCAUCUGUGACAAGAUAUGAAUCUGGAAAAUGAGUGCCUUCAGCAACUGCCACUGAGGGGGCCACCUUCGAGUAUGUUGAUAAUAACGAACUAGAGCUGCAUGCUGUGGCCAUUCUUGGCGAGCUCUUCACAUUGAGAAUGUCAAUAGAAGUUGGAUCCAUGCAGCAUUCAGUGGCUGCUUUCUCGAACUUAGUUGUGAGGCCAGCUUUUAGAGCAAGAUUGGCAACGUCCUCAGCAACAGAUCUUUCGAUGCUGCAUUUGAUGGCAACAAGAAAAUCAUAGUAUUAUACAAGUUAGUCAAGGUUCCUGGACAUUCCUAAGCUUCAAAUAGCAAAAUUACCUAGCUUCAGGUGCAUAUCGGAAUAAAAUAUAUUACAGAAGGCCUAAUUACAUUCUGAUAACUAAACAAGAAGAUAUUCCAUGGAUGCACUUUUUCUAAAAAGAAAUUGAUGUUUAUCUAAAAGGAAAACUGAAAAUAGAAAGGAUAAAAUAAGUCAGAAGUAAUUAUAAUUCUUCAAAUCAACGAAGGUGAUGCAAGAGGAAAAUCAUCAUUUGUCUCGCACAUACAUUGGCAUUGUCUCUGUUCUAGCUCUUCCAAACAGAAACUAUAGCAGUUGCUCGCCAAGAUUCAUGACUAAGCCUUCUCCCUACUCUUUAUCAAGAGCAGGUUGACAAGCUGCCCUUGCAUGAUUCCACUCCAAAGUACGUCCGCAUAUUUACUAAUGAGAUGCACUAUGCUUAUUGACAGAACGUUAGAACAUAUCAACUUAUUGUGUAUCUGAAGACAAAUGAUUACUAGUUAAAUCUCACGCAUGAUAGCAUCAGCAGUCUCUUGGCUCCUACUGUAGGAUAUUUACUGAGUCUCGUUAAACAAAACAAAAAACCGACAUCUAUUGGAGAAAGGUGACAUUUCGUAGCAUCGAAGGAGAAGCUUCUCACAAACCUGUCAACACAAAUAAACUGCAGAAGGCAACCCAACAGAGAAUACAGAGGAUGCUAACCCAGCCUAUUACAAUUAUCAUUGGAAGAAAAGUAAAGGAAUUUACUAUGGAAAGAUAGAAGAGGAUUAAUAGCAAGUGCUCAAAUGAUAACAUUAAAGGGUUCUGCAGCAGUCAAGUGCCAAAGAAGGCAGUGGAAGAUCAUCUAGCAAAAUCUGAGGACUUAAGGGUCCAAAAGCUUAUCCAAAACCCUAGACUGGUAGAAGCAUGCCUUGUGUGGGGCUGGGUGAAAGGAUACAAGGAGCUAGAGACCAUGCUUGAAAUGCCUCCCCCUAGUUCCUUAUCAUUGGCCUACGAACAAGCCAAGCUGAAGGAGUCUUAUGGAGAACAGGCUGUUGCACUUCACACUACAGGAAUGUGGCAAAUUUAUCAGAGUAUUGAUCAGUUCUUUUGCUGGCCAGGAGUGGGAAGGAACAUACAACAAUUUUUUUUUUGAGAGAUAGGCAGCACGCUACCACUUCGUUAUUUCACUUAGCUGAAAAUGUGAAUCGGCUAGGAUUCGAACUUGGGUCUCGGGUACCAACCACCAAGCCCUUUGCCACUUGCUCUAGGGAUGGUCGGCAGGAACAUACAACAAUUAGUGCAAGAUUGUGCCAGUUGCUUCGGAGUUAAGGGGGAAGAUAAGCCCAAACAGAGCUAUAAAAGGUGGUCCAUUGCAGAAGGUUGGUUCGGCGCCAAUUCUCACUUUUCAUCACAAAUGAAAUUCUUUCAAAUUGUAUUGGGUUACUUCCUCCCAAUCUACGUCUCAAUUCCUUUUGAGAAUGCUAGAGUGUACGCGAUUUCAAGCUGGUGCAAACAAAGAGAGCAGAAUAUCUCAGUUAAUCACUACAGACACAUACCACACCCUCGAGCAAACAAAACCGGCGGGGCGCAAGUUGCGACUGUCUGAAGGUCCCAAGGGUGAGCCUCUGCCCCGACAGGGCCGCCCGCGGCCCAUGCUACCAGCCGGAGGAGGAGAGGGGCGAGUGUAGGCAUAAUUGGAAGACACUUCUGAUCUGCGCAAGGAGGCAAGAAAACAGAGCAGGGGAUUCAAAAGGUGGCUUAAAAGAAGUAGUAGCUCGGAAGAAGAAGAAGAAGCGCUACUUGGGAAGUAACUGGGUACUCCCAAACCCAGUUCAAAUAGCUCCAUGAGUUCCAUCAUCCUUGAGGACAAAAAUGGCAACAGCAAGGUGGAUCCGGCGAGAGGCUGUGCGGGUGGAACUCCGGCGGGGCGACGGGCUAGGGCAUCGUCGGAGCCGACGGAUCUUGGCAUUUGGGGUGAAGAAGAGAGCUAGCGGGUCGAAGCUGCGAACCCCGGAUCGGGGGAAAAGGCGAACCCACUAUCCGCCGGGUUGCGGAUGGUGCGAAGAAGAACGAACCGGCGCCCGCUUACCGUUUAUCAGUGGAUUGGGCGACCCAGUUCUCGGGUCGGGGGGGAAUUGGCGAACCCAAGACCCGCCGGGUUGCGGAUGGUGCGGAGAAGGAUGAGUCCGGCGCCCGAUUGCCCAAUUACAAAUACUACUGGCCCGUCUUCCAGCGAAUGGCAGCCCAUCAGGCCCACACUCCAAAUUUACCUUCUGCUGCUCGACCCCAUAGGAUAGUUUAUUUUUAAUUUCAGUACUGGUAGGCACUAUAUACAUAUACGAGAAUGUAAUUGCAAGGGACAUGAAUGGAAUAUUGAAUCUGUUUCUUCCCCAAUCUCUCGUCUUCUUGCUGCUCCUCUACUCUCAAAUUUCUCUUUCUCUAACUCUAAUCUCUAUCCCAAUUUCUUAUCCCACUCUUAUCUCUUCUCCCCCUCUAAUUUUCAAUUCUAUUCUUCCCCUAUCCUCAACCCUAUCUCUGUCACUAUCUCUAUCUCUUAUCUUUUUCUUACCUCGGUUCCAUCGUCCCCGCCGCCAUCCUCGUCUCAGCAAAGUCUCAUCCCGGGCGGGUUGCGUGCGAGUCCGGGACAUUACAUAAAAAGACAACGGGACAUUCUACUUCGUUAUCUUUUCAGAAGAAUAAGCACAAAAUAUUCUACUUCGUUAUCUUUUCAGAAGAAUAAGCACAAGUACCUUUUGAGGCAAUUUUUCUUGAGUGGAGAUCUCCAACCUUUCCAUUUUAGCAGAACACGAUCUUUAUAUAAUCAUUGUAUUUGUAUAGUUAUUUGAAAGGUAAGGAUCAAUAGUUUCACAAGAUAGCAUAUAAUUUCAUAGAGCAAGCAUUUUCUGAGUAUGAUUUCAACUUUACUCCUAUAUCUUGUGGUGAUCAAAUCACAAGCAUUUGGAAAAGUCAUGUAAUCAUGUUUAGACCAAUAAAGUCAUGAUAUAUAUAUAUAUAUAUAUGAAAAAAUAAAAAACUAUCCCAUAAUCUUGAGUUGCAAACUUACUUCUCUACUGUAUAAGGCUCACUAUGAGAUUCUGGUCUGAUUUUCUCAGUAUUUUUGUUAGUGUUGGAAAUAUCGUCAACCAUCUGAAAUGAAUCUGGAAGGCAGGAAAGAAUACAUAUCCUUCAAUACAAAAGAGACCAAAAGGAUUUUUUUUUUUUUAAAAAAAAAAGCCUGAAGCAAGAUAGAAAAGAGGAUUGUGUAACCUUUCCACUCCUCAAAGCACUUCAAAUUGAGAGGACACCCGAUCUUUUCUCUGAUCAAGUCGCCAAGCAAGUGGAGAGGGCUAUCCUUCAAUUCUUUCACUAGGUUGUAGAGAGAUAUUCUGCUAUUCAAGAAUAUGUGAUUGUUUUGGUUGGUCGUUGUCACUCCGGCGUGCUUCUCAAAUUCAACCGCGGAGAGAACCUACAAUUGAACAAAAUAGAUAAGUCCUUGCGAUACGAUCAGAAAAUAUAUCAUGUGGGCUGAUUUUAGAAAAGAAAAUUAAAUGCGAGGAAAGAAGAAGAAGAAGAAAGGACUAACACUCGUGUAGUUACACACUUGACACCCACAAACAUAUCCGAGAUCUCGUAUAAUCCCCUCAAUCUUGACCUAAAACCAUCAGAACCAACAAUAAGAACAAGGAAACCCAUGUUCUAUAACUCUGUGCCAUACAACAAUUUAAAAUUCACCCGUCAAAACCUUACCUCGCCCUUCUUGUACGUAACCCUAAAUCCUUCUAGGAGUCCAGUGGAAAGCAAGCCUCGGACAUCCGAGAGGAGGCUCCUUGGAUUAUACUUUGCGGAAACCUUCGAUCCUUUCGAACUAAACAAGAAUUCUUCGCUCCGCGGUUUGAUCUCCCUCUCCUUUCGCCCUUCUACGGGCAGAUCUCCAACGCUAAUAUGAAAAACCAGAAGAUGACGAUCAAAAUUACUGCAACAAAGGGAUCAAAUCGUCGUUGGCGAUUACUAUAUGAUUAAAAUCUAAGAACAGAGUAUCGAGAACACAGAUCCAGAUACAAAAUGUCUCAAUCUGAGAGCGAAGUGAGGAGCCUCGAGAGGGUAUUCGAGAUCAAAUGGAGACAUUUGAGAGGGCGAGGAAAUGGGAUUCGUGGGAGAAACGGGUUUUAGGGUUCUUCGUUGUUUGUGAUUGAUGCAAACGAAAUGCAAUGAAACGAUGAGAGGAUGGAGUAGAGCGAGGCUCGCCAUCUCCGCGUUAUUAAAAAAAAAAAAAAAAAAAAAANAUUUUCAACCAAGUUUAUUUCUAAAUGAAAUAAACGAAAUGGAUAGCAUGCUACCUAUGUCUUAAAAAAAAAAAAAAAAAACAAAACAAAAAGGCGGGGAAGUACGCCCCAGGCAAAUCCUUGGGGGGCCCACAAGUUAACUUCCUAACUGACUAUUAGUGGUAUUUGUAAUAAUAAUGUUAUUAGAUAAAUCAACUGGGUAAGCAAUUUUCAUUGGCUUAUUUUAUUUUCUUUAAAAUAUAAUUUUUUUAUAAAAAAAAGGGACAAGAAGCUACCUCGCAAACAUCUCGACUAGACAAAAAUUCUUAUUAAUUAACAAUUAAGAUGCAUACCAAUCAUUCUUAGCGUAAGUGACAAAAAGCUUGAUAAUUGGUACCCGAUGUCUUAAAUUUAAAAUCUAACUGCUUCACAUUUUCAUCUAAGUUUAUUUUUAAAAUAAAUAAAUGAAACAUGCACGUAUCUUUCAUUCUAAAAGAAAAAAACAAUUAAGAUGCAUAUACCAAAUUGUUCCUAACAAAAAUAAUAAAAAACUUGAUGAUUGGUAUUCAAUAUCUCAAGUUAAAAAUUCAAAUUGUUUUACAUUUCUAUAAAAAAAAAAUAAAUGAAACAUGUAACAUGCUAUAUUUCUCUCUAAAUAUAAUAAUUAUAAUAUACAUGAUAUGUCUCAUUGUGUCAAAUCAAAUAGAAAAUAAUCUAAUCAUGAAAAAUAUAAUAAUUGCAUAGUAAAAUUUUUUUAAAAAAUGUUUUUUACUUUUACAUAAUAUGAAAAUAUUUGAUUAGAUAUUAUAAAUCUUAUGUAAAAUAACUAUGGUAGAAAAGUCUUUAAAACUUCCUUCUCAACUAUGGUCAAAUUAACCUAGCCCAGUAUGAGUCUGGUUUCAAGCAAACAUGGGUGCAGUACAUUGCAAUCUGAGAACAUUCUCAAAUAAAUUUAAAAAAUAAAAAAGCCUCACAAAUAGGACAUACUAAUGAUUAAAAAUACUUAUAAACUAUAGCCCGAGUAUAAUUACUUAUUCGGUCACAGUUGAUUUUAAUAAGUUUAUCAAUCAAGUCCAUCUACUGAUAACAAUUUAUGACUCGCACAAAGGUAAGAAUAACACCUGAGGAUAAUAUAAUAUAAACUUAUUAAAAUCAANAAUUUAAAAAAUAAAAAAGCCUCACAAAUAGGACAUACUAAUGAUUAAAAAUACUUAUAAACUAUAGCCCGAGUAUAAUUACUUAUUCGGUCACAGUUGAUUUUAAUAAGUUUAUCAAUCAAGUCCAUCUACUGAUAACAAUUUAUGACUCGCACAAAGGUAAGAAUAACACCUGAGGAUAAUAUAAUAUAAACUUAAAACUUUAUGUAUAUAAAUUAUAUCUAAACCACCAUAGAGUGCAUGAUAGUUAUAUACUUAUUAAACAAGAUAUUCAAUCAAUAUUUGACCCAAACUUUAUAGACUUAUAAAUUACUUUUACCCUAGAUUUAUCCAUCUCCUAACAAAAUAGGAAAGUGCGUAUGCUUACCUUCUGAGAGCCUGGUAUUUGCUAGGCUUUUCAACUGAAGCAUAAGUCGCUUGAACUUUCAACAAUUCAUCGCUGUUCCUAAACUUCAUCUUUUCCCUUAGUCCAGUAACAUUGAGAACCUCAACAUAUAAAAGCACAGAGGGGACUUUUUCUAGGUAUUUAACCACUUCAUAUAGGCUCUUUCCAUUUUCCAAACAAAUAUGGUUGUUUUGGUUAUGCGACGUGGCUCCUGCAUGCUUCUCAAACUCAAGAGCUGAUAAAAUCUGAGGAAUACACAUGCAACGAACUAGUAAGUUUCCCAUAUGCGGUGAUACAUAAAGUAAUCAUAAAUUUUCACAAUAAUAAAAUAUAUUUAGCGACUUAAAUAUUGGUAUUCAGUAAAAAAAAUGUUUAAUUGAUUGACUUUUUGAUCUUGUGCGAAGAACAAUAAAAAAUAAAUUAAUACUUCUUUUCAUGCAAAAUAUCACUUUCUUUCAUUGAAGCUUUCAUUUAUUAUAUAAGAUUAAGAAAAGAAAGAAGAUAUAAGACGGCGAUCUCAAAAACGUACUUGAUUAUAAUUGCAUGAUGAACAACCGCACUGGUAUCCAUUGCCUUUUAUGAAUCCACGGAGUUCGAUCUUCUCGUUCGCACAAAACAAGCAUUAAUCAACAACAACAACAACAACAAGCGAACAUAAGAAGGGAGUACAAAAUUCAGUAGAUGUGCACUAACUUCAUAUUUCUUAAAGGUGUAAGUGAUGGGUUCUCCUUCAAGCAAACCAGUUGCAAGCAAAUCUUUAACGCUGGAUAUUUGCUCGAUAUUUUUGAAUUUAUUCUCCCCUUCUGCAUGAUUAUUCGAAACAAAUCUAUUAUCAAGUAUAGGCAAGGGAAAAACAACGUCUGUGCUUCCCUCGGAGGCAGACGAGGAAUUAAUAUUACUCGUAGAUGGUAAUUUCGCAGCCCUCACUGCUUUCUUUCGCGAUUUCUGUCCCAUGCUUGUACUUGCUCCCCUGCAGUUGUAAUCAGCAUAAUAAAAUCCAACAAUAGUUCAUACAAAUUGAAAAAUACACACAUAUUACUUGAGAAAAGAAUAAGAAAUUAUGUGCACAUAGAUGUAGAAACUGUUGGGAACCGGAUGGAUCGUCCGUCAUGUGCUACCAACAAAGAUGCACGAAAAAAUAGAGAAAAUCGACUGAACGGUAAAAAAAAUAAUGCAAAAAGAAGAAACCAAAAUUUACGUGGUUCGGCAAUUUACGUGGUUCGGCAAUUGCCUACGUCCACGGAAAGAGCGAGAGAGAUAUAUUCCACCAUAUGAAGAAAUAGAAGUACAAGGUUACACCUUAUGUCUUUUCCGGAUAAAAACCAAAGAGCCUUAUGGUGAAUUCCACCUUUAACGAAAACUCCAAGAAAAAUACAAAAUUUUUUUUUCGUAAAAUCGAAAAGACCAAAUUAUAAAAGUAUAGAAACUCUAACCAAAUUCCUUUAUGCUGUUGCCUUGAAGAAUCCGAACCGCUUAGGCAAUUUGGUCGAAAACUCACAUGCAAACAAUGUCCCUUCUCUUGCUACCGUACGGACGAGGCACCUUAAUUAAUUAGCUAUGCCGGAUGCAAACAACGGCCCUUCUCUUGCUACCGUACGGAGCGAGGCACCUUAAUUAAUUAGCUAUGCCGGAUGCUAAUUAAUUUGCCUCUAUACCCCCAAGCCGUACAUGCCCUCAAUAGAACCGGCCACCUUUAAUUAUAUAUGGCUAAUUAAUUUUGGCCUCUACACCAUACGGUCCACAAUGCAUGCAUAUAUAUAAUGCAUUAGCCCGGUCAAGAAGUCAACAGUUAUCAAUUGGACUCGGCUUGAGAAGCAUAAACCGACUACACUUCUAAUACGUGCGUUCUUAAUAUAUCUUUAUCGUUCCGAGGUAAAGAUAUAGUUCAAUCUUAUAUAGAUAAGCACGUAUUUUCCACUAAUGAGAAUCAAUUUCAAAACCAAUUGAUAUAUUUUAUGAACCAAUUUAAUAGGUUAAUUAAUUUGACUCAACCCAAAUUCAAAAUAAGGCAUAUUCUUAACAGAAAUAUGCCUCCGAGUACAAGAAUUACAGAGAAACGAAGAAUAGACACCACGGAAAGAAGUUUCUGAGGACGUAUGAUAAUAAUCUAUAAAUUAUAGAUACGUAGUAGGAUAUAUAAAUAUAUUAUAUGCUCUUGACCUGAUAAAUUUGAAGUACAUAAUUAUCCAUAAUAUUACGUAUGUAUAUAUAUACACUAAUUUUUUUAUUAUAGAUAGGGAUAUAGACAGAUUUAUAUAUAUAUAUUAUAUAGGUUUGAUUUUUUUGAUUUCCUAAUAAGGCUCUGUCUUGAAGAACAUUUUCUACAAAAGGUUGGUCAAACAAAUUCAAUUUAUUAAAUUCGGGUCGAGUUCGAACACUUAGAGAUUUUAAUGCGAUGAAUGAUUCACUGUGUUUUAAGAGUAAUUUGUCAAAUACUAAUUUAAAAGGGUUAUUUCGUAAAUUAUAAAAUUUUAGAUGAUUAUUUUAUAAAAAAGUCCCUCUCAGCCUCUCCCUCUUUCUCUUCCUCAUUCCUUGCUUCGAGCUCGGAGAUUCCUUAGCCAAAGCUCCUUCUCUUCCUCAUUCCUUGCUUCGAGCUCGGAGAUUCCUUAGCCAAAGCCAAAAAGAAGAAACCCUAGAGAGAGAAGGAGAGAAAAAGAAAAGGCGACUCCACGUCGAUCCCCUCCUCCUUUUGCUCCGUUUCCCGUUCUCUCUCUCCUCGAUUCCCCCCUUAUUUGUAUACAAUGCUCGGCCCCGCUUCCCCAAGAAGAGGAGGAGGAGAAAGAAGAGGGUGGUGGAGGUGGUGGUGGUGGCGACAAUGGCGAGCGGAAGCGGGAGCAAGGCGGGGGGGAGAGGGGUGGGGCGGUCGCUGUCGAGGAGGAUNAGAAAAAGAAAAGGCGACUCCACGUCGAUCCCCUCCUCCUUUUGCUCCUUUUCCCGUUCUCUCUCUCCUCGAUUCCCCCCUUAUUUGUAUACAAUGCUAACCCCCGCGUCGCCUACCUCUGUUAGAUCCCUCUCUCGCAUCCCCUUGCUCUAUAUCCUCAUCUCCUUGCGCUCUCUCUUCCUCUACCUAUCUAUUGAUAUUCGUGGUGUUAGGGUUUAGAUUUGGAGGGCUUAUUUGGGUGGAUGAAUAUCUUGUUCAGCGAAUCUUUCUCAUCUGGUCAAAGGGGGUGUUUGGCCUAGUUUCUCAGAAGUGAUUCUGAUCCUAAAAUUACUUUUGAGCUGAGUAGAGCGUUUGGAAAUGACAGAUGGAAAAUUUGAUUCUACUUUUCAAAAUCAGAAAACUGAUUUUGAAUGAUCCAGAGUCAGAAGUAAAAAAAUGCUGCUUCUCCAAAACUGAUUUUGGACUCAAACUUUAAAUUUUUAUUUUUAUUUUAGAUUCAAAGUAUAAAUUUAAUAUUAAACUUAAAUUUUAAAAUUUUAAAUUCAUAUUUGAAUUUUUAAAUAUCAACUUUUUAAAUUUAAAAUUUAAAAUUUAGAUUUUAAAUUUUAAAUUUAAGUUUCAAAUCUCAAAUUUUAAAUUUUAAAUUUAAGAUAAACUUUAAAUUUUGACAUUUUAGAUUUUAAAACUUAAAUUUAAAAACACUCUACAGCUUUUCACCAAAAUUAAUUUUUUAAAUUAAAAUCAUUUUUACAAAAUCACUUUUCCGAAGGAGUCCAAACAGACGCAAAAUCUUGUAUCUAAUGAUAACUUUUUUGGUAUGAAAAGUCUUUUGUGUGAUUGGAAGGUAAUAGUUCGUUUUUUGCUUCUUAAAAAGUCUCGGCAUUUAUGAAUUUUUUAAAAAAUGACUUGAAGGUCGAGUAUGGUAUUAAUUCUACACUUUGAUCCGACCUUAGGCCCCAGGCCCUGUUUGGAGGUAUGAACAUUUUAUUUGACAUAUUUCUUAGAUUUAGUUGAUAAAUUUUGCAGUAUUUGGUCGAUAAGAAGUGUUAUCAAAUGUUUAGAUGGAAUAUCAUAUUUGGCCAUCAAGUUAGUUUUUUUUUUGUGUAAUAAGAUAAAUCGUCUCAUUCGUGAAAUAUAAUAUCCUACUAAACCAUGGAUGCCAAGACCUUUGAGUAAAAAUCGAACUCCUAGCUUCCAUUAACACAAGAAAAUGUUCACACCGAAUAAAUUAUCAUUGGAUAUCGUACUUCCUUGUCCAAACAGCAGCUUAGGUUCUUUUUGGAUGCACGAAUUUGUUGUUUGACAUAUUUCUUUGAUUUACGCAAGAAGCUUGCAGUACUUGGUAGAUAGGAACUGUGAUCAAAUGUCUAGAUUGACGCACCGUAUUCGUCCUUCAAGACAUUUUCUUGGAAUUAGAUAAAUAAUCUGCUAGGUGAAAUGCAUUAUUCUACUGAAUACUGAAUGCUAAGACCUUUCAAGGAGAAAAAAAAUUAACUUGUCACUUCCAUUCACAAAAGAAAAUUCUUAUACGAACAAGUUGUCACUGGAUAACUUGUUCCAACAUCUUAACAGGGCCUUAUAAUUCAAAUUAGAGCAAAGAGAAUCUAUUGGCAAGGAUUUUAAUAUAAUAUCUUAUGCAUUUGUUUCUCACUACACGACCUCCUCUAGUAGAGGCAUUUGGCAGAUAAAAAACGUGUUGGAGCUAGUCUGAUGGGGAUAGAUAUGCUGAAAUGAGACUUGGAACUCUAAAAGAAGCAUCUUUUAUUUCGACACUUUCAAAUGUGCUGCUAAGAGAAGCAGUUGCUGAGAUUUUAACAUAGUAGCUUCUGCAACGGCUUUUCGCCAUGCGAUCUCCUCUAGUAAAGAAAUUUGUCAAAUAAGGCCUAGUUUGGUAAUGUAGUGGCUAAAAGUACCUCUUUGAUGCUUUCAAAGGCCCAAAAAGAGAAAAAGUGUUUUCAUUCUUCCUUUAUUUUAUGCAAUAAAAUUGCAGUGGCAACUACCAAUGGAGGUAACAACCGCCACCAGAGAAGCAUAUGGCUUGCCACUGCAAUUUUAUAGCAAAAAAUGAGGGAAAAUUGGAAGCGCUUUUGUUACAUACUUCUCCGGUGGCAGGUGCAACCGCAAUUUUAUAGCAUAAAAUAAGGGAAGAUUGAAAGCGCUUUUUAAUUUCUAAGCCUUCGGAAACAGAAAAGGGUGCUUUUAGCUAUUGCAUUACCAAACUAGGCCUAAGCCAUUUUGGAGCUUUUGCGGAUGAGAUUUUAAGCUCCAAAAGCAGACACUCAUCCUUAAAAGCUGGAUGCAGUGAGAAGAUGUUGGCUAGGCUUUAAUGGAGUGUUUGUCUUGAUAGCACAACUCAAGUAUGAUACUUUUGAACUGCCUUAUCUCCUACAGUAGGCCAACAAGGCCCUAAAUCUCAAUCUCUCUCUCUAAAGCUUUUGUUGGUGUUAGAGUUUAGCCAUCAAGGUUGGUGCUAACAUAUCUCUAUUUUCUUAUUCUUGAUAACAAGGCCGCUUUCAUGCAUUCGAGAAGGCUCGCUUUAUGGAUCCUACAUCAAGUGGACGAGGCGUCCGUCAGUUCAAGACCUAUCUGAUUCAUAAACUUGAGCAGGUGUGCAAAUCCUAGUUAAACAUCAAUAUGGCUUUAGUAUACUUUACAACUCUCAACUGUAGGAUUGCUUUCACUUUCUACACCUUUUUUUUUUUUGUUGCCAAACUCUCCAUCGAACUUCAGGUUCUAUUGCAAUAACUACACUUUGUUAACAAAAGAUAGCAAUGCCGAAUGUACAGUUAAUAGCGUUUUUGAAUUUCUAUAUAAUCGUUCUUUUAAACUACAAAUAUUGUCCAUUCUAGCCAAUCAGCAGGUAAGACAGGAAAAACGUUAUGUGUUGAACAUUCAAUGUUCGAUCUUGGUGGCCACCAAAUCGAGAUUCUGCUUCUUCUACACAAGAAAUAUCAUCCAUGUAUGGUUUAAAACUUUGUAUACUCCGAGCUUCUGCUUUUUUCCAUACCUCUCCAAUCAAAUUGACUCUAGAAUUGAGUAGCUACUAAGUCAACUCUUACAAUAGCUUUCAUAUGGGAUAUAGGAAAUUAUAACUAAUGGAAAGUGCUCGGUUUAAUCGAGUGUGGUGAUUGCUAUUUAAUAACCAAACAGAAAAGUAUAUUGUAUAAAAUGGAAACACACCAAAAGUUUUGUGUAGUAAAGUGCACAUCUUGACUUUUGCUGUGGUAAAUUAUUUUUUUUUUCUCACCUCGGAUUCACUGAGGUUCAAAUUUGGAAUCAAAGUCUUUUUCUCUGUGUAUCAAUUGGUGAUAAAUAAGAUAUAACUUGGAAAAUUGGAAAUCAUGCCCAGAAUAAACAUAAAUAAUAGGCAUCACACAAAGAUUUAAGUCGAAAGCUGUAAUGCAAAAUGUGACAUCAUGUGAUCUCAAUGCAUGAAGAGAUCAACUGUCCAGAAAAAGAAAUUAUAGGUGGUGGUCAGCAUGAGAAGAUUUGAGUGGCAAAGAUGAUGGGUAACACGGAAACCAUAUGUUUUUGUAAGGAUACAUGUUACCGAUCUCAGCUUACGUAAGAUGAAGGAAUGAAGUUGAGUCGACCUGAGUUUACAAGCAUCACUUUUGUUAUUGUUUCUCUCUUUCCUUGUAAGUUAGUAUCUUGAUUAGCUUAUGGAGAUAUCGUUGCUUUCUAUUUGUAGUGUAUGUCCUUGAAGCAUAAAUAACCGGAAUGGACAUAGCUAUUAUUGUUAUGGCUGCCCAUUGAAUUGUUUAUCAAUUGCUUAUUCUUGCUUCCCUCCUUUGACAUAAGGUGGGACCUCUUGUUUUGUGUUCGUUCUUAUAUGGGUAAAAUUCUCUUAUUCAGGAUGAGGAGGAAACAAAGCCUAUCCUUGCUAGAACUGACGCAAGAGAAAUUCAAAAGUUUUAUCAGUGGUACUAUGAAACCUACGUCAAGGAUGCCGCCGAGAGGAAACCGUAGGUUAUACUAUGUUGAUGUAGCUGUUUUUUAUUAGCAUUACGUCUGGAAACUUCUCUUAAUUAAUUGCUUCUGCUUUCACUGAUGGGAAUGCUUAGUGAGGAGGCUGCUAAGCAUUAUCAAAUCGCAUCCGUCCUAUAUGAUGUGCUCAAAUCUGUGGUGCCCUAUGACAGGGUUGAUGUUGAGGUCAUAAGUUGUUCCGUCCACCAAGAUUGACCCUUUGUUAUUGCUAUUUUCUGUGGCUUUUUUAUUUCAUAGAUACCAAAAGAUAAUCUGCAAAUGUUGUAUGCAGGUAACCAGGUAUGCUUAUGAAGUUGAAAGUAAGAGAGAGCAUUUUGCAAACUAUAAUAUUCUUCCUCUUAAUUUUACCGGUCCUCCUCUAACCAUUAUGGAGCUUCCGGAGGUCAAUUAUCCUUUUGAUUGCUCAUUUUUCCAUUCUAAAUGUUCCUUAUACCCUGAUUUAUGUGUGCUUUAUACUUUUAUAUAUUCAAAUAACACAGAUCAAAGCAGCAGUAGAUGCUCUACGUAAAACAGAUAACCUUCCGAAACCCAGAAGACGGUCGGGACAAGAGUCUCAGCAGACGGUUGAUGGAUCUUUGAUGCCCGAGGACAAAUCCAUUGAUUUACUUGACUGGCUUGGGCUAACAUUUGGGUUUCAGGUAGAGCUGUAUAAGAUAAGUUUUCAUUUCCUAAUGUUUUCUAUAUCUCAUUAAUUACAUUAUUAAUCUACUCUUUAGUUUUCUCUCGUUUAUUGUCCAUUGUUCUCUAGCAUUUCGCAAUGUUUUAUGCAUGUCCCUACUUUGCUUGUCAAAAUACAGAAACAGAUAACUCAAAUAUUUGAAUGAUGAAAUAAAUCAAUAUCUUAUUUUAUUAUUUUUAUCUUGUUAUUAUGAAGAAAGGGAACGUGGAGAAUCAAAAGGAGCACUUGAUUUUGCUACUUGCAAAUAUUAAUGCGAGGCGUCAUCCUAACAAUUCUCUGGUAAUACAAUUUCAUUCCAUGGUAUAUCUUCAUCCUAACAAUUCCCUGGUAACACAAUUUCAUUCCAUGGUAUAUCUCUGUAUAUUAUUAAACAUCUUUUUUCUGUUACUCUCAUGGUUUUCCAGCUUCGGUUAAGUAAAUCUAUCAAAAGAAAAGAAUAGUUUUCUAACUUCGCAUUGAUUUACAGCUGGAUACUAGCACUGUAAAGUACUUGAUGGACAAAGUUUUUGGGAACUAUCGUUCUUGGUGUGCCUAUUUGCAUCAUAGACCAAAUUUUGAGUAUGUGAUGCGACUCUUUUUCUGUAAAUUCACUUUCCAAUGAUGAAUAAACGGGUCAUGAGGAAAAUGCUUAUCUAAAUAUUUUCAUGUCUAAAUAUGUCUUCGAUUUGCAGGACAUCAAGUAAUGUGGAAACACAACAGUUAGAACUUCUUUACAUUGGUUUGUACUUUCUGAUCUGGGGUGAAGCUUCCAAUGUUCGGUUUAUGCCUGAAUGUAUCUGUUAUAUUUUCCACUGUGUGAGUAUUCUUUUAUUUUGCAUGGUUAGUAGUCAUUGUUGGUUAGUUGAUUUUUUUUUUUCUCAAUUAUUCUUGUUAUUAUUUCGUACCUUGUUUAUCCUAUAUUUCUUCCCUUGCCAAGUAUGAUAAAAUUGCGAUAAUCCUCUCCAUUUAGAGAGCACUGGGCAAAACUUCCUUCAAAAAGUGCUAAAGUUUUCAUGCCAAUGAUGACGACGGUGGCUCUGUAAUGGGCGAGAUUAAUUCCUAAAUUCAAUAUUAUAGAAGCUUGAGAUAGGAGCUAAAUGGAGUCAGAGGGUUGGGAUUUCCCACUCCCAUUUCCAUUCUCCUCAUGCCUUCACCUUUGUAGCAGAAAUUUGUAUGGGCUUUUUUCUCCCCAUAAUAAUCCUUACAAUUUUUAUAUUUGGCGAUCUAACCCUCUAUAUAUAUAAAAUUUAUUUGGGGAUCUAACCUUAUUUUGUCCCCUAUCAACACCAUGUAAACACUGGUCUAGGAUUAUGUGGAAUGGAAAGAAGCGUUGAAUCAUUUGCUUUUCGCUUUUUUUUGAAAACGAUAAAUGAUUCACUUCUUUAUAAAUGUUUCUAUUUCUUAUGCAAUCUGAAAUGAUUUAUCGUUCACCCGUUUUAGCAAUCGAAAAACUAUGAUGAAGGUAGUGGGUUACCCACCGCUUUUAGUGUUCCUCUCCUUCUGAUAAAGGAGGUAAAUCAUUCACUGCUUUGUGUUUUGGUAAAAAAAAACUUACUUUCCUCAUUAGAAUUAUGAUACAUGCGGCGAACCAUUUACUGUUUUUAUUAAAGCAAUGAAUGUUUUUAUUAAAGCGAUGAAUGAUUAAUCAUCUUAAUAAUUUUUUUUUUAUCCCCAUCCGUAGGGCACUAAUGUGUCAAGAGAGGAUUAUAUCCCCAAAUAAAAUUUUCGGAGGUUUGUAUCCUCAAAUUUAAAUUUUUAAAGGGCUCUUUGGAAAAAAUCCCAAUUUUUACUAUCGCUAACUUUUAGAUACGUUGUAUGUUUGAAAAUUGUGGUACUGAUCUUUUUGAUAUAAUGGAGGAAAGCUUCAAGAAAAUAGCUAGUGAUACUAAGGGUUGUUGAUCUGUUUUAUGGGAAAUAAGUUUUGGUAGGAUGUAAUUAAAAUUAGGAUAACUCUAUUAUUUACACAACUAUUCGAGAUUAAUGGCCAGAGCAUGUACCUUGAGGAUGUGGUUUUGUACAUUCUGUGUAGUUGAGUUAUAUAGCAACAUGGAUGUGUAUAUUUGCCAUGUUAGUUCAAUAAGGUGGAUCCGCGUAGAAUAAUUUGAGCCUAAACCGAGCUUACCUAAACUGACUCUUACAUAAGAGCUUCCGAGGAGGUCACCUAUGUUAGAACUCCUUUAGUUUUAGCAUGAUUAACGCUCUUAACCUCUUGGGCUUAGCCACCGCCCAACAUGCUAUCAGAGCCAAACAUCGGCUGGAAAUGUGAGAUGAGACUCGGCUGAGCCAGGGUUAUAUAGCAAGUAGAGUGCGACUCCCUGGUUGAUGACCGUUGUGGGCGGAGUACGACUCCUCCCAAGGUUGGCUAAAGGCUAGCGAGACAAGUCUCACAUUAUUUGGUGCUUGCGAGUAUACUUGAGCCUAACGAGGACGUCAAAGCUUAAAGGAGAGAGUCGGAAAGGAAUGUGACAGCCCCAGGAUUUGAAAUAGUUUUAUAUAUGAGAUAUAAUAUGGCUAAACCUCGUAACCAAACUAUAGCAUGUUGGGCGGUGGCUAGGCCCAAGAGGUUAAUAGUGUUAAGCAUGCUAGAACUAGAGUAGUUCUAGGAUGGGUGACCCUUUGGGAAGCGGGGCAUCAUAGUUGGUAUUAGAGCCAAUCACUAGCAGGAAAUGUGAGAUGAGUCUCAGUUGAGCUGGGGUUAUACAGCGGGCAGAGCACGAUUCCUCAACUGGCAAUCGUUGUCGGUAAAGCACGGCUCCCCACGAGGUCGGCUAAGGCUAACGAGACAAGUCUCACAUUGUCUAAUGCUUGUGAGUUUCUUAAUCAGGCUAUAGCAUGUUGGGCGGUGGCUAAGCCCAAAAGGUUAAGAGGGUUAAUUGUGCUAGAAUUAGAAUAGUUCUAGAAUGGAUGAUUCCUUGGAAAAUGGGGCAUUACAGUUGGUAUCAGAGCUAAUCACCAACUGGAAGUGCAAUAUGAGUCUCUGCUAAGCCAGAGUUAUACAAUGGGCUCCUCGGCUGAUAACUGUUGUGGGUGGAGUGCGACUCCCCACAAGAUCGGCUAAGGCUACCGAGACGAGUCUCACAUUGCAAAGUGCAUGUGAGUUUCUUAAUCUGGCUUUAGCAUUUUGAGUGGUGGAUAGGCCCAAGAGGUUAAGAGGGUUAAGUAUGCUAAAGCUAGAGUAGCUCUAGGAUUGGUGACCCCCUUGGGGGGCGUCACAUUAUAUUCUUUUUCACAAUAUUAUAGUUAACCAGCGGUCUCCUGAUUGGUUGUGGGCUUUUCUUGUGUAAUUGGUACUUACAUGUAGUUUUUUGUGUUCAACCAUUAUCAUUAUCAAUGCACAUAACAAUUAUAUAGUAUCAACCAUAUAUUGAUAUGCCAAAAACCCAAUUGGUUAUACCUUCCUGGAGCUCAGCUUGAUGCAUGGUGGAAAUUUCUAGGUGCUUGUUUGGACUGGCUUUGGAACAGCUUCUCUACUUUGAGAGGCACUAGCCAAACAUUUGGAAACUAAGAGGUCUAAAGCUUUUCUUGUGGCAUGAAUCUAAAAUAAAUUUUUGGGUUUCGAAAGCAAAAAGAUUUAGAUUAGGGCUUCCGUGUUUGUUACGGUAGAAAGCUGUUGAUUUAGAGUUGAAAAAGCUGUUAUUUGUUAAUAUUUCUUAAUACAGCUCUACUUAAACAACACUUGUAAAAGCUUCAGUUGGGCCAAAUGAGCACCGGUUUUUCCUAGAAUUGGGUUAGGAAGAAUCGUGAUCAACUUGACCCAAACAAGUCAUGAUUUGCUUUAAGUUUUAAAAGUUGUUCUUAUGUUUUAUUUAUGAUUUCAUAUCAGUGUGAGUAGAAAUGUAAUUUUACCCUUUUUUCUUUUGAAUAAUUCCUAAGAUGGCCAAGGAGUUGAAUGGAAUAUUACUUAACAAUGCACAAGCUGUAACCGGAGGUUAUUUUGAACGAAUAUACCAGGGGGAGGAAUCAUUUUUGUGCCAUGUUAUUCAACCUAUCUAUGAGGUCAUCUGUAAGGCAAGCAUUUAUAGUUUAAUCUAACUUAUGCUCCAGCAAGGAAAUUUUCUGCACAUAAGGAAUUUACAAUUAUCUCUUCUGUCCAAAAGGAAGCUCUAAGAAACAAAGGUGGUACUGGAAGCCAUUCCAAAUGGAGGAACUACGAUGACUUAAAUGAAUAUUUCUGGUAACCUCAUUCUUAUCUCAUCUUCUUUCAUUUGCAUUUCUUGUGUUGCUUGCCGAUCUAAAAGAUAUCGUCUUUUACAGGUCAAAUAAAUGCUUCGAGCUAAAGUGGCCACUGAAUCUUCAAGCAGACUUUUUUGUGCAAUCAAAUGAGAGGCAUUAUAUUGCUGAGGUUUAUUUUAAUAUCAACUGAAUGACUUUAAAUUGGAGACAAUUGUUUGCCUUGUGCAUUAGAACUGGAGAAUUCUAAUUUUAUGUUGCUUGAAGUUCAUUAAGGACUUAGGAAGUUUGCUACCAUAGAAGUUGCUUCAUUCCUAUUGUAAAUUAUGAUAAGAUGUACAGUGUAAUUGCUUAGGCUGUGUUUGCCUUGCUUAUCUAUUGAAAUAUCCUGUCAAAGAACUUUAGUUCUAGGUCUUUCCCCAAUUUGUUUGGCUAUAGACAAUGGGAACAACUACAUUACCAAAGGAAUAUUGCAAAUCCAUCGCCUCUGUGGAUUUAUUAUUCCCAGAAUGAAGUGAUAUAUUCCAUACUCCAACUGGGAUAGUUUAAGGAUAUAUUGUGUUUUGAGGAUGUUGUAACCUACCACUAUAUCCUUCUCUUCUCCCAACCAAAGUGCCUUAGGGUGAUAUAUCAUUGUCCAAGCACGAGGAUAAGGCAGAUGCCAUCACCUGUGAGAGAGAUGUUACAGAUAUGCGAGGUCAAGCACAAUAUAUUGUUCAACAUUUCUAUUUCGGUCACUUAAGGGGCAUUGUUAUUUGUUGAUGUGUAGGACAAAAAGAUGUCUAGCUUGGUAUGUUAGAGUCUGAAAUACUUUUCAUAGGAUAUGAUAAAUCACCUUUUAUGUUGAAAUUACUAUUCUGAAAAGUUGAAAUUAUUAGGAUCUCAAAAAAGCUAAGAAUCAAUAUCCUAUGGUGUAAUAAAAAGAAAAUCCCUACAUUUAUCACGUUAGCAGUGCAUAAUUUCUUCCAGACAUCCAAAGUAGCUGUAAAACAAUAAUAAGUUAACAAAUCUUCAGAUCUAUUUUUCGAAAGUAAAUGAUACACUACAUUGUCCUAUGGUCAUGGCUGUGAAAUACUAAGAAAACCCAAUUGCAAUAGAUUUUUCAUGGAGUGUUGAUGUUAAAUACAUUUUAACUAAGUGCAUUAUUUUACUUUUUUUCGGAGCCUGAAAUACCCAAGUAACAUGAUAAUUUUCUACAGCGCCAUGGUGAAGUUGUUAGUGGUCGGAGAAAGCCUAAAACAAAUUUUGUUGAAGUUCGAACAUUUUGGCACCUAUUUAGGAGCUUUGAUCGUAUGUGGACAUUCUUUAUAUUGGCUUUCCAGGUAAUCUCUGCCCUCCCAGAUGUUUGUUCUUGGAUACGAAGUGAUGCAAUACAAAAUGUUUUCCUCUUGUGCAGGCCAUGAUAAUAGUUGCAUGGAGUCCUUCUGGGUCUCUUUCUGCAUUUUUUGAUCCGGAUGUCUUUAGAAAUGUUUUGAGCAUCUUUAUAACGGCUGCAUUACUCAAUUUCCUACGAGGUAUGGUACUAUGGUGUAUUGGCUUUCUAGUAAUGUCAGUGUUUUGUAAUUUUCAUUCUUUUUUACCGUAUUUUAUACAUAUAUAUAUAUAUUUGCAUUUCUCAGCGGCACUUGAUAUUAUACUUAGCUGGAGAGCAUGGGGUAGCAUGGAGUACAUGCAAAUAGCUCGCUACCUCUUGAAAUUUGCCGUAGCAGCCGCCUGGAUAAUAAUCCUUCUGUUAAGCUAUUCUAGCUCUGUUCAAAAUCCUACAGGUCUUAUCAAAUAUUUUAGCAACUGGGUUGGCAACUGGCGAAGUCAAUCACUAUAUAGUUUUGCAAUUGCCAUUUACAUGAUACCAAACAUUUUGGCUGCCUUGCUAUUCUUGCUCCCACCACUUCGAAGGUCCGUAGAACGAUCCAAUUGGCGUAUAAUCAUUUUCCUUAUGUGGUGGGCUCAGGUAAGCAUUUUGUGCAUUCAGUUUCUAGCAGGCGUUCUAUUGUUUUUUAUGAUAUUUACAUAUGUACUGCUCCAAAAAUUGUCUAUCUACAUAUAUUUCACUGCAGUAUCCGAAUUUUCUAAUAUUUUUCUGAAAGUUUUUCUUACAUAUAUUCUUGUACUUACAAAAAUGGUUCUCUUAGAAAGCUUUUUCUAUGCAGAACCAACAACAAUGGAUUAGAUGUCGUUCCCCAACUUAAAUUAACGGUUUUCUUUUUUUUUUUUUUGGGAAUUUCUGUAAAGGGCCUUUUGUUUUUGCAUAUACAACCCCUACAAAUAUGCAAAAAAUGUGCAAAGCCCCUCCUUGGUACUUGCAUGUAUACUCCUAAAAAUCACAAUGCUUUUCAUGUUGCUUUGCUGUGGUGAUGCAUGCAAAAUUUUUUUAUUGCAUUAAUACCGUACUUUUUUUUUUUGCCUAGAUACCCCUAGUGGGCUCAUGUGCAAAAAAGCAAGGUUACGGUUAUGUGCACAAAAUACCCGCUUUAUGGGUUAUUGGCACACUUGUGCAUAUUAUCAGGUGUAUAUAUGCAAAACCCCCUUUUGUAAGGAACAGCACUUUUAAGGGUUGUAUGUGAAAGUUUGUAUUUUUCAAGGGUAUGUACUUGAAUAUUUGAUUUGGCAGGUAUCUAUACACGUGAAAACCCCUCUUUUUUUUUCUUUUCCAUUUGUAAGUUAUGUUGUUGUCGGUUCUUAUACAAUUAUUAUCUGCAUUCAGCCCAGGCUAUAUGUAGCACGAGGCAUGCAUGAAGAUGUGUGCUCACUUUUGAAGUAAGAAUUACCUGUUUGAUUGUCACUUUUUGGUCCUGUUCAUUUUAGCGACAUUAAAAUCAUGAAAACAUAAUAAUGUAAACUCAACAGGUAUACUCUUUUCUGGAUUUUACUGCUUGUCAGCAAGCUUGCUUUUAGCUAUUAUGUUGAGGUAAAAAGCCAUUUCCUCCUCUCCAAGCGGUGGUUGGUUAGCUGUCACUUGACAUCGAUAAAUCAUUUAAUAGAGAGAUUCUUCUUUAUGAUCAGCUUUUUGUCUUGAAAUAUAAUCGGUUGAGCUUGAGAAGAUCAGCACCAUUAAAUUUCACUCGAAUACAUCUUGUUAACAUAAAACUAAGUUGGACUUAUCCAAUACAGUGCACGCCUUUCUCUAGACCUUUAUAAUUUAAGCAUUAUCUUCUCUCAGACACGUCCAAGAAUUUUGCUCUCCUUUUCUUGUAUAUAGUUAUCUUUUAUUGUCUACUUUAUCUUGUUACCAUAAAGUAGGAGAUGCAAUACAUCAAUGGCUAUCUGUGGAACCUUUGUAAUUAAGCAUCACCUUAUUAUUUUUUAGUCAAUCAUUACAUAAUUUCUUUCCCUCUCUCUAUAGUUGCUCGCAAGUCUUUAAUUCAGAGCAGUGAGUGCCAAUUUUACCUUUUUUUGGUGUAAAUUUUUAGUAGUGUGAAGAAAUACUGAUGUAAUUUACUUGAAUCAUGUUUUGUGAUGAUAAUUAUUUGGUUGUGAGGCGAUUAUUGCUUCUCAAUCCACUUAAAUUAUUAUUUAUAAUCAUACUUGAUUUGUCAUACAGAUACGACCUUUAGUUGAACCAACAAAGACAAUCAUGGGCCUGCGAGUUUUGAACUAUGAGUGGCAUGAGUUUUUUUCUUACUGUAAGAUUCUAGUCAUUGCAAUAACACCUAGUUACUUUGUAAGGUUUUUAAUUGUAGAUUCUGAUUUAACUAGUGAAAAGCAGUGAAACAUAAUAUUGGCAUCGUGAUUACCAUAUGGUCGCCGAUUGUCUUGGUGUACUUCAUGGACACACAGAUAUGGUAUGCCAUUUUCUCUUCUAUAUUUGGAGGUAUCAUUGGAGCUUUCAACCACUUGGGUGAGGUGAAUGUUUUAACCUUUUGUAGUACAACCGUUAUAUUCUCCCUGCAUUGAAAUGUUUUGACUUUUUGUAGUAGAACUGUUAUAUUCUCCCUGCAUAGCUUGUAUAUAAAUCUAGAUAUGUUUACAAAUGAAAUUUGGCACCACUAUUCUCUUAUGCCUUUUAACUUUUCUUAGAUACGGACGCUGGGUAUGCUAAGAUCUAGAUUUGUGUCAAUGUCAUCUGCUUUUAGUGAACGGCUUGUUCCAGGCACUGAACAGCCUAACCCAUCCUCUAAGCACGAUUACAAGAAAAAUCAGGUGCUGUCAUUUAUCUUAUUUGAAAGUUUACUUUAUGCGUAGCUGUUCUUUAUAUUAUAUCUAGCUGGCCUUAUUGCAGAUGCAUGUUCUUCUUUGGAGGUAUUUACGUGCGCGCGCGCACACUAGUACACUACAAUGGUAUCUAUAUAUGCCAACGCCCAACAAUAACUCCAACACCCCACCCAUCCCCCCCCCUGCUCACACACAGACACUCUCUCCUACAAUUGUAUCUUUUUAUGCCAUGCCCAACAAUAUCCCUGCUUAUCUGAAUCUUUAUUCGUGCCCUUCAAAAACUUAAUCUGUUAUUUUUACACUCUUGUACUUGCAAAAAAAAAUCUAUCCAGUUUCUGCCAAUCAAUUGCGUGACUCCCCAUCUUAAUGCAUGGUUGCUUUUGUAAGAAGCUGCACUUUCGAGGGGUAACCAAAAAAGCUGAUUUUGAAGGGAUAUAAAUGCAAUUGCUUCUUGUCUUUGUAAGGAAUGUUGGUUGUUCGGAAGCAUCUAGCAUCAUUUGUUCCCACACUGAUUGUUUAACCCUUGAAUUGUCAGGAGGAGAGGCAAACAAGGGAAAGAAGCAGCUUGGACAAAUUUUCUCUUGUAUGGAAUGCUUUCAUCAAUUCAUUACGGGAGGAGGACUUGUUAAGCAAUAGGUUGAGGGUAUUAACUUAGGAAGUACCAUUACCAAUUAAAGAUCCUUUUUGGCAAAUUUUCAUGUUCUUCUUUCUAUUAUCAGGGAGAAGGGUCUUUUACUUUUUCCAUCAUCUUCGCAUGAUGUUUUGGUUGUUCAGUGGCCUCCUUUUCUUCUUGCCAGCAAGGUAUGUCAGCAUUGUUUGUUUGCUUUCUUUAUAACUUCAGUUUGCUGUAUUUGUUGCUCGUUUUCGAGAAAGAACAAAUAAUUUCUUGGAUUUUGUUAGAUAUACAUAGCACUCGACAUGGCCAAAGAUUUCAAGGGGACCGAUGAGAAGCUGAUAAAAAAAAUCAAGCGUGAUAAUUACAUGCUUUCUGCAGUGAUAGAAUGCUAUGAAACGACGAGAUAUAUACUUUAUAGCCUUUUCCAAGAUCAGCAUGAUAAGGAGUAAGUAAAUUCUAUCCUUUUGAGUUUUGACACACCAAUGACUGUUUUAUUAGUAUAAUUUACGAUUUGUAGAAAAAGUUUGACUUUGACCUUUUGACAUCUCGGUUGCAGUGUUAUCCAAGCUAUAUGUGCAAAUGUGGAAUCGAGCAGAAGGGAAUGGAAACUUUUGAGCAACAUUCGAAUGAGUGAAUUGCCUCAGCUCAGUUGUAGAUUGGAGAAACUACUAAACCUUUUAGUAUUCUUCAAACUUGUCGUCUUGUGCUGUAUAAAUAGGCUUUUUUUUUCCCCUUCCUGACAAUAACCCUCAUUUAAAAUCUAUGUAGUAUUGACCCCACUUAAAGAUUCUCUCCUAUGCGGCGACAUGCUAGUGCCGCACUAUGGUGGUUAUUUUCUUGCUAGACAUUGCAUAUGAUUUACCAUGUUUAGGUGAUCUUCCACUUUCUUCGGGUGUACGUGAAUUUCCUUUUGUUCGCCUUUUCCUUUCAAACACAAUUAUGCACCCUUUUCUAAGCCAUGUGAGAGACUCAUCAUGUUUAGGCUGACACUAAUGUCCCUGCAAAGUAUUUUUAAGUGGGAUCUGUUUUGUAAAUAAAAUUUUUGAGAGGGCCAUUUUCAGAAAAAUCCAUUGAUAUCACCAUGGCAAUAACCUAUGUAUGACCUUUGAUAUGCAGAAAAGUGAACACGAUGAUCUGGAAUCUGUAAGGACACCAAUCAUCAAUGUACUGCAGGAUGUAAUGGAGAUCAUUACUCAGGAUGUUAUGGUUAACGGACCUACGUAAUGACCCUUCUAUUGUGUUGUUUUAUUGUAAAAAUUCGGGCACUUGAUGAUUUCUAUAUCAUGUAAUGUUUCCUGGCAGAAUUUUGGAAAGAUUCGAGCAGGACAAAAAUAGGUGGAGGGAAGAUAUACGGCAAAAAUAUGAAAAUAUAGACAUGAAUUUAAUGACCGAUCCAUCUUGGAUGGAAAAGGUCAUUCUAUCCUUCAUUCCUCUCUCUUGAAUAUGUUCAUACAUUAUAUUAAUUUCCUUUAUAAUUAAACCGUUUGUUUCAUCGGCAGGUUGUUAGGCUUCAUUUACUGUUGACCGUCAAGGAAUCUGCAAUAAAUGUACCAACAAAUUUGGAUGCUCGACGUAGGAUGACAUUCUUUGCUAACUCCUUAUUUAUGAAAAUGCCAACUGCACCUGAAGUUCGUGAGAUGAUGUCCUUCAGGUAAACUAUCCUAUCUGUUGCAAUUUUUUUGUUCUCAGAUGUGAAUCAUACAAUACCUUUUUUCUUCAGGUAACUGUUGUUAUUUUUAUAUUUUUCUAAGCUAAUGUUAUUCUGAAUUUAAUGACUCUGAAAGUAUAACUUUGUUGAUCUUGAUGAAGUUACUAUCAAUUAGACACUUUUGAAGUUACUAUCAAUUAGACACUUUUUGUAAGGACAUUGCUAUUUACUCAAUUCCUGUUCUUCAGUUAUCAUCAUUUUUGCCUGCUCGUACCUUCUAGUUUCCUGUCUACACAGUCAUAUUGAGAUGGUAACAUCAAAAUAGACCUUUUAGAACUACUAUAAUUCCUUAUUUCUAUGUAAAAUGACUAAAAGGAACCAAGUAAAAUGUGCUAUAGUAUCAAAGCCAUUGGAACUAUGUGUUAUGCAUUAUAAUAAUCUGUUUUAUAAUUAAUCAGACUGCAAAAGGGGAAAGAAAUGACUUGAAGAGAAUCAGUUAGUUGCUCAUUAAGGUUUAAUUUGAUUUAGAUGAAAUUUAGGUUAGGAUAAAUAGCUAGGACACUUUGAAUGAAAGUUUGUUUAUUUGUAUCAACUUGAGGGGCGCAUUAAACACUUUCAUAUACAAUUACUCAAGUGCCCGAGGUUCUUUCAGAUUAAAUCAACAUGUGGUUGUUCAUUAUGUUCGAAGGGGGGAAAAAUAGAAAGAAGAAAACUUUCACUUUAGAACCAUGUAUGAGAUUUCUUUUAUCUUGUUGAGCUCAUUUUUCUAGUUGUACUUCUGUAACUACCCGACCCAGUCACAAUAAUAACUCGUUGGGCCAAAACCACCGGCCCAAAAUGCUUAAGUCCAGCUAUCGUUAGUAGCGUAUGUGGCCUUUUAUAUUCCCAAUUAGAACUCCUUUCCUAUUCGAUGUGGGACUAUUGGGGCAUUACAGUCUCCCAUAGUUUAAACCCUGACGUCUUUGACAGGUCCAAACUCGAUUGGAUCACAGACAUAGACCAGAAUUAUCAGGCCAUGUGAGAUUCUAGAAGUGGCUUCUACGGGUUCAAGAGGUGGCUCCUACCAAACCCGUGGUGUCUUGUUUUGCCCUACAUAGCACUUAGCUCCGGCUCUCACACUUCCGGCUGAUAUUCAGCUCUGAUACCAAUUAUAACGAUCCGACCCGCCGGCAAUAAUAACUCGUCGGACCCAAAACACUAGCCCAAAAUGCUUAAUCCCAGUUAUUUUUACUAGGAUCCAUAGUCUCUUAUAUAUCUAAUCACAACCCAAUUCCCAUCCAAUGUGGGACUAUUAGGGUGUCAUAGACUCCCUCCGUUUAGGCCCUGACGUUCUCGUUAGCCCGAUCAUACAGAACCCAAGAUUGCUAGGCGAUAUGAGGCCCGCCUCACACUUCCGAUCGUGAACCUGCUCUGAUACCAAAUAAUAAUGACCUGACCCAUUAGCAAUAAAAAUUCAUUGGACCCAAACCAUUGGCCCAAAAUGCUUAAGCCCAGUUAUUAUUAAUAGUGUGCGUGACCACUUAUAUUUCCAAUCAGAAUCCCUUUUCUAUCCGAUGUGGGACUAUUGGGGCAUUACAACUUCACUGUGUUGAGCGUACAUACUACAGAGUACAAACCAUCUUGGCUACUUUUUUGUUGACGGUCUAGUUCUAUUGUGUGCUAUAUUAGGCCUAUUCCAUGCCAUUAUGGUCAGCUUAUGCCACUUUGUGCUGAUCAGUUCGUUUUUUGGUGCACAUCAUUGUAACAACUUAUCAGAAAAAGGGUUGUAUUAUUUGAACAAGUGUUGAAAACUGUGAAGCAUUUUACAAAAACCCGUCUCCAGGAAAAGUAUGGAGUUCCAUUAAAAGACUCAUGGGAUGGAGGCUAAUUUUGUUUUGGUUUUACAGAAAUCAGUUGUUUAUUAAGCAAUUUUUUUUUUGAAAUUACAUUGUUAUUGUAAUGCAUGUUCUAGUGAACAAAUUCCAAAUGCUGCUUUAUUUCUCUCAAUCAUCUGCUUGUGGCUUUCGUUGGUUCAUAUGGGAGAGUACAUGAUAUUUUUGCUGAUUAGUUUUCAACCGUUUCAUUUUUGAUUGCUUGAUGAUUCUUUACUGCAAUAUAGACCCAAUUAUGCUCUAGAAGUGCAGAAAUUAAUUAAUACCAAAGUUGUUAUUUUUCUCUUGAUUGCAAGAGAAUUCUCUGUAACUCAAGAAUACCUGGAACUUGAUUUAAAUGCUUGAUGAUUUAACUUCGUCGUUGGUACAGAAAUGCUCGUGUUUUCCUAGCUGUGGAUGUUUAACUUCUACCUUUAUAUUUACUUUUUGAAGUUAGAUGGAACAUAAAGGGAAACCAUGAAAUGCUAUACACAAUAGCAUAUUGUGUCACAUCUUACCCCACUAACAGUAUACUCUUUCUAAUUUGGCUUUCAUUGGAUAAAACUACUGAAAAAUUGACUUGCAUCAUAUUGUGCUGUCCGUAGAUUCUAGUAGUUGCUAAUUGUAUUGAUACCUUUAUUUCACUUAGUGUUUUGACUCCAUAUUACAAAGAAGAGGUACUCUAUUCAGAGGAUGAACUUAGAAGAAAGAACGAAGAUGGGAUAUCCACAUUAUUUUACCUACAAAAGAUAUAUCCCGGUAAAUAUCUAGUUCCUGAUACUUUAUAUACGCAGGAUUCACAUUAAUAAUAGUACGAGUGUGAUUCAAUAUUCAUUACUUGUCAUUAGAUGAGUGGAGUAACUUUCUUGAACGCAUAAAAGUUGCACCAAUGGAUGAAAAUUCACUGAGAGACAAAAUGGAUGAAGUCCGUCAUUGGGUUUCUUACAGAGGCCAAACACUCGCAAGAACAGGUAUGGGAGAAGUCAAACCAACUUGAUAAUAAAAGAAUAUACUUUUCCCCUCUUAAAUUUGAUGUCAAUGUUCGUAAACUUUUUCUAGUGAGAGGGAUGAUGUAUUAUAGAAAGGCCCUUGAGCUUCAAUACUUCCUUGACAUGGAAAAGGAUUGGGGUUAGUUACAUACUGCCUUUUUAUAUAAAUGAUAGGUCAUUUUCUUGCUUUUGAUCAAUUCAUGUCUCUCGAAAAGUCAAAGCUGCUAUUCAUCAACUUCCUUUACUUGAUUGCUACUUUGCAGUUAACUUGGGUGGAUCUCAAGCAUCCUAUCGAGAACAGAUGGCUUCUGCUGCAAAGUCAAAAGCUAUUGCUGAUAUCAAGUUCACUUACGUUGUUUCAUGUCAGAUCUAUGGAGUGCAGAAAGCAUCGAAGGACCCCCAAGAAAAGAUGCGCUAUUAUAAUAUUCUCAAUCUAAUGCUAAAGUAAAUAACUGGACUUACCAAAUAUUUUCUUUAUGUCUAUGAGGAGUUUCACAUCAAUUUCACUCCAUCUCCAAUAAAAUGAUAUAGGUACCCCUCUUUGCGAGUUGCUUACAUUGAUGAGAAAGAAGAGAUGGUUGAUGGAACAUCAGAGAAGCGCUACUAUUCUGUUCUUGUUAAAGGUGGUGAUAAAUGGGAUCAGGUACUGCUCUAAUAAAUAUGAGAAAAUAGAUUUUUUGGUCAUUUGAAAUUUUAUUACUAACUAAUUGCAAGGUGAAGCUCUUGUCACAUCUACAGCAUUAGGAGGAUAGCGCAAGAAAUUUUUUUUUCAAUGCCUGAAUUUAAUAGGAAAUAUGAUUUUCUGUGAUAAUAUGUAUUGGCAGUGUCAAGAAACUUUUCUAAUGUACUCUUCAGCUGCAUUUUGUUCUUAUUUUGAAAGUUCUGCUCAUAGGAUCAUCCUUCCCAUGUCAAUUGUUGCUUAUUUUCUGUUGUUUUUAUCUAUAGUAUCGUUUCUUUCUAUCACAUAUAAAUAGUUUCAUUUAAUAAUUGCCUGAAUCAGCAUUCCUAUGUGGUGGGAGUCAGUAUGAUUCUUCUGAUCAUGCUCUAUUUCUCCUUCUCAGUAGACUUUUUAGAAUCCUUAUAACUGAAAAGUACAGAUAAUGUGAUAAUGUGUCCUUGUUUGAUAAAAUGAUGAUAACUUCAAAUCAUUUACGGUGGUUUUUCAGGAAAUUUACCGCAUCAGGCUCCCUGGUGAACCGACUGCUAUUGGUGAGGGAAAGCCUGAAAAUCAAAAUCAUGCCAUAAUUUUCACCAGAGGAGAAGCACUUCAAGCAAUUGAUAUGAUUCAGGUGAUUUAGUCUUUCAUAUAAUCAGUGGAAUGAACUAGUAUUAGCUAUUUGAUUCAUUUGUUUUGUGUUAUAGGACAAUUAUCUUGAAGAAGCAUUUAAAAUAAGAAAUGUUUUGGAGGAGUUCGACAAUAAAAAGCAUGGAAAGCAUAAACCUACAAUUUUGGGUCUUCGCGAGCAUAUUUUUACAGGAAGGUUAGUACCUGUUUUAGUUUAUGAAGUUGUUUAUGCUCAAUGUGCUAACUGCUGGGAUAUUGGUUACUCCAAGCGCUUCUAAUGCUAACAUCUUGAGUUUGCUUCUGCUUCUGAUCCAGUGUUUCUUCUUUAGCCCGGUUCGUGUCCAACCAAGAGACCAGCUUUGUCACUAUUGGACAACGGAUUCUUGCUAACCCUCUCAGGUAUGCAGCCUUUCUUUGAUCAUUAGCACUAUUCAUAGUUAAACUAAAAAUAAUGUUCCCUGUUGAUUACUUUUAUAUUCAGUUGAUCCAGAAGGUUAGAUGCAUUACCCAAUUUCAAUAAUGAGGCCUAAAUUCAUAUAUUGCAUUCGAAUAUUGGCCGUAUGAAAAGGUUGAUAAAGAAGAUAAGACACUGAAGCACAUAUGCUUAGUAGCUGGAAUUGAAGAUCGUUGGAAAAAUAUUCAAGCUCAAAAUGGUUGUUUCUGUGAAUUUUAACUGUACUAGAUACUAAAAUACAUUGAUUGAGACUAUCUAUUUUUGUUUAUGGGGAUGAAUAACAUGGCACUAACGGCUUUUAGAACUAUUGGAAAAGCUGAACCAUAAUAAACUGCUGUUACGGACUUAUGGUGCAAUGUAGUUUCUUUUAAAUAAUUCUUCAGGAUGUUUUUUCCAAAAAAAAAAGGAGGAAGGAAAAGUAUUAGAUCUUACAUAUCUUGGGCCUAGUCCCUUGAAGAAGGUUCUUGAGACUGGCAAAUGGGCCUGUGUGAGUUUGAAGUGCAACAGAAACCUUUUGUUUGUGCUUCAUCGUUGCAUGAGAAAAAUUUCUGUUAUAGCACCAGAGGCAUUUAGUGGGUGGAACAGGAAUUCGGUAAUGGUGAUUUGUCAUAUAAAAGAUGUAGAGAAAAUUGCUUCUGUACCCUUGUAAACUUGGGAAGUUUCCUAUUUACUCUUUCCUUUCAAAUAUAUGCCUGGAAAGUUUCCUUUUCUUUCUCAUAGGUCCCAAUUUUGAGGGUUUAUUUGAAAGAAUUUGGGUUUUUAGAACGGUAUGUUAGAAAGCAUAUAUUUUGAUGGGUAGAUAUGAAAGGUGGGAACUUUGUAGUGGUAUAUAGGCAAUUGUCCCACAUGGUGAUGUUGUAAAAAUUUUAACUGUGCAACAUUGUGUGAUGUAUAUUGAAAGUUAUACUAAGCUUAAACUCUAUUGGUAUACAGGGUUCGGUUCCAUUAUGGUCACUCUGAUGUAUUUGAUAGAAUCUUUCAUAUUACAAGGGGUGGCAUAAGUAAAGCUUCCAAAGUAAUCAAUCUUAGUGGGGAUAUUUUUGCAGGUAAUAAACUUACUAGUUGCAAUUUUCGAAUUUUUUUUAUAACUAGUCUUAUCGAUUUUUAUAAUUAUAAAAAUAGUUUUCUUAAAAAAAUAAUUAUAAAAAUAAACCUUUAAAUACGGUGAAUGAUUCACCGCAUUCAUAACUUCUGUUUAGGAGUAGAAAAAUAGUAAAAGCGGUAAACCACUCACCGCUUUUACCAUCGUAGAAUUAUAAAAAGAAGUAAGAAAAAGAAAGAAAGCGGUGAAUGGUUUACCGCUUUUAAAAGCGGUGAACCAUUCACCGCUUUCAUAGGACUAUAUCUAUAAAUAAAAGUUUAACAGGUUUAUUUUUAAAAUAAAAUUUUAGAAGAGGACUAUUGCACUAAAAACCCCGCAAUUUUCCCUUUUGUUAGUUUUACUUCAUUUAUAACGACUCAACUGCCCACUAGUAUUAGCAACUUGCUGUGCCUAAAUCUCCAGCACAGAAUGCUUAAGCUUAAGUUGUCAAUACUAAAAUGCGAGUCCACACUUACCAGACUAUUGUAUGCUAUCAGAUGUGGAACUAUUGUGUUGUCACAAUAGUAUGGCUAACUAUGCAAUUCUCUUAGGGUUUAACUCAAUUAUGCGCGGAGGAAGGGUUACACAUCAUGAAUAUAUGCAAGUCGGAAAGGGGCGUGAUGUUGGGAUGAACCAAAUCUCCCUUUUUGAGGCGAAGGUAGGUAACGGGAAUGGUGAGCAAACACUCAGCCGUGAUGUUUUUCGGUUGGGGCGGAGGUUUGACUUUUACAGGAUGUUGUCGUUCUACUUUACCACGGUGGGCUUCUACUUCAGUAGCAUGGUAAGAGUACCAGAUUUUGCCAUAGAUAACUCAUGUCUUUAGUAUUAUCAAAGAUGUAUUUUUCGUCUAUCCAAGUUUUCUGUGGAACCAUUCCUCUUGUUUCGCGUUAUAUUUUUCUGGCGGGAUUUAGGCUACCGAAAUCAUGGUUUUCCAAAUCGAAUCUAAUGGUUAAAAGAAUUGAAAUUGUUUAAGAGGUAUUCAAGUUCUCUUGCUUAAUAUGCACCUCUCUUUGGCAAUUGGACUGUGUCUGUGGUGUUGUGUAUGUAUUCACAUUAGACGUAUAACUGUGUAGAUAAUUUUAUGAGUAUAAAAUGUAAAUGGCUCUCUCUAAAUGACAUGGGCAUGCUUAUGAUCGGACAGUUGAAAUACUGAUAUCGGCAUUCCCUACUUCCAGGUAACUGUACUUGCGGUAUACUUGUUCCUGUACGGAAGGCUAUAUUUAGUCAUGAGUGGUCUGGAACGAUCUAUUCUUGAGGACCCUCGUAUCCAAUCAAACCUUAGGCCUCUUGAGAGCGCGCUUGCCUUGCAAUCUAUUUUCCAGCUCGGACUACUCCUCGUACUCCCCAUGGUCAUGGAAGUCGGUCUGGAAAAAAAGUUUCGCACCGCCAUAGGUGAGUUUAUAAUCAUGCAGCUUGAAUUGGCCUCGGUCUUCUUCGCUUUCCAGCUCGGGACCAAAGUCCACUACUACGGCCAAACUAUACUCCAUGGCAGACCAAAGUAUAGAGGAACCGGUCUCGGGUUUGUUAUAGAACAUGCGAAAUUCGCAGACAAUUACCGGCUCUACUCCCGCAGCCACUUUAUCAAAGGAUUGGAGCUGAUGAUACUUCUCGUCGUCUACCUAGUCUAUGGGGAGUCCUACCGGAGCUCAAGUCUAUAUUUGUUUGUUACGUUCUCCAUGUGGUUCUUGGUCGCCUCGUGGCUUCUCGCACCUUUUGUGUUUAAUCCUUCAGGGUUUGAGUGGGAGAAUACGAUCAAUGAUUGGGGGGAUUGGAAGAAGUGGAUGAGGAACAGGGGUGGUAUCGGCAUCCCAGUGGACAGGAGUUGGGAAUCGUGGUGGGAGAGCGAGCAGGGGCAUUUGAGAUCCACGAGUAUAAGGGGGCUAUUGUUGGAGAUUUUCCUGGGCCUUCGUUUCUUGAUUUAUCAGUAUGGGAUUGUUUACCACCUCAAUAUAGCGCACCAUAGUCGAAGUAUUCGGGUAACUACUCUUUUCCUGCCAUGUCCUUCUAUCCUUAUUCUGCUUCCUUCUAGGAAAAAUGCUGUAGUUGGAGCUGAUUGGAUGCGCUAUAUGCUUAUUUUUCUAGGUGUAUGCACUUUCAUGGUUGGUUGUGUUGGCGGUUCUGGUUGUCUUGAAGGUAUGCACUGGAACAACUAAUUUUAAACAUGUUCUUGUUUCUCAAUUUUGAAUUUACUAAUGUUUCUUUACUUCUUUUAACCUUUUUUUAUUCAUUUAGAUACUUUUAGUGGCAAGGCAGAAAUUUGGUACUGAUUUCCAGCUCAUUUUCCGAAUCGUCAAGGGCCUUCUCUUCCUCGGGUUCGUCUCUGGGAUGAUUGUACUAUUCGUCAGAUAUGGGCUCACAAUUUCCGAUGUGUUUGCUUGUAUCUUGGGUUUCAUGCCUACUGGUUGGGCUCUUCUCCUGGUAAGUUCAUACCUCUGUUGCUAUUUGCUAAGUAAGAAAAAAAAAAUGUAUGGUAAUCCCUAUAACUAACCAUGAUAUCAACCUAGUCCCCAAAUCUUUUCACUCAUACACACCAGUCCCUAAACUUUCGCAUGCAUUGAGAUUCCACACCCGACUGCUAAAUAAUUUGACAAAUCACGCCGCUUUCUUGUGAAACGAUUUUAACCCUGUUUGCUGGAACACGGAAUUUGCCAGGAGAAAAGGCAUUACAUCUGAAAAACUUUGAUUGUUUUUGGUGGUUAGGGAUUGGAUUGUAUUAUACGAGGAAAUUUAGGGAAUAACUUGUUUGAGGACUAAGGCACAAUAUUCAGAUAGUAAUACCUGUUGUACAAGACAUUAUUUCGAGAAUUAUCAACAAUAUUCAUGCUACUUUUCCUUUUUCCUUUCCUUUCCUUUUUCUUUUUCACUCUUUUUUUUUUGCCCUUUGAAUAUUUUUUUUUCUUUUCUAGAUCGGACAAGCGUGUCGGCCAUUGAUAAAGAUGAUGGGGUUCUGGGACUCCAUAAAGGAGCUGGGGAGAGCAUAUGAAUAUGUGAUGGGGAUUAUUAUAUUCAUGCCGAUCGCCGUGCUCUCGUGGUUCCCGUUCAUCUCCGAGUUCCACACGCGCCUCCUCUUCAACCAAGCCUUCAGCCGCAGGCUCCAGAUCCGGCGGAUCCUCGCAGGGCAGAAGGACAGCUCCUAUGAUUUGCGUAACGAUAGGAAAGAUUGAUAUUCUCUUUUUUUUUUUUCAAUUUGUUUCUGGCCUCUUGUUUGUUAUUUUGUCGGCGUGGUUUGAUGUAUAAAAAUGUAUCUUUUAAAUUCGGCGACGCUUUUUCGAAGUCACAUGCCCUCUUUAUUUGUGGUGACAAAUGAUGUGUUUUGAGUGCUAAACCUGUGACUCUGUGGUUUGUAUAUUGGGCUUUUUUAUAAAAUGACCCUCUAAAAAAUUGUAACGACAAAAUAACCAUAUAAAAAUUUUAUUUGUAAACUAACCCUCCUUUCGCCACGUAGGCGUCACGUCAGGGUUUUCUUAUAAAGACGGUGAAUCGUUCGCCGUUUUCUCUUAUUUCUUUUAAAAGCGGUGAAUCGUUCACCGCUUUCUCACAUUUAUUUUAAAAAUGGUAAAUCAUUCACCGCCUUUCACUUACUGUUUCUUUCUGUAUCUCAUAUAAUCUUAACAACUUUUAAAUCUUAAUAAUUUAUCCAUAUAAUUUCAUAUAAAAACAGUUAAGAUUAUAUGAAAUUAUAUAGAUAAAUUAUUAGGAUUUAAAAGUUGUUAAGAUUAUAUGUAAUUUGUUAGAAUUUUUAUGUGAUUCUUAGGAUUAUUUAUGAAAUAUAGAAAAUAACAGUAAAUAAGUUAUGGGAGAAAGCGGUGAAUGAUUCACCGCCUUUAAAAGAAAUAGGAGAAGACGGUAAACGAUUCACCGUCUUUAAAAGAAAUGGGAAAACGCGGUGAACGAUUCACCGCCUUUAAAAAAAAUUCUAACGUGGUGCCGACGUGGCGAAAAGAGGGUUAGUUUUAUAAAUAAAAUUUUGAGUGGGUUAUUUCACAAAUUUUAAAAUUUUAAAGGGUUAUUUUAUAAAAAAGUCCUUGUGUAUUCAUCUGAACUUUUCACAUGAACUACAAGCAAUUAUAUGUUGUGAACGUACCCUCGACUAGUUGUGAUGUGGCCUUUAAUAUCAUUUCAGAAACAGUUUAGACUCAUUUUUGUUUUUUUGAAUUGGUCGCUUCUUCUACCUCUGCUUGCAAAAUUAGAGGAAAAUAAUGGAAAAGGGUAAAGGUUAUAAUCUCAUCUAUUUUGAGUUUUGCCUUUUGCAAGAGGGUAAUUUUUGAAAAAGGAAUUUCUAUUAUAAUUCCUUUUAGGAGCAAUUGCCCAGUUACCUUUAUGAAGCUUUUGACUUUUAUAUUUAAUCCCCCAAAAUUGUUUUGCGGGGAUAUUUCCCUCUUAGACCCCGUUUGGUUCGGGAGAUAAGCAGGAAUAACAAUUCCGUCAAACAAAGUGAUUUUUUAUCAGGAUAUUUUAUUCUGGUCAAACUUUGUUAUUUUCGGUUAUCUCGGAAUAGCUUGAGAUUUAUUAUUCUAUCAUUUUGGUAGAAUAGUGCUAUUUUAAUACUUAAUUUCAAACUUAAUAAAAAUUAUAAAGUGAAUUAAAAAUAUAAUCAUUAUUCCUAUAAAAUGCCUAGUUUAUCCGUUGGAAUAUGUCUUUGUACUGUCACUUACUUUUGAAAUUUACAUUUAAACGGCCAUCUACUUCUACUUCUUUUAUUUACUUUUCCAACUGUUCUCUUUUAAUAGUCAACUUCUUCUAGUCUAGCAAUAAAAGGAUAGUUAUAGUUGAAGAAAUUCAAGCUUCCUCCUCCCCUUAUAUGCAUCUCAAUGUAUCUCACUCUAUUUGCUCAUUAAGGAUUUGACCAUGUGCAGAUCUUUCGAUUUUUUCAACAACUUGGCUGAUGUUGACUUGUUGAUGAUGUUGUAGGGAACCUCAUCUGCUAACGAUAGUUAGAUAUCUAUCGUACUCGGUGUUUUCUGCUCCAUGUUCUCCGAUGCUGCAUUUGUGACCGCUGUUGGCUUUCCAUUCAACAUCUAAUCCAGCUCCCGUUGUACCAGAAUUGUCCAUAUGUUAAUCUGCCAUAAGCUAAAAUUAUUUUUACUGUUGAACUUCUCGAUUUCAAACUUCGUGACCAUCUUUGUUGAUCUCUCUUGAGGUCUCUUGAGGAUUAGUAAUCUGAAGCUCUGAUGCUAGUUGUUGAGAAUCUAGUACUUGCUCUAAUACCAGUAGACGGGAAUUCAUAGCCCGCUCUGAUGCUUAUUGUAAAUCUGAUAUUCUUUCCGAUAUCGGUUGUUGGAAUUCCACAACAGAAGCACCCAAUCAGAGUUUUAUCAUAAAUCUAUUUAUGCAACCAUAAGAGAGAAAAUCAAACAGAAAAUAUAAAUGAAAACAAAUUCACUAAUCAAGAGAAGAAAUACACCUCACUCCUCUUCUAUACGAAGUGAGUUCAAGCUGAGCUAUCUUUUUGUAACGCCCCAAUAGUCCCACAUCAGAUGGGAUACUGAUUCCGAUUAGUUUAUAUGAGGUCUACACGCUAGAAAUAAUAAUUGGGCUUAAGCAUUUUGGGCCGGUGGUUUGUCCCAACGAGUUAUUGUUGCUAGCGGGUCGGGUCGUUACAUUUGGUAUCAGAGCCGAAUACCAGUCGAAAGUGUGAGAGCUAAGUGCUAUGCGGGGCAAAUUGCUACACAAACGGGUUUGGUGGGAGCCACGUCUUGAACGCGUAGAAGCCACAUCUAGAAUCUCACAUUGCCUGGUACUUAGGGUCCUGAUCUGUCUGUCUAUGAUCUGGUUUGAACCCGACGAGUACGUCAGGGUCUAAAUAGGGGGAGUUUGUAACGCCCUCAAUAGUCCCACAUCGGAUGGGACAUUGAUUUCGAUCAGUUUAUAUGAGGCCUACACGCUAGUAAUAAUAACUGGGCUUAAGCAUAUUGGGCCGGUGGUUUGGGCCUAGCAAGUUAUUAUUACUAGUAGGUCGGGUCGUUGCAAUUCAAUCAGAGCCGAAUACCAGCCAGAAAUGUGAGAGCUAAGUGCUAUGCGGGACAAAGUGCUACAUCAACGGGUUUGGUGGGAGCCACCUCUUGAACCCGUAGGAGCCACCUCUAGAAUCUCACAUCGCCUGAUAAUUUUGGUCCUGGUCUGCCUGUCUGUGAUCUGGGCUGGUAAUGUGAGAGCUAAGUGCUAUGCGGGACAAAGUGCUUCAUCAACGGGUUUGGUGGGAGCCACCUCUUGAACGCGUAGGAGCCACCUCUAGAAUCUCACAUCGCCUAAUAAUUUUGGUCCUGGUCUGCCUGUCUGUGAUCUGGUUUGGACCCGACGAGGACGUCAAGGUCUAAAUAAGGGGAGUUUGUAACGCCCCCAAUAGUUCCACAUUGGAUGGGAUACUAAUUCCGAUCAGUUUAUAUGAGACCUACACGCUAACAAUAAUAACCGGGCUUAAGCAUUUUAGGCUGGUGGUUGGGCCCAACGAGUUAUUGUUGCUUGUGGAUGCCCUUGCACGAGGCGCAUGCAACCACCCUUGCACAAGGUGCAUGCAACCUUGUGGCUAAACUUAGCUUUUCUCUCGUAACAGCUGAAGUUACUUAUAAAGCUCUACCAAAGAUGUAUCAAAAUUCUAGUACAGCGAGAUUUAUAUUCUAAUUAAUAUUUAAAUUUUACUUUAUUUAUCUCAACGUAUUUAAAUAUUUGUGCUAAUCUAUCCAGCAUCGUCAUUUGAGUGUAGAAGUUGGAGUGCGAUACUAUUAUUGAUCCUCGAUUGUGUAAUGACCCGACUUGUUAUCAAUAAUAGUUUAUUAAGCUCAAAUCACCAGCCCAAGAUGCUUAAGUAAUUAUUGAGAUGUUACAAACUCUCCCUGUAUUUACCCUAAAUAUUCUUGUGAGGUUCAAGCCAAGUACAAACACAAAUCAAGGCCAUGUAAGAUUCUAGAGGUCAUUCCCAUCAAAAUUGUGGUGUUUAGGCUAAAGCCCAAUCACAAAUGUAACGUCCCAAUAGUCCCACAUCAAAUUGGAUACUGAUUCCGAUCAGUUUAUAUGAGACUUCGCAGGCUAGUAAUAAUAACAGAACUUAAGCAUUUUGGGUCGGUUGUUUAGGCCUAACGAGUUAUUAUUGCUAACGGGUCGGAUCGUUACAUUUGGUAUCAGAGCCGAAUACCAGCCGGAAGUGUGAGAGCUAAGUGCUAUGCGGAGCAAAUUGCUACACCAACGGAUUUGGUGGGAGUCACCUCUUGAACCCGUAAGAGCCACCUCUAGAAUCGCACAUCACCUGAUAAUUCUAGUCCUGAUCUGUCUGUCUGUGAUCUGGUUUAGACCCGACGAGAACAUCAGGGUCUAAACAGGGAGAGUUUGUUACACUCCAAAUAGUUCUACAUCGGAUGGGAUACUGAUUCCAAUUAGUUUAUAUGAGGCCUCGCAUGCUAGUAAUAAUAAUUGGGCUUAAGCAUUUUAGGCCGGUUGUUUGAACCUAACGAGUUAUUAUUGCUAGCAGGUUGGAUCGUUGCAGGAUGUAUAAACUCAAAUGAUGUAAGAUUCACUAGCAAUAAUAAUAACUUGCUAAGUGCAAACUGCAGGAAAAAAUAAAUAAAUAAAACUGGCAAGUGUAGCUGCCGAUGCUAAGUUUUUCUUAAUUACCUAGAUUUAGUGAUAGUAGAUAAUAUAAUGCGUCCUUCAAAACUUCAAAAAUAUCGAGACUAAAUUGUUCUGGGUGAUUUUAAACAACUCCUUCAAAUAUUCUCGUUUCUCCUAGGUUUAUUAAUGGAAUUGAAUUUUAGAAGAAUUUUGAUAAUUUCGGGAUAAAUUUAAAACUUUUGAAUAAUAGUAAAAAAAUAAAUUAGAACAAGGCCCCCCGGAUUUAAAUCCCCUUUUGUAUUUAAUAAAAAAAUUAAAGGAAUUAGGUUCAUCUACGGGUUUCACGUAAAGGAUCUUACCACAAAGGGACACUGUUUACGCGAAGAGCAAUAGCAAGGCAAGAAUAACAACACAAAUAAUUAAAAAAGGAAAAAAAUGCUUCUUUUGCAUUCAGGUCCCUCAAAAUUUUAUUUUUUUAAGAAAUAGUCCUAAUAAAUUUAUAUGUGCAUAUAUAGACCUAACAAAUUGAUUGAAUGGCCAUGUUUCAUAUCCAUACUCUAAUCCUUCUUUUUUUAACUUAGGGAUGAUAAAAAGUACAAAAAGAAAUACGGUGAUUCAAUCACCGUAUUCAAUCACCAUGUUUAAAUACGGUGAUUGAAUUAUCGUGUUCAACUCAAAAACACCACCUAGACGCUUGCUUUGUAAGGAAAGAGAGCUAUUUAUUUAAAUUAUAAAUUUUUUUAAGACCUUUUGUUAAAAAAAAAAAAAAGUUUUGAUGGGGCUAAAUACAGGCACAAAAGAAAGUCGUUCGAUCACCAAAUCUGAUUCCAUGCUAAGUUAUGUGAAAUAGCUGUUUAUUUGUAAUAGCUUAAGUUGCUAGAAAACGGUAUUUUAUAUAUAUUUUUAUAUCUAACACACAUAUAAUAGACUCACACAAUUAAAAUUACACACACUCAAAUAUUUUUUUUAUUUUGCGGUGGGACUAUAGAAAACGUAUUGUAAUCGACUCAUUGCGAUUUGUAAAACUACUGAGAUUCACAUAAAAUUCAGAUUAAUAUUUAGAGAUAGAUUUUAUCUUUUUUUUUUUUUUUUUAUAAACGCAUAUGACACAAUUUUUCCGUAAACCUAAAAACAGACUCUACAUCGUUUUAAACAACAAUAAGCACUUGAUCCUUAUAAGUUUUCCUCCGUUAGAUCUAUCCCUUUGACCAUUUUCACUAAUUAGAUCAUCCUAUUCAACCAACCACCCAUUCAACCCUAGAGAACUAUUAUCAUUCUAACCGCACUUCCCUUAAUACAAGGGCCAAAAAUUUACAAAUACCGGCGCCUUGGUACUUUUAAAAGUAUAGGAGCUCAAUUAGUUCUUGCGCUUUUAAAAGCACAAAAGUUCUACAUACUUGUAAUUUUUUAACCGCCUAAUCUUCUUAAAAUCCAUGCAACGACCGGUAAAGAAAACUUAAUGAGAUAUACGGUUAAUAGUGCUGUUCAGAUUUUAAUAUGAUCUGAUGGCUAAAAAAUUAUAAAUACUUAGCUCAACUGUCUCUCUCUAUAUAUAAAAUAUAUUAUUUGAGAGAGAGAGAGAGAGAGAGAGAGAGAGAGAGAGAAGGUGGGCGGGGAGGACAGAGAGAAUCCAGAGAAUGCUUGUGACACUUUAUUUUUGGGCAAAACAGAGGAUGCACAGAAGAAAAAUGAUUAUAAAGAGAGAGAGAGAGAGAGAGAGGGGAAGGAGGAGAAAUGAAGAAAGCGAGGCAUCAAAGUUCCUGCCUCUCCCUGCAGUCUGAGUUUGUUUACGUUCUAUUUGUCGGUCGCUAGCUUCUUCAGGUAAGUUCUCCUUUUUUUUCUUUUUUUUUUUUUCAAUUUUUAUUCUUUUUGGCUAAAAUGCAAAAAUUCAUCAUGAAUAUAUAUAAUAUAUAUAUAUAUAUAGGCUUUGACACUUUGUUUCCUUUGAUAAUGAAUGUAUGUUAUGUAGAGAGUUGUUCUUAAUUUUUAGGGGCAAUUGCCUAUAUGUCUUUGAAAAGUUUCCGAUUUUCUUAUUUAUUCCUCUUAGAAAGCUAAUAUUGAAAAUACCCUUCUUAUGUUUCAAAUUCUUUUUAAUAUAUCAUUGGAGUUAAAUUCCGUUAGUGAGCUGUUAACAGUUGCCGUUAAUGGUGAAAAAUUAUCAUUUUGUCCAUUCUAAUAUACCCUUGUACCGUAACUAACUUUUUUUUAUAUAUCCUUUAUAUAGCAAAUACUUUUUUUAUUUUCUCUUCAAAUAUCAAUUAAUUAAUUAAGCACGGCAGAUGAACGGAUGAGAUCGAUCGCAACUAAACCAACCUUGGUGGCUAGAGUUAUAGUUAGUUAAUUCAAAUUCGGCAAACAUUCGGUGCGGAUAUAAUUAGGAUAAAAUUCGUCUUUUAAUUUUUAAAUUAGUUGAAAAAUACGACUAAAAAACGGAUUCGGCAAUUAUUCGGAUACGUGAUUUAUACGGGUAUUGUACGUUCAACAAUUAAAAAUUCGGGAUCAAAAAUUCGGCUAUAUAAUAAUAUAUAAUAAUUAAUAUACUAUAUAUAUUAUUAUCAUAAUUUUUACAUAUAAAUUAAAUAUAUUUAAAAUUAUAAUAAAUAUAUAUUAAUAAUUUAUAAGAGUUAUAUAUUUAAAAAUAUUAAUAAACUCAGAUCUGUGCAGAUCUGAAGACUAAUUUAUUUCAAUUAAUCUCAGAUAAUUAACUCUUCCACCCUAAUUAACUCUCCCAAUUAACUUCUCUGGUUAAUUGUCAAUUAACCCUCGUACAGCACCUCUUCUCAUCCCCUUCCUCCGGCACCGGCAGCACCCACCUCAACCGUCGUCGAAACUCCAAACCCCGAGGGUGGCGACCCAUGAGGUAACAUUGGUGAUCGAGGCCGCUGCUCCCGACAGAGGCAGAGACGAAGAAUGGGUUUCUCAGCAACGGAGAAGGCGUCCACGGCGAUGGUGUCGAGGUGGAAGGCACGAUGAUGCUACCGAUAGUGAGGGAGACGAUGUCGACCCGCCGACCACAGUGAUGUCGAAUGUGACAAGGAUGUCGGAGCCGAACUACCCUCGGCCCCAUCCCGGAGGCAAAGGAUAGUUGGGGGAGAGAGGGAGGUGGCAGUGGUGGUGAGUUGCUGGCGCUCGCGGCGGGCGGUGGGCGGCAGGGACCCAAGUUGGGAGAGAAAGAAAGAAUAAUUUAAAAAAAUAGUUUAACAAGGUAGGGACAAAAUAUGCAUUUUAAUUAGGUUUUAACUCUGGUAUAUAUUUAAUCCAUGUUUAACACGAGUUAGUUUAACAGGGAUAACUGCGGGAGUAUUUUGGAAUAACGGUGGAACAUAUGAGGGGUAUUUUAAAAAGAAAAAAAAAGUAGGGGUAAAUCGGAUAUAUUCAAACAUACGAGGGGUAUAUAGGCAAUUAUCCCUAAUUUUUAGGUUACUAUGUUUAACAAGGCUUACUAUUUGGGGUUGGUAGAGUGUUUUUUUAAGUCCUAUUUGUCUGUAGCUUCUUACAAGUAAGUUUUCUUUGUUCAACUUCAAUUCUUUUUGGCGAAAAAUGCAUAAAUUCAUCAUGAAUGUAUUGGCUUUUACACUUUGCUUCCCUUCAUAAGGAAUAUAGGUAGAUAAUUAAUUGUUCUUAAUUUUUAGGUUAUUAUCAUAUCAUUUAAGACUUACUAUCUUGGGUUGGUACUAUUAUGGAUCCAAUGGUUAAAAAAAUAAGGGAAAACUUUAAAAAAAUCCCCCUGUGGUUUCUUAUUUUCUCACUUUAGUACACUAUGGUUUAAAGUGUAUCAAGUUAGUGUCUUGUGAUCUUAUUUUUAUCCAAAAAUACUAGAAGGUAUGUGACAAUUCCUCAUUGGUUAAUGGGUAACCUGUUAUUUCUAAAAGAGAGGAGAACUAUUUGCUUACACUUGGUACGUACUAAUUUUUCAUAUACCACACGUAAUACUCAAUGGUUGAUAGAGUAUUUGAUGACUAAUAUUGUAAAAUAAAAUAUAAGAUAAUAGGAAAUAUUUAAAUAAUUUAGAUGGAUAUUUUAGAAUAAGUUUAUGGUGCAAUAGACACAUCCAAAUUUUUAUUAAGUAUAUGUGUGGCAAUCUACCAUUGGUUAACUUUCAACAGAGGGAAAAAAUAUUUGUUUGCACCUGGUGCAUACAACUUUUUCAUACAUCGCAUAUAAUAUUAUAUAUUGAUAACGUAUUUAGUCAUUAACACAGUAAAAUAAAAUAUGAUAUAAUAUAAAUAUUUAAAUAAUUUAGUAUGCAACCGAAAUUUUAACUUUAAUGCACAUUUUGGAGUCGGUUUACGAUGAACCAGGUGUGUCCAACAUUUUCAAUAGGUGUUUUGAAGUACCACAUUGGUUGAGUUCUCAAUGGGCUACAUGGGUUCAUGAGAGCUCAAUAUAGUCAUGCCAUGGUAUUGCCAAAUAACAUACACUAUAGAUAGAUAUAACUUGUAAAUACUAUUCAUUACUUUAGUAGUAUAGUAGCAAAGGGCUUCGUGUACCCGAUGUCUCAAGUUCAAAUCCUAGUUGAUUCGUAUUUUCAGCUAAGUUUAUUUCUAAAUAAAAUAAACGAAGCGGGUAGCAUUCUACCUAUUUCUAAAAAAAGAAACAUAGUGUACGGGCAAUAUACGUAAGAUAUUCAAAUCAUUUCAAAAUUGUUAAUUUUUAAUGGCUACUAUGGUGAGUUUGGAGUUAAACGGUGUAGAAGAAUCUAAAUUUUUUUGAAUUUUGAUAGAAAAUAUUUUAAACUAUCUAGAUUAAGAUUAGCAUUCUUGAUCAUGAAUUUAAAAGUCCUAUACUCAAAUUUUAAAGAUUAUUCAAUUUAUACCGUUCAUUUUGACAUAAUUUAUUUACUAAGUAAACGAUGUCGAAAAAAUCUAAAAUUUUAUUUCUAAGAUAUGUACCCUAGAUCAUAUUUAAUGGUGUCGAUCGUUAAUUUGCAGACCCUAAGAUAAAAAAUAAGACUAUAGUACUAGAGCUCCGGUACUAUAGAUAGUAUUGUAGCAUAAUUCUAUAUAUAUAUAUAUAUAUAUAUAUAUAGUAAGGCUCUUGUGUGCAAUUAGGAGCACGGAGGCCUUCGUGCUCUAAGCCAUUUCGAUGACGAACUUCCGAAUCGACGAUCGGCUCCGUUAGACUGAUCUAGCAUAUUUGAAAUAUCUAGAAAAUAAAUUUUGUAACUUUUCGAUAUCAUUUACUAACCAUCGAAAGGAUUCAAAAAUCGCCGAUGAAAAUAAAAAUCUUACAAAAAGUGGUGAUAUAGCAUUAAAAUUUUCAAUCAAACAUAUUGAUCUUGCUGUAAAUAGUAUAAAGAAUUUUCUAUCAAAAUUCAUCUGAUUUGAAUACUUCUACAUCGUUAAAAUUACAAACGGUAUACAUCAACCAUUAAAAAUUAUUGAUUUUGAACCCUUUCGAUCGCUAGAAAAAUAAUAUCGAAAAAUCACAAAAAAUAUUUUCUAGAUAGUUCAAAUACGCUAGAUCAAGUCUAACGGAGCCGAUCGUCGAUUCGGAUGCUCCAGCAUCGAAAAUGGCUCAGGAGCACGGAGGCCUCCGUGCUCCUAAUAGCACACAAGACCUACUAUAUAUAUAUAUAUAUAUAAAUAAUAUAUAUAUAUAUAGAGAGAGAGAGAGAGAGAGAGAGAGCAGGGCUGCUGUGCUCUCUGGAGCAUAGAGCUCUUCGUGCUCCUGAGCCGUUUUCGAUGAUGGGACUCUCAAAUCGACGAUCGGCUCCGCUAGACUUGAUCUAGCAUAUUUGAAGUAAGUAAAAAAUAAAUUUUGCGAUUUUUCGAUAUCGUUUACUUAGUGAUUGAAAGGGUUCAAAAUCAACGGCUGAAAAUAAAAAUCUCAUAAAAGGUGGUGAUAUAGUACUAAAAUUUUCUAUCAGAGAUAUUGAACUUGCUGUAGAUAGUAAAAAGUAUUUUCUAACAGAAUUUCAUCUGAUUUAGAUACUUCUAUGCCGUUAAAUUUGAAACGGCAGAUAUCGACCAUUAAAAAUUGUUAAUAUUGAAUCUUUUUGAUCACUAAGUAAACAACAUUGAAAAAUCACCAAAUUUAUUUUCUAUAUUCUUCAAAUAUGCUAGAUCAAGUUUAGCGGAGCCGAUCGUCGAUUCAGGAGUCCCAUCAUCGAAAAUGAGUCAGGAGCACGGAUGGCUCUGUGCUCCUGAGAGCGCACAAGACCUCUCUCUCUCUCUCUCUCUCUCUCUCUCUCUCUCUCUCUCUCUCUCUCUCUCUCUCUCUCUCUCUCUCUCUCUCUCUCUAUAUAUAUAUAUAUAUAUAUAUAUAUAUAUAAUAGAUCUAGUGUGUUAUUAAGAGCAUGGAGGCCUCUGUGCUCCUAAACCGUUUUCAAUGAUGGAGCUUCCGAAUCGACGAUCAGCUCCGUUAGGCUUGAUCUAGCGUAUUUGAAGUAUCUAGAAGAUAAAUUUUACGGUUUUUCGACAUUUUUUACCUAAUGAUCGAAAAAUUCAAAAUCAAUAAUUUUUAAUAGUUAAUGUAUAUUCUUUGCAAGUUUAACAGUGUAGAAGUACUCGAAUUAGAUAAAAUUUUGAUAAAAAAUUAUUUAUACUAUUUUGUGAAAUUUUUAUUUUCAGUCGUUGAUUUUGAACCUUUCGAUCACUAAGUAAAUGAUAUAAAAAAAUUCACAAAAUUUAUUUUGUUGAUACUUCAAAUAUGCUAAAUCAAGUCUAAUAGAGUCAAUUGUUAUUUUGGAAGCUCCAUCAUCGAAAACGGUUUAAGAUCACGGAGACCUGUACUCCUAGUAACACACAAGACCUACUCCUGAUGUUGUAGUACAAUUGGUUAACACUUGUCUAGGUAUUUGUUAUUUUCUUUUUCUUGAGAUUUCUUCCUUUUGUUUUUUCAUUUCUACAGUUUUCCGAUGAUAGUCCAAUUUAUAUUUCUAGGUACUACCGUAUAGAGCUUUUUUGAAAUACGGACCACUUUGAGUUGAUUAUCCGAUAUUUUAAAGUUUUGAUUUUACUAUCCAAUUCUUCAACUUAUUUGAUUUGAGUCGGUCAACAGUACUUUGACUUUAAAAUAUGAAUACGUUGUUUUGUUUUGACAGUCGCAACUAUAAAUUUAUUAAAAGGCUAAUUACCCUAAAUUUUGAAGUCAAUAUGUCGUUGAGUAAUUCAAAUCAAACAAAUUUAAACGUUGGAUAGUAAAUUCAAAAUUCUGAAAAAUCAGGAUAACAGUCGACUCACGACUGUCCAUAUUUCAGAUACAUUCUGUACGUUUUUACUACUAUAUUUCUAUCGACAGUCAUGGGAUCAGAAGCUUGUGCCUCCCUUGUGGGAUCCGUGCUACCAGAUUGUUUACGGUUGGCGUCUAAACAUGCCGAGUAUGCCUCCAGCGCCAAAGAAAAUGUGGACAAAGCGAGCGACGGCUUGGCCUAUCUGAAAGCAAAGCGAGCAACAUUUGAGAACGAGGUUAAAAGUAAAGCUAAAGAAAACAAGAUCCCGUCUCCGAUGGCGCAGCACUGGCUCAAGGAGGUAGAUACUGUCGAUGCCAAAGUCGGCGAGAUCAAAAAGAGAUAUGUGCAAAGGGGCUGCCGUGCAACCGAAGACUGCCCGUUGAAUUUGUGCUUGAUUUACGGCGUCAGCAAAGAGGCUGCCAGGUUGCGUGAGAAGAUCGAGGAAUUGAAAGCAGAGAAAUCUGACCAGUUUUUCGAAGACGCGCCUCAAAGUCCUGCCAAAGAGCGACCGAUUUGGCCGCCGUUGAGAGCGAUGAGAUCGUUGCAGCGUCAUCUAGACGAGGUUCGCAGUCACUUGGACAGCGACAUCGUCGGAAUUGUCGGGAUUUGGGGCCUAGAAGGGGUGGGCAAGACCACACUUUUGACAUUGAUCAACAAUUCUAUGUUAGGUGCCGGAAACUCGGGUUUCGAGCACGUUGUUUGGGCCCAAGCUUCGAGGGACAGGACACUGGAGAGCCUUCAAAAUGCUAUCAUCUCCGAACUGCGACUGCCGGAUCAGACAGACGACAAGAGUUCGCGCGACGCUAGAAUCUUCAAGUAUCUGAACGGCAAGAACUUCUUGCUGCUCGUCGACGACAUGUUCGAGCAGAUAAAUCUAACUGCUCUCGGAGUUCCGAUUCCCGGCAGGUUCGCGAGCGGCCGAAAACACAAGGUGGUGUUCACCACGCGCUCCAGGAGCGUGUGCUCCGGCAUGAUGGCCAACAGGGCGAUAAAGUUGGAUUUUUUAGGGACCGACGAAGCGCAUCGUCUGUUCAGAGAAGUUGUUACCGACGAGACUAUCGAUUCCGAACCCCAAAUUCCUAGUCUGGCAAACCAAGUGGUCGAUCUGUGCGGCGGCUUGCCUUCAGCUCUUGUCGUAAUCGGGCAGGCUCUGUCCGAUAAAAGGACUCACCGGCAGUGGGAGCACGUGAUCCAGUUGAUAAACGACCAUCAGUUCGACUACGGCCUCUCUCGUAUGAAAGAGUCGGUGUUCGAGACUCUGAAGCUGAGCUACGACAGUUUGAAAAGCGACAAGCUACAGCGCUGCUUCUUGUGCUGCUGCCUGUGGCCCAGAGGGCACCGAAUUCCGCUCGACGAUCUGAUCGAAUGCUGGGUAGGGCUCGGCCUGAUACGCGAGUUCGAUUGGAUUCACGAUGCUUACAACGAAGGCUACUCCAUCGUCGGGGAUCUGGAAGGCGAAGGAUUAUUAGCGAGCGAUCUCGCCAGCUACGCAAGAUUACAUGGCGUUCUGUGGUUCUUCGCGCGGUGGAUCGCAUCGGAUCGCGAACGUAACACGACCGAAUGGGCGCUGUGUAACAAUGUAGACCAAUGGACAUCGGCGCGACGAGAGUCUCCAAUGAAUAGGGAAGCAGUUCUGGUAAAGCGAAUCCCAGAGAACAGCAAUCUUGCUAUGAAACUAAAUACCGAUCAUAUAGUUCCGAGCAAAUUCGUCGAACAAAUAGUGGGUCUGAAGUACCUAGAUCUUUCGUUCACGAAGGUGGAACAUAUUCCUGAGGACAUUGAGUUCCUGUUGGAGCUAGAAUAUCUCAACCUGUCGCACACGCGUAUAUGUUUGCUGCCGACCCAUUUGAGACGACUAAAGAAGCUGAAAUACUUGCUUCUGCGGUGCAUCGAGAAACUGCAAGAGGAAUCCAUGCACGCGAUAUCGCAGCUGGCGCAGCUCCAGGUACUGGACGUGUCGCCGUACGUGGAAAUCGCCGGCGACGCGCUGAGAGAGAUCGGAAAACACGUGAGAGCUCUCUCGAUGGCGGCGAAUGACGGCACCGUCCUCGACGUAAUGUACGGCAGUAUAUCGGUGCAGUUGUGGAGCAUCCGAAUAAACGAAACCGGAGGUCGCGACACUCUCUUCCUCGACAGGCUGAGCAAGAGGCAGCAGCACUUCCUCCGUAAGUUAGAAUUCCAUUCCUGCAUCGGUUUGAGGUAUUUGGUGGUAUUGUCCGGCGGCAAUGAUUUCUCCAAACUCGAGGAACUGUGCAUCCGGCAUCUUGAAAGUUUGACGGAGAUCACUUGGGAGGGCGUAUCGCCCCCGCUGUAUUUCCCGGUGCUGCAGACAUUGGUGGUCGAAGGAUGCCGCCGGCUGAAGAACAUCACUUGGAUCCGCAACCUCCCUUGCCUCCGGAAACUGCGGGUCGCAGAUUGCGGAGGCAUGGAGGAGGUGAUCUGCGACGCGGAUGGAAAGAUCGUGAGCAUAACGGAAUCCGCAUUGCGUCGUCUCGAAGAACUGAUCCUGAAAAACCUGCCGCGGCUGCGAAGCGUCUAUAACCAGCCUUUGACUCUGAAGUUUCUGGAAUCUGUUGAGGUAGUGGGCUGUCCGAUGCUUCGGCGGCUGCCACUGAGCUCGCAGACGGCGGAGAAGAACAAAUUCGAGAAAAUUGAGGGAGAGAGAGCAUGGCUGGAAGGCUUAGUUUGGGAGAAUGACGAUACCAAAUCCAAAUUUGCCCGAUAUUAUCGCGAACUCAAGGCAAGUACAGCCUAAUUUUUUUUUUUCUCUUUUUUUUUUUUUUUUCUGUUGGAGAGGAAAAUAAAGACUAAAUUGAUUGUGUUCUUCGGUAAAAUUGUGUCACUUCUGCGUCAAUUAGUUUUAGUCUGGUCACAUAAUAAUGUCUAAGUGGGAUUGUUGCAGCCAAUACAAAAAAAAAAAAACUUGUGUGGAGUCCUCUAUUUAAGUAUUCAGCAGCCCUUGUGCAGUUGUACUCCUAACUUUCUAACAACCCAUCAAGUUUGAUGAGUAGGUCGAAUGAAAGAGGGAAGAGAUAUUCGGAAGAAAUUGGGACACUCAAUUUUUCUUCAACAUCUCCUUCCUAUCUCAUUCUAACCACCUAUUAUCAAACUUGAUGGGUGAUUAGAAAGUUAGGAGCACAAGGGCUACUGUGCUUCUAAUAGCACAGUAGCCCUACUCUCUCUCUCUCUAUAUAUACUAGUGAAAGUACUCAUGCGAUGCGGCGGAUCGAUUUCAUAGAAGUAGAUGAUCAAUUUUCAUAGAAACAAUAAAUCGAAAAGCAGUCGAUAGUAGAAGAAAUGAACAAAUGAGAAAAUAUAAACAGUUAGCAAUAAUUGGUGGUACACAAAUAUACCAACAGUUAAGAACCAAUAGUCAGCAGUAAUAAUGAACAAAGUAGCGCAUUAGCAAUAAACAAAAACAUAUAGUUGAGGAGAAGUAAACAAUGGAGCAAUUGAAGAACCCCCAAACCAGAUGUAAAACAUCAAAACCAAUCUAGUAACUUUACAUUAGUAGAAAGUGAUGCAUAUCUGGAAGCUUGAGUGUUCUUGUUACCCAGUCAUCACUUCGAUCAACGGUAUUGCCUGCGCCAAGAUUGUCGUCCUCCACCUCUACCACCACCACGCCUGUGCCGCUGGCUCAUCCACCUCGUCUUCCUCCACCGUACGAUCCAACCCCUAUUGCUUCGGACCCUAUGCCCUCGCGCGUCACACUCGCCGCACCCACCAAAGGUUCCUCACUGAUGGCGGGGAGGAUGGGUCUAGCAACUCCUUUUUCGGCAAUAGCAAUAGCAACGACAUCCCCUUCGGUAGCAGCGGGGCGGCCGUGGGGCUCUAGUGACGGCGGAGUGGGCAUGUAGGAGCGUGUCAAAUCUAAAGAGAGAGAGAGAGUGAGAAAGAAAAGAUGGAAGACGACAUAUCGUAAAAUUGCAUAGUAAAGAAAUUAAAAAUAAGAAGAAUGCGAACACAUUAAUUAUAAAAUAACGGAUAGGAAUGUGAAAAGGUGGCAACACUUCAUAGUAACAAAAUAAAACUUUUGAAAGUGAAACCUAUUCUAAUAUAUAAUUUAAAUAAGAAUAUGAAAAGAUGGAUCAAAAUAAAUUCGUAUACAUUUGAAGGUAUUGACACUAUCAUUAUUUUAUUUAAUUGAAUCCACAAAUAUAAAAAGAAUCAAAGCUAUUUUGUAAAAGAAUUUCUCUUUUUUAUAGUAUGAAUUUUAUAUUCACAAUUCACUCUUGAUGUGUUAAAAAUAAAAUUAUAUUGUUCAUAUAGGGUUGUGGAUUUUAAUUAGGUUUUUUAAAACUUUUUUAAAAAAACCAAAAAUGCCUUUUGCAAUGUUCAUGUCAGUUACCCUGUAUUUAAUGCACAAUUAAUAUGUUUCUCAAUAGUAUUAAUUAAGUUAUUUAAUAAAAUCUAAGAUUCAUCAGUUUCAUACAUUUUCUUAACUUUUUAUUAGCAUUAGUCAUUAGCAUUAACCUAUUCUCCCAAAAUAAGGAGGGUAUGUCAUGUCAACUCAUGCUAUUGAGUUUUCAUAUAGUUUUAUAUAUAUAUAUAUAUAUUACUAUACUAUUGAUAGUACCAAGUGCUUGCUAUUAUCGAGUUUUCGCUUAUUGGAUAAAAGAUUGUGUGGUUAGGAUGAUAGUGACCCAAAAACUCGAGCUAUUAGAAAUACGCAACCAAUUCACUUAAAACGUACAGAAACAGCGCCCACGGGUCUCGACAAUCCCCCCUCCAGCACCUGGACAUAUUUGCAGCAUGCAGGAAUCGAACCCGUGACCUCUGGCUCUGAUACCACUUGUCGGAUUGUUGGCGCUAACCAUUAAUCCCAAAAGCUCGAGCUGUUAGAAAUACGCAACCAAUUCACUUAAAGCGUACAGAAACAGCGCCCACAGGUCUCGAUUGUGACUCGGCCUACCUGGCCUCACGCCACUUCGAACAUGACUCGGCCGAACCCAGCCUCACGCCAUUUCGAACAUGACUCGGCUCACAUGGCCUCCCACCACAGGGCAGGAUGCUGGCCCAUUUAAGCUAACAGAUCUAACAGUAGAAAACUCAAUAGUAUCAAGAGAUUGGUACUAUCGAUAGUAUAGUAGCCGUACUCUAUAUAUAUCUUUUCUGUGUUACACCACUCAUUUUGUCUUAUCGGAUCAAAAUGUGAGUAGCGGUAAGAUUUUCAACUGGAUGUUUAUGGAUAUUUUUAGAAGGUAAAAAUAUACCGAAGUUACGUCAUCUAUGGACCAUUUUGAAUUAACUAUCCAAACUUUUAAAAUUUUAUUUUUACUAUCCAAUUUUUACAUUUAUUUGAUUUUAGUCGGUCGACGGUGCUUUGACUUCAAAAUUUAAGAUAAUUAUUUACUCUAAUGAAUUUAUAGUUGCGAGACAUGUAUAAAAUAUACUAAUUAAAUAUGUAAAGAUAAACGACGCAUUUAAAUGUAAAGAUAAACGACGCAUUUAAAUUUUACAAUCAAAGUAUCGUUGACUUACUCAAAUCAAACAAAUUAAGAGGUCAGUAAGUAAAAUCAAACUUUUGAUAAAUUGGGUGGCCAUAUCAAAAGGGUCCAUAAUUAUGAUAAGUUCUAUAUGUUUUUACCAAAAAAAAAAAUCAAAGGACUAAGAACGGAAGCAGAUUCUCUGCUUCUAAACAUUAUAGAAAAUGCGGUAAUUUAUAAUUUACCAUGAGUCUUAGUAAUUAUGGACCCUUUUGAUAUGGCCACCCAAUUUAUCAAAAGUUUGAUUUUACUUACUGACCUCUUAAUUUGUUUGAUUUGAGUAAGUCAACGANUGCAAAGAGAAACAAAUCUGAGGUACCAUAGCAUAAUUCAAAGGGCUCAACUCAGAUUAUGAUGAGCCUCUCACAUUUCCAUCCAAGAACAUAUUUUGAAAAUUUAUUUUGUGGAAUUGUUCGUGGGUAUAGUACUUUUGACUCUUGAAGCAAUUCAGCUCAUCUUAUCCAAAUAUUGUCUAAAAUUUGUUCCUAUGCGUUGAUAAAAUAUAGAUCUUAAAACACAUUCCAUUCAUUUAAAAUCAAAGGACUAAGAACGGAAGCAGAUUCUCUGCUUCUAAACAUUAUAGAAAAUGCGGUAAUUUAUAAUUUACCAUGAGUCUUAGUAAUUAUAAUUGUUAAGAUAAUCUUCUAUACCAAAAUGUCUACAAAGAAUCGAGCUAAGUUUUAAAAAGUAUGAAAUGAUCGAUGCCUUUGCUUUUAAAUGAAUGGAAUGUGUUUUAAGAUCUAUAUUUUAUCAACGCAUAGGAACAAAUUUUAGACAAUAUUUGGAUAAGAUGAGCUGAAUUGCUUCAAGAGUCAAAAGUACUAUACCCACGAACAAUUCCACAAAAUAAAUUUUCAAAAUAUGUUCUUGGAUGGAAAUGUGAGAGGCUCAUCAUAAUCUGAGUUGAGCCCUUUGAAUUAUGCUAUGGUACCUCAGAUUUGUUUCUCUUUGCAUAUUUACUCUAAGAAUAUGUCAAGUACUUAUAAGACUAUAUUUAUCUCCCUUAUAAUUGAGCAUCCCUAAAGCUGGGUCAAUUCUAUAUAUUUUUAAGAUAAACGAUGAUAGGAAAAAAAAAUCAUCAAUUUGUAUAUAAUGAAGUGCUUUGUAAUGAAUAACCUUAUUUUCUCCUCUUAAGUUGUUUAUAUUUUACAAACAUAUGGAUAAAGACUUAAAUAGCAAGGUGAGUUGGAUGACCGUAUGGCAACUAUCAAUCUUCCGAAAUAUUCUAUUUUCAAAAAGAGGAGAAAAGAUGAAGUCCACUUUUUUUGAAGCUAAAUUAUCUAAGCUUAUAAUUACUUUUUACUGAUCUUUAAUUUUUAAAAUAAAUUGCAUUUCACAGAUAAUUUUUAAAUAUUUGAUAGUUUCUUUGUUGUGAUUUCGUUCUUUUUUUUUUUUUCAUACCUUAACUUUUUUUAUCUUACAUUUAUUAUGCACUUCCAAGGAAUAUUCCCAUCUACUCCAGCAGUAUUAGUUGGAAUUUUUUUUUUGAAAUAUUGUGAAAACUAGAGUAUCACAAGGUGGAUGAAUUAAGUAGAAUGAAAAUAUCUUAACUAUUUACAAUGCUCCCUAUCCGCCGCAACGUGCAGGUUCUUACACUAGUACAUUUUAAAAUGCGAUAAUUUAUCUUGUUAUGAAAAAUGACAAAUUGAGCUUUUAUGCAUUUAAAAGCAUCAAGCCAUUAGUCCUUGUAGGUUUCGAUUUUUGGAUGAAGAUUUGUAGGGUUUGAUACUAGUGCUCCCUCCUGGGUUUGAGUAGGUGGUAAGUGGAAUAGUAUAAUCUAAGGGGUGGAAUUGGUCAAAGAAAUAGAUUUAAUAGUGAAAAACUUACAAGUACAAAGUGCUUGGUGUAUUUAAAAGCACCAUGCUAGACUAAAAAAUAACCUAUAGUUUUUGAUAUAAAAUAGUACAUUGUUAUUAAUAUAAAAUUUCUAAAAAAUGCUUAAUAGCUUUAUAUUUUCGACAGAAUUAAACCUCUUAAAUAUAUAUCACAUAGUGUGACUUUUACCAAAAUUAUAUUUAAUAACAAAAAUAAUAUUGUAUUGAUAGCAUUUGGUUCGGAAACAAUGGGAGGUAUAAGGAAAAUAACGGCCUUUUUCCACCCUUUAUAAAGAAAAAAAAUAUUUAUUCCCCUCUUAUCCGGGGAGAAUCUAUAUAAAUCUAUGAAAGGGCAACCAGUACGCUGCUCUCUCCGCAUUCGGCGGGUCCCCGUUGACGGCGCGUGAGGGGAGCUGGCGGGGCUCACCGUGGUUCCUGCACGCGGUCCACGACUCAUGGUGGACCGGGUGAGGGAGGGGGGUAGUGGACCCCGGCUGUGGGAGAGGGGGUGGUGGGCCCCUCUCUCGGUCUCUCCCUUUUCGAUCACGUGUGUGUGUGUAGAGUAGAGCUAGAAUACUUGUAAAAGUAUCACCCAAGUGAUACUUGUGUGUUUUUAGCCCUUGGAUGGAGAGAUGUGAGGUUGAGAUGAUGGUGGUAGGUGGUGGUAGGUGGAAUAGUGUUUGAUUCAAGGACUAUUAGUAAUCAAAAAGUAGAUCCAAUGGCUAAAAACACACAUGUAUCACUUGGGUGAUACUUGUAAAAGUAUUCUAGCCCUACUCUAUAUAUAUAUAUAUAUAUCUUGGAAUUUUAGCUCUUUAUUUUUUUAGAUUUACUUUUGGACGUUAGAUUUAAUUUUUUUAAUCUAAUGCAAUGCCGCUUAGGAUUAAUUAUCUUAUUAUGUUAUCAUCUAUUUAGUUUCCUUUUCAAAUUUUCAUAUCUCUUUAUGUCAUCGCAAUAAAUUACUUAAAAUUAAUCCAUCUUAGUUUACAAAAUUUCAUAGUUGAAAAAAGUUAAAUUAAAAACUGUAAUAAAUUACUGUUGUAUUUGCUUCUCGCUGCAACGCGCGGGUUACCUUAACUAGUAUUAUAGGAUAACCCGUUAAAAGAGUAGAGUUGAUGAUAAAAUAUAACUAAUUAAUAUAUUAUUUAUUACUUUAUUUACUAAAUAACUAGAUAAAUAAUUAACCACCUGAUUAAUUACUAUAAUAAAAAUUUAAUUAACUAUUUGAGUAAUUGAUUUAUUAUUUAUUAUUAAUUAGCUAACUGAAAAAUUAAUUACUUGAUGUCUUUAUGCAAUAACUAAUAUUUAUUGAUUAACCAAUUAAUAUUUUGACCAAUCUAACUAAAUAAAUAGAUAAGUAACUAAUUAAUUUUGUUAAUUUAUUAAUUUAUUUAUAGUUAGUUAAUUUAUUAGCUAACAUUAAUAAUGAUUAAUUAAUAUAUUAAAUUAUUAUUUAAUUAAUAUGUUGAUGUUUAUUAAUUAUGUAAAACUAUAAUUUCUACUGUUUCUAUUGUUUCUAUCUGGCUAUCCAAAUACUAUUUUUUUAUUCUCGAAAAUAAUAUAAUUUUCAUCUAAAUGCAAAGUUGAUCUUAUUUCUGCUUAUUUCUGAAGUUACACAUAUUCUCAAAAUAACAAAAAAUAAGUUAUUUCUAACCUAAACGAUAAAGAGGAAAAGUAGCUUAUUUUUUGUACAAUAGGAAAGCGAAACAAAACGUUUCACUAAUUCUUUUUAGUAUUUAGAAUAAGUUGCGGGUCUUCGUUGUUACGGAAAUGUUUUCAUAUGUAACUUAAAUGGACAAAAAUAUUAAAUCUUUAAAGUAACAAGUAAUCUAAAUAGGAUUGAUAACAUUCAUUUAAACUUUUUUCUAUAAAAUAAUAUAAAAACAACUUUUUAAAUAUUAUUUAAACUUAAAUUUAUAAUAUUAUUUAUAUAUUCUCUCUGGAAUAAAUUACUUGCCUCACCAGAAACCAAAAGUGGUGAACUUGUAACAAUUUGGGAUGAGAACAGCCAAAACGGUAAUGGUAAAAAAAGGUACCAUAAACUACUACAAUGAACUCACUCUUUGCAAUCUACUGCAAAAUAACUCUUUUUAUCUUUUUUGAGAAAAAGAUAACACGCUACCCGCUUCAUUCAUUCACAGGAUGAAUUAAGCUAUAUGGGUGAGGCAGCAAGGCCUCAAGGGUGGUGAAAAAAAAAAAUUCGUGUAUUGGUUAGAGAUUCUCCCACAGAGACAUCAACUGCUUGAUUUUGUGUAAACCACCUAAGGGGUCCACCUGUGCCCUUCUAAAAAUCACUACUUUCCUGCUCUCCCGUAUAACCCACCAGCAGACUAUUAAUCCAAUAAGACCAUUGCUCGUGGGUAGUGUCCCCUGCCGACCUUUCCACCUAUCCCAUACCAGUUGAACGUCGUCACUCAAGUCCUCUAAUUCGACGUCCUCCAGUGACUCCACCAGAAGAAAUCGAAAAAACACACACUGAGAGAAAAGAUGAUCCACAGUUUCCACUUCGAACCCACACAACACGCAAGUUGUGUUGUUAGCCCAUCCUCUUUUUAACAGGUUAUCCGCAGUAAAGUGUCUCUUCCUGAGGACGAGCCAUCAGAAUACUUUCACUUUAAGAGGAAUACGACUCCAGAUCCCCUUAGAGCGGUAGUCUCUCGUGCCCCCAUCGCACAGCGCAUAGUGCAGCGUAUGUAGAUUUUACAGUGAACCGCCCGUGGGUGCUCCACCACCAAACCACACUGUCCGCUCCUUGGCCAAUUCUGUAAUUAGAGAUCCUUUCUUUAAGAGCCGAUAUGCAUAUAUUUAUCCUGCAUGUGGUCUUGAACUUUAUUUAUGUAGUCCUUGAACUUUAUCUCUAUUACACAUAACAGCUUUGGCCAUUGAAACCUUUUGGAGGACUCUUUUGGCAUUUAGCCUUCUCAAAUAUUUCUUUUUCACAAAUAGCUCCUAUAAAAUUAUAUUUAUAUGAAUAACUCUCUUCUUAUCCACACGAAUGCCACGUUGGAUAGAAAAGGCCACUAGAAAUUUUAAGUUGAAUACAGUAACUCAUUUAUUGUGUUGUAGUACACAAUAAUUCCAGCAUGGCACUUGUGAGGAGAAGGAGAGGGCCACUCCUAAAAUUAUAACUUGUAAAAGCUAUUUGCAAUUUUUUUUUUCUGGAGGCUAAAUGUUAAAAAGCUAUUUUCUGAACAUGAAAAUAAACUAUUUAGACAUAAUUUACUCAGCACAAAAAAAAAAUUCAUAUGAUUGGAAGUUAAAAAAAUUUAGUUAUAAUAUAUUCUUUUUAGAAAAUUUUAUUAUGUGAUUAAAAGUUGAGAGUUUAAUUUUUGCUAUUUGAAAGGUUUUAAUAUUUAUGAUUUGGUUGGAUAGUAUGUAUUAUUUACAAGGCGAUUUAUUUUUAUUAUGUAAAAAUAACUUAAAUAUUUAAUAUGAUCUUGUACUCUAAAAGUUGAUAAUAUUUUUUAUCUAUCAAAUAUUACAGAUUUUUUGAAUAAAUUAAAAAAUAUGUCACAUAAUAAAAUAUUUAUACAUCCAAAUAAGUAUAAAACAAUAUUCUAAAAUUAAUGAUAAUAAUAAUAAUAGUUUCGCGGCCAGAGGUUAUAUUUUUUUUUUAUAUAUGAGAGAAUAUUUAGGGACUAAAGCAUCUAACUUGAAAUACUAUGUUCACAAUCGAAGGAGGGAUUGUAAUCUGAAUGUUAUAAUCUUCCCACCUUGGGUUUUAAAAAACUUUUUUGGAUUUUAAUAAUAAAAAAGCUAAAUUACAAAAAAAAAUUCUGUCAAAACUUGAUUUUUCACUUUCCUCCCCUGUCAUUUAAAAAUCUACCCCCUUAUAAAAUGAAAAAUGUUCACAAGGGGUACGGUCUGAACUGUGAUGAUAAAAUGACCAUUUUGCCUCUCAUCAUUUUGCCCCUCAUCAUGUUCACAGGAGAGUACGUUGAGGGCAUUUUUAGCAUAAAAUAUAUAUAUAAUAAUAUUUUAUAAACGGAACCCUAACGGAUUACUAACAACAGAGGCGAAGUGAACAUUUUUCAUUUUAUAAGGAGGCAAAGUGUAGGUUUUUAAAUGACAAGAAGAAAAGUGAAAAAUCAAAUUUUAACAGGAAACUUUUAUAUAAUUUAGCCUAAUAAGAAAGAGUGAUAAUUAUCACUCAUAGAAUAAUAUACACCCUUUCGAUGAUAAGGGUUGUGUGAUAGCAACUAAAAUUUGGUUAUAAACUUAGCAUUUCUCAACUUGAAAAUUUUCCAACGGUGCUCUUCACUUAAAUAUUUGAUUCUAUAUAUUAAAAUCAAAAGUGUGAUAGGGUUGCACGAUUUACCAACUCAUUCUUAGCUUUUAGUUAAAAAAUAGAAAUGUGAUCAGACAAGUAAGAGAAACAUAUUUUUGAUUUUUGAAUAACGUGAAUUGAAGGAUUGUAACCCGAAGUGGGUUGUAGACCUAGCUCUACUUAUUUACUUCUUAUUGAUAGUUAAAAAUAACAUUUUUCAAAAAAAAUUUGGCUAAAAUAUAGAAAACCUUCUAUAAAUGUCUGUGUUUUCACUUUUUCUAAUUGAUUUGUAAAAACUCUAUAUUUUAUUAUCUUAAAAUUUUAAGUUGAUUCAUUUAGCCCGCCUUCAUUAGCGUCCAUCAUUAUUCCGUCCAAUUCUUAUAAUUUUUAUUUAAAAUUUUCUUAAAAAUAACAUAAAUAUAUUUAAAAACUAUUAUUUUUCUUUUGCAGAACAAAUAAGGGCAAUUUGAUUAUUUCGUCUUCUUUAUUAACGCCGUAACAUUUCUGAAAAUAUUUCUAAAAUUUUAAGAAAAAAAAUAAAAAUUUUUGAAAGUUAGAAAAAAUUUUUAAAAAUAAAUAUUUACAGAAAGUUUCUGCAUAUAUAAAAGCAAAUUUUUUUUAUUAGUUUUAAUUUUUAUAAAAUUGGACCAUAUUUUUAGAUUGGGUUAAUUGCAUACAACACCCUAUAAAUAUAUCGAAUAGCAGGCAUAUAUUCCUAUAAAGUUUAAUUUUUUAUUGUUACCCUUGCAAAAGCCUAGUGAUAUCCAUAUUUGUUGCUCUGGUUUGUUAUUGUUAGAGGACUUUUUAUUUUUUAACAGGAGUCCGACUACUAUACUAUCGAUAAUACUAAGCUCUUGAUACUAUUGAGUUUUCUACCGUCAGAUCUAUCCUUUUAUCAUUUCCACCCAUUAGAUUAUACUAUUAAACCAACCACCCACUCAACCCUAGGAGAUCAUUAUCAUCAUAACCACUCAUCUUUUCAUCAAACGGCCGAAAACUCAAUAGUACUAAGGGCUUGGUACUAUUGAUAGUAUAGUAGCAUAAUUCUUUUUAACAGUAAAUAAGAAAAAGAUAUUUUUGCUUUUAUAAAUAUAUCUCUCUAAAAGCCCAUUAUGCAGAAAUGUCCUCUAAAAAAUAUUUUUAUUCAAUAACAUAAAAAGGGUAAAAACAUCAAUUUAAUCUAUCCAGUAAGCCGGAUUAAAUAUUUUACUUAUAAUUAACUGUAUGAUGGUAACAACGUAGGGAUAUUUGAAAAUGGUAGGACUUUUGUAGGGAUAACUAUAAAAAAUUAAACUUUUAUAGGGAUAUAUCUAUUAUUUGAUUUGUUUACAGAGAGUUGUAUGCAAUUAAUGUGAGACCUAGAUAGUUCUAUAUAGGGUUAAAACUCUUAACCCGGCUUAAACAUUUUGGUGGUGACUAAGCUCAAGAAGUUAAGAGAGUUAAGUAUGUUAUGAUGGAAGUAGUCGGGUGACCCCCCGGAAAGUUAGGGCGUCACAGUUGGUAUUAGAGAUAAUUACUGGCCGAAAAUGUGAAAUGAGCCUCGCGGUGAGCCAGAAUUAUAUAACGGGGAGAGCGAGGCUCUUAUAUUGUUGACUGUUGUGGGUGGACCGCAGCUCAUCACAAGAUCGAUUUAGGCUAGCGAGACGAAUCUCUAGGGGUGGAAUUAAUUUCAAAUUCGACUUGAAAUUAAUUUCGACCUUAAAUUUAAGCUCAAGCUUAGAUUGAAAUUAAUUCGAGCCGAGCUCGAGCAAGCCUAAUUUCGAGUCGAGCGAGCUCGAGCCCUAAACGAGUCGCUUGAAAUUUCCAAUAUCAUACGAUCAAUAAUUUAAUUUGUAUACAAUAUUAUCUAUAAUUUGAUACAAAAAUAUGUCUAAUAGUUCAAAGUAUAAAAUAAUUAUAUAAAAUAUAGUAUUAUAACUAGUGUAGGGCCCGUGCUUUGCGGCGGGUAAAUAAUAUUUUAUCAAAUUUAAAUAUUUUAAUUUAUACAAAUUUUAAUAAAUAAUUUGUAGUAUUUUAGCAAAUUUAAAAAUUUAAAUUUAUACCCAAUCCAAACGGGCCCUAAGUGUAUCAAAUAUGAUACAGGGGAUUAUUUUCUGCCUAUAUAAAAAUAUAUACUAUAUCAUAUAUGUGUAAUAAUAAAUUAUCUAUAGAUGAACAUAUCAAAUCUUGGUGGCAUUGUGUAUUAAAAAUUAAUAGAAAAAUAUAAAGAAAAAAAAACCAAUUGGUUAACUUACACUAAGUUUUUAAUUGAUUAUCUUAUUCUCUAAUCAAAUGAAUAUAUUAAUUUGAUCAGAUAAAUCUACUUUUUCCAUGAAGGAUAAUGAUGUGAAUUGGCUAAAAAAAUAAAAAACUGGGACGCUAUGAAUGCAUGACAAAAAAAAAGAAAAGGAGAAUAAGGUAAUCUAAUUGGGAAAGCAAGAAAAGAAACAAUAUUAUUGACCAAAAACCUAACAAAUUUUUCACUCUACUCUAACCAAUAUUUAUAGUGUGCUUAUAAUUGUAAAUUUUUAUAACUGUUAUCUAUGAAAAAAAAAAGACAAUAUAGAAAAGAGUAAAUGAUGAAUUUAAUUUUCUUAUUUAAUUUCUAUUAGAUGAACUGCCAAACUAAAAAAAAUAUUAUUGAUAACUUUAUUUAAAGAUUCCACCCUUAGAAAAAAAAACGGUCAAAUUAAAUGUGCAUUAAUUUAGAAAUUUUUAUUUGUUUAAAGUAGAGAAUAAAGUUAAUUACUUUCGAUUACUAAUAAUGGAAGCCAAAAAGAUUAUUAUAUAUAUGACAAUAUUGGAUUAAUUAUAUGUAUUAAUUAUAUAUUAAAGUAUAGUUAUUAUUGUGAUUCAUGAAGCUAAUUACUUCGGUUACUAAUCAUGGAAGCCAAAAAGAUUAUUGACAAUAUUGGAUUAAUUAUAUGUAUUAAUUGUAUAUUAAACUAUAGUUAUUAUUGUGAUUAUAUAUUUAUAUCAGUUAUUAAUCAUUAAAUUUCUCAUUUUCUUCUUUCAAAGAGAGAAUGAAAGAUGACUUGCCACGUGGCAAAAAUUAUUCUGGCUUCAUAUAGUUUUAUAGAUAUGAAAAAAAAAUUAUGAGUUGAAUAUCUAAUCUUUUCAGCCUCACAUGUCUUUUCUUCCACCUUCAAUCUCCAUAUUAUUCAUUUUCAUUUAUGCAGUCAAAAAUAAAUAAAUUACAUAGAUAAAUAUUGGAUUAAACUAUCCAAUCAUAUAUAACUAAAAUUAAAAUUUAUUAUAUGAAUAAUAAUUUUUUACUUUAAAAAUAUUAUGUAUAUUUUCUCAAGCAUACAAUUAAUAGCAAGAUAGGCAACGGCAGCCAUAUGCUGCUACUUGGUUUCUUGGAGGGCUUCUGGCUUGGCCACAUAGGGUGAGAGACAGAAAUAGAGAAAGAGAGAAACAUAUUGAAAAUUUUAUAUAUAUAUAUAUAUAGAGUAUGGCUAGAAUACUUGUAAAAGUAUCAUGGGGGUGAUACUUAUAUGUUUUUAGUCCUUGGAUGGAGAGAUGUGAGGUUGAGAUGAUGGUAGUAGGUGGUGGUAGGUGGAAUAGUGUUUAAUUCAAAGGCUAUUAAUAAUCAAAAAGUAGAUCCAAUGGCUUAAAACCUAAUAGCACCAUAAUAGUGAUACUUGUAAAAGUAUCAUAGCUCAACUCUAUAUAUAUAUUAUAUAGUGUAGAACUAUUAUGUUAUCAAAAAUAUAGUGGAUUUGAUGUUUUUGAAAUUUUUGACCUUUUGAUUAAGAAUUGUAUGGUUGGGAUGAUUGUGGUCCCCCAUAGGAUUAAAUAAUAUCCCUAGAAUUGAGUGGUCUCUACAAGAUAAUAAUAGUAUUAAUUCAUAAAAAUGAUUAGUUGAUCUAAAAAUCAAAAAUUCGAAAGCACCAGAUCCUCUAUACUUUCGAUAGCAUAGUGUAUAUAUAUAUAUAUAUAUAUAUUAUUCGAGCUUUUCGAGCCUAAUUCGAACGAGCCAAAUAAUACUCAAACUCGGCUUGAAAUGAAUUUCGAGCCUUUGUUUUUUGUUCAAACUUGGCUCAUUUAAUUUCGAGUCGAGCUCGAGCGAGCCAAAUAUCGAGUCGAACGCGAGCCGGCUCGCUCAUUUGCCAGUCCUAUGAAUCUCACAUUGCCUAGUACUUAUGCGUCUGAAACUGACGAGAACGUCAGGACUUAAGGGAGGAAGAAUAUGAGACCCCAAAUAGUCCUAUAUGUAAGAUAUAAUAGGACUAAAAUUUUUAACCCGAUUUAAGUAUUUUGAAUGAUGGCCAGAUACAAAAGGUUAAAAUAAUUAAGCGUGCUAGGAGGGGGCGUCACAAUUAACCCUCUUAGAUUUUACAGACUCAUUCCAGAUUUUUUUUUUUUAAUUAACUAAAUAUUCUUUUCUUUUCUCUCUUCCUCUAUCCCAUCACUCUCAUCUGACAUCUCCGUCAUUCAAAUUUUUAACCGUAAAAUUUGACGGGAUAAAAGGGCUUUUUUUGCAAAUAGCCUCCUGAUAAAUUUUUUUUUUUUUUGAAAUUGGUCAUGUCAAAAAUUUAUUUGCAAAAAUGGCCCUGGCCCCGCCCCGCAAGCGUCACGUCAGUGCCACGCGGGCGGGCCUAGGCCAAGUGUUUAAGUUGAACACGGUGAACCAUUCACCGUGUUCAAUACAAGGUUUUUGUAUUGGACACGGUGAAUGAUUCAUCGUGUCCAAUACAAAAUGGCUAAGUGCGAGAUAUUUGUAUUGGGCACGGUGAAUCAUUCACCGUGUCCAAUACAAAUAAUUAGACACGGUGAAUGGUUCAUCGUGUCCAAUACAAACACCCACAACUUAGCUAUUUUUUGGCUAAGUUGUGGGUGUUUGUAUUGGACACGGUGAACCAUUCACCGUGUUCAAUACAAAGUGGUUCACCGUGUUCAAUACAAAAACUUUGUAUUAAACACGGUGAAUGGUUUACCGUGUUCAACUUAAACACCUGGCCCCCUGCCCGCGUGGCGCUGAUGUGGCCCCUGUGUGGCAGGGACAGGAUCAUUUUUGUAAUUUCAAAUUUAAUAGGGCUAUUUUUAUAAUAAAAUUUUUUCAGGGGGCUAUUUGCAAAAAAAGCUCCGGGAUAAAUAUACAAUAUUCCAACUUUGCAGGGACAUAAAUGCAAUUAUUCCUCAAUUUCAUACGCAGAGCAACAAGAAAGGCCGCGUAUCGAUUCCGAGCUUGCGCGAGGAGAAAAGCCGCUUCAGUACACCCCCACCCCAACCCAAGCGGUGUGUAUGUAUAAAAGCGUUAAAGCGCUUCACACAAACACACCACCGUACUCUCUCUCUCUCUCUCUCUCUCUCUCUCUCUCUCUCAUUCCUUGCUUCGAGCUCGGAGAUUCCUUAACCAAAGCCAAAAAGAAGAAACCCUAGAGAGAGAGAAAGAGAAAAAGAAAAGAAAAGGCGACCCCACGUCGAUCCCCCUCCUCCUUUUGCUCCUUUUCCCCCUUUCUCUCUCUAUCCUCGAUUCCCUCCUUAUUAGUAUACAAUGCUCGGCCCCGCUCCCCCAAGAAGAGGAGGAGGAGAAGAGGGUUGUGGAGGUGGUGGCGACAAUGGCGAGCGGAAGCGGGAGCAAGGCGGAGGGGGGAGGGGUGGGGCGGACGCUGUCGAGGAGGAUGACGCGGCUGCAGUCGAUGAUGGACUUCCCGGCGGACGAGGAGCCGCCGCCGGACAGCGAGAUAGUGCCGUCCUCCCUCGCCUCCAUCGUCCCCAUCCUCCGCGUCGCCAACGAGAUCGAGCAAUUCAACCCCCGCGUCGCCUACCUCUGUUAGAUCUCUCUCUCUCGCUCUUGCGUGAACAUCUUUCUCUACCUACAUUAGAGAUUUGUAGGGCUUGGUUGUUUGGGUGCAUGAAUAUCUUGUUCGGCAAAUCUCUCUCUCAUCUCGAACCGGCCGAAAUGUUGUGUCUAAUGAUAACUUGAACUUUUUCGGUGCGAAGAUUUUCUUGUGUGGUUGGAAGGUAGGAGUUCGAUUUUGGCUUCUCAAAAGUCUUGGCAUUUAUGAUUUCUGAAAAAAUGAUUUGAAGGUCGAGUUUAGGCCCUAAGCCCUGUUGGACGUAUGGGAGUUUUAUUCGACCUAACUCUUAGGUUUACUUGAUAAAUUUUGUAGUAGAGGAGUGUUAUCAAAUGUUUAGAUGAAAUACCAUAUUAGGUUUUCAAGUUAUUUUUUUUUUGUAAUAAGAUAAAUCACCUCGUAGGUGAAACAUGCUAUCCUACUAAACCCUGGAUGCCAAGACUUCUUGAGUAAAAAAUCAAACUCCUAGCUUUCUAAUCAUACAAGAAAAUGUUCACACCGAAGAAAUUAUCAUUAGAUAUCUUAUUCCCUUGUCCAAACAACACCUUAGGUCCUAUUAGGAUGCACGAAUGUCUUGUUUGGCAUAUUUCUUUGAUUUAUGCUACAAGCUUGCAGUAUUUGGUAGAUGAGAACUGCGAUCAAAUGUCUAGAUUGACAUACCAUAUUUGCUUUUCAAGACGUUUUCUUGAGAUUAGAUAAAUAAUCUGCUAAUGAAAUAUAUUAUUCUAUUGGAUCUUGAAUGGCAAGACCUUUCAAAUAUUAUUCUAUUGGAUCCUGAAUGGCAAGACCUUUCAAGGAGAAAAAAUUAACUCCUUGCAUCACAAAAGAAAAAAAAUCUCAUACGGACAAGUUGCCAUUGGAUAACUUAUUCCCACAUCCAAACAGGGCCUAGUAGUUCAAAUUAGAGCAAAGGAAGCUAUCGCAGAGAUUUUAAUAUAGUAGCUUCUGCAUUUGCUUCUCUCUACAUGAGCUCCUCUGGUAGAGGCAUUUGGCAAAUAAAAAAUUUGUUGGAGCUAUUCUGAUGGUGAUAGAUGCUGAAAUGAGACUUGGAAUCCUUAAAGGAGAAGCUUUGAUUUGGAAACUUUUAACUAUGCUACUAAGAGAAGCUGUUGCAGAGAUUUUAACAUCAUAGCUUAUGCAGCGGCUCUUCGCCAUGCGAUCUCCUCUAGUGAAGUGAUUAGUCAAAUAAGGCCUAAUGUGGCAAUGUGCUGGCUAAAGCACCUCUUUGAUGCUUUCCGAUGCUCCAAAGAGAAAAAGUGCUUUCAAACUUCCCUCAUUUUAUGCUAUAAAAUUAUGGUGGCAACUACUAUUGGAGGUAAGAACCGCUACCGGAGAAGCAUGUGGUUUUGCUGCCGCAAUAUUAUAGCAAAAAGUGGGGAAAAUUUGGAAGCACUUUUGUUACAUUCUUCUUCGAUGGCGGUUACAACUGCAAUUUUAUAGCAUAAAAUAAGGGAAGAUUGAAAGUGCUUCUUAAUUUCUAAGGCUUCAGGCUUCCGAAGCAUAAAAGGGUGAUUUUAGCGACCGCAUUGUCAAACUAGGCCUAAACCAUUUUGGAGCUUUUGAGGAGGAGAUUUUAAGCUCCAAAACCGGACACUCCAAUUUCAAGCUUCUUCUUCUGGCUGCAGAGAGGAUGUUGGUUAGGCUUUACUGGAGUGUUUUUCUUGAUAGCACAACUCAACUAUGAUGAUUUUGAAUUGCCUUAUAUCCUAUAGUAGGCCAACAAGGCCCUAUGUCUCAAACUCUCUCUCUAAAGCUUUUGUUGGUGUUAGGGUUUAUCCGUCAAGGUUGGUGCUAACAUAUCUCUAUUUUCUUAUUCUUGAUGAUAAAGGCCGCUUUUAUGCAUUCGAGAAGGCUCACAAUAUGGAUCCUCACUCAAGUGGACGUGGCGUCCGUCAGUUUAAGACCUAUUUGUUGCAUAGACUUGAGCAGGUGCGCAAAUCUUAGUUAAGCCUCAAUAUGGCUUUAGUACUCUUUACAACUCUCAACUCUAGGAUUGCUUUCGCUUUCUACACUUUUUUUUUCAUUUUGUUGCCAACUUCUCCAUUGAACUUUAGGUUCUAUAGCAAUUACUACACUUUAUUAACAAAAGAUAGCCAAUGCCAAGUGUGUAGUUAAUAGCAUUUUUGAAUUUCUAUAUAAUCCUUCUUUCAAACUACAAAUAUUGUCCAUCCUAGCCAACCGGCAGGCGAGACAAGAAAAACAUUAUGUGUUGAACAUUCUAUGGUCGAUCUUGGUGGCCACCAAAUUGAGAUUCUGCUUCUUCUACAUAGGAAAUAUCAUCCAUGAUGUUAUGGUUUAAAACUCUGUAUACUCUGAGCUUCUGCUUUUCUCCAUGCCUCUCCAAUAUAAUCAACUCUAGAAUUGAGUGGCUGCUAAAUCAACCCUUACAAUAGUUUUCAUAUGGGAUAUAGGAAAUUAUUGCUAAUGGAAAGUGCCCAGUUUAAUAGAGUGUAGACAUUGCUAUUUAGUCUCCAGUUGAAUGAAGAGUUUUGUAACCAAAUAGAAAAAUAUAUUGUAUAAAAUGGAAACACAUGAAAAGGUUUGUGUAGUAAAGUAUACCUCUUGGCUUUUGCUGUGGUAAACUAUUCUUUUCCCCUCCUCGGUUUCACUGAGGUUCAAAUUUGGAAUCAAAAUCUUUUCCUUUGAUAACUGAUUUGGUUUCUUUCAUCUACUACAUUGCCUAAUGCUUCCUCUUUCUUCAACCCAAAUAAACAGCAUAGCACAUGUUCUUAUUCGCCAUGUUUUUUGUGUUGUAGCAAAUUAAGCUUAAUGUAUCAAUAGGUGAUAAAUAAGAUAUAACUUGGAAAAUGGGAAAUCAUGCCCAGAAUAAACAUAAAUAUUAGGCAGCACACAAAGGUUUAAGCGGAAAGCUGUAAUGCAAUGUGAUAUCAUGUGAUCUCAACACAUGAAGGGAUCAGCUGUCCAGAAAAGUAAUUAUAGGUGGUGGCAGCAUGAGAAGAUUUGAGUUGCAAAGACGAUGGGUAACACGGAAACCAUAUGUUUCCGUAAGGAUACAUGUUACCUAUCUCAGCUUACGUAAGAUGAAGGAAUGAAGCUGAGAAAUGAAGCUGAGUAGAUCUGAGUCUACAAGCAUCACUUUGGUUAUUGUUUCUCUCUUUCCUUGUUAGUAUCUUGAUCAGCUUAUGGAGAUAUCGUUGCUUUCUAUUUGUAGUGUAUGUCCUUGAAGCAUAAAUAGCUGGAAUGGACAUAGCUUUCAUUGUUAUGGUUGCACAUUGAAUUGUUUUUCAAUUGCUUAUUCUUGCUUCCCUCCUUUGACAUAUAGUGGGACCUCCUGUUUUGUGUCCGUCCUUAUGUGGGUAAAAUUCUCUUAUUCAGGAUGAUAAGGACACAAAGCUUACCCUUGCUAGAAGUGACGCAGGAGAAAUUCAAAAGUUUUAUCAGUGGUACUAUGAAACCUACAUCAAAGAUGCUGCCAAAAGGAAGCCGUAAGUUAUGCUAUGUUGAUGUAGCUGUUUUUUAUUAGCAUUGCGUCUGGAAACUUCUCUUAAUUAAUUGCUUCUGCUUUCACUGAUGGGAAUACUUAGUGAGGAGGCUGCUAAGCAUUAUCAAAUCGCAUCCGUUCUAUAUGAUGUGCUCAGAGCUGUGGUGCCCUCUGACAAAGUUACUGUUGAGGUCAUAAGUUGUUCCGUUCAUCAGGAUUGACCCUUUGUUAUCUCUAUUUUCUGUGGCUUUUUCAUUUCAUAGAUACCAAAAGAUAAUCUGCAAAUGUUGUAUGCAGGUAACCAGGUAUGCUAAUGAAGUUGAAAGUAAGAGAGAGCAUUUUGCAAACUAUAAUAUUCUUCCUCUUAAUUUUACCGGUCCUCCUCCUGCAAUUAUGGAGCUUCCGGAGGUCAAUUAUCCUUUUGAUUGCUCAUUUUUCCAUUCUAAAUGUUCCUCAUACCUUGAUUUAUGUGUGCUUUAUACUUUUAUAUAUUCAAAUAACACAGAUCAAAGCAGCGGUAGAUGCUCUACAUAAAACAGACAAUCUUCCGAAACCCAGAAGACGGUCGGGACAAGAGUCUCAGCAGACGGCUGAUGGAUCUUCGAUGCCUGAGGACAAAUCCAUUGAUUUACUUGACUGGCUUGGGCGAACAUUUGGGUUUCAGGUAGAGCUAUAUAAGAGAAGAUUUCAUUUCCUAAUGUUUUUUGUAUCUCAUCAAUUGCAUUAUUGUUCUCUAACAUUUUGCAAUGUUUUAUGCGUAUCCCUAAUUUGCUAGCUGUCAAAAGGCAGAAACAAAUAACUUAAAUAUUUGAAUGAUAAAAUAAAUCAAUAUCUUGUUUUAUUAUUUUUAUCUUGUUAUUAUGAAGAAAGGGAAUGUGGAGAAUCAAAAGGAGCACUUGAUUUUGCUACUUGCAAAUAUUAAUGCGAGGCAUCAUCCUAACCAUUCCCUGGUAAUGCAAUUUCAUUCCAUGGUAUAUCUCAGUAUAUUAUUAAACAUCUUCUUUCUGUUACUCGCAUGGUUUUGAAGCUUCGAUUAAGUAAAUCUAUCGAAAGGAAAGAAUACUUUUCUAAGUUCGCAUUGAUUUACAGCUGGAUGUUGGCACUGUAAAGCACUUGAUGGACAAAGUUUUUGGGAACUACCGUUCUUGGUGUGCCUAUUUGCAUCAUAGACCAAAUUUUGAGUAAGUGAUGCUACUUUUUCUGUAAAUUCUCUUUCCAAUGGUGAAUAAACAAGUCAUGAGGAAAAUUCCUGUCUAAAUAUUUUCACGUCUAAAUAUGUAUUCCAUUUUGCAGGCAACUAGGAAAGUUGGAAACACAUCAGUUAGAACUGCUUUACAUUGGUUUGUACUUUCUGAUUUGGGGUGAAGCUUCCAAUGUUCGGUUUAUGCCUGAAUGUAUAUGUUAUAUUUUCCACUUUGUAAGUGUUCUUCUUUUUCGCGUGGUUACUAGUCAUUGUUGGCAAUUGAUUUUUAUUUUUUCAUUAUUAAUCUUGUUAUUAUUUCGUUCCCCUGUUUAUCCCAUUCUCAUAUUUCUUCCCUUGCCAAGUAUGAUCCAUUGCAAGUAUCCUGUCCAUUUGAGAGAGAGAGAGAGAGAGAGAGAGAGGGAGGGAGAGAGAUCACUUGCAAGAAUCCUCUCCAUUUGAGAGAGAGAGAGAGAGAGAGAGAGAGAAAUCAAUUGCAAGUGUCCUCUCCGUUUGAGAGAGUCCUUCACACAGAAGGAAGGAGAGUAAAUUCAGUGCAAGGAUAACAAGUUCAGUGGGACAACCAGUAGUGACCACUAUUUCUUCAUAAACCAUUCGAAGAAAAGACAUUUAGCUGCAAAACAUCCAACUGCAUAUAGGCAUAUGAUAAGCUUUUUAUUAGGGUCAACGCGAUCAUUCUUUAGUGUCUAAGAUGCUUUAAUUUUCCUGUCUAAGAUUUUUUAAUUUUCCUUUGAUCCUUUCCUAGAUAUUUGUGUUAGAUGAGUUACUUGUUUUCUUACAUAGUUGUAGUUUUUGUUUUUUGGAUUAAUCAAUUAGUAACCAUGGAACCGCCAAAGUUAAAUGACAAAAUUCUCAUGUCGCACAAUUGAUAAAGCAAAUCAAUUUGAAUGGAAUAAAGAUGUGAAAACCUCGGAAAACACAUGGAAAAUAAAAUGGGAUAAUCUUUGGCACAAUGUUCUGGAGCAAAAUGUUCAGUUUUUAUUGAUUUAGCAGUGGAGAUAUCUAGCUGAGCUUUCUCUUUCUAAGGAAGCAAUAACAGUGAAUUGUCUUAUAGAAAUAGAGGUUUUAUUGAUCCUUGAGAUAGCUUGGUGGUAAAAUGAUCAAUGUGCUUAAGCUCACCGUCCUUUAACCUCCGGAGCCUCAGUCGCAUCUUCCUUUGUAAGCUGUUAAUGGUCUUUACACAUCCUUUUAUCUUCGAUAUCUUCGUAUAUUCAAGUAAUAGAGGGGCUAGAUAUUCAACAAUUGAUUUUACAACAACUUUAGUUUAGUUUAGUUUUGUUCGGCAAAAUUUGUACAUUUGAUCUUGGACGUUUAGUUGGAUUCGAGUUCGCUUGUUACUUGUUAGGUACCCAAGAAGGGUUGAAAAUGCUAGCUUAGGCCCUAGGAAGUAAACUUGUUGGGGGUGUGACCACACCUGAAACAACAAUCAGUAGACUCAAAAUUUUAUAUAAAGACAAGAUCGUAGUGAGUUAAGGAUAAGAGAGCAAGCAUUAGGCAAAACUUCCUACAAAAAGUCCGAAAGUCUUUCAUCCAAAUGACGGCGACGGUGGUUCCAUUACGGGCAAGAUUAAUUCCUAAAUUCAUUUAGUAAAGAUGCUUGAGGUGGGGCCUAAAGGGAGUGUGAGGGAUGGGAUUUCUCACUCCCAUUUGCAUUCUCCUCAUGCCUUCACCUUCGUAGGAGUUUUUACGAGCUUUUUUUCAUAAUAGUCCUUAAAAUUUAUAUAUUUGGUGGUCUAACCCUCUAUAAAAUUUAUAUGGGAAUCUAAUCUUAUUUUUGGCCGCAUUGGUGCCAUGUAGUCAUUUGGUUAGAAUUAUGUGGAACAAGAAGAAGGCGGUGAAUUGUUUACUAUUUUCUAUCUGAAAAGCGGUAAAUGAUUAACCACUUUAUCAAUGUUUCUAUUUUUUAUACAAUAUGAAAACGGCGAUUUGUUCACUGCUUUUAGCUAUCCGAAAGUUGUGAGAAAGGUGGUGACUUGUUCGUCACUUUUAGCGUUCCUUUCCAUUUGACAGAGGUGGUCAAUCAUUCAUUGCUUUUAGCAUUUUUUUUUUCUCUUGGGAAUUAUGAUAAAGGUUGUGUUUCAUUCAACAUUUUAAGAACUUUCCACAAUCCUUAUCCACAAGGUGCUGACGUGUCAAGAAGAGGGUUAUACCCAAUAUUUUUUUUUGAAGGGUUAUAUCUCCAAAUUUAAAUUCUUGAAGGGCUCUUUUUAAAAUAAACCCUUUUUUUUUUUUUUACUAUCAUUAACUUUUAAAUGUGUAUGUGUGAAAAAUUUGUGGAACUGAUCAUUUUGGUAUAUUGGAGGAAAAACUUCAAGAAAAUAGCUAGUGAUACUGAGGGUGGUUCAUCUAUUUUAUGGGAAAUAAGUUUGGUAGGAUGUAACUAAACCAAGGAUAACUAUAUUGUUUACACAAUCAUUCGAGAUUAGAGGCCAGAGUAUGUUUUUUGAGGAUAUGGUUUUGUACAUUCUCUCUAGUUUUGAUUAAUAUAUCAACGUGGAUGUGUUAUAUUUGUCAAGUUUGUUGGAUAGGGUGGAUCUGCCUUAAAUCAAUCGAACCUAAACCGAAUGUCGCCCAAACUUAAUUUUGAAUACAGUGUUUCUACGUGUAGUUGUUAGAGUUUAUAUUCCUUUUCCACAUAGUAUAUCUAACCACUGGUCUCUUCAUUGUUUACUGGCUUUUCUUGUAUAGCAUAACUAGUACUGACAUUUAGUUUUUUUUGUUCAACCAUUAUCAAUGCACAUAAUAAUUAAAUGGUAUCAACUAUCAACCAUAUAUUUGAUAUGGCAAAACCCAAUUAGCUAUACCUUCCUGGUUCUCAACUUGAUGCAUGGUGGAAAUGUCUGAGUGCUUGUUUGGGCUGGCUUUGAAACAGCUUCUCUACUUCGAUAGGCAAUGGCCAAACAUUUGGAAACUAAAAGGUCUAAAGCUUUUCUUGUGGCAUGAAGAUAAAAUAAACUUUUGGGCUUCGAAAGCAAAAAGAUUUAGAUAGGACUUCCACUUAUGCUACAGUAGGAAGCUGUUUUUAAAGUUGGAAAAGCUGUUGUUUGUUAAUAUAAUAAUAUUUCUUUAAAUAACUCUACUUAAACAGCACUUGGAGAAGCUUCUAUUGGGCCAAAUGGGCACAGAGUUUCUUCUAGGAUUUGGUUAGGUAAUAAUCGUGAUCAAACUUGACCUAAACAAGUCAUGAAUCAUGAUACACUUUAAGGUUUAAUAGUUGUUCUUAUGUAUAAUUUGUGCUAUCAUAAUUUGAUAUCCAUGCGAGUAGAAACAUAAUUUUGCCUUUUUGUUUUUCAAUUAAUUCUUAAGAUGGCCAAGGACUUGAAUGGAAUAUUAUUUAGCAAUGCCCAAGCUGUUACCGGAGGUUAUUUUGAACCAUCAUACCAGGGAGAGGAAUCAUUUUUGCGUAACGUUAUUGAACCUAUUUAUGUGGUCAUCUCUAAGGCAAGUGUUUAUAAUUUAAUCUAAACUUACGCUCCAGCAGGGAAAUUUUUUUCACAUAAGAAAUUUACAAUUAUCUUUUCUAUACAAAAGGAAGCUCUGAGAAGCAAAGGUGGUACUGCAAGCCAUUCAAAAUGGAGGAACUAUGAUGACUUGAACGAAUAUUUCUGGUAAUCUCAUUCUUAUCUCGUCUUCUUUUAUUUGCAUUUAUUGUGCUGCGUGCCGAUCUGAAGAUAUCCUCUUUUACAGGUCAAAUGAAUGCUUCAAGCUAAAGUGGCCACUGAAUCUUGAAGCAGACUUUUUUGUGCAGUCAGAUGAUAAGCAUCGUAAAUCUGAGGUUUUUUUAUAUCAACUGAAUGACUCUUACUGUCUUACAUUUGAGACAGUUGUUUCUCUUGUGCAUUAGGACCAGAGACUUCUGUUUUUAACUUAGCUUGAAGGUCAGUAAAGAUUUAGGAAGUUUUCUACCAUAGAAGUUGCUUCAUUCCUCUAGUAAAUUUCGGUAAGAUCGACAUUAUAAUUGCUUAGGUUAUGUUUGCUUUAAAGUGUCUAUUCAACGAGAGUGGAAAUUUCUUGUAGAAGAACUUUAGUUCUGGGUCAUUCUCCAUUUUGUUUGGCUAUUGACGGUGGGAGUAACUAGGAUACCAAAGGAAUAUUGCAAAUCCGUCACCCCUGUGGAUUUACUAUUUCCAGAAUGAAGUGAUAUAUUCCAUACAAAAUUCCAACUGGGGAUAGUUAAGUAUAAAUUGUGUUUUGUGGGAUGUUGUAAUCCACCAGUACAUCCUUCUUAUCUCCCAACCAAAAACUGCCUUAGGGGGAUAUAUAAUGGUCCAAGCACGACGGUGAGACAGAUACCCACCACCUGUGGGAGAGCCCGCCAUUUGUGAGAGAGAUGUCACGGAUAUGCGAGGUCAAGCACAAUAUGUUGUUCAGCAUUUCUCUUUUGGUCACUGUUACUUAGUUGAUUCGUAGAACAAAAAAGAUGUCUAUAAUUGCAUGAUAUGUUAGCAUCUAAACCCCUUUCUUAGGAUAUGAUAAAUCAUAUUUUGUGUGGAAAUUACUAUCUUUAAAAAAUAAUUAGGAUCUCAAAAUGCUAAAAAUCAUUAUCCUGUGGUGUAAUCACAAAGGAAAAUCCCUACAUUUAUCAAGUUACGCCACAUAAUUUCUUCCAUUCAUCCAAAGUAGCUGUUAAACCAUAACAAGAUCUCAAGAAAUUUCAGAUCUAUUUUCGAAACAAUGCGAAUGAUACACUACAUUGUCCUCCAGUCAUGGGUGUGGAAUACCAAGAAAAUCCAAUUGCCACAGAAUUCUCAUGGAGUAUUGAUGUUGCUUUCAUAGUAACUAAACACAUUAUUUUACUUUUUUUUGGAGCCUUAAAAUACCCAAUUAACAUGAUAAUUUUCUACAGAGCCGUGAUGAAGUUGUUAGUGGUCGGAGAAAGUCUAAAACAAAUUUUGUUGAAGUUCGGACAUUUUGGCACCUAUUUAGGAGUUUUGAUCGUAUGUGGAUAUUCUUUAUAUUGGCUUUCCAGGUAAUCUCUGCCCUCACAGAAAUUUGUUCUUGGAUACGAAGUGAUGAAGUGCAAAAUGAUUUUUGAUUUUUCUCUUUUGCAGGCCAUGUUAAUAGUUGCAUGGAGUCCUUCUGGGUCUCUUUCUGCAUUUUUCGAUCCGGACAUAUUUAGAAAUGUUUUGAGUAUCUUUAUAACGGCUGCAUUACUCAAUUUCCUACAAGGUAUGGUACUAUGGUGUAUUUCCUCUGCAAUAUUGUCAGGAUUUUGUAAUUUUCAUUCUUUCCUCUAUUUUAUAUGAUUAUUAUUUUUGCAUUUCUCAGCGGCACUUGAUAUUAUCCUUAGCUGGAGAGCAUGGGGUAGCAUGGAGUACAUGCAAAUAGUUCGCUACCUCUUGAAAUUUGCUGUAGCAGCUGCCUGGAUAGUAAUCCUUCCCUUAAGCUAUUCUAAAUCUGUUCAAAAUCCGACAGGUCUUAUCAAAUAUUUUAGCAACUGGGUUGGCAACUGGCGAAAUCAAUCACUAUAUAGUUUUGCAAUUGCCAUUUACAUGAUACCAAACAUUUUGGCUGCCUUGCUAUUCUUGCUUCCACCACUUCGAAGGUCCCUAGAACGAUCUGAUUGGCGUAUAAUUAUUUUCCUUAUGUGGUGGGCUCAGGUAAUAAUUCGUGCAUUCGGUUUCUAGCAGGUGAUCUAUUGCUUUUUCUGAUAUUUACUUGUGUACUGCUCCAAAAUUGUCCAUUUACAUAUAUUUCACUGCAAUAUCUGAAUUUUCUAAUAUUCUUCUGAAAGUUUAAGUUUCUUACAUAUAUUCUUGUACUCACAAAAGCGGUUCUCUUAGGAAGCUUUUUCUACGCAGAACCAACAAUGAUGGACUAGAUUGUUUCCCAACUUAAAAAUAAGGGCAUCUUUGUAAAGGGUCAUUUUCGUAAAGGGUCUUUUUUUUUUUUUUGCACAUACAACCCCUAUAACUAAGCAAAAAUUGUGGAAAACCCCUCCAAAGUUAGUAUUUUUUUAUUUUUAUUUUAUUUUUUGCAUACUUUCUUUGCAUCGAUAACCCUAAUGGCUGCAUGUGCAAAAAAGCAAGGUUUAAGAUUAUGUGCGCGAAGUACCCGCUUUAUGGGUUAUUUGCGCACUUGUGCAUAUUUUCAAGUGUCUUUAUGUAAACCCCCCCUUUUGUAAGGAACUGCACUUUUUAGGGGUAUAUGUGAAAAAUCAUAUUUUACUAGGGUAUAUCUUGAAUAUUUGAUUUGUGUCUGUACAUAUGAAACCCAUAGUUUUUUCCCCCCUUUCCAAUUUAUAAGUUGUAUUGCUUGUUGGUUCUUAUGCAAUUAUUAUCUGCAUUCAGCCCAAGCUAUAUGUAGCACGAGGCAUGCAUGAGGAUAUGUGCUCACUUUUCAAGUAAGAAUUACCUAUUUGAUUGUUACUUAUUGGUCCUGUUCAUUUUAGCAAGAGUAAAAUCAUGAUAAACAUAAUAAUGUGAACUCAACAGGUAUACACUUUUCUGGAUUUUAUUGCUUGUCUGCAAGCUUGCUUUCAGCUAUUAUGUUGAGGUAAAGUCAUUUCCUCCUCUCCAAACAGUGAUUGGUUCACUGUAACUUGACAUCAACGUAUCAAUUAAUAGAGAGAUUCUUCUUUAUGAUUAGCUUUUGUCUUGAAAACUGAUCAGUUGUACUUGAAGAGAUCACCACCACUAAAUUUCAUUAGAAUACAUCUUAUUCACAUAAAACUAAGCAGAACUUUUCCAUUAUGGUGCACGACUUUCUCUAGACCUUUAUAAUUUAAGCAUUAUCCUCUCUCAGAAAACAUACAUGUACAUGAAUUUUAUUCUCCUUUUCUUUUAUAUCCUUAUUUGUUCUUUGCUUUUAUCUGGUUACAAUAAACUAGGAGAUGCAAUACAUGUAUGGCUGUCUGUGGGACCUUUAUAAUCAGUAUCAUUGUUACUGUUUUUUAGUCCAUCAAUACAUGUAUGGCUAUCAGUACAGUCUUUCUUUUUCUCUAUAGUUGCUUACAAAUCUUUAAUUAAGUUCGCCGAGUGCCAAUUUACCUUUUAUUUUUUGUGUAAAUGUCUAGUAGUAAUAUAAAGAAAUAUUGACGUAAUUUAAUUGAAUCAUAGUUUUUGAUGAUAAUUAUUUGGUUGUGAGGUGAUUAUUUCUUCUCAAUCCACUUAAAUGUUUUCUUUUAAUCAUACUUAUUUGAUUUGUCUAAUAGAUAUUACCUUUAGUUGAACCAACGAAGACUAUCAUGGACCUGGGAGUUCCGAACUACGAGUGGCAUGAGUUUUUUCCUUACUGUAAGAUUCUAGUCAUUCCAGUUACACCGGUAGGUUUUGGCUGUACAUUCUGACUUUAACUGGUGAAAAGCAGUGCAAGAUAAUAUCGGCGUUGUGGUUGCUGUAUGGGCGCCAAUUGUCUUGGUGUACUUCAUGGACACGCAGAUAUGGUAUGCCAUUUUCUCUACUAUAUACGGAGGUAUCAUUGGAGCCUUCAGCCACUUGGGUGAGGUAAAUGUUUUAACUUUUCUAAGUAUGACUAUCAAAUUCUACUUGCAUAGCUUAUCUAUAUAUGUUUACAUAUGAAAUUUGGCACCGGUAUUCUCUUAUUCCUAUUAACUUUUCUUAGAUACGGACGCUGGGUAUGCUAAGGUCCAGAUUUGACUCAGUGCCCGAUGCUUUUAGUAAACGGCUUGUUCCGGACAUUCAACAGCCUAGAUCAUCCUCUAAAAAAAAAGACAGGCAAACUCAGGUGCUAUAAUUUAUCCGAUUAGAAAGUUUAUGCUUAGCUAUUCUUUAUACUAUAUCUGGCAUUGUUCUUGCAGAUGCAUACUUUUCUGUGAGGUACUUAACUAUAUAUAUAUAUAUAUAUAUAUAGAGCAGGGCUGCUGUGCUCUCAGGAGCAUAGAGGCCUCCAUGCUCCUGAGCUGUUUUCGAUGAUGGAAUUUUCGAAUUCGACGAUCGGCUCCGUUAGACUUGAUCUAGCGUAUUUGAAGUUUCUAAAAAAAUAAUUUUUGCGAUUUUUUGAUAUUAUUUACUUAGUGAUCGAAAGGAUUCAAAAUCAAUAAUUUUUAAUGGUUGAUAUUUGUCGUUUUCAAGUUUAAUGGUGUAGAAGUAUUCAAAUUAGAUGAAAUUUUGAUACAAAAUUCUUUAUACUAUCUACAACAAGAUCAAUAUUUCUGAUCGAAAAUUUUAGUGCUAUAUCACCACUUUUUAUAGAAUUUUUAUUUUCAGCCGUUAAAAAUUAUUGAUUUUGAAUCCUUUCGAUUGCUAGGUAAAUGAUAUCGAAAAAUCGUAAAAAUUAUUUUCUAGAAACUUCAAAUAUGCUAGAUCAAGUUUAAUGGAGCCGAUCGUCGAUUCGAAAAUUCCAUCAUCGAAAACGGUUCAGGAGCACGGAGGCCUCCGUGCUCCUGAAAGCACAGC
rnacentral:lncRNA from 1 species